AAUGCUUCAAAUGUCUUGGGAGAGGUCACAUUGCCUCUCAAUGCCCCACAAAGAAAACCAUGAUCAUGAGGGGUCAAGACAUUUAUAGUAGUCAAGAGGAGACUACUUCUUGCCCUUCCUCUAGUGGAAGUGAAGAUGAAGUAAGGGGUGAAGAGUCUAGUGAGGAAGUCUACCCUCAUGAAGAAGGUGACCUCUUAAUGGUUAGAAGGCUCCUUGGAGGUCAAUCUUGUGAUCUAUCUCAAUCCCAAAGAGAGAGCAUCUUUCAUACAAGAUGCAAAAUUUUAGAUAAAACUUGUUCUCUCAUUGUGGAUGAUCUUGUUGCAAUUGUUGUAGCACAAGAUUAGUUUCCAAGUUGAACCUCACUAUCAUUCCCCACCCAAAACCUUAUAAACUUCAAUGGCUCAAUGAGCAAGGGGAAAUGAUAGUUAACCAACAAGUGAAGGUACCUUUCUCCAUUGGGACAUAUAAGGAUGAAGUUAAUUGUGAUAUAGUUCCCAUGGAGGUAGGACAUAUUCUUUUAGGAAGGCCGUGACAAUUUGAUAGGAAGAUCAUUUAUAAUGGCCUAACUAAUGAGAUUAGCCUCACCCAUCUUGGCACUAAAUUUGUGUUGCAUCCUCAAACACCUUCACAGGUGGCCAAAGAUCAACUAACUAUGAAAGAUAAGAGGGAUGAGGAAGAAAAAUUAGAAAAACAAAAGAAAAAGAAGGAUAGUAAGGUCUUGUCUUCAAAGGCCAGGGGGAAGGAAAAAGAGGGAAAGGAUUCCUCCAAGAAGAUUGUUAAGAAGGAAAAUCAUUUUGCAAUAAAAGGUGAUAUUAAAAGAGCACUCCUUCUUAAACAAUCUUUCUACCUUCUCCUAUCAAGGGAAACAUCCCUUAGCAUUGCCACAAUUCCUACAUUUGAGACCUUACCCCCAAAGGUCCAAGAACUCUUACAUGAAUUUGGUGAUAUAUUUCCCAAAGAGAUACCCCCUGGGCUACCUCCUUUAAGGGGAAUAGAACACCAAAUAGAUUUAGUCCCAGGAGCAAGCCUUCCUAAUAGGCCAACCUAUAGGACUAACCCUCAGGAGACUAAGGAGAUAGAGUCUCAGGUUAAAGAAUUGUUGGAGAAGGGCUGGGUCCAAGAGAGCCUAAGCCCAUGUGCUGUGCCAGUGUUGUUGGUGCCCAAAAAGGAUGGUACGUGGAGAAUGUGUACAGAUUGCAGGGCCAUCAACAACAUCACUGUAAAGUAUAGGCACCCCAUUCCUAGACUUGAUGAUCUGCUUGAUGAGUUGCAUGGUGUCAAUAUCUUUUCAAAAAUUGAUCUUAAAAGUGGUUAUCACCAAAUCAGGAUGAAAAAGGGUGAUGAGUGGAAAACUGCUUUCAAGACCAAGUUUGGUUUGUAUGAAUGGCUAGUGAUGCCUUUUGGGCUCACUAAUGCACCAAGCACCUUUAUGAGGCUUAUGCAUCAUGUCUUAAGGGAUUUCAUAGGUAGAUUUGUAGUUGUUUAUUUUGAUGAUAUUUUAGUGUAUAGUAGGAGCCUAGAUGAUCACUUAGGACAUCUCAGACAAGUUCUUUCAGUCCUUAGGAAAAACACCCUCUAUGCAAAUAUAGAGAAGUGUACCUUUUGUGUAGAUAAUAUAGUUUUCUUAGGUUUUGUAGUUGGUAGAAAUGGGGUCCAAGUGGACCCUGAGAAAAUCAAGGCCAUCCAAGAAUGGCCCACCCCAAAAAGUGUGGGAGAUAUUAGGAGCUUCCAUGGGUUAGCAAGCUUCUAUAGAAGGUUCGUUCCUAAUUUCUCUAUAAUUGCAUCACCUCUCAAUGAGCUGGUGAAGAAGAAUGUGGCAUUUACCUGGGGUGAAAAACAAGAGCAAGCCUUUGCUUUGCUCAAAGAAAAGCUUACUAAGGCACCUGUUCUAGCUCUUCCUGACUUUUCUAAAACUUUUGAGCUAGAAUGUGAUGCCUCUGGAGUGGGAGUUGGAGCUGUAUUGUUACAAGGUGGGCACCCUAUUGCUUAUUUUAGUGAAAAACUUCAUAGUGCCACCCUCAACUACCCCACCUAUGAUAAAGAGCUUUAUGCCUUAAUAAGAGCCCUCCAAACUUGGGAACAUUACCUUGUUUCCAAGGAAUUUGUCAUUCAUAGUGAUCAUCAAUCACUUAAGUACAUUAGAGGGCAAAGCAAGUUAAACAAGAGGCAUGCAAAAUGGGUAGAGUACCUAGAGCAAUUUCCAUAUGUUAUCAAAUACAAAAAGGGAAAAACAAAUGUGGUAGCUGAUGCCCUCACUAGGAGACACACAUUGUUUUGCUCCCUAGGAGCUCAAAUUUUAGGAUUUGAUAAUAUUAGGGACUUGUAUGCUUUAGAUGAACAUUUCUCUCCCAUUUAUGAGAAUUGUGGGAAAAAGGCCCAAGAUGGAUUCUAUUUGGCUGAGGGGUAUUUGUUCAAAGAGGGAAAGCUUUGCAUACCCCAAGGAUCCAUUAGGAAAUUACUUGUGAAAGAGAGCCAUGAGGGUGGGCUCAUGGGCCACUUUGGGAUAGACAAGACCCUUGUCUUACUCAAAGAAAAGUUUUAUUGGCCCCAUAUGAAGAAAGAUGUCCAUAAGCAUUGCACUAGGUGUGUGGCUUGUUUACAAGCCAAGUCUAGGGUGAUGCCUCAUGGGCUAUACACACCCUUACCCAUCCCAUCUGCACCUUGGGUAGACAUUAGUAUGGACUUUGUCCUUGGGCUUCCUAGAACCCAAAGAGGUGUAGACUCUAUCUUUGUGGUGGUGGAUAGGUUUAGCAAGAUGGCACUCUUUAUACCAUGCCACAAGGUGGAUGAUGCUUCCCACAUCUCAAAACUCUUUUUCAGGGAAGUUGUGAGACUCCAUGGUUUUCCUAGAACCAUUGUGUUAGAUAGAGAUGCUAAGUUCCUUAGCCACUUCUGGAAAACCUUAUGGGCUAAGUUAGGAACUAAACUUCUUUUCUCUACCACUUGUCAUCCACAAACUGAUGGGCAAACAGAGGUAGUGAAUAGGUCUUUAUCCACCCUUUUAAGGGCUCUUUUGAAAGGCAACCAUAAGUCUUGGGAUGAGUAUCUUCCUCAUGUAGAAUUUGCCUACAACGGGGGGGGGGGGGGGUUCAUAGAACCACCAAGCAGUCCCCUUUUGAGGUUGUCUAUGGGUUCAAUCCCCUAACACCGUUAGACCUCAUUCCCCUCCCACUGGACAUUUCUUUUAUACAUAAAGAAGGGGAAUCUAGGUCAGAAUUUGUAAAGAAGAUGCAUGAGAGGGUUAAGAACCAAAUAGAGAACCAAACAAAGGUGUAUUCAACUAAAGGCAAUAGAGGAAGAAAAGAGCUAGUUCUUAAUGAGGGUGACUGAGUUUGGCUCCAUCUUAGGAAGGAUAGAUUCCCUACUAAAAGAAAAUCCAAGCUUAGCCCGGGGAUGGACCUUUUCAGGUUUUGGAGAGGAUCAAUAACAAUGCCUAUAGGUUGGACCUCCCAGAAGAGUAUGGAGUCAACACCACUUUUAACAUUUCUGAUUUAACUCCUUUUGCAGGUGGAGCUGAUAUUGAGGAGGAGAAACUAACAGAUUUGAGGUCAAAUCCUCUUCAAGGGGAAGGGGAUGAUGCAAUCCUCCCUAGGAAGACCAAUCACUAGAAUCAUGAGCAAGAGGCUCCAAGAAGAUUGGGCUAGAGCUGCUGAAGAAGGACCUAGGGUUCUCAUGAACCUUAGGGUAGAUUUCUGAGCCCAUGGGCCAAGGUUGGGUCCAAUUAUCUUUGUACAUAUUAGACUAGGAUGUCAUUAUAUUUGGUCCUUGUAUAUAGGGCUCCAUAUUGUAGGUAGGGUACCCUAGAAAUAUAGGAUUUUUCAGCCCUUGUAUUUUUGGGCACCUAGACUAGUUUUUGUAUUAGGGGUAGUUUUGUAAUUUCACAUGCACUAAGUGGAUAUUUGAUGUGUGUGGUUGGAAAUAAAUUUAAUUGAAUUGGUAGAAGUCCAAUCCAAUUAAAUUUUAGAGGGGGAGGUGAGCAUUUGCUUACUACACCCCAUUGUCACAUCAUAUAGUCACACUUUGUGCAUGUCCUUCAUGUUUUUCAUGCCUGAUGACACCUAAGCACACUUAGUGGAGAAUCUUGUAAUUGAUCUUGGAUUAGUGGGCUGAACCAUAACUAAAAUUCACUAAUCAUAAUUAGUGAAAUUUUGGCUCCAAAGUUUGGUUCCACAAAUUCAAUUUCAAAUUCAAGUGAAAUUUGAAUUUCCCUCCAUUUUUGUGUGACACUUAGGCUAUAAAUAGAGGUCAUGUGUGUGUAUUUUUUUUCAACUUUGAUCAUUUGAAUAUUAAAAUUCAGAUUUCAAAGCUCAUUUGGAGCACAAAAUUUCGUGCUCUUCUCUCCCUCUCCCUUCAUUCAUCUCCUUCUUCCUCCAAGCUCUUAUCCAUGGUCUCCUAUGGUGGUGAACUUCUUUUAGACUUAUCUUCUCCUUGAAGUGACGUCUCCUCUCUCUCUUCCUUCUCCAUUCCGCUGCCAUUCAUCUUCCAAGAAGCAAAGGAAUCCAUUGAUGAAGAAGAUCCUAGGCCUACAAGCUCCAAUGGAGCUUGCAUCAAAUUCCAAGACAGCCCAAGAUAGGAUUGCUUUCUUUGUGGCACUACCUGAAAACUCAAAUUCACAACCUCAUUUAUUGGACUUGUGCACACUACCAGUAGUGUUUAGUGCCACUCCUUCUUGGAUCAAUUGAAGAACAAAUGGAGAAACCUUUGUGUAGGAACUUCGUAGCACAGGUUCUAGGAGAUACCAGGUCAAAUAACAAAGUAAUUUAGAAAUGAAAAUAACAAAUUAGUUAACAUAAUUUAGCUUUUCUGUUCAUGAUACCUCAACUGUUUUGAUUUUAAGUCCGCUUCAAAGAAUCUAUGAAGUUUCUGUUCCCGUUUGAAAUUUAUAAUUACUGUUUAUAAUUUAAAUUAUGUUAAAUAAAGAUUUUAGUCAAACUCUUAUAAUUAAUAUUAAAAACGUUACAUAAAAAACACUUCUAUUUCGACUGUAGGCAGUAGGUACCCUCUGUUUUUACACUUGUUUUGCAGCUUGUAGUUGUUGUUGUUUUUUUGUUCCCCAAUCCAAGUCCACAUGAACUUGUUGAUAAUUAAAAACAAGAAAUUUCCAUUAUUUUUUUUUAGUAAGUACAACAAUAUUGUGUUUGGAUGCAUUUGUGAGCUUUAGUGCAAUAAAGCAACAAAGUCAUAGAAAGUAAACUGAAAUUAGUAAUUGGUAUUCGCAGGUUAUUUUGAGCUUCUUCCAUUCUGACUUUUGUCUAUGUUUAGAAGAAAUUCGUUGGUUAAACUAUUUCUUUGUGUCUUAUAGUUCCUAUUUUAAAUUUUAGUCCUUGCACAAGAAAAUUGUGAGUUGUAGUAGCCGUAUCAGAAAACAUUAAGUUAUAGCCUCUACACAUGCAUAAGAAUUAUUAGUUUAUAUUGUGAUGAGAAAUCGCAUCAUGUCAUCCAUGUCAUACAACAACAUACUAAUAAGUUCUAGAAAGGUCUUAGUUAUACUAAGUUGUAAUCAGUUUAACCUGAAAAUCAUUUUUCUGCUGUAAUGACAGGUUCUUGAAUUGAAUAAUAAAGUAUAUUUGGGAUGUCGUGUUCGAGUUUCUAUUGCUAAAGGCUACGAAAGGGUGAAUAUACCUCUAAUAGAAGGUAAUGUACAUAGUUAUUGAAUCUGUGCAAUUACUUUGCCUCUGGUGACUAUUUGUCGACUAAAACUCCACUUUUUAAGCAAUUUCUAUUUUUAAAUUGUGCAUUUUACUAGCCACGGUGGUUUUUUACUAGCACUGCUGUAGUUCAUGGAUAAGCUUUGCAUAGAUAGAAGAGAGAUUGAGUAGAGCGAAAGAAAGAGACACGUUAGAAAACUGUAAUCGGACACCCUUCAAUGUAUAAUGAUCCUCAUAUUUUUAUAACAAGGUUAAUAGAGUAGUGCAUAAGAAGACUUCCCCUCAAGCUGUAGCCUUAAUAGAAAAAGACCAUGUACAUUAGAACUUUCUUUUGGGUAGCCUUUGCAGCUUCAAAGUGGCUGUGUUGCGGCAACAACCACUUUGAUAUCUGCUAAUUUAUCAGACUCCUUAACCUUAUGAACUAUGGAUUCAAACUCCUCCCUUGAAAUUGUAAUUCUUGCACCAGGUUCAGAAGGUGAUGAAUGAGAAUGACUAGUUCUCAUAGAUAAGACCUUAAUCUGAUCAACAACACUUGCCUCUGCUGCAUUAGCUGCUUCCAUUUCUUCCACCGUUACUCUAAGCUUUGUUUCUGCAUUUUGUAACACAAGUUUAGUGACUGCAACUUCCAUCUUCAAUUCUGUAGUGUCAUUCUUCAUAUGCUGUAGCUUUACAUUUUGCUGCUAAGUAGGCUUCAUGUUCAAACUCACUUUUUCAGAGCUGUACCUGCAGAUUCUCAACAAUGGAUUCAGUUUUGGAUUCUUUGUCCUUCAAUUUAGAGUGACAUGUCUCAAAGAGUUGAAGUUCGAUGUCUUUUUGAAGAACCAGUUCCCUGUUCUUCCCAUUCAGUUGCCCACCUUGUUGAAGAACCAGUUUAUCAUGCACCAUGUCCACAUACAAGGACCUUCAUAGCUUCACAUUCAUCAGCAAAUCCCUUGAAGAGAAGCUGUGUGGAUUCAGGGCACCAAAUUAGUAUGCUCUUUGCUCGACUUUUUAACAGACAAAACAAUGUAGUUCACAUUAAGGGAGUUGCAGCUUGUAAUCAUUAACAGACUUGCCAGAAGUUCAUCAACUAGGUGUUUGAAGAAGAGAAGACAAGACCAUUUUUUGUCAACUCUAACCGGUUCUGUAAUGCUUUAAGAUGGUCAAAACUUUGUCAACUCUAACCAGUCAUCACAACACAUUUUAACUUCGCUGUGCAUCCAAAAAUAAAUAUGAAACUGCAGCAACCCCUUUGUUGACCAUCGAAUUGUCAAUCUUUGCAUCCUGUUCGAGAUUGUCAUCCCUACAAUGAAUCUGAAUGCUAAAAUUCUAGUAAACCUGUUAAACCUUCUCAGUUCUCGCAGGAUUGACAUGAACCCGCAUCAAACAAUUGAACGUAAUCCCAUUAGGAUCCCACCCUGCAUCGAUCAUGUCCGAUACAACAUCAUGAGGUCACAUAAUUUUUUUGCAGCAACAAAAUAAAAUCAUUGACAAUACUAUAACUAUGAACAUUAGGUUAAAUUCCAACCAUCUUCAUAUCACUAAACACCUCUUCAGCCUAACAAAAUUUUGGAAUCAUUCUUCAGUUUUGCGUUUGACUUCCAUUACAUAGUCCACCCGUAUUUAUUUAUUUAAUACCUUUUAGAGGUUACCAAGUUGUAUGGGGUUUGUUUUGUUAUUUGAAAACUCAGUUUCAAUUAGUUCAUAUUUAGAAUAAUUCGAAAGAGUGGAAUUGCAUGAUUUUAUAUCAAUAAAUAUGAAAAUAGCACAAACUUAUAUGAGUACAUACAAAUUUCCCAAGUAUGACAUUAGGUGAUAUUUGUCACUCACACUCCCUUUUUGGCAAUGUUUUAAUACAACAAUAGUAUCUGUUAUGCUUUUCAACUUUGUUUGUUAUUAAUUUCCUUCAUUUAACAAUGAAUACUUUAUUUGUAUGCCAUUGUCACAUUUAUGUCGUUAUUUAUUAUAUUGUUGGUUCACAUGAAACUGGUGUGUAGUACUACAUUGAGCGAGCCAUAGUUCCCCGUUUGAGGUUCAAUACAACGAUUAAUACGGAUAGUUUGGAUUAAUUGUUGUAUUGAAUCUUGAAUUGUCCGUUUGGACGGUCUGGGAAGACAAAGUUUUUUUACUUCAUUUUCACUAAAAAUUUAACUACGUUGUGUUAUUUUUAACUAGAUUUCGGACACUGCAUCUUGCUUUGUUCUCCGGGUGCAUACAUGAUCGGGGUGAAUUGUUGUCACCGCUUUCAUGUCGUGUACUUGGAGACCAAAGUGAAAUGCUGCCAAAAUUUAGUUAAAAAUAACAUAACAUAGUUAACUUUUUAGUCAAAAUGAAGUAAAAAAAAUGUUUUCCUGAAUGGGGUAAGGUCACACAUUUGGUUUAAUAAAAGAGAGGUUUGCAUGCAUAUCGAAUAAUGUAUCUCGUCUGACAGUACACCAAAGAUGGAUUGGCGUUGGAUGAAAACAACACGCAUAACUGAAGAGUACGAAAAUGGGAUUGAAGGUUUCUUAAAAUUUGCUAAAGAUAAUGCAUCUGACAAUGGUGGACUAUACUUUUGUCCUUGUGUUAAAUGUUUGAAUGGGCGACGACAAUGUUUGGAUGACAUUAGAACACACCUUAUCUGUGAUGGUAUCUGUCCUACUUAUACAAAAUGGAUAUGGCAUGGUGAGUUACUAGAAAUGUCAUCAACCCCUCCAACUGCUCCAGUUGAUGAACAAGUCGGUGAUCAGAUAGAAGACAUGCUACGUGAUCUUGGAUAAGAGGGUUUUAGGCAAGAAAAUGCACCGUAUUAUGACACCUUAGAUAAUGAUUCAAAGAUUCCAUUGUUUAUUGGAUGCACUAAGUACACACGGUUAUCAGGGGUGUUAGCUUUGGUCAAUUUGAAACCAAGAUUUGGGAGGAGUGACAAAAGCUUCAAUGAAUUACUGUUAUUGAAGAAUAUGCUUUUGGGAGAUAACACGUACCGAAGACUCAUUACAAGGCAAAGAAGAUAUUAUGUCCUGUUGGAAUGGAAUACCAAAAAAUACAUGCUUGCCGUAAUGAUUGCAUUUUGUAUAGACAUGAGUUUGCUGAAUUGCGCAACUGCCCUACAUGUGGGGUGUGAUGUGUCAUCAUUUUCUCCUAUUUCUUAACCCUUUAUGUCACCAUUUUAAUUACUGAUUAGCCUUAAUUGUCAAAUUAAUUAUGCAGUUUUAUCAUUUAGGCCUACUGGACUAAUUUUGUGUUUUUAAUUUAAUUUCAGGAGAAUUAUAAACAAUUGAGUUUGAAUCUGGAAUUGGGCUUGGACUUGAAGAGAGCAGACAAUUUUAUUCUACCAAAUCUUAUCUUAUCCAGAUUUUAUCUAAUCUAGAUAUUAUUUCAUCUAGAUUUUAUCUUAUCUAGAUUUUAUUUCAUCUAAAUUUUAUUUUAUCAAAUCUUAUCUUAUCUUGUCCAUAUUUUAUUUUAUUAAUGAGCUUGGACUUAAAAUAGAUUUGUAAGCUUUGGGGGCUGAGAACCUAUAUAACAACACCAAGAUUUUAGUUUAGGAGUCUUUUCGUUUUUGGGAAAAAGAAUAAUUUUAGGUUUUGCAAUUUCAGUUUUUACUAUUCACGUAACAAUAAAAUUUUGUUUUCUGUUUCAAUCUGCAAUUUCGUUUUCUAUUGAUUAAUGGAAGGCUAAGUCUCCAGCGUUGUUUUCUCUUGAGGAUCAAGCACAACUCUCUUGGAGGUUUUAUUAUUACUAUUGAAUUCUGCUCAGUUUUUCCUCUUUACCAAUUACGUUGUAUUUGUUGCUAUUAAUUCAUGCAUGCUUAGUGCUUGAUUAAUUGUCUCUGUGCUUAAUUUACGUUCAUGCUUAAUGAUCAGUUUCGUUCAUGAUUAAUUGGUAUAUGUGUUGCUUAAUCAUAUAAUGACAACCUUAUGUUAAUUUUCGCUUAGUAAUUUAAUUUAAGGUUGGAUUAAGUGGUUGAACUCAUUAAGGAUAAAUUAUCUUAUCCUAGGAUAAGAGACUUGCUUGUGAAUCAAGGGGAAACAUAUUUUAAUUUUGAUAUUUUCUAAUUAAAAUUUGCUCGCUGUUUAAUUUACAAAAACAAACAACCCCCCACCCCCCCCCAAUUCGUUACUGUUUUAUUACUAUCUGUUAUGAACGUUCGGUUGACCAUUGCUCGUUGGGAGACGACCUAGGAUCACUUUCUAGAUACUGCAUUUUUAAUGUUUAUUUGAUUCGAGUAUGACCUCGAUCAAAUUUGGUGCCGUUACCGGGGAGCAGUGGGCCAAAGGUUCAUAAUAGUGUUUAGUUAUCUUAUUUUGUGUAGCGUUCUGUUUUGCAUUUUAGUUACAUUCCCUGUUUUUAGCGACUGAUUUAGCUUUGUGUUUUGCUGUGAAUAGUGUUGAACAGUGAUUAGCGACUGGUUUUGAAAUUUAAUUAGCGAUUUUUGUUUUGAUAGUUAGAGUUGUUAUUUUUGGCUGAUUUUUUGUGUGGUAGCUUCUUUUAAUCCAUAUUUUUUGUGAAAAAUAUCAAGAGCACUUAGUGUGGCAGUAUUUGAGAGAGACAAAAAUUUUGGAAACUUGUUUUUAGCAUAACUUAAAACGGUCAUAACUUUUGCUCCAGGUAUCAGAAUGACUAUUAUUAUAUAUGCAUUUGGGGUAGAAAAAAAUUUCCCAUACUGUGAAAACUCGCUUUAGCCGGUUAGGGUCUCACAAAUUCCAAAAAUCAGCCGUUUACUAAGUUUUUAUUUUUUUAUUUUUCAAGUAUUAUUGUCCUAUUUUUCUAAACUUUGCUUAGGUAGUUUUCAUAGUUAGACUUUGAAUUUUUGUUUGAAAUUUUUUGUGCUAUCUUUUCAUGAUUUUAGGGUGUUCCUCACAAAAUUUUAGCUUAUUUUGAUAUCAUCUUAGUAUAGCUGUAAUUUUACCCCCUUGUUAGGAGCUGUUGGGAAACACAUUAUUUGCUGCAUAUAGUGCAUGACUACGGGAAAUCCAGGUGAUUUACAACCCUUUGAUCUUGAAAGAGAUAGAACCUUUCAUAGAUUAGUUAGGCAUAGUGUGCAUCUUGGCCAUUCUGUUGAGGGUGAUUCUAAAUAUUCUAAUUUUGAGCAUUCCACUACUAAUUUUUAUACUGAGAACAUGGCUCAACCUCCACCUUGUGAGAGGACUCUAAGGGAGAUGGAUGCACCUGAUUUCACUUAUGAAAGCUUGUGCAUUCAAUAUCCUGAUGAGGGUGUUUCAUAUGUUCUGAAGACUGGACUAAUACAUUUACUGCCCAAGUUUCAUGGUCUUGCAGGUGAAGAUCCUCAUAAGCAUCUUAAGGAGUCCCAUAUUGUUUGUUCCACCAUGAAGCCCCCUGAUGUCCAAGAAGAUCAUAUCUUUCUAAAGGCUUUUCCUCAUUCUUUUGAGGGAGUGGCAAAAGAUUGGCUCUACUACCUUGCUCCCAGGUUCAUUUUCAGUUGGGAUGACCUUAAGAGGGUGUUCUUGGAGAAAUUCUUCCCUGCAUCUAGGACCACUGCCAUCAGAAAAGACAUUUCAGGCAUCAGGAAACUUAGUGGAGAGAGCUUGUAUGAGUACUGAGAAAGAUUCAAGAAAUUAUGUGCAAGCUGUCCUCACCACUAGAUUUCUGAGCAACUCCUUCUUCAAUAUUUCUAUGAGGGAUUUAGCAACAUGGAGAGGAGUAUGAUUGAUGCUACCAAUGGUGGAGCUCUUGGUGAUAUGACCCCUGCUAAAGCUAGGAAUUUGAUUGAGAAGAUGACUUCCAACUCCCAACAAUUCAGUGCAAGAAAUGAUGCUAUUGUUCUUAGACGAGUCUAUGAGGUGGCCACAGAUUCAUCUUCAUCUACUGAAAAUAAAAAGCUUGAAGGAAAACUAGAUGCCUUGGUCAACCUAGUAACUCAGCUUGCCAUGAAUCAGAAAUCUACACCUGUUGCAAGAGUUUGUGAUUUGUGUUCUUCUGCAGAUCACCAUACAGAUCUCUAUCCUUCUUUACAACAAUCUGAAGUCAAUGAGCAACCUAAAACUUAUGCUACAAACAUUUAUAAUAGACCUCCUCAGCAGCAAAACCAACAACAACAGAAUAAUUAUGACCUUUCAAGCAAUAGAUACAAUCCAGGUUGGAGGAAUCAUCCAAAUCUGAGAUGGACAAGUCCUCCACAACAACAAUAGUUUGUCCCUCCUUUCUAGAAUGUUGCUGGUCCAAGCAAGCCAUAUGUUCCUCCUUCAAUACAGCAACAACAGCAGUCACAACAAAGACAACAAGCAACUGAGGCUCCUCCUCAACCUUCCUUAGAAGAGUUAGUGAGACAAAUGACCAUCCAGAAUAUGCAAUUUCAGUAAGAGACAAGAGCCUCCAUUCAGAGUCUGACAAAUCAGAUAGGGCAGAUGGCUACUCAGAUGAACCAAGCUCAGUCCCAAAAUUCUGACAAAUUGCCUUCACAAACUGUGCAGAAUCCGAAAAAUGUGAGUGCCAUCACCUUGAGGUCUGGCAACCAAAUUCAAGUGCCUCCACCAGUAGCAGCACCUGCACCUGAACCUGUCAAGCUUCAUUCUACACCUAAAAAAGAGGAUGAGAUAGUUGCACAAAAGAGAAAGCUUCCUAACAAAAAUUUUCAUGCAGGUGGACCUUCUUCUAGUAAUUCCGACUUACAGCAGCCUUCUAUCCCUCUUCCAUUCCCACCUAGAGCAAUUCCAAACAAAAAGAUGGAAGAAGCGGAAAAGGAGAUCUUGGAGACCUUCAGAAAAGUAGAGGUGAACAUACCUCUGCUAGAUGCCAUCGAGCAGAUUCCAAGAUAUGCCAAGUUUCUAAAGGAGCUGUGCACCCACAAAAGGAAGCUCAAAGGAAAUGAAAGGAUUAGCAUGGGAAGAAAUGUGUCAGCAUUGAUAGGUAAAUCUGUUCCUCACAUUCCUGAGAAAUGUAAGGACCCAGGUACUUUCUGUAUACCUUGCAUUAUUGGGAACAAUAAAUUUAAGAAUGCCAUGCUAGAUCUAGGAGCAUCAGUUAGUGUCAUGCCUCUGUCCAUUUUCAAUUCUUUAUCUCUUGGACCUUUGCAAUCUACAAAUGUGGUGAUUCAUUUGGUAAAUAAAAGUAUUGCUUACCCCGCAGGUUUCAUAAAGGAUGUUCUGGUUCGGGUUGGUGAACUUAUUUUUCCUAUUAAUUUUUAUGUUCUUAAUCUGGAAGAGGGAUUUUCCCAUGAUUCAGUUCCAAUUAUUUUAGGCAUACCAUUUAUGAAAAUAGCCCGAACCAAGAUAGAUGUUUAUGCUGGCUCAUUGUCUAUGGAAUUUGGUGAUAUUGUUGUUCAUUUUAACAUUCUUGAUGCCAUGAAACAUCCAUCUGAGGAUCAUUCUGUUUUUCGUGCUGAGAUAAUUGAUCAUAUUGUUGAUGAUUAUAUGAUUGAUUUUGAUUUUGUUCUUCAUGGUAGAAAACAUCCAUUUUUAUCUGAUCUGCAUACUUGUCAUUCCUUAUGCAUUGAAUUUGAAUCUGAGUUUGAAUUUGAUCAUGUAUCUAAUUUUUAUGCUGAGAAUAAAUCUGAAUUUGAGUCUGGUCCUGAUUUUCUGGGUGUUGUACCUCUUGAUGUUGAUUUUUUAGAGGUAGAAUGCACUAACCAUGUUGCAGGAAAUACAUAUACUUCUUACUUGCUUUAUGAGGUACAGGCUGAGGAACCUUCUUCUUCUCCUACCCUGGUUCCUCCCAUUAUUCAGCCACCACCUACACCAGAGUUGAAACCCUUACCAGCAACUCUCAAAUAUGCUUACUUGGAGGACAAGGAAAAAUUUCCAGUGAUCAUCUCUGCCUCCCUUGAUGCUGAGCAAGAGGAGAAGUUGUUGCUAGUGCUCAAGAAGCACAAGAAGGUCAUUGGAUGGACUUUAGCAGACAUUCCUGGUAUUAGCCCAUCAACCCCGUCAUUCUAGAUAUGGUGAAAAAGGAAGUGACCAAGCUCUUACAAGCUAGAAUCAUCUACCCUAUUUCUGACAGCCAGUGGGUGUGUCCAGUCCAAGUGGUUCCUAAGAAGACAAGCCUCACAGUGAUUAAGAAUGAAAGGGAUGAGCUUAUCCCCACAAGAGUGCAGAACAACUGGCGAGUCUGCAUUGAUUAUAGGAGGCUAAACCAGGUAACCAGAAAAGAUCAUUUUCCCCUGCCAUUCAUUGAUCAAAUGCUUGAGCACUUGGCAAGUAAGUCUCAUUAUUGUUUUCUUGAUGGUUUUUCUGGUUAUUUACAAAUUCAUAUUGCUCUUGAGGAUCGAGAAAAGACCACAUUCACCUGUCCCUUUGGAACUUUUGCCUAUAGGAGGAUGCCCUUUGGCCUAUGCAACGCCCUUGGUACCUUCUAGCGGUGCAUGCUUAGCAUUUUCAGUAAUUUUUUAGAGAGUUGCAUAGAGGUGUUUAUGAAUGAUUUUACUGUUUAUGGAUCCUCUUUUGAUGCAUGUUUGGAUAGUCUGGAUAGAGUCCUUAAUAGAUGCAUUGAAAUCAACCUUGUGCUGAAUUUUGAAAAAUGUCACUUCAUGGUAGAACAAGGUAUAGUUUUAGGGCAUAUCAUUUCCAGUAAGGGCAUAGAGGUAGACCCUGCAAAAAUAAAUGUUAUUUCACAAUUUCCUUACCCCUCUUGCAUGCGAGAGGUUCGUUUUUUUCUUGGUCAUGCAAGGUUUUAUAGGGGCUUUAUCAAGGAUUUUAGCAAAGUGGCCCUUCCACUAUCCAAUCUGCUGCAAAAGGAAGUGAAGUUUGAUUUUGAUGACUGGUGCAAAAAGGCUUUUGAUUGCCUCAAGCGUGCGGUGACUACCACCCCUAUCAUUUAGGCACCUGACUGGACAACCCCAAUUGAGCUAAUGUGCGAUGCAUCCAAUUACGCAAACUUUGGAUGCUGCUCAAGCAAAUUACACUACCACAGAGAAUGAGCUAUUAGCGAUAAUUUUUGCUCUUGAAAAAUUUCGUUCAUAUUUGCUUGGUACUCGUGUUAUUAUUUAUACUAACCAUGCAACUCUAAAGUACCUGUUGAAGAAGGCUGAAUCAAAGCCUAGAUUGAUCAGGUGGAUGCUUUGGCUCCAAGAGUUUGAUUUGUGUCGGAUCGAGUGGCCUCAGAAUAAUUAAGAAGGGGGGUUAAAUUAAUUAUUCCUAAACCUUUACUAAUUAAAAAUUACUCUUCUAAGGAUUUUACUAAAUUGUUAAGAGAAUGAGGAGUAGAAGAGAAACUUAACAGAAAGUAAAAGCGAAAAUUAAAUGCACAGCAGAAAGUAAAAGAGUAGGGAAGAAGGAAAUAAACACACAAGAGUUUUUAUACUGGUUCGGCAACAACCCGUGCCUACAUCCAGUCCCCAAGUGACCUGCGGUCCUUGAGAUUUCUUUCAACCUUGUAAAAAUCCUUUUACAAGCAAAGAUCCACAAGGGAUGUACCCUCCCUUGUUCUCUUUGAACCUAGUGGAUGUACCCUCCAUUAGAACUGAUCCACAAGAGAUGUACCCUCUCUUGUUCUCAGUCAAACCCAAGUAGAUGUACCCUCUACUUGUACCACAAAGGAUGUACCCUCCAAUGUGUUGAGACAAAGAUCUCAGGCUGUUAAACCUUUGAUACUUUGUGAAUGGGGAUACAAAAGAAUUCUCAGGUGGUUAGUCCUUUGAACACUUUUGUAUUAGGGAAUUGGAAGAAUCAAAAGAAUUCUCAGACUGUGUCGUUUUGAAUUCUUUGACAAGGGAGAAGGGAGACACAAAAGAAUUCAGGCAGUUAGUUCUUUGUUCUUUUGGAAAAGGGAGAAGAGAGACACAAAAAGAAUUCAGGCGGUUAGUCCUUGGCGAAUUCUUUUUGGCAAAGGGAGAAGAGAAUGAAAAGAUGAAUAGCACAAGUUUUCAAGGUUUGGAAAAACCAGAAAACUUUAGAAAGCUUUUAGUACAAAGAAGAAGAAGAAGUUCAAAGAGAUUCAAGGCUUGCAAAGGAUUGAUUGAAUGAAUGUGAAAAGUGUAUUGAAAAGCAAAUCAAAGCCUUGCUUUUAUAGACUCUGCAUGUCUGGCCAAGAAGACCAUUUAGAAGAGUUAUAACUUUUAGAAAAACUUAAAACCAAUUUGAAAAAGUCAAAACCCUUUUGAAGAGUUACAUCUUUUGAUUUAUCAGAAACAGUCACUGGUAAUCGAUUACCAAAUAAGUGUAAUCGAUUACACAAAGCUUUUAUGUGAAAGGAUGUGACUCUUCACAUUUGAAUUUGAAUUUCAACGUUCAAAGGUACUGGUAAUCGAUUACCAAAACAUUGUAAUCGAUUACAACAUUUUGAAAUUAAUUGGAACGUUGUAAAUUCAAUUUGAAAACUUUUUCAAAACAAUUUUGCUACUGGUAAUCGAUUACAACAAUCUGGUAAUCGAUUACUAGAGAGUAAAAACUCUUUGGUAAAAGGUUUUGUCAAAAACUCAUGUGCUAUUCAAAGUUUUGAAAAACUUUUUAAUACUUAUCUUGAUUGAGUCUUCUCUUCAUUCUUGAAUCUUGAGUCUUGAAUCUUGAUCUUGAUUCUUGAGAUCUUGAACCUUGAAUCUUGAUUCUUGUCUCUAGACUUUCUUCUUGAGUCUUGAAUUCUUCUUGAUUCUUAUCUUGAACUCUUGAAUUGUUCUUGAUUGAUCUUUGAUUUACUUGAGUUGUUCUUUGAUUAAUCUUUGAGCUUUUUGUCAUCACCUUUGUCAUCAUCUUUUGUUAUCAUCAUUGUUAUCAUCAAAACACCUUUGAAUCACCUUUGAUUCACCAUGAAGCUUUGCUUCUACAAUUUGGAGAUUCGUGAUCGGAGUGGUGCACAGAACCUCGUGGCUGACCAUCUGAGUAGGAUUGAGCGUGCGUCUGAGGACUCACCCAUUCGGGAUGAUUUUCCGGAUGAUCAUUUGUACAUUCUCUAUAGUAUUUCUGAUUCCUUUCCCACUCCAUGGUUUGCUAAUAUUGUGAAUUAUUUGGUUGCUUAUGUUUUUCCUCCCUUAGCAUCUAAAGCUCAAAAUGGUAAAAUUAAGAGCGAUGCUAAGCAUUAUAUUUGGGAUGACCUCUAUUUGUGGAAGUUGUGCAGUGACUAGUUUAUUAGAAGAUGCAUUCCAGACCAUGAGAUUGACUCGGUCCUGCAAUUCUGUCAUUCUUUCGCACCAGAUGACCAUCUUGGCAUACAGAGGACAACUUGCAAGGUGCUUGACUGCGGUUUCUACUGGCCCACCAUCUUCAAGGAUGCGUGGAGAGUCUGUAGCACUUGUGAGUCAUGUUAGAGAGCAGGCGACUCACCUUCAUGGACACAACAAAUGCCUCAACAACCCAUGUUAUUUUGUGAGAUGUUUGAUGUCUGGGGUAUAGAUUUUAUGGGGCCUUUCCCUGUCUCUUUUGGUUUUGUUUAUAUUCUCCUUGCUAUUGAUUAUGUUUCAAAAUGGGUGGAAUCCAAACCCACCAGAACUAACGAUGCUAAGGUUGUUGUGGAUUUUUUUAGAUCUAAUCUGUUUUGCAGGUUUGGAGUCCCUAGAGCUAUCGUUAGUGAUCAAGGCACCCAUUUUUGUAACAGAUCCAUGUAUGCCUUGCUAAAAAAGUAUGGGGUCGUGCACAUAAUUUCCACACCUUACCACCCCCAAACUAAUGGGCAGGCUGAGAUUUCAAACAGAGAGAUAAAAAGGAUCUUAGAGAAGAUUGUGUAGCUAAACAGAAAGGAUUGGAGCACCAGGCUGGAUGAUGCUCUUUGGGCAUAUAGGACUGCCUACAUAGCACCCAUAGGAAUGUCGCCUUAUCAGGUUGUCUUUGGCAAGGCAUGCCAUCUUCCUGUAGAGAUAGAGCACAAAGCCUACUGGGCUGUAAAGACCUGCAACUUCUCUAUUGAUCAGGCUAGAGAGAAAAGGAAGUUGUAACUAAGUGAGCUAGAUGAAAUCCAUUUAAGCCUAUGAGAAUGAGUGAAUAGGCAAUUUAGUCCCUGAGAUUGUACCCAUUUUGCAUAUUAGUCCCUAACUUAAUAUUAAAUUCAAAAUAGUCCCUAUCUUUGCAAAAGUGUUGCAAAAUAGUCCUUCCGUUAAAUUUUAAAGUAACGUUGUUAGUGAGGUCAAUUUUAGUGCCACGUGGACUAUCCAAUGUGGCACUAAAGGAUGAUGUGGCAUGACACGUGGACGUGCCUCCUAAAAGAUUGCACGUCAUUUGAUGAUAACAAAACGAGUAAAUAGGCAAUUUAGUCCCUGACUUUGUACCCCUGUUGCAUAUUAGUCCCUAACUUAAUGAAAAAUUCAAGAUAAUCCCUAUCUUUUGCAUAAGUGUUGCAAAAUAGUACCUAACUUAAAAGAUGUCGGAAAUCUUGCUUAAAGUGUCCAUGCAUUGCAAAGGUUGUGCCUAGCACGAUUUCUGGCGGCGCAGAUUCCUCCUUGGAUUCCUUGUCAUCUUUUGAUUCCUCUGGUUUUUUCUCUUCUUCUUUCUUUUCUUCUUCAUUUGCUUUUUUCUCCUCCACUUUGUUUUCCUCUGGUUUUUUCUCUUCCUAUUCAAAACACACACACAAAAAAAAAAAAUCAGAACCCAGAAUGAUAUAUUGAUGGUAAUUGAAGAAAAAAAAGGAAAAGAGAAUGGUUAUGUAGACCUCGCACAUUGGUGUUGACGACUACUGAGAUAAGGUUGUUGCUGUGGAUUUUUGGUUCUUUUUAUUUGUGCAAGUGUGUGGGGGUUCUUUUUCGUAUAUAUGCCUCAAUUGGUUCAGAACCAUCAAAUUUGAAGAAUUCACUCAUUCUAUCAUCAUCAAAUGAUGUGACACUAAAAUUGACCUCACUAACAACAUUACUUUAAAAUUUAACGAAAAGACUAUUUUGCAAUACUUAUACAAAAGAUAGGGACUAUUUUGAAUUUUUAUUAAGUUAGGGACUAAUAUGCAAUAGGGGUACAAAGUCAGGGACUAAAUUGCCUAUUUACUCGUUUUGUUAUCAUCAAAUGACGUGGCAUCUUUUAAGAGGCACGUCCAUGUGUCAUGCCACGUCAUCCUUUAGUGCCACGUUGGAUAGUCCACGUGGCACUAAAAUUGACCUCAUUAACGGCGUUACUUUAAAAUUUAACGGAAGGACUAUUUUGCAACACUUUGGCAAAGAUAGGGACUAUUUUGAAUUUAAUAUUAAGUUAGGGACUAAUAUGCAAAAUGAGUACAAUCUCAGGGACUAAAUUGCCUAUUCACUCUGCCUUUUCGCGUCCAUAUAUAUAUAUAUAUAUAUAUAUAUAUAUAUAUAUAUAUAUAUAUAUAUAUAUAUAUAUGUUUGUAUUAAGUUAUUUUAAUUUAUAUGAAAGAGGUAAUAAAUGAUUUUGAAUUGAUAUGAAAUUUUUUUAGAAAAUAUUAAUCAGUUGAAAGUUAUAAAAUAAUAUAACAGUUGUCAAAAUUAUAUUAGUAUAAUUUGAUUCGUUUAUAUAUAUAUAUAUAUAGCGUCUACAAUGGAAGUGCUUCAAAUGCUUUUAUGGUGGACUUUUAAAUGGUCUUUAGAUUAAUAAUAGUCCAUUUUCUUAUUAUGGACUCUCAAACACCUAAUCCUUACUCCUUCCUAGCCGGUGCUUAUUCUCCAUGGUGCAUCACCCGCAGAUGCGAUUUUCGACAGCAGUGCCCCACUUUUUCUUUUUCUUGCUUCUUCUCACACCCCUCUCCUUUUCUACUCCUUAUUCUCAUUCCCUCUCUAACAACACCUCCAUUGGCCACGUCCUUUAUAGCACCAUCGCUACGUUUCCUCCUUCCUACGUAUUUUGACUGUGGGGCCUCCUCCCUCUAUCCAUUAAGACAUCACACAUCAGUGCACGAUGACCCAAAAAACACAAGGUCUCAACAUGGCAGUAUAACAAACAGUUGAUUAAAUCACAAAAAUAAGAAGAAGCAAACAAACCCAAGGAUUAAAUUACAAAAAGAACAAAAGAAAGCUAGAAGGAACUUUCGAUGUGUGGGAACAAACAUGGUUGGUGGGGCUUGAAUCUAUGUGUGCAUGGCUUGAGGAUUGAUGUGGAUGUACUGACAUGGACACUUGUCUCGAGAUGAGUAGAAGAAUCCAUUAAAAAAAAAUAAUCGAAAUAUGGUCAAAAAUUCGAGAAGUUGAUUAUGUAAUCAAAGGGAGUUAUUUCGAUUGGGAUUAAUAAUUUUGAUAAUUUCAUUUAGGCAUGUGAGAUUGGUAAGUGCGGGGAAGCAAGGUCUUUUUUUAUAAUUGAAGUACCAGUUCACACAAUUGCAAAGAAGUUAUACAAAGACAGUUACUAGUGUCAUAUUAAUGUAUUUAGGAAUAUCACCAUACACAUGUCCAAAUCAUUUAAUUCAAAUGUUAGUAUUAGAAAUCUAUAUAUAAAAUUGUUGUUUGCCAAUUUUCGAGGGGUUGAAACACUAUCACUUAAUUCCUCAAAUACCGACAACACCUACUUGUUAGAGAUAGGGAAGCAACAUGAACAACAUGGUGAACAACCUAACGGCUAAAGCUUUAAGUUCAAGGAAAAGCUUGUAGAAGGUUUGAAGAAGUUUUGGCUUUUACAUGCCCAACUCCCUUGAGUGGCAUUUGUAUUGGUUGUUAUCUUGGUUGUUCCAUCAUAGUACAUUUGAUAUUUGUAUUGCAUCAUGCAUCAUCAUGGUUUGUGUGAAAAAAGUUUAUAAGUUAGAAAAGUUUCUUUAGAGACAAAAAUUCUCUAUUUUAAUCGAUUACUUGUAGAAGCAAAUGACUUUGGUGUUUUGAUGAUGAUCAUGAUGAUUUGAUGCAAAUGAUGCAAAUGGGCUUUUCAAGUUUAAAUUCAAGACUAUGAUUCAAGAAUACAAGCCACAACAUCAAGAUGAUCACUAGUAUUUUAGGAAGGGAAUUCUUAAUUGAUAUAGCAAAAGGUUUGGCCAAGUAAUGCAUGUUAAAAAGUGUUUUUCAAGAGAUUUACUCUCUGGUAAUCGAUUACUAGAGGAUGUAAUCGAUUACUGGUGGCCAAAAAUGAUUUACAAUAGCUACUAAAUAUUUGAAUUCAAAUUUUAGACCGUGUAAUCGAUUACACAAUAUUGGUAAUUGAUUACUAGCAGUUAAUAAACGUUUUAAUUCAAAUUUUAAAAGCUGUAAGCGAUUACACAAAUCCUGUAAUCGAUUACCAGACAAGAUUUUCAGAAAAAUAUUUCUAAGAGUCACAACUUCUCAAAUGGUUUUUACAUGACCACCAAUGGUCUAUAUAUAUGUGACUUAGAACACGAAUUUGCUUAGAGUUUUUCAGAACAACAAGUGUUUAUUCUCUCAAAGAGCAAAAUCAUUUUAUCCUCUUAAGAAUUCCUUGGCCAAUCCAUUUGCAAUUAAUUAAGGAAUCAUUUGAGUGCUCAGAUUGUAAAAUAUAUCUCUUCCAAGAGAGAUUCAUUCUUCUCCUCUUUCUAAUUCUCUAAGGGAUUAAGAGACCGAGGGUCUCUUGUUGUAAAAGAAUUCUGAACACAAAGGAAGGAUUGUCCUUGUGUGUUCAGAACUUGUAAAAGGAUUUUACAAGAUAGUGGAACUCUCAAGCGGGUUGCUUGGGGACUGGACGUAGGCACAAGGGUGUGGCCGAACCAGUAUAAAUCUGAGUUUGCACUUUCUCUUCCCUUAAACUCUUUUAUUUAUUAUUGUUUUAUAUUUAUAUUCAGAUUGUUCUAUUUGAAUCAAUAUUUAAGAAGUUCAUUGUUAAGAGAAUUUGUAACUUGAAUAGAAAGUGAAAUAGAAUCUUAAUUGGGAAAAUAGUGUGUAAUAUCUUAAUUCAACCCCCCUUCUUAAGAUAUCUGAGGCCACUUGUCUAACAUUACUGAUAUCUCGUAAUUGAUUGCACUGUUGUUUGAGACAAUGACUAAUUUAUUUAGGAGUCUUUUCUUUAAUCGAUUACUUUUGUAGAUUAGCCGAUUACUUCUCUCUCACUUAAGUGUUCAGUGGUGAACAAGAACACUUUAAUCGAUUACUUAGAUAAUCUAAUCGAUUACCUUAUAGAAUUAAUUGAUUACAAGCGGUUAUAACUAUUUUCUUUAUAAAUAAUCAGCUUUUGUUCACAUCUAUACAUCAAGAGAUCAAUACAGGAUUCUCAAUACAUCUAAAAAAAAACAUCUUAGCCUUAGAAUGAGUAAUAUUUCGUGUUGUCAUUAGUGAAUAAGAGAAGAAAAGAAAAGAACUUAAUAGUAACUGAUAACUUCUUAAUCGUUUGGUUAUCAAGAUCUUUUCUUGGAAGUGAGUUGUGUCUUUUAAGUUGAAGAAGAUCACAUUCUCAAUCCAACAAGGUUUUUGUGAAAAUAUAGGUCAGGUUGUAUUUCUUUUACUCAGUUUUUCUUGUGUAUGGUUUUUACACGGUCUUUUUGGUUAUGCAUGAAUCGCUUAAAGCAUGCUAGAAUAGGGUUUUCUAGUUUGGGCUAAAAGUAGGGUUCUCUUAGGCUUAUAUUCAUAAGGGACCCUAGUGUUGGGUGCCUUAGUCUUUUUUUCCGGGGUGAGAAUUGUAGAUUGGUUAUGAUUGCUUGUAAGGAUUCUUGAUGCAUAUUGAAAAUCUAAUUCUGGUUGUGGAUAAGAUAAUUGGAUUAGCUUCUCUAAUAAUAGAGAGUGAACCAAUAUAAAAAGAUUGUGUCUUUCUUCUCUUGUUCUGAUCUUUUUCUCUCAUUCAAGUAUUAAUCAAGUUUUUCAUAAAGGUUCAAGUUUUAUAAUCAUGAAAGAAAGGAAGUUAAUGAAGGAUCAUGUUUAAGGAAGAUUGAUUAAGUAUUGAUUACGUUCGAUUCAUAUAUUUGUUUGUGAUACGAUCCAUACAAAAGUUUUUUUUGUAACUAUUUUUUUAAGUACAUUUCUGUUUGAAAACCAAUUCACCCGAGCUCUUGGUUUAUUGAGUUCCAUCAUCUUUUUUUACUAUCAUCGAAAAUUGGCUACAGGUUCGAUAGGUCAUCAUAUAUGUAUUCAAUUCUCAUUCUUCAUGAAUUCUUAUUUCUUUACUUUAUUGCACAUUUCUAAACCCUUUACUCUUUUCAAUCUUCAUUUAUCCUCAAAACUCUACUUUUCCAAUCCUUAUUUCUUAUUAUUAUCGAAAUUAUUUAAAAAAUAAUCAUUAAAUCGAUUUUUUUUAUAAAAUUUUCCUUAUUAUCUUAUAAACUCUUAUAUUAUUGUAAUUCAAAUGAAUAUAUUUAUCAAAAUUAUAACUAUGAUUUGUGAUCGAGGUCGUACCCGAAUCAAAUAAACAUUAAAAAUGCAGUAUCUAGGAAGUAAUCCUAGGUCGUCUCCCAACGAGCAAUGGUCAACCAAACGUUCAUAACAGAUUGUAAUAAAACAGUGACGAAUUGGGGGGGGGGGGUUGUUUGUUUUUGUAAAUUAAACAACAAGUAAAUUUGAAUUAGAAAAUAUCAGAAUUAAAACAUGUUGUUUCCCCUUGAUUCACAAGCAAGUCUCUUAUCCAAGGUUACGAGGAUUUAUCCUUUAUCAGUUCAACCACUUAAUCCAACCCUAAAUUAAAUUACUAAGCGAAAUUUGACAUAAGGCAUUCAUUAUGUGAUUAAGCAACACAUACACCAAUUAAUCAUGAAUGAAACUGAUCAUUGAGCAUAAACGUAAAUUAAACGUAGAGACAAUUAAUCAAGCACUAAGCAUGCAUGGAUUAAUAGCAACAAAUACAGAGUAAUUGGUGAAGAGGAAAAACUGAUCAGAAUUCAAUAGUAAUAAUAAAACCUCAAAGAGAGUUGUGCUUGAUCCUCAAGAGAAAACAACGCUGGAGACUUAGCCUUCCAUUAAUCAAUAGAAAACGAAAUUGUAGUAGAAAACGAAGAAAACUCCAAUUAUUCUCCAAAACGAAGAAAAACUAAAAACCAAAGAGAGAGAGAAACUAGAACCUUGGUGCUGUUAUAUAGUUCUCAGCCCCAAAGCUUACAAAUUUGUUUUAAGUUCAAGCGCAUAAAUAAAAUAAAAUCUAGAUAAGAUAACAUAAAACAAAAUCUAGAUGAAAUAAUAUCUAGAUGAAAUAAAAUCUAGAUAAGAUAAGAUAAGAUAAGAUCUAGAUGAAAUAAUAUCUAGAUGAGAUAAAAUCUAGAUAUGAUAAGAUAAAAUCUAGAUAAGAUUUUGUAGAAUAAAAUAGUAUGCUCUCUUCAAGUUCAAGCCCAAUUCUGGAUUCAAGCCCAAUUGCUUAUAAUUCUCCUGAAAUUAAAUUAAAAACACAAAAUUAAUCCAAUAGGCCCAAAUGAUAAAACUGCAUAAUUAAAUUGACAAUUAAGACUAAUCAGUAAUUAAAAUGGUGACAAAAAGGGUUAAGAAAUAUGAGAAAAUGAUGACACAUCAAAUCCCCUCACACUUAGCCUUUUGCAUUCCUGGGCAAAAAAAAAAAAAACAAAACAAGGGACAAAUCCAGAGACAUUAAAGAGAAACAAACAGACACAACAACAAUUACAUAUUUCUCAAUGAAUCUCAAGGAAUGAAAAGAAUGGGUAACAUCCAACACGUAAAGAGUUAAAGAAUCAAGGCCGUUAUGAAAAUCAUCUAAGCAUCUCAAACAUGGCAAGAUAAUCAAUCAGCUCAAGAAUGAAAAGUGAUAAAGCCUCACAUGAUAUGCAUUCUAUCUCUCAAGUGUCUAGGCUACUGUUUACUCUUAGAGCACCCAUGAAAGCAAACACCACAUAGACUUGGCAAGACUCUAAAAUUGACAACCACAUCACAAGCACAUGCACAUGAGGAUCAAAAGGUCUUUUAAGGUUGUAAUGGGGCCAAGGACAAGGUAGAUGAAAGUAUGGGAUGGUAGCUAAAACCCAAAGGAAUAGAGGAGCAAUGGGGAAUAAGUGGGAAGUAAGAAAAAGUAAUAAACCCCAAAACCAAAAUUACAAAUUAAGCUUUAAAAAGUAACCCAAAACAAAAUCAACCAAGUCCUCAAACCAAUUCAAGUCUCCAAACCAAGACCUCAUUUAUUCAACCUCAUUCUUUUUCUUUUUUUCUUUUUUUUUUGAUUUUUUUUGAACGUGAACAAUAGCAAUGGAAAGCAUUUGAAAAAUAAAGCAACAAUUAGGCAAUAUAUGUAUAUACAUCAAUGUCGCAACCUACCCUUUUGCGAGCGAGGCGAGGCUCACGGGUGCGUCUUCCAAAGGAGGAAAAUGCGCGGAGUCGCCAUCAACGUUUAUUGAAAGGAAAAAGUUAGAAAAACCAAAGGAAACCGGUCAUGAAGAAUAUUCCAGAUUCGGGAGUUGUAUUUACGUUUGAGGAAGGUAUUAGCACCUCUCACGUUUGUCCCAAAGGACAACAACCUUAAAUUAGAAUUGUGUGAAAUUAUAUAUCUAAACUUUUAUUUCUUUUUUAUUUUUGAGGUCGACAAAAGCAUGACUCUUGCUCCUACGUACCCUCCAUCGAAGAGGAAAUCAGACCUACAUAGUUUUUUCAAAAAGGGUGAAUCAAAUGAUUCUUUUUACUUGGAAGGUAGUCAUUUAAGGCAUUGGACCUUAAAAUGAUCCAUCUUUAUUUGGUGAGAAAAGCUGAGGCAUUGGACCUUAAAACAUUUUUUUAGUGAUUUUUUGAGGACAAAGCUUGAUUUUGUGAGUUGAUUUUAGCCUUAGUUUCACUUUAGUUAUUAGUCAAUUCAAUUAAGAAAGAAGAAUCCCAAAGAGAAACAUCCGUUUUAUUUUACUAAAAGAUAUUUUUUGAUUAUUAUAUUAUUAUUUUACCUCUUUUUUUAUUUCCAACGUGGUUACGGCAUGACCGAACGGUCGGAUUUCAUUUUAACAGAAAUUAACAGAUAUUACAAUUCAAAUGAUCGGUAGAAAUUUAUUUUAUUUUUUGAUUAGGCGAGAAAAUGACUUAAAUAAAUUACUAAAGCACAUCAAAAGGGGGUACGGAAAGUAAAUGAAAUGAAAAUAAAAGUACACGAAACAAGUGGGGACCACCAAGGGUACAUAGAAUGAAUUAAAAAGUUCGAUUUUGGGAACUUACCGGUUGAAGACUGAAGAACGACGAAGAACGAACGAAAGAUGGCGGAAAAUCUUCACGGAAUUACCCACAGAAAUGUUUCGGACACGUUACGGAAGCGCCUCGGCGUGGAUUUUCUUCACGGAAAUGAUUUUUUUUCACUAAUUUCAAGUGAUCCCAAGAUACCAGGAGGGCUGAACGUUUUUCUCCUUCACUCCUCCCCUUAUUUAUAGGAAAAUGAGGGAGGAGCUUGCCACCCAACUCGCCCAGGUGAGCUAGGUUGCUUCCUCCAGAAGCAACCGCCUUCUGGAGGAACAUCCUAGAAGGCCCAAGUGGGCCUGGUUGCUAUUUGAACCCCCCUAUUUACUUAAUACACCCCCUAUCUUUUUUUGCUGAUUCUUUUUCCUUAACGUUACAGAAAUUUACAAAUUCCGUAAUGAUACUUGUUUUUCCUUCCGUAAUGUUACGGAACCUUACGAAUCACGUAAUCAUCCCUUUUUUGGCUUUCGGAAUGUUACAGAACCUCACGGAUUGUUACAUAACCUCACGGAUUGCGUAACAAUGCUCCCUUUUGAUUUCUGGCAUGUUACGAAACUUCAAGGAUCGUGCAACAUUGCUCUCUUUUGACUUCCGACACGUUACGGAACUUCACGUAUUGUGCAACAAUGGGUGCCAAGUACCUCAAAGCGGUCAAGCAAAGGUUGCAUGCCAUCAACAAUGGUCCCCGGACGAAAUUAGGGUAUGACAGUUGCCCCUCUUUACUUACCUUUUAUCGGAGAUAGGAGGAAAGUAAAGAUAAAACACUGAUUUCGUUCGUCUUAGCCCUUUCCGUAAUUAAUCUAUGAUGACUCCCGAAGGCCAUUCUUUGCCCAUCAUGGGGAUUUAAUCAAUCUCAAUCACAAUAGUUCCAACCCAAAACGAUUUGAGAUAAGUGACUCCCGUCUCUCCUUCUUUCUCUGCACAACACAACACAAAACAAACAAAAAUAACAUAAUAUAUAUACGUAUACACAUGUUUGGUGAAGGAACCGAUUGGGAAAAUAACAAAAAACUGUAUUUUUCCCUUUACCGGAGGCUCCGUACUUGAUAACGGAGGAUGAAUGAACAGCGCUAGGCAAUCAAUUCAUGGGGCUCUGAAUAAGAUGGUGUAGGAUGCACGAACAGCGCUCGGCAAUCAAUUCGUGGGGCUCCGGACUCGAUGGUGGAGGAUGCAUGAAUGAGAAUCAAUUUAUGGGGCUCCGGAUAAGAUUUGAUGGUGGAGGACGCACAAACAUCGCUAGGCAAUCAAUUCGUGGGGCUCCGGACUCGAUGGUGGAGGAUCCAUGAAUGACAAUCAAUUCAUGGGGCUCCGGACUUGAUGGUGGAGGACGUACGAACAGCGCUAGGCAAUCAAUUCGUGGGGCUCCGGACUCGAUGGUGGAGGAUGCAUGAAUGACAAUCAAUUCAUGGGGCUUCGAAUAAGAUUUGAUGGUGGAGGACGCACGAACAGCGCUAGGCAAUCAAUUCGUGGGGCUCCGGACUCGAUGGUGGAGGAUGCGUGAAUGACAAUCAAUUCAUGGGGCUCCGGACUUGAUGGUGGAGGACGCACGAACAACGCUAGGCAAUCAAUUCGUGGGGCUCCGGACUCAAUGGUGGAGGAUGCAUGAAUGACAAUCAAUUCAUGGGGCUCCGGACUUGAUGGUGGAGGACGCACGAAUAGCGCUAGGCAAUCAAUUCGUGGGGCUCCGGACUCGAUGAUGGAGGAUGCAUGAAUGACAAUCAAUUCAUGGGGCUCCGGAUAAGAUUUGAUGGUGGAGGACGCACGAACAGUGCUAGGCAAUCAAUUCGUGGGGCUCCGGACUUGAUGGUGGAGGAUGCAUGAAUGACAAUCAAUUCAUGGGGCUUCAGACUUGAUGGUGGAGGACGCACGAACAGCGCUAGGCAAUCAAUUUGUGGUUCUCCGAACUCGAUUGUGGAGGAUGCAUGAAUGACAAUCAAUUCAUGGGGCUCCGGAUAAGAUUUGAUUUUAGGACCGAAUGGUCCACUGGGUUCUUUCACCUAAAAGGCGAACAUGCUUUAGCAAGGAAAAAUAAAUCAUUCACGAGAGCACCAUAUUUUAGAGAAACAAUAUGCUUAUGCCAAAAGUAAUUUUCCUUGUAACCGAAAAUGAAGGGUAGGAUGUCGACAUUUAGAUUUUAAAUGAACAUUCAGGGGAAAUGUUGGGUCAAACUGAAACUGGGAAUAAAAUCACUCAUGGUGUAUAAAAACUCACACAAGUAAGUGUUUUACCCUAAUUUCAAACCGUAGUUGUACCAUGACUUUAUUUUGCACAUGAUUUCCUAUCAAACCAAAAGAUUACAUGCGCGAUCACGGAUCAAUAGGAUUUUCUCGAGGGUAGUGUUUUUGGAGAGGAAGCUGGGUGUUUCGGUCUUUUCCUCUUGGUUUAUGCGGGGCGGGACAUCGCCAGUCGGGAGCGACCUUUAAUGGCAAUCCCAAAGGAAGAACCUCUUUAAAAAUGGGUUUUCCCUUUGCCGGCAGUUAUUUACCUCGCCGAAAAUUUAUUUGGUCCGAAGAUCUUCUGUUCUCUUUCUUGCUUUCCUUUAUUGAUCAGGAAUUAUUCUGUUUUCCUCCGAUCUUUUCCUUUUUACUUUCUUCCGAUCUUUGAUUGGGAAUCCUUCUUUUCCUUUUCUUUUCUUUCUUUUCAUUUCUUCCUUUUCUUUCUUUUCAUUUUCUUCCAAUCUUUGAUUGGGAAUUCGGAUUUUACCAUUCUUUAUUCGCUCUCCCUUGAUGAGAUUCUGCUGUCCUUUUCUUUGGGGGAAAGGAUGAGGAUUCUCUUCACAGGCCAAGGUUCAAAGUAGCUUAAGGUUAUGUCUCAACAUGGUCUUUUCAUCGUGCGUGCCCGACUUUGAUAUUUGGGGCAAAACAGAUUCAUGUGUCAGGGUGUCGGUUUCGGGUUAAACUUCCUUAUCAUUUCCACGAGGCAUGCGUAACAAUGAUGAUUUGGAAAUAACGUGCAAAAUUAGUCGUGCAUACAACUAGGUGGGUACUCAAGCAUCCAGUUUAUGGCAUUGUGAUACUAAGGCUUGGGAUUUACACAAGUAGACCCAACGUUUCCAAAUUAUGUUCUUUCAUUGGUUCAACAAAUCCAUCCAUUCUUAUCUUGGUUAUUUUGGAAAAUAAACUCUUAGCGUCAGUUUCUUGUUUCCAAAAGAUAUGUUUGCGCUCUAUGAAUGAUUUGUGCUUCCUAUGACCAUAACAUGCCGACCUUCGAGGUCUUUCUUUCUCUUUUCUUUUUGUUUCAUUUUUCUUAUGCAUGUUUGCAGAAACUAUACAUCCAUCGCUAUCUAUGAGAAAAGCUUUUUCUCUGUACACCUACAUUCCUAUACACGAAAAAACUUUUUCUGUAUACACACGCAUUAAAAAAAAACUCUUUCUCUUUAUAUCAACAUGGUCUAUAUAAAAACCUCUAUUCCUUUUCAAAGAUUUCUUUUUCCUUUUUCAACAUACACUCGUUGUGUAUACAAAAAAUUUUCUUUAUAUACACUCAUUGCUCACACACAAGAAUUUCUUUUCACACAUUAUUUAUACACACAAAAUCUUUUCAUACACUUUUUAUAUACAAAAACUCUUUUCUUUUCUUUAUAUACAAAUAUGACAUUUGUUCACAACGCCUCUUUCUUUUUUUAUUCUUGGUGUUAUCAUGAUGUUUGUUCAUUUUAUUUUAGGACGACGUUCCUAAAUGAAAACUCUACACGGUUCCGGAAUUUCAACAAACAUUAUCGACAAUAACGAAGUAAGCACUAACGCAAUAGUUCAACAAAAUGUAUGCACAAAACAAAUGACAAUCAAAACAAAAAAAAACAAACGUUAGUCCCUCAAGUCAUAGAAAUAAAACAACAUGUAAAUAAUAAAGGAUGAAACAUAAAAAAGAAUAUGAAUCUGGAGAUCCCAUGGUCAUGUGGCUCCACUCCCUCCCAAGAAACCGAGCAAAUCCGUCAUCUCCUCAUCCAUGCGGGCCUCUUCUACAUCGCUAGGAGCCUCUGCAGGCGCCUCCCCUGCCUGGGCCUCGGGCCAGUCUCCGGGCCAUGCGACCUCAGCCCUAAACUGAUCUGGAGUAGGGCAUGCAAAAGGAACGAAACCCUGGCCCUGCUGACUGAGGCUGAGCUGGUAGAGACACUCAUGUAUCUGCACCUUCCCCCGGUGGUUAGCUGCCUGCUGGUGAACCAAGUGUUGUAGAUACCGCUCCAUGCCUAAUGACCCAACAGGAUCAGCCUGAUGAGGUGGUGGUGGUGCGUCUGUGGCCUGUGGUGCAUCGCCCUGCGCUUGCCUAGGCGUGCAAUACUUCUCAAUGAAGGCCCGGGUGAUCGGCGAUUGGAUCACCUUACUAGGUGUGACGGGAACCCCGAAUGACUGGCAGAGGCCCGUGAUCAAUGCUGGAAACCCCAGAGCCCUGUUAGACUUAUCCGGGUCUAGAGGGUGCCUGGUGGGUGGCAUACCUACAAACAAAUAGAUGUCGUCAGCAAUCAACUGAGCCACAUGGACGCUCAUCCGUGUCAGGAUGGCAUACACCAGCUGACACUUUGGCAAAGGAAGGUCAGAGUUAUGAUCACUAGGCAAGAUAUUGCUGAGCAACAAUGUCAUCCACAUUUGGGUCAAGGUGGUCAUGCUGGUGCGCAUGAUCCGCACCUGCCUCCCUGCAGCGGUCCGAGCGAAGUCCUGACCCGGUAUGCAUAAUAGUUGGGCAAUGGCCUCUUCGUCGAACCCAUCGGCCAUGUUCCUCCUCUGACUAAACUCGCACUCUUGGCCUUCCUCUAACACCAGCGGGUCACCCAGGAACUGGCCGAGGGCAUCUGCGUCAAAAGGAAUCCACUGACCCCUCACCCAUGACCGCAUGUCCUGCACACCCUCCUCUGUGGGCCAAGCAUUAGCAUAAAACUCCAGGACUAUAUAUGGGUCAAACUUAGCCAUGGGAGUGACUAGCGACGUCCAAUGUCGGCGAGCUAUCUCUUCUUGAAAAUCAGUGUACUCAUCGUGCCUGAGCUGGACGCGUCUCUCUCGGUGGAACGACCAUCCUUUGAUGACCUCAAAGCACUGCUGGUGCUCGGUGCUCCUGAAAUGGUGGCUAUCAAACUCGGGGGCGGCACUGGUCCCUUCAUCCGCGGUGUCCCUCCUAGAUCUCUUUGCGGAAAGCUUUUUCGGAGCCAUUUCCUGCGAGGACAAACAUUUGGAAAGUUAGUUUACAAGAAAAAUACCAAUCAUUACGAACAAGAGCCAAACAACACUUAUAUGGCGCGAGUGUCAACAUGCACUUCACAAAAUAAUCACAUUGGGGCAUGUGCUAUUUUAUGACACAUAUCUAUAUACAUGCAUUUACACACGCACACAUAAAAUUUUUUUGGUGAAAGGCAAUUUUAUGACACACAUCCAUGUAUGUUUUUGACAAGCCUUUUCAUGCUACAUCCCACAUAUAUGCACAUUUUUUGAAAGGCUCCUUAUGCUACCUACUCACAAAUAUACGUAUUUUGAAAGGAAUUUUUACGCUACCUAUUUACACACUUUACAAGGCAUUUUCAUGCUAUAUAUUCACACACUUUGCAAGGCAUUUGCAUGCUACAUAUUCACACACUUUGCAAGGCAUUUUCACGCUAUAUAUUCACAUAUAUACAUACUAUUGAAGGGUUUUUCUUUUCAUGCUGUAUAUUCACAUAUGUACAUACUAUUCAAAGGUAUUUUUCAUGCUAUCUAGGCACAAGGUAUUCCUCAUAAGGCAGCAAGUUUAAAUUCUAGUUAAAAACUUCUCAAACAUGUUCUAACAUUCAUGUAUUUUUUUACAUUCAAAACCAAAAACUUAGAUUCCUAGGCGUAAGUCAUGCUUUUGGCACUUUAGUCUAGCUUCUACAAACUGCCCACACACUCACAAUGGCAGCCAUAUGUCCACAAUUUGUUUCACAAGCUAAGUUUCACAAAAUCAUGCGCAAAUGCCAUUAAGGCAUUUCACCGAACACUUGGUGGGCACAUGUUUAAGCAUGAAAAUCAAGGGAAUGGGGGCAAUGUGGCAUGCCCCAUUAAUUCAGAACACAACCUAAGCCUAAGGCCAUCCCCUACAACCCCUCAAUUCAACAAAAACAAACAACAAUUCAAGGAUAAAUCCCUCACGUUUUUGAGCAAAUACAUGCAACUUAGAGCACCAAAAUACAUCAAUGGAAAGCUAGAGAGCCCAAGAAUGAGGUACUUACUUGUUGGAGAUGAAUAAUAGAGCAAAAUGGAAUCCAAAACGUGAAAAAUGGUGACCUAAGGGCUGCAAAAUCCGUGAAUCCCGUGAGCUCUUGCUUUUUUGAAUGAGGGGGGAGAGUUUUUGGUGCAGAAACCUUCCCCCUCCCCCCUUUUAACCCAUUUCGUGCAGGGGUUGCUCGCCCAGGCAUCCAAUAAGUAAGGCUUCUAUGGGUCGGCGUUCGCUUACUCGAACCCCCUCAGGGUAUAUUAGGCAUCCAAUAUUUACUUUAAAGACAUAAUAGUAAUAAUUACGGGAAUUUAAAGGAUACUGGGCUGCCUUGCAGCGGUGCUUUCUGUUUGUCCAGAGUUGGGCAAGGGACGACGAUCCAUCGGUUAAGACCCUAGCCUCUACUUGUGUCCGUCCCUAAGUGCCUGAAAGUAGGAAACGACAUUGCGCGGUGAACUGUGGCCGCGUUACCAUUUUACCUUGAUUGGUUUCUGCCUUUAGCUUUGUCUCGACAUCUGACCAUUGCCUAAGACGAUUCUGCCCCUGUUAUCACAAAAUAUGCAUGCGUAUACGUAUGCAUGAGUGUUUUCAAAUGCAAUAAUCUUCUUAGUGAAAGCUAGUUAGGUUCAGUUUUAAUUAAGCGCUUGGGGCACCCCAUGAACUGAGCGAAAGGGCUCAGGUUAUCACAAACUGCACAUGGUUUAAAACCAAAGUGAGGACUGAAGCCUCAAACCCAUGUUCUAUUCUUUUAAAGAACUGUGGCGAGAAAAUUACAGCGGACAUGAAUCCAUGGAGGAAACCAAGAAGAACACACAAAAAAAACAAGAACAUGCAGCGAUUUCCUCAAUUGCCCCAGAUCUUAAGCGUAAUAUCGCUUGACAACAUCGGAGUUCACGGGCGAGGGUAGCUCCUCGCAAUCUAUGUUGGUGAGCACCAGAGCCCCUCUAGAAAAAUCCUUUUUCACAACGAAAGGCCCUUCAUAGUUCGGGGCCCACUUCCCUCGAUUAUCUUUAAUAGCGUGGGAUAUCUUUUUCAGCAUAAGGUCCCCCUCAUUGAACCUUCUUGUCGAAUGCGUUCUUUAUCCUUUGUUGAUACAGGCGCCCAUGGCUCAUGGCCAUCAAACGCUUACCUUCAAUAAGGUUGAGUUGGUCAUAGCGUGUUUGAGCCCACUCUGAUUCUUCUAGGCCCGAUUCCGCUAGUAUCUUCUGGGAAGGGACCUCUACCUUAAAUGGGAGUACCGCUUCCAUCCCAUAAACCAAGGAGUACGGCGUUGCCCCAGCAGAAGUUCGUACCGAGGUUCGAUAUCCAUGCAGGGAAAAAGGCAACAUCUCAUGCCAAUCUUUGUAUGACACCGUCAUCUUCUAAAUAAUCUUCUUAAUAUUUUUAUUUGCAGCCUCCACAGCCCCAUUCAUCUUCGGCCGAUAGGGGGUGGAGUUAUGAUGUUGGAUCUUGAAAUCCUCGCACAUUUCCUGCAUCAUUUUGUUAUUCAGAUUGGUGCCAUUGUCAAUAAUGAUUUUCCUAGGGAGUUCGUAUCGACAAAUCAGUUCCCUCUUUAUGAAUCUGACCACCACACUCCUCGUGACAUUGGUAUAGGAAGCCACUUCGACCCAUUUGGUGAAAUAAUCUAUCGCCACGAGAAUGAAGUGAUGAUCGUUCAAAGCCUUGGGUUCAAUGGCCCCUAUGACAUCUAUCCCCCACAUGGAAAAAGGCCAAGGGGCGGACAUGACAUUCAGAGGAUGUGGCGGAACAUUGACAUUGUCUGCGUACGCUUGACACUUAUGGCAUUUCCUUACAUGGGUGCAGCAAUCGCUUUCCAUAGUGAGCCAGUAAUAACCAGCUCUAAGGAUCUUCCUUGCCAUAGCAUGCCCAUUGGCAUGUGUCCCAAAUGAACCCCCGUGGACUUCCUCAAUCAUGUAGUUCGCCUCUUUGGCAUCUAUGCAUCGAAGGAGGGUCAUGUCGUGGUUUCGUUUGUACAGGAUGGUACCACUCACAAAGAAACCAGUAGCCAAUCUCCUUAACGUUCUUUUGUCAUUGUCUGAAAUCCCUGGUGGAUAUUCUUUGUUCUCGACAUACUGUUUGAUGUCAAAAUACCACGGUUUCCCAUCUCGCUCUUCCUCUAUCGCACAACAAUGUGUCAGCUUGCCCCAAGAUCUGAAUUCAAUGUACGGCAAAUCCCCGUUUGGGGAAAUUUGAAACAUGGAUGCCUAGGUGGCCAAUGAAAUGACCAUUUGCUUCUCUUCCCGAGGUAUGUUGUGGAAAGAAAUGUCGUCAAAGAAUUCGGUUAACUUCAAGAUAUAAGUUUGAUAGAGUAUCAAUUUUUUAUCCCUAGUUUCCCAUUCUCCUCUCAACUAAUGUAUUACCAAAGCCGAGUCUCCAUACACUUUUAGUAGUUUUACGUCAAAAUCAAUGGCAGCCUGAAUCCCAAGGGCGCACGCUUCAUAUUCGGCCAUAUUGUUGGUACAAUUGAAACCUAGCCUGGCCGUGAAAGGAAUACAUUGAUCAUCUGGGGAUACAAGGACUGCCCCUACUCCAUGGCCCAAAGCAUUAGAUGCCCCAUCAAAACAAACAAUCCUUUUGUCUAUAUCCUCGUGCGUCUGCUUCCCUUCGAAUAGGGCCAUGAUGUCUUCAUCCAGGAACUCAGGGUGCAUCGACCGAUAAUCUUGGAGGGGUUGUUGGGCCAAAUAAUUUGCCAAGGCACUUCCCUUUAUCACCUUUUGGGUGACAUACACAAUAUCGAAUUCAGAUAGUAGUACCUGCCACCUAGCGAUUCGUCCCGUGAGGGCCGGUUUCUCAAAGAUGUAUUUCACGGGAUCCAUUUUGAAAAUAAGCCAAGUGGUAUGACUGAGCAUGUACUGCCUAAGACGAUGUGACGCCCAUACCAAGGCGCAACACGUCCUUUCCAACAUCGAGUAAUUCAUCUCACAGGCGGUAAACUUCUUGCUUAAAUAGUAAAUGGCUUAUUCCUUCUUCCCAGAGUCAUCGUGCUGACCCAGUACGCACCCCAUAGACUCGUCUAAUACAGUCAUGUACAGGAAAAGAGGUCUUCCUAUUAUAGGUGGCAUGAGCACCGGGGGAUUUGCGAGGCUCUGUUUUAUUUUUUUGAAGGCCUAUUGGCAGUCUCUAUUCCACAGGACCGCUUGGUUUUUACGCAAUAGUUUAAAGAUGGGUUCGCAGGUAGGGGUGAGUUGCGAGAUGAAUCUCGCGAUGUAAUUCAACCUGCCCAGGAAACCUCGAACCUGCUUCUCCAUGCGUGGCUCUGGCAUUUCAAGAAUGGCCUUCACUUUCUCAGGAUCUAUCUCUAUCUCUUUCUGGCUCACGAUGAAACCCAACAACUUGCCCGACUUUACCCCGAAGGUGCACUUGGCGGGGUUUAGUUUCAGUUGGUAUUUCCGCAGCCUUCCAAACAGCUUACGCAGAUUGAUGAGGUGUUCGUCCUCUGUCCGAGAUUCGGCAAUCAUGUCAUCUACAUAGACUUCUAUUUCUUUAUGCAUCAUGUCGUGGAAUAAAGCUACCAUGGCGCGUUGAUAGGUUGCCCCAACAUUUUUUAGCCCGAAGGCCAUCACUUUAUAGCAAAACGUCCCCCAUAGGGUGACGAAAGUAGUCUUCUCCACAUCUUCGGGUGCCAUUUUUAUCUGGUUAUACCCUGAGAAACCAUCCAUAAAUGAGAAAAGGGCGAACUUAGCUGUAUUAUCUACCAGUAUAUCAAUGUGUGGUAAGGGAAAAUUGUCUUUAGGACUAGCACAGUUUAAAUCCCGAUAGUCUACACACAUUCGCACUUUGCCAUCCUUUUUUGGGACCGGGACAAUGUUGGCUACCUACUCCGAGUAUCGAGCCACAACCAAGAAACCCGCAUCGAACUGUUUUCUCACUUCUUCUUUAAUUUUCAAAGACAUUUCGGGUCUCAUUCUUCGCAAUUUUUGCUUAACCGGGGAAGACCCAGGAUUUAAUGGCAACUUAUGCUGCACAAUGUCGAGGUCCAGACCUGGCAUGUCUUGGUACGACCAUGCAAAGAUGUCUUGAUAUUCUUCAAGAAGGGUUAUCAAACCUUGGUGUAUAGGUGCGGUCAUACCGGUUCCUACUUUCACUUCUUUCUUUCCCUCUCCAGUCUCUAAGUUUAUCAGUUCGGUUUCCUCUUGGUGAGGCUUCAUUUCGCGAUCUUCCUGAGCGAUCAAUCUCUCCAACUCUGGUGAAAGGACGUCCUCUUCCUCUUCUUCGUUUAUCGUUUGACUUACAUCUCGGUCAAAAUCGAUUAUCAAACCCUCGUUGUUAGGAUCCUCAAAGGAUCAAUCCUCACAUCUAUACCAUUCAAGACAAAAAACAAAAACAUGCAAAAUGAUAUGAGAAAAGGUGGAAUCGCAAGAACAGAUGAAACAAGAUCUCUUUGUUAUUUAAUAAGGUAGGUUUCACAAAACAAAAGAGAAAGGAAUCUAUAGCCUCCAAUUACAUUGAAUCAGCGGUAUAGACUUCCGACUGGCUCAUCACGUGCCAGUUCCCCACUUGGAAAUAGGGAUGGCACGGUCGAACGAAACUCGGCGGAUCUUGUGGAGCCUCUUCUCCUAUUGCCGCCACCUCUUCCUCGAACAUUAUCCCGGCACUUGUGAAACACUGGCUAACAUGACCGGGCCAUGCCCUAUCUGCCCAGAGUCUUGAUGGUGCAUUCCUUCUUCCAGGUUUCCCGGGUUCAUACCCUAACCCAUAUUUGUACGGGUUACCCCUUAUGCCAACUACAUCGGCAUUCCCGUGGCUGUCCUUGCCCAUACCCAUUCCAGGCUCAUAACCGUGCCUGAGCAUUACCCACACCACCAUCAGGGCCGCAUUAGAAAGACAAGGUAGCAAUGGACCUGUUUCCACAGAGGCACAAAUUACCACCUCGAAGGAUUGGAAAGCUAUUUCCAAUGAUUCCUCCGUUGCCUCUACAUAUGGUGUUGAGGAGGGGCAGCUUACCAACAUAUCCUCUUCGCCCGACACUAUCAUCAAGAGUCCACCAACUGUGAAUUUCAAUUUCUGGUGAAGCGUCGAAGGGACCACUCCUAGCGCGUGAAUCCAUGGCCUCCCCAAAAGGAAGCUAUAGGCGGGACUUAUGUCCAUCACUUGGAAAACCACAUUGCAAGUGUGGGGGCCUAUCUGAAUGGGGAUGUCAAUUUCCCCCAUCACCUCCCGCCGACUACCGUGAGUACCUUAGUGACGACAUGGUCGAUGCAUCUGACAGACACAUUAAAAGGAAGUUUCUCCAAGGUGGUCUUUGGCAUCACAUUUAAACUUGAACCAUUGUCGAUGAGUACCUUAGUUAUGUGAUUAACAAUUCCUUCAAAACCCUCGACUGAGAUGUCGUGUGCUACGUGGGCUUUGUUGAGGACCUUUACCAAUAGUGCACGAUGAGGCUCAGAGUUUAUGAGCAGUUCGAGCAAAGAGAUCCUUGCUAGAGUUUUAUUCAAUUGCUCAACUACUUUAAACUCACUUUGUUGGAUGAGACGAAGGAACUCAUGAGCCUCUUAAAAGGUCACCGCCUUUCCUUGAAGACCUUCUUUCUUUUCAACUCCCUUUACUAUCGGGGGAUUCACUUCUUUUGAGGGGGUGGCCGCGCCUGCGGACUCUUGGAUCAUGGGUGCUUUCACCUUGGAGGGCAAUUCAAUCGAGUGAGGGGGUGCGAACACCCGGCCACUACGGGUUACGCCACUAAGGCCGGUAAUGUUGGUCACUUUGGCUGACAAGGAGUCAACCUCGGUUGCAGCCCCUUCUCCAAAAGCGGGAGGGGUAUAUUUCCAUGGGACGACCUUAUUGCUUUGAUAGGAAAACGACGUCAGCUUGGGCACUGUCGUGGGGUACUCGGACCUGGAGCCGGUCACAUUCAUAGUGAGACAUAUUACUAGGGCUUUGGGGGUUGGGGGAGCCUUCCUUUCUGCUGACUGCAUGCAAAUCUGCGGUUCUUCCCUAUCUCCCUCAGACACUUCGAGCUGGCCCCAGUCCAUGAGCCAUUGAANNNNNNNNNNNNNNNNNNNNNNNNNNNNNNNNNNNNNNNNNNNNNNNNNNNNNNNNNNNNNNNNNNNNNNNNNNNNNNNNNNNNNNNNNNNNNNNNNNNNNNNNNNNNNNNNNNNNNNNNNNNNNNNNNNNNNNNNNNNNNNNNNNNNNNNNNNNNNNNNNNNNNNNNNNNNNNNNNNNNNNNNNNNNNNNNNNNNNNNNNNNNNNNNNNNNNNNNNNNNNNNNNNNNNNNNNNNNNNNNNNNNNNNNNNNNNNNNNNNNNNNNNGGCAUUUAUUAGGUGUGUGCACCUUAUACUUGAAUGGCAGGCAAGAAUCAAUGUUGUGUCCGGGGGCUCCACUAUGGUAUGCGCACGUGGCAUUUGAGUUGUACCACUUGGGGUAUGGUGACUGGAAGACCUUCCCGGGUAUGGUCACCACCAAAUGGUUUUCCAAUAAUGAGGGCCAUAACUCGGAAUACGCCAUGGGAAUAGGAGAGAACUUGUCUCUCGAGGGGCAUCGUGUAUUGUUAUAGCUCGCGCCAGGAGUCAUAUUAUUGGCUGGCCGAGGUGUGGCUGGAGCCGCGUGUUGUGCAGGCGUUUUUCUGUUGUGGCAGGCCCUUCUACUUGAGUUGGGAGGGAACUUCCGGCUCGGAUCGAAAAGUUCGGGUGGUUGUGUUGGUAUGAGUUUUGAGCAUUUUGGGGCAUUUUCGUUCACGUUGGGGCGGUGGUGACCGCGUGGGUAUCCCCUUCUUUUUUUCCGUGUGCCCACCACUAGGGCUCUUCUAUUGCUAUUGGGGCCAGCAUUGGAAGCAUAUUCAAACUUGCCUUUCCUCAGUUCGGACUCGAUUCUUUCUCCGGCGAAGAUGAGGUCUGCAAAGGUGGCCGGCAUAUAUCCUAUUAGCCUCUCGUAGUAGAACGUAGGCAGCGUAUCUACCAUGAUCAUGAUCAUUUCCCUCUCAGUGAUGGGUGGGAUGACUUGGGCUGCUAGGUCCCUCCCGCUUGGAGCAUAUUCCUUAAUGGAAUCAUGUUCCCGUUUGCUCAUGCUCUGAAGUUGGUUUCCGAUCGUGAGUCAUAUCCGUGUUGUAUUAGUACUGCCUAAUGAAAGUAGUUGCCAAGUCUUUCCAUGACUGGACCUGAGAGGCUUCCAGAUUUGUGUACCACGCCACUGCUGCUCCGGCUAAGUUGUCUUGAAAGAAGUGCAUUAACAGUUUUUCGUCCGUGGAAUAUGCCCCCAUCCUUCGGCAAUACAUCCGAAGAUGACUAUUUGGACACGUCGUCCCUUUAUAUUUAUCGAAGUCUGGUACCUUGAACUUGGGAGGAAUAAUGAUGUUAAGUACCAGACACAGAUUGGCUAAAUCCGAGAAAGGAUAGUUGCCGAGGCCUUCCACCGCUAUCAAUCUCUCUUCAAGCAGAUUGAUCUUUCCCUUGUCUUUUGAAAUGGGAAGGAGUUCCUUAAUGGGUACGGAUUGAGAUGGGGCAUGGCGGAUCAUGUUUGGUUGGGGCAACUCAUGGGGGGCCAGUUCCUUGAGGGGAAGAAGAGGGCCUAGUUGGGCAUCUCCUUCAUCAUCUUCCUGUAGAGGAUAGUCGGCAUGAGGAGGGAGUUGCCCCUCGAAGGUAGGGGCUUGGCUCAAAUCGUCUGGAGCGGUACGGGGAGUGAAGUCUGGAGGCAAACCAUAAGGGUAGGCUUGAGGACUAUACCUCCGAUUAAAACCCAUCACGCUUCGGUCCCGGCCCAAGUUCAUCGUGGGCUGUAGCACCGGUUCUGCUUCCCUAGCUGUAUUGGAAGCGGCUGCCGUAGCAUUGUCUUCUAUUGAUUUUCGAAUUUUUAGCAUGGCUUCCGUGAUAGAAGCCAUCUGAUCUUUUAAGGCCGACAUGUCGGCCUUCAUCUGUUCUUGCACUCCCUCUUCGUUAUCCAUCUUACUUUUUGAUCGGGUGUUAUAGGGGUGCCUUUGCGCUUUUUUAGUUAUGGUGAGUUCCCUAAAGAAACAAACAGUGGUGAGCAUGCCACAAGAUCAUGAAUAUGCUAAUGAAUGAUCAGAGCACUUAGAUCCACCUCAAGGCCCUUUUUUAGACAACGUGAUGAGUUUCAGAACUUCUCUUUUUCUAAAAAAGGAACAAAAGCUUUUAUCUAGCCAAGAUUUUACAAAAGUGUUACAACAGAACCUAACGGUUUCUAAUUAUAUGGGCCAUCAAAUCUAUCAUGUGUUGACAGUAAUUGAUUAGCCCGUGAAUUUCCUAUGGGGCUGAACACACUUCGGCCAUGGCCCUUGCUUUGGCUAGUAGUCGCGGGAGGUCUUGACUUCCAUUUAAGGUCAAGGCGAACCUAUCCAUCCACAUGGUCGCUUCUUGAUGCAAUGCAUCAAUCACCCUCCGUCUUGCUUCCUUCUCGACGUAUGCUUGUGCGAAGUCCUCUACUAGCUUUUGUUCAUGGGUCAAAGACUGGUUUAACUCUUCUUUGUACUGCCCUAUUAUAGCUAGCAUGCUUUGCUCUGUGGCUUCUAAGUGUUGGGCCAAACUCCUCUUGGAUCUUGAGCAGGCAGCUAACUCCUCCUUUAAGACCAUGUCAUGUACUCGUGACUGGUCUCUUUCCUCUCUCCAGAGCUUGAGCUCAUUGUUGCUGCCCCACAAAGCUCCUUGGAAUUUAUCUUGGUCAUGCUCUUCCUUGCGAGCCCUCUUGGUUUCUUGUUCAAGGGCUCUUGCGGUAGCUGCAUUUUCUUCUCGUAACUCGGCACACUCUUUCCAGACGUCUGUAGCGACUAACUUGAAUUUUUCUUUGGCGAGUCUUGCCUUUCCCAGCUCUGUUUUUAGAGCUCGGACUUCCUCAUCCUCUUCUGGAGCUUCGAAGCUCUCCUCGUUGAUAAUUUUCAACUUGGAGAGCCAAUCUAACCCUCGUGUAUGAACUCUCAGCCAUUCAUGAUAACCACCGAUGAUGCCAUUACGGAUGCCCCUAAGUUCUUUAUCUUUCCUUAACGGGCUUUCCCACGCCUUGUGGACUCUUUGUAUAAUCUUGAAACUUUGCGCGCCGAAAUCUCUCACAAGGAAAGGCGAGAUGCUCUCUUCCGUCAGUGCUCCCCUCAUGGGGUACCCUAACUGUCUUAUAGCAAGUGUGGGAUUGUAGUUAAUACAACCCCUCAUCCCUAUCAACGGAAUGUUUGGGUAGUCCCCACAUGAGAAGAGAACUCCCUCCUUUCCUUCCUUCCAUAGAGGAAACCAGUUGAUUGUUCUGCCUCCUAUCCCAGCCAAGUAUUGGUCCCAAUCUACUCUUCUCUUUUCGACGCAUGAGCGAUAACUUUGGAGCGGACACGAGUGCCUUAUGUCUUGUUGGAAUAGGUGCGAAACUAACCACACACAAAGAGCGGCUAAGCAGCAAACAAUCUGUGCGCUGUUCUUCUCGCACCUUCGGUCAAAUGUAUCAAAUAAGUUCGCCAAGAUAGCUACCUCCGGGCUCUCCUUGCUAUGGUGAUAUGCAAGGAAAGCAUCAAUCGCGGCUAGGUCCACCAAACCGUCCACGUUUGGAAAGAGGACAACCCCAAAGAUUAGCAAAGCUAGUACAUCCACAAACGGGACCCACUCCUCUUGAUUUGCCAUAUCCCUUGCCUUGCCUUCCAAGUAUUUCUGCGGUAGGCCCACUACGCUGUUUCGAGUUUGCUUUAUACGAUCCAACUCUCUCGCCGAAUCCCCGACCACAAUUGCAAUCUUGCUCAAGGAGGGAAGAAACCCGGAGAAAAGAUACGAUUUUCUUCCCCCAAGAGGACAUCCUAGAAUCUCCUCAAAUUCUUCAACAGUCGGUACUAUUUGGAAGUCCCCAAACGUGAAGCAUCUCAAUGGCUGGUCAUAGUAUUGGGUGAGGGAUACAACGGCUUCCGUGAAUACCUCCGCUAUGGUCAAAUCUAAAAUCUUUUCGUACGCCUUGCGGAAGGCUUGCCUCUGGAGGGGUCCCAUCAACCGUCCCAACUCCUUAAGGCUGGUGACAUCUAGGCCCUUAAUCAUGACUUGAUAGAAUCUUUUUCUGAUUUGAUUUGUCCCCAUCAUUUACCUAAAAAGGGGUGAAUCAAGGCUCUGAUAUGAAUGAUGCAAUGCACAUGCAUGAAAUGAAAAGAAAAACAAGUGGUAAUUUACAUAUACAAGACCGAAAAAGAUCCAUCUUUUUAAUACUAGGUUCUAGGCAUUGCGGUGCCCCAACGUAUGCAUUAAAAAGUGACGCGUUACUCUAAAGAGACAAGAUAUCACUAGCUAUACAGAAAAACUAUAAUUUAUGUGCUAUUCGCAGAAGAAUGUAUGAGAACAAAUGGCACAGAGCGUGCUUGCUCCAUGCCCCUAUUUGGGGACCUAUAGGAUAAUAUCUAGGGGUCUCUAAUAACUACUCCCAACGAUCCAUAUCUCACAUGGCUGUUUUCUAGAGGUAUCAUCACUCAAGAUAAUAAUAUUGUGGCGGUAUGGAAUACCAGCGACAACACAUUAUAGAGAGAGAAAGCUCUAGACGAGGUUUCACUAUUAUCAAGAAAGUCAGAGACCUAGCAUGACCAUAGAUUCACCUCCACUGCUUAGAUUGCCAUGAACCCGGGUAUAGGGCCCCUCUUUUUUUUUUUACUCAAACCCGUGGGUGCUUAGAAUGCAGUGUAAAAAUGUGGAAAAGACAACAUUUAUUAUUUUUACACAGUUCAAGAAAAAAACGCACAACAAAAGUUUCACAAUUCCACACUUUCCUAAAGGAGGAAAAUGCGCGGAGUCGCCACCAACGUUUAUUGAAAGGAAAACAUUAGAAAAACCAAAGGAAACUGGUCAUGAAGAAUAUUCCAGAUUUUUGGAGUUGUAUUUACGUUUGAGGAAGGUAUUAGCACCUCUCACGUUUGUCCCAAAGAAAAACAGCCUUAAAUUAGAAUUGUGUGAAAUUAUAUAUCUAAACUUUUAUUUCUUUUUAAUUUUUGAGGUCGACAAAAGCGGGGCUCUUGCUCCUACGUACCCUCCAUCGAAGAGGAAAUCAGACCUACAAAGUUCUUUCAAAAAGGGCGAAUCAAAUGAUUCUUUUUACUUGGAAGGUAGUCAUUUAAGGCGUUGGACCUUAAAAUUAUCCAUUUUUAUUUGGUGAGAAAAGCUGAGGCGUUGGACCUUAAAACAUUUUUUUAUAGAUUUUUUGCGGACAAAGCUUGAUUUUGUGAGUUGAUUUUAGCCUUAGUUGCACUUUAGUUAUUAGUCAAUUCAAUUAAGAAAGAAGAAUCCCAAAGAGAAACGUCUGAUUUGUUUUAUUUUACUAAAAGAUAUUUUUUGAUUAUUAUAUUAUUAUUUUACCUCUUUUUUUAUUUCCGAUGUGGUUACGGCAUGACAGAACGGUCGGAUUUCAUUUUAACAGAAAUUAACAGAUAUUACAAUUUAAAUGAUCGGUGGAAAUAUAUUUUAUUUUUUGAUUAGGCGAGAAAAUGACUUAAAUAAAUGACUAAAGCACGUCAAAAGGGGGUACGAAAAGUAAAUGAAAUGAAAAUAAAAGUACACGAAACAAGUAGGGACCACCAAGGGUACAUAGAAUGAAUUAAAAAGUUCGAUUUCGGGAACUUACCGGUUGAAGACUGAAGAACGACGAAGAACGAACGAAAGAUGGCGGAAAAUCUUCACGGAAUUACCCACAGAAACGUUUCGGACGUGUUACGGAAGCGCCUCGGCGUGGAUUUUCUUCACGGAAACGAUUUUUUUUCCACUAAUUUCAAGUGAUCCCAAGAUACCAGGAGGGCUGAACGUUUUUCUCCUUCACUCCUCCCCCUAUUUAUAGGAAAAUAAGGGAUGAGCUUGCCACCCAGCUUGCCCAGGCGAGCUAGGUUGCUUCCUCCAGAAGCAACCACCUUCUAGAGGAACAUCCUAGAAGGCCCAAGUUGGCCUGGUUGCUAUUUGCACCCCUUGUUUACUAAAUACACCCUCUUCCUAUUUUUGCUGAUUCUUUUUCUGUAACGUUACGGAAAUUUACGAAUUCCGUAACGAUACUUGUUUUUCCUUCCGCAAUGUUUCGGAACCUUACGGAUCACGUAAUCAUCCCUUUUUUGGCUUUUGGAAUGUUACAGAACCUCACGGAUUGCGUAACAAUGCUCCCUUUUGGUUUCCGGCAUGUUACGGAACUUCACGGAUCGUGCAACAAUGCUCUCUUUUGACUUCCAGCAUGUUACGAAACUUCACGUAUUGUGCAACAAUGGGUGCCAAGUACCUCAAAGCGGUCAAGCAAAGGUUGCAUGCCAUCAACAAUGGUCCCCGGACGAAAUUAGGGUAUGACAAUCAAGCAUGGCCAAAAUACAUCAUCAAGCAUGGCCAACAAAAACAUAUCAUCUAAUGAAACAUACCCCCCCUCCUUUCACACUUAUUCCCAAAACAAUUCCAAAGCUCCAAAAUUCCUUAAGGGUAGGGUGAAAUCAUGGUUUUUCACUUAAGGCUUGUAAUGAGCUUCAAAACAAAGAAAGGGGAACAUAGGCUCAAAGGGACUAUCAAAGGAAUUAAUUCAAGGUAGGCUCAUUUGGCUAGAGGCUUAUAAGAACAAAAUGCCUAAAUCAUCUCCCAACAUGCAUGUGAAGCAAGAAGUAUCAACAAGAGUAAAGCCAAGGCUAUUGUGCAAGCAAUCAAUGGGGCAAAACACACUGAAUAAAAUAGAUGAUGAUGGCUCAAAUUCUCACCAAGGGUAAAUCUAUCACUUUCAAAACUCACUUGACAUGUAGAGAAAAACAAGGGUUUCAAUUCACAAAAUGCCAAGAAACUCCUAUUUCAAAAACAAUUACCCAUUACCUGUACAUAACCUAUAAUUCAAAGAAAACAUGCAAUGUUGUACACAAAACAUAAAACCAAAAUUAACCUAGAAAACCUAACAAAAUUAAACUAGAAAACCUGAUAAAAUUAAACUAGAAUACCCAACAAAAUUAAAGAACAAUCUUCUCCCCCCCUCACACUUAAACAACACAUUGUCCUCAAUGUAGCACAAUCAUAAGAUCAAGAACAAUCAAAGCAAUCAAUAAAUUUGGACAAGUGCAAUAAAAGUAAAGAAGGAGAGAGAAAAAAAAACUCCCUAAGUCAUGGUGGAAGAGAAGUAGGGUGAAGUAAGGAGGUCUCCUCCACCACUACAUCCACUAUGGAGGGAUUUGUGAGGAAUGGUUUCAGCCGGUGUCCAUUGACCUUGAAGCUCUUAUCUAUGGACUCACUUUUGAUCUCAACUGUACCAUAAGGAAAAACAUUGGUCACCACAAAAGGACCAAUCCACUUUGACCUCAACUUACCACUCAUGAGUCCAAGCCUAGAGUUAUACAAUAAAACUUUCUGUCCAACCACGAAGUCCUUCUUAGCUAUCAGGCUGUCAUGGAACUUCUUGGUCUUCUCCUUGUAGAAUUUGGAAUUCUCAUAGGUUUCUAAACAGAUCUCAUCUAGCUCACUUAGUUGCAACUUCCUUUCCUCUCCAGCCUGAUCAAUAGAGAAGUUGCAGGUCUUUAUAGCCCAGUAGGCUUUGUGCUCUAUCUCUAUAGGAAGAUGACAUACCUUGCCAAAGACAACCCAAUAAGGAGACAUUCCUAUGGGUGCUUUGUAGGCAGUCCUAUGCACCCAAAGAGCAUCAUCCAGCCUGGUGCUCCAAUCCUUUCUGUUCGGCUGCACAAUCUUCUCCAAGAUCCUUUUUAUCUCCCUGUUUGAAAUCUCAGCCUGCCCAUUAGUUUGGGGGUGGUAUGGUGUAGAAAUUCUAUGCACGAUCCCAUACUUUUUGAGCAAGGCAUACAUGGAUCUGUUACAAAAAUGGGUGCCUUGAUCACUAACGAUGGCUCUCGGGACUCCAAACCUGCAAAACAGAUUAGAUCUAACAAAAUCUACAACAACCUUAGCAUCGUUAGUUCUGAUGGGUUUGACUUCCACCCAUUUUGAAACAUAAUCAACAACAAGGAGAAUAUAAACAGAACCAAAAGAGACAGGGAAAGGCCCCAUAAAAUCUAUACCCCAGACAUCAAACACCUCACAAAAUAACAUGGGUUGUUGAGGCAUUUGCUGUCUCCAUGAAGGUGAGCCGCCUGCUCUCUGACAGGGCUCACAAGUGCUACAGAUUCUCCACGCAUCCUUGAAGAUGGUGGGCCAAUAGAAACCGCAGCUAAGCACCUUGCGACCUGUCCUCUGUAUGCCAAGAUGGCCACGUGGUGCAGAAGAAUGAUAGAAUUGCAGGACCGAGUCGAUCUCAUGGUCUGGAAUGCAUCUCCUAAUAACCCGGUCACUGCACAACUUCCACAAAUAGGGGUCAUCCCAAAUAUAAUGCUUAGCAUCGCUCUUAAUUUAAUCAUUUUGAGCUUUAGAUGCUAAGGGAGAAAAAAUAGAAGCAACCAAAUAAUUCACAAUAUUAGCAAACCAGGGAGUGGGGAAGGAAUCAGAAAUACUAUACAGAAUGUACAAAUGGUAAUUCGGAAAAUCAUCCCGAACGGGUGUGUCCUCAGACACACUCUCAAUCCUACUCAGAUGGUCAGCCACGAGAUUUUGCGCACCACUCCGAUCACAGAUCUCUAAAUCAAACUCUUGGAGCCAAAGCAUCCACCUGAUCAAUCUAGGCUUUGAUUCAGCCUUCUUCAAUAGGUACUUUAGAGCUGCAUGGUCAGUAUAAACAAAAACACGAGUACCAAGCAAAUAUGAACGAAAUUUUUCAAGGGCAAAAGCUAUCGCUAAUAGCUCCUUCUCUAUGGUAGUGUGAUGCAAUCCUAUCCUGCAAGGGCAUUGGGUAGAAGACUCCAAGUAGAUUGGGCUAGAGAUCCAAGGGAAGGCCCUAGGGUUCUCAUGAGCCUUAGGGUAGAUUUCGAGCCCAUGGGCUAAGUAUAAGCCCGCUUAUCUUUGUAAAUAUUAGAAUAGGUUUUUCCUUCGUUUGGGCCUUGUAUUUUGGCCAUUCUAGUAGUAUAGGGUUUUAGCCUUAUAUUUCGGGGUAUUUUGAGUAGUCUUUGUAGUAAGGACUUUUUUUUGUAUUUUCAUGUUUUUUGUCAUGGGGGUGAGCUUAGCUAUUAUAGGGGGUGUGUAGCUAAGUUCUAGCUUCUCAUCUCAAGGAGGUGAGCUUAGCUAUUAGAGAGGUGUGUGUAGCUAAGCUCUAGCUUCUUUAGGAAUCUUUUCAAGGAAGCUUCUUAAGGAGGUGAGCUUAGUUAUUAGAGGGGUGUGUGUAGCUAAGCUUUAGCUUCUCAAGGAAGUUUUCUCAAAGAAGCUUCUCAAGGAAGUUUUCUCAAGAAAGCUUCUCAAGGAAGCUACCUAGUCUAUAAAUAGAAACGUGUGUAACACUUGUUGUAACUUUGAUGAAUGAGAGUCUUGUGAGACACAACUCAAAGUUCAACUUCUCUCCCUUUUUCUUCCUUCAAUUUCGUGCUCCCCACUCUCUCUUUCUCUCCCUCUUUCUUUUCCUCCAUUGAAGCAUCCUCUCCAAGCUUCUUAUCCAAGGCUCAUCUUGGUGGUGAAGCUCCUUCUUCCAUGGCUAAUUCCCUAGUGGAUGGCGCCUCCUCUCACCUCUUCUCCUUUGUCUUCUGCUGCAUCUCCAUGGUGGAAAAUCACCAUUGAAGGACCUCAUUGAAGCUCAAAGAUCCAGCCUCCAUAGAAGCUCCACAAGCAAGCUUCCAUCAAGUGGUAAUCAGAGCACUAGAGCUUCAAGUAGGUGCUCCUUAAAUCUCCAUUAAUUUUUUGCUUUACCUUCUCUUCCAUUGUUGUUUUCUUCAUUUUUUCUCCAUGUAUCUCCUCACAUGUCUUGUGCUAAAUGUUUUUAACAUGAUUCUUUAGAGUUUCCACCAAUUAAACUUGCUAUAGAAGCUAGAUUUGAUUUUCUAUGGUUCAAAUUUCUUGUUCUUGUUCUUGAACCAUGAAUUUUGUUGAGUUUAGGUUCCUUUGAGUUUUGUCUUGUUAUUUUUUGUGGCUGAAACCUAAAUCAUAAAAUUCUUAAAAAAAUAUUAAAGUAGAAGAAAACCUCAAAAAUCUAGAGUGACUUGUUCACCUAUUGUAGUUUUGUCAUAGAAGUCAUGUCUAGUCAUGAAACUUGUCACAUAAGAUUUCUUAUGUUGUGCUGAAUUUUAUUUUCUUGUUUCUUUGUCUAACUCAUUUGUUCAUGAGUGUAUGAAAUUCUUUUAGCCUAUUAUUUGAUUUGAGUCAAAUCUUUCAUGUUAAUUAGUCUUUAACAUGUUCAUGCAAAAUUCUUAGAGAGUCUUUGAUUGUGAACCUUUUCUUGAACUUUUAGGUUUCCUUAUGAUUGUGUCUAUUGUGAAUUUGAGUUUUGGUGAUUGAAUUGCUGGCUGAAAUGUUGAUCCUAAGUGAAUAUUGAACUCCUAAAACUGUGGUAAACAAUACUAUUGAGUUCAACAUACAUAGGAAGGUUGAAAGUAAGCCCAAGGCAAUCAAUAUACCAUGCUUAAAAAAAUAAAAUCGCUGGUGCUGGCAGCUUGGACAUACAAACUUUUAAAAAUUACUGAGAAUUGGUUACUUCGAAUUUUGAGCUGAAAUGUUUACUUAAUUUUCUAGACAUCUUGAAGAAAGUUAGGAAAAAAGAAACAAGUGAUUUGGAUAAAAGGAAAAAAUACGAAAAAUCACACAAGUUGGCAAGAAAAUCAGUAUCCAGGAAAAAUGAAAGGGAAGUGUGCUUGUUGUUUUGGCUCAAACUUUAUUCUAUAAUUGCUGCCUAUGUUAUACCAAUCUUAAUUCCAAAAUUUCAAUUGAAAAUUAGUGUGAAGACAAGUGCCAAAGCUAGAGGUUUUUUUGAGUUUUUUUUUUUUUUUUCAGUUUUUUUUACUCUACUCUAGAGCCAUUCUAAGUUUCUCUUUGAGUCCUAGCUUGCUUCUAUGUCCUUUUCAUUGCUUUAAUUGUUGAGUAAUCCUUGAAAAAUUGUCUUGUUAAAAUUUCAUUGGUUUAGCUUUCAUUUCAUUUUAUUUGGUCUUUGGUUAUUGCUUGUCUCUUUGUUUCCUUGUUUGUGGGUUGCCAUAUAGGGAAUUGGAAGGAGGAUUGGUGCCAUCCCUUGAAGAAUUUGAGUUAAGAAGAAAGGGGCCAACCACCUUAAAAGCUAUUGGACUAAGAAGCACUCCAAAUUGAGUGAAUCACCAAAGAGAGAACUACCACCAAAAUUGAGGACCGUUUUGUAAUUUUGUAAUUUGCAAUUUACUUAUCUUCAUUGCUUUCAAGUUUUGUAACAAAAAGGCCUUUCAUUGGAAGUGUGUUGGGAGCCUCCAAUAGGUUACCAAACUUCCAUUAGUGUGUAAUAAUUUUAGGCAAUUUUUCCUUUGGAUAGUGAGUGUUUUGUUGGGAACCUUGAAUGUGGUCAUCCAAACACUCUUAGGAUUCACCUAGUUUACUUUUCUUGCUUACUUUCAUAGCUUAUUUCCUUUACCAUCCAUUGUCAAACCACCUAGAUAGCUUGCAUUUUACCAAUUAGUUUUUUUCCCUUAUCUUUCACACCUCUUUUAGUGUUUAUUUUGGCUAGUUUCAACCAUAGUUUCUUGUUCAUUUUGUUUUCAAACCUCCAACAAGAAAGAACCACAACUUAGGAACCAACAUGAGUCAUCAUUCAUCUAGUGUUAAUGGCAAGGGUACUAGUCAUAAAGACCCUUUAUCUAGAAUCUUAGAUGAGUUGAGUUCCCUCAAGUUAUGGAAAGAAAAACAAGAGAGAAAAGAAAAAGGAAAAAAAAGAGUGGAAGAAAUAAGUCAAGAUGAAAGAAAGAAAAUAAGAGAGGAAGAAAGAAGAAAAAUAAUGAAAGAAAUGAAAGGAGAAAAACAUGCCUCUUAUAGUAGUCAUAACUCUUGCAAAAGCCUAUGUGAAGAACUUCGUGACUAUUACGAAGGAAGGCAUAGGUCACAUCUUAGACCUCACUCCCAUAGAAGAGAAAAGGAAAGAAAGCCUUAAGAGGCUAACAUUAAACUUUCAUACUUCCAUGGGAAGGACAAUGUAGAGGCUAACUUAGAUUGGGAAAUAAGGGUAGAGCAACAACUUAAAAAGAAGUCUACUUCAAAAUCUUAUGGCUCUCACUCUUAUCCAAAGAAAGACCAAGGUCAAGGCAUCUUAGGGGUGACACCUUCUAAGCCCAAAGAUGAUAAGGGGAAGACAAUAGAAAAGCAAGCCCCUAAGGCUAGUAUGCAAGAGAAAACUAGCUCUAUAAAGUGCAUUAAAUGUCUUGGAAGAGGACACAUUACUUCUCAAUGCCCCACCACAAAAACCAUGAUUAUGAGAGGCCAAGACAUUUAUAGUAGCCAAGAUGAGGCUACUACUUCCCCUUCCUCUAGUGAAAGUGAAAAAGAAAAAGGGGAAGAAUCUAGUGAAGAAAUCUACCCUCAAGAAGAAGGACAACCAUUAGUGGUUAAAGAGAAGUGUAAGGAGGUAAGUGUCUCCUCCAAGAGUUUAGCUAAGAAGGAAACUCAUUUUACAAUAAAGACAAACAUUAAAGAAACUUUCCCUCUUAGACAACCUCCACAUUUUCUCUUUUGUAAAAAGGCACUUGCUAGCAUUGCCGCACCUCUUGGGCUUGAGUUUAUUCCUCAAGUAAAGAAGUUGUUGGAUGAGGGUUUGGUUCGCAAGAGCUUAAAUCCUUGUGCUUUGUUGGUGCCCAAAAUAGGUAUUAUUAGGCAUCAAGUCCCUAAAAAAGGUGGUAUGAUGAAUGUUUUGAGUGGUGCAACCCUCUUUUGUAAAAUCACUCGUACACCUAACAUCUUCAUGGUGUAUGUACAUAGGGACCAAUUAGGUAGGUUUAUUCUUAUUUUUAGUUUCAAUACAAACUUAGGUACUCAUAUGGGACACCUUAGGUUUGUCAUACUUUUUGGUAGGAAUAAUCAAUAUGAAAAUAUAGAAAAAGGUAUGUUUUAUUGCGUUACUUUUCUUAAUUUUUCAAAUAGUGAUCAAGGGGUUCCCAUGAACCCUAAGAGAAUAAAGGUCAUUCCUGAGUGGCCCACUCCACCAAGUAUAAGAAAAAUUUGGGGCUUCCAUGACUUAACAAACUUUUACAAAAGGUUUGUCCCAUAUUUUUCUAUACUUGUAGCACCACUCAUUGAGUUGGUGAGAAACCAUGUUCCUUCAUGGGAAGAUGCCAAGGAAAUGGGUUUUCAGACCUUACCUUACUUCAACAUUCCAAACACCACUAAUACAUAUGUUUUUGUUCUUUUUACAGGUGUUGAGGGAAGGAGCCCAGAGUAUGAAGAACCUCGGGAUUUGAGGUCAAAUCCUUUCCAAGGUGGAGGGAAUGAUGCAAUCCUAUCCCGCAAGGGCAUUGGGUAGAAGACUCCAAGUAGAUUGGGCUAGAGAUCCAAGGGAAGGCCCUAGGGUUCUCAUGAGCCUUAGGGUAGAUUUCGAGCCCAUGGGCUAAGUAUAAACCCGCUUAUCUUUGUAAAUAUUAGAAUAGGUUUUUCCUUCGUUUGGGCCUUGUAUUUUGGCCAUUCUAGUAGUAUAGGGUUUUAGCCUUGUAUUUCGGGGCAUUUUGAGUAGUCUUUGUAGUAAGGACUUUUUUUUGUAUUUUCAUGUUUUUUGUCAUGGGGGUGAGCUUAGCUAUUAUAGGGGGUGUGUAGCUAAGUUCUAGCUUCUCAUCUCAAGGAGGUGAGCUUAGCUAUUAGAGAGGUGUGUGUAGCUAAGCUCUAGCUUCUUUAGGAAUCUUUUCAAGGAAGCUUCUCAAGGAGGUGAGCUUAGUUAUUAGAGGGGUGUGUGUAGCUAAGCUCUAGCUUCUCAAGGAAGUUUUCUCAAAGAAGCUUCUCAAGGAAGUUUUCUCAAGAAAGCUUCUCAAGGAAGCUACCUAGUCUAUAAAUAGAAACAUGUGUAACACUUGUUGUAACUUUGAUGAAUGAGAGUCUCGUGAGACACAACUCAAAGUUCAACUUCUCUCCCUUUUUCUUCCUUCAAUUUCGUGCUCCCCACUCUCUCUUUCUCUCCCUCUUUCUUUUACUCCAUUGAAGCAUCCUCUCCAAGCUUCUUAUCCAAGGCUCAUCUUGGUGGUGAAGCUCCUUCUUCCAUGGCUUAUUCCCUAGUGGAUGGCGCCUCCUCUCACCUCUUCUCCUUUGUCUUCUGCUGCAUCUCCAUGGUGGAAAAUCACCAUUGAAGGACCUCAUUGAAGCUCAAAGAUCCAGCCUCCAUAGAAGCUCCACAAGCAAGCUUCCAUCAUAGUGUAAUUUGCUUGUGCAGCAUCCAAAGUUCAGGAAGCGUAGUAGAUCACCUGAGGCAGCUUAUCAAUCUUUUGAGCAAGGGCGGCCCCCAAUGCGUAAUUGGAUGCAUCACACAUGAAUUCAAAUGGGGCUGUACAAUCAGGUGCCUGAAUGAUAGGGGUGGUAGUCACCGCACGCUUGAGGCAAUCAAAAGCCUCUUUGCAUCGGUCAUCAAAAUCAAACUCCACCUCCUUUUGCAACAUAUUGGAUAGUGGAAGGGCCGCUUUGCUAAAAUCCUUGAUGAAACGCCUAUAAAACCUUGCAUGACCAAGAAAAGAACGAACCUCUCGCAUGCAAGAGGGGUAAGGCAAUUGUGAAAUAACAUAUAUUUUUGCAGGGUCUACCUCUAUGCCCCUACUGGAAAUGAUAUGCCCUAAAACUAUACCUUGUUCUACCAUGAAGUGACAUUUUUCAAAAUUCAACACAAGGUUAGUUUCAAUGUAUCUAUUAAGAACUCUAUCCAGACUAUCCAAACAUGCAUCAAAAGAGGAUCCAUAAACAGUAAAAUCAUCCAUAAAUACCUCUAUGCAACUCUCUAAAAAAUCACUGAAAAUGCUAAGCAUACACCGUUGGAAGGUACCAGGGGCAUUGCAUAGGCCAAAGGGCAUCCUCCUAUAGGCAAAAGUGCCAAAGGGACAGGUGAAUGUGGUCUUUUCUUGAUCCUCAGGAGCAAUAUGAAUUUGUAAAUAACCAUAAAAACCAUCAAGAAAACAGUAAUGAGACUUACCUGCCAAGCUCUCAAGCAUUUGAUCAAUGAAAGGCAAGGGAAAGUGAUCCAAAGUUCUAGUUACCUGAUUCAGCCUCCUAUAAUCAAUGCAGACUCGCCAGCUGUUCUGCACUCUUGUGGGGAUAAGCUCAUCCUUUUCAUUCUUGAUCACUGUGAGGCUUGUCUUCUUAGGAACCACUUGGACUGGACUCACCCACUGGCUGUCAGAUAUGGGGUAGAUGAUUCCAGCUUAUAAGAGCUUGGUCACUUCCUUUUUCACCACGUCUAGAAUGACGGGGUUAAGUCUCUGUUGUGGUUGCCUCACUGGCUUAGCUCCAUCCUCUAAAAGUAUCCUAUGCGUGCAGGUAGAUGGGCUAAUACCAGGAAUGUCUGCUAAAGUCCAUCCAAUGGCUUUCUUGUGCUUCUUGAGAACUAGCAACAACUUCUCCUCUUGCUCAGCAGCAAGAGAGGCAGAGAUGAUCACUGGAAAUUUUUCCUUGUCCUCCAAGUAAGCAUAUUUGAGGUUUGCUGGUAAGGGCUUCAACUCUGGUGUGGGUGGUGGCUGAAAGGUGGGAGGAACCAUGGUAGGAGAAGAAGAAGGUUCCUCAGCCUGUACCUCAUAAAGCAAGUCAGAAGUAUAUGAACUUCCUGCAACAUGGUUAGUGCAUUCCGACUCUAAAAAAUCAACAUCAAGAGGUACAACACCAGACUCAAAUUCAAAUUCACUCUCAGCAUAAAAAUUAAUACAGGAUCAAAUUCAAACUCAGAUUCAGAUUCAAUGCAUAAGGAAUGACAAGUAUGCAAAUCAGAUAAAAAUGGAUGUUUCCUACCAUGAAGAACAAAAUCAAACAUAUAAUCAUAAACAAUCUGAUCAAUUAUCUCAGCACGAAAAACAAAGUGAUCCUCAGAUGGAUGUUUCAUGGCAUCAAGAAUGUUAAAGUGAACAACAAUAUCACCAAAUUCCAUAGACAAUGUGCCAUUGGAGCUUGUAGGCCUAGGAUCUUCUUCAUCAAUGGAUUCCUUUGCUUCUUGGAAGAUAAAUGGCAGCAGAAUGGAGAAGGAAGAGAGAGAGGAGACGCCACUUCAAGGAGAAGAUGAGUCUAGAAGAAGCUCACCACCAUAGGAGGCCAUGGAUAAGAGCUUGGAGGAAGAAGGAGAUGAAUGAAGGGAGAGGGAGAGAAGAGCACGAAAUUUUGUGCUCAAAAGGAGCUCUGAAAUCUGAAGUUAAUAUUAAAAUGAUCAAAGUUGAAAAAAAUGCACACACAUGACCUCUAUUUAUAGCCUAAGUGUCACACAAAAUUGGAGGGAAAUUCAAAUUUCACUUGAAUUUGAAAUUGAAUUUGUGGAGCCAAACUUUGGGGCCAAAAUUUCACUAAUUAUGAUUAGUGAAUUUUAGUUAUGGUUCAGCCCACUAAUCCAAGAUCAAUUCCAAGAUUCUCCACUAAGUGUGCUUAGGUGUCAUGAGGCAUGAAAAGCAUGAAGGACAUGCACAAAGUGUGACUAUAUGAUGUGGCAAUGGGGUGUAGUAAGCAAAUGCUCACCUCCCCCUCUAAAAUUUAAUUGGAUUGGGCUUCUACCAAUUCAAUUAAAUUUAUUUCCAACCACACACAUCAAAUAUCCACUUAGUGCAUGUGAAAUUACAAAACUACCUCUAAUACAAAAACUAGUCUAGGUGCCCAAAAAUACAAGGGCCGAAAAAUCCUAUAUUUCUAGGGUACCCUACCUACAAUAUGGAGCCCUAAAUACAAGGACCAAAUAUAAUGACAUCCUAGUCUAAUAUGUACAAAGAUAAUUGGACCCAACCUUGGCCCAGGGGCUCAGAAAUCUACCCUAAGGUUCAUGAGAACCCUAGGGCCUUCUUUAGCAGCUCUAGCCCAAUCUUCUUGGAGCCUCUUGCUCAUGGUUCUAGUGAUUGGUCCCUUCCUAGGGAGGAUUGCAUCAAUAAACAUCUAUCUUGGUUUGGGCUAUUUUCAUAAAUGGUCUGCCUAAAAUAAUUGGAAUUGAACCAUGGGAAAAUCCCUCUUCCAUAUUAAGAACAUAAAAAUCAACAGGAAAAAUAAGUUCACCAACCCGAACCAGUACAUCCUCUAUGAAACCUGCGUGGUAAGAAACACUUCUAUUUGCCAAAUGAAUCACCACAUCUGUAGAUUGCAAAUGUUCAAGAGAUAAAGAAUUGAAAAAGGACAGAGGCAUGACACUAACUGAUGCUCCUAGAUCUAGCAUGGCAUUCUCAAAUUUAUUGUUCCCAAUAAUGCAAGGUAUACAGAAAGUACAUGGGUCCUUACAUUUCUCAAGAAUGUGAGGAACAAAUUUACCUAUCAAUGCUGACACAUUUCUGCCCAUGCAAAUCCUUUCAUUGCCUUUGAGCUUCCUUUUAUGGGUGCACAGCUCCUUUAGAAACAUGGCAUAUCUUGGAAUCUGCUUGAUGGCAUCUAGCAGAGGUAUGUUCACCUAUACUUUCCUGAAGAAGGUCCACCUGCAUGAAAAUUGUUGGAUCGAGUGGCCUCAGAAUAAUUAAGAAGGGUGAAGGGGUUGAAUUAAUUAUUCCUAAACCUUUACUAAUUAAAAAAUUACUCUUCUAAGGCUUUUACUAAAUUGUUAAGAGAAUGAGGAGUAGAAGAGAAACUUAACAGAAAGUAAAAGCGGAAAUUAAAUGCACAACGGAAAGUAAAAGAGUAGGGAUGAAGGAAACAAACACACAAGAGUUUUUAUACUGGUUCGGCAACAACCCGUGCCUACAUCCAGUCCCGAAGCGACCUGCGGUCCUUGAGAUUUCUUUCAACCUUGUAAAAAUUCAUUUACAAGCAAAGAUCCACAAGGGAUGUACCCUCCCUUGUUCUCUUUGAACCUAGUGGAUGUACCCUCCACUAGAACUGAUCCACAAGAGAUGUACCCUCUCUUGUUCUCAGUCAACAACCCAAGUAGAUGUACCCUCUACUUGUACCACAAAGGAUGUACCCUCCAAUGUGUUAAGACAAAGAUCUCAGGCAGUUAAACCUUUGAUACUUUGUGAAUGGGGAUACAAAAGAAUUCUCAGGCGGUUAGUCCUUUGAAUACUUUUGUAUUAGGGAAUGGAAAAAAUCAAAAGAAUUCUCAGACUGUGUCGUUUUGAAUUCUUUGACAAGGGAGAAGGGAGACACAAAAGAAUUCAGGCGGUUAGUCCUUCGUUCUUUUGGAAAAGGGAGAAGAGAGACACAAAAAGAAUUCAGGAGGUUAGUCCUUGGCGAAUUCUUUUUGGCAAAGGGAGAAGGGAAUGAAAAAGAUGAAUAACACAAGUUUUUGAACAAAGAACUUUUCUUGGAGGAGAAAGUUUUGAACAAAAAAUUUUAGAAAGAUGAAGAGAAGAUGAAACAGAACAACUGUUGAAAGAGAUGAAAGAAAAUAUUGAAAGAUGAUUAAAAGAAAUGAUUGAGAUGAAUUGAUAGAAAGAUUGCUUAGAAAGAUUGAUUGAAAAUACAAAACAAAGCCUUGCUUUUAUAGACUCUUCAUUUCUGGUCAAGAGAACCAUUUUGAAGAGUUAUAACUUUUAGAAAAACUUAAAACCAAUUUGAAAAAGUCAAAAACCAUUUGAAGAGUUACAUCUUUUGAUUUAUUCAGAAAUAACCACUAGUAAUCGAUUACCAAAUCAGUGUAAUCGAUUACACAAAGCUUUUAGUGAAAGGAUGUGACUCUUCACAUUUGAAUUUGAAUUUCAACGUUCAAAGGCACUGGUAAUUGAUUACCAAAACAUUGUAAUCGAUUACAACUUUUUUGAAAUCAAUUGGAACGUUGUAAAUUCAUUUGAAAACUUUUUCAAAUCCAUUUUGCUACUGGUAAUCGAUUACAACAAUCAGGUAAUCGAUUACCAGAGAGUAAAAACUCUUUGGUAAACAUGUUUUGAGAAAAAUUCAUGUGCUACUCAGUUUUUGAAAAAACCUUCUCAUACUUAUCUUGAUUAAGUCUUCUCUUGAUUCUUGAAUCUUAAGUCUUGAAUCUUGUUCUUGAUUAUUCUUGAUUCUUGAUUCUUGAAAACUUGAAACUUGAAACUUCUCUUGAAUCUUUCUCUUGAUUCUUGAAUUCUUUGGCAUCAUCAAAAUAACCUUUAAAGGCAUUGCUUCCACAAAAUUUUUUUAAGGAAGAUUUCUCUUUAGUGCAACUAUCUCAUCCUCUUUUUCAGGUGUAGAAUGAAGCUUGAUAGGUUCAGGUGUAGGUGCUGCUACUGGUGGAGGCACUUGAAUUUGGUUGCCAGACCUCAAGGUGAUGGCACUCACAUUUUUCAGAUUUUGCACAGUUUGUGAAGGCAAUUUGUCAGAAUUUUGGGACUGAGCUUGGUUUAACUGAGUAGCCAUCUGCCCCAUCUGAUUUGUCAGACUCUGAAUGGAGGCUCUUGUCUCUUGCUGAAAUUGCAUAUUCUGGAUGGUCAUUUGCCUCACUAACUCUUCUAAGGAAGGUUGAGGAGGAGCCUCAGUUGCUUGUUGUCUUUGUUGUGACUGAUGUUGUUGUAUUGGAAGAGGAACAUAUGGCUUGCUUGGAUCAGCAUCAUUCUGAAAAUGAGGGACAGACUGUUGUUGUUGUGGAGGACUUGUCCAUCUCAGAUUUGGAUGAUUCCUCCAACAUGGAUUGUAGCUAUUGCUUGAAAGGUCAUAAUUAUUCUUCUGUAGUUGGUUUUGCUGCUAAGGAGGUCUAUUAUAAAUGUUUGCAGCAUAAGCUUGACGUUGUUCAUUGACUCCAGAUUGCUGCAGAGAAGGACAAAGAGCUGUAUGGUGAUUUGCAGAAGAACAUAGACCACAGACUCUUGCAACAAGUGUAGAUUUCUGAUUCAUGGCAAGCUGAGUUACUAGGUUGACCAAGGCAUCAAGUUUUCCUUCAAGCUUUUUAUUUUCAGUAGAUGAAGAUGAAUCCGUGGCCACCUCACGGACUCCUCUAAGAACAAUAGCAUCAUUUCUUGCACUGAAUUGUUGGGAGUUGGAAGCCAUCUUCUCAAUCAAAUUCCUAGCUUCAGUAGGGGUCAUAUCACCAAGAGCUCCAGCACUGGCAGCAUCAAUCAUACUCCUCUCCAUGUUGCUAAGUCCCUCAUAGAAAUAUUGAAGAAAGAGUUGCUUAGAAAUCUGGUGGUGAGGACAGCUUGCACACAAUUUCUUGAAUCUUUCCCAGUACUCAUACAAGCUUUCUCCACUAAGUUGCCUGAUGCCUGAAAUGUCUUUUCUGAUGGUCGUGGUCCUAGAUGCAGGGAAGAAUUUCUCCAAGAACACCCUCUUAAGGUCAUCCUAGCUGAAAAUGGACCUGGGAGCAAGGUAGUAUAGCCAAUCUUUUGCCACUCCCUCCAAAGAAUGAGGAAAAGCCUUUAGAAAGAUAUGAUCUUCUUGGACAUCAGGGGGCUUCAUGGUGGAACAAACAAUAUGGAACUCCUUAAGAUGCUUAUGAGGAUCUUCGCCUGCAAGACCAUAAAACUUGGGCAACAAAUGCAUUAGUCCAGUCUUGAGAACAUAUGGAACACCCUCAUCAGGAUAUUGAAUACACAAGCUUUCAUAAGUGAAAUCAGGUGCAACCAUCUCCCUAAGAGUUCUCUCACGAGGUGGAGGUGGAGCCAUGUUCUCAGUAUAAAAAUUAGUAGUGGAAUGCUCAAAAUCAGAAUAUUCAGAAUCAUCAGCAACAGAAUGUUCAAAAUGCACAGAAUGAUCAGGAUGCACAGAAUAAUCAGGAUGCACACUAUGCCUAACUAAUCUAUGAAAGGUUCUAUCUAUUUCAAGAUCAAAGGGUGAUAAAUCACCUGGAUUGCCCCAAGUCAUGCACUAUAUGCAGCAAAUAAUGUGUUUCUCAACAGCACCUAACAAGGGGGUAAAAUUACAGCUAUACUCAAACGAUAUCAAAAUUAGCUGAAAUUUUGUGAGGAACACCCUAAAAUCAUGAAAAGAUAGAACAAAAAAUUUCAAACAAAAAUUCAAAGUCUAACUAUGAAAACUACCUAAGCAAAGUUUAGAAAAAUGAGACAAUAAUACUUGAAAAAUAAAAAAAAAUUUAGUAAAUGGCUGAUUUUUGGAAUUUGGGAGUCCCCAAUCGACUCCCACUAUAUGGGGAAUUUUUUUCUACCCCAAAUGCAUAUAUAAUAAUAGUUAUUCUGAUACUCAGAGCAAAAGUUAUGGCCGUUUUAAGUUUUGUUAAAAACAAAUUCCCAAAAUUUGUCUCUCUCAAAUAAUGCCACACCAAGUGCUCCUGGUAUUUUUCACACAAAAUAUGGAUCAAAAGAAGCUACCACAUAAAAAUUCAGCCAAAAAUAACAACUCUAACUAUAAAAAAAAUCAUUAAUUAAAUUGCAAAAUCCGUCGCUAUUCCCAGUCGCUAAUCACUGUUCAGCACUGUUCACAGCAAAACAAAAGGUUGAAUCAGUUGUUGAAUUCGUUGCUAAAACCGUCACUAAACAGGAAAUGCAACUGAAAUGCAAAACAGAACGCUUGACAAAAUAAGAUAACUAAACACUAUUAUGAACCUUUGGCCCAUUGCUCCCUAGCAACGAUGCCAAAUUUGAUCGAGGUUGUACCCGAAUCAAAUAAACAUUAAAAAUGCAGUAUCUAGGAAGUGAUCCUAGGUCGUCUCCCAACGAGCAAUGGUCAACCAAACGUUCAUAACAGAUUGUAAUAAAAUAGUAACGAAUUGGGGGGGGGGGUAUUUGUUUUUGUAAAUUAAACAACAAGUAAAUUUGAAUUAGAAAAUAUCAUAAUUAAAACACGUUGUUUCUCCUUGAUUCACAAGCAAGUCUCUUAUCCUAGGUUACAAGGAUUUAUCCUUUAUCAGUUCAACCACUUAAUCCAACCCUAAAUUAAAUUACUAAGCGAAAUUUAACAUAAGACAUUCAUUAUGUGAUUAAGCAACACAUACACCCAUUAAUCAUGAAUGAAACUGAUCAUUAAGCAUGAACGUAAAUUAAGCGAAUAGACAAUUAAUCAAGCACUAAGCAUGCAUGGAUUAAUAGCAACAAAUAAGAGUAAUUGGUGAAGAGAAAAAACUGAUCAGAAUUCAAUAGUAAUAAUAAAACCUCAAAGAGAGCUGUGCUUGAUCCUCAAGAGAAAACAACGCUGAAGACUUAGCCUUCCAUUAAUCAAUAGAAAAGGAAAUUGUAGUAGAAAAUGAAGAAAACUCCAAUUAUUCUCCAAAACGAAAAAAAAACUAAAAACCAAAGAGAGAGAGAGAGAGAGAAACUAGAACCUUGGUGCUGUUAUAUAGUUCUUAGCCCCAAAGCUUACAAAUCUGUUUUAAGUCCAAGCCCAUAAAUAAAAUAAAAUCUAGAUAAGAUAACAUAAGAUCUAGAUGAAAUAAUAUCUAGAUGAGAUAAAAUCUAGAUAUGAUAAGAUAAAAUCUAGAUGAGAUAAAAUCUAGAUAAGAUAAGAUUUGGUAGAAUAAAAUAGUCUGCUCUCUUCAGGUGCAAGCCCAAUUCUGGAUUCAAGCCCAAUUGCUUAUAAUUCUCCUGAAAUUAAAUUAAAAAUAAAAAAUUAAUCCAGUAGGCCCAAAUGAUAAAACUGCAUAAUUAAAUUGACAAUUAAGACUAAUCAAUAAUUAAAAUGGUGACAAAAAGGGUUAAGAAAUAUGAGAAAAUGAUGACACAUCAAUUUGCAUUAAGUAUUAAACAAUUCUCUGAUAAGUUAAAAACUAUGAACUUGCUUGUUUAAUAAAAAAGAAUUCAUAAUCGAGAAUGAAUUUUGUGUCUCAUCUUUAAACAUUUAUUUGUUAAUAGAAUAAUUUAGUGAAAAUUCCUUUGUUGUUUCAAAAAUAUGUUCCUUUCAAGGGAUAAGUAUACUUUUCACAAUUAACAAAUUGGCACACCCAGUGGGACUAGUUUGCCAAAAAUCCGAUCUUUUAGGUUGGAAUAUCAUCCAAACAAUCAGUGAUUAAAGUCAAAAUUAGGAAAGCAAUCCCUAAAAUAAUUCCUUUUCAAUCCUAAGCAUAUUCAAAAUUAUAGAAAUCGAAAAUAGGAUUGAAGAAAAAGAUGAACAUUCACACAUAUUAAAAAUACUAAACCAGAACUCAAAUUCAAUCUGGCUUGGAGUGGAUCCUUGGAUUGAUUAAGUGUUUAUCCUUUCAUGAUCAUCAUCAAUCAUACUUCUAUCCAUUAACAUCAACCCUUCAUAAAAAAAACUAGAUCAACAAUUGCUCACUUAUUUGAUGGUGAGGACAGGUAGCACACUACUUUUUGAAUCUCUCUCAAUACUUAUAUAAUGUCUCUCCAGGUUGCUUCCUUAUACAACAAAUUUCUUUCUGGAUGGAUGUUGUUCUGGAUGUAGGGAAGAAUUUCUCUAAAAAUCUUUUCUUCAUAUCUGUCCAAGUGUUGAUAGUAUUUGGUUAAAGGUACAACUAGUUCUUAGCCACAAGAAGCAAAGGACUCCAUUGAUGAAGAUGAUCCAAAUCCUACAAGCUCCACAUCGAGCUACAUCAUGUGGUAUCAAGAGCUUCUUCGUCUAGGUGAUGUUCUUUUACUUCCUCUAUCUUCAUGUUCAGUCAAUUCACUUUAAUUCCUUGUUCUUCAUCUUAUUCUCCUUGUAUAUCCUCCAUUUUCUUGUGGUUUGGUGCUGUUUAGAGUAGAUUAAAAAAAAUAAACCAAUUAAAUCUUAGAUAUACACUUGUUCUUGCAUUUCUAUGGUUCAGAUUUUAUAGAUCUACUCUUGAAUCAUGUUUUUGUGUUGAUUUUAGGUUCUAUCAUUUUUCAGUCAUAAUCUUCUUGUACUGAACCUUUAGAUAUAAAUUUUCUUUCAAAAUAUUGAUUAGAAAAAAAAAUACAAAAAUCUAAGUGUAAAUCACUUAAUCCAUGUGUGUCUUAGAGUCAUGUUUAGUCAUAAUAAUUGUCACAUUAUGUUCUAAGUGUUUGUUAAAUUUUGAUUUUGUUGAUUGAAUUCUAGAUACAUUUGUUCAUGUAUUCUUGUCAUUCUUAGCCUAUCUUUUGAAUUUGGAGUCUAAUUCAUGCAUGUUAUUUAGUUCAUAACAUGUUCUAAAUCAAUUCCUAGAAGUAGUCUUGUUGAACUUUUUUGUUUGUUUUCUAACUUUCCUACAUGAUACCUAUAAAGAAGUUGCGUUGUGGCUGGAUUUGUGAAUCAGCAUAAGUCUUAAGCUCUCUUGAAUUGUGUUAUUCAAGACAAUUGAGCAUAGGCAAACACAAAUUGUAACUAUCCAAGCCUUAGGCAACAUGAACACUACUCUUGAUUUCUAGGUUGAAAUCGCUGGUGCUCACAACUUGAACAUACAAACUUUUAAAACUUACUGGGAAUUGGUCACUAUGAAUUUUGAGCUGAAAGUUUUAUUGAAUUUUCUAGACAUCUGGACUAAAAUUAGAAAAAAAAAGAACCAAGUGAUUUGGAUAAAUGGAAAAAAUAAUAAAAAUCAUACACGUUGGUGGCUUUUCAAAAACUAAUGAAGGGGUGUGACUCAAUUUGGAGUGCUUCUUAGUCCAAUAGCUCUUAAGGUGGUUGGCCCUUUGCCUCUUAAGGUGGUUGGCCCUUUGCUUCUUAAGCCCUUGGUGGCUUUUCAAAAACUAAUGAAGGGGUGUGACUUUUCAGAGCAAUUUUUAAAAUUUCCUCACUGGUAAUCGAUUACAGAUCUUUGGUAAUCGAUUACACAGUUAUGUAAUGAGGGGUCAUGACUUUUCAAUUUGAUUUUUAGGAUUUUCGUUAUUGGUCAUCGAUUACAUACCAGUGGUAAUCGAUUACAGCUUUCAAAAUUCAAAUUUCAAACUUCCUGAAAAGCUUUUUUAAGAUAAUUUUGCUUCUGCAAUCGAUUACCAGAGGAAAAAUUCCUUUUUCAGAAAUAUUAGAAUAUUUUAAAACUUUUUAUAAUUAAUUUAAAAAUUAUGUUUUGAGGCCAAACCUUGUCAAUCAUUAAGAGAUUCUUUUAACAAAAGUAGACUAAGGCAUAUCUUUUCUCUUGAUCUUUUGUUUACUUGAUUUUGAUUUGGACUUGAAGUAAACUUGUGUUGCUUCUUUCUUUGGCAUCAUCAAAACCUUCAUACACAUACAUUCACACAACCACCAAAAUUGAGGACCGUUUUGUAAUUUUGUAAUUGGCAAUUACUUACCUUAAUUGCUUUCAAGUUUUGUAACAAAAACGCCUUUCAUUGGAAGUGUGUUGGUAGCCUCCAAUAGGUUACCAAACUUCCAUUUGUGUGUAAUAAUUUUAGGCAGUUUUUCCUUAGGAUAGUGAGUGUUUUGUUAGGAACCUUAAAUGUGGUCAUUCAAACACUCCUAGGAUUCGCCUAGUUAAAAUUUCCUGCACUUUAUUUUCUUGCUUACUUUCAUAGAUUAUUUUCUUUAAUAGUCAUGCCUAGUUUAUCUUGUAAUUACAUAAUACUUUCUUCUUGCUUAUCACGCUUAUCUUGAGUUCUUUUGAACCCUAGCUUUUACCUUUUACAAACCCCUAAUAAGAAAUAACCACAACUUAGGAACCACCAUGAGUCAUCAUUCAUCUAGUGUUAAUGGUGAGGGUACUAGUCAUAAGGACCCUUUAUCUAGAAUCUUAUAUGAGUUGAGUUCCCUCAAGUUAUGGAAAGAAAAACUAGAAAGAAAACAAAAAGGAAAAGAGAGGGUAGAAAUAAAUCAAGCUGAGAGAGAACAAAUAAGAGAGGAAGAAAGAAGAAAAAUAAUGAAAGAAAUGAAAAGAGAAAAACAUGCCUCCUAUAGUAGUCAUGACUCUUGCAAGAGUUUAAGUGAAGAACUUAGCGACUAUUAUAGAGGGGGCCAUAGUUCACAUACUAAACAUGAUUCCCAAAGAAGAGAAAAGGAUAGAAGGCCUCAAGAGGUUAACAUUAGCCUCCUAUAUUUCCAUGGAAAAGAUAAUGUUGAGGCCUACUUAGAUUGGGAAAUGAAGGUUGAACAACUCUUUGCUUGCCAUCAUACUAGCGAAGGGAGAAAAGUUCCAUUGGCUACCCUUAGCUUUCAAGGGUAUGCCCUUUAUUGGUGGACUUCCCUUGUUAGGGAACAAUAGAUUCAUGGGAUCCUCCAGUAGAGUAUUGGAAUGAUCUUAAGAGUGCCCUUAGGAAGAGGCACAUUCCCUCCUACUAUGAAAGGGAGCUUAUGGACAAGCUCCAAAGGCUUAGACAAGGGAGUAUGAGUGUUGAAUAAUAUAGACAACAAAUGGAACUACUCCUUUUAAGAGCUGAACUUAGGGAGGAGGAAAGAACAUGCAUAGCUAGGUUCCUUAGUGGGAUUAAUAUGGAAGUGAGGGACAAGGUUGAACUCCUUCCAUAUAGGGACCUAGAUGAGCUAGUCCAACUUUGUAUAACAGUGGAGCAACAACUUAAAAGAAAGCCUUCUUCAAAAUCUUAUGGCUUUCACUCUUAUUCAAGGAAGGACCAAGCCCAAGGAAUUUCGGGGGCUACACCUUCAAAACCCAAGGAAGAUAAAGGUAAUCCCAUAGAGAAAUCCACCCCUAAGACUAGUUCCCAAGAAAGGACUAGCAACAUUAAAUGCUUCAAAUGUCUUUGGAGAGGUCACAUUGUCUCUCAAUGCCCCACAAAGAAAACCAUGAUUAUGAGGGGUCAAGACGUUUAUAGUAGUCAAGAGGAGACUACUUCUUCCCCUUCCUCUAGUGGAAGUGAAGAUGAAGUAAGGGGUGAAGAGUCUAGUGAGGAAGUCUUCCCCCAAGAAGAAGGUGACCUCCUAAUGGUUAGAAGGCUCCUUGGAGGUCAAUCUUGUGAUCUAUCUCAAUCCCAAAGAGAGAACAUCUUUCAUACAAGAUGCAAAAUUUUAGAUAAAACUUGUUCUCUCAUUGUGUAUAGUGGAUCUUGUUGCAAUUGUUGUAGCACAAGAUUAGUUUCCAAGUUGAACCUCACUAUCAUUCCCCACCCAAAACCUUAGAAACUUCAAUGGCUCAAUGAGCAAGGGGAAAUGAUAGUUAAACAACAAGUGAAGGUACCUUUCUCCAUUGGGACAUAUAAGGAUGAAGUUAAUUGUGAUAUAGUUUCCAUCGAGGCAAGGCAUAUUCUUUUAGGAAGGCCAUGGCAAUUUGAUAGGAAGAUCAUUUACAAUGGUCUUACUAAUGAGAUUACCCUCACCCAUCUUGACACUCGAGUUUGUGUUUUGUUGCCCUACUCAAUUUUGUUUGUUAAAAAGGGUAGGAAAUUCAUGUCAAUAAAAAGGGGAAAAAAUAAUAUGGCAAUGAAUAACACAAAAGGCAUAGAACCUGCAAUUCAAAUUUUUGGAAUAUAUGGAACUAUUCCUAAAAUUUAGUCUAUAUGUUCCAAGCUUGGUGCAUAUGAUUUGUAUGCUCCAUCUUGAGUGGGAUUGUUAAAGUUUUAUGUUGUUUUGUGUAUUGUAGAUGUUUGUAAGUCAGCUUUAUUGUGGAGACAAUUGUAUUGUGUAAGUGUCAACAACUGUCUCCCUCCCUUUUGUACCCUGUAUAUAUAUUUAAUAUUGAGCAAUGCAAAGUAGGUUGAAUGUGUGAGAAUACACAAAAAUUCAAAUCUUAAGUAUCAUCAAAGUAAGUGUGAAGAAAAGUUUCCAAGUUAGAAAGGUUUCUUCAAGAGGAAAAACUCUUUGUUUUAAUCGAUUACAGGGUUGUUGUAAUCAAUUACAACAAAUUGUUUGAAGCUUCGAGAAUUGAGUCUCGUAUCGGUUUAAUCGAUUACAGUAGUCUCAUAAUCAAUUACCCUGUUGUUUGAGACAAUGAACGAUCUAUUCAGGAGUCUCUGCUUUAAUCGAUUACCAAGUAGUUUAAUUGAUUACUUCUCUUUUGUUUAGUAAUUCAGAAGUGAACAAGAACACUUUAAUCGAUUACCUUGAGUAUCUAAUCGAUUACUUUGUUCUUGAGUUAUUUCCAGAUGUUGGGAAAAACUCUUUAGUCAAUUAAAGAGAUAAUCUAAUUGAUUACUUCAGUGAAUAAAUCAAUUACUUUGUAGAUUUAAUCGAUUACAGGUGGUUAUAAUUAUUUUAUCUAUAAAUAACCAGCUUGUUUUUCCUUCAACUAACAUCGAGAGAAUACUCAAUAUCUCGAAAAUAAAAAACAAGCCUCUAAAUGAGCUAAAGAUAUCGAGUUGUUAUUAGUAAGAAGAGAAGAGAAGAAAAGAUCUUUGUAUAGUAACCCAACUUCAAAAUCGUUUGAUUGUGAAGACUUUUUCUUAGAAGUGAGUUAUGUAAGUUUCUUGAGUUCAAGAAGAACAUCUUCUCAGUCAAGCAAGGUUUUGCGGAAAAGAUUGAAAAAGAAAAGAGAAGGCAGAUAGGUCUGUAGCGUCCUGUAAGUCCUGCACAAGGCAGAUAGGUCAUGUAAGCAUAAAAGUCUGAAAAUAAGCAACAAUUAUCAAUUAAGCCCAAUUAGUCGCUUAAGACUAAAAUUGAAUUAAGGUGAGAAAAUAAGAGUCAAAGAAAUGUCAAAUAAGCUAAGAAGAAUAAGAGAAUAAUAAAAUAAAAAUGCUCUAUCACAGCCCCCUCUCCCAUAGGUGGGUGGGGUUUUUGGCCAUGAUGACCUUUUGGGGUUCACGCUAUGUAAUUAUUUUAAACAAUGUAAUCUUGCACUAUGAAAUUUUUCGCAAUUAAAAUUAUUUUUUUCUAGCUUUAGCAAUUAAAUCUAGACAAUAGUUUUUUUAAUAAAACUUAAUACUUUAGGUAUUUUUGUGUAAUUAAAUGAAUCCUAAUGAUCAAAUAUUUUUUAUUUUUUAAAAGAAUUAAAUCAACAAACAAAAUAUCAUAGACAAACAAUUGAGGGCAAACAAUUACAAACAAUCAAUAAUCAAGAAAUAAAUUAACACGGUGGUUUUUAAUCAAAUCACACUAAACAAAUAAUUCAAUCACAACACAACUAAAGAAAUUAAUAAGGGAGAAAUAUAAAUGCGAUAGUAAAAUAAAGAUUAUCAUAAAUUAAGGUAAACAAUGUUAGAAUUUUUUCAAGUAGAAUAAUUUUAGGUUUUAUUAUUUUCUUAUUAGUUUAAAUUUCAACAUUAAAUUUUAAAGAUGAUAGGUUAUACAUUGACAGUGUAAAAUAGAUUCAUAUUUACAAUUGUCAUCCAAUCAUAACCCAUCAUGUAUCGUAAAUUUGUUGACUUUUAUAAUAAUUACUUUAAAAGUCAUAUCUAUAGUUAUUUAUGAUUAGAUGAUAAUGUAAAAUUAUUUUACACGGUUAAUGCAUGAUUUUGAAACUCUUAAUUUUACUACAUACAAAACAAAGUCCAUAUGUAGAUAAAAACUAAUAAACCGAUUUGGAUAAUAAAAGUUGUUUAUCAAAGUACAUUAAAGUAGACUAGAUGUGUGCAUAUAUGACAUAAAGGAUACAAUAAAAUUAUAAAACCUUUUGUGAACCCUCUAUUUUUUUUCCGCUUGAUCUAUCCGUAAUUUAAUUUUGGUUAUAAGUAAAAUGACUACAGAUGACAACAAAAACUGUUCCCAUAAGUAAAAUCUAAGAAAAAUUGCACUUUUGGUCCCCCAAAUUUAAUCCAAUUUUGCAUUUGGUCCCCCGAAAAUUUAAUUCACACAUUUGGUCCCUGUAUUUACAAAUUUCUGCAAAAUUGGUCCUGGAUGCCCCAAUCAAACGUUGACUGUUAACCUCAGACGUUGACUAUCACGUGCCAAUGUCUGAGUGGUUCCAUAGAAAAGAUUUUUUUUUCUUCCUUCUCCUCUGCCUUUUCUUCUCUUUCUCUCUUCUCUUUAUCUCUCUACAACUUUUUUUUCCACAAAAUCUCGUAACCACAAGUCAUGAACCACUAUGAAUCCCUUAUCAUUCAUUGUCUUUCCUCCCUUUUGCAACCUCCAUCAUACCUGUAAACAGACCCAAAACCCAAACAACACCAAAUUAGAUCCAAAUUAAUUUGAAACCCUCAAAACAGAAAACACAACUUUGUCAUCAUGAUCUGUUUCAAAGAAGCAAAGUCGAAGGGUGUUGAGAGGAAGAAGAAUGGUUGUCGGUUGUUUGGUUUAGAAAGUGAUGGUCGCCAUGCACCCAUCAAGCAAGACCAUCAUUCGCUGGUUUCCAUCAUCGACAUAUGGCAAAUGGCAGCCACCAUCGACGUUGUGCCCACACCUACCAAGAACUGCCAUUAAAACGAGGAGAGAUAAAUCAUUUUCAUCUUUGGAUAUGGUUUCAUUUAUAAAGAUUUGGUUUCAAUUUUUGCAGAUUUUGUUUCGUUUUGUGCAUAUUUGAUUUCAUUUUGUAUAGAUCUAGUUUCAUUUUUUGCGGAUUUGGUUUCCUUUUUUGUGGAUCUGAUUUUUUUUUCCUGUUAAAUUCUUGGCUUUAUUUAUAAAGAAGGGUUGCAUUGUAUUGAAUCAUAUAUCAUAUCAUAUAAACAUGGCUUGUUCGAGUGGAACAUCUUUAGGAUCAUUAUCUCUGCUUCAGAACUCUAGUUCUGAGGAAGAUUUGCAGGCAAUGAUGGAAUAUCAUAGAAAGAGGAAGAGAAUGAUAUCAAACCGCGAAUCUGCACGGCGAUCUCGCAUGAGGAAGUAGAAGCACUUGGACGAUCUUGUUUCCCAAGUGGCUCAGCUCAGAAAAGAGGCGUUGGGGAGGGGAGCCCAGGCAGAGGGAGGCAAAGUACUGGCUGGAGCCGGUGGGGGCACCGGAGGUGAGGGGGGAGUUGGCGGAGAGGCGGCGGAGGUCGACAACCACUUAGACGGUGAAGGAAUGUUGUGAGAGAGAAAGAGAAGAAGAGGCAGAGGAGAAAAAAAAAAGCAAGGCUUUCCAGGAAGCCACUCAGACGUUGACACGUGGCAGUCAACGUCUAAGGUUAACAGUCAACGUUUGAUUGGGGCGUCCAGGACCAAUUUUGUAGGAAUUUGUAAAUACGGGGACCAAAUGUGUGAAUUAAAUUUUCGGGAGACCAAAUGCGAAAUUGGAGUAAAAUUGAGGGACCAAAAAUGCAAUUUUACCUAAAAUUUACUACAAAUUAAAAAUAAAUAAUUUAAUGAAUACUUACGAGUAAAAUAAAUAAUUUUUUUCUCUAUUUGCUUAUUACGUGGCAUGCUGCAUUUACCCAUAAUUUAAAAGUACUUAAAUAACUUUAAUUAUAUACAAUUAAGUUGGUGUAUUUUAAUUUUAGCAUAAAUAAAAUAAUUCAAAAUUAUUAUUUUUUAGUAUAAAUAUAUGUUUCGACUAUUUUUAAUGAAGAUUAAGCUAUAUGAGGAAAUAGGAUCUAUAUGUUUCAAAAUUGUUCGUAUAUUUUUUUAUUUGACUUUUUUAAAAAAUAUUUUAAUAAUUAUUCACAUACAUUGUGCGUAUAUACUAACAAAUAUUUAUAAAAUUCAUUCAUUGAUGUUCACUUAAAAAGUAUUGGUAUGAGUACAAAGCGAAGAUAUGUAUUCAUCUAAGGAGAUCAAGAUAAGAGGCUACUAUUUGGGCCAACAUUGUGUCCUCGUCAAUCCUAAUAAUGAUUUAGUAUGUACGAUAUCAAAUUAUAUUUAUAAAUCAUUAAUAUUUUAUACAAUAUUUAUAUUUAAAAAUUAUUAUAGGCUACUUCAUUUUUCCAAUAUUCUUGUGGAAGAAUAUCUGGAUCCAUCAUCGUCCUUUGAGCUCUAGUAUCUAUAAAAGCAAUAACCUUAAUUGGUUUUUCAAUUUUUUUUGCCAAAACCUGAAUUUCAACACAUGGUUGAGGAAUCGCAGGCCUGAUAGAUUGUUGUUCUUGUAUGGAGAAGAUGGGGAUGGGAGGUGCUGGGGAUUCUUCAUCAGAAGAGUCUGUCUGGUUUAGGGCAAAUUCAGUCUCAUCAUCUGGCUCACUCUGUUCAGAGUACAGAGAUUCUAUAUCAUCGUAUUCACCUAUUUGAAGAUGAGAGAUUAGUCUGAUGGUUUUUUGUGACUUCUUAGGACAAUUUUUUGCAAAAUGUCCCGUCUGGUUGCAAAUGAAACAUCUUUGUCCCCUGGAUUUUCCUCUCCUUUGUCUUCUCCUGAAAAACUACAAUGGCCUUCUUUUCUCCUUUGUGUGAGUUUGUAAGGCUUUCUUUUUCUUCAGUGAGCAAUGACAAGUUUUCUCUCUGCAUUUGAUAAGUAAGGUUUUUUACAUGCUCUACUAUACUUGGCUUUUCUGUUCAUGAUGUAUAGUGGUGUUGUCUGCAUAAUUUGUCAACGACCUCCAGAAUGAAUUGAUGGAUUUGUCCCAUAGACAUGGUAGAACAUUAGAAAUAUAAAUAUCACUAAAAUAUUAACAAAAAAAUACAAAUAUUAUACUACUUAAAAUAAAUACAUUAAGAAGUGUAUAUGUUAAUAAAUACAUUAAGAAGUUUAUAUGUUAAUAAAUACCACUACAAUAUUACCAAAAAAUAUCACUAUAAUUCUUUUUUAUCAUAAGUACUAAAAUAAAUACAUUAAGAAGUUCAUAUGUUGAUAAAAAAUAUAUUUAUCUUACAAAAUUAAUAAUAAAUGUAAAUUAGAAUUAUAACUGUAUAUUAUACGGUUCUACGUACUAGUUGGAUGAUAAGAAGAAAAAAAAGUAGGUGAAUUGACGAUCUUUUUUAGCUGAGAAUGAGAGGAAUUUCGGGAAGUAUUUAGUUCAAAUGCAUCUUGAAUUAAAUUCAUGCAAAACGGUGUUUGUGGAUAGUCAUCAUCAUGUUGAUUAUAUAAUCUCGACAACAAAAUCUUACUCAACAUUUUCCCCCAAAAAUUAUUUUCAUUGUCAUCUCUUAUCCACUUCACCAUUUUAGUUGUUGUUAAUAGAACAUUUUUAAUUAUGUCUUAUUUUUAUUAGAAAUUAUAUUGAUAAUAUAUGGAUUAAAAAAUUACAUUAAUAAUGGUGGUACUCCCUCGGUUCCAUUUUAUUUUAAGUUUAAGGUUUUCAAUAAUAAACAUAAGAUAAGAUAUAAAAAUUAGAUAGAAAUAAGAUACGAUAACAUAAUUAUGUUUUACUAAUACAUCAAAUAACAUAUUAUAAUAAAUAAUAAAAUUAUAUAAUCAUCAUAUCUUAUCCUAUCGCAUUUAAGUAAUCAAAUGAGCUUUUAAAAAUCAAUAACGGUUGACAUAGGUAAUAGCGUCUUGUGUCUCUUAAUCAAAUGAUUUAGGAUUUGAAUCCUGGUUAAACCUUGUGUAUGAAAUAAAUUGUGUUUGGAGGUUAAUAUCUAUCUUGUAUAUGCUCAUGGUCAUGGUCUGGAGAAAAAUGGAUUUUUAAGAUUUUGGAACAUGAAUUAAGAAAUCUCAUAAAUGGGCUUCGGCCCCCUCUGUCCAAAAGCUUUAAUUAUUAUCACCUUGGCUAAAUAUAUCUCAUUAUUAAAAAUUAUUAUUAUUAAGAUUAUAUUUUAUAUACUUGUUAUAAAAUUUAAUGACUUUUAGUUAUUAUUAUAUUUAAUGAGUUUGUUCAUUUUUUUUAUUGUGAGACUGAGAUUAUUGUCUAUUUAAUUGAUAUUGUGAUUGUGAGACCUCAAAGUCCUUCAAAACUUGAAAUAACAAAUUAGUAUGAAUGAUAAUUACAUGUGUGUUCUUCUUAUAUCAUUUGAAUAAAAUCAAUGUUAGUUUUGUGUAAAAAUAAUAAAUAAGUUUAUAAAAUAUUUAUUGGUUGAAGUUAAGUUGUUAAGUAAUUAAUUAAGGUAGUGUUUGGUUGAUUUACACUUAAUUGUAUUUGAGAUGAAAAUUUCAAAAAUUGGUGUGGAUCACACGCUUAUACACUCUACCUAAAUUUAGAUAUUUCAUCUCAAUUCAUUGCCACACCUCUUUCACUCAUUCAAACCAAAUCUACCCUAAAGUAUAUAAAAAAAAAAUACAGCCCCCCUUCAGUCAUUUUCCUGAUCCAUCCCUGGUUAUUCAAUAUAUGUUUGCCAUUUUUAAUUUAAUUCAAACAAAAGAGUAGGAAAUAUUAUAUAGAAGCCAAAAUAAUCCACUAAAGUAGUAGAAAUAUACACGAGUUACUAUCUUUUUGGCCUCUAAAGUUUUAAGAUUUUUAAUUUAGUUCAUCAACUUUUUUUCCAUUCUUAUUUUUAAUCCCUUAAAAAGAGCUUAAAGUAAAGAUGAAAAAUAGAGUUAUGAGAGUAAAAGUUUGGACAAAAAAAAAAUUUAAGGGACUUUGAUUAGUAAAAAAAGGUCAAGAAUUAAAAAAACAUAAAUUCAAAAAACUUUAACGAUUAGAAAAAUAUAAGUUCAAGUCAACUUUGCUCCUCCAGAAGUAAUGACCAAAGCUGAAGUAAAGGAGAUGAUUGAACUGACUAUGGACAACUUUGUUGAAAAGCAAAGGGCUGAGAAUGAUGAGUUUAGAUGCACCAUGCAACACGUAGUAGCUACUCAAUUCGGUGUUCUUGGUGAAUCUCUCAUUCUAAGUCUACAGUAAGCCUAGAUGCGCUUAUUUAAUGAUGCUGUUGUUGCUCCAAUGCCACUUCCACCCAUCCAACCUUAACCACUAGUAAGUGUUCCACCCACUCUUCCAACCCCUACCCAAACCCAAGCACUUAGCCUUGACCCGGCAUCACAAACAACCAUUCCUCAAACACUUCCGCCACCACCUACCCACUCUGACAUUCCACCACCACCACCCCCCACUCAAGAUCUGCAGUGAUGACCUUCAUUAAUUCUUUCACCUUCAAACCCAUUAUCUUUUUUCUAAUGACAAAAGGGGGAGAAGUUUAUGAAAUAAUUUUUUGGAUGUAAACACCAGUCAAUCAACAAAAUAAGGUGUUUUGAAAGAUAUAUCUAUGACUACAACUGCAUUCACUCAUGCACAUACAUAUUAGACUUAGGGGGAGCUAAAAGCUACCAAACAUAGCAUUCUGAUUUGUUGUCAUUCAUACUACAAUUAUUCUGAUAUAUACUUGCUAUACCCACUACUCAAAAUUUAUAUAGUUUGUGAUCAUAAAAAAUGGGGAGAUUGUUAGACAAUAUACGAUCUAUCACUAGACGACCCAAACAUAUCUUAUGGUUUUGAUGUAAACAAAGAUUUAAAUUUAUGCUAACCACCUUGUUGCAUGUAAUUCAAUAUGUUUGAUGACCGGAAGCAACACCAGGUGAGACUUAUCCAUUAAUGCAUACCUUGUCUACUAAAGCAAGAAAUACUCGUCCAAACAAUCCAAAACACGAUUGGAAUAAGCAUUCUAUUUGAAUUAUCAAUUUAUUCCAAUUUAUAUGAUUUUGUUUAAAAGGAACAUAUAUGCGAAUCUAUAGUUUAUUUCCUUUUAUACAUCUAAACGGUCAUAUUUAGUUAUGAAUGAUAGAUAUGGAAAGUCCCGAUCGUAUCAGACAGAAAUGCCCAAUAUCCGCUUAUUUCAGGAAACAAGAUCAAUCUACACAACGGGCAUACCAUUUAAAUCCGAAGAUACUCUCCAUAAUAACAAGCGUCUCUCAACCUAUAAAGACGACAUUAAAGAUUGAAAAACAUUUGACGAAUGUACAUAGAAAGACAAGAGUUGUGAAUCAUGAAACGAAAGAAAAGAAAGGCAUUCGAUUAAGAAAAACACUAAGCUUAAGAGAUACCAUCCUUUGUAGUGUACAAAAUAUUAGUGAGAGAUAAGAAUCUUAUUGUAAAUCCACUCUUCGAAUGUUGUAAAGAAUCUCUGAUUCUAUAUCAAACUUCUGUAUGUGAAAGCCAAGAGUGGCUUAGUGACAAAACAAUACUUGGGUGUUAUUAGAUUCAUGGGAGUCUAAGGGUUAUGCUUGGAGUGGCCUUGAGGAUACUUGUAAGCUAUAAGUGGUAGGAAAGAACACUAGUUGUAAUCAAGUUUGAUUAGUGGAACCCUUUACUAGUUAGUAAAGGAGAAUUGGACGUAGCUCAGGUUGAGUGAACCAAUAUAAAAUGAAGUAUUUUUAUUGCUCUUCAUUAGGUAAUUAAAGUAUUUCAUUGUCCAUUAUUGACAGACUCUGCACACAAGGUUUUUACUAAAAAACAAGUUUUACACCUCAUUUGAUGACAGUUCACCUUUAGUCACUAGACGAGGGUUUUUAUAAACUUGUUUAUUAUAACAUCUUCCAUUUCAAAAAGGUUUUAUAUUUUGACUAACACACUAUUCAACCUCCUUUCUAGUGUGAUUUGUUGUAUUUCAGUUGGCAUCAGAGCCUGACCUCUCGAAUUGAGUAUUCUACAAAUAUAGAGGAAAGAUCAUAAAGUCAAAUAGAUAUGGAAGAAGGAUAUUUCACAAACAAGCCACCACUAUUCAGAGGCGUUAAAUACGACUACUUGAAGGAACGUAUGAUAGCUCAUUUCGACUCUAUUCAUAUAGACCUUUUGGAUGUCAUAGGACAUGGCAACUACAUACUACUGGACAAUUAGCUGAAUGAAGUUCCUAGAACCUCUUGGAGAGACGCUCAAUGUCAAAGGAUCCCAUUGAACUCUAAAGCUCAAAAUGCUCUACCAUGUGCCCUCUCUUAGGAAGAAUAUACAAAGGUCCAUAGCUACAAGAGUGAAAAACAAAUGUUGGACACAUUAGCUCUAAUGUAUGAAGGAUCAUUACAGGUAAAAUGCAACAAGCUCAGCUUGUUGACACGUAAGUAUGAACUCUUCACUAUGAAAGAUGGUGAAGAUAUACAAGCCAUGUUUGGAUGCUUCCAAACUAUUUUAAAUGAAUUACGCUGUCUUAACAAAAUUUUUAAUAAUUAUGAUAAUAUUGAAAAAAUUCUAAGAACUUUAUCCAGAAAGUGGAGACCAUAUUUGACAACAUUGAGAAUUGUAAAGAACCUGAAUUCCAUGUCCAUUGAAGAAUUGAUUGAAACCUUAAAGGUUCAUGAGCAGGAACUUCAACAAGAUGAAGGAUUUAAAAAGGGAAAAUCCUUGGCUCUAAUAGACCAAAAAGCCAAAGUCUCUUCAACAUGCAAAUAAUCUUCAUCUGGAACUGUGUCCAAAAGCUCAUUGAAAACUAUUAACACUAAUACAUCUUAUGAUGAUGAGUCUGAUGAUGAAAGUUCAGAUGAAGAUGAUCAAUUAGACUUCAUCUCAAGGAAGAUAAGGAACAUGUGGAAGAAAAGGAGUGGAUCAGACUAGAAAUGAUCCAAGAAACCACAUAGAGAAACAAAGGACAAGGAUAGAAGCUCCAUCAUAUGUUAUGAGUGUAAGAAACCAAGACACUUCAAGUCAAAAUAUCCAUAUCUUGAUAAGACAGAUCACAAGAAAAGGUACUUCAAACCAAAAGGAAAGAAAGUACUAAUGAGCACAUGGGAAGAACUGGAUGACACAUUGUUCGGCGAGGAGACAAAAAAGGAAGAAAAAGUCAACCUCUGCCUGAUGGUAGACACUGCAUCAGAAGAAUCAGACUCUGAAUUAGAUGAAGAGGUAAAUAUAACAACAUUGAAACUCUUCAAUUAGCAUAUCAUGAACUUCUCUCUAACUCAUCCAUUUUGUCCAAAGCUUAUCAAAAUCUGAGAAAGGACUUCAAAAGUCUUUAAAAAGAUUACAAACAACUUCAAGGAAAACAUGAAGAAAAGAUAGAUAAUUCUUCAGAAAUUUCCACUCAAUCAUGUGAUGACUUUGAAAGUCUAAAGUUAAAGACAAUAAAGCUUCACUUUAAAAAUGAGGAAAUUUGUAAAGAAAGAUCUAUUCUAUUGGAAGACCUUCAAAAGUUGAAAAAAUCAAUAGGAAGGUUUAAAAAAUGAGUAUAUCACACUCAAUUAACUUCAUGUUUGCUUAAAUGAGGAAAGGUGUAAUCUAUUGAAAGAAUGUUUACGAGUCCAUAAGAAUUAUGAAAACUUGGAGGCAAGUAAACAUAACUUAUAGGUUGAAUGUGAAGGAUGUAGGAAAAGCCUGGAAUUCUGAAAUGAUAAACUUGGAUAGUAUGAGCUCUCCAAAAACUACCUCAAGAUGUUGUUAUACUUCAUCAAGAAAUUGAAUUUCAGAGAAACUCUAUCCAAAUUUGUUGGAUGCAAUGAGAAACUUAACAAAAUGUUAAGAUAUAGCAAAUGCCUAACUAACAAAUUUGGAAAUGAAUAUAAAGGAAAGAAGUAUGUCCAUGAUUGUCGCAACCUACCCUUCAGCGGGAGGGCGACGCUAGGGCUCACGGGUGCGUCUUCCAAGAGAGGAAGAUGUAACAUCCCACUUUUUCCAUAAAUAAAUUUAAAAAGUUUUUUAGUAAAAAUAAUAAUAAAAUAAAUAGAGUAAAUAAUAGGUCGUAAAUGCCCCUAACUAUAAAUAGCAACAUGCUAGGUUUUUCAGACUGACUCCUCAGCCUCCUCUGCCUCUCAUUUUCGUUUUUUCCCUUCUCCUCUCAAAACCCUUUCUUUUUCCCGCAACUCACUAAAUCUGUCUCAUAAAAACGACGAUCUCGGACUCAUUCACUGUUGGAUCAUCAUGAAAUUUAAACACCAGGUUCGCAACCCAAUUACGAGAAUUCUCACCAUUGGGAAUUUCAAAAUCAUGUCUGAGCUUAUUGGAAAACCCUUCGCAUUGUAGCCUUUUAAUUUCCCGCAGAAACCCAAAACUGUCUCGGUAAAAUUAUGAUCCCGGUUUCGUUAACCGUUGGAUUUUCAUGAAAUUUGGAUAUUUUGUUCGAAAUUCAAUUGCGCACACUUCCACCGUUGGGAUUUGAGAGAUAAUAUUAGUGAUUGGAGAAAAAGGAAUCGCAUGAAGACAGUACAAGUGGAGGUUUCAAUCUCUUCUCCGUCUCUCUGACGUUUGGGAAUUCUAUCGGAGCAGUCGGAGGAAUAACUGAAGGAAUCUCAGGGAACCGCUAGAGAUGCUGCUAUCGCUGGCUAAAGACACGUGAGUCCGCUCAGAGGUAAGGGAUGAGUUAUUCACGAUUAGGGAUUAGUGAGAACAUGUGCAGGGAUCCUUAGAGUAUCAAUUGGAAUGAAUUUUGGGGUGUUUCUACAAUUUUUACUUUAUCCUUAUAAUUAUAACUAUGAGUUAUAUAUAAAUUAUAUAUGUUUGAUGAAUCAUUUGAUGUCCCAAUGAGAAAUUUUUGUAAAAUUAAUGUGCUCUUGUGUUGAGUGUGAACCGUAGUUGAUGAAAUUAAGUAAGGAGAUAUUGAGUUUGUAUUUUUCCCCUUUUCAUGCUUUUUAGUUUUUUUAUAGUUUAAAAUUGAGAAAAGAAUUCUAAUAGACUAUGUGUUGUAUUCUUAGAUAAUAUAUAUAUGAAUUCAUGUAUACUUAUAUAUAUGAGAAAGUGUUUAUAUAAUUAUUUUGAAUUGGUACAUUGAAAACUUUCUUAAAAUUCAUGAUCAAAUAUGAUAUACGUUACUGGAUUUAUAUAUAUAGAUUUAGUUAUAUAUUUAUUUAUAUUAAUAUUUUAUGUAAAUAAUGUUGUAGUGUUGUUAUUGUGUGAUUCCAAAAAUUAUUCAAGUGUUGGAGUUUGAGAAUACUAUGUUUAGAUUUGAGAUACAUGUGUAUUGAGAUAUGUGCAUUGAGUUAUGAGUUGUGAAUUAUACAAUAACCCGACCAGUGUUGAUAUUGAGAAAAUUGUUUAUGCGCAGUGUUAAAGAGAAAGUGUAGGUUCCUAGUUAGGAACCAGUGUUAAAUUGUAGCGCAAUUGUGUUAAACAUGUUUGAAACAUGAGUGUGAGGUCAUGGUAUUGUAUAAUUCAUGAGCAGUGUUUAUAAAUGAAAUAUGUGAUAAAUUAUGGAAUAAUAUGUUGCCUUGAGAUUAUAAUAUUGUUAUUGAGAUUGAGUAAAAGUGUAAAGUAGAACAUGUGUUGAAUUGUGAGAUACGUGAAAACAUGUGAUGGUGGAUUGUGACAUUAUGAGAUGUGAAAUUGUGAAUGAGUUUUGGUUGUGAAUAAGUGUGUGAUUAACUCUUGAUGUGACAUUAUUUGUGUUUAAGCUGUGAAUUGUACAAUAACCCGACCAGUGUUAUCUUGAGAAAAGUGUAAAUGCGCAGUGUUAAAGAGAAAGUGUAGGUUUCCUAUUUAGGAACCAGUGUUAAAUUGUAGUGCUAUAUGUUGUAUGUGUUUAACAUACGAGUGUGAGGUCAUGAGUAUUGUAUAAUUCACGAGUAGUGUCUGUGUGCUAAAAUGAUUUUAGGGGUUGGACCUGAAUCAGGAAGGAGAGGCCCUGACGGACUCUUCGGAGUGUAGGCCUUGGGGGUCACCGGGUUUGAGUGCUCCUUUAAGCCUAUGCUGAUCCCAUAUGGUUGGAGCAUUCUCGCAAAACAUCGUGACCCUGACUGGUCUCCCUAUGAUCUUACUUAGUGAGAGUGACCAAACAAACCCAUUGUUUGGUGUGUCUUGUUAUGUACUCCUAAGCGCCCCAGGGUGGUUUUUCAUUGACAUGGUACCACAUUGCAUAUAGGCUUGAGUCUUAGCAUAACUUUCUCAUGCGCUUGCUAAUUGUUUAUUAUGAAAUUGAUGUGUUAUUAUGUCUUGAUCAGAGCGUGUGAUUCUUGUGUAAUGUGAUUGAUGAUUGAAAAGUGAACUUUGAAUAACAAAGUGGUGGAAUUACGUGAAUUACGUGUAACUAAGUUUUAUUUGGUUUAUAUGAUAUGUAUAUAUAGUUGUCUUGUUUCUCUAUUAGUUAGGAAUGUGAUAACUCACUCCCCGUGUGUUGUUUGUGUUUGGAUCCUGUGAUGAUCUUGAACUUUGUGUUCGGAGGAGCAGAUGACUAGGUGAAUUGCUUUAAGGAACCAUGUGCUGAAGGACGUUGGGACACAACACUCUGAUAGGAUGUGACAUUGGGGUAUAGGGAUUUAUAGAUGGCCUUGUUUGAGCCGAAGUGAAUUUAUUAUUUAUUUAGAAAAGUUUUAUGAUGAUGUUAGAAAGGUGAAUGUGAGCCUGCUACCCUCUUGAAAGGCUUGUAUUUAAAUAUGUUUUAAAAACUUGAAUUAAGUUUAAUUUUUUUAAUUAUUUCUUUUAUUAUUAGUACAUAUAUGUGUGGGGUAGAGGGUGUCACAGAAGGCGCGCGGAGUCGCCACCAACGUUUAUUCGUGGAAAAUAUCGGAAAAACUGGAAAGGUGUCUACGAACCUCAAGUGUAAAAGGUUCAGGAGUUGUAUUUAGGCAAGGGGAAGGUAUUAGCACCCCACGUGUCCGCCACGAGGGACGAUAGCCUUUAAUUAAAUGUGCAAUGUCAUUACUUCAAUUAUUUUUUAUUUUCUCUUUUUAUGUUUUUACCUUUUUUGUGGUCGACAAAAGCGGGGCUUUUGCUCCUACGUAUCCUCAAUUGCGAUGAGGAAAUCAGACCUACGUAGUUCUUGCAAAAGCGAUAAAGUUAUGUGUUGAUUUUAUGCUUUGAAUGGUCCAUUUUAACCAAUAAAAGCAAAGAUGACCAUUUUAAGGCGUUGGACCCUAAAAACGAUUUUGAGUGACUUUUGCGGACAAAUCUUGGUUUGUGAGUUGAUUUUAGCCUUAGUUUCACUUUGAUUAUUAGUCAAUUCAUUCAAGGAAACUUUCAAAGAAAAAUGUCUGAUUGAUUUUUUUGAUUAUUUUAUUCAAAGAUAUUGUGACUAUUUUAUUAUUUUUUUCAAGAUAUUUUGAUUAUUUUAUUAUUAUUUACCUUUUUUAUGUAACCGAGGUUACAACGUGAAUAAUCGGUUAGAUUUUGCUUUAACAGUGAUUAAACGACAUUACAACACAAAUGAUCGGUUGAAAUUCAUUUUUAUCAUUUAUUAGGUGAGAUAACGGCUUAAAAGAUCGGUUAAAGCUCGUUAAAAAUGGAAGAAAAGAAAAUCGAAAGUGAACAAAAAGAAGAUGAAAGCCAACAAAACAAAAAAUAAAUUGAAAGUCUCGGAUUCGAAAACUUACCGGUUGAAGAACGGAGAACGGACGAAGAACGACGGAAAAUCUUCACGAAAUCACCCACGGAAAUGUUACGGAAGCGUUACAGAAGAACUUCGACUCGAUUUUUCUUCAGGAAAACGUGGAUUUUCACCCAAAAUAGCCGAAAUGCAUAGCCUAGGGGUCAUGAACCCUUUUGAAAUAGCCCCCUUCCCCUAUUUAUAGGGAAAAGGGGUGGUGCUUGCUGCCCUACUCGCCAAGGCGAGCAAGUAGCUUCCUCAAAAAGUUUCCUGAGGCACCCCCCUUUUACUAAGUUCACCCCUUUUUUUUCAUAAUUUACGGAGAAGUUAUGGAAGUCUUACGGAAGCCUAUCAGACUUGAUUUAAUUCUUUUUUCUCUUCCUUCUUACCCAUCUUAAGUGAAAUAUGCUUAUUUAGGGUUACGGGAAUUUUACGGAAGCAUUACGAAAGCCUUGGAAGCCAUUUUUUCACAAAAUGGGAGAGGAGCUUGCCACCUUGCUUGCCCAGGCUAGCAGGUGGCUUCCUCAGGAAGCAACCCAGCUUCCAAGGGCCCAGAUUUGAAAAUUGCUAUUUGCACCUUCAGUUUUACUAAAUACACCCCUUUGUGCUUUUCUGCUGAUUUCUUUCCAUAACCUCCCGAAACUUUACGGAUUGCACGAUGAUGAGUGUUAAGUGUUCCGGAGUAAUCAACAACGGUUCCUGGACAAAAUUACAGUCCAUUUACACCCCCGGUUUGCUAAAUAUACCCUUGUUUUUUUGCGUUCUUUACCGUUCCUUUUCCAGAAUGCCUUGGAACUUCACGGAUUCCAUGGGGGCAGGUCUCAAGUGUUCGGAAGUGGUCAAAUGAGGUCUGCAUCCUCGCAAACAAUGGUCCCUGGAUGAAAUUUGGGUAUGACAAUGAUGAAGAAACCAUAGUAUGCUACUUCUGUGGAAAUAUUGGACACAUGGCAUCCAAGUGUAGACAUUUACCAAAGACUGGAUUGCCCUAUGCUUUUAAAAUUGACCAAAAAGGGCCCAAGAAAAUUUUGGUACCUAAAGAGAAAAUAAUUCCUGUUGCAAAUAUAUUCAACCAAUACAAGAAAACACCAAUCAUGGUACCUGGAUAGAGGUUGCUCAUGCCACAUAAUAAGAUAAAAGUGUAUGUUCCAAUGCUUGACUCCCAUGCAUGGUGGAAUAGUCACUUUCAGAGGAAAUCAGAAGGGGAAGAUAGUAGGGAUAGGAAAGAUAAGUACUAAUCCCUAUCCUUCCAUUGAUAAUGUACUGUUUGUUAAAGGGCUUAAAUAGGAUCUACUUAGCAUAAGUCAAUUAUGUGAUAGUGGACUUGAUUUUUCCUCUAGCGAAGAUGGGUGUGUUGUCUAACACAAAAAUGGUACCCAACUUUUUGCUGCUAAAAGGAAAGAUAAUCUUUAUAAGAUUAAUCUUAGUGAACUAUCAAAUCAAAAUGUAACAUGUCUAUUAUCCAUCAAAGGAAGUCACUGGGUAUGGCACAAGAAACUUGGACGUGCAAGCUUGAGGUUAAUCUCAAAACUUCAAAGAUAUGACCUUGUAAGAGGUUUACGAAGAAUGUCAUACAAAGAUGAUUUACUUUGUGAAGCAUGUUAGAAGGGGAAACAAAUUAAAACCUCAUUUUCAAGAAAAAAACUAUGUUUCCACCACAAGACCACUUGAAUUGUUACAAAUUGAUUUGUUUGGUCUAACUUGAACAAUCCCUGUCAGUGGAAUGAGAUAUGGUCUAGUAGUAGUGGACGACUACUCCAGAUGGACAUGGGUUAUGUUCCUUGCUCACAAGAAGGAGUCCUUUGAGGUAUUUUUAAUAUGUAAAAGAGUUCAAAAUGAAAAGAAAGUAUGCAUUACUUCAAUAAGAAGUGAUCAUGGGGGAGAGUUUGAAAAUGAAAUAUUUCAUCUAUUUUGUGAAGAAAAUGGAAUUCUUCAUAACUUCUCCACUGCUAGAACACCUCAACAAAAUUGUGCUAUUGAGAGAAAGAAUAAGUCAUUGCAUGAAAUGGAUAGGACCAUGCACAAUGACAACUCUACACCUAAACAUUUCUAGAUUGAAUUAGUGAACACUACCUAUUAUUUACAAAACAAAAUCUACAUUAGAUCCAUUCUAAAAAGGACUACUUAUGAACUAUGGAAAGGACAAAAACCCAACAUUUCAUAUUUCCAUCCUUUUGGAUGUCAGUGUUUUAUUCUUAACACUAAGGACAACUUGUGAAAGUUUGAUUCUAAGUGUGAUAAUGGAGCAUUACUUAGGUGCUCUAAAACAUCCAAGGCAUAUAGAGUUUACAAGUCUAGAACCUUAGUUGAGGAAGAAGCUAUUCAUGUAAGAUUUAAAGACACAACGCCUGAUAUAUAGCUUGAUGAAUCUUUUGUAGAUAUAAAAUUGGACAAAGGCAUUGGACCAUUGACAGGGCAAUCUUUAGAAACAGACACACUCAACCAAGUAACAGAACAACCUCAAUAAGAAAGAGAACCAACUGGACAAAUUCUAAGGAAAAACCAUCCAGAGAGUCAAAUUAUUGGAGAUCCUUUAACCAAAGUCCAGACAAGAGUAUCUCUUAGACAACAUGGCUACACAACUCUCAUUUCAGAAGUAGAACCCAAGCAUAUUGACGAUGCUAUGGAAGAUGAGAAUUGGGUAAAAGCCAUGCACAAGGAACUUGAACAAUUCCAGAAGAAUAAUGUCUGGAAGCUUGUAGAACUACCAUAAGGAAAGAAAGCAGUGGGUGCUAAAUGGGUGUUUAGAAACAAGUUAGACAAGACAAGUAAGGCUGUGAGAAAUAAGGCAAGAUUGGUUGCCAAGGAUUAAUCACAAUAGAAAGGUAUAGACUAUACAAAAACCUUUGCUCCUAUUGCUAGUUUAGAAGCAAUACACAUUUUACUCUCAUUUGCAGCUCAUAGAAAAUGAGACUAUAUCAAAUGAACAUAAAAGUGCAUUCCUAAAUGGAGUAAUACAAGAAGAAGUCUAUGUAGAACAACCCCCUGGGUUUGAGAGUAACACUUUUCCACACCAUGUUUUCAAACUCCAUAAAGCAAUGUAUGAACUUAAGCAAGCUCCUAGAGCUUGGUAUCAACAUCUUAGUUCAUUCCUUGUAAACAAUGACUUUGAAAGUAGAAAAGUGGAUACAACUUUGUUCUGCAAGUGCUAUAACUCCUAAUUUAUAUUACUUCAAACUUAUGUGGACGACAUUAUAUUUGGUGCUUGUAAUGAACCUCUAUGUGAGGAUUUCUUUAAGUUAAUGCAGGUUGAAUUAGAAAUGAGUAUGAUGGGUGAACUGAAGUUCUUUUUAGGACUACAGAUAAAACAAACCAACAAUGAAAUCUAUAUCCAUCAAACCAAGUAGAUCAAGGAACUUAUCAAGAAGUUCAAGUUGAAAGAUGAAAAAGAAAUGAAGACUCUUAUGCAUCCAAUGAGAUUUCUUGGACUGGGUGAGGAACCCAAUAAAGUGGACAACUCUUAAUAUAGAGUAAUGAUUAGAUACUUAUUGUAUCUAGCUGCGUCCAGACUUGACAUACUAUUUAGUGUUGGACUAUGUGCCAGAUUCCAACAAGACCCAAGGGAAGUUCACUUAACUAUUGUCAAAAGAAUAUUUAGAUAUUUAAUUGAAACUUCUAAUCUUGUUCUUUACAUUAAGUAUAUCAUGGAAUUUAGGUUGAUUAGUUAUUGUGACACUGACUAUGUUGGUGACAAAAUUGAAAGAAGAAGCACUAGUGGAAGUUGUGAUAUCAUUGGUGGAAACCUAGUCACUUAGAUCAGCAUAAAACAAGGAUCAAUAGCACUAUCCACUGCAGAAGUAGAAUACAUAUUAGUAGCAAGCUAUUGUACUCAACUAAUAUGGAUAAAGAAUCAAUUGGAAGACUACAAUAUAUAUGAAGAAAUGAUCCCAAUCUACUAUGAUAAUAAAAUUGCAAUAAGUAUCUCUAAAAACCCUACUCUACAUUGAUGACGAUGUCAAAUUGUCUCAAAACAAACUAGGAUUUCGAAAAUUCUGCUGUAUAGGAAUAACCUAGGCCAACUCAGAGACACAAUCCAAUUAGGUCCAACUUCAAUCCACUUAUAAUUCAUGGCAAGAGAUUUCAUCUAUCAGUUUGCAGACAAUUGAAAUGCAGAAGCAAAAUUACAAAAUUUAACAAGAUUAUGGAAUAGAUUUAAGAGGCAUCAAUCCAAUUCACCAAAUCCAAGCAAUUCAAAUUAUUGUAGCUUUCUAAAGAUGAUGAUCCUAUUAUGAAGGUUAAGUCAAUCUAACUAGAGGUAAUUCAAUUGAACUAAUCCUUAAUUACAUUGAGAACACAAAUCGGAUUGAAGUAACAUCCAAUUAAUUUGCAAUUAGGAUUCGAAUUAGGAAAUUUAUCAAUUAUCUAAUUCAUUUCUAAUCCUAAACACAUUUAGAUUCAUGAAUACAAAAAUUGCACUAGAGAAGAGGAUGAACAUUCACAACAAAAUUCAAAAUACUUAACCAGAACUCAAAUUCGUCAUUGGUUGAAUUGAAUCCUUGGAUUGAUUAGUUGUUUAGCCUUCCAUAGUCAUCACCAAUGGAAGAAUAGAUAAAAUUGAAUAACAGAGUUGAAGAGAUGAAGAAAUUGAAGAACCAGUGAGAGAAAAAGAGAGAGAAGAGUUUUAUUUAAAACUUGCACUAGAAGUUUCAAAAAAUCUGUUUUGUACAAAAUGACUCUAACUAACUAACUAACUCUCAAAAUACCCUAAUUAAACUAAUAUAUAAUCUAACUAAUCAAAAUUAAUGGAUGGGCCCUAAUUAGGACCAACUAAUCUCUCUAAUUAAGCUAAUUGCACAAUGCAAAGGCCCAAAAUCCAAGUGUAGAGGCUCUGACUUCUAAGCUCAAAAUAACCCUCAAAACGACAGACUUGGCCUAAGCUCAUCUCUAACAAAAUUAUACCUCUUUUCCUUAGCUUUCUAGGAACUUCUCAUAUGCUCCGCCCUAUAGGUCCCAAGGAAGGCAGAUAAGUCAAGUAAUCACAAAGUCCAAAAAUAAGCAAUAAUUAUUAAUUAUGCCCAAUUAUUUGCCUAAGACCAAAAUUGAGUUAAGGUGAGAAAAUAAGAGUCAAAGAAAGGUCAAAUAAGUUAAUACGAAUAGGAAAAUAAUAAAUUAAUAAUGCUUUAUCAUGCAAUCGCAAGCCAAGCAUAUAGAAAUUAAACAUCACUUUGUAAGAAACCAUGUUCAGAAAGGAACAGUGGAACUAUAGUUUGUAUCGACUGAUAGUCAACUCAUUGACAUUUUUACAAAAAUACUUUACUGAAGAUAAGUUGAUUAUGUUAAGAGAUCAACUCAAAAUAUCCUUAGUGUUAAGUCUGGAUGACCAUGUGUCUCAUCCACCUUAGAUUUUGAUGUAUAACAAAAAGUAUAAAUUGUUGAUAUUCUAAUGAGUUUUCAACAAGUGGACAUGAUUAUUAUGUUAAAGGAAUUUACAACAUUAAAUAUCAUCCACAACUAUAGAGAGUAUGCUCUAUAUUAAACUAGCGUCUAGCAUGCUAUAUUCAGUAUGUGUCCACUCUUAUGCAUAAUAGUAUAACAUGUUGUCAUAAGGUAAACUCGGGCGUCUAGUCUCAAAGACUAAGUGUCACACCCUGAUAUAUAUAUCUAUAUAUUAUUAGUAAUUAUGUUUGAUGUUUGAUUAUUUGUUGCGUUAUUUUCAUCCGUAAUUAUUUUUAAGGAAAUUAAUUUAGUUAAUAGAGGAGUGUGGAUAGAUAAGGAUCUAGCUUUUCAAAGAAGCCUCUUGAGAAAGCUUCUCAAAGAAGCCACGAGGAAGCUUCUGGAGGAAGCCUCUUAAUGAAGCUUCUAGAGAAAGCUACAUGAAGCUGCCUCGGUAAAAGCGCUGCCCAGCCUUCGUUAACUGUUGGAUCUUCUCGAAAUUUGGUCUUCAACUUCACAAGACACGUGUCCAUAAUCUGACCGUUGGGAUCUUUGAGAAGAUGUUUGGAGUGUGUUAGAAGCCUCUUAAUGAAGCUUCUGGAGGAAGCCUCUUAAUGAAGCUUAUAGAGAAAACUACAUGCAGCUGCCUAGGUAAAAACGCUGCCCAGCCUUUGUUAACCGUUGGAUCUUCUCAAAAUUUGAUUUGCAACUUCACAAGACAAUUGUCCAUGAUCUUACCGUUGGGAUCUUUGAGAAGAUGUCUGCAGUGUGCUAGAAGCUUCCGUUCCCGAGAGCAUCUCUUAUUUAAGCAUUUCAGCCUUUGCUUUCGUGUAGCUUAGGAAAAACGUCAUUUCUUCUUCUUUCUUUCUUCCAAAGCCAUUUCUAAAGUUCCAAGAACUUUCUCCAUCACCCACAGCAACCAUUAGCCACCACAAACCAUCGUUGUUCUCCACACCGAGAGGAACCCUUCAACCGAAGCGAAAUCUUCCAACUUGGCUUGCGGUUUCGGUAGAGAACGAAACCCUAAUCUGACCUUUCGUUUUCUUUCGAGGUAACCAUGGUUCUACGCUUGUUUCUUGUUAGUUUCAUCUUGUCUUUGCAUCUUUUCUAACUUUGGAACCGCCAUUGUAUGUCUUAUGCUUCCUUUGAAAAACUUUUGAGAAAGAGACUUUGUAAAUGUUAUCCUUUCAUGAAAUGCAUGUUAUUUUCGUAACCUACACUGAACCCCGGUCACAUUGGCGUGGUUGGAAUUUCCAAAUGAUGUUCCUUUGUAAAACCUGAAAUGGUCUCAGCUCUUUCAAGUAGUGAUGUGGGUGUUUGACCCAGAGCACUGUUACUAGCUUUGUUUUCUGAAAUCCAUACUAAAUCUCCUUCGUUUUGGCAUAGUAGAGGCUUACGUGGAAUCGACGAGCAAGGACGAAAAGGAAUCUUCAAGUGACGCGACGAGGAAUCCGCGGGGUAGCUCAUGAUAGGUAAGGGGAGUUUAUUAUAAAAUUUACCGUUUUAACACCAUAGUUAGGGUCAGGGAACCUAGCUAUGAGGAUAUUUGCCUGUCCCUAAUGCAUGCUGAUUUUUCUUCAAAGAAAAUUACGUUUUAACUAAUGGGAUGCGAUAUAUAUAUAUAUGUAUGUAUGUAUGUAUUGUGAUGAAUGAUAUUGUUUUGGUUGUUUGAAAUGUGUUGUUUGAAGACCGUGCGUGUGGAAAUGAUAUUGUUGUGUUUGUUUGAAUUGUUGUUGAUGUUGCUAUUGAGGAUUUUAAUUGAUAUGUGAUGAUAAUGAUAAAUAUGAUGAUAUUGAUUUGAGAUGACGUUGUUAAUAAAGACCAUGGUCAACAUGAAUUGUUAUUAUUGAUGAAUAUGUGAAUAUGAAAUGAGGUUGUUGUUGUUGUUGAUAACGUCAUUGAGAUGAGAUGAUAUUUAUGUUGUGAAUGACAUGGAAAUGAAAUGUUGAUUGAUGUUGGAAAUGCAUUAGCAUAUGCAUGUUGUGUAUGUUCGUGGGGGGCACUGUGCACUGACCUUCCAGGGUCUUUGGCACUAGCUUUUGGCCACGAUCAUACGUCGUAUGGAGUGUAUGUCAUGGGGGGUAGAGUGCACUGACCUUGUCGGAUGGCCCAAACGUGGGUAACUAGCGUGGUUAGAGAAUCUAAGCAUUUCUGAGGGGAUGCUUAGGCGCUUUAAUUGGUCCGUGGUCUUUGGCACUUACUUUUGGCCGUGAUCAUAGCUCAUAUGACACAGGAAAUAAAGUAACUGUGGCCAAGUGUACUUUGUACUAGGGGGCUGUCACCUGGUAGGGAACACCUUUGGGCUCCCAGGCUGAUCACUUAUGGGAGAGGGGCUGUUACGUGCACAACCAGGUGGUCUCGACAAACUCAGCACAGUUCCCUAAGUGAGAGUAUCGUGUGGACACGCUUAGGCUAUUUCCCGAGGUUUGGUUGUUGUUGGUACGUACCACAUUGCAUCUGAGUGUUGAGUCAGGUGCAUGCAUCAUUCUGUGCAGUCUUGAUUGGGUCCAUGGAUGGAUGAUGAGUAAUUGUUGGAUGUGAAUGAUGAAUAUUUGUUGGAUAUGAGUGUUGAAUAAUGAUUGUUGUGUAUGCUUAUCAUGUUUGCCUGUGUUCCUUGCUAAUUUUGGUUAUUUGGAAUUGGUAUUGGUUCUUUUAUAAUAAACUCACCCUUGCAAUUUUGUAUCGUGUGGUUGAUACCUGUGAUGAUCACGAACCUUGUUCGUGGGAGCAGAAUGGCAGUGGCAGGGUGUAGGGAGUAAGAUUCUGGUGAGGAGCCGCCAAGUCGACGUAAUGACGUUGGCGUUAUUUUGGGAGAGAGUUGUGUUUUGUAAUCAACUCCCCCGUAGUUGGUUUUUAAGUUUUAUUUUGUUGAGUUAAAGAUGUAAAACUGGAAUUUUAAUUAUAUAUAUGAACAUAUUUAAUUUUCGUUAUGUGUAUGACAUGUACCGAAUUAUUGUUUCUAUGUAAUUAUGCAUAUUCACUUAAGUAAUUGCGUGUUGUUGGAUGAAUUUAUGUUGUGACAAAAUCACUUCUAUUUUCAUAAGAAAAAAUUAAGGGAGUUAUUUUUAUAAAAAAAAUGAAAUUAUCUAAUAUUAGAGUGUGGAUACCGUAGCGACGAGGCGGGUCGUUACAUUUAGCAUCACAAAAAGGGAAGUGCACAUGUACUAUUUUAUUUAAAUUCUAUUUGCCUCUCUUACAUUUGAAUAAAUAACAUUUGAAUUUAAGAAAAGGACAAUAUAGAAGAGAAUAGAAGGCUUUCAUGGAAUAUUCCCUUGAAGGUUGCUUUCAGAGCGGACAAAAAGCACAUGGCACUAUCUAGACUUUGUAUAAAAUCCUUACCAUUUAGAGCUCGACACGUCGCCUCAUUCCUAUAUGUGAGACAAUGUUCCUUUCAAGAUAACAACGUAGAUCCCAUAACAGAUACUUCACUGAAGUCUAUAAAAGGAUGUCUCCCUCAAUGAAGCAACUGACGGAAAACAAAAAAGAGAAAGAACAAGAGCGCAAGAAAUAUACUUGAAGCAAAACUCUGCUAAAAACACUAGACGAUAUACAUUGUUUAUCCUUUGCGAAGCAAAUUACUUCUAUAUUUAUGCUUAACUGUAUAUUCACUCUUUUAGGGUUAAGAAUACUUGUAUUCAUUCAAAAAUAUAUUUGUGAAAGCUAAGAGUGACUUAGUAUUAAAAAAUACUUGGGUUCUAGAUUCAAGGGGAGUCUAAGAAGAUACUAGAAAUGGUGUUAAGAAUACUUGUAAAGCCAGGAUUGACGAGUUAGAAUACUUGUUUUGUAAUUAGUUUUGAUUAGUGGAACCCUUUACUAGUGAGUAAAAGAGAACUGGACAUAGCUCAAGUUGAGCAAACCAGUAUAAAUCAAGUAUUUCUACUUCUCUCCAUAAUAGGUUUAUUGAGCAUUCUUAUUAUAUUUUCUAACAUCAUUUUACCCCAAGUAUUUAUUUGAAAAACUAUUUUAAGAAUCUUUUAUCUGUCAUUGGACGAUUAUUCUCUUCUUCAUUACAUAUUCCUUUUGUCCUCAGUAGACAACCAAUGUUUAACACAAUAUUAUUCAUAUUAUUUCUAUUAUUGCGAAAAGUUUUUAUCUUUGAUAUACACAUUAUUCACCCCCCCUUUAGUGUGUUUCUUGCAGUUUCAGUUGGUAUCAGAGCUUGGCCUUAAGGGUUGAGUAUCUAACAAUACUAAGGAAAAUACCCUAUAUAUAUAUAUAUAUAUAUAUAUAUAUAUAUAUAUCAAAGACAGGGAAGAAUUAUUUGCCACCAACAAACCACCUUUAUUCAAAGUGAUAAAGUACGACUACAGGAAGGAGCGUAUGAUAACCCAUUUUGACUCUAUUCAUAUAGAUCUAUGGGAUAUGGUGCAAAACAGAGAUUACAUACCAAUGAUGACCAGCAAAACGAGAUUCCUAGAAGCCAAUGAAUGGAGCAGCAAAAGCUCAUAUUUUUGCUAAAUUCCAAGCCUAGGAAUGUGAUGUUGUGCGCUCUUUCAGAAGAGGAGGACACCUAGGUACAUAGCUUCAGGUGUGCCAAACAAAUGUGAGACACUAUGUUAGACUAUUGGCAAGCAUACCAAUGUCAUUGCAAGUUACAAAUUUAAUCGAGAUAUCAUGGGUUUGUCUAACUAAUGAAAAAUAACUAAAGUAACGGAAUAACGAAAUUUAGUGCAUCAGAAAUACAAAAAAUUACGGAAACAAUAAUAAAAAAUCUAAUUAAUUCAAGAAAAACAUAGGAUUGGAUUUCAUCGUUCAUACCCUCAGUAUCUUAAUAAGAUUAACAUAUAUGAAUCAUUUUCUAACAUUACUGAUGCACACAUUAAGUAACCUGAAUCGAUCCCUCGCACUCGAGAAUCCUAAGAAUAUUCAUUGAUCGCUCGCAUAUGAAAUAAAUAUCCCAAUGUUACAAUUAUAAUCUCGUGCUAUUUGCAAUCAAAAACGUUAUGCUUUAUUCCUAGCAAUGUAACGUAAAAGGUAAAUUCAUUCAAUUCAAAUUCUAAGAGUACUUUCCAGUCAAAAUUAAAAUCCAAUUUCAUGAAACUAGUGAUCAAAUAGAAUCAAGCAUUACAAACAAAAUGAAAUCACCAAUAAUGAGUAGAAAAAGAUUCAUACAUAUAUAAAAUAUCAAAAGAGAUACAGAAGAGACCACAUUCAAAAUGGUACAGUGGAUUUACAAUUUGUACCCACUGAUGAUCAACUUGUUGAUAUUUUUACAAAACCAUUAACUAAAGAAAGGUUGAUUCUGUUAAGGAGUCAACUUGGGAUGAUCCUUGUUAAUGAUUGACUGAAUAUCUAUAUGUCGUCCACUAGCCAUUACCAUACAUUCACAAUGUUCAAUAUAUGGACGAUAUUGAUGCAAUCCUCCCUAGGAAGGGACCAAUCACUAGAACCAUGAGCAAGAGGCUCCAAGAAGAUUGGGCUAGAGCUGCUAAAGAAGGCCCUAGGGUUCUCAUGAACCUUAGGGUAGAUUUCUGAGCCCAUGGGCCAAGGUUGGGUCCAAUUAUCUUUGUACAUAUUAGACUAGGAUGUCAUUAUAUUUGGUCCUUGUAUAUAGGGCUCCAUAUUGUAGGUAGGGUACCCUAGAAAUAUAGGGGUAGUUUUGGGCACCUAGACUAGUUUUUGUAUUAAGGGUAGUUUUGUAAUUUCACAUGCACUAAGUGGAUAUUUGAUGUGUGUGGUUGGAAAUAAAUUUAAUUGAAUUGGUAGAAGCCCAAUCCAAUUAAAUUUUAGAGGGGGAGGUGAGCAUUUGCUUACUACACCCCAUUGCCACAUCAUAUAGUCACACUUUGUGCAUGUCCUUCAUGCUUUUCAUGCCUCAUGACACCUAAGCACACUUAGUGGAGAAUCUUGUAAUUGAUCUUGGAUUAGUGGGCUGAACCAUAACUAAAAUUCACUAAUCAUAAUUAGUGAAAUUUUGGCUCCACAAAUUCAAUUUCAAAUUCAAGUGAAAUUUGAAUUUCCCUCCAAUUUUGUGUGACACUUAGGCUAUAAAUAGAGGUCAUGUGUGUGUAUUUUUUUGAACUUUGAUCAUUUGAAUAUUAACUUCAGAUUUCAGAGCUCCUUUUGAGCACAAAAUUUCGUGCUCUUCUCUCUCUCUCCCUUCAUUCAUCUCCUUCUUCCUCCAAGCUCUUAUCCAUGGCCUCCUAUGGUGGUGAGCUUCUUCUAGACUCAUCUUCUCCUUGAAGUGGCGUCUCCUCUCUCUCUUCCUUCUCCAUUCCGCUGUCAUUUAUCUUCCAAGAAGCAAAGGAAUCCAUUGAUGAAGAAGAUCCUAGGCCUACAAGCUCCAAUGGAGCUUGCAUCAGAUAUGUCAUGCAUUAUUUUUAAAUAUAUGAAACACAAUGUUUUCCUUCGCGAAAAGUUGAAACUCUUCAUGUUGAGUUGGUUUUGGGAAGCAGACCUAAUGAUUGUUUUUGAAAAAGCCAAAAAGACCACUAUAAAAACCCCCUAUAUUGAAACUUAUUGGAUUGCUCUCUCUCUCUCCAACAAUUCAACUUCCUUAUGAGUUUUCAAACCCUAGCAUUCUUCCCUCUCAAAUGGCCUCUAGAAACACCCAUGUCAUUGAAGCUAUCCCAACCAUGGAAAUCACCAUAAUACACAAUGACAAUGAGCCUUCCAUUCACGUCGAACACUUUUUGAUAUUCAAGACUUCAAAAAGUGGGUCUAAAGUUGAAUGAAACCCUGCUGUUUUGUGGUGCCAAACACCUUUUUCAAUGAACCUCAAACCAUCUACCCAGGACUAAUAAGGACCUUCUGGCGAAAUGCUGAUUUCAUCAACAAGAAGACCAUAUCAUGUAUGGUUUUUGGGACUAAAGGUCAUACUAUUAAGCGACACUAUUGCUAAGGCAACAAGGUGUUUGCGUGAGGGCAACACUUACCUAGAAGGAUGGGAAAGGAACUAUAACUCCCACAUCACCAGAGCUCUUUAUCGGUACAAUGCUGACAAGGCUAGUGAUAAGAAGACCAUUGUCUAUAACUUUAUGUGUGGGAAGGAAAAAAUAUGGGACAACAUUCUGAACAAUAGUGUGCUUCACAAAGCUGGCUCCAAGACGAUUGACCUCCACAAGUUUAUGCGAUUUCACUUGACGGGGAACCUCCUGUUUGACCUUCCACACAUAAUAUACAUCAACAUUUUGAGGAACAUUAAGGGCUUAGGUGGUUUGAACAGACAUCUACUAUGUAGCCCUCAUCAACAAGCUUUUAUGGGAUCAAGGAGUCUACUAUGUGUUCAACAAGAUGGAUGAGGAUUCCAAGCACAUCCUAAUAGUUAAUGGUUUAGUGGUUGCUAAACAACAAAAGUUUAGCAAGAAUAACCUAAAGGCUAUGAAGGUGUCCUUGGAACAAAGCUUGAAGGAAACUCCAAAAGUGGGCGUGAAAGCCAUAAACAAGAGAAAACAAAAAGAGGUUGGCCAAGUCCAUUGUUGAUGAAGACCUUGGUCUGAACAACUUUGGCAUUUCAAGGAAAAUUAAAAAGAUCAUGGUUGAAAAACAAAAGAAGAACAAAACCAGAAAACAAUCUCAAAGGGAUGAAGAAGAAAAGGAAAUAUAGGCAAAGAAGCAUAGGACCAAAAGAAGGCAUGAGUCUAUUACGUUCGCUCUUACUUGUCCACCCACCGUGAACCCAAUCGCACAAAGGUUGAAAGACCUGAGUGAGACUGAUGAUGAUGAUGAUGAUGAAGGGCUGGUGAGAGUGGCUCUCCAAAAGAUGAAAGUUGUUGCUCCUGAUGCACCUACUCCCAAGAAAGCAAAGAAGGCUCAGCCUAUAGCUAAGCCAAAAACAUUUGUUCUCACCUCUGCCAUCCCAUGCUGGAUCAAUACAAGGGCAACCAAGGCCAAUCCAAAGAUUGGUGACAAAGAAUGGGCAAUUUCCUUUACAAGAAACAAGGAAGAUCCAGCCUUAUCCUCGUCAGAUGGUGAGUCCAUUGAUGGCACUCCAAUCACACCCCUCCGCAAGUUUGCACCUACCCCACAACAGUGUCCAUCUCCUUCUCCUUUACACCUGGAUAGGUUUAAAAGGGCAACUCCAAGGGUUCCAUUGAGUGAUGCUCAAUGUUUCCUCUUGGUCUUCAGUCAUGGUAAUCACCCCCUUCUCUGAACCCGUGGUAAAGGAAAUCAUAUCUAAUGAAGCUCCCACUUGGACAUGCUACAACUAUGAGCAUAUUCCCUCUUAGGCCUUUAAGGCUCUACCAACAUAAAGAAGGGACCCUUUGCCAGAAAUGAAACCUCCUAAGGUACAGUUCGAGAAGAAGGUGCACGUGUGGAAGCCAAUUACAAGACUGCUGCUAGUGCAUCCUACGGACAUCCAACUCUUACUUGAUGAUCGCUCAUCCCUUGGCAAGUUACAUGAAUAGAUGUACUUGUAUGAUCAAGCCAUGACAUACCCUCUUGGUAUACACAUAUCUAGGGCAACUAACAUCCAGAUGGUUGUUGAUAUAGUUUGUCCAUGAUUACCAGUAUAGGGUGUUGCCAAGAAGAAUGGGUUUGAUCUAUACUACAAGGAACAAAUUCAUUUGCGGUAGAUGAAGGUAGAGAUUGUGAACCACCCCCGUAAUUGGAGCCCACUGUUUCAUGGGAAGCAACUAAUAUGAACUUUGGAUGCUCAUGAUGCAAGGACCUUUUGGAGUUAGAUCAUAUGGAUGGAUUCUUAAAAAGCCUCCACCUCUGGCUAUGAUGGAAGUGAAACUGCUAUGCACCGCGAUGUUGUUCAAGUGUUAUGACCUGCUAGGAAGUAUCACUUUGAUGACACUUGUGUCUACUUUACUAGAGAUGAUGAAAACUACUUCUUCAUCCAACGUCUUCUCAAGCUUCCCACCAUUCAAUAUGAGGGAACUUACAACUUGAAGAAGAUGACGAAAGCUCAAAUAAUAACCCAUGUGACUUAGCUCUAUAAGGCUCAACAAAAGAAGAGAGCUAAAGAUGUUGUUGUUGAUGCUACUGUUGUAAUUGAUGAGCAAGAAGCUGCUACUACUGCUGAGAAAGUUCAAGCUGGAGCAUCUACUAAAGCUGCGGACAACACCAAUGUGUGUGGGGUCAUCAUUGACCUUACAAACACUAGUGUCAUGGAUGAGACUGGUGAAGCGUCCAAUGUAGAUGAAGUUGAACCACUCAUUCCAGAUCUUGCAUCCAAGCUGUUAGAGAUAGGGGGAGAAACAUGAAGAGUUAGCAUUGAAGCUUGAAGAAGUUUUUUCUUUUACAUGCCCAACUCUCUUGAGUGACAUUUGCAUUGAUUGUUGUAUUUUAUGUUGCAUCUUAGUCUCUAUCAUAUCCUAUGUGCAUCAUGCAUCAUCAUGUGUGAGUAAGGAGAAAAUUUCUAAUGUUAUAAAAUUUCUUCAGAAGGCAAAACUUUUUGUUUUAAUCCAUUACAACCUUACAGUAAUCAAUUACACAAGUUGUUUUAAGCUUGCAUAGUUAUGUCUUGUAUCGAUUUAAUUAAUUACAGCCUUAUCCUAAUCGAUUACACAAUUGUUUUUAAGACAAUGGUUUAUUUAUUUAGUAGUCUAUGCUUUAAUCAAUUACCAUGUGAUAUAAUCAAUUACUUCUCUUUCUAUAAGUGUUUUAGAACUGAUCAAGAACACUUUAAUCGAUUACAUUGAGGAUCUAAUCAAUUACAUUGUUCUUGAGAGGUUUCCAGUUUUUGGGAAGAAUAUUUUAAUUGAUUGAAAAGAUAAUAUAAUUGAUUACUUUGUUGAAAUAAUCGAUUACAUUGUAUAUUUAAUCGAUUACAGGUGGUUAUAACUAUUUUCUCUUUAAAUAGCCACCUUGUGUUCUCACUUUAGAGUACAAGUUCAUUAAGUGCAAAAUUGUAUGAGCUGAAAUAAGUGAAAGAAGAGAAGAAAAGUGCUUAGAAAUAGUGACUCACAACUUCUAAUCUUUGAUUAUGAAGAUCGUUUUUUAAAGUGAGUUGUGGUACUUUCUUGAUUUCAAGAAGACACCUCAUUCAAUCAAGCAAGAUUUUUUCAGAAAGAAUUGAUCAAGUUGUGUCUAUCUUUGGCUCUACUUUUUCGUGUGUGUGGUUUUAAACAUUACUUGUUUGUGCAUGAAUUUUUGAAGGCAUGCUAGAAUGGGCUUUUGUAGUUUGGGCUAAGGGUAGGUUUCUCUUAGGCUUUUAUUCAUAGAGGAUCCAAGGGUUGGGUACCUUAAUCUCUUCUUCUGAGGUAGGAACUGAGAUUGCUUGUAAGAAUUCUAUAUGCAUAGUGAAAAUCUAAUUCAGGUUUGGAUUAGACUGGUGUACUUCUUCUCUUGAUCUUAUCUUUCUUUCUAAUUCUGGUCUUAAUCAAUUUGUUAAAGGUUAAAGAAAAUAUCGUUUUGAAAGAAAAAACUUUAACAAAAGAUCUUGUGUGAAGGGUGAUUAAGUAUUGGUUUAUCAAAGUUUAAUGAUACGAUCUGCACAAAAGAAGUUUUUUUAACUCUUGUUUUAAAAGUUUGUUUUGUUUUGAAAACCAAUUCACCCCCCUUCUUGGUUUGUGAGUUCCAUCAUCUUUUUCACAAGCAGUCAACAACUUCAAAUGAGGCUACCUCUCGAGAUAAGGGCGACCAUGACGUUGUAACUGUAUAAUCAACAAGUUAUGGUCCUAACCCUCUCAACUACGCACAACCUGCCAUCGUCCUUCUUGAUCAGGUUCAAGAUUGGAUAGGACAUGCAAUAGAUUUUGUUGCAAAAUGUCAACAACAAGAGAAUGAGCAAUUUUGUCUCUCUAUGCAGAAUGCCAUCACAAUACAGUUCUCCAAUGUUGGAUCCAUCCUUUUACAAAACAUCCAACAAGCUCAGAUGUCAAUGCUUGGAGCUGUUGUUGCACCUGCACCUAUAUCCUAACCAUCCUCCAUACCUGCCUCUCUUGAACCUCCACCCCAAUCCUUGGUUCUAACACCACCACCACCAUCCCAACCUCCACCACCACCACCUUCUCAAGAUUGGCGAUGAUGUUCUUCAACUUUUCUAUCUUCGAACCUAUUUUUUCUUAUGGAAAAAGAGAGAGAAAUAUGAAUUUUGAUUGUAAUGAAAAGCAUAUAUAUAUAUAUAUAUAUAUAUAUAUAUAUAUAUAUAUAUAUAUAUAUAUAUUCUCCUUUACCUAUUAUUUGUUAUAUUUUGCUGCUAUAUUCAUCAUAUUUAAUCUGUCAUUUUCUUGCCAUGCUUGAACUUAGGGGAAGUUUAACCGCAUUACAUUCUCUCUUAUAACUCUGUCUAUUUUUUAAUCAAAAUUUAUACUAUUUAUCAUCAUAAAAAUGAGGGAGAUUGUUAGGUCUGGAAGACCAUGGGUCUCAUCCACUUUAGAUUUUGAUGUAUAACAAUAAGUAUUAAUUAUUGAUAUUCUAAUGAGUUUUUGACAAGUGGACAAGAUUAUUAUGUGAAAGGAAUUUACAACAUUAAAUAUCAUCCACAACUAUAUAGAGUAUGCUUUGUUUUAACCUAGCAUCCAACAUGCUAUAUUCAGUGAGUGUCCACUCUUAUGCAUAACAUUAUAACACGUUGUCAUAUGGUAAACUCGUGCAUCCAAUUAUGGGGAUGCACAUGUACGUAAACACUGGGUAUCAUAAAAAAGGAAGCACACAUGUACUAUUUUUUUCAAAUUCCAUUUGCCUCUCUUACAUUUGAAUAACUAACGUUUGAAUUUAAGAAAAAUGACAAUAUAAAAGAGAAUAGAAGGCUUCCAUGGAAUAUUCCCUUGAAGGUCACUUUCAGAGCAGACAAAAAGCACAUGGCACUGUUUGUACUUCAUAUAAAAUCCUCGCCAUUUAGAGCUUGACAUGUUGCCUCUUUCCUCUAUUGAGGUAAUGGUCCUUUCAAGAUAAUGACACAGAUCCCAUAACGGAUACUUCACUAAAGUCUAUAAAAGGAAAUCUCCCUCAAUGAAGCAACUAACAAAAAAUAAAAAAGAGAAAGAACAAGAGUGCAAGAAAUAUACUUGAAGCGAAUCUCUGCUAAAAACACUAGAAAAUAUACAUUGUUUUCCCUUUGUGAAGCAAAGUGAUGGAAGCUUGCUUGAGAAACAUCUAUAGAGGCUAGAUCUUUGAGCUUUAAUAAGGUCCUUCAAUGGUGAUUUUCAGCCAUGGAGUUGCAGCGGAAGAUAAAGGAGAAGAGGUGAGAGGAGGUGCCAUCCAUUAGAGAAUAAGUCAUGGAAGGAGGAGCUUCACCACCAAGAGAGUGCCUUGGAUAAGAAGCUUAGAGAGGAAGCUUCAACGAAGGAAGAGAAUAAGAGAGAGAGGGGGGUGCGGGAAUUGAAGGAGAUUAGGGAGAGAAGUUGAACUUUGAAGUGUGUCUCACAAGUUUCUCAUUCAUCAAAGUUAUGCAAGUGUUACACAUGUUUUUAUUUAUAGCCUAGCAUAUGGGAAGCUUCCUUGAGAAGCAAGGAAGGUAGCUUCCUUGGGAAGCUAGAGGAAGAAAGCUUUCUUGAGAAGCUAGAGAAGGGCUACUCAUACCCCUCCAAUAGCUAAGCUUACCCCCAUGCCAAAAUACAUGAAAAUGUGAAUGUAUGUAUACAGGUUUUGAUGAUGCCAAAAGAAUUUACUUGAUAAUGGUUGUAAUCAUAAAAAAUAAGGAGAAUGUGAAUGUAUGUAUACAAGUUUUUGAUGAUGCCAAAAGAAUUUACUUGAUAUUGGUUGUCAUCAUCAAAAAGGGGGAGAAUAUGAAUGUAUGUAUACAGGUUUUGAUGAUGCCAAAGUAUAAGCAAACAAGAUUGCUUCAAGAAAAUUCAAGGUUAAGCAAACAAAUAUUGCAUCAAGAUUAAUUCAAGGUCAAGCAAACAAGAUCAAGAAAAAGAUAAUGAUGUAGCUUCAUAGUCAACACAUCUCUUUUCAUACUAGACACCUAUUCACUGAAUAUAGCUUUACCAAGUAACACAAGUUCCCUGAGAGUUCGACACUUGGUUCUUUCCGUUUUAUACUACUUGAGCGAUGAGGUGCACUUGCCGCGACCGAACAAGUUUUUGGCGCCAUUGCCGGGGAACUUCUUUCUAUUUGGAAAGUUAGUUCAGUUCUAGGUUUCUAUUCUUUAUUCUUUGAUAAAUUGUGAAUAUUUACUUUUGAUUCAUAUUUGUUUUCCUCUUGAACUGGAUAACCACUGUUUUUGUUAGUGUUCUAUAUGCAUAGAUCUCCCACAGGCAAUUUAGUUCCUCUGGACUUGGAGAUUGAAGCUACGUUAAGAAGAAGGAAUAGAGCCAAGAGGAGAAGAAAAUUACUCCAAGACAGGACAGUAGCGUCCAUUCUUGAGGAAGAAACUUAUUUUUCUGAUUCUUCAUCAUCCGACUCACCAUCAUCAAGGGAAUCCGCGACUUAUUUACCAAAAGCCGUUUCCAUGGCUGAUGAGCACCAGCAAAGGGUUACCCUUGAGGACUAUUCAAGCAGUUCAGUGCCGCAAUUCUUUACCAGCAUUGCACGUCCAGAAGUGCAAGCUCACAUCAUAAACUACACUUAUUCUUUUAUUCAUUUAAUACAAGGGAACUUAUUCCAAGGAUUACCAAAUGAGGACCCCUAUGCACAUUUGGCAACAUUCAUUGAAAUUUGUAACACUGUAAAGAUUACAGGUGUGCCAGAUGAAACUAUUAGACUCAGUCUAUUCUCAUUUUCCUUGGCAGGAGAAGCCAAAAGGUGGCUCCACUCAUUUAAGGGUAACAGUCUGAAAACCUGGGAAGAAGUUGUUGAAAAGUUUCUGAAGAAAUAUUUCCCGGAAUCAAAGACUGCGGAAGGGAAAGCUACAAUCUCUUCAUUUCAUCAGUUCCCUGACGAGUCCUUGAGUGAAGCGUUAGAGAGGUUUAGAGGUUUAUUGAGAAAGACUCCUACCCAUGGGUUCUCUAAGCCAAUUCAAUUGAAUAUGUUUAUAGAUGGGCUGAGACCAUAAACCAAGCGGUUGCUAGAUGCUUCAGUAGGGGGGAAAAUAAAGCUGAAAACCCCUGAAGAGGCAACUAAGCUAAUUGAGAAUAUGUCAGCCAGCGAUCAUGCCAUUCUGUGUGAUAGAGUUCAUCAACCCACAAAGAAAAUCUUGUUAGAACUAUCAGCACAUGACACUUUAUUGGCACAGAAUAAAUUUCUUUCUAAGCAACUUGAGAUUUUAACAGAAACACUUGAUAAGUUGCCAACUAAACCGUCUAUUGGUCAACCUGCACAUUCUUCUGUUUUGCAGGUUAUAGGUUGUACCAUCUGUGGUGAGGCUCAUGAAACAAGCCAAUGUAUUCCCAUUGAAGAAAACACUCAAGAAGUUCACUAUAUGGGAAAUCAACAGAGACAAGGAUAUACUCAAGGAGGAUUUUCAGGCUUCCAGCAGGGUCCUUAUAACCAACAAGGACAGUGGAGAUCACACCCUGGCAAUCAAUUCAACAAAGACCAGGGUGGACCUUCUAACAGGCCAAUCCAACAAGGGCCUAACAUCUUUCAAAGGACUACUAAGCUAGAGGAGACUUUGACUCAGUUUAUGCAGGUAACAAUGUCAAAUCAUAAAAGCACUGAGUCAGCACUGAAAAACCUUGAGGUCCAGGUGGGACAAUUGGCCAAGCAGAUAGAUGACAAAUCAUCCAACAGUUUUGUGGCGAAUAUAGAAAAGAAUACCAAGGAGGAAUGCAAAGCUGUGAUGACAAGGAGUAAGAGGUUUGUGGAGGCAAAGGAUGAGGAUAGUGUUGUAUCCAAGAAGAAAGCUACUGAAAAGAAAGGUACUGAUGAAAAGAAAGAUGAUGUGAGAAGUGAAAGCAAUCAGAAAAAAGAAAAACAAAUAAUGGUCAAGAAAAAAAAUUAAAUGACCAAGAAAAAGAAAAAGAAGUAGAAAAAGAAAAAGAAAAUGAAAAAAUUGAAAAAAAGGAAAAAAAAUAAGAAUGAAGAGAGGAGUAGAAGUGAACAAGCUAGAGAAAAGAAAAGAGAAAAAGUUGUGAAUGAAUGUGCGGAAGUACCAUAUCCUGUGGUACCUUCCAAGAAGGAGAAAGACCGCCAUUUGGCGAAAUUUUUAUAUAUUUUCGGGAAACUGGAAAUAACCAUGCCAUUCGGAGAAGCUUUAUAGAAAAUGCCACUCUACUCCAAGUUUUUAAAGGAUAUGUUAACAAGGAAACACAAGUAUAUUCACCAGGAAAACAUUGUUGUUGAAGGAAAUUGUAGUGUUGUGAUUCAAAAGAUCCUUCCACCUAAGCAUAAAGACCCUGGGAGUGUAACUAUUCCUUGUUCAAUUGGAGAAGUCACUGUGGGAAAGGCUCUUAUUGAUCUGGGAGCCAGUAUUAACUUAAUGCCACUCUCCAUGUGUAGAAGGUUGGGAAAGUCAGAGAUCAUGCCCACUAGGAUGACUUUACAACUUGCUGACUGCUCCAUUACCAGACCAUAUAGAGUAAUUGAAGAUGUGUUGGUUAGAGUAAAACAUUUUAUCUUCCCCGCAGACUUUGUGGUAAUGGAUAUCUGUGAAGAUAAUGGCAUUCCUGUAAUAUUGGGAAGGCCAUUGAUGUUAACUGCAAGCUGCAUAGUUGAUAUAGGGAGAAAAAAGCUGGAGUUGGGCUUUGAAGAUCAUAAAAUUGAUUUUGAUUUGUUUGUCGAAGACAAGCUUGCUCCAAAACAAAAUGUUUGCUUACAGGUAAUGGAAGUGGGUAAGGAGGUUCUAGAAGUAAGAACCAAAACGUGAUAUCACCCAUUGAGGUAAAAGCGUCAAGCUAGUGACGUUAAAGAAGCGCUUUCUGGGAGGCAACCCAGUUCUAAUUUAUGUUAGUUUGUUUUAUUUUAUGCAUUGUAUCAUGUGGAACAUGCUUCACAAUCAGUACAUUGGGGUAUAUCAGUUUGUUUUUGAAUGAUAGAUAUAAGGUUUUCAAAUUUCUUGAGGAAGGGACUAAAAAAUACUUCAAAUUUUUUUUCCUGAAAAUCAGUCCUUUCGCUAAGCGCAAGCCUCGCGCUGAGCGCAUCUUUUGUUAUGCGCUAAGCGGAGAGUCUCUGGCACUUAGCACUCAACCCUUGCAUCUCAAGCUGACUUGGUCCACUAAGCUGACCAAGGCUGAGCUAAGCCCAUUUCAAUUGGAUCUGAAUUGGGCUAAGCGACGGCUUGCUCACUAAGCGCAUUGCAUUCACUAGCUAAGCGCGACACGUCGCGGCUAAGCUCAUUUCCUUGCGGCCAAAAUUGGGUUUCAUUGAGCUAAGCGAAAGUCAUGCCAGCUAAGCCCAAUUCCUUGCGGCCAUAGCAGUGCUUAGCGAUCCAUAAUUUGCUAAGCGUUUACCCCUCUAUAAUCAAGAUGCAUUAUUUUAGGUAAGCCGGCCCAGAGCUAGGCUUAGCGAGAGUUGCAGGUAUUUUGAUCUGCAGAACUGGCUAAGCGGCCCCAUCUGCGCGCUAAGCCAAGCCCUUUCUCUGUGUAAAUUAAAAUAAAUAAAUAAAUAAUAAAAUAUUGAAAUUUGAAUUUCAACUUUUGGCUAUGCGCACGGUUCUGCUAAGCGACCCUCUUUGAGAAACCAAACGUCUCUCAGGCUCGCUUAGCGUUUUGGCUCGCUAAGCGAGAGGCUCGAAAAUUGCUUAAGUGAGUGUAAUGUCAGUUACACUCAUAUUUGCCCAAAAUUUUCAGAAAUGCCUGCAUCUUCUCUCUUGCACCCAAUUUCCUGCAUUUUUGCCUUCUUCUGCAUCUUCACGCAUCAAAGCAUCAACGAUACAAGUAAGUUCCUUACUCCCUUUAUUCUUUUAUUUUGUUGAACCUUAGGGUAGAAAACCAUAGAUUUUAGCUUUCAAUCUUUAGGGUUUACGUGAUAUUAGAUUAGGUAAAAAUUAAGACUUUAUAUAUGAUUGUGCUUUGUAGAUAUUUUUGAUUGUCUUGCAUGUUUGAUAAUACCUUUUAGAGGCUCAAAAAGUGAAGAAAACGAAGUUCAUUUUCUGCCUUUUAUUGGAAAACGCGAUGAACUCGCUAAGCGCGCCUGCAACACUAAGGGAGUUCAUCAAAAUUGCUUGAAUUUAUGCAUUUCCAGACAAACUUGCUAAGCGUGCUUAUCGCGCUUAGUGAGUUCCUCUUGUGAGGAUGAACACUUAUCCCCCUGUUGAGAUACCUGUAGCUAAGCGAGGCUGAAUCGCUUAGCCCAGGUAACUUAGUCAAAUUUUUUUGUUGAAAGUCGCACGCUAAGCUGAGCCUCUCUCGGCUAAGCUCAUUUCAUUGCGGCAGCCAUUGGGCUAAGCGAGCCUGGCUCGCUAAGCCCCCAUACUUAGUAAAUUUUAUGAAUUUCAUGUUGCCGCUAAGCGCAACCCUGCUGAGCUUAGCACAUAUUUGUUGCGGCAAUCAUUAGGCUUAGCGGGCAGAUGCCAGCUAAGUUGAUUAUGCAGAAACAAAAUUUUUCUGCAACAUCCGCUAAGAAGCCCCCUUGUCGCUAAGCAGUUGUGUUCAUUUUGCAAAGGCACGCUAAGCGGACCAGGUCUCGCUAAGCCGCCAAUGCCCUUUUCAGUUUUAUUUUUCAUUUUUUGAAUAUGAAUAACCUGUAUCCUUAUUAACUUUUUGGUCCUUUUAUUUGCAGAUGACCUCUAGGAAAUGCAAGAGUGUCGGUUCAAGACCCAUAGCUCAAUAUGAUACAAGGAGAUUUCACUCCUUAGAUGCAUGAAACUGGUACACAGAUAAUGUAUUGGGGAGAAACAUCUUGCCAGAGAGGAAGGUAGAGCUCUACCACACCGAGUUUGAUGAUUUUAAGACUGAGUUGGAGAGGUGUAAUCUCCAUAAACACCUCACCAAUUUGGUUGAUGGGAGCAUAGAUUUGGCUUUGGUGAAAGUUUUAUGCAAAUUUAUACAGCUCUGAGGGCCCUUCACCAAAGCAAGCCAAGGUCAGAGGCCAUCUAGUGAAGAUCAAUGCCGACAGCCACAAGACAUUCCUAGAGACACCUGUGGUGUUGGUAGAGGGUGAGACUUUACCCACAUAGUCCAGAUACUGCAGGCUGCCUUCAGAUCCUAGGGAGAUCGAGGCUGCCCUAUGCAUACCAAGCCGAGGGUUCAUCUUGAACGCUGAGGGCCAUCCUGGGAGGAUAUUGAGGAAGAAUUUGACGACUUUAGCCCAGGUGUGGAGUGUUCUCUUAUACUCCAACCUGGCCCCCACAUCUCACACAUCUGACCUGACAGUGGACAGAGCUAGGCUGAUCUUUGGCUUAGUCUCUCGCAUGGACAUGAACAUAGGAGCUCUCAUUUCUGGCCAGAUGACUUUUAUAGCCCAAUCUAACUCUUCUAGACUUGGGUUUCUUGCUCUGAUCACCACCCUAUGUAGAGCCAGAGGGGUUGUCUCUGACAGCCUCACUUUUGAGCGCCUGAGCCCAGACAUUAACUUGGCCUACAUCAGGAAGAACUUUUGGAAUCCUGAUGAUCUGACAGUUUCUAUCCGAGGGGCUAGGAGGGCGAGGCCAGCUGAGCUUCCUUCCACAUCUGCAACUCCUACUCCAACAUCCACUUCAGCAGUUCCUUCAGUCCCAGUUCAGAUUGAUUCUCAGCACUUUGAAUCCAUGCCUUAGAGCAUUCAUCAGGGAUAGAUCAUUUUACUUCAGAGUUUACAGGUGGUGCCGCCUCCAGGAUUCAUUCCUUCCGUUGAACAGUUUCUAGAGAGAGUAGCCUGACCUGGGGCCCAACCUUCUCUUCACAAGGAAGAUGAAGGUCCCACAGGCUAGGUACCAUAGCAUGUAGAGGAUGCAUCAUAUAAGGCCACCGUUCCAGAGCCAUUCAUUAUAGAGGAGGAGGCAGGUGAGACACAGGUUAGACAGGAAGCUGCUGCUACUCCUAAGAGUUCACAUCAGAUCCACCCACACCAGUGGUGGACCUCUCCUCACCUCAGCAUGCAGUAGACCCCUCCACUCCUAUACUCGAGAUACCAGAGGACCCGACUACAAUAGCCCUGACUCUGAACACUUCUCCUCCAGCUACUCCAGUACUUCAUCUGACAGAUGAGGAGGGUGGUCAGACAUAGGAUACUCAGGAUCAGUCACAAGAAUUCUAAAUUCCUGAUGAUUGUUUUUGGAUUAUUAUUAUAAUGAUUAUAAUUAAGUACAUUACUUUUAGUGAUUUUGGUUAAUGUGUAUAUACACUGCUGUUUUUGUUUGUAGAUAACUAGUAUGCUUGUUUUGAAGAAUAUGGAACAGUUUAACUUGACUUGGAUGAUUAUGCAGUGAAACAUUUUUAUCUUUUUGUGAAAAUUGGUGUUAUGAAUUGAUUUUGGAUUGAAUGCAUGAUUGUGAUGGAGUUUGUGUUUCUUUUCAUAACUUUGAGCAAAUAUGUAUGUUAGACAAAGAAAGAACAAGAAUGUGAACUUGCAAUUAGAAUUGUUAGGCAAUAGAUAGGUUGUUUGAGAAAGAAAAGCUUGAACCAUAACCGGUGAGAGUGUGAUCUUAAAUUGUGAGUGAACGACUAGCUUUGAGUAAUGGUCUUUGCAUCAAUCUCUGAAAUUUAGAAUGAAAUGUAUGAAUGAGGACAUGAUGAAGACCAUGAUUGUGUAUAUACAAGCCAAUUGACCAAAAAGCUUACCUUGAAUAAUAAUUGUAUCCUUUGCACCCUUUGUGAGCUAAAUUACAUUUUCAAAAUUGAACCCUAAACUUAAAUGAUUAUCUCCAGAUACCUUGUUUUGAUUCUAGGAGAGCAGAUAGUUCAAGGCAAAUUACCCCAAAUUUGGGGGAGUUGAUUGGGAUGUAAAGUAAAAGGUAAAGCAUUAGCACACAUAACAAAUAAGUUGUGUUAAAAAAAAGGAGAAAAAGAAAAGAAAUCAAAAGAAAAUGUGUGUUGUUGUAAUAAGGUCAAAUGCAAAUUAAAGUGAAAGGAUGGUGAGAAAGCUAACUAUAUUGAAAGAAAUAUUUGGAUGAGUCUAGGAUUUGUGCUCUCUUAGAAUCUAAGCCUUCGAAUCCUAGAAAAACCAAUUAUUUUUGUAGCUACAAGCCUAUAAAAGUCCUUCUAAUUCUAUUUAUGCAUUUCUGACUUGAUGACAUGAAAUGAAGUUCAAAGAUUGGACCUCUUCCUAGUUGUUAUUAAUGAAUAGCUUAAACACUUGUGCUUGAGUGAAAUAGAAGAUGUGAGACUGUGGUUUAAGCUACUUUCUUUGAUAUCUGUCUUAUGCCUAACUUCAUCUAAUUGUACAGGUUACAUUUUUUUCUUCUCUUUGAAUAAUUGCAUGCUUUGUGAAAGACAAGUGAUGAGGGCAUUUUGCUUCAUUCUUGUAUCAUGCAAUCAAUAACUUUUGUGCAUACACCUUUGUACAUAGUCACUGCAUGUUUUUGUCACUUGGGGGACCAGUGAGUUGUUCUUUAUUUGCUUGAGGACAAGCAAAACUGUAAAUUUGGGGGAGUUGUUAGUCGAUGAAUACGACUAACUUUUGUGUAUAAAACUUAUGUAAAUUGUAUCAAACUCCUCCAAUUUAUGGUUAUUUUGUAAGUGUUAUAAGUACUUUUUGUUAAAGAUAGGUAAUAAAUACUUAGUAAUCCCAUUUUGUGUGUUUAAUAAUCAUUUCCUCUCAAUUUCAGGUUAAUUAGGCAAGUUUGUGAAGUGCUGAUUUUCAUUCUCUCGUUGAGCCAAUCUUUUGGCUUAGCGAGCCAUCUGCUGAGCGCAACACUCCUCGGCUGAGCGCGAGGAAGAAUCAGGAAGAAGGAUGAGCUGUGCAUUGGCAUUGAGCGAAGGGUCAUCUCGCUAAGCACACCGCUUCAAUCCAUCCAUUGAGCGAGAAAAGCACAUGCUAAGCCGAAAUCCACUAAUGCGCGCUGAGCGGUCUAUAGUCGCGCUAAGCGCGCUAGCACAAACAAAGCCACCUAUUUAAGCCUGAAAUCAGAUUUUGGAGAGGAGUUUGGGCAAUUCUCGAAGCUUUUGCAUGUUUAGAGAUUUCUAGUGAGAGAAAGGUCAAGGUUCCAGGGAUUUUGGCCAUUUUCUCGAAGAGCUUCUGCAUGUGAGAGAUUAUAGAGAGAGAAGGGUUUGAAUCCAGAGAGUUUUGAGAGAUUUUGCUGUGCGAAGGCCUGCAGAGAAUGGAGCUUGAAGAAGAAGUCGUCCUGAGAGCUUGAGAUGAGUCUACGAGUGAUUGUGAGGUCCUAGAGGUGGAUGAGACAUCCCCACUACUUGUAUUUCUUCAAUCCUUCAUCUUUCUCUUCUCUUUGUUGUAAAGGAAGCUUCCCAGAUAUGGAGAGCUAAAUCCUCUGUUGGUUCUUCCUUGUAGGUACUUGAUGUAAAUACUUGUAUAUCUAUUUAAUGAUGUUUUAUGUGUUAUCUGUGCUAUUAGUACUUCAUUUCAGUGUGUUUUUGCCUUGAUCACGUAGAUGUAUGCUUUGUUAGGAUCAUUCAACAGUGGAAACUGGUCUGAUUCUUAGAACUUGAUAGGACAGGGCUAGUUUAUCAUAUUAUCACGAGGGAUCGGGGUACGGUAACUUAGUUGAUUGGAUGUUUGUUUUAAUGCGAUUCUGGUCGAGUUUAGUCCAACAAGAGGAAUCUGAGGACGAUGCUUGACCGGGAUUAGGCUAGACUAUCAUGAGGAAUCGGGGUUUAGCAUUUCAGGAGACACCAUAGAACACAUGAGCAUUGUUAAGUAGAGAAUAUCCUUUUAACAUCAGGCACCUAUUAGGAAGACCAACGUGUUGUCUACUUGUCUUUAUGCAUCAUUACUCACGUGAUUUUCCUUUUAAUAGUUAGUUUACAUACCUGUUCAUAGUCAACACAUCUCUUUUCAUACUAGGCACCUAUUCAUUGAAUACAGCUUUACCAAGUAACACAAGUUCCCCGAGAGUUCGAUACUCAGUUCUUACCAUUUUAUACUACUUGCGUGAUCCGGUGCACUUGCCACGACUGAACAGCCAGCCCCAGCGAUUUCAACCUAGAAAUCAAGAGUAGUGUUUAUGUUGCUUAUGGCUUGGAUAGUUACCAUUUGUGUUUGCUUAUGCUCAAUUAUCUUGAAUAACACAAUUCAAGAGAGCUUAAGACUUAUUUUGAUUCACAAAUCCAACCACAACUCAGCACCACAACUCAACUUCAUCAUAGGCAUCAUGUAGGAAACUUAGAAAAUAAAAAAAAAUGUUCAACAACAAGACUACUUCUAGGAAUUGAUUUAGAACAUGUUAUGAACUAAAUAACAUGCAUGAAUUAGACUCAAAAUUCAAAAGAUAGGCUAAGAAUGACAAGAAUACAUGAACAAAUGUAUCUAGAAUUCAAUCAACAAAAUCAAAAUUCAACACAAACUUAGAACAUAAUGUGACAAUUAUUAUGACUAAACAUGACUCUAAGACAACAUCGAUUAAGUGAUUUACACUUAGAUUUUUGUUUUUUUUUCUAAUCAAUAUUUUGGAAGAAAAUUUAGAUCUAAAGGUUCAGCACAAGAAGAUUAUGACUGAAAAAUGAUAGAACCUAAAAUCAACACAAAAACAUGAUUCAAGAGUAGAUCUAUAGAAUUUGAACCAUAGAAAUGCAAGAACAAGUGUAGAUGUAAGAUUUAAUCGGUUAUUUUUUUUUUGAAUCUACUAUAAACAGCACCAAACCACAAGACAAUGGAGGAUAUACAUGGAGAAUAAGAUGAAUAACAAGGAAUUAAAGUGAAUUGACCGAACAAAAAGAUAGAGGACGCAAAUGAGCAUCACCUAGAUGAAGAGGCUCUUGAUACCACAUGAUGUAGCUCCAUGUGGAGCUUGUAGGCCUUGGAUCUUCUUCAUCAAUUGAUUUCUUUGCUUCUUGAGGUCUGAUUGCAGUGGAAUGGAGAAGGAGAAAUAUGAAUGGAGAUGCCACUUCAAGUAGAAGAUGAGUCUAGAAGAAGCUCACCACCAUAGGAAGCCAUGGGUAAGAGCUUGAAGGUAGAAGAAGAUGAAUGAAGGGAGAGAAAGAGAAGAGCACAAAAUUUAGUGCCUCUAAAGAAGUAUGAACUUUGAAUUUUAAUUCUCAAAUGAUCAAAGUUGAAAAAUGCAUACACAUGACCUCUAUUUAUAGCCUAAGUGUCAUACAAAAUUGGAGGGAAAUUUGAAUUUCAAUUCAAAUUUCACUUGAAUUUGAAAUUGAAUUUGUGGAACCAAAUUUUGGAGCCAAAAUUUCACUAAUUAUGAUUAGUGAAUUUCAGUUAUGGUUCAGCCCACUAAUCCAAGAUCAAUUCCAAGAUUCUCCACUAAGUGUUCUUAGGUGUCAUGAGGCAUGUAAAACACGAAAGACAUGCACAAAGUGUGACUAUAUGAUGUGGCAAUGGGGUGUAGUAAGCAAAUGCUCACCUCCCCCUCAAAAAUUUAAUUGGCUUGGGCUUCUACCAAUUCAAUUAAAUUUAUUUCCCAACACACAAUCAAAUAUUCACUUAGUGCAUGUGAAAUUACAAAACUACCCCUAAUACAAAAACUAGUCUAGGUACCCUAAAAUACAAGGGCUGACAAAUCCUAUAUUUCUAGGAUACCCUACCUACAUUGUGGAGCCCUAAAUACAAAGACAAAAAAAAUAAUGAAAUCCUAAUCUAAUAUGUACAAAGAUAAGUGGACCCAACCUUGUCCCAUGGGCUCAAAAAUCUACCCUGAGGUUCAUCAGAACCCUCGGGCCUUCUUCAACAGUUCUAACCCAAUCUUCUUGGAGCCUCUUACUCAUGGCUAUGGUAAAUGAUCCCUUCCUAGGGAAGAUUGCAUCAGAUAAGGCCUUAGUUUAUUUGUUAAAUGAAUCCUACUGGUUGAUCAGUUUAGGCCUCAAACAGUUAUUUUCAACAACUCAAGGCACUGGUAAUCGAUUACCAGAGACAGAUUGCAAACGGGCUUUUCAAAAAGGGUUUUGAAAUUUGAAUUAUAAAUCUUGUAAUUGAUUACCAAAUGUCUGUAAUCGAUUACCAGUAACGACACUUCAAAAAAUACUUUGAAAAGUCAUGACCUUUCAAAAUAUAACUAUGUAAUCGAUUACCAUAAUCCUGUAAUCAAUUACUAGUGAGAAAAUUUUAGAAAAACUUUUUGAAAAGACACAUCUCUUCAAACUAUUUUGAAAAGGCACAAUGGGCCUAUAUAUAUGUGUGUCUGACUUCGAAAAGAAGAAAAGAGAUUUUUCUAAGAGAACUUAAUUGUCAAAUGCUCCCUAAACAACUAUUGGCCAAACACUUGCAAAUCUAUUAAAAAUUCUUCUAGGAUCUUCAAUUUGUAUCAUGUACUCUAAAAAAGAGAAAUCUUUCUGUACAUCUCAUAUACUCGGUUGUAAUCAAGAGACUGUUUGUCCCUUGGCUUGUGAGAAUCUUGAACACAAAGGCGAGGGAUCCUAAGGUGUGUUCAAAGACUGUAAAGGAUUUACAGAAAUAGUGGAAAAUCUCAAGUGGGUUACUUCAGGACUGGACGUAGGCACGGGAAGUGGCCGAACUAGUAUAAAAUGAGUUUGCAAUUCUCUCAUCCCUUAUCUCAUUUAUUUUAUUGCAAUUGAUUUUAUCUUUCACUUUUUAUAAUAACAUUAUUAAAUUGAUUGUUGCUUCUUUUGCAUUCUGAAUCGAUUGUAUAUCAUUUAAAAAGGAGAUUAAAACUUGUUAGUCGAAGAAUUUUUAAAACUUAAUUCACCCGCCUUCUUAAGUUAUUGAGGCCACUUGUCCAACAGAAAAUACAAUGGGAAGCUUCCUUGAGAAGUAGGGAAGGUAGCUUCCUUGGGAAGCAAGGAAGAAAGCUUCUUUGAGAAGGUAGAGGGGGGCUACUCACACCCCUCCAAUAGCUAAGCUCACCCCCAUGCCAAAAUACAUGAAAAUACAAAAAAAGUCCCUACUACAAAGACUACUAAAAAAUGCCCUGAAAUACAAGGCUAAAACCCUAUACUACUAGGGUACCCUUAACUUAUAGGGUAGGGUGCCCUUAAUUUAUAGGGUACCAUACAAACCUAAAAUGGCCAAAAUACAAGGCCCAAAAGAAGGGAAACCUAUUCUAAUAUUUACAAAGAAAAGUCGACCCAACCUUGGCCCAUGGGCUUAGAAAUCUACCCUGAGGUUCAUGAGAACCCUAGGACCUUCUUUACCAGCUCUAGCCCAAUUAUCUUGGAGCCUUUUUCUCAUGGCUCUGGUGACUGGUCCCAUCCUAGGGAGGAUUGCAUCACAAUGUAGUUCUAUAUUUAUGCUUACCUAUAUAUUUACUCUUUGAGUGUUAAGAAUAUUUGUAUUCAUUCAAACAUUUGUUUAUGAAAGCCAGGAAAGGCUUAGUGUUAAAAAAUACUUGGGUUCUUAGAUUAAGGGGGAGUCUAAGAAGAUAAAAAAAUGGUGUAAAGAAUACUUGUAAGGCCAAGAGUGGUGAGUUAGAAUACUUGUUUUGUAAUUAGUUUUGAUUAGUUGAACCCUUUAGUAAGUAAAUAAGAACUGGACGUAGCUCUGGUUGAGCUAACCAAUAUAAACCAAGUGUUUCAACUUUCCAUAAUAGGUUUAUUGAGCAUUCUUAUUAUAUUUUCUAACAUCACUUUACCCUAAGUAUUUAUUUGAAGAACUAUUUUAAGAAUCUUUUAUCUAUCACUAGAUGAUCGUUUUGUUCUUCAUUACAUAUUCCUUUUGUCUUCAGUGGAUGACUAGUGUUUAACACAUUAUUAUUCAUAUUAUUACUAUUAUUGCAAAAAGUUUUUAUCUUUCAUAUACAUACUAUUCAACUCCCACCCCUCCUUUUUUAGUGUUUUUCUUGUAGUUUCACUUAGUAAAGGAAUGAUUAAUGUCUAAAUGCUUGAAAACUUAUACUCUGGAUCUAGAGGACGUGUUGUCCAAUGGCCAUACAGACAUAUAUGCAUGAUUGGACAACUAAGAGUGGAUGUGGGUCAUUUAAAAAUAUAUAUAUAUAUAUAUAUAUAUAUAUAUAUCUUAUUAAUACACAAUGUUUUGACUAUUGAGCUAUCCUUGAGUAACAAGCCUCUUAAUUACCUUUUAAAAGCCUAGAGAAACCGCUCACAUUCCCUUUAAAACUUUGAGAAAUCAGGGCAACGGUCUAUCUUCACUAUCUUUGUAAGAACACUCAAGAUCCUCUCAAGAAAAACACGUAAACCCUAAUCCUUUUUCUCUGCUCACCAUGUCAAACUCCAAUGAAAACACUGCUCCUACCAUAACCAUCAUCACCAUAGACACCACUACCAUUCACACUGAUGGAGAACCUACUGUUCAUAUUGAACAAUUCUUCGACAUCAGUAUGCUAGAAUGUCCUUGUCUCAACAUACAACGUACUAUGCUCCUCUGCAAAAUUCAUGGCUAUUUCAACGAUCCACAACUGAUAUACCCAAAACUCAUUAGGAUGUUCUAGAGGAACACUUAACCUAAGGACUAGAAGACCAUUGUGUCCAAGGUUCUUGGAAAGGAAGUCAUGUUGUCCAUGGAGUCCAUCACAUAAGUCAUUGGGUGCAUAAGGGAAGAAAGCAUAUACCAAGAAUAGUAGGAAAAGACCUAUGAGAGCCACAUUCCAAAAGCUCUCUAUGGGAAGAACAUCAAGGAGACAGAUGGAAAGAAGAAGGUUCAGUAUAACCUUUUGUGUGAUAUGGCCAAAAUCUGGUCCAACAUGCACAAAGUAGGUUCAAAAGACUCUGUGUCUAACCUAUACAAAUAUGUACUCUUCCAUAAAAUGGACAAGAUUCCAUUCGACCUUCCACACACUGUCCACAUCAACAUACUAAGGAACAUGAAGGCCUUGGGAGGAGUGGAAGAUAUCUACUCUGCCACCCUCAUCAACAAACUCCUCUAGGAACACUAGGUAUUCCAUGCCUUUGAAAGACUAGAUGAGGACUCCAAGCAUUCCAUCAACAGCAAGGGAACUUUCAUUGCCAGAUAGCAACACUUCAGUGCUUUUAACCUAAAGGCAAUGAAAGUUGACACUAGAAGGAACAACCCUAUUCCUUAAGUAAAUCAAGAUGAAAUCCUACAAAGGAGGCAGAAGAAACUGGCCAAGACUGUUGCUAGUGAAGAUAAGCCUUUGAAGACCUUUGAACUUGAUAAAAAGGUUCAAAGGGUCCUUAGAGAGCAACAGGGAAAGGUCCAAACUAGGAAGCAAGCCCAAUAAGAAGAAGAAGAAGAGAUUGUCAUUGAGGAGCAAUGGAAAAAGAAAAAGCUUGAGGAGUCCAGACCUUCGCGUCCAAUACAGUCUCAAAGGACUCGUCUAUAGACCACUCUAGUAAGAAAAAGUGAAAGAUAGAUCACUGAGCAGGCUACAAAGGAUCCGAAGCUUAGGGAUUUAAGUGAAAUAGAGGAUGAUAACCCUUUGAUAAUCCCAAGGAAGUGAAAAGCAGAACAAGAAAAACCAAAGAAGUAGAGGCCUGAUCAACCAAUUAUCACAUCCUCUUUUCCAAAGAAGAGAAAGAUAAGACCUAGAUGCAAGUCCUUAACCCUAAAGGAACCCAUUAAGAUCCCAUCCUUCAUUGUCUCUUGUUCGUCUGAUAGUGAGGCAACUCCAACUCCCACUCCACAUCCAUCCAGUCCACCACCAGUGUAGACCAAGAAGCCUACAUAUCCAAGUUUCCAUUGCUUGGAUCCACAUGGAGACGAAGCUAGAGAUCCUAGGUCCAACAAACCAAAGUAAAGAUUGCUUUCCAAAAGUUUUCAGUUACUUUCUUCAAAAUAAAUCAAUAGAACCACUGCCCUGAGAGUGAGAUCAUCCAACACUCAUAGAUAGAACCUAUCCAAAGACAACAUGAGGUAGUGACUCCACCUCAAUGGACAAAGUAGAUCACAUUCAUACUCCAUUCAUCGAAUAUGCGGCUCUGGUCCCAUAUGCCAUAGUGGCUUUGGAUAACCCCUCUUGGACGAGACUAGUGUACUCCAACCUGGUCAAGAUGGGUACUCAGUGGAUGCCAAAUGGUACCACUAUAACCACUUGCCCAUCCUCUGUGUUGGAUGAGCAAAAGCAGAGACAGGCAAUCACUUCCAGUGAUCCAUAUGACAAGGCAACAAAGCUUACUUUGCCUACAAUAGUCAUCAGUGGGGACCCCUCAAAGGAGAAUUCUACUACAUAAAGACUAUUGUCCAAGGAGGUGCAAAUCUGGACUCCUCGCACUAGAUUCAUUCCCUUCCAUCCUGCUUGCUUAAGACCCUACAAACAAGAUCUUGAUAUAAUAGGAGGCAUCUUCAAGCAAAUGUACAUACUGGACCAAGCAACUUCUUAUCCUCCUGGACUCCAAAUCAACCAAUGAACUGACAUCAAGAUGGAGCUUGACAGAGCUUGCCCAAGAUUGCCUAUCUGUGAUGAAGGGAAGAAGAAGGGUUUCAAGCUCUACUUCAAUGAAGACAUGCCGAGUAGAAAUAGAAGACACAAUUGGUCAACUACUCCCACGACUUGACAUCUUUGUUCCAAGGUCAAAGGCUCAUCAGGAAGCUAGAUGCUAAUGAUGUUAGGACCUCAUGGAAUCAGACAGUGUGGUAUGACACCAAAGGAGCCAGCUCCUCCAACUCUACGCAUGUGCCUGCUUUCCAACAAAGGAAUUCCAUUUAGGUAUUGUCUCCAAACAAAGUUUACUACUUUGAUUAUGCAAAUGCUUGCUUUGUGAAGAACCAUGAGGAUGACUUCAUGCAGAGUCUAUUGAAGCUACCCACUAUCUUCUACCAUCGUGUCUUCAACAUUCGAAAGAUGACAAUGGAGAAACUAGAAGCCCGCAUCUAACGCCUUCAUCGACUACAAAAAGCUGACAGGGCCAAGUAUGAAGCAACAUGGAAAAUUAGACUUGAAAAAGAAGUAAAGCAAAAAGCCAAAGCAUAAGACAGACACACAACUAUUGUCAAAAGGAAAGCUAAAGCAGAAGCUGAGAAGACAAGACCCAACAAGGUGGUCUCCAAACCGACUGCUACAACUGCUAAAGCAUCCAAAGUGGCUGAGUCCACUCCAGCCAUAGUUGCUGAAAAACCAAAAUAUACGCUAGAUAAGGCUCUAAUUGAAUCAACCUCACAUGAAACCACACCUAAAGAAACAGCUGUUGUCAUCAUCCACACCACUAUCUCUAUACCAAUUCCAAUCAACUUAGUCCUAUAGAAGUAGUGAGCAAAGCUAAGAUAAAGGAGAUGAUUGGCCUAGCUAUGGACAUCUUUGUUGAAAAGUAAAGGACUGAGAAUGAUAAGUUUAAGUGCACCAUGCAAUAGGAAAUAACUACUCAAUUCAAUAGUCUUAGUGAAUCUCUCAUCCUACAUCCUUUAGUCAUUGGACGAGGGAUUUUAUAAACUUGUUUAUUAUAACAUCUUCCAUUUUGAAAAGGUUUUAUAUUUUGACUGAUACAUUAUUCAACCUCCCCUUCUAGUGUGAUUUGUUGUAUUUCAUGCUAUAGUUCACUUUAUCCUAUCAUGCUUAGUUUUUCAUGUUCUAAGUGAUUGUGAAUGCUAAGACCACUAUGUUUUUAUGAACAUAAGUGUUUGACAUAGUGUAAUCAAUUACAUAGUUUUUAUAAUCAAUUACAACAUGUUUAAACCUUGGUUAAGGCUUGGAUUCUAUUGAAACAAGGUUAUUCCCAUUGGGAUAAUCAAUGAGAAGGAAAUGUAAUUGAUUAUAUCUUAUUGCAAUUAGAAGAUUGUUCUUUGGGAUGGAAAUAAUCGAUUACCAAAUUAUUGAAAUUCAUUACCAUGAUCUGGAAAUGCAUAACAAAGAGUAUAUAAGCGAAAUAGCCGAUUACAAGGUUUUGAUAAUUGAUUAUGGCGGUUAUAACUAUUUUUUUUAUUAUAAAUACCCAUAUUGUUAUUCCUUUUGAGUAACUCUUUUGUGAUAGAAAAUUCAAUACUACAUUAAGAAAGUGUAAUGCAAUCCUACCCCCCAAGGGCAUUGGAUAGAAGACUCCAAGAAGAUUGGGCCAGAGAUGCAAGAGAAGGCCCUAGGGUUCUCAUGAGCCUUAGGGUAGAUUUCGGGCCCAUGGGUUAAGUAUGAGCCCCUUAUCUUUCUACAUAUUAGAUUAAGGUUUCAUUAUUUUUGGGCCUUGUAUUUAGGGCUCCAUAAUGUAGGUAGGGUACCCUAGAAAUGUAGGAUUUUUCAGCCCUUGUAUUUUAGGGCACCUAGACUAUAGUUUUGUGUUAAGGGUAGUUUUGUAAUUUCACAUGCAUUAAGUGAACAUUUGAUGUGUGUGUUGGAAAAUAAAUUUAAUUGAACUGGGAGAAGCCCAAUCCAAUUAAAUUUUAGAGGUGGAGGUGAGCAUUUGCUUGCUACACCACAUUGCCACAUAUAAUCACACUUUGUGCAUGUCCUUCAUGCUUUACAUGCCUCAUGACACCUAAGCACACUUAGUGGAUCUUGGACUUGAUCUUGGAUUAGUGGGCUGAACCAUAGCUAAAAUUCACUAAUCAUAAUUAGUGAAAUUUUGGCUCCACAAAUUCAAUUUCAAAUCCAAGUGAAAUUUGAAUAGAAAUUCAAAUUUCCCUCCAAUUUUGUGUGAAACUUAGGGUAUAAAUAGAGGCCAUGUGUGUGCAUUCUUUUCAACUUUGAUCAUUUGAGAAUUACACUUCAAAGUUUGGACCUCAUUUGAGGCACAAAAUUUCGUGCUCCUUCUCUCCCUCUCCCUCCACUCAUCUUCUCCUACCUUCAAGCUCUUAUCCAUGGCUUCCUAUGGUGGUGAGCUUCUUCUUGACUCAUCUUCUCCUUGAAGUGGUGCCUCCAAUCAUCUUACUUCCUUCUCCAUUCCACUACCAUUCAUCUUCAAGAAGCAAAGGACUCCAUUGAUGAAGAAGAUCCAAGGCCUACAAGCUCCACAUGGAGCUACAUCAAAGUGUUUCUAAAAGGAUUAGUUGAGCAUUUCUUCAGAGAAAGUUAUCUUGUCAAGGUCAAGCAUUCAAUGUCAAGGAUGAACAUCAUGGUUUGAAGAUUGAGGCUUUCAUAUCCACACAAUAAGGUGUAUUCAUUCCAUUUUUCUUAUUUUCAUUCGUCUAAGUUUUGUGAUAUUGGUUAGGGUUACUGUCAAAUCCUAAUUUCAUCUAGGGAAUAUCAUUCGAUAUGAUAUUUUGAUUCUUGCUAGUCGAAUUACGAUUUUUGGCGCUAGUUACAGUGCAAAGAAAGGAAUCACUCAAUGUUUUGAUCAAUAAAACAAAAGGAUACCAAGGAAGGGGACAAAAGGGUCUUUUUUGAAAUUUUCUAGACUCUAGCUUGCCCAAGCUAGCAUCUGGCUCGCCUAGGCCAUGAAAUGGCUUCGUGCCUAAGCAACUAGCUCACCUUGGGGAGCUCUAGCUCGCCUCAUUCCUUCAAGGCUAAGUAACUAGUUCGCCUGGGCGAGCUUCCCCUGCCCCAAAAUGGCUAUUUCCUAUAAAUAGCCAUGUUGGGGGAGGAGUUUAAGGGUUCAGAAGUUGAGAAAAAGAAAGAGGAAGAGAGAAAGAAGAUGAAGAAGGAAGAAAAGCGAAGUCAAGGCGCUAUCAAAUUGCGACCGUGAUCAUUCCCUCAUUCUCUUGUUAUGUGUCCCUCGUGCAACAGUCGAUUAGUUUUUAAGAGUUGAAUGUAAUCUAUGUACCCUUAGGGGUCCCCUCUAUUGCUAAUGCCUUGCAUUCUUUUUUUUUUUGUCGUCAAAGUCACAAUGAAGUGUGAAAGUCUGCACCUCAUUUCUUAUUUGCAUGUGUUGGGUACCAUGGUAAUAACUACAAGCAAACCAUGUUGGAUUUAUAUAUUUCUUUCUCCCAACGAUGAUCAAGAGUUGCAUGAACAUGGUACUCAAUGCAUUGUUAAUAUGAAAGGGGUGGUCUUCCGGGCAUCUUGUGUUAGUUUGAUAAAUACGUUUGUCAUGCAUAGCAUAACCAUGUCUUGAUUCAUUCAUCAUACCUGCUCUAUGAUAGGGUGUUGAAGUAUUGGUCAUCAAAAUUUCUAUUCUUGAGAACAUGGGGUUGGACCAAGCACGGUCUUUUAAGAAAAGGUUCUAUCAUGUCAAAGUAAAAAAUCUAGAAGUAGCUAGCUUGCGAAAGCUGGGACAGUGGAUGGAUCAAGUUCAACGUCAGGCUUUUUCCAAGGUAUAUUUGAAGAUCUAGGAUCUGGCGAUGAUAGAAGAUUCAGUUGAAGAAAUCACAUCUCUCACUCAAUACUAUGACCAAUUGCUCAGAUGCUUCACUUUUGGGGACUUUCAGUUAGCACCGACCAUAGAGGAGUUCGAAGGGAUCUUAGGGUGCCCGAUAGGAGGAAGGAAGCCAUAUACCUCUUUACUGGAUACUAUCUUUCUAUGGUGAGAAUAGCAGGAGUGGUCAGGAUCUCGGAAUGAGAAUUAGAUCGAGUGAAGCAAAGUAGGAAUGGAGUAGUGGGAAUACCGAGGAAGUGCUUGGAGGAGAAGGCGGAAACUCUGGCAAGCCAAGGAGAAUGGGUAUCAUUUAUCAACAUAUUAGCUCUGCUAGCGUUUGGGACAGUUCUAUUUGAAAAUGUAGACGGGCUGGUGGAUCUAGCAGUGAUCGAUGCUUUUCUUGCUUAUCACCACAGUAAGGAAAGCCUGGUCAUUACUGUUUUAGCAUAUGCGUAUGAUACGUUCGACUUAAGAUGUGAGAAGAGUAGUGCGAGAAUUGUUUGUUGUACGCCUGCUCUUUGUGUAUGGUUGGUAUCCUGCAUCUUUAUUCAUGAAAGUAGAUCUGUCUGUCCCCUACAAGGUCAUCGCAUGUGCUUGAGAAAGAACAAGGCAAAUUGGGAAGAACUCUUGGCAGGCAUGACGGAAGUGUCUAUUAGUUGGUUCCCACGGCGGAAAGAAGAAGGCGCAAGAGUGUUAUGCUUGUCGCAACCUAUCCUUCGGCGGGAGGGCGACGCGGGGCUCACGGGUGCGUCUUCUAUGGGAGGAAAAUGCGCGGAGUCGCCACCAACGUUUAUUCGAGGAAAACGUCGGAAAAAUCGGAAAGGUGUGGUCUACGAACUUUAAGUGUGAAAGGUUCGGGAGUUUUUUUUACGCACGGGGAAGGUAUUAGCACCCCAUGCAUUCGUCACAAGGGAUGGCAGUCUUUAACCAAGUGUGCAAAUACGACUUCGAAAUGUUUUAUUUUCCCUUUUUAUGUCUUUUUUGUGUUUUUAUGCUUUUUAUGUUUUUAAUUUUGGUGUGGUCGACAAGGGUGUUUCCCUCGCUCCUACGUAUCCUCAUUUGCGAUGAGGAAAUCAGACCUACGUAGUUCUUUGAGAACUGAACGUUGGUUAAGUUUUUUUUAUCUUUUUUUGCAAGAUAUAUUUUGAUCGAACAAAAAGUCGUUUAAGGCGUUGGACCAUUUGAACGAUCUUUUGAUUCUUUUCGAAAGGAGAGAAACAUUAAGGCAUUGGACCAUUAACAAUCUCUUGAUUUUUUUGAAAAUAGUGACAAAGUUACAUGUUGACUUUAUGCUUUCGAAAGUCCACGUUUAACCAACAAAAAGCAAAGAGAACCAUUUAAGGCAUUGGACCUUAAAUCGGUUUUUAAGUGAUUUUUAUGGACAAAGCUUGAUUUGUGAGUUGAUUUUAGCCUUAUUUUCACUUUGGUUAUUAGUCAAUUCAAUUAAGAAAAAUCCCAAAGAAAAACGUCCAAUUGAUUUUUUUGAUUAUUUUAUUCAAAGAUACUUCGAUUAUUUUAUUAUUAUUUUGCCUCUUUUGGUUUUAAACGUGGUUACGCAUGAAAGAUCGGUUGGUUUUAAACCCUGCCCCUUCUGACUGAGGCUAAACUGGUAGAGACACUCAUGUAUUUGAACCUGUCCACGGUGGUUGGCCGCCUGCUGGCAAACCAAAUGCUGUAAAUAACGCUCUACGCCCAGUGACCCAUCUGGACUGGCCUGCCAAGGUGGUGGCAGUGCGCCUGCGGACUGAUGUGCAUCACCCUGCGCCUGCCUAGGCGCACAAUACUUCUCGAUGAAGGCUCGGGUGAUCGGCGGUCGGAUUACCUUACUGGGGGUGACGGGAACUCUGUAGGACUGGCAAAGGCCCAUGAUCAGAGCCGGAAACCCCAGGGCCCUGUUGGACUUCUACGGGUCCAGAGGGUGCCUGGUAGGCGCCAUACCUUCAAACAAAUAAAUGGCAUCAGCAAUCACCUAAGCCAUGAGGACGUUCAUCCGUGUCAGGAUGGCAUACACCAACUGGCACUUAGGCAGAGGGAGGUCAGAGUUGUGGUCGCUAGGCAAGACAUUGCUGAGCAGCAGCGUCAUCCAUAUCUGGGUCAAGGUAGUCAUGCUGGUGCGCAUGAUCUGCACCCACCUCCCUGCAGCGGUCCAGGCGAAAUCCUGCCCCGGUAUGCACAACAGCUGGGCGAUGGCUUCCUCAUCGAAACCGUCUGCCUGGCUCCUCCUCUGGGUGACCUCACACUGCUGACCUUCCUCCAAAAUCAGCGGGUCGCCCAAGAACUAAAUGAGGGCAUCUGCGUCGAAGGGAAUCCCCUGACCCCUCACCCAUGAGCGCAUGUCCCGAACUCCCUCCUCUGUGGGCCAGGCAUUAGCGUAGAACUCUAGGACUAUCUCGGGGUCAAACUUGGCCAUGAGAGUCACUAGAGGUGUCCAAUGCAUGCGAGCUAUCUCCUCUUGGAAGUCCGUGUACUCAUCCUCCCUGAGCUGGACACGCCUCUCCUGGUGGAAUGACCAUCCCCUGAUGGCCUCAAAGCACUGCUAGUGCUCGGCACUCUAGAAACGAUGACUAUCAAACUCUGAGGCAGCACUGGAUCCUUCUCCUGUGGCAUCUCUUCUAGACCUCUUCGUGGAGAGUUUCUUUGGAUCCAUUUCUUGUAUGGAGUGAUCAAAGAUACUAAAAAUGGAAGCAAAAGCACAAAAAUGGCGGCCUAGGGUAAAAAAUCCACGAAUCCCGUGGGUGCUGCGUUUUUGAAGGAGGGAGGGGAGUUUUGGGUGGAGAGAAACUCACCCUCCCCUCGUUUUUAUGUUUUCUGGUGCAGGGGUGCUCGCCCAGGCGAGCUAACCCUGCACAUUUUUUUUAUAAAAAAAACAAAGGUACGCGCUCUCUAUGGGUCGGCGUUCGCUUACUCGAAGCCCUUAGGGUAAAUUAGGCAUCCGACCAUCACCUUAAAGAAACAACAACAAUAAUAGGUAGGAAUUUAAAAGGAUACUAGCCUGCCUCCCAGUAGCGCUUCUCGCUUGUCCGAAGCUGGACGUGGGAUGGCGAUCUGUUGCCUCCAUUCCAUAUACCAACGAGAACGGUGUCCGAAGCUGGACGUGGGAUGGCGAUCUGUUGAUCAUGGGCCUAGCCUCCAUUCGUGCCCGUCCCCAAGUACCUGAAAGCAGGAAACGACAUUGCGCAGCAAAUCGUCUCUGUCUUGGAUUUGGCAUGGUAUUUGACUAUUACUUAAAAUGAUCAUGUCCCUAUCACAAGAUAACAAAUAUGCAUGUGUAUGCGUAUGCAUGAGCGUUUUCAAAUGCAAUAAUCUUUUAGCAAAAGCUUUUCGGGUUCAGUUUUAAUUAAGCGCUUGGGGCAUCCCAUGGAUUGAGCGAAAAGGCUCAAGUUAUCAAAUACUACACAUCUUUUAAAGCACAAAGCGAGGAUCGAAACCUCAACCCUACAUUCUUUUAAAAGAUUGUGAUGAAAAAAUUACAGAGGACAGGAAUCCCUGGGGGAAACCAAGAAGAACACACAAAAAUAAAAACAUGCAGCGACUUCCUUAAUUGCCCCAGAUCUUAAGCGUAGUAUCGCUUGACAACGUUGGAGUUCACGGGUGAAGGUAGCUCCUCGUCAUCCAUGUUGGCGAGCACUUCAUAGUUUGGGGCCCACUUUCCCCUGUUGUCUUUCAGGGCUUGGGAGACUUUCUUCAGCACCAAGUCCCCUUCGCUGAACCUGCACGAGCGUACCUUCUUGUCAAAAGCGUUCUUCACUCGUUUUUUAUAUAAACGCCCGUGGCUCAUGGCGGCCAAACACUUGCCUUCUAUGAGAUUAAGCUGAUCGAAACGUGCUUGGGCCCACUCUGAUUCCUUUAAUCCGGACUCCGCCAAGAUUCUCAAUGACGGGACUUCCACCUCAAACGGUAGCACUGCCUCCAUUCCAUAUACCAACGAGAACGGUGUUGCCCCGGUUGAUGUGCGCACUGAGGUUCGGUAACCAUGCAGCGCAAAUGGGAGCAUCCUGUGCCAAUCCUUGUAUGACACGAUCAUCUUCUGGAUAAUUUUCUUGAUAUUCUUAUUGGCUGCCUCCACUGCUCCGUUCAUCUUGGGUCUAUAGGGUGUGGUGAUGUUGGAUCUUAAACUCCUCGCACAUUUCCCCCAUCAUCUUGUUAUUCAAGUUGGUGCCAUUGUCUGUGAUAAUCUUCCUCGGCAAACCAUACCGGCAGAUAAUCUCCCUCUUAAUGAACCUGACCACCACACUCCUGGUGACGCUAGCGUAUGACGCAACUUCGACCCACUUAGUGAAGUAAUCAAUCGUCACUAGGAUGAAGCGGUAUCCAUUCGCAGCUUUGGGCUCUAUAGCCCCAAUCACAUCUAUUCCCCACAUGGAAAACGACCAUGGUGCGACCAAAACAUUCAGAGGCAAGGGUGGAGCAUUGACAUUGUCUGCAAACGUUUGGCAUUUGUGACACUUCCUCACGUGGAGACAACAAUCGCUCUCCAUGGUGAGCCAAUAGUAGCCCGCCCUUAAGAUCUUCCUAGCCAUGGCGUGCCCGUUAGCAUGCGUACCAAAAGAGCCCUCAUGGACCUCCCCCAGCAUGCUCUCAGCAUCCUUAGUGUUCACGCAACGUAGCAAAACCAUGUCAUUGUUUCUUUUGUAUAGUAUGCUUCCGCUGAAGAAGAAGCCGACUGCCAAUCUCCUUAACGUCCUCUUGUUGUUGUCGAAAUCCUCCGGUGGGUACUCUUUGCUUUCAACGUACCGCUUGAUAUCGAAAUACCAAGGCUUACCAUCCUGCUCUUCUUCCACCAGACAACAAUGUGCGGGUCUGCCAUGACACCUGAACUCAAUGUACGGUAGGUCUUCGUGCGAUGUCAGCUGGAAUAUGGACGCUAAAGUGGCAAGCGCAUCCGCCAUUUGAUUUUCCUCUCGGGGAACGUGAUGGAAGGAAAUCUCAACAAAGAACCCAACCAAUUCCUUGAUAUAGGCCUGGUAGGGUAUCAGCUUGUGGUCUCUAGUUUCCCAUUCCCCUCUCAGCUGGUGAAUCACCAACGCCGAGUCUCCAUACACCUUGAGUAGCUUGACGUUGAAGUCAAUUGCUGCCUGGACGCCCAGAGCGCAUGCUUCAUAUUCAGCCAUGUUAUUGGUGCAUUCGAACCCUAGCCUGGCUGUGAAAGGUAUACAUUGAUUGUCCGGAGAGACCAAUGCUGCCCCAACGCCAUGGCCUAGAACAUUUGACGCCCCAUCAAACCACACGAUCCACUUGUCCCUGUCCUUGUCUAGUUUUUUCUCAAACAAGGCGCUUCCCUUUAUCGCCUUUUGGGUGACAUAGACUAUAUCGAACUCGGAUAGCAAAACCUGCCACCGGGCAAUCCGCCCUGUGAGAGCAGGCUUCUCAAAGAUGUACUUGACUGGGUCCAUUUUGGAUAUCAACCAGGUGGUAUGGCUCGGCAUGUACUGUCUUAGACGGUGGGACGCCCAAACUAAAGCACAACACGUUCUUUCCAGCAGGGAGUAGUUCAUCUCACAGGCCGUGAACUUCUUACUCAAGUAGUAGACGACACACUCUCUUUUCCCGGACUUGUGAUGUUGCCCCAGCAUACACCCCAUUGACUAGUCCAAAAUCAUCAUAUACAAGAUGAGAGGUCUUCCGGGCACCGGCAGCAUAAGCACGAGAGGGUUCAUGAGGCACUGUUUGAUUCUUCCAAAGGCCUCUUGACAGUCCUCGUUCAGCGGAUGGAUUGGUUCUUGUGUAAGAGUUUGAACAACGGCUCACAGAUAGCGGUGAGCUGUGAUAUGAAUCUGGCAAUGUAGUUCAAACUCCCCAGGAAACCUUGAACCUGCUUCUCGGUACGUGGUUCUGGCAUUUCAAGGACGGCUUUCACCUUUUCGAGGUCCACCUCUAUCCCUUUCUGCCUUACGAUGAAACCCAGUAAUUUUCCCGACUUGACCUCGAAGGUGCACUUAGCGGGGUUCAACCUCAACCGAUACUUCCUAAGCCUUUCGAACAACUUCCGCAAGUUGACAAGGUGUUCCUCCUCGGUUUUAGACUUGGCGAUCAUGUCAUCUACAUAGACCUCGAUUUCUCGGUGCAUCAUGUCAUGGAACAAAGCCACCAUAGCCCGUUGAUAGGUUGCCCUGGCAUUCUUGAGUCCAAAGGACAUCACUUUAUAACAGAAUGUCCCCCACAGGGUGACGAAGGUAGUCUUUUCCAUAUCCUCUGGCACCAUCUUUAUCUGAUUGUAGCCGGAGAACCCGUCCAUGAAGCAAAACAGAGAGAAAUUGGCCGUAUUAUCCACGAGGAUAUAUAUGUGCGGCAGAAGGAAAUUGUCUUUGGGACUGGCUCGAUUUAGGUCCCAAUAAUCCACACACAUUCGUACCUUCCCAUCCUUCUUAGGGACCAGUACAAUGUUGGAAACCCAUUUCGGGUAUCGGGCGACAACCAAAAAGCUAGUGUCAAAUUGUUUCUUUACCUCUUCUUUUAUUUUCAGGGACGUCUCGGGCUUCAUCCUCCUCAGUUUUUGUUUUACUGAGGAACACUCUGGAUUUAGAGGUAAUCAGUGUUGUACAAUGUCAGAACUAAAACCGUGCAUAUCCUGGUACGACUAGGCAAAGAUGUCUUGGUAGUUUUUCAGCAGGGCCAUUAAUUCUUCACGGAUGGGUGCGAUCAUACCCGUGCCUAUCUUUACUUCCUUUUUCCCACUACAGGUUCCUAAGUCUAUGAGCUCUGUCUCUUCUUGAUGAGGCCUCAUCUCUCGGUCUUCCUGAGCGAUUAUCCUCUCCAGCUCUGGGGGAAGCCCCACAUCCUCGUCCGACCCGCUUCUUGCUCAAAAUUGACGGUCGGGUCCCGGGUAUUAGUACCUUUGAGGGACUCGUCGUCGGAUCUGGCAUUUUUAAGCGUAAAGAAAUAAACAUGCAAAUGAAUGAGAAUGGGUAGAGGUGCAGGAACAGAUGAAGAAAGAUCUUUAUAUUAUAACUUCAAAAACAAAAUACAUAAUGCCUUAACGAAAGGAAACUCUAAAGCCUAGGCCCAAUCGUAGAGUUUUAAAGCUACAAAAGGUUACAUUAUGCUUGUCGCAUAAACGUCUGGGCGUUCCUCCACUCACCAAUUUCCUUGUCGGAAACCGGGAGGACAUGGCCGUAUCAAAUCCAAUCUCCUCGGGGAGUCAUCCUCGCAUAUCGCGGCAACUUGGCCUUCGCGUCUUAAACCCGCACUUAUAAAGCUUCUACUGAUGUGGCAGGGUGGGGCCUCUUUUGGCUUGCUGUCCUGACCGCGGGCCUUGGCCUUUGUUCUUCCUUUCCGCGAUAUUUUUCCUUAUGUCAGCUUGCUUAGGUUUACUCUAGUGCUUACUAGGCUGGUUCAUCCGCUGUUGUUCUUGCCUAAACCUAUUAUGGGCUCGUAGCCGUACCCCAACAUCACCCAGGCCACCAUCAUUGCCGUAUCAGAUAGGCGAGGCUGCCCAGAGAGGGAAUCUACGGAGGCAAUGCUUACUACCUCAAAAGAUUUAAAAGUUGUUUCCAAUGACUCCUCUGCGGCUUCCACAUAUGGCAUAGAGGAAGGGCAACUUACAAAGACGUCUUCCUCACCCGAAACUAUGACCAAAUUUCCCUCCACUAGGAACUUCAGCUUUUGGUGGAGUGUAGAGGGAAUGACUCCCACUGAGUGGAUCCACGGGUGCCCCAAAAGACAGCUGUAAGCCGGGUUAAUAUCCAUCACUUGGAACGUAACCUGGCAGGUAUGAGGCCCUAUCUGUAUGGGGAGGUCGAUCUCUCCCCUCACCUCUCGGCGGCUGCCGUCGAAGGCACGGACCACCAUGGAACUUGGCCUUAGAUGGGAAUCGUUAAAUGGCAAUUUCUCCAACGUGCGUUUGGGCAUCAUGUUCAAACUGGAGUCGUUGUCGAUCAGUACUUUGGCCAUGACAUUGUCCAUGCAUUUGACUGACACAUGCAAAGCCCUGUUAUGUCCUCUCCCCUCGGCAAGGAUUUCCUCUUCGGUGAAGGUGAGGUAGUUGUUGGCUGUGAUGUUAUUGACGAGUCCCCCAAAGCCUUCUACGGAGAUGUCUUGGGCUACAUGAGCUUCAUUCAAGACUUUUACCAACAAAGCUCGAUGGGGCUCAGAGCUCAUGAGCAGUUCCAAAAGAGAGACUCUAGCAGGGGUUUUGUUGAGUUGCUCAAUCACUUUGAACUCGCUUUGUUGAAUAAUGCGGAGGAACUCGCCGGCCUCCUCGAGCGAUACCUCUUUCUUGUCACAACCCUCUUUUCCCUCGGAAAGACCUUUCAUCGGAACAUCCUCACCCGGAGCGGGGAUCACUUUGACAUUUGGCCCUUUCGUCAUCCUUGCCUUCCCCUUAGCGUUUGCAAGUUGCGUCGGCAGGUCAGGGGGCACGAAUACAUGGCCGCUGCGGGUUAUGCUGCUCAGCCCUAUGAUAUUGGUUACUUUGGUCGACAACGAGCUGAUGUCGGUAGCUUCUUCCUUCCUAUCGCUCAAAGGCGCGUACCUCCACGGAACUGCAUGGCUGUUCUUGUAUGGAAACGGAAUAGGUCUAACUACUGAGGGGUGUCGGGGCUUUUAGGGAGCUGUGUCCCUGGUGAAAUGAAUUACCAAAGGUUUAGGCUUUCUAGGACCUUCCUCAUCUGCGGAUCGCAUGCAUAUAUGUUGUUCUUCAUCCCCCUCAUCGCCGACUUCCAGCCGGCCUUGGUCUAUCAUUUGUUGCAACAGGUCUCCUACUGCUAAACAAGCUUCCAUGCUUUGUGGCACGCCGGGAUGCAUCAAACAGGAAUCCUUCUUGUGCCCACCGUGGGGAAUCACACCUCCCUUUUGUAGGGCCUCGUAGAUAAACCUUCUCGGGGGUUGUUACGUCCUUCAAAGGUUUGGACCUGCGCGACCUACUUGCCUGGAUGGCAUUAACAGUUCCCCCUCAAUGAUUGGCAAACGGGUUUGUCUUUACGUUGGGCCAGUCCUCUUGAAAUGUCAGUCAUCCGGCUUCUAUCAGACUUUGGACAUUGCAUUUGAGGGCCACGCACUAUUCGGUUGAGUGGCCCGGGGUUUUCCCAUGGUAUGUGCAGAUUGCGUUAGGGUUGUACCACCUUGGGAAAGGAGGCUGGAAGAUCUUUCCGGGAGAUAUCACAGCCAUCUGGUUGGCAACGAGGGAUGGCAAGAGAUCUUCGUACGUCAUCGGGAUCGGAGCAAAUUCUUCAGUUGGGGGAAAGUUCCUGUCCGCGUUGGAACCAACGCCAAUGUGGGCAUUGCCGAUCGGGUGAGUCGAGGUUGGAGCCGGAGCUUGGGGGGCCUCCCUCUGGACAGGCACGGGCGCCCUUGGUUGUACGGGCGCUGAGUUGGAGGAGUCCCCGGCGCGAGCUGAGAAACUCGGGUGAUGUUGUGCAUAUUGGUGGGUACCGUGGGAGAUCUGCAGCGGCUUGACCCAUGCAGGUGUUGAAGUGACGACAUGGGUAUCUCCUUCCUUCCUCUUUGCCCUAGUUGCUCCGAUCCUCCUACCGUUGGUACCUGUGGAGGAGAUGUAAUCGAACUUCCCCCUCUUCAAGCCCACCUAUUUCCUUUCCCCGGCGAAUACCAAGUCUGCAAAGCUGGAGGGCAUGUAGCUCACUAAUUUCUCAUAGUAAAACACAGGCAAGGUAUCUACCAUCAUGGUAACCAUCUCCCUCUCGACCAUGGGAGGGGCUACAUGCGUUGCCAUGUCCCUCCAACGCUGAGCGUAUUCUUUAAAGGACUCGCUUUCCCAUUUAACCAUGCUAUGCAGCUGAGUCCAGUCGGGAGCCAUGUCAGAGUUGUACUUAUACUGCCUAAGGAAGGCGGUAAUCAGAUCCUUCAAAGUGCGGAUGCGGGAAUCUUCUAGAUUAGUGUACCAGAUGACCGCUGCCCCAGCCAAGCUAUCUUGGAAGAAAUGCAUCAACAACUUCUCGUCCCUGGAAUAUGCACCCAUCUUGCGACAAUACAUUUUGAGAUGAUUCUUAGGACAAGUUGUCCCUUUGUACCUAUCGAAAUCAGGUACCUUGAAUUUCGGAGGGAUGACGACGUCCGACACUAAGAAAAGGUUAGUCAUGUCCGUGAACGGAUAAUCGCCAAAGCCUUCAACAGCCCUCAAUCUCUCCUCGAUGGGAUCGAGUUUCCCCUUUUCCUCUGCUGCCAGGGGUGGCCCUCAUGUGGACAAAAAUAUUGGUUGUGUUUGGGUGGUUUCGAGGUUCUCCCGUGAGGUUGGGCUGAGGCAGCGCAUUGGGUGCCCACCCUUCGGCGGGGAAUGGGGAGUAGGAAUCGAUGUCUCCCUGAGCAUGCUCUCGACGAUCCUCGUGGACCUCAUCCGGCUAUCGAGGAGGCUCCCCUUCAAGGAUGGGGGGAGGGACAUGACCCGCGUCGUCACGUAUGGCUGGUGGUGUGUAAUUAGGUGGUAAUCCAUAGGGGUAAGCUACUCGGUUGUACCCCGGAUGGGGGUUGCUGAUGUGCCCCAGUGUACUUCUUUCUCGUCCUACCACGUUUGGGAUAGGGUGGUGCGCGGUAGCUGGGAGAGUUGGGUCUGCAUCGGCAGCCGAACUAACAGCGGCGGCGGUGGCCGCGUUAUUCUCCAUUAGUUGUCUCAGUCCUAGCAUGGCAUCCAUCAUGCAAGCCAUUUUCUCUUUCAAAGCCGACAUGUCGGCUUUCAUCUGUUCCUGUACUUCCUCUUGGUCACCCAUCGUCCUAGAUUUGGAUCUGGUGCGAUAGAGAUGCCUUGGGGCGCGCUUAGUUAUGUCAUUUUUCCUAAAAAACCAAAUGUGAGGAGUACGUAAAAAAAUGAAUGUAUGCUAGAGAUAAAAUGUGGUAGUGAUUCGAUUCACACUGAUUUUGGAGUAAAAUCACGGGACAAACUCAUUUUAUUCAGAAAGUUACAACUAGUCAAGAUCUGAGUGACAAUACAAACUUUCUAGCAGUUCCUAAUUAUAUGGGCCAUUAAGUCUAUCAUAUGCUGACAAUAGCUGAGGAGUCUAUGGAUCUCCUCGGGGGCGGAGUAGGCAUCCACCAUUGCUUUGGCCUUGGCCAGCAAUCGGGGAAUUUCUUGACUCCCAUUUAAAGUAAGAGAAAAUCGGUCCAUCCACAUUGUUGCCUCUUUAUGUAUCGAGUCAAUCACCUUUCCUCUAGCCUCCUUUUCCGCGUACACUCGGGCAUAUUCGUCCGGCACUUUGUGCUCGUGGGCCGUGGCUAGAUUUAAUUCUUCUUGGUACUUGCUGACGAUGGCUAACAUGUUGGUCUCGGUCUCGCCUAACCGCUGAGACAUGCUCCUCUUGGACCUUAGGCAAAUCCUCAAUUCAUCCUUCAAGAUCAAAUUGUCUACCCAUGAUUGGUCCCUUUCCUCUCUUUGGAGCUUAAGCUCGCUGUUACUGCCCCACAAAGCCGCUCGGAAUUUGUUCUGGCCAUGUUCUUCCCUACGGGCCCUCUUGGUCUCUUGUUCUAAGGCCUUGGUGGUGGCUAUAUUUACGUCUCUCAGUUUGGCAUUCUCCUUUCGGAUCCUAAUAGCUACUAACUUGAACUUUUCUUUGACUGUUCAGGCUUUCUCGAGUUCUGUCUUAAGGGCCUGUACCUUUUCGUCCUCUUCCGGAGCUUCAUCCUCCACCCCCUUAGUGGUUCUCAAAUUCGGGAGCCAAUCCAGAUCUUGUGUGUAGGCUUUCAACCACCCGUGGCAGCCACCGAUGGAUCUGUUACUACUGCCUCUAAGUUCCUUGUCCUUCUUUUGCAUCUUCUUCCAUGCCUUGCGGACCUUCUAAAGUGCCCCCACGUUGGUGCUAUUGAAACCUCGUGCAAUAAUAGGUGUGAGGCCUUCCUCUAAUGGUGCCCCUCUCAUAGGGUAGCCAAGUUGUCUUAUGGCGAGGAUGGGAUUGUAAUUAAUGCAACCCCUUGUCCUCAUCAAGGGAACAUUUGGAAACCCUCCGCACGAAAUAAGAAUCCCGGUUCUUCCUUCUUUCCAUCGGGGGAACCAGUUGACAGACGCUCCUUCUUUGCUUGCUAAGAUUUGGUCCCAACUUGCCUCUUUUUUCUCUGUGCAUGAGCGGUGGCCUUCUAGCGGGCAAGCAUGUCUCACCUCUUGGCGGAAAAGGUGCGAAACCAAGCAUACGUAGAGGGCCGGAGUACAGCAAAUGAUCCUUGCAAUGUUCUUUUCACAUCUUCGGCCAAAGGUGUCAUAUAGAUCGGCUAAGAUAGCGACAACCGGGCUUUCCUUGCGGUCAUGAAAGACGAGAAAAGUGUUAAUCACUGCCUAGUCCACCAACCCAUCCACAUUUGGAAAGAGGACCCCCCCGAAGAUCAAAAGUGCCAGGAUGUCCAUGAACGGGGCCCAUUCGCCUUUACCUGCCAAGACUCUUGUUUUUGCUUCUAAAGAUUUCCUUGGUACUCCAACCACCCCAUUUUUGACUUGCUUUCCGUGGUCUAAUUCCUGCAUCGAGAUUUGGAAUAUCUUAUAAAUUCUAGCUAAAUAGGGAUAGAAUCUCGAGAAGAGGUAUUGUUUCCUUCCUCCCCGAGGGCAUCCCAGGAUUUCUUCAAACUUUUCCACCGUGGGUGAUAACUGGAAUUCCCCAAAGGUGAAGCACCUCAAAGGCUGGUCAUAAUAUUGGGCGAGGGAGGCAAUGGCCUCUGUGGAGACCUCUGCCAUGGCUAGGUCCCAGAUCUUACUGUAAGCUUUGCAAAAAGCUUGUCGCUCGAGCUGACCCAUCAACUACCCUAACUCUUUCAGACUAGCGACUCCUAGACUCUUGACCUUGACUUGAUAGAACCUCUUUUUAAGCGAAGGCGUCUGACUCAAUCCCAUGUUUUACUAAAGUGAAACAAAACCCAGUGCGAAUCAAGACUCCAACAUUUAUCAUGGGUGGAAUGGAUGAAUGCAUGAAGAAAUGUGUAUGGCACAGAUGCAUUUUAUGAAUAUGGGAGCCCGGGAGAUUGUCCCCUUCUUAGAUACAACAUUCGGGCAGCAUGGUGCCCGAUGUAUGCAUUUAAGAAGGCGACACGGACCCUCCAUCAGUUCGUGACAAAGUGAUGGGAUCAAGACGCAACUCGUGCAUGAUGCAGAUGCAAAAAAGGGCACAACACGGGGAUGUACAUAGUAUGACAAUAUCCACAAAUAAUCAUACAUCAAAGGCAUACAUGACAUUUUAGACUACAUGAAUGGCAGUGUUUAAAAGGCACGCAGCGUGUUUGCUUUAUGCCCCUAUUUUAGGGACCUAAACGGGAGGAACCUAAAAGGCUUUUAAUGAUAAACCCCAAGGUGGUCAUAUCUCUCUCGAUGGUUUCUAGAGGUAUCAUCCCCUUCGACAAACAUAUUACGACAGUAGGGACUACUAGCAACAAUAUGUUAUCAAAGAGAAAAACUCUAGAUGAGGGUUCACUGUUAUCAAGCAAGUCGGAGACCCAGCAUGACCAUAGAUUCACCUCCACUCCUUAUGUUCCCAUGGACCCAGGUAUAGGGCCCAUUUUCAACUCACCGUGUGUACAAAUAGUGUUGGUGCUUGUGUGCAUCAAAUGAAUAAAUAUCUAUCUCAUGCAUACACUUCAAAAACAAUCUAAAAGCAUCAAAGAGUUAUAUACAAGAACGUAAGGGAAAUAAAAGGAAAUCAAAAAAAGAGGAAGUCAUGAUAUUGCACGAGAUUAGAAGGCCUAACUCUCUAAAAAAACAGUCCCCAGUGGAGUCAUCAACUGUCGCAACCUACCCUUCGGUAGGAGGGCGACGCAGGGCUCACGGGUGCGCCUUCCAUGGGAGGAAAAUGCAUGGAGUCGCCACCAACGUUUAUUCGAGGAAAACAUCAGAAAAACCGGAAAUGUGUGGUCUACGAACUUUAAGUGUGAAAGGUUCGGGAGUUGUUUUUACGCACGGGGAAGGUAUUAGCACCCCACGCGUCUGUCACAAGGGACGACAACCUUUAAUCAAGUGUGCAAUUACGACUUUGAAAUGUUUUAUUUUCCCAUUUUUAUGUCUUUUUUGUGUUUUUAUGCUUUUUAUGUUUUUAAUUUUGGUGUGGUCGACAAGGGUGUUUCCCUCGCUCCUACGUAUCCUCAUUUGCGAUGUGGAAAUCAGACCUACGUAGUUCUUUGAGAACUGAACAUUGGUUAAGUUGUUUUUAUCUUUUUUAGCAAGAUAUAUUUUGACCGAACAAAAAGUCGUUUAAGGCGUUGGACCAUUUGAACGAUCUUUUGAUUCUUUUUGAAAGGAUAGAAACAUUAAGGCAUUGGACCAUUAAUGAUCUCUUGGUUUUUUUGAAAAUAGUGACAAAGUUACAUGUUGACUUUAGCUUUCGAAAGUCCACGUUUAACCAAUAAAAAUCAAAGAGGACCAUUUAAGGCAUUCGACCUUAAAACGGUUUUUAAGUGAUUUUUAUGGACAAAGCUUGAUUUGUGAGCUGAUUUUAGCCUUAGUUUCACUUUGAUUAUUAGUCAAUUCAAUUAUGAAAAAUCCCAAAGAAAAACAUCCAAUUGAUUCUUUUGAUUAUUUUAUUCAAAGAUACUUUGAUUAUUUUAUUAUUAUUUUUCCUCUUUUGGUUUUAAACGUGGUUACGGCGUGAAAGAUCGGUUGGAUUUUAUUUUAACAAAGAUUAAACGAUAUUACAACUCAAAUGAUCAGUGGAAAUUCAUUUUAUUGUUUAUUAGGCGAGAACAUGACUUAAAUAAAUGGUAAAAGCACGUCGAAAGGGGGUACGGAAAACAAAUGAAAUAAAAAUAAAAGCACGCGAAACAAGUGGGGACAACUAAGGGUGCAUAGAAUGAAUUGAAAGAUUCGAUUUCAGGAAUGUACUGGUUGAAGACCGAAGAACGACGAAGAAAGAACGAAGAACGAUGAAGAACGGUGAAGAACGAACGAAGAACGAUGAAGAACGGUGAAUUGAAAGAUUCGAUUUCGGGAAUGUUUUUCUUUUCAUAACUCUUUUAGCAUUUUCCUUCUUUCUUCUUCCCUUAUUUGUUCCCUCUCAUCUUGAUUUAUUUUUACCCUCUCUUUUCCUUUUUCUUUUCUUUCUAGUUUUUCUUUCCAUAACUAGAGGGAACUCAACUCAUCUAAGAUUCUAGAUAGAGGGUCCUUAUGACUAGUACCCUCUCCAUUAACACUAGAUGAAUGAUGACUCAUGUUGGUUCCUAAGUUAUGGUUUUUUCUUGUUGGGGGUUUGUAAAAAAGGUAAAAGCUAAGGUUCCAAAAGAGCUAAAGAUAAGUGUGAUAAGAAAGAAGAAAGUACUAUGCAAUAACAAGAUAAACUAGGUGUGGCUAGUAAAGAAAAUAAACUAUGAAAGUAAGCAAGAAAUUAAAGUGAAAGAAAUGUAAACUAGGCGGAUCCUAAGAGUGUUUGGAUGAUCUAAUAUGUACAAAGAUAAGCGGGUUCAUACUUAGCCCAUGGGCCCGAAAUCUACCCUAAGGCUCAUGAGAACCCUAGGGCCUUCUCUUGCAUCUCUGGCUCAAUCUUCAUGUAGUCUUCUAUCCAAUGCCUUUGCGCGGUAGGAUUGCAUUAGUCUCUUCAUCAAAGUCGGAGACCUGCCCCCUCCUCAGGUUAUGCUCGCACAGUUGGCCACCCUCCAAGAUCAAGGGGUGGCCCAGGAACUGAUAAAAGGAAACUACGGGCCCUUCACCUGGGAGCACAAGCCUCGAUUAAGCAUUAAGGAAGAAGACCUUGAGUUCUCUGAAGGCGUGGAUGUGGAGUCCUCUAAAGGCAAGGACGUGCAGCCCUCUAAAGACGAGGGUGUGCAACCCUCUGAAGGUGAGGGCGUGCAGCCCUCUGAAGGCGAGGGUGUGCAGCCCUCUGAAGGCGAGGGCGUGCAACCCUUUGAAGGCGAAGGCGUGCAGCCAUCUGAAGGUGAAGGGGUGCAGCCCUCUGAUGGUGAGGACGUUCAGACCACUGAAGGCGAGGGCGUGCAACCCUCUGAAGGUGAGGGCGUGCAUCCCUCUGUAGGCGAGGAUGCACAACCUGUUGGAUCAAGUGGCCUCGGAAUAAUUAAGAAGAGGGGCUGAAUUAAUUAUUAAUGAACCUUUACUAAUUAAAAAAAUUAUCCUUCUUAAUGUUACUAGAUUAAAUUAGGCUUUUACUACUAAGUUAAGAAAGUAAAGAACAAAAUGAAGGGUUCGCGAGAGGAAUGAAGGGUUGCAGAUUUCUUAUUUUGAAAUCUGAAUUUAUAGGAGUAGGGACGCGUUGUAAUCGAUUACAGCAUUUAGUAAUCAAUUACACUCUUCCUAAUUGUCUGUAAUCGAUUACACUAUUGUAGUAAUCGAUUACCUGAGAGCAUUUUAGCCAAACUAAAUGCUGAAUGACUCUUAAGGAAAAAUGGAUUUGAAUGAAAAUCAAAAUACUUUUUAAAAAAAUAAAUAUAUAUAACAUUAAAUUUUUUAAAACACUUUAUGAAAGAACCUUAAGCAAGUAAUUCACAUAUCACAUUCAAAAUCAUGCAUAAUCAUUAAAAAAUUAGUCAUGUAUAUAUUCAAUUAUAUCAAAAUAAUCAACACAAGUAUUGAAGAAUAAAGAUCAUAGACAUUAUCAAAUAUUUAAAAAGAAACUUCAUGCUUUGAGAAAGAAAAUUAACUCAAUCAAGACAUAUAAACAAAUACUCACAAUUUCAAUCAAUCAAGACAAACAAGUAAAAUUUUGUUAGUCAUCAUAUAAAUAAGUUAAUUGAAAGAAAAAUUUCAAUCAACUAAAUUUAAAAGAGAAUUGUUUUGAUGUUAUCUUUUUCAUGAUUCAAGUGUCUAGAUCUUUGAAGGUAGAAGUCAAACUUUUGCUUUUGUGCUUAAUCUUCUUGAGUGAUGUUCUCAUCGCUUUCAUAGUCUUUGGAUAGAAGGUUGAUCUCCUUCUUCGAACCAUCGGAUGAGUCAUUGUCAUCCCAAUCAAUAUACGCCUUCUUGGAUCUUCUUUCUUUAUAGCUUUUCUUCUCAUUCUUCUCGGGUCAUGACUCAUUUGAGGGAUAGUUUGCCUUUAUGUGACCGGGUUGAUUACACUUAUAGCAUUUAAGUGUAGGAGAAACUUCUUGGGAUCUCUUCCCAUUGUUGAAGUUAUGGCUUCUCUCCAUUCUUUUAUUUUUGACGAAUUUAUGAAAAUUCUUCACAAAGAGUGAGAAGACUUCUUCAUCAUCAGAUUCUUCUUCUUCUUCUUCUUCUUCUUCUUCUUCUUCUUCUUCUUCUUCUUCUUCUUCUUGUAUUGAGGAAGAGGCUUUGAGUGCUAUGCUUCUUUUCCUUUUGUCGGUCUCUUCAUUUUGAUUGAGACAUUGAAGUUCCAUUUCAUGUUCCUGCAAUUUGCCAAACAAGGUGGCAAGAGACAUAGAGGAAAGAUCUUUGUUUUUAGAAAUAGCAGUUACCUUGGGCUGCCAUUCCCUACUUAAACAUCUUAGAACUUUAUUAAUUGAAUCUUCAUUAGGAAAGAUUUUUCCUAAGGAGGCAAGAUGGUUGAGUAUGUGUGUGAAUCUUUUCUGCAUACUUUGGAUAUUCUCAUUAGGGUUCAUCCUAAAUAAUUCAUAUUCAUGUGUAAGGGUAUUGACUCUAGAUCUUUUUACAUCAGUGGUGCCUUCAUGUGUAAGUUGGAGAGUAUCUCCCAUCUCCUUUGCAUUUGAACAGUUUGACACUCUAAUAUAUCCAUCUAUUCCUAGGGCAGAAGUGAUAAUGUUUUUGGCUUUAAGAUUAUAUUGGAUUCUUCUUUUAUCCUCAUCAGUCCACUUAUCUCUAGGUUUUUGUGUUGUGGUGCUAGUGCUUACAUCUACUAUGGUGGGUAUGUAAGGUCUUAUUUCUAUUGCUUCCCAAAUGUUUAAAUCUACGGCUUCAAUAAAGAUUUGCAUUUGGGUUUUCCAAUAGUGGUAACCCUCACCAUUAAAGAUGGGUGGCCUAUGGAUGGAGUUUCUUUCUAGAAACAGAGAAUUUGAGGAGGCCAUGAAUCUUGAAGUUGUGAAACUUUCUACAAGAUACCUGCUCUAAUACCACUUGUUGGAUCAAGUGGCCUCGGAAUAAAUAAGAAGGGGGGGGGGGGUUGAAUUAAUUAUUAAUGAACCUUUACUAAUUAAAAAACUUAUCCUUCUUAAUGUUACUAGAUUCAAUUAGGUUUUUACUACUAAGUUAAGAAAGUAAAGAACAGAAAUAGAAACUUAAUCAAAAGUAAAAGCGAUAAUUAAAGUGCACAGCGGAAAUUAAAGAGUGUAGGGAAGAAAAAGACAAACACAAGAAUUUUAUACUAGUUCGGCAACAACCCGUGCUUACAUCCAGUCCCCAAGCAACCUGCGGUUCUUGAGAUUUCUUUCAACCUUGUAAAAUCCUUUACAAGCCAAAGAUCCACAAGGGAUGUACUUUCCCUUGUUCUCUUUGAAAACCCAAGUGGAUGUAGCCUCCACUUGAACUGAUCCACAAGAGAUGUACCCUCUCUUGUUCUCAGUAUAACAAUUCCCAAGUAGAUGUACCCUCUACUUGUACCACAAAGGAUGUACCCUCCAAUGCGUUGGGACAAAGAAUUCUCAGGCGGUUAGUCCUUUGAAUCUUUGUAAAGGGAAAACAAAAGAUAUCUCAGGUAGUUAGUCCUUUGAAAUCUUUUGCUUAAGGGGAAGGGAAGAAUCAAAAGAAUUCUCAGGCGGGGUCCUUUGAAUUCUCUUGGAAAGGGAGAAGAGAGACACAAAAGAAUUCAGGUGGUUAGUCCUUCGUUCUUUUGGAAAAGGGAGAAGAGAGAAACAAAAAGAAUUCAGACGAUUAGUCCUUGUUGAAUUCUUUUUGGCAAAGGGAGAAGAGAAUGAAAAGAUAUAGCACACUUUUGUUUUCUGCAGAAUUUUCGCUUGCAGAAGAACAAAGGUUUGGAAAACAGAAAACUUAGAAAGCUUUUUGGCAAAGGAAGAAGAAGAAAGAUGAGUAGGAAAGAAUUCUUAAAGAAUUGUAAAGGUUGUAAAAGUUUAAAGGUUUCUCAGAAGUUGUUCAAGAAGAUUUUUGAAUGCAAGUCAAGGUCUUGCUUUUAUAGACUCUUCAUGUCUGGUCAAGAAAACCAUUGGAAGAGUUAUAACCUUGAGAAAAUCAUGUCAAGAGUUACAUCUCUUGAUCUUUUAUUCAAAACUUGUCACUGGUAAUCGAUUACCAUAAUCAUGUAAUCGAUUACACAAUGCAUUUUAUGAAAAGAUGUGACUCUUCACAAUUGAAUUUGAAUUUCAACAUUCAGAUACACUGGUAAUCGAUUACACAAUGCAUUUUAUGAAAAGAUGUGACUCUUCAUUUGGAACAUUGCAAAUUCAGUUAAAAACUUUUUGAAAUCAAAUUUUAUCACUGGUAACCAAUUAAAGGAAACUGGUAAUCGAUUACCAGAGAGUAAACACUCUGGUAACUUAGAAAAAUUUGAGAAAACUCUUUUGUAAAACGAAAUUGUGCUAUGUUUGGUUUUUGAAAAAAAUCCUUUUUAAUACUUCCCUUGUGAAGUCUUGACUUGUUGCUUCUUGAUUUCUUUUCUUUGAAUCUUGAUUCUUCUUGAUGUCUAUUCUUGAAUCUUGAAAUCAUCUACUCUUGAAUCUUGAAUCUUCUUGAUUUCUUCUAAUGAAUCUUGAAAUUAAUCUUGAUCUUGAACUUGUUGACUCAUCUUAAAAUCAUUCUUUUGGGCUUUUUUGUCAUCAUCAAAACUACUUGAUUCAUACUUAAUUCAUAAUCAUGAAGCUUACUUCUACACAACCCUCUGAAGGCGAGGGUGUGCAGCCCUAUGAAGGCGAGGACGUGCAGCCCUCUAAAGGCGAGGGCGUGUAGUCCUCUGAAGGCGAGGGCAAGCAAUCCUCUGAAGGUGAGGACGUGCAGCCCUGUGAAGGUGAGGAUGUGCAGCCCUUUGAAGGCGAAAGCGUGUAGCCCUCUGAAGACGAGGGCAUGCAACUCUCUGAAGGCGAGGACAUGUAGCCCUCUGAAGGUGAGGGCGUGCAGCCCUCAAAAGGCGAGAGCAUGCAGCUCUCUGAAGGCGAGGGCAUGCAGCCCUCGAAAAGCGAUAGGUACUAGUACCCAAGGGUCCCUUAUGAGAAAGCAAGAGAUUAACUCAUCGAGAUGGCCUCUCAUCCUAAAUUCAAAAGAUUGGACAUUAGAUGUAGGAAAUCUAUGCAGUUAACAUGAUUUUUAGGUAUGCAGAUGCAUGCAACCUUUGCCUUGAAAUGCGGUAAAUGCAGACUUCGUAUGCAACAAUGUAGUGUAAUGGAAAGUUGUACAAUGUUCAUGACAUUCUUUCCCUAUUUUGUGAUUUUGAUUUUGAUUUGAUUUUUUUGGGAAACACAGAUUAACUGUCCUUUUGAAAGAGGUGAUGAUUCAUGUAACCUCAUCCAAUCUUUGCAAAUCUCUUCGGGAACUCCCUCAGAGUGUAUGUUCUGUUUGAUUUAGUCACUUGACAAUUUUGGAGUGACGACAAUGGAUCCGUUUAAUCAAUUCAUUGAAAUCCCAGGGUUUGUCCCCCCCUUUUUUCAUUUAAAGACAUCGACGGGUAAGAACUUUUGAUCUGCCCCUAUGUUCGCUUGAGGCUCAUGCAUGGUGCCCCUCAUUGCCCCAGUGUAGGGCUUUGAGGUAUCAAUCAUUGUCUUGUUUCCACAACCUUGUAGCAAGGAAGAAUGAAAGAAGCGGUUGAUUCUCAAGAAACAUUUGAAGGAUUUUUUUAGUUUGACGGAUUAAGUCAAAAGACUCCUAUUCUUGAUAGCUCAUUUCUCUCUCAAAAAAACAAAUUUUCAGGAAUGAUAAAAUGAGGUCACAUGAAUGUCUAUAUUUUUACUUGAAAACACAGUCAAUCAAAUGCUUUUUUUUUUAUUCUAAAAAUUAUUGUUUUGAACUUUACUCGUUGUUUUACGGCACCUCCACCAACGUGCAAGACGAGUAAUCUCUGACUGAACGGUCUUGGAAGUCAAAAACUCAGGAGCGCAGGUCACUUGAGCAAACAAACCAAUGGCUUACACUCACAUUCCGGUGGAAGUUGAAUAAGCAAAGAUGUAAUUGUGAGAGGAUGAGAGAGACAAGGAUGUCAAAUUUAUCCAUAUUAUUUAGCAUUGCAACUGUGGUUUACAAGAAUGGCAUAAACUUGAAAAUGCUAACGAGUCAUUAGAGACAUCUAGCAACGACCUUCAAAUUGCUCAUGUGUGGCAUCUCUUGUGAAUGUCAGGAUUCAUAAGCGAUUCUCCUCAAAUUUCAGCCAGUCUGCAUCAGUUAGACCUUGCACCUUAUGCUUCAGGGUCCUACAAUGCUCAAUGGAAUGCCCCGGGGCCCCUCCAUGAUAAGUACAUGUUGCAUUCAAGUUAUAUCCUCAGAAAAAUGGAGGUUGAGGAACCUUGGCUGGGGUUAUGGCAUCCAUUGAAUAAUCGAGUAGAUAUGGGAGCAAGUCAGCAUAGGACAUCGGAAUUGGGGUGAAUUCUACAGGCUUUUUCAGAGGGAUGAUGACAUCAGGCACUAGGCACAAUUCUGCCAUGUCAACAAAGGCAUAAUCUCUGCCUCCUUCAAUGGCCCUGAGCCUUUCCUCUAGAUGAUCCAACUUUUCGUCUUUAGCCAUAGCAGGAGGGGCUCUUCCCACCGCAAAACGCAAGGGUUACGGUUGUGGGCGAAAAUGAGUUCCCUCCGAAGUGUUUGGCAGGGGCUCACCACCAACUGUUUGCCCUUCAGUGGCAUAUUCGAGGCAAGGCUCGAAGUUGGCUAGAUUAUGGUGGGGCAUUUCAUGUGUCCCCCCCCCCAUGGGUUGAAAGACAUGUGCAUGAUCAGAUUGAGGUUGUUGGCUUUCAAUGAGUAUGGGAGUGGAGCUAUUGACAUUCUCAUUCGGUGGAGUAUAGUUCGGAGGCAAACCAUAUGGCAGGAAAGCAUGCUUGCUUUGGACUUUCACAAAAUCGGGGUCACCCGUACUUCCCAACUCAUUACCUCCCAUAUCUGAGGUUGAAUGAUUUGUUUGGUUGAGGCCAAAUGGGUGAGUCAAGUCCACCUCAGCAAUGGAGCUGGUAGCGGCUACUACAGUCGCAUUGAACUCCAUUAUCUUCUUCAUGCUCAUCAUGGCCUCUAUCAUUGUGGCCAUUUUCUCUUUCAUGGCCUCCAUGUCAGCCUUGAUCUAUUGUUGUACCUCCUCUGCUUCACCCAUUACUCUAGCUCUAGCACGCGUUUCGUAAGGGUGUCGUAAAGCGCAUUUUUUUUGUUUGAUUACAAUGAUUACAAUUUGGUUUUCAAGGAAAGAAUGCAAUGAGCAAUGCAACCUAUGAACAAUAUGGAUGUAUGCAAAUGAUGCACUGUUGAAGUAUUGUGAAUUUUUACGCAGGACAUGGGGUUGAAUCAAUUUAGAUUUUCAACAUGGUCCAUGACAUCUUUGUCAAAGUGAAACUUGAAGUAACAGGGACAUCAACAGUCCUAAAUGUGCUUGGCAGUAGACAAAGUAGCGAUGUAACUUGAUUCAUCUUUUGCCCCAAUUUUCACAAGACGGUUACUUCCAUACUUCAACUUGAUUUGACGAAACCUUUCUUAAAAGCUUGGGCUUGGUUCAACCCCAUAAUCCAAGGAAAAGAAAUUUUGAUCGCCAAUACUUUGACAACAUUUCAUAGAGAUGAAUGACUCGGGCAUACUUAUGCUAUGCAUGGAAAAUGUAAUUAUGAGAUUGAGAUGCCCGAAGAAACCUCAUUUCCUAGUUAGCCAUGCAUUAGGUACCAUGUUCAAUCAUUUUUGUUUUUUAAGAGAAACGAGUUUGUGAUCCCAACAUAGUUAGCUCACGGUACCUAACACAUGCAACUAAGAAUGCAGUGUGAACUUUCAUGCUUCCUUUUUUGUUUUUGUUUUGUAGAGGAAAGCGCAAGGAUCAUGCAUGAGUAAACAUGAAAAUAAAAGGUAAGCAAAAAGCAUGUUAGAUGCAUAUGCAUGGUGAUGAAAUGACUUACGCAAAAUGCAAUGCAUGAAAAUGCAUGAACGAUAUGUCCAUUACGAUGCCAUAAAGAGAUGCAUGAUGCCAUCAAGGAAUAUGCCAGAGUGAGUUUUCUAUGUGCCCCUAAUUGAGGAAUUUAAUGGAAAUGAUCCAAAAGUCCCCUUCUAGUGACAAUUCCCAAGCGUGGUUUUAUGUAACCUUAUUAGCUUCUAGAGAUAUCAUCCUCUUAGGUAAUACAUUGUGGCGAUAGGGACUAUCAGCGACAAUGCAUCACUAAAAGAGGAAAACUCUAGAUGAGGCUUCACUGUCAUCAAGCGAGUCAGAGACCCAACAUGACCACAGAUUUACCUCCACUCCUUAUGGCUCACAUAGACCCGGGCAUAGGGCUUAAUAUCUCAAUGUUUGUGUGAGGUGUAGGUGUCAUGUGUGUGUAGAAAAAAAGGUAUUUCUAACUAUGAAUGUAAUUGAUAGACAAAUACACCAAACACAACAACAUAGCAAAGGUUAUGUACAAAUAUGGACAAAAAACCAAAGAUAAAAGGGAAGGGAGAACAUAAAUAAAGAAGUUAUGAUGAGAUGUUGCACAACCGUUAAUUGGCCUAACUCUUUAAAAACAGUCCCUAGUGGAGUCGCCAACUGUCGCAACUUACCCUUCGAUGGGAGGGCGACGCGGGGCUCACGGGUGCGUCUUCCAAGGGAGGAAGGCGCACGGAGUCGCCACCAAAAUUUAUUCGAGGAAAAUGUCAAAAAUAUCAGAACGUGUGGUCUACGAACUUUAAGUAUGAAAGGUUCGGGAGUUGUUUCUACGCACGGGGAAGGUAUUAGCACCCCACGCGUCCGUCACAAGGGACGACAACCUUCAAUCAAGUGUGCAAAUAUGACUUUCAAAACUAUGUAUUUCCCUUUUUUAUGUUGUCAUACCCUAAUUUCGUCCGGGGACUAUUAUUUGAUGGCAUGCAACCUUUGGUUGACCGCUUCGAGGUACUUGGCACCCUUUGUUGCACAAUACGUGAAGUUCCAAGACAUGCCAGAAAUCAAAAGGAAGCAUUGUUACGCAAUCCGUGAAAUUCCGUAAUGUGCUGGAAAUCAAAAGGAAGUGUUGUUGCGCAAUCCUUGAGUUUCUGUAAAAUUCUGAAAGCUAAAAAAGGAGAAAUUACAUGAUCCGUAAGGUUCUGUAACCUUACGGAAAGAAAACAAGUGUCGUUACGAAAUUCAUAAAGUUUCGUAACGUUACGGAAAAAGAAUCACCAAAAAAAGCAAAUGGGGCGUAUUUAGUAAAAAAGGGGUGCAAAUAGCAACCAAGCCCACUUGGGCCUUCCAGAUUGUUCCUCCAGAAGGCGGUUGCUUCUAGAGGAAGCAACCUGGCUCGCCUGGGCGAGCUGGGUGGCAAGCUCCUCCCCUAUUUUCCUAUAAAUAGAGGGAGGAGUGAAGAAGGAAAGGGUUCAGCCAUCUUAGCAUUUCGUAAUCACUUAAAAUUAGUGAGGAAAAUUGUUUCCGUGAAGAAAAUUCAAGCCGGGGCGCUUCCAUAACCUUUUCGUGGGUGAUUUCAUGAAGAUUUUCAACCGUUCUUCGUCGUUCGUCGUUCGUCGUUCGUUCUUCGUCGUUCUUCGGUCUUCAAUCGGUAAGUUCCCAAAAUCGAACUUUUCAAUUCAUUCUAUGUACCCGUGGUGGUCCCCAUUUAUUUCGUGUACUUUUAUUCUCGUUUCAUUUAAUUUCCGUACCCCCUUUUGACGUGCUUCAGUCAUUUACUUAAGUCAUUUUCUUGCCUAAUCAAAAACUAAAAUAAAUUUCCACCGAUCAUUUGAUUUGUAAUAUCCGUUAAUUUCUGUUAAAAUGAAAUCCGACCGUUCGGUCAUGCCGUAACCACGUUGGAAACCAAAAAGAGGUAAAAUAAUAAUAUAAUAAUCAAAAAUGUAUUUUAGUAAAAUAAACCAAAAAAAAAUCAAUCGCACGUUUCUCUUUGGGAUUUCUCUUUCUUAAUUGAAUUGACUAAUAACUAAAGUGAAACUAAAGCUAAAAUCAACUUGAAAAGUCAAGCUUGUCUGCAAAAAAACACUUAAAAGGAUUUUAAGGUUCGAUACCUCAGUUUUUCACACCAAGUAAAAAUGGGUCAUUUUAAGGUUCAACGCCUUAAAAGGACCUCCUUCUAAGUAAAAUGAAUCGCUUGAUUCGCGCUUUAGAAAGAACUAUGUGGGUCUGAUUUCCUCUUCGAUGGAGGGUGCGUAGGAGCAAGAGCCCCACUUUUGUCGACCUCAAAAAUAAAAAGAAAUAAAAGUUUAGGUACACAAUUUCACACAAUUCUAAAAUUAAGGUUGUUGUCCUUCAGGACAAACGUGAGAGGUGCUAAUACCUUCCUCAAACGUAAAUACAACUCCCAAAUCUGGAAUAUUCUUCAUGACCGAUUUCCUUCGGUUUUUCCGACAUUUUCCACAAAUAAACGUUGGUGGUGACUCCGCGCAUUUUCCUCCUUUGGAAGAUACACCCGUGAGCUUCACCUCGCUCGCCCGCAAAGGGUAGGUUGCGAUAAUUGGCGACUCCACUGGGGACUGUUUUUGUGAGUUAGGCCUAUUUUAGGAAAUUGUGGAAUUGUGAAACUUUGUGUGUGCCUAUUUUUUGAACUGUGUAAAUAUAAUAAAUGUUGUCUUUUCCACAUUUUUACACUGCAUUCUAAGCACCCACGAGUUUGAGUAAAAAAAGGGGCCCUAUACCCGGGUCCAUGGGAAUCUAAGGAGUGGAGGUGAUUCUAUGGUCAUGCUAGGUCUCUGACUGGCUUGAUAAUAGUGAAACCUCGUCUAUAGCUUUCUCUCUUUAUAAUGUGUUGUCGUUGGUAUUCCAUACCGCCACAAUAUUAUUAUCUUGAGUGAUGAUACCUCUAGAAAACAGCCAUGUGAGAUAUGGAUCAUUGGGAGUAGUUAUUAGAGACCCCUAGAUAUUAUCCUAUAGGUCCCCAAAUAGGGGCAUGGAGCAAACACGCUCUGUGCCAUUUGUUCUCAUGCAUUCUUUUGCGAAUAGCACAUAAAUUAUAGUUUUGCUGUAUAGCUAGUGAUAUUUUGUCUCUUUAGAGUAACGUGUCACUUUUUAAUGCAUACGUUGGGGCGCCGCAAUGCCUAGAACGUAGUAUUAAAAGAUGGAUCUUUUUCGGUCUCGUAUAUGUAAAUUAUUGUUUUUUCUUUUCGUUUCAUGCAUGCGCAUUGCAUCAUUCAUAUCGGAGCCUUGAUUCACCCCUUUUUUAGGUAAAUGAUGGGGACAAAUCAAAUCGGAAAAAGAUUCUAUCAAGUCAAGAUUAAGGGCCUAGAUGUCACUAGCCUUAGAGAGUUGGGAUGGUUGAUGGGACCCCUCCAAAGGCAAGCCUUCCGCAAAGUGUACAGAAAGAUUUUAGAUUUGACCACAACGGAGGUAUUUACGGAAGUCGUUGUAUCCCUCGCCCAAUACUAUGACCAGCCGUUGAGAUGCUUCACGUUUGGGGACUUCCAAAUAGUACCAACUGUUGAAGAAUUUGAGGAGAUAUUAGGAUGCCCUCUUGGGGGAAGAAAAUCGUAUCUUUUCUCCGGGUUUCUUCUCUCCUUGAGCAAGAUUGCAGUUGUGGUUGGAGAUUCAACGAGAGAGUUGGAUCGUAUGAAGCAAACUCGAAACGGCGUAGUGGGCCUACCACAAAAAUACUUGGAAGGCAAGGCAAGGGAUAUGGUGAGUCAAGAAGAGUGGGUCCCGUUUGCGGAUAUACUAGCUUUGCUGAUCUUUCGGGUUGUCCUCUUUCCAAACGUGGACGGUUUGGUGGACCUAGCCACAAUUGAUGCUUUCCUUGCAUAUCACCAUAGCAAGGAGAGCCCGGUGGUAGCUAUCUUGGCAGACUUAUUUGAUACGUUUGACCGAAGGUGCGAGAAGAACAGCGCACGGAUUGUCUGCUGCCUACCCGCUCUUUGUGUGUGGUUGGUUUCGCACCUAUUCCAAAAAGACAUAAGGCACUCGUGUCCACUUCAAAGUUAUCGCUCGUGCGUCAAAAAGAGAAGAGUAGAUUGGGACCAAUACUUGGCUGGGAUAGGAGGCAGCACAAUCAACUGGUUUCCUCGAUGGAAGGAAGGAUAGAAGGGAGUUCUCUUCUCAUGUGGGGACUACCCAAAUGUUCCGUUGAUAGGGAUGAGGGGUUGUAUUAACUAUAAUCCCGCACUUGCCAUAAGACAGUUAGGGUACCCCAUGAGGGGAGCACCGACGGAAGAGAGCCUCUUGCCUUUCCUUGUGAGAGAUUUCAGUAGGCAAAGUCUCAAGAUUGUACAAAGAGUCCACAAGGCGUGGGAAAGCCCGUUAAGGAAAGAUAAAGAACUUAGGGGCAUCCGUAAUGGCAUCAUCGGUGGUUAUCAUGAAUGGCUAAGAGUUCAUACACGAGGGUUAGAUUGGCUCUCCAAGUUGAAAAUUAUCAACGAAGAGGACAUCGAAGCUCCGGAAGAGGAUGAAGAAGUCCAAGCUCUAAAAUCAGAGCUAGGAAAGGCAAGACUCGCCAAAGAAAAGUUCAAGUCAGCCACUACAAGCAUCCGGAAAGAGUGUGCCGAGUUACGAGAGGAAAAUGCGGCUACCACGAAAGCCUUUGUGAUCGAGGCCGUACCCGAAUCAAAUAAACAUGAAAAUGCAGUAACUAGGAAGUGAUCCUAGGUCGUUUCCCAACGAGCAGUGACAAGCCAAAUGUUCAUAAUAUACUUGCAGUAACAGUAACGAUGGGGGGGGGGGGGGGGUUGUUUGGUAAUUAAAGAGCAUAACAAAUAAAAUGGAAUACGAAACUACUAAUACUAAAAACGGGUUGUUUCCUCUGAUUCAGAAGCCACUCUCUUAUCCUGGGUUAUGGAGAAUUCGUCCCUAACAGUCAACCACUUAAUCCAACCCUAUUUCAAUUUACUAAGCGAAAAUCAACUUAGGGUUUUCAAUACGUGAUUAGGCACCACAUACACCAGUUAGCCCUUCGUCCAUUAAGCAUGAACGCAAGUUAGGCUCAGAGGCAAUUAAUCGAACACGAAGCGUGCACUGAUUAAUAUUCACGAAAUUGGGAUAACUGGUGAAGGGAAAACUGCCAGGAAACCACAUUACAAACGAAACCUCAAAGAGAGUUGGGCUUCGUCCUCAAAAGGAAACAACACCAGAAAAUCUAGCCUUCCAUGGAUUCAAACAGAAAACGCAAAUGAAACAUGAAGCAGAAACGUAAAUGAAGAAGAACGUAAAUGAACAGAAACGUAAAUGAAAGUAGAAGAAGAAGCAAGAAUGAACUCGUAAUUAGAGGCAGAAAACGUAAAAUUGCAUUACAAACUCAGAAACGUCAAAACAGAAAAACGAAAACCCUAAAACAAAGCUCUGAAUGAUGAAUAGCAUAACAGAAUAGAAUGCCCUGCACGAAUCCCAAGGCAGCUAUUUAAAAAGAGUCACUCAAAGUCACUGGGCCCUAUUUCAAUACUCUGGCCCAAAACGAAAUAAACACUGAACAACAUAAAAUAAAAUUGCGAAAUUUCCUAAUUAGAAAUUAACUAAGGUAAGCGCUGCUUUAUUUGCCCUCUUCAAGUCCACAACCAAAAUCCGGAUUAAGCCCAAUGUUUCAUUAAUUCCUGAAAUUAGAUUAAAAACAUCAAAUUAGCUAAAUGAGCCCAAAUAAUAAAACUGCCUAAUUAAUUGACAAUUAAGACCAAUCAAUAAUUAAAAUGGUGCAAAAAGGGUUUAGAAAAUAGAAGAAAAUGAUGGCACAUCAAAACCCCCCAUACUUAGCCUUUUGCACUCCUGGGCAAAAUGAAACAAAGAACAAAAUCCAAGGAUAUGAAAGGGAGACAAACAAAAACAUUCACAUAUUUCUCAAUGAACAUCAAGGAAUGAAAGGAAUGGGUAACAUCUAACAUAAGGGGAUCCAAAAAGUCAAGACAUUCAUGAAAAUCAUCCAAGCAACCCAAUCAUGGCAAAAUAGUUAAUCAGCUCAAGAAUGAAAAGUGAUAAAGCCUCACAAGAUAUACACUCUAUCUCUCAAGUGUCUAGGCUACUAUUUACCCUCAAAGCACCCAUGAAAGCAAACACCACAUAAACUUGGCAAGAUUCUAAAAUUGACAAUCAACCCAUAAACACAAGCACAUGAGGAUCAAAAGGUCUUUUAAGGUUGUAAUGGGGCCAAGGACAAGGUAUGGAGAAAUAUGGAAUAAGUGGCUAAAUCCCAAAGGAAUAGAGGAGCAAAGGGGAAUAAGUGCAUAUUAAAAAAAUAAAAAGAAGUAAAGAUAAAAAUUAAACAUGAAGAGUAGAACCAAGAGUUUCAUCAUUCUUGUGCCAUUUAAGAUCUUAUUCACUCAACUUUAUUGCUUUUCUUUUUCUUUUUUUUUCGAAUUUUUUUUUUUCGAUUUUUUUUUUUUUUUUUUUUUUUUUUUUUUUUUUUUACUCUUUAGCCUUUGAGAAAUAACAUUUCAUUCAGCAUGUCCAACAUUUAACCAAUAUACAAGUAUGGCCCAAAAUACAUCAUGAAGCAUAGCCAACAAAACAAGUUGUCCAAUGAAACAAAAACCCCCCACACUUACACACUUAUUCCCAAAACAAUUCCAAAGCUCCAAAAUUCCUUAAGGAUAUGGUAAUAUCAUGGUUUUUCACUUAAGGCUUGUAGUGAGCUUCAAAACAAGGCUCAAAAGGGCUAUCAAAGGAAUUAAUUCAAGGUAAGUCCAUUUGGGUAAGUCCAUUUGGCUAGAAGCUUAUAAGAACAACAUUGCCUUAAUCAUUUCCAAAUAUGCAUGUGAAUUAGGAUGCAUCAACAAGAAUCAAGCCAAGGCUAUUGUGCAAGCAAUCAAUGGCGCAAAACACACCAAAUGAUUAUAAUGAUGGAUGGCUCAAAUUCUCACAAAGGUAAAAUCAUCACUUUCAAAUUGAGCUUUCAAAACUAUCAUGACAUGUAGAGAAGAAUCAAGGAUUUCAAGUCACAAAAUGUCAAGAACUUUUAUUUUCAAAACAAUUACCCAUUUCUUGAACAUAUCCUGUAAUUCAAAGAAAAACAUGCAAAGUCGUACGUGCACAUGAAAUUGACCCAAAAUAUUAAACUGAAAAUCCGAUGAAACUAACAACAUUAACAAAUUAACACAACUAACAAAUUAACAAAACCAACAAAACUAGCAAAACCAAAGAACACUCCCCCCCAUACUUAAACAACACAUUGUCCUCAAUGUAGCACAAUUAAAAGAUUAAAAACAAUUAAAUCAUCAAAGAGAAUCGGACAAGUGUAAUAAAAGCAAAGAAGGAGAUAGGAAAAGAAAAACUCCCUAAGUCAUGGUGGAGGAAGAGUAGGGUGGAGUAAGGAAGUCUCUUCCACCACUACGUCCACUAAAGAAGGGUUCGUGAGGAAUGGCUUAAGUCGAUGUCCAUUGACCUUGAAGCUCUUGUUUGUGGAGUCUCUUUUGAUCUCAACUGUACCAUAAGGAAAAACAUUAGUAACAACAAAAGGACCAAUCCACUUAGACCUCAACUUACCACUCAUGAGUCCAAGCCUAGAAUUAUACAAUAACACUUUUUGCCCAACCACGAAGUCUUUUUUAACUAUCAUGCUAUCAUGGAACUUCUUGGUCUUUUCUUUGUAGAACUUGGCAUUCUCGUAGGCUUCUAGGCGGAUUUCAUCUAACUCACUCAGUUGCAACUUCCUUUCCUCGCCAACUUGAUCCAUAGAGAAGUUGCAAGUCUUCACUGCCCAGUAUGCUUUGUGCUCAAUUUCCACUGGAAGAUGACAUGCCUUUCCAAAGACAACCCGAUAAGAAGACAUUCCUAUGGGUGCUUUGUAGGCAGUCCGAUGUGCCCAGAGAGCAUCAUCAAGCCUGGUACUCCAAUCUUUCCUGCUUGGCUGCACAAUCUUCUCUAGAAUUCUCUUGAUUUCCCUGUUAGAAAUUUCUGCCUGUCCAUUAGUCUGGGGGUGGUAUGGUGUGGAUACCCUGUGUACCACCCCGUACUUUUUAAGCAGGGCAUGCAUUGUCCUGUUGCAAAAAUGGGUUCCUUGAUCACUAACAAUUGCUUUAGGUACUCCAAACCUGCAAAACAGAUUAGACCUGACAAAGUCUGCGACAACUUUAGCAUCAUUAGUUCUAGUGGGCUUGGCUUCCACCCAUUUUGAAACAUAAUCAAUUGCAAGGAGAAUAUAAACAUAACCAAAAGAGACAGGAAAAGGACCCAUGAAAUCUAUACCCCAGACAUCAAAUACCUCACAGAAUAGCAUAGGUUGCUGAGGCAUUUGUUGUCGCCAUGUAAGUGUAUUUCCUGCUCUCUGACACUGCUCACAAGUGCUGCAGAUCUUCCACGCAUCUUUAAAGAUGGUGGGCCAAUAAAAACCACAAUCAAGCACUUUGCGAGCUGUCCUUUGAACACCCAGAUGACCUCCCGGUGCGGAAGAAUGACAGAACUGCAGGACUGAGUCAGUCUCAUGAUCUGGAAUGCACCGUCUAAUGACCUGAUCACUGCACAAUUUCCACAAGUAGGGGUCAUCCCAAAUAAAAUGCUUAGCAUCACUUUUAAUCUUAUCUUUUUGGGCCUUAGAUGCUAAGGGAGGAAAAACAGAGGCAACUAAAUAAUUGACAAUGUUAGCAAACCAGGGAGUAGAAAGAAAGUCAGAAAUACUAUACAAUAUAUACAAAUGAUCAUCCGGGAAAUCAUCCCGAAUAGGUGAAUCUGCAUCAGAGACACGUUUGAUCCGACUCAAAUGAUCAGCAACUAGAUUUUGUGCUCCGCUCCUAUCACGGAUCUCCAAGUCAAACUCUUGGAGCCAGAGCAUCCAUCGGAUCAACCUAGGCUUAGAAUCAGCCUUCUUCAACAAGUACUUUAGAGCUGCAUGGUCAGUAUAAACAAUAAUGCGAGUACCAAGCAAAUAAGAUCGAAAUUUUUCAAGAGCAAAAACUAUGGCUAGAAGCUCUUUCUCAGUAGUAGUAUAAUUUGCUUGGGCAGCAUCUAAAGUCCUAGAAGCAUAAUAUAUCACCCUGGGCAAUUUAUCAAUUUUCUGAGCAAGGACAGCCCCCAAUGCAUAAUUUGAUGCAUCACACAUAAGCUCAAAAGGGGCUGUCCAAUCGGGUGCCUGGAUGAUGGGGGUGGUAGUCAACGCUCUUUUGAGGCAAUCAAAAGCCUCUUUGCAUCUGUCAUUAAAGUCAAACUCCACCUCCUUUUGCAACAAGUUGGACAGUGGAAGGGCUACUUUGCUAAAAUCCCUUAUAAAGCGCCUGUAGAAUCCUGCAUGACCAAGAAAAGAUCGCACCUCUCGCACACAAGAGGGGUAAGGCAAUUGUGAAAUAACAGAAAUUUUUGCAGGAUCUACUUCAAUGCCCUUAUUGGAAAUAAUGUGGCCUAAAACUAUACCUUGCUCAACCAUAAAAUGACAUUUUUCAAAAUUUAGAACAAGGUUAGUUUCAAUGCAUCUAUUCAAAACUUUUUCCAAACUAUUCAAACAACCAUCAAAAGAGGAUCCAUAUACAGUGAAAUCAUCCAUAAACACCUCUAUGAAAUUUUCUAAAAAAUCACUGAAAAUACUAAUCAUGCACCGCUGGAAGGUACCAGGGGCAUUGCACAGACCGAAAGGCAUCCUGCUAUAAGCAAAAGUGUCGAAGGGGCAGGUGAAUGUGGUCUUUUCCUGGUCCUCAGGAGCAAUAGUAAUUUGCAUAUAACCAGAAAAACCAUCAAGGAAACAGUAGUGGGAUUUACCUGCCAGGCGUUCAAGCAUCUGGUCAAUGAAUGGCAGGGGAAAAUGGUCCUUUUUGGUAACCUGGUUCAGCCUCCUAUAGUCAAUGCAGACUCUCCAACUGUUCUGCACCCGAGUAGGAAUCAGCUCCUCCUUCUCAUUUCUGAUCACUGUGAGGCCAGUCUUUUUCGGGACUACCUGGACGGGACUCACCCAUUGGUUGUCGGAGAUAGGAUAAAUGAUUCCAGCUUGCAAAAGCUUGGUUAUCUCCUUCUUCACUACAUCAAGAAUCAUCGGCUUGAGUCUUCUCUGUGGCUGUCUUACUGGUUUAGCUCCAUCCUCUAAAUUUAUUCGAUGCAUACAUGUGGAUGGGCUAAUACCAGGAAUGUCCGCCAGGGUCCAGCCUAUAGCCUUCUUAUGCUUCUUGAGAACUGACAACAACUUCUCCUCUUGCUCAUCAGCAAGGGAGGCAGAUAUAAUCACUGGAAAACUCUUGCUAUCAUCCAAGUAAGCGUAUUUUAAAUUUGAUGGCAGAGGCUUCAAUUCUGGUGUGGUCGGCUGGACAGUGGUAGAAGGAGAUGGUUUCUCAGCCUUUACCUCAUAAAGAAAGUCAGAGGUAUGUGUACUUCCUGAAACAUGGUUAGUCCUAUCUGACUCUAUAAAAUCAAUCUCAAGAGGUAAAACACCACCACCAGGCAUGCAAUCAAUAUCACUCUCAGAUUCACUCUCAGCAUCAAAUUCAGACAUAUGAUCAAGUACAAUUUCAGACUCAAUGCAUGAAGAGUGAGAGGCAUGCAGAUUAGAAUAAAGAUCAGUCAUGUAUUCAUCAACAACAUGGUCAAUUAUUUCAGCACGAAAUACAGAAAGAUCUUCAGAUGGGUAUUUCAUAGCAUCCAGAAUAUUAAAAUGAACAGUUAUAUCACCAAACUCCAUGGACAGUGUGCCUGCAUAAACAUCUAUCUUAGUUCUAGCAGUUUUCAUAAAGGGUCUGUCUAGAAUGAUGGGAACUGAUCCUUGAGAAAAUCCAUCUUCCAUAUUCAAGAUAUAAAAAUCAACAGGGAAAAUCAGUUCACCAACUCUAACUAAGACAUCUUCUAUGAAACCAACAGGAUAGGCAACACUUCUAUUAGCUAAAUGAAUUACCACAUCAGUUGACUGCAAGGGACCUAGAGAUAGAGAAUUAAAAAUCGACAGAGGCAUAACACUAACAGAGGCUCCUAAAUCUAGCAUGGCAUUGUCAAACUUACUAUUCCCUAUAAUACAAGGUAUGCUAAAUGUACCUGGAUCUUUGCAUUUUUCAGGAAUUUGAGGAACAGAUUUACCAAUCAAUACGGAGACAUUUCUGCCCAUGCUAAUUCGUUCACUUCCUUUAAGCUUCCGCUUAUUAGUGCACAGCUCCUUCAAGAAUUUGGCAUAUCUUGGAAUUUGCUUUAUUGCAUCCAACAGAGGUAUGUUUACCUCUACUUUUCUAAACGUUUCCAAGAUCUCUUUCUCUGCCUCUUCCAUUUUUUUGUUGGAAACUGCUCUUGGAGGGAAUGGAAGAGGGGGAAUGUGCUGCUUCUGCAAAUCAGAAUUACCUGUGGAAGAAGAUUCACCUGCACAGAAAUUGUUAGGUAGAUUUUUGUCAUCACCUUUUUCUGGAAUAGAGUGAAGUUUGGCAGGUUCAUUUGCAGAUGAGGAAGGUGCUACGGGUUGAGGUCCUUGACACUGCUUUCCCGACCUCAAUGAAAUGGCACUGACAUUUUUGGGGUUUUGGACAGCUUGAGAAGGCAGCUUGUCAGAAUUCUGGGAUUGUUGUUGAUUCAAUUGAGUAGCUAAUUGUCCCAUCUGAUUGGUUAAGCUCUGAAUGGAGGCUCUGGUCUCUUGCUGAAACUGCAUGUUCUGCAUAGUCAUUUGCCUCACAAGUUCUUCGAGGGAAGGUUGUGGAGGGGCCUCAACUGUUGGCUGUUUCUGGGGUUGUUGCUGUUGUUGGAUUGGUGGAGGAAUGUAUGGUCUGCUUGGGCCAGCAGCAUUUUGGAAGGAAGGAGCAGGCUGCUGUUGUUGUUGCUGAGGGCUGGACCAUCUGAGGUUAGGGUGAUUCCUCCAUCCAGGGUUGUAUCUGUUGCUGGAAAGGUCAUAAUUGCUCUGCUGUGGUAGAUUUUGCUGCUGAGGUUGAGGAGGUCUAUUGUAAAUAUUUGCAGCAUAAGCUUUAGGCUGCUCAAUUGCUCCAGGUUGCUGCAUGGAAGGGCAAAGGUCUGUAUGGUGGUCAGCAGAGGAGCACAAACCACAAACCCUUGCGACAGGUACAGAUUUCUGAUUCAAGGCCAGCUGGGUUACCAAGUUGACCAACGCAUCCAGUUUGCCUUCAAGCUUUUUAGUUUCAGAUGAUGCAGAUGGGUUUGUAGCUACCUCAUGCACUCCUCUAAUGACUAUGGCAUCAUUUCUGGCGCUAAACUGUUGGGAGUUGGAGGCCAUCUUCUCAAUUAAAUUUCUGGCUUCAGCAGGAGUUAUGUCUCCAAGGGCUCCACCACUGGCAGCAUCUAUCAUACUUCUCUCCAUAUUACUGAGUCCUUCAUAAAAAUAUUGGAGAAGAAGUUGUUCUGAAAUCUGAUGGUGGGGGCAACUGGCACAUAGUUUCUUAAAUCUCUCCCAGUACUCAUACAGGCUCUCUCCACUGAGUUGUCUAAUACCUGAGAUAUCCUUCCUGAUGGCUGUGGUCCUGGAAGCAGGGAAAAAAUUUUCUAAGAAUACUCUCUUAAGGUCAUCCCAGCUCGUGAUGGACCUUGGAGCAAGGUAAUACAGCCAGUCCUUUGCCACUCCCUCUAAUGAAUGAGGAAAAGCCUUCAGAAAUAUGUGAUCCUCUUGGACAUCUGGGGGUUUCAUGGUGGAGCAGACAAUGUGAAAUUCUUUCAAAUGUUUGUGCAGGUCUUCACCUGCAAGGCCAUGAAACUUUGGAAGCAAAUGAAUCAGUCCAGUCUUAAGAACAUAUGGGACAUCCUCAUCAGGGUAUUGGAUGCACAAGCUUUCAUAGGUGAAAUCAGGUGCAGCCAUUUCCCUUAGAGUCCUCUCACGAGGUGGAGGUUGUGCCAUGUUCUCAGAAUGUGCAAAAUCAGAAUGCUCAAAAUCAGAAUGCUCAAAAUUAUAAUGCUCAAGAUCAGGAUGUUCAAAAUCACCAAUAACAGAAUGCACAGAUUCACCAGUUAUGGAAUGCUCAGAAUGAUCAAAAGGUAUAAAAUGAUGCCUAACUAAUCUAUGAAAUGUCCUAUCUAUCUCAGGAUCAAAGGGUUGUAAGUCAGAUGGAUUGCCUCUAGUCAUACACUACAUUCAGCAUGCACACAACUAGUUGCCUUGUCAUGUAAAUAAAGGUGUAGGUUUGAACUACAGCUACCCUCAAAUGAUAUCCAAAUGACUUGAAAUUUUGUGAGCAACCCUAUAAAAUGAUGAGAAGAUAGCACAAAAAAUUUUAGACAAAAAUUCAAAGUCUAACUAUGAAAGCUAAAAAUGGUAGGUUAAGAAAAAUAAGUGAAUAAAACUUGAAAAAUAAAAAACUUUUGACAGAAUCGCUUUUUUUGGACGAUGGAGACCUCAGCUGGUAGGAAAUUUUUUUCUACCCCAAAUGCAUAUAUAAUAAUUGCGAUUCUGAUAACUGGAGCAAAAGUUAUGGCCGUUUGAAGUUUUGACAAACACAAAAUUUGCUAGUUUUUUGGAACUUUCAAAUCUGACCAAACUAAAGGCUCUAGCUAUUUUUCCCACAAAAUAUGGAUUAAAAGAAGUUACCACAAAAAAAAUUCAGCCAAAAAUAACAACCCUAGCUACUAAAAUAAAAAAUCCCAAUUAAUUCAGCAUGGGUGGUCGCUAAAAUCCGUCUCUAAUUGAUUUCUACUACUACUCUGUUUUUCCGCAAGCUGAUUUCUACUACUACUCUGUUUUCAAGCACAAUCUUCACAGCAAAACACCCAAGACUGAAAUAGGGGAAACGCUUAAUGGUAAAACUGAAACAGAACACACAUUAAACAAAAUACCAGGACACUAAUCAACACUAACACACAUACUAACACAAUACUAACAAUUAAACAUAAAACACGAAAGGAUUAAACACACAGCACUAGCUAGCUAUUAUGAACCUUUGGACACUGCUCCCCGGCAACGGCGCCAAAUUUGAUCGAGGCCGUACCCGAAUCAAAUAAACAUGAAAAUGCAGUAACUAGGAAGUGAUCCUAGGUCGUUUCCCAACGAGCAGUGACAAGCCAAAUGUUCAUAAUAUACUUGCAGUAACAGUAACGAUGGGGGGGGGUUUGGUUGUUUGGUAAUUAAAGAGCAGAACAAAUAAAAUGGAAUACGAAACUACUAAUACUAAAAACGGGUUGUUUCCUCUGAUUCAGAAGCCACUCUCUUAUCCUGGGUUAUGGAGAAUUCAUCCCUAACAGUCAACCACUUAAUCCAACCCUAUUUCAAUUUACUAAGCGAAAAUCAACUUAGGGUUUUCAAUACGUGAUUAGGCACCACAUACACCAGUUAGCCCUUCGUCCAUUAAGCAUGAACGCAAGUUAGGCUCAGAGGCAAUUAAUCGAACACGAAGCGUGCACUGAUUAAUAUUCACGAAAUUGGGAUAACUGGUGAAGGGAAAACUGCCAGGAAACCACAUUACAAACGAAACCUCAAAGAGAGUUGGGCUUCGUCCUCAAAAGGAAACAACACCAGAAAAUCUAGCCUUCCAUGGAUUCAAACAGAAAACGCAAAUGAAACAUGAAGCAGAAACAUAAAUGAAGAAGAACGUAAAUGAACAGAAACGUAAAUGAAAGUAGAAGAAGAAGCAAGAAUGAACUCGUAAUUAGAGGCAGAAAACGUAAAAUUGCAUUACGAACUCAGAAACGUCAAAACAGAAAAACGAAAACCCUAAAACAAAGCUCUGAAUGAUGAAUAGCAUAACAGAAUAGAAUGCCCUGCACGAAUCCCAAGGCAGCUAUUUAAAAAGAGUCACUCAAAGUCACUGGGCCCUAUUUCAAUACUCUGGCCCAAAACGAAAUAAACACUGAACAACAUAAAAUAAAAUUGCGAAAUUUCCUAAUUAGAAAUUAACUAAGGUAAGCGCUGCUUUAUUUGCCCUCUUCAAGUCCACAACCAAAAUCCAGAUUAAGCCCAAUGUUUCAUUAAUUCCUGAAAUUAGAUUAAAAACAUCAAAUUAGCUAAAUGAGCCCAAAUAAUAAAACUGCCUAAUUAAUUGACAAUUAAGACCAAUCAAUAAUUAAAAUGGUGCAAAAAGGGUUUAGAAAAUAGAAGAAAAUGAUGGCACAUCACUUUGAACAAGAAACCAAGAGGGCUCGCAAGGAAGAGUAUGGCCGAGAUAAAUUCCGAGGAGCUCUAUGGGGCAGCAACAAUGAGCUCAAGCUCCGGAGAGAGGAAAGAGACCAGUCACGAGUACAUGGCAUGAUCUUAAAGGAAAAGUUAGUUGCUUGCUCAAGAUCCAAGAGAAGUUUGGCCCAACACUUAGAAGCCACGGAGCAAAGCAUGCUAGCUAUAAUUGGGCAGUACAAAGAAGAGUUAAACCAGUCUUUGACCCAUGAACAAAACUAGUAGAGGACUUCACACAAGCGUAUGCCGAGAAGGAAGCAAGAGGGAGGGUGAUUGAUGCAUUGCAUCAAGAAGCGACCAUGUGGAUGGAUAGGUUUGCCUUGACCUUAAAUGGAAGUCAAGACCUCCCGUGACUACUAGCCAAAGCAAAGGCCAUCGCUGAAGUGUGUUCAGCCCCUGAGGAAAUUCACGGGCUGAUCAAUUACUGUCAACACAUGAUGGAUUUAAUGGCCCAUGUAAUUAGAAACCGUUAGGUUCUGUUGUAACACUUUUGUAUGAUCUUGGCUAGAUAAAAGCUUUUGUUCCUUUUUAUAAAAAGAGAAGUUCUGGAACUCAUCACGUUGUCUAAAAAAGCCUUGAGGUGGAUCCAAGUGCUCUGAUCAUUCAUUAGCAUAUUCAUGUUUUGGUGGCAUACUCACCGCUAUUUGUUUCUUUAGGGAACUCACCAUAACUAAAAAAGCGCAAAGGCACCCCUAUAACACUCGAUCAAGAAGUAAGAUGGAUAACGAAGAGGGAGUGCAAGAACAGAUGAAGGCCGACCUAUUGGCCUUAAAAGAUCAAAUGGCUUCUAUCACGAAGGCCAUGCUAAAGCUUCAAAAAACUAUAGAAGAUAAUGCCACGGCGGCCGCUUCCAAUACAGCUAGGGAAGCAGAACCGGUGCUACAGCUCGUAAUAAACUUGGGCCGAGACAAAAAUGCGACAGGUUUCAAUCGGAGGUAUAGUCCUCAAGCUUACCCUUAUGGUUUGCCUCCGGACUUCACUCCUCGUACCGCUCCAGACGAUUUGAGCCAAGCCCCUACCUUCGAGGGGCAGCUCCCUCCUCAUGCCGACUAUCCUCUGCAAGAAGAUGAUGAAGGAGAUGCCCAUUUAGGCCCUCUACUUCCCCUCAAGGAUCCGACCCCCCAUGAGUUACCCCAACCAAACAUAGUCUGCCACGUCCCGUCUCCAUCCGCACCCGUUAAGGAACUCGUUCCCUUUGCCUCAACGAAGCCCACGUAGCACACAACAUCUCAGUCGAGGGUUUUGAAGGCAUUAUUAAUCAUAUAACUACCAAUAACUAUAUCGCGUUUGCGGAAGAAGAGAUUCCCGUUGAGGGGAGAGGGCACAACAAAGCUCUACAUGUGUCAAUUAGAUGCAUGGACCAUGUCGUUGCUAAGGUACUCAUCGACAAUGGUUCAAGCUUAAAUGUGAUGCCAAAGACCACCUUGGAGAAACUUCCUUUUAAUGCGUCACGUCUAAAACCAAGUUUGAUGGUAGUACGAGCCUUUAACGGUAGUCGGCGGGAGGUGAUGGGGGAAAUCAACAUCCCCAUUCAGAUAGGCCCCCACACUUGCAAUGUGGUUUUUCAAGUGAUGGACAUAAAUCCCACCUACAGCUGCCUUUUGGGGAGACCUUGGAUUCACGCACUAGGAGUGGUCCCUUCGACGCUUCACCAGAAAUUGAAAUUCGCGGUUGGUGGACUCUUGGUGAUAGUGUCAGGCAAAGAAGAUAUGUUGGUGAGCUGCCCCUCCUCCACGCCAUAUGUGGAAGCAGCGGAGGAAUCAUUGGAAACAACUUUCCAAUCCUUCGAGGUGGUGAGUUGUGCCUCUGUGGAAACGAGUCCGUUGCUACCUUGUCUCUCUAAUGCGUCCAUAAUGGUGGCUUGGGUAAUGCUCAGGCACGGUUAUGAGCCCGGAAUGGGCCUGGGCAAGGACAGCCACGGGAAUGCCGAUGUGGCCGACAUUAGGGGGAACCUGUACAAAUAUGGGUUGGGGUAUGAACCCAGGAAACCGGGAAAAAGGAAUGUGCUGUCAAGACUCUGGGCAGAUAGGGCAUGGCCCGGCCAUGUUAGCCAGUGCUUCACAAGUGCCGAGAUAAUGUUCGAGGAAGAGGUGGCAGCAAUAGGAGAGGAAUCUCCACAAGAUCCACCAAGUUUCGUGCGACCAUGCCAUCCCAAUUCCCAAGUGGGGAACUGGCGUGUGAUGAGCCAGUCGGAAGUCUAUACCGCUGAUUCAAUGUAAUUAGAGGCUAUAGAUUCCUUUCUCUUUCAUUUUGUGAAACCUACCUUAUUAAAUAACAAAGAGAUCUCGUUUUAUCUGUUCUUGCGAUUCCACCUUUUCUCAUAUCAUUUUGAAUGUUUUUGUUUUUUUUGUCUUGAAUGGUAUAGAUGUGAGGGUCGAUUCUUUGAGGAUCCUAACAACGAGGGUUUGAUAAUCGAUUUUGACCGAGAAGUAAGUCAAACAAUAAACAAAGAGGAGGAAGAGUACGUCCUUUCACCAGAGUUGGAGAGGUUGAUCACUCAGGAAGAACGCGAAAUGAAGCCUCACCAAGAGGAAAUUGAACUGAUAAAAUUAGAGACUGGGGAAGGAAAGAAAGAAGUGAAAGUAGGAACCGGUAUGACCGCACCUAUCCGCCAAGGUUUGAUAACCCUUCUUGAAGAAUAUCAAGACAUCUUUGCGUGGUCGUACCAAGACAUGCCAAGUCUGGACCUCGACAUUGUGCAGCAUAAGUUGCCAUUGAAUCCUGGGUCUUCCCCGAUUUAGCAAAAACUACGAAGGAUGAGACCCAAAAUGUCUUUGAAAAUUAAAGAAGAAGUGAGAAAGAAGUUCGAUGCGGGUUUCUUGGCUGUAGCUCGAUACCCGGAGUGGGUAGCCAACAUUGUCUCGGUCCUAAAGAAGGGCGGCAAAAUAUGAAUGUGCGUAGACUAUCGGGACUUAAACCGAGCCAAUCCUAAAGACAAUUUUCCAUUGCCACACAUUGAUAUACUGGUAGAUAAUACAACCAAGUUCACCCUUUUCUCCUUUAUGGAUGGUUUCUCAGGGUAUAAUCAGAUAAAGAUGACACCCGAAGAUGUGGAGAAGACUACUUUCGUCACCUUAUGGGGAACAUUCUGCUACAAAGUGAUGGCCUUCGGGCUAAAAAAUGUUGGGGCAACCUAUCAACGUGCCAUGGUAGCUUUGUUCCACGACAUGAUGCAUAAAGAGAUAGAUGUCUAUGUAGAUGACAUGAUUGCCAAAUCUCAGAUCAAGGACGAACACCUCGUCAAUCUGCAUAAGCUGUUUGGAAGGCUGCAGAAAUACCAACUGAAACUAAACCCCGCCAAGUGCACCUUCGGGGUGAAAUCGGGGAAGUUAUUGGGAUUUAUCGUGAGCCAGAAAGGGAUAUAGAUAGAUCCCGAGAAAGUGAAGGCCAUUCUUGAAAUGCCAGAGCCACGCACGUAGAAGCAGGUUUGAGGUUUCCUGGGCAGGUUGAAUUACAUCGCGAGAUUUAUCUCGCAACUCACCCCUACCUGCGAGCCCAUCUUCAAACUAUUGCGUAAGAACCAAGCGGUCUUGUGGAACAGCGACAGCCAAGAGGCCUUCGAAAAAAUCAAACAGAGCCUCGCAAAUCCCCCGGUGCUCAUGCCACCUGUAACAGGAAGACCUCUUUUCCUGUACAUGACUGUGUUAGACGAGUCUAUGGGGUGCGUGUUGGGUCAGCACGAUGACUCUGGGAAAAAGGAACAAGCUAUUUACUAUUUAAGCAAGAAGUUUACCGCCUGUGAGAUGAAUUACUCAAUGUUGGAAAGGACGUUUUGCGCCUUGGUAUGGGCGUCACAUCGUCUUAGGCAGUACAUGCUCAGUCAUACCAUGUGGCUUAUUUCCAAAAUGGAUCCCGUGAAAUACAUCUUUGAGAAACCGGCCCUCACAGGACGAAUCGCUAGGUGGCAGGUACUACUAUCUGAAUUUGAUAUUGUGUACGUCACCCAAAAGGCGAUAAAGGGAAGCGCCUUGGCAAAUUAUUUGGCCCAACAACCCCUCUAAGAUUAUCGGCCGAUGCACCCUGAGUUCCCGGAUGAAGACACCAUGGCCCUAUUCGAAGAGAAGCGGACACACGAGGAUAUAGACAAAUGGAUUGUUUGUUUCGAUGGGGCAUCUAAUGCUUUGGGCCAUGGAGUAGGGGCAGUCCUUGUAUCCCCAGAUGAUCAAUGUGUUCCUUUCACGGCCAGGCUAGGUUUCGAUUGUACCAAAAAUAUGGCCGAAUACAAAGCAUGCGCCCUUGGGAUUCAAGCGACCAUUGAUUUUGAUGUAAAGCUACUCAAAGUGUAUGGAGACUCGGCUUUGGUAAUACGCCAGUUGAGAAGAGAAUGGGAAACUAGGGAUCAAAAGUUGAUACUCUAUCAAACUCAUAUCUUGAAGUUAGCCUAAUUCUUUGACGACAUUUCUUUCCACCACAUACCUCGGGAAGAGAACCAAAUGGCCGAUGCAUUGGCCACCUUGGCAUCCAUGUUUCAACUUGCCCCACACGGGGAUCUGCCGUACAUUGAAUUGAGAUCUUGGGGCAAUCUGGCACAUUGUUGUGCAAUAGAGGAAGAGCGAGAUGGGAAACCGUGGUAUUUCGACAUCAAACAGUAUGUCGAGAACAAAGAAUAUCCACCAGGGAUUUCCGACAAUGACAAAAGAACAUUAAGGAGAUUGGCUACUGGUUUCUUUGUGAGUGGUACCAUCCUAUACAAACGAAACCACGACAUGACCCUCCUGCAAUGCAUAGAUGCCAAAGAGGCGUACUACAUGAUUGAGGAAAUCCACGGGGGUUCAUUUGGGACACAUGCCAAUGGGCAUGCUAUGGCCAGGAAGAUCCUUAGAGCAGGUUAUUACUGGCUCACUAUGGAAAGCGAUUGCUGCGCCCAUGUAAGGAAAUGCCAUAAAUGUCAAGCGUACGCGGACAAUGUCAAUGUUCCGCCACAUCCUCUGAACGUCAUGUCCGCCCCUUGGCCUUUUUCCAUGUGGGGAAUAGAUGUCAUUGGGGCCAUCGAACCCAAAGCUUCGAACAGUCAUCGCUUCAUUCUCAUGGCGAUAGAUUAUUUCACCAAAUGGGUCGAAGCGGCUUCUUAUACCAAUGUCACGAGGAACGUGGUGGUCAGAUUCAUAAAGAAGGAGCUGAUUUGUCGAUACGGACUCCCUAGGAAGAUCAUUACUGAUAAUGGCACCAAUCUGAAUAACAAAAUGAUGCAGGAAAUGUGCGGGGAUUUCAAGAUCCAGCAUCAUAACUCCACCCCUUAUCGGCCAAAGAUGAAUGGGGCUGUGGAGGCUGCAAAUAAAAAUAUUAAGAAGAUUAUUCAGAAGAUGACGGUGUCAUACAAAGAUUGGCAUGAGAUGUUGCCUUUUGCCCUGCAUGGAUAUCGAACCUUGGUACGAACUUCUACUGGGGCAACGCCGUAUUCCUUGGUUUAUGGGAUGGAAGCAGUACUCCCAUUUGAGGUAGAGGUCCCUUCCCAGAAGAUACUAGCGGAAUCGGGCCUAGAAGAAUCAGAGUGGGCUCAAACACGCUACGACCAACUCAACCUUAUUGAAGGUAAGCAUUUGACGGCCAUGAGCCAUGGGCGCCUGUAUCAACAAAGGAUAAAGAAUGCGUUCGACAAGAAGGUACGCCCGUGCAAGUUCAAUCAGGGGACCUUGUCCUGAAAAAGAUAUCCCACGCUGUUAAAGAUAAUCGAGGGAAGUGGGCCCCGAAUUACGAAGGACCUUUCGUUGUGAAAAGGGCUUUUUCUGGGGGGGGGCUCUGGUGCUCACCAACAUGGAUGGCUAGGAGCUACCCUCGCCCGUGAACUCCGAUGUUGUUAAGCGAUAUUACACUUGAAAGCUGGGGCAAUGGAGGAAACCACUACAUGUUCUUUUUAUUUUGUGUUUGUGUCUUUUUGGUUUCCUCCAAGGAUUCCUGUCCACUGUAAUUGUCUCGUCACAGUUCUAUAAAAGAAGAGAACAUGGGUCUGAGGCUUCAGUCCUCACUUUGGUUUUAAACCAUGUGCAGUUUGUAAUAACCUGAGCCCUUUCGCUUAGUUCAUGGGGUGCCCCAAGCGCUUAAUUAAAACUGAACCUAACCAUCUUUCACUAAGAAGAUUAUUGCAUUUGAAAACCUUUAUGCAUACGCAUACGCAUGCAUAUUUUUUUAUAACAGGGGCAGAAUCGUCUUAGGCAAUGGUCAAAGGUCGAGACAAGGUUAAAGGCAAAAACCAAUCGAGGUAAGACGACGACACAGCCACGAUUUGCCACGUAUUAUUUGUUUCCUACUUUCAGGUACUUAGGGACGGACGCAAGUAGAGGUUAGGGUCACGACCGAUAGAUCGUCAUCCCUUGCCUAGCUUUGGACAAAUGGAAAGCGCCGCUGCAAGGCAGCCUAGUAUCCUUUGAAUUCCCGGUAGUUAUUACUGUUGCGUCUUUAAAGUAAGUAUUGAAUGCCUAAUCCACCCUAAGGGGGGUUCGAGUAAGCGAACCCGAUCCACAGAAAGCAUUAUUUGUUUCCACCAAAAAAAAAUAAAAAAAUAGUACAGGUUAGCUCGCCUGGGCGAGCACCCCUGCACCCGCAAAUAAAAAAUGAGGGAGGGGGAGUUUUCUGCACCCCAAAAAACUUCCCCCCCCCCCCUCAUUCAAAAAAGAAAGCUCACGGGAAUUGAGGAUUUUCACCCCUAGGCCACUAUUUUUGCGCUUUUGCUUCCAUUCUUAGUGUUGCUACUCACUCCAUCAAGUAAGCAUCUCAUUCUUGAGCUUUCUAGCUUUCCAUUGAUGUAUCUUGGUCUUCUUUUGGUGCUCUAAAUUGUGUGAAUAUGCCCAAGUCUAUGGGGCAAUUUUGGCUUUGUUUCAUGCUUGAUUGGUGUGAGUUAGGGGGUUGUACGGGAUGGCCCUAGGCCUAAGUUGCAUUCUGGAGUAAUGGGGCAUGCCACAUUGCCCCCAUUCUCUUGCUAUUCAUGCCAAAACAUGCGCCCACCAAGUGCUCGAUGAAAUGCCUCAAUGACAUAUGGGCAUGGUUUUGUAAGCUUGGGAUUGUGGGACUGUUUUAUAUGUAUAGGGACAGCAUGAAGGAUUUAAAAUGAGUGCCCGAAUGUGAUUCUAGGCCUAGGAACCCAAGCUUUUAAUUCCAAUACAAAGAAGUAUGACUUACGCCUAGGAAUCUAAGUUUGGGUUUUGAAUGCAAAAAGGCAUGAAUAUUAGGACAUGUUUGAGAGGUUUCUAUUAGAAUUUAAAUUUGGCUGCCCCAUGAGGAAUACCUUGCACCUAGGUAGCAUGGAAAAUACCUUUCAACGGUAUGUAUAUAUGUGAAUAUGUAUAGCAUGGAAAUGCCUUGCAAAGUGUGUGAAUAUAUGGCAUAAAAAUACCUUGCAAAGUGUGAAUGUAUAGCAAAUAAUGCAUUUCAAAAAUCGGUAUAUGUAGGAUAGGUAGCGUAAAAAUGCCUUUCAAAAUAUGUAUAUUGGUGGAUAGGUAGCAUAAGGAGCCUUUCAAAAAUGUACCCAUGUCGAAAAUGGCACGAGAAUGCUUCCCAAAUGAAUAUAUGAUGUGGAAUUGCCUUUCAAGUGUAGAUAGAUGACAUGAAAGUUCCUUCUCAAAUAAAUGCAAGUGUGUGCAUGACAUGAGUUUUGCUCUCCAAUGUGCAUAUAUAAACAAAUAUGAAACAACAAAAAUGUAUAUAUUAAUAAAAUACUCCAAAUGUGCGUAGGUAGUUUGUGGUAGCAAAAUACUUAGGAUAUGAACAUGUGUAAUUUUGACACAAUACCUUGAGCAUGCGUAUAUGUAUUCUUUCCAAAAAAUAUAUGUGUGGUAACUAGAAUGUUUUGAAUAUCCUUGUGUGUUGAUAUAAAUAGUAGGAUAUUUUACGCAUACGCACGUUGGUAAAUGUUCUUUUAAGGAAAUGUGUGCACAAGUUUGUUCUAAAUCGAAAAGAUCAGCAUACCAUUUUUUCUUUAAAGUAGCAUUUCCUUGUAAACUAAACUUUACAAAUGUUUGUCCUCGCAGGAAAUGGCUCCGAGAAAGCUUUCCGCAAAGAGAUCUAGGAAGGACGUCGCGGCUGAAGGGACCAAUGCCGCCCCCGAGUUUGACAGCCAUCGUUUCAGGAGUGCUGAGCACCAACAACGUUUCGAGGCCAUCAAAGGAUGGUCGUUCCACCGAGAAAGACGCAUCCAGCUCAGGGACGAUGAGUACGCUGAUUUUCAGGGAGAGAUAGCUCGUCGGCGUUGGACAUCACUGGUCACUCCCAUGGCUAAGUUCGACCUAGAUGUAGUCCUAGAGUUUUACACCAAUGCUUGGCCCACGGAGGAGGGUCGUGCGGUCAUGGGUAAGGGGCCAGUGGAUUCCUUUUGAUGCAGACGCCCUCAGCCUGUUCCUGGGAGACCCGCUAGUGUUAGAGGAGGGCCAAGAGUGCGAGUAUAGUCAGAGAAGGAACCGGGCCGAUGGAUUUGAGGAGGAGGUCAUUGCCCAGCUGCUAUGCAUACCGGGUCAGGAUUUUUCCCGGACCGCUGCCGGGAGGCGGGUGUGGAUCAUGCGCACCAGCAUGACCACCUUGACUCAGAUGUGGAUGACGUUGUUGCUCAGCAACGUCCUGCCCAGCGAUCAUAACUCCGACCUCCCUCUGCCAAAGUGUCAGCUGGUGUACGCCAUCCUGACACGGAUGAGUGUCCAUGUGGCUCAGUUGAUCGCUGACGCCAUUUAUUUAUUUGCAGGUAUGCCACCAACCAGGCACCCUCUAGACCCAGAUAAGUCUAAUAGGGCCCUGGGGUUUCCAGCGUUGAUCACGGGCCUCUGCCAGUCAUUCGGGGUUCCCGUCACACCUAGUAAGGUGAUUCGACCGCCGAUCACCCGGGCCUUUAUUGAGAAGUAUUGCAUGCCUAGACAAGCGCAGGGUGAUGCACCGCAGGCCGUAGACGCACCACCACCACCUCGUCAGGCUGAUCCAGCUGGGUCAUUUGGCAUGGAGCAGUAUGUACAGCACUUGGUUCGCCAGCAGCCGGCCAACCACAGGGGGUAGGUGCAAACCCAUGAGUGUCUCUACCAGCUCAGCCUCAGUCUCUAUCAGUUCAGGGCAGAGGUUGCAUGGCCUGGAGAUUGGCCUGAGGCCUAGGCAGGGGAGGCGCCCGUAGAGGCUCCCGAUGAUGCAGAGGAGGGCCGCAUGGAUGAGGAGAUGACAAAUUUACUCAAUUUCUUGGGAGGGAGCGGAGCCACAUGACCAGGGAAUCCCCAGAUUCAUAUUCUCUUUUAUGUUUCCUCUUUUAUCUGUUACAUAUCAUUUUAUUUUUAUAACUUGAGGGACUAACGUUUGUUUUGGUUUUUUGAUUGUCUUUUGUUUUGUGCAUAUGUUGUUGGACUGUUGCGUUAGUGCUUACUUCGUUAUUGUCAAUAAUGUUUGUUGAAAUUCCGGAACCGUGUAGAGUUUUCAUUUAGGAACGUCGUCCUAAAAAUAAAAUGAACUAAAAAAUCAUGAUAACGCCAAGAAUAGAAAAAAAGAAAGAGGUGUUGUGAACAAAUGUUGUGUCUAUAUAUAAAGAAAAGAAAAUAGUUUUUUAUAUGUAAAAAAUGUAUGGAAAGAUUUUGUGUGUGUGUAAAUAAGGUGUGAAAAGAAAUUCUUGUGUGUGUGUUUAAAUAAGGUGUGAAAAGAAAUUCUUGUGUGUGAGCAACGAGUGUAUACAAAGAAAUUUUUGUAUAAACCAUGAGUGUAUGUUGAAAAAACGAAAAAGAAAUCUUUGAACAGGAAUAGAGUUUGUAUAUAGACCGUGUUGAUAUAAGGAGAAAGAGUUUUAAUGCGUGUGUAUACAAAGAAAGUUUGUCGUGUAUAGGAAUGCAGGUGUACAAAGAAAAAGUUUUUCUCAUAGAUAAUGAUGGAUGUAUAGUUUUUGCAAACAUAGAAAAAAUAAAACAAAAAAAAAAGAAAAGAGAAAGAAAGACCUCGAAGGUUGGCAUGUUAUGGUCAUAGGAAGCAUAAAUCAUUCGUAGAGAGCAAACAUAUCUUUUGGAAGCAAGAGACUGACGCUAAGAGUUUAUUUUCCUGAAUAACCGAGAUGAAAAUGGAUGGAUUCGUUGAACUGAUGAAAGAACAUAAUUUGGAAAUAUUGGGUCUACUUGUGUAAAUCCCAAGCCUUAGUAUCACGAUGCCAUAAACUGGAUGCUUGAGUACCCACCUAGCUGUGGCCAUGACUAAUUAUGCACGUUGUUUCCAAAUCAUCAUUGUUACGCGUGCCUCGUGGAAAUAAUAUGGAAAUUCAACCCGAGACCGACACCUUGACACACGAAUUUGUUUUGCCCUGGAUAUCAAAAUCGGGCUCGCACGAUGAAAAGACCAUGUUGAGACACAACCUUAAGCUACUUUGAACCUUGGGCCGUGAAAAUAAUCCUCAUCCUUUCCCCCGAAGAAAACGACAGCAGAAUCUCCUCAAGGGAGAGCGAAUAACGAAUGCUAAAAUCAGAAUUCCCAAUCAAAGAUCGGAAAGGAAGAAAUGAAAAGAAAGAAAAGAAAAGGAAAAGAAGGAUUCCCGAUUGAAGAACGAAUGAAAGUAAAAAAGAAAAAAAGAUCGGAGGAAAAACAGAAUAAUUCCCGAUCAAUACAGGAAAUCAGGAAAGAGAACAGAAGAUCUUCCGACCAGAUAAAUUUUUGACAGGGCAAAUGACUGUCGGCAAAGGAAAACCCAUUUUUAAAGUGGUUCUUUCUUUGGGAUUGCCAUUCAAAGUCGCUCUCAACUGGUCAUAUCCCGCCCCACAUAAACAAAGAGGAAAAGACCGAAACACCCAGCUUCCUCUCCAAAAACACUACCCUUGAGGAAAUCCUAUUGAUCCAUGAUCGUGCGUGUGAUCUUUUGGUUCGAUAGGAAGUCAUGUGCAAAAUAAAGUCAUGGUGCAGCUAUGGUUUGGGAUUAGGGUAAAACACUUACCUGUGUGAGUCUUUAUACACUAUGAGUGAUUUUAUUCUCAGUUUCAGUUUGACCCGACGUUUCCCCUGAAUGUUCAUUUAAAAGCUAAAUGUUGACAUCUCGCCAUUCGUUUUCAGUUACAAGGAAAAUUACUUUUGGCAUAAGCAUAUUGUUUCUCAAAAAUAUGGUGCUCUCGUGAAUGAUUUAUUUUUCCUUAUUAAAGCAUGUUCGCCUUUUAGGUGAAAGAACCUGGCGGACCAUUCGGUCCAUCCUCAAAUCUUAUUCGGAGACCCAUGAAUUUAUUGCCUAGCAUUGUUCAUGCGUCCUCCACCAUCGAGUCUGGAGCCCCGCGAAUUGAUUGCCUAGCGCUGUUCGCCUAUCCUCCACCCUCAAAUCUUAUUCGGAGACCCAUGAAUUGAUUGCCUAGCGUUGUUCAUGCGUCCUCCACCAUCGAGUCUGGAGCCCCGCGAAUUGAUUGCCUAGAGCUGUUCGCCUAUCCUCCACCCUCAAAUCUUAUUCGGAGACCCAUGAAUUGAUUGCCUAGCGCUGUUCAUGCGUCCUCCACCAUCGAGUCUGGAGCCCCGCGAACUGAUUGCCUAGCGCUAUUCGCCUAUCCUCCACCCUCAAAUCUUAUUCGGAGACCCAUGAAUUGAUUUCCUAGUACAGUUCAUGCGUCCUCCACCAUCGAGUCUGGAGUCCCGCGAAUUGAUUGCCUAGCGUUGUUCGCCUGUCCUCCACCCUCAAAUCUUAUUCGGAGACCCAUGAAUUGAUUGCCUAGCGCUGUUCAUGCGUCCUCCACCAUCGAGUCUGGAGCCCCGCGAAUUGAUUGCCUAGCGCUAUUCGCCUAUCCUCCACCCUCAAAUCUUAUUCGGAGACCCGUGAAUUGAUUUCCUAGUACAGUUCAUGCGUCCUCCACCAUCGAGUCUGGAGUCCCGCGAAUUGAUUGCCUAGCGCUGUUCGCCUAUCCUCCACCCUCAAAUCUUAUUCGGAGACCCAUGAAUUAAUUGCCUAGCACUAUUCAUGCGUCCUCCACCAUCGAGUCUAGAGCCCCGCGAAUUGAUUGCCUAGCGCUGUUCGCCUAUACUCCACCCUCAAAUCUUAUUCGGAGACCCAUGAAUUGAUUGCCUAGCACUGUUCAUGCGUCCUCCACCAUUGAGUUUGGAGCCCCGCGAAUUCAUUUCCUAGUGCUGUUCGCCUAUCCUCCACCCUCAAAUCUUAUUCGGAGACCCGUGAAUUGAUUGCCUAGCGCUGUUCAUGCGUCCUCCACCAUCGAUUCUGGAGCCCCGCGAAUUGAUUGCCUAGCGCUGUUCGCCUAUCCUCCACCCUCAAAUCUUAUUCGGAGACCUAUGAAUUGAUUGCCUAGUGUUGUUCAUGUGUCCUCCACCAUCGAGUCUAGAGCCCCGCGAAUUGAAUGCCUAGCGCUGUUCGCCUAUCCUCCACCCUCAAAUCCUAUUCGGAGCCCCGCGAAUUGAUUGCCUAGCGCUGUUCGCCUAUCCUCCACCCUCAAAUCCUAUUCGGAGACCCAUGAACUGACUGCCUAGCACUGUUCGCCUAUCCUCCACCCUCAAAUCCUAUUCCGUUAUCAAGCGCGGAACCUUCGGUGAUUGGGAAAUAUGGUUUUUUUUAAUUAUUUUCCCAAUUGGUUCGUUCGCCAAACAUGUGUAUAUGUGUAUAUUAUGUUAUUGGUGUUUUUUGUUUGUGUUUUGUUUUGUGUUGUGCAGAGAAAAAGGAAGAGAGACGGGAAUCGUCAUAGACUAAUCACGGAAAAGGCGAAGACGGACGAAAUCAGUGUUUUAUCUUUGCUUUCCUCUUAUCUCCGAUAAAAGGUAAGUAAAGAGGGACAACUGUCAUACCCUAAUUUCGUCCGGGGACUAUUGUUUGAUGGCAUGCAACCUUUGGUUGACCGCUUCGAGGUACUUGGCACCCUUUGUUGCACAAUACGUGAAGUUCUAAGACAUGCUGGAAAUCAAAAGGAAGCAUUGUUACGCAAUCCGUGAAAUUCCGUAAUGUGCCGGAAAUCAAAAGGAAGUGUUGUUGCUCAAUCCAUGAGUUUCCGUAACAUUCCGAAAGCUAAAAACGGAGUAAUUGCAUGAUCUGUAAGGUUUUGUAACCUUACGGAAAGAAAAAAAGUGUCGUUACGAAAUUCGUAAAGUUUCAUAACGUUACGGAAAAAGAAUCACCAAAAAAAGCAAAGGGGGUGUAUUAGUAAAAAAAAGGGUGCAAAUAGCAACCAGGCCCACUUGGGCCUUCCAGAUUGUUCCUCUAGAAGGCGGUUGCUUCUGGAGGAAGAAACCUGGCUCGCCUGGGCGAGCUGGGUGGCAAGCUCCUCCCCUAUUUUCCUAUAAAUAGAGGGAGGAGUGAAGAAGGAAAGGGUUAAGCCUUCUUGGCAUUUCGUAAUCACUUAAAAUUAGUGAGGAAAAUUGUUUCCGUGAAGAAAAUCCAAGCCGAGGUGCUUCCGUAACAUUUUCGUGGGUGAUUUCGCGAAGAUUUUCAACCGUUCUUCGUCGUUCUUCGGUCUUCAACUAGUAAGUUCCCGAAAUCAAACUUUUCAAUUCAAUCUAUGUACCCAUGGUGGUCCCCAUUUGUUUCGUGUACUUUUAUUCUCGUUUCAUUUACUUUCCGUACCCCCUUUAGACGUGCUUCAGUCAUUUACUUAAGUCAUUUUCUCGCCUAAUCAAAAAAUAAAAUAAAUUUCCACUGAUCAUUUGAUUAGUAAUAUCUGUUAAUUUCUGUUAAAAUGAAAUCCGACCGUUCGGUCAUGCCGUAACCACGUUGGAAACCAAAAAGAGGUAAAAUAAUAAUAUAAUAAUAAAAAAUAUCUUUUAGUAAAAUAAACCAAAAAAAAAAAAUCAAUCGGACGUUUCUCUUUGGGAUUUCUCUUUCUUAAUUGAAUUGACUAAUAACUAAAGUGAAACUAAGGCUAAAAUCAACUCGAAAAGUCAAGCUCGUCCGCAAAAAAUCACUAAAAAGGAUUUUAAGGUUCAAUACCUCAGUUUUUCUCAGCAAGUAAAAAUGGGUCAUUUUAAGGUCCAACGCCUUAAAAGGACCUCCUUCUAAGUAAAAAGAAUCGCUUGAUUCACGCUUUAGAAAGAACUACGUGGAUCUGAUUUCCUCUUCGAUGGAGGGUACAUAGGAGCAAGAGCCCCGCUUUUGUCGACUUGAAAAAUAAAAAAGAAAUAAAAGUUUAAGUACACAAUUUCACACAAUUCUAAAAUUAAGGUUGUUGUCCUUUGGGACAAACGUGAGAGGUGCUAAUACCUUUCUCAAACGUAAAUACAACUCUCGAAUCUGGAAUAUUCUUCAUGACCGGUUUCCUUCGGUUUUUUCGACGUUUUCCACAAAUAAACGUUGGUGGCGACUCCGCGCAUUUUCCUCCUUCGGAAGAUACACCCAUGAGCUUCGCCUCGCUCGCCCGCAAAGGGUAGGUUGCGACAUAUGCUUUUAUGUAUUUUCCCUUUUUUAUGUUUUUUUCUUUUUAUGGGUCUUUUGUAUUUUUUUAUCUUUUUGUGGUCGACAAAGGUGUUUCCCUCACUCCUACGUAUCCUCAAUUGCGAUGAGGAAAUCAGGCCUACGUAGUUUUUUCAGAACUAAACGUUGGUUAAUUUGUUUUUAUCCUAUUUUCGCAAGAUUGAUUUUAACUGAACAUAAGUCGUUUAAGGCAUUGGAAUAUUAAACUAUCUUUUAUUUUUUUUUAAAGGAGAGAAACGUUAAGGCAUCGGAAGCGUUAUGGAAGUACCUCGGCUUGGAUUUUCUUCACGGAAACACGUUUUUUCACCCAAAACACCUUAAAUGCAUAGCAUAGGGAUCAUGGACCCUUUGGAACAGCCCCCCUUAGCCUAUUUAUAGAAAAAGGGGGUGGUGCUUGCCGCCCAGCUUGCCCAGGCGAGCAGGUGGCUUCCUCAGGACGCUUUCUGAGGCACCCCCCUUUUUACUAAGUUCACCCCCUUUUUUCGUAAUUUAUGGAAAAGUUAUGGAAGCAUAUCGGACUUGAUUUUCUACUUUUUUCUCUUCCUUCUAACCCAUCUUAAGUGAAAUAUGCUUAUUCAAGGUUACGGGAAUUUUACGGAAGCCUCGGAAACCAUUUUUCAACAAAACGAGGGAGGAGGUUGCCGCCUAGGUGACCUAGGUUGCUUCUUCCUUAAGCAACCCAGCUUCCAAAAUGUUUUGGCGUAGAUUCAAAAAUUUCUAUUUACACCCCUAUCUUGAUAAGUUCACCUCCCGUUUUUGUGUUUUUUGGCUGUUUUCCUUCCAAAUCCUCACGGAACUUUAUGGAUUCCACAGAGAUGGAUGUUAAGCCUUCUGAAGCGAUCAAAAACGGUCCCCGAAUGAAAUUAGGGUGUAACAAUCUAUUUACACACACCCCACUUUGCUAAAUAUACUCCCAUUUUCGUGUUUUUGGCCGGUUCUCUCCGAAACAUCCUGAAACUUUAUGGAUUCCACGGUGAUGGAUGUUAAACAUUUUGAAGUGGUCAUACGAAGGUCGCAUGCCGACAAACAAUGGUCCCCGGACGAAAUUAGGGUAUGACAACUAGUAUACUAGUGUAGACACCCACUAACAGUUUGAAGGGGAUUUUUCUUCAUUAUUCAAGAAAAUGCUUGUCUAUGCUUGACAAAAAAAUUACAAUUUGAAAUACUUUUGGGGGUUAAAUUAAAAAUCUGAUCCCUAAAUUUGAUGCUACUUUUCAUUUUUGUUCCUAUAUGGAAAAACAUUUUAUUUCUACAUGAAAAGUCGAUUACAAAUUGUUUCAUCGUUUGCCAACGUUAUAAAGCUAUUAGAUUUAGUCCUUUUGCUUGCUAAUAUUUUUUUAUUUUGUCCCUACACGAAACAGAUAUAUACUUUGUUUUGAUCCUUGCAAGAUAGAGAGAGAUUUCAUCCACACACUUGUUGUUAAAUCUAAGUAUUUGGUAAAUUUCCCAUCGUGUUAUUUAUUGUUUUUGUAAUUCUACUGAUAUACUUGAUCAUAUCAUUAAUCAUAAUAUUUUAUUAAUUUGGUUGCAGCUUGCAGCAAAGUUCCGUAACUGUGGACAAACAUGUGUUUGUGCAAAUAGAAUUAUUGUGCAAGAAGGUUAGAUGAAAAUGAUAGUAAAAUAUCAAUUUUACCAUUACAUUGCAUUUAUCUGAUUUGCCAUCUCUUAAAAACUUUUCAUUUGAAUAUAACAUGUUUAUGGUUCUGAAUUUAUGAAUACUUUUAGGAGAAUUUGAUACUUUGUUGUUUUCUAAUAGCUCCUUCUCCUAAAUGGUAUGAGUUUCCGGAAUGUGUUACAGUCACACAGUAGUUGUUUCAUGAAAAGUGCUCUUGUAUUAGCAUUAUUGAUAUAAUCAAGAUGACAUUGUGAAUCUUUGCAGAAUGCUUACAUAGCCUUUUGUAACCUUGUCAUUAUAUUAUAUGGAAUUUGUAGUGUUUUGAAAAAUAAAAAAAUUUCAGAAUUGAAAACAGAACACAAGAUAACGAAUAAAGGGCAUUACAAUGACAUUCUUAUGAGAUUUUUCCUCCGAAGUGUUUGUGUCCUAUUGAUUGUUUGGCUGUUUGAAGUUCACACCAAUGUGAAAAUGUGCAUUUAGAUACAUUAUUUGUUUAAUAUUUAUUGUUUUUUUAACCAAGUUUCUUUGUGAAGAUAUAUGUGAGAAGUUUGCAAAUGCUUUACGUGAUGUUGUUCAUAAUAUGAAAGUCGGGGAUGGUUUUAGUGAAGGUGUGUCACAGGUAGUUAUUGGUCUUUCUAUUUAAAAUAAUUUAUAUUAGUUUCUGUUUUUCUAUUGAACCAACUGCCUGUGGAUAUUGCCUAUCUUGCAUCUCUGUUUUUCCAUGGUAAUAUUCAUUCAUAUGGACUUCAGGUACUUUCUGAUAAAUAUUUCCUUUCCAAUAUUCCCGUUAUAAUAUGUUUUUGAGUGUCAUUACUCUGUAGAGUCCUCUCCUAAAUUGAUAGAAAAUGAGUCAUGGUGUAACUCAUUUCAUAUCCAUCUCUAAACAGGGUCCUCUAAUAAAUGAAGUUGUUGUAAAAAAGGUUUGUGUUUCUCUUAGUAUUUCAUUUUCUUUUUGCAUUGUUUUGAAAAAGUGGAGACCAAACAUCAGAGAGAGGAUGUCAAGAGUUUGAAUGGGAGAGUGGGGAGUUACAAAUGAAGCAGCUGAAGAAUAAAUUUGGUAAUAAAAUGUGUAAACCAAAAAGGGUGUAUUGCCUUUAUAAUUUUUAUAGAUUAUAGAUGAGGCUAAUAUCUACAAAAUACAAACUGCGAUUGAGUUUGGUAGAAACACAAUUGUGCAGAACUAUUGAAUCUUUUCACUGCACUAUCAUUAUAUCUUCUGUAAAGCUAGUCUUCACCUCUCUUUGGUGAUAUGAGGAUUCAAACCAAUGUAGUUUAUAUAGUUUACAGUGUUGUGUUGCAUACUUCCUAUAUUCUAUAUGUGUAGAAAUUAUGAUAUGGUUUAUUUCACUUUGCCUUGUUAUCAUCAAAUGGAAUUUUGUUGUUAAUUUUUGCUUGCUGGACUUUUUUUUUGUUAAUUCACCUAAAUGAUUUGGCUUAAACUAGAGAGGAAGCAUUUGGACUUGUUGCACCCCUUUUGUGAUUCAAAACUAAAGAGGAAGCUAUCAGAAUUGCUAACGACACUAACACAGGUCGUUCGUUUGGUUCUUCUUUAUACAGCCUUGAAGAAUGGUUUUUGCUCUCCCUCCCCCUCCUAUACAGCCUAGGUUAAUAGUUUUGUCAUAUUUGGUCACUCUUGGUUUAAUGCUGUGAAACUUUGGAACAUGGAAUUGCUUGUACAUAUGAAGGUUUGGGUUCAUAUGUAUUUACAAACAGUAUCCAACGAUCGUGGCGUGUUGCUGAGGCUCUUGAAUAUGGACUAGUGGGUGUUAAUGAAGGAGUAAUUUCAACUGAGGUGCAUCUCAUUCCUUAUUAAGUGAUAUCAAGUAACAAUGGAAUUUUUGUUGAUGCAUUUAUCUACGUGCAUGUGUUGAUGUAGGUGGCUCCAUUUGGUGGUUUUAAAUAGUCUGGCCUCAGAAGAGAAGACUCCAAAUAUGGGAUGGAUGAAUAUUUAGAGGUAAGGACAAAUCUAAAGUAUUCAUUUAUGUAAUUUUCCUGUUACUUAAUAAAAGACUGCUUCAUAAUCCAUAAGCAUAGCCAUUGAUUAUACUUGUGCAACUUUUGUCCUUUGAAGUUUGUAAAACUGAGUUUGGUUAUGGUUUGAAGAAUCUAGAAAAGAUGGCAUAUUUGUGUAGAAUUAUGUGUGGUGGGUAGUUAGGGGAUUGUGUUGAAUUGUUAAUAGCACUUUUAGAUGUUUUGGGUCAGUGGGAAUGGGCUGAUACCCGGUAUACAAAAUAAUGUUAUUCUUCAUUGGGUCUAAGAUGUUUACCAAAUAAAGUUUUCACAGUAAGAUGAUUCAGCUAUUUCGUAUAUAUACUAAUAGAAACCUCCACAUACCUUCCAAAUAAAAAAUAAAUAAAUUUAUAGCAUGAACGUGUUAAGCUCUCUAUAUAUCUGAGAUAAAAAACUCAAUUAAAAUAUAUCAUGAAGAUAAGUAACUUAACUGGAUACAACACUGGUUGUUGGAUUUGUCAACAACAAUUUUUCAACUCUUUUAAACAACAUUUUUUUAUCCAUUUUUGUUAGUGAAUGUCAGUUCCAUCCUUUAACAUUUGUAUUAAUUUUCCAUUAAUUAUCAGGCAUGUUCUAGCAUGAAAGUUUCAUUGUUUCAUUGAUUAUUGGUUUCUCUUCACAACUUACACCAAACUUAUAGCAUGACACUCAGUGAAAAUGAACAGAAGAUGAUUUUGUGGGGAGAAUUUCAGGGAAACCACUCACACAAGAUGAUUAUUGUAGGUAAGCAUAAGUUAAUGACUUUUACCUACAGUUGGAGGUUGUAGGUACAAGUUAAUGUUUUGACCUACAGUUAGAGAUUAUAGAAAUAAGUUAAUGGUUUUUACCUACACAUAUUGUGAAUUGUAUGAAUGAUAUAUAGCGACAAUCAAAUGUAAUUGUAGGUGAAAGUAAAUCCGUAGGUAAAACCUCCACUAACAGACUAUAAUCCAUCACUGUAUGUCCCCUCAAAGUUGACGAUCAAAAUAUCCGUAGAACAAAGUCUUUAUUACAUUUACCUACGUAUUUUUAACAUCUAGUGAUGAUUUUUGUCCGUAGGCAAAAGUCAUUUUUCUUGUAGUGAGAAAAAGUUUAACAAAUUAUAGAGAUAUAUAAAGGGUAUAUUAAUUAGGAAGUUACACGUAAUAUAUUUUAUGAAAUUUAAAGUAUUAAUUAGAUUUUUUAAUACCAAUGCCAAAACCUUAAAUAUCAUAUUAAAAAGGACUUGAUGGAGUACAUUGCUUUAUAUUUUGUAUUUUUUUCCUCUCAGAAAAGAAAAAACUAUCUUGAUUUUUUUUUAGCUUUUAAAAAUAAAAAGUUAACAAAUAUAACGUUCAAAUGUUAUUAUUGAUUUUGCAUAGGCAUUUCUCUGUAAUAUUGCAAUAGCACAUUCUACAGAGGAAUAUUAAAAGCCCUGCAAUUCCUUCUUACAUCACCUUCGUUUCCAUCCAAAACACCAAUGCUCCCCAACUUUAUCAUGGCAUUUGCAAAUCUCUCUUGAAAUGUACCAUCAUUUGCCGCAAAAUCCUCCACAAUGUCCCUUGACAAUGAGUCGAAAGCCAAUUGCUGAUCAAGGUGAAGUACCCCUCUCCUAAGCCUCAUUUGGUUGUAAAAUUGAUUGUCAAAUAAAAAAGAAGAGUUUUGAUCCAAAAACACACGAGGGUCACUCAAUGAUGGCCUAUUGGACUCACAAAUUUGCACCAGCUUUGCAUCCAAUUCAGGAUCCAUUGUAGGAUCAACUCUUCCUUGAACACUUGAAAGCCUCUCUUGAAACACACUACAGUGAGCAAAACCAACGGUGUGUCCUCCCAAAAGGGUCACCAUGUCCUCUAGUGUCAACCCUCUUGCGGUGAAAAACUGAAGAGCACCUUGUACAGACAAUGAUGGUGCUGGAAGGAUUACUAAGGAAGGAUCGGCUAAUAGACCAUCUUUUCUUCCCGUGGGGAUGCUGUACCUUAUCCCUCCUGCCAGUGCCACUGCAUCUCUUGUGGCAAGUGCUAUGAUAUCUGCGCAUGAAACAGUUAAAGGGCACGCUUGUUCUAAGAUUGCUUUUGCUUCAUCAAUGAUCUCAAAUCCACGAACAGUUUGGUUUGGCCCUGCAAUCUUCUCUGAUGUUCUAGUGCUUGUUGGAUCUAUUAGUAUUGAGGCAUCACAACCCUGAAACCAAAAUGCUAAAAAAUAUUAAUUAUAUAUAACAUCAUAAUUUCGACAAUCGAUCUGCAUGAAACAUGGUAAUUGUGGCAUUAUCAGUCACAUUUAUACAUAAUUUUUUAAAAGAAAUUAACUUAAAACAUCAUAAUUAACUUAAAUUAUCAGUCACCAGUUUAAUUUAUUAAAUAGGGUGUGGGCGUGUUGUAAACUCCCUCACACGGGUAUUUAGUUCCUACGUAUUAACAAAGUCACAAUUUAUCCACUUUUAUGGUUUUAAAAAGUUAUUUGUGACCACAACAUCAUAAUUUUUUUAAUACUAUUAAUGAUGACAAUAAAUUAAGCUGUAACUACAAUUUAAAACCGUACGUAACAACAUGGCAUAGAUAGCAUUAAUCAGAUAGAAAUUAAUUAACUUAAAUAACCUCAUCUAUAUAUUGAAAGAAAAUGAGUGUGUAAAUACGAACUAAUUAACACGUUUUUCAACGAGUAUAUAUAGUUUUGGUCUUACUCUAACAAAGCAAUCGUGAAAGUGCAUGCGAAGAAGGGCUGCGACAAUGGAUUUAUCCUGGCUGAAACGCCUUUGCACAACUUCACCUACAAUUGUCUCUGCUCUUGGACAUGUUGCGGUAUAGAAUCCAACGCGCAGGUUAGCAAAUGUGAACGGAAGGGCAAAGAUGAAGAAGAUUAAGAUGGUAGUGAGCUUCAUUUUGGGUAUUGCACUGCCUUGAGUCUCUUGCAAAUGCCAUUUAUUUCAUUAUAAAUAACAUUGUUUUGGUGAUAAAACUUUAUGGGCCAUGCUAUUAAAUACUUCUUUCUUUUUCUUCUUCUUCUUUUUUUUUUUAAUCAAAAACGUUUCAUAUUAAAAGAGAUGAUGCAUGCAAUUAGUUGUUGUUUUUGGCAGGAUGCUAGAAGGGUCGGUUGCUUAAAUAUUUUCCUUUUUCCACAUAACAACGAUAUUGAAUACUAUGAUAGUGAGAAUUAGCUACAUUUAUGUCCACUUUAGUUGUAGUUGAUGGAUUCAUAAAUCCUAGGCUGAAUUUUUUUAUAACUGUUUAAAUGUUAAACUUUAAUAAAUAAUAAUUUUUUAAAAAUUACUAUUUUUACAUAUAAAAUUAAAAUUAACUAAUAAACAUAUAAUUAGUUUUAUACAAAUUAAAUUUUCACUGAUUAUCACUUUAAUCAUUACAAUAAAAUAACAAAUCCAACUAAUUUUACAUAAUUUUAUACUAAUUAACAUUAACCAUUAUUAUAAUAACAACAUAUAAAAUACAUGUCAUAUGAUAUUGAGAAAAAAGUUAGUUCAUAGAUUUAUUUUUGAGUAAGGGAACUACACGAUCUUCCGUCCUUAUUUUUAAGAUGAAGUUUUGAAAAAAAAUAUUUCUUUUUAUAAGACUUGAUUUCUCUCUCUUAUGGAGAUGGAAUAAGAUAGAUAGACUUCCAAUAACAUUAAGGACAAAUUUGGAAAGACAAAUGCUAAUUAGUGUUCUUUUGGCAUUGCUUUAAUAAUUAAAAAAAAAGUAUUUUUAUUGAGAUGUGUAAAAUGUUAUAUGUGUAAAUAGUUAGCAACACUCAUUGAAAAUAUAUAAUUACAAACAAGUUUAAUGUUAAUAAUUAAGUUUAACUAAUUUUUUUAAUAAGCAUAAAUUAGUCAAUAAUAUUUGAUAAAUAAAAGUGAAGAGGGUAUUUGUUUUUUUAAAGAGGGGGUGAGAGGAAUUUUAAUAAAUGGGAAGGGAGGUAGUAAUUUUCUUAUUUAUUACAUAAUGGAAGGAAAGAUUUUAAAAAAUUAUUCUUCCUUUAUAUCCUUGUAAUUUUAAUUUGAAAACAUUAGUAUUUUUUAGUAAGCAUAUUUUAGUCAUCAAUUACCUACUAUUAUUAUUAUUAUUAUUAUUAUUAUUAUUAUUAUUAUUAUCUAUACUAAGUCUUAUAAAUGAGAUGUAUAUGGAAAAGGCUAUUAUGCCCAUGCUCUAGUUGUUGACAUGUGUUCAAUUUAUUGGUUUUUUGGGCAUUUUUGUAUCACACUUCCAGAUCUGUUGGUUGCUCCACGUAUUAUUGCACGCGUCUUUUUUUUUCUUAAAUUGCUUACAGGUGUCAUGUGUUGCUGUAUUGCCCGUCCAUUCUUCACCAACUGCGUUUCCUUUCUUUCUUCUUCGUUGCGUUUUGCUUUCUUUCUUCUUUGUUGCCUUUGUUUCUUCUUCAUUUUGCUUUCUCCGUUUCUUUCCUUUCUUUUUUUUUUGGUGUUUUUCAUGUCAGGUCUGGGUUUUGUUUUCUUUAUGCUUAAAUACUUAAAGUUUGUUUUUUUUACUACCCUUUGGUUUUUCCCCUUUGUGAAUCUUGAGACUUUGUGCAUGGGUAUGUAUGGACUCUGGGUAAUUUUAGUGUGUGACAGGUUUAAAUUUUUUGUUGUUGUGGUUUUUGCUUUAGGGUUUUCAAUUUGAUUUGGGUUUUGGAUUAUGUGUAUUUGGCAGUGGAAUUUUGCAAUUUGGAUUAAUGGGUUUCGACAUUUGCAUUGUGAAUGGUUCGUGCACUCACGAAUGGAGAAAGGGGUGGCCUCUGCGAUCUGGUGGAUUCGCUCAACUAUGCUGCAAGUGUGGGUAAAUUUGAAUCCUUUUCUCAUACUAUGAUACUAUAGCUACACUUCCCACUGUGUCUUAGGGUCUGUGACACACAGACUCACUUCAAGUUCCCAGCUUUUGCCAUUUUUUUCCACUCUCCUUUUUUGCAUGUCGAUUUUUUUUCCUCCAUUAAUUGGAUUUAACCCCUUUGUAUUUUUUUAAUGGAUUUUGGAUUUAAUAAUAACUUCUUUAUUUUUCAAUUUGAAAAACUGUUGGUUUGUAUGUGCUUGAUCUUGAUUAUAUAGUUUCUUUUCAAUAAAUAAAUAAAUUUUCAAUUUUGGGUGUGGAGUGUUUUGACUAACUGACGCAAUGCUCUUUUUUUUCUUUUUGCUUGCAUGUGCUUGGCCUGUUUUAAUAGAUGAUUUUGUUAAGCAUAUGCACAGGUUUGAUUUCUUUAUGGCCAAACAAAGCAUCUUAAAUUUUUAGGCAAUUUUGCAAUAAGCCAGUUUUAGGCAUUGUUUUGUGAUUAAUUUUAUAUGUAUUGGAUUAUAUUGUCCAGCAGGAUGCAAGGAUCGUAUUAUGAUUAAUUUUAGGCAAUUUUGCAAUAAGCCAGUUUGGUACAUUGUCCUGCAGGAUGCAAGGAUUGUAUUAUGAUAAUUCCAACUUCCAUUGUAACUGUGAUGAUCCAGGAUCUCACCCACGGAUCUUUCAUUCACGUUGUUCAGUAAUUUUUUUAAAUGUUUCCUUGCAAGACAUCAUUGAAAUACCAUCGUCUUGCCAUCAGUAGUGCGCAUAGAAAUUAUUGUGCGUCAAAUAACAUCAAAAGUCUUGAUUUCCGAAGAUGGAAUGUGUAAUGUUUUAUUGUCCAGUGAACUAAUUGGAUUGUUGUGAGCCGAACGAGUAGGGCGUUCCUUUCCAUUCAUUCCGUUAUGGAUCAGUCGUGGUUUCACAAGUUCUACCAAUGGUAUAGACGAACCCAUUGCUUCAUAGAAAUGCGUAAUGUUAGUAACAUUGAUUUACUUAAAACUUCCUAGGAUGUUUCCGGAGGAUUUGUUGUUUUAUUAUUUUAUUAUCUUUAUUUUUCCACUAUAUUAGGUCUGAAAAACUUUGGCUUUAUUCAAAAAAUUGCUAAUCAUCUUUUAAUGAAUAUUUUUAAGUCAUACUGCAGCUAUGAUUUUGUGUUCCUUUUAGUGUGUAUUUGGUUCAAAUUGUCUCAAUGUCUCCAAAAAAUUUACCGUGAUUUUUCUUAUUAAUAUAAUCUUUUAAAUUUUAGGCUAAUUAAAUUUCUUUUGCUCAUCAUUUUGUUGUUUCAUUUAAAGUAACAACUAUAAUAAUAUUUUGUCUGACAAACGAAUUGAAUGGUCAUUAAGGAUAAAAUAAAUCAAGUUUGUUACUAAAUUUCAUAAUUCCUACAGUACUCAAGAGUUUUGUAGACUAACUUGAUAAUUGAUAUUAUAUUAUCUUUGUCAUAUGCAGGGUAAGUCAACAGAGAAGCAAUGUCCCAUUGUAAUGAGUGUUAGUAUCAGAUUCUUGCCUUAUCCAUGACCAAUGAUUAUUCUUUUCAAAUUUUGUUAAGCUCAAUCAAAAUGGACUGAAGAACACUGCAUGUGCAGUCAUUUGGAGUUCAUUGUUUGUUGGUACUUGGUGGCACUUAAAAAAAUCAAUUUGUUUAAAAUAUAUUUUGUUGGUAUCUAAGAGCACAAUUGAACUUGAUCCAGUCAAUGCUUGUGAUUCAAAUUUGAUCCACACUUGAUAUAAAGAAUUCUACAAAUUUUGUGAGCGUUAUUUUGCUUUGUAUUUAAAAACCCUGUUCAAAAGAAGUGUAUAUAACAAUGUUUAAAACACACAUUUUGUAACCUGUCCAAAUUUUGUGAGCGUUAUUUUGCUUUGUAUUUACUGGGAUCCGUUUUCAAUUGUCUUUACAAUGAGUUAUGAACCUUUUUCAUGUUAAUGUAAACAAAACAAGUCUGAAAGCUUCUCUAAAUUUAUAUUGCAAAACAGAGUAUCUAGACAUAGUUGUACUCAAAUAUAUUAUGUAGCUAUCCUUAAUGUUUUGUGUAAUAUAUUUUCUGUUUCUCCUCUGGCAGCUUAAACGAUGGGAGCGGAAGGAGUGUAAACCAAACAGUCUUCCUAUCUUGCACAAAAUGCAGGAGAUGCGGUUUAAGUCAUAUUUGGACGAGAAAGGGGUAAAGUUGGGGAGAUUACUGAAAUCUUCAAGCAUGACAACAGUGUUAUAGUGAAAGAUUUAAAUUUGAAGACAAAGCAUGUCAAGAGUAGAGAAGAGGGUGAACCGGGGCAAAUUAUUAAGGUUGUCUUCAUUUCCCUUGCUUCAUUGUUAUAGUUAUAAAGUCUUUUUUCCACUUUUGCAUGCUCUUCAAGAAAUGAAAGUAAGCUAAACAAACAUCACAAUUUCCCAAAAUGAUGUCCUUUUCUUUGUGGAGUUGUUUGUGCUGCUACCACACACAAAGGUCAUUUCAACAACUAUAGUAAUUCCAUUUUUCUGCGGUGCAGUUGUCAUCCCAAGGACCAACACAUGAUGAGAUUCAUUUUGAGUUUUUGCGAAACCUAAGUGGGGACCCUUAUAUUCUGCGCACAAACAUCUUCACCCAAGGCAAAGGUAACAGGGAGCAACAGUUCUAUCUCUGGUUCGACCCCACCAGAAACUUCCACACUUAUUCUAUCAUUUCGAAGCCCCAGCACAUCAUGUAAGUGAUAAUAAACAAAUAUUCAAAAUACAAAUUUUUGUUUAUUAGUAAAUAGUCUAUCAACUAAUAUUGCAGAGUUCACUUUUCAUUGCUUAAUUUGCUUUCUAGAUUAUAAUAUAUCUCAUAUUUAUUGCUACUGGAUGAUACAUAAAUUAAAUAAAAGGAUGCAGACCUACGUUUUGGAAAAUAUUAAAAUAAAGAAGCACGGAUCUACGGAAGAUUUCUUGAGCCUUCCUUACAUUUGCACAUUGCUUAAUUGCUCCUUAUGGACUUACUAUGGAAUCAUAAAGGCUAGAGAGUACCUCGUGGCUACUGUCAAUGGCUUUGGCAUUGUGGUGGAGACAAUCUAUGUUAUUCUAUUUCUCAUAUAUGCUCCAAAAGGGAUAAGGGUAUGUAGUAUAUAUUUCAUUUUUUUAAAGAACAAAUGUUAAUUAUUAAUAUUCUUAGUUUUAUUAGGAGAGAAAAUCAAAUUUAUUUUUUCUCUCCUCUUUUUUCUUAACCAUCCAACUUACCUUAUAUGUACUAUAUUAAUGAAUUAAUUAUAUUAUAACUAUAUAAGCCAGUUUCUAAUUAAUUCACCUUACAAAAUCCCGUUUAUUGUUAAGUGGUGAUAGAUUAAUUUGAAUAUGAUUUCAGGGUAGGACUGCCAUUUUGGCUGUGAUUUUGGAUGUGGCAAUUUCGGCAGAAGCAGUAGCUACUACUCAAUUAGCAUUGCAAGGAGAAGCUCGUGGUGGUGCUGUUGGUGUUAUGGGAGCAGGCUUAAACAUUGUUAUAUAUUUCUCACCUCUCUGUCAUGGUAAGUUGCACUAAAUCUUAGCUUGCUAUCAUUAAUUUCCAAAGCUCCAUUAUAUCUCACUAUAUAAUAUUUGGAAAAUGUUUAUCAGUACGAAUUCGUUCUGGCACGAAAUGCUUUACCACCUCUCACCACCAUUAAUUUGUGUCAAAGGAUUUGAUUACAAAAUUGUUCAUCUAAACUCGACCAAUCACAUUUCAACUUUUAUUUUCUUAUAGUGUUCAUGCAUAAAACUUUCGUGCUACAUAGCAUUGCUGAUAAUAUUUAUAGAAUUGAAUUUAUAGAUAGAUAGUAAUUAAUAUCCAUAAGUUUACAUAGAUUUAAACUUAGAUAUAUAAUUUACCUCUUAUCUGACAUAUGGCAAUUUCCAAAAAUCUCAAAUAUCACUUUAUUGAUCACUCAUUCAUAGUCCUUCUCCAUAUAAGUAUUUAUGUUCUAGCAUCUCUGCAACUAAAUUGAUCAUUUCCCUGAGUAGUAAUUUUCUUUCUCUCAGAUAUAAUUUGGAAAGUGACAUACCCUAAUUUCGUCUAGGGACGAUUUUUUGAUGGCAUGCAACCUUUGCUUGACCGCUUCGAGGAACUUGACACCCAUCGUUAAGUAAUCCGUGAAGUUCCGUGACAUGUCGGGACUCGAAAGGAAACAUUAUUGCGCAAUCUGUAAAGUUCCGUAACAUUCCAGAAGCCGAAGAAGGGGUGGUUGCGUAAUCCGUAAAGUUUCGUGACAUUACAGAAAGAAAACAAGUAUCGUUAUGUAAUCCGUAAGGUUCCGUAACGUUACGGAAAAAGAAUCAGCAAAGAAGGGGGGUGAACUUAUCAAGAUAGGGGUGUAAAUAGCAAUUUGAAUCUAGGCCCUUCCGGAACAUUUUGGAAGUUGGGUUGCUUAAGGAGGAAGCAAUUGGGCGACAAGCUCCUCCACGUUUUUGAAAAAUGGUUCCUGGGGCUUCCCUGGCUUCUGUAAAAUUUCUGAAAACCUUGGGUAAGCAUAUUCCACUUAACAUUGGUGAAAGGGAAGAGAAAAAAAGAUGAAAGUUAAGUCAUAUAUGCUUCCGUAACUUUUCCGUAAUUUACGAAAGAAGGUGGGGUGAACUUAUCAAGAUAGGGGUGUAAAUAGCAAUUCGAGUCUAGGUUCUUCUGGAACAUUUUGGAAGUUGGGUUGCUUAAGGAGGAAGCAACUGUGCGGUAAGCUCCUCCACGUUUUUGAAAAAUGGUUUCCGGGGCUUCCGUUGCUUCCGUAAUGCUUCCGUAAAAUUUCUGAAAACCUUGGGUAAGCAUAUUCCACUUAACAUUAGUGAAAGGGAAGAGAAAAAAGAUGAAGAUCAAAUCUGUAACACUUUCGUAAGGCUUCCGUAACUUUUCCGUAAAAUACGAAAAGGGGGGUGAACUUAGUAAUUCGGGUGCGCUUAGAAAUCUUCUUCAUUAAGUCUCUGGGCGGCAAGCACUUCCCUUUUUUCCUAUAAAUAGGGGAAGGGGGAGCUGUUUCAAAAUGUUGAAGACCCCUUGACUAUGCAUUUCGGCUAUUUUGGGCAAAAAACACGUUUUCGUGAAGAAAAAUCGAGUCGAAGUGCUUCCGUAAUGCUUCCGUAAGCGAUUUUGUGGAAAUUCUUCAUCAUUCUUAGUCGUUCUUCACCGUUCUUCAUCCGUUCUUCGUUCGUUCUUCGUUCUUCAAUGGGUAAGUUUUCGAAUUCGAGACUUUCACUUCAUUUCUUGUUUUGUGUACUUUCACUUUAAUUUCAUUUACUUUCAGUUUUCUUUUCUUCUGUUUUUAACGUGCUUUAGUCAUUUUCUCGCCUAAUCGAAAAAUAAAAUAAUUUUUCACCGAUCAUUUGAAUUGUAACAUCCGUUAAUUUCUGUUAAAAUGAAAUCCGACCGUUCGGUCAUGUCGUAACCACGUUGGAAACCAAAAGAGGUAAAAUAAUAAUAUAAUAAUCAAAAACAUUUUUUAGUAAAAUAAAUAAAAAAAAUCAAUCGGACGUGUUUCUUUGGGAUUUCUCUUUCUUAAAUUGAAUCGACUAAUAACCAAAGUGAAACUAAGACUAAAAUCAAUUCAUAAACCAAACUUUUGUCAUUGCCUAAAAAAGCCAUUUUCAAAGGUCCAACGCCUUGAAAUGGUCUUUUCCGCUUUUAUUGGUUAAGUGUAGAUUUCUAAAAAACCUAAAAUCAAUAUGUAACUUUGUUACCUCUUUCAAAAAUAAAGAAAUCAUUAAUGGUCCAAUGCCUUAAUGUUUUCUCACUUUUCAAAAGAAUCGAAAGAUUGUCUAAUGGUGCAACGCCUUAAAUGACCUUUCAUUCAAUAAAAACAUAUCUUGCAAAAAAGGAUAAAAAAAUAACUUAACCAAAACGCUUUGUUCACAAAAGAACUACGUAGGUCUGAUUUUCUCAUCACAAUUGAGGAAUACGUAGGAGCAAAGGGAAACACCCUUGUCGACCACAAAAGGAUAAAAAUAUAAAAAGGCAUAAAAAAGACAUAAGAACGUAAAAAGGGAAGAUAACAUAAAUUGAAGUCAUAUUUGCACAUUUGAUUAAAGGCUGCCGUCUCUUGUGACGGACGUGUGGGGUACUAAUACCUUCUUCGUGCGUAAAUACAACUCCCGAACCUUUCACUUAAAGUUCGUAGAUCACGUCUUUUCCGGUUUUUCCGACGUUUUCCUCAAAUAAACGUUGGUGGCGACUUCACGCGUAUUCCUUUCUUGGAAGAUGCACCCGGGAGCCUUCCCGUCGAAGGGUAGGUUGCGACAAUUGACGACUCCACUGGGGACUAUUUUUUGAGAGUUAGGCCAUUUAAUCUUGUGCAAUGUUUUAUCAUGACAUCCUCCUUUGUUGGUUUCCCUUUAUUUUCCUUAUGUUAUUGUGUAUAUAACUCUUUGAUGCUUUUAGUGUGUUUUAAAAGGUAUGCAUGAGGUAAAUAUUUUCAUUUGAUGCACACAAACACCAACACUAUUUGCACACACGGUGAUUUGAAAAAGGGCCCUAUACCCGGGUUCCUGGGAACAUAAGAAGUGGAGGUGAAUCUGUGAUCAUGCUAGGUCUCCGACUUGCUUGAUUACAGUGAACCCUCAUCUAGAGUUUUUCUCUUUGAUAACAUAUUGUUGCUAGUAGUCCCUACUGCUGCAAUAUGUUCUUUGAAGGGGAUGAUACCUCUAGAGACAAUCAAGAUAGAUAUGACCACCUUGGGAAAUAUCACUAAAGGCCUUUUUAGCUCCCUCCCUUGUAGGUCCCUAAAAUAGGGGCACGGAGUAAACACGCUACGUGCCAUUUUUCACACUGCCAUACAUAAGUGUCAUGUACCCUUUUGCUUGUAUUUGUUUGUGAACAUCCACAUGUUGUGCCUUUCGCAUAUGCAUCAUGCACGGGUUCUGUCUUGAUCCCCUCUCUUUGGCAAACCAACGAAGGGUCCGUCUCACCUUCUUAAAUACAUACGUCGGGCACCGUGCUACCCCGAGACGUUGUAUCUAAAAAGGAGACAAUUUCCUGGGCUCCCGCAUUCAUAAAUUGCAUUUGUGUCAUAUGCAUCUCUUCAUGCAUUCAUCCAUUUCACCCAUGAUAGAUGUCAGAGUUUUGAUUCGCACCGAUUUUGUUUUACUUUAGUAAAACAUGGGAUCAAGUCAAACACCUUUGCUUAAAAAGAGGUUCUAUCAAGUCAAGGUCAAGAGCCUAGGGACCACUAGUCUAAAGGAGUUAGGGUAGUUAAUGGGUCAGCUCCAGCGGCAAGAUUUUCGCAAAGCUUACGGUAAAAUCUGGGACCUAGCCAUGGUAGAAGUCUCCACCGAGUCCAUUGCCUCCCUCGCCCAGUAUUAUGAUCAGCCGUUGAGGUGCUUCACUUUUGGGCACUUCCAGCUAUCACCCAUGGUGGAAGAAUUCGAAGAAAUCCUAGGAUGUCCUCUAGGGGGAAGGAAACCAUACCUCUUCUCAGGGUUCUAUCCCUCAUUAGUUAGAAUUUCUAAAAUAGUUCAAAUCUCGGCGUAGGAAUUAGACCGCCAAAAGCAAGUCGAAAAAAGGGUGGUCGGGAUACAGAGAAAAUGUUUGGAGGCAAAAGCAAGAAUCUUGGCAGGUAGAAGCGAAUGGGCCCCGUUCAUACACGUUCUCGCACUGUUGAUCUUUGGAGGAGUCCUCUUUCUGAAUGCGGAUGGGUUGGUGGACCUGGCAGUGAUUGAUGCUUUUCUCGCCUAUCAUAACCACAAGGAAAGCCCGGUUGUCGCUAUGCUAGCCGACCUAUAUGACACCUUCGAAUGAAGAUGUGAGAAGAGCAGUACGAGGAUUGUCUGUUGUACUCCUGCUCUUUAUGUAUGGUUGGUUUCACACUUUUUUCGCCAGGAGGUAAGGCAUGUUUGCCCGUUAGAAGGUCACCGUUCAUGCACAGAGAAAGGAGGCGCAAAUUGGGACUAACUCUUAUCAAACAAAGAAAGAGCGUCUGUCAACUGGUUCCCUCGAUGGAAGGAAGGAAGAACCGGAGUUCUUAUUUCAUGCGGAGGAUUUCCAAAUGUUCCCUUGAUGGGGACGAGGGGUUGCAUCAGCUACAAUCCCGUUCUUGCUAUAAGACAACUUGGCUACCCUAUGAGAGGGGCACCACUAGAGGAUGAGCUCGCACCUGUCAUUUCACGAGGCUUCAAUAAGACCAACGUGGAGACACUUCAGAAGGUUCGCAAGGCAUGGGAGGUGUUGCAAAAGAAGGACAAGGAACUCAGGGGCAGUAACAAUGGGCUCAUCGGUGGCUAUCGUAAGUGGUUAAAAGCCCACGUGCAAGGUUUGGAUUGCCUCCCAAGUUUGAGAACCACUAAAAGAGAGGAAGUUGAGGCACUGAAGGAAGACGAAGAAGUGCAGGCCCUUAGGGCGGAACUCGAGCAAGCCCAAACAGUUAAAGAAAGGUUCAAAUCAGCAGCUCUGAAAAUCUGAAAAUAGAAUACCAGACUGAGAGAUGUAAAUGUGGCUACCACCAAAGCCUUGGAACGAGAAACCAAGAGGGCUCGUAGGGAAGAACACGGUCGGAACAAGUUCCGAGGGGCUCUGUGGGGCAGUAACAACGAGCUUAAGCUCCAGAGAGAGGAAAGGGACCAAUCGCGAGUAGACAAUUUGAUCUUGAAGGAUGAGUUGAAGGCUUGCUCGAGGUCCAAGAAAAGUUUGUCUCAGCGGUUAUGCAAGAUAGAGACCAACAUGUUAGCCAUCAUCAGCAAGUACCAAGAAGAACUAAAUCUAGCCACGGCCCACGAGCAUAGAGUGGCGGACGAGUAUGCCCAAGUGUACACGGAAAAGGAGGCUAGAGGAAGGGUGAUCGACUCGCUACAUCAAGAGGCAACGAUGUGGAUGGACCGAUUCGCUCUUACCUUGAAUGGGAGUCAAGAGCUUCCCCGAUUACUAGCCAAGGCUAAAGCGAUGGCAAACACGUAUGAUAGACUUAAUGACCCAUAUAAUUAGAAACCGCUAGGAAGUUUGUAUUGUCGCUCAAAUCUUGACUAGUUAUAAACUUUCUGAAUAAAAUGAGUUUAUCCCGCGUUUUUACUCCAGUGCGAAUCAAGUCACUCCCACAUUUUAUCUCUAGCAGGCAUUGUAUGUUGGUCUCGUCCUUUGUCACGGGAAGCCGGAAGGUCCAUAUCACCUUCUUAACUGUACACAUGGGGCACUACGCCCCCAAAUGCGCAAGUAAGAAGAGAUAAUCUUCCGGGCUCUCGUGUCCGUAAAUGCAUUCAUAUCAUGCGUCGUAUAAGCAUCUCUUCAUGGCAUCAUAAUGAACAUAUCAUUCCUGCAUUUGUCCGUUAUCAUAUUCCAGCCUCACAUUUUGCAUGAGUCAUUGCAUCAUCAUGCAUAUGUGUUCAAUAUACUUUUUGUUCUACAAACUGCAUACCUUUUGUUUUCAUGUUCGCUCAUGCAUGAUCCUUGCAUUUUCCUCUGCAAAACAAAAACAAAAUGGGGAAGCAUGAAAAUUCACGAUGCAUUCUUAGUUGCAUAUAUUCGGUACCAUGAGCCAACCAUGUUGGGAUCAUAAACCCGUUUCACUUAAAAACAAAAUGAUUGAACAUGGUACCUAAUGCAUGGUUAACAAGGAAAUGAUGUUUCUUCGGGCAUCUCAAUUUCAUAAUUACAUUUUCCAUGCAUAGCUUAAAGUAUGCCCGAGUCAUUCAUCCCUAUGAAAGGUUGUUGAAGUAUUGGUGAUCAGAAUUACCAUUCCUUGGAUUAUAGGAUUGAACUAAGCUCAUGCUUUUUCGAAAAAAGUUCAUCAAGUCAAGUUGAAGUAUGGAAGUAACCAUCUUGCAAAAAUUGGGGCAAAAGAUGAAUCGAGUUACAUCACUGCUUCGUCUACUGCCAAACACAUUUAGGAUUGUUGAUGUCCUUGUUACUUCCAGUUUCACCUUGACCAAGAUGUCAUGAACCAUGUUGAAAAAUCUAAAUUGAUUCAACCCCAUGUCCUGCGUAAAAAUUCACAAUACUUCAACUGUGCAUCAUUCGCAUACAUCCAUGCUUUUCAUUGGUUGCAUUGCUCAUUGCAUUCUUUCCUUGAAAAAAAAAUGAACUUAAUCAUUAUUAUCAAAAAGAAAAAAACACGCUUUACGACACCCUUACCGAACCUGUGCUAGAGCUAGAGUAAUGGGUGAAGUAGAAGAGGUGCAAGAGCAAAUGAAGGUCGACAUGGAGGCCUUGAAAGAGAAAAUGGCCACAAUUAUGGAAGCCAUGAUGAGCAUAAAGGAGAUAAUGGAGGUCAGUGAGGCUUACCGAACCCGUGCUAGAGCUAGAGUAAUGGGUGAAGUAAAAGAGGUGCAAGAGCAAAUGAAGGUCGACAUGGAGGCCUUGAAAGAGAAAAUGGCCACAAUGAUGGAGGCCAUGAUGAGCAUAAAGGAGAUAAUGGAGGUCAAUGCGGCUUACCGAACCCGUGCUAGAGCUAGAGUAAUGGGUGAAGUAGAGGAGGUGCAAGAGCAGAUGAAGGCCGACAUGAAGGCCAUGAAAGAGAAAAUCGCCACAAUGGUGGAGGCCAUGAUGAGCAUGAAGAAGAUAAUGGAAGCCAAUAUGGUUGCAGUUGCCGCUACCAGCGCUGUUGCUAAGGUGAACUCGAUGCCCCCAUCUGAUCUCAACCAAAUGAAUCAUCCAACCUCAGAUAUGGUGGGCAAAGAUUUGGGAAGUACGGACGGCCCCAUGAUGUGCAAAUUUAAAACAAGCACGCCUUCUCGCCAUAUGACUCGCCUCCCUAGGAGGAUGUCAAUAACUCCGCUCCCAUACUCAUUGAAAGCCAACAACCUCAAUCUGAUCAUGCACAUGUCUCUCAACCCAUGGGGGAGACACAUGGAAUGCCCCGCCACAAUCUAGCCAACUUCGAGCCUUGCCUCGAAUAUGCCAAUGAAGGGUAAGCAGUUGGUGAUAUACCCCUGCAAAACACUUUGGAGGGCCCUCAGUAUCACCCACAACCACACCCCUUGCAUUCCACAGCGGGUAAAAACCCUCAUGCUAUGGUAGAAACGGGAGAAGUUGGAUCAUCUAAGGGAAAGGCUCAAGGCCAUUGAAGGAGGCCAAGAUUAUGCCUUUGCUAACCUAGAAGAGUUGUUCCUAGUACCUAAUAUCAUCACCCCUCCCAAGUUCAAGGUGCCGGACUUUGACAAGUACAAGGGGACUACUUGCCCUAAGAACCAUCUAAAGAUGUGUUGCCGGAAGAUGGGGGCAUAUGCAAAAGAUGAGAAAUUGCUGAUACAUUUUUCCAAGAAAGUCUUACUGGGACAACUGUCACCUGGUAUACUAACUUAGGAACCUUCCUGAGUCCAUUCUUGGAAGGACCUAAUGGUUGCUUUCGUUAGGCAGUAUCAGUACAAUUCUGAUAUGACUACGGAUAAGAUGCAACUACAAAACAUGUGCAAAAAGGGGGCAUGAAUCUUUCAAAGAAUACACCCAAAGAUGGAGGGAUCUGGCAGCCCAAGUGGUUCCCUCAAUGACGGAGAAAGAAAUGAUCACAAUAAUAGUAGACACAUUACCAAUGCUUUACUAUGAAAAAUGGUGGGGUGCACACCUUCAAGAUUUGCUAAUUUAGUUUUCACUUACGAAAGGAUCAAAGUGGGUCUGAAAAGAGGCAAAUUUAAUCAUCCUGCUUGGACAAAUGGCAAAACUGGGGCAAAUGAAGAGGGUGAGGAUGACGGAGAAACCCAUGCUGUGACUACCAUUCCUAUACGGCCAAGUUUCCCACCAACCCAACAAUGUCAUUACUCAACCCUUCUCCUUACUUACCACCCAGUUAUCCACAAAGGCCAUCCCUAAAUCAACCACAAAACCCACCUACCACACAACCAAUGCUAAACACCACCUUUAGCACGAACCAAAACACUAACCAAGGAAGGAAUCUUGCAGCAAAAAGCCUAUAGAAUUCACCCUAAUUUCGGUGUCCUAUGCUGACUUGCUCCCAUAUCCACUCGAUAAUUCAAUGGUUGCCAUAACCCCUGCUAGGUUUCCUCAACCUCCAUUUUUCCGAGGAUACGACUCGAACGCAACAUGUGCAUAUUAUGUAGGAAUUCUGGGACAUUCCAUUGAGCAUUGUAUGACCUUGAAGCGUAAGGUGCAAAGUCUAAUUGAUGCGGGUUGGCUGAAAUUUGAGGAGAAUCGCUUGUGAAUCCUAACAUUGACAAGCGACACCACACAUGGGGAAAUUUUGAAAGCUGUUGUUAGAUGUCUCUAAUGACUCAUCAGGAUUUUCAAGUUUAUGCCAUUAUUGUAAACCACAAUUACAAUGCUAAAUAAUGGAUGAAUUUGACAUCCUUUGUCUCUCUCAUCCUUUCACAAACACAUUUUUGCUUAUUCAACUUCCACCGGAAUGUGAGUGUAAGCCAUUGGUUUGUUUGCUCAAAGCGACCUGCGCUCCUGAGUGUUGACUUCCAAGACCGUUCAAUCAGAGAUUACUCGUCCUGCACGUUGGAAAAAGGCAUUUGAUUGACUGUGUUUUCAAGUAAAAAUAUAAACAUUCAUGUGACCUCAUUUUAUCAUUCUGGAAAGUUUGUCUUUUUUAGAGAGAAGUGAAUUAUCGAGAAUAGGAGUCAUUUGACUUAAUCCAUCAACUGAAAAAAAAUCCUUCAAUUAUUUCUCUAGAAUCAAUAGCUUCUUUCGUUCUUCCUUGCUACAAGGUUGUGAAAAUAAGACAACGAUUGAUACCUCGAAGCCCUACACUGGGGCAAUGAGGGGCAUUGUGCAUGAACCUCAAGUGAACCUAAGGGCAGAUUAGAAGUUCCCACCCAAUAGGUUCCCAGCUACAAGGUCAUGACGAAAGAUAAAAAUUGGUACCUCAAAGCCUUACACUGGGGCAAUGAGGGGCACCGUGCAUGAUCCUUAAGUAAACCUAGGGGCAGAUUAGAAGUUCUCACCCAAUAGGUUCCCAACUACAAGGUCAUGACGAAAGAUAAAAAUUGGUACCUCAAAGCCUUACACUGGGGCAAUGAGGGGCAUCGUGCAUAAGCCUCAAGUGAACAUAGGGGCAGAUCAAAAGUUCUCACCCGUCGAUGUUUUUAAACAAAAAAAGGGGGGGACAAACCCUAGGAUUUCAAUGGAUUGAUUAAACGUCAAACGGCUUCAUUAUCAUCACUCCAAAAUGGCCAAGUGGCUAAAUCAAACAAAACAUACACUUAGAGGGAGUUCCCGGAGAGAUUUGCAAAAGAUAGGAUAAGGUUGCAUGAAUUAUCACCUUUUUCAAAUGGACAGUCAAUUUGUGUUUUCCAAAAAAAAUUAAAUCAAAAUCAAAAUCACAAAACAAGGAAAGAAUGACAUGAACAUUGUACAACUUUCCAUUACAUUGCAUUAUUUCAUAUGAAGUCCGCAUUUACCAAAUUUCACAACAAAGGUUGUAUGCAUCUGCAUCCCUAAAAAUCAUGUUAACUACAUAGAUUUCCUACAUCUAAAUGUCCAAUCUUGUGAAUUUGGGAUGACCGGCCCUUUCGAUAAGUCGAUCUCUUGAUUUCUCAUAAGGGUGGACCCUUGGGUACUAGUACCUAUCUUCUUCAGAGGGCUUCAUGUCCUCGCCAUCAGAGGGCUGCACGCCCUCGCCUUCAGAGGGCCGCACGCCCUCGCCUUCAUAGGGCUACACGCCCUCACCUUUAGAGGGCUGCACGCCCUCGCCUUUAGAGGACUAUACAUCCUCACCUUCUGAGGACUAUACGUCCUCACAUUCAGAGGACUACACAUCCUCGCCUGCAGAGGACUACACAUCCUCACCAUCAGAGGACUACACGUCCUCACCUUCAGAGGGCUGCAUGCCCUCAGCUUAAGAGGACUACACGUCCUCACCUUCAUAGGGCUACAUGCCCUCACCUUUAGAGGACUACACGUCCUCACCUUCAUAGGGCUACAUGCCCUCACCUUUAGAGGACUAGACUUCCUCACCUUCAGAGGACUAGACUUCCUCGCCUUUAGAGGACUAGAUGUCCUCACCUUUAGAGGACUUCACGUCCUCACCUUCCUAGGGCUACAUGCCCUCACCUUUAGAGGACUACACGUCCUCACCUUCCUAGGGCUACAUGCCCUCACCUUUAGAGGACUAGACUUCCUCGCCUUCAGAGGACUAGACUUCCUCGCCUUUAGAGGACUAGACGUCCUCGCCUUCAGAGGGCUGCACGCCCUCGUCUUCAGAGGGCCGCACGCCCUCGCCUUCAGAGGAUUACACGCCUUCACCAUCAGAGGACUACACGUCCUUGCCUUCGUAGGGCUAGACGCCCUCACCUUCCGAGGACUAUAUGUCCUCACCUUCAGAGGACUACACGUCCUAACCUUCAGAGGACUACACGUCCUUGUCUUCAGAGGACAACACGUCCUCGCCUUCGCCUUCGUAGGGCUACAUGCCCUCACCUUCAAAGGACUACACGUUCUCACCAUCAGAGGGCUACACGCCCUCACCUUCAGAGGACUACACAUCCUCCAUUUCAGAGGACUACACGUCCUCGACUUCAGAGGGCUUCACGUCCUCGCCUUCAGAGAGCUGCACUUCCUCGCCUUCAGAGGACUGCACGUCCUCAUCUUCAGAGGAUUACACGUCCUCAUCUUUAGAGGACUUCACGUCUUCGCCUUCAGAGGGCUGCAUGUCCUCACCUUCAGAGGGCUGCACGUCCUCGCCUUCAGAGGGCUACGUGCUCUCACCUUCACUGGGAUCCAUAUCCGCACAUUAAGAGAAUUUAAGGUCCUCUACCCUUAAUGCUUAACCGACACUUGCACUCCCGGUUAAGGGGCCAGUAGUUUCCUUUUAUCAGUUCCUGGGCUACCCCCUGAUCCCGGAGGAGGGCCAACUCUCAUACCCUAAUUUCGUUCGGGGACUAUUGCUUGAUGGCAUGCAACCUUUGAUUGACCGCUUCGAAGCACUUAGCACCCUUUGUUGCACAAUAUGUGAAGUCCCGAGACGUGCCAGAAAUCAAAAGAAAACAUGGUUACGCGAUCUGUGAAAUUCCGUAAUGUGGCGGAAACCAAAAGGAAGUAUUGUUACGCAAUCCGUGAGUUUCUGUAACUUCUUCGAAAGCUAAAAAAGAGUAAAUAUAUGAUUCAUAAGGUUCCGUAGCCUUACGGAAAGAAAAUAAGUAUUGUUACGAAAUUCGUAAAGUUUCAUAAUGUUACGGAAAAAGAAUCACAAAAAAAGCAAAAGGGGGUGCAUUUAGUAAAAAAGGGGUGUAAAUAGCAACCAGGCCCACAUGGGCCUUCCAGAUUCUUCCUCCAGAAGGCGGUUGCUUCUGGAGGAAGCAACCUGGCUCGCCUGGGCGAGCUGGGUGGCAAGCUCUUCCCCUAUUUUGCUAUAAAUAGGGGGAGGAAUGAAGAAGGAAGGGGUUCAGCCUUCUUGGCAUUUCGUAUUCUCUUAAAAUUGGUGAGGAAAAUUGUUUCCGAGAAGAAAAUCCAAGCCGAGGCGCUUCCGUAACGUUUCUGUGGGUAAUUACGCGAAGAUUUUCAACCGUUCUUCGACAUUCAUCGUUCGUUCUUCGUUUUCUUCGGUCUUCAACUGGUAAGUACCCCAAAACCGAGCUUUUCAAUUCAUUCUAUGUACCCGUGGUGGUCCCCAUUUGUUUCAUGUACUUUUAUUCUCGUUUUCAUUUACUUUCCGUACCCCCUUUUGGCGUACUUCAGUCAUCUAUUUAAGUCAUUUCUCGCCUAAUAAAAAAAUAAAAUAAAUUUCCACCGAUCAUUUGAUUUGUAAUAUCCGUUAAUUUCUGUUAAAAUGAAUUCCGACCGUUCGGUCGUGCCGUAACCACGUUGGAAAUAAAAAAAGAGGUAAAAUAAUAAUAUAAUAAUAAAAAAAUACCUUUUAGUAAAAUGAAGCGAAAAAAUCAAUCGGACGUUUUCUCUUUGGGAUUUCUCAUUCUUAAUUGAAUUGACUAAUAACUAAAGUGAAACUAAGACUAAAAUCAACUCACCUAGUCAAGCUCGUUCAAAAAAGUCACUAAAAAGGGUUUGAAAGUUUAUCAUCUCAGUUUUCCUUACCAAGUAAAUGGAUCAUUUUUAAGGUCCAACGCCUUAAAAUGAUCACCUUUCAAAAAAGAACUACGUAGGUCUGAUUUCCUCUUAAGAUGGAGGGUACGUAGGAGCAAGAGCCCCGCUUUUGUCGACCUCAAAAAUAAAAAAGGAAAUAAAAGUUAAGAUAACACAAUUUCACAAUUCUGAAAAAUAGGUUGUUGUCCUUUGAGACAAACGUGAGAGGUGCUAAUACCUUCCUCAAACGUAAAUACAACUUCCGAACUUAGAAUUUUUGUUUUGACCGGUUUCCUUUGGUUUUUCCGACGUUUUCCACAAAUAAACAUUGGUGGCGACUCCGCGCAUCUUUCCUCCUUUGGAAAGCGCACCCGUGAGCCUCGCCUCGCUCGCCCGCAAAAGGGCAUGUUGCGACACCAACUAUGCGAGCACAACGAGAAAGGGAGGCUAUCACGCAGCUACUAUGCAUACCGGGGCAAGAUUUCACCCGUGCCGCUGCAAAGAGACGAGUGUGGAUCAUGCGCACCAACAUGACCACUCUUACACAGAUAUAAAUGACGUUGCUACUUAGCAAUAUUCUGCCCAGCGACCAUAAUGCCGAUCUCCCCCUGCGGAAGUAUCAGUUGGUCUGUGCCAUCCCGACAUAGGUAGGUAUGCAUUAUUUCCAACUAAUUUCUAAUGCCAUCUACUAUUUGCAGGGGUUGCACCCACAAGACACCCAGUGGACCCGGAGAAGUCCAACAGGGCCCUGGGGUUUCCAGCUCUGGUUACGGGCCUCUGUCAGUCCUACAGGGUGCCCGUUCCCCCCAGCAAGGUCAUGCCACCAUGACAUAGGUAAGUGUACACAUCGCUCAAUUGAUUUCUGAUGUCAUCUAUUAUUUGUAGGGGUAGCGCCCACAAGUCACCCAGUGGACCCGGAGGAGCCCAACAGGACCCUGGGGUUUCUAGCUCUGGUUACGGGCCUCUAUCAGUCCUACAGGGCGCCCGUCCCCCCAGCAAGUUCAUGCCGUCGUAACAUAGGUAAGUAUGCACAUCGCUCAAUUGAUUUCUGAUGUCAUCUAUUGUUUGCAGAGAUCGUGCCCGCAAAACACCUAGUGGACCCGGAGAAGUCCAACAGGGUCUUGGGGUUUCCAGCUCUGAUUACGGGCUUCUGUCAGUUCUACGGAGUGCCUGUCACCCUGGCAAGGUCAUCAGGUCCCCUACUAAUAAAGCUUUCAUCAAGAAGUACUGCGCCCCCAGGCAAGCGCAGGGCGAAACACCACAACAGCUUGGGGAUGGCUGGCAGCGGGCAACAAACGAACCACCACCACCUCUAGAGUUCAUCUCAGCUCAUCCACAAAAAAGGUUAGAGCAUUGCCUACGACACAUGGCCGACCAAUAGGCGACCAUAGUCCAAAGCCAAAGGUAAGCAAAGUACUAGGUCCGUGACCGACAAGUCAUUAUGCGUCUAGCUUAAGACGUUAAAGAAGCGCUACUAGGAGGCAGCCUAGUACCUUUUAAAUCUCUGCUUGUUAUUUGAUCACCUUUGUUUCUCCAGUCAUAGUAGGACACACCUAGUUGUUCAUGAUCCUAGGAAUUUAAAUAAAACAAGCACAAGCUCGGAAGGUAGUCAUACCUCACAAAAUAUAUAUAUGUAUGUUUAGGUAGCAAGAUACCUUGGAUAUGCAUGUAUAUAGCAAAAAUACCUCACAAAAUAUAUAUAUGUAUGUUUAGGUAGCAAGAUACCUUGGAUAUGCAUGUAUGUGGCAAAAAAUACCUCAAUAUAUAUAUGUAUGUUUAGGUAGCAAGAUACCUUGGAUAUGCAUGUAUAUAACAAGACUACCUCACAAAAAUAUACACAUGUUUAGGUAGCAAAAUACCUCAUGAAAAAAAAACAAAAAGAGAACAAAAAAUAUAUCUUUCGGCUGAAAAGCCAACAUGCUUUUGAAGAGAAAUAACUUCCAGCUUUUCUUUGAAAAAAAAAAGAUUCACUGAUCAUAACUAGUUUUUUGAAAAAAAUGUGUAUACACUUGAAGGGUGAAUGCUGUGAAAAUUUUCCCGAACGCCCAAAAUGGACUCAGAUGAAUGCAUAAAUUGAUAAAGGAGCAUAUUUUGGAAACACUGGUUUUACUUAAAAUAGGGAAAAUGAAUCCUGAGCCCUAGUGUCACAUGACCAUAAAAACUUGAUGCUUGAGGCCACAUGGGUGCAUGCAUGACCAGUUUUGCAUAAAAUUUCCUAAUCAUCAUUGUUGCAUGUGUAUCAUGGAAAUAAUGUGGGACAUCCCCUUUAUCCUUGAACCGCUGGCCAAACCCUGACAUAUAUCAUGACCAGCCGUUCUACAAUCCUUGAGCCAAAAUCCCAACUUAUCAUAAACCUUGACCCAGGGUGAGAAUGUCAAUCCUUGCCCUCGGAAAAUUCCCAAUCAAAGAUUGGAAGAAAGCAAAAUAAAAAAAGCAAAAGGAGAAAAUUCCCGGUCAAAAAAUCGGAAGAAAGCAAAAGGAGAAAAUUCCCCGAUCAAAGAUUGAGAGAAAGCAAAAAAGACAGAAAAUUCCCGAUCAAACAUCGGAAGAAAACAAAAGAAAUAUGCAGAAAGGUCUUUGGACCAGACAAUAUCUGAACAAUACAAAAUUGUCACCAAGUAAACAAGAAAAAGAAAGGAAACCACGACCUAAAGUGGUCCUCUCCCUUUGAUUGCCAACCAAAAUCCUGUGCGUCGGUGACUUGUUCACCUCACACUAAACAAAAACAGAAAAGGAAAGGCCAAGAACACUUAAAGCCAAAAUUCCCACCAAAAAAAAACCCAUUCCCAAGAAGAAGUCCUAUUGAUCCAUGAUCACGCAUGUAAUCUUUGAUUUGAUAGGAAAUGAUUUGCAAAGUCAAGUCAUGACAUAUCUAUGGUUCAGAAUUAGGAUAAAACACUUACCUGUGUGAGAUUGAUACACUUUGAGUGAUUUUCUUCUAUUUUUGUUGGACCCAGUGUUUCCUCUAAAUGGUUGUUUAGAAACGAAAUGCUAACAUCCAAGGUCUCAUUCAUGAUUAUGAGAAAAUUUCAUCAGCAUACUCUCCUUCCCCGAUAGACACAUUGUUUUUCAUCAAAAAUCAUAUGUUGCUCUGAUCAGUUGGAAGUUUUAUUACUUUACUAAAGCAUGUUCGCAUUUUAGUGAAGAAAACACCGAGACUAUUUUAGUCUCACAGUUAUCAAGGACUACGUAGGUCUGAGUUCCUCAUCACAAAUUGAGGAUACAUAGGAGCAAAAGCUGCUUUUGUCGACCACCCCACCUUUGUUACCGUGACCCAAGAGUCUGGUGGCAUGGGGAGAUACCUGACGGUAACCCACAAACUUUCUUUUGCUAUCUCUAAGACUCAACGCAUGAUAGCAUGCAGAGACUAACGUCGUCUUCUGCACCCUUUGUCAAUCGCGGCCAACAAGCCCGUUGACACGUGGAGAUUUACGUCAUCUUCCGCGCAGACAACCUCUGUCAAGCACUAACCUGUGAAGUUAGGGGGCAGGCAGAAAUACCCAAGUGGUUAUCCAUAUAAACAUUCUUUUGAUAUCUCUAAGACUCAACGCAUGAUAGCAUGUAGAGACUAACAUCGUAUUCUGCACCCUUUGUCAAUCGCGGCCAACAAGCCCGUUGACAUGCAGAGAUUUACGUCAUCUUCCGCACAGACAACCUCUGUCAGUACUAACCCGUGAAGUUAGGGGGCAGGCAGAAAUACCCAAGUGGUUAUUCGUAUAAACAUUCUUUUGCUAUCCAUCAGACCCAGAGCACGAUAGCAUGCUGAGACUAACAUCGUCUUCUGCACCUUUUGUCGUCCUGACCCGUGAAGUCAGGUGACAUGCGGGGAACCUUAUGGUCCCGCACCUUUUGCCAACCAGGGGUAAACGAGCCCGUUGACGUGCAGAGACUAACAUCGUUUCCUGCACCUUUUGUCAUCCUGACCCGUGAAGUCAGGUGACAUGCGGGGCAACCUUAUGGUCCCGCACCUUUUGUCAACCAGAGGCAAGCGAGCACAUUGACAUGCGGGGAACCAUUUGGUCUCAUACUUUUUUCACAUUUUGUCAUCCAGAGGCGGCGGGCCCGAUGACAUGCGAGGGAACCAUUUGGUCCCGCAUCUUUUUUUUCACUAUCCAGAGACAAUCAAGUCCGGAGCCCCGUGAAUUGAUUGCCCAGCGCUGUUCAUCCAUCCUCCACCAUCAAGUCCGAAGCCCCAUGAAUUGAUUGCCUAGCGCUGUUCAUGCCUCCUCCAUCAUUGAGUCCGGAGCCCCAUGAAUUGAUUGCCUAGCGCUGUUCAUGCAUCCUCCACCAUCAAGUCCAGAGUCCCACGAAUUGAUUUCCUAGCGCUGUUCGUGCAUCCUAAAUCAUCAAGUCCGGAGCCCCAUGAAUUGAUUGCCUAGCGUUGUUCAUGCAUCCUCCACCAUCAAGUCCGGAGCCCCACGAAUUGAUUGCCUAGCGCUGUUCAUGCAUCCUCCACCAUCAAGUCCGGAGCCCCAGGAAUUGAUUGCAUAGCACUGUUCGUGCAUCAUCCACCAUCAAGUCCGGAGCCCCAUGAAUUGAUUGCCUAGCGCUGUUCAUGCAUCAUCCACCAUUGAGUCUGGAGCCCCAUGAAUUGAUUGCCAUUCAUGCAUCCUCCACCAUCGAGUCCGGAGCCCCACGAAUUGAUUGCCUAGCGCUGUUCGUGCAUCCUCCACCAUCAAAUCUUAUUCGGAGCCCCAUGAAUUGAUUGCCAUUCAUGCAUCCUCCACCAUCGAGUCCGGAGCCCCACGAAUUGAUUGCCUAGCGCUGUUCGUGCAUCCUCCACCAUCAAAUCUUAUUCGGAGCCCCAUGAAUUGAUUGUCAUUCAUGCAUCCUCCACCAUCGAGUCCGGAGCCCCACGAAUUGAUUGCCUAAUGUUGUUCGUGCAUCCUCCACCAUCAAGUCUUAUUCGUAGCCCCAUGAAUUGAUUGCCAUUCAUGCAUCCUCCACCAUCGAGUCCGGAGCCCCACGAAUUGAUUGCCUAGCGCUACUCGUGCAUCCUCCACCAUCAAAUCUUAUUCGGAGCCCCUUGAAUUGAUUGCCAUUCAUGCAUCCUCCACCAUUGAGACCGGAACCCUAUGAAUUGAUUGCCUAGCGCUGUUCAUGCAUCCCCCACCAUCAAGUCUGGAGCCCCAUGAAUUGAUUGCCAUUCAUGCAUCCUCCACCAUCAAGUCCGGAGCCCUACGAAUUGAUUGCCUAGCGCUGUUCGUGCAUCCUCCACCAUCAAAUCUGAGUCUGGAGCCCCACGAAUUGAUUUCCUAGCGUUGUUCGUGCAUCCUCCAUCAUCGAGUCCGAAGUCCCACGAAUUGAUUGCCUAACACUGUUCAUGCGUCCUCUGUUAUCAAGUAUGGAGCCUCCGGUGAGGGGAAAAUAUGGUUGUUUUUAUUCUCCCAUUCGGUUCCUUCAACAAACAUGUCUAUACGUGUAUAUUAUGUUAUUUUUUUUUUGUUUGUUUUGUUUUGUGUUGUGUAGAGAAAGAAGAAGGAGAUACGAGAGUCAAUUAUUUCAAAUCGUUUUGGUUGGAACUAUUGUGAUUGAGAUCAAUUAAAUCCCCAUGAUGGGCAAAGGAUGGCCUUCGGGAAUCAUCAUAGAUUAAUUACGGAAAAGGCUAAGACGGACGAAAUUAGUGUCUUAUCUUUACUUUCCUCCUAUCUCCGAUAAAAGGUAUGUAAAGAGGGGCAACUGUCAUACCCAAAUUUUGUCCAGGGACGAUUUUUUGAUGGCAUGCAACCUUCGCUUGACCGCUUCGAGACACCCAUCGUUAAGCAAUCCGUGAAGUUCCGCGACAUGUCGGGAGUCGAAAGGAAACAUUAUUGCGCAAUCCGUAAAGUUCCGUAACAUUCCAGAAGCCAAAGAGGGGGUGGUUCCGUAAUCUGUAAAGUUUCAUGACAUUACAGAAAGAAAACAAGUAUCGUUACGUAAUCCGUAAGGUUCCGUAACGUUACGGAAAAAGAAUCAGCAAAGAAGUGGGGGUGAACUUAUCAAGAUAGGGGUGUAAAUAGCAAUUUGAAUCUAGGCCCUUCCAGAACAUUUUGGAAGUUGGGUUGCUUAAGGAGGAAGCAAUUGGGCCGCAAGCUCCUCCACGUUUUUGAAAAAUGGUUUUCGGGGCUUCCCUGGCUUCCGUAAAAUUUCUGAAAACCUUGGGUAAGCAUAUUCCACUUAACAUUGGUGAAAGAGAAGAGAAAAAAAGAUGAAAGUUAAGUCAUAUAUGCUUCCGUAACUUUUCCGUAAAUUACGAAAGAAGGUGGGGUGAACUUAUCAAGAUAGGGGUGUAAAUAGCAAUUCGAGUCUAGGCCCUUCUAGAACAUUUUCAAAGUUGGGUUGCUUAAGGAGGAAACAACUAGGCGGCAAGCUCCUCCACGUUUUUGAAAAAUGGUUUCCGGGGCUUCCGUUGCUUCCGUAAUGCUUCGUAAAAUUUCCGAAAACCUUGGGUAAGCAUAUUCCACUUAACAUUGGUGAAAGGGAAGAGAAAAAAGAUGAAAAUCAAAUCCGAAACACUUCCGUAAGGCUUCCGUAACUUUUCCGUAAAAUACGAAAAGGGGGUGAACUUAGUAAUUCGGGUGCGCUUAGAAAUCUUCUUCAUUAAGUCUCUGGGCGGCAAGCACCUCCCUUUUUUCCUAUAAAUAGGGGAGGGGGGAGUUGUUUCAAAAUGUUGAAGACCCCUUGGCUAUGCAUUUCGGCUAUUUUGGGCAAAAAACACGUUUUCGUGAAGAAAAAUCGAGUCGAAGUGCUUUCGUAACGCUUUCGUAAGCGAUUCUGUGGAAAUUCUUCAUCGUUCUUCGUCGUUCUUCACCGUUCUUCAUCCGUUCUUCGUUCGUUCUUCGUUCUUCAAUGGGUAAGUUUUCGAAUUCGAGACUUUCAAUUCAUUUCUUGUUUUGUGUACUUUCACUUUAAUUUCGUUUACUUUCAGUUUUCUUUUCUUCUGUUUUUAACGUGCUUUAGUCAUUUACUUAAGUCAUUUUCUCGCCUAAUCAAAAAAUAAUAUAAAUUUCCAUCGAUCAUUUGAAUUGUAACAUCCGUUAAUUUCUGUUAAAAUGAAAUCCGACCGUUAGGUCAUGCCGUAACCACAUUGGAACCCAAAAGGAGGUAAAAUAAUAAUAUAAUAAUAAAAAAUAUCUUUUAGUAAAAUAAAUAAAAAAAAAUAAUCGGACGUGUUUCUUUGGGAUUUCUCUUUCUUAAAUCGAAUCGACUAAUAACCAAAGUGAAACUAAGGCUAAAAUCAAUUCAUAAACCAAACUUUUGUCAUCGCCUAAAAAAGCCAUUUUCAAAGGUCCAACGCCUUGAAAUGGUCUUUUCCGCUUUUAUUGGUUAAGUGUAGAUUUCUAAAAAGCCUAAAAUCAAUAUGUAACUUUGUUACCUCUUUCAAAAAUAAAGAAAUUAUUAAUGGUCCAAUGCCUUAAUGUUUUCUCACUUUUCAAAAGAAUUGAAAGAUUGUCUAAUGGUCCAACGCCUUAAAUGACCUUUCAUUCAAUAAAAACAUAUCUUGCAAAAAAGGAUAAAAAAAUAACUUAACCAAAACACUUUGUUCACAAAAGAACUACGUAGGUCUGAUUUUCUCAUCACAAUUGAGGAAUACAUAGGAGCAAAGGGAAACGCCCUUGUCGACCACAAAAAGAUAAAAAUAUAAAAAGACAUAAAAAAGACAUAAGAACGUAAAAAGGGAAGAUAACAUAAAUUGAAGUCAUAUUUCCACAUUUGAUUAAAGGUUGCCGUCUCUUGUGACGAACGUGUGGGGUGCUAAUACAUUCCCCGUGCGUAAAUACAACUCCCGAACCUUUCACUUAAAGUUCGUAGAUCACGUCUUUUCCGAUUUUUCCGACGUUUUCCUCAAAUAAACGUUGGUGGCGACUCCGCGCGUAUUCCUUUCUUGGAAGACGCACCCGCGAGCCCCGCGUCGCCCUCCCGCCAAAGGGUAGGUUGUGACAGAAAGAUCGGACGAGGAAAUAUAGAUUGAUUAUAUUUCUUGAAGGAGACUACCAAUUUAGGGUUGUAACAUGCGUUGAGAUGCUUGAAAGGCCAAGUUAACUCUAUUAUAAGGGAAAGGAGCUUCUAUUUUUACUGCAACAAAAAUCUUGGGCAUGAUAUGGACAUCUACAUGUACAGGUAAUUGCUUUUUUCUAUAUCCAUCCCCAUAAACACCAUUGCCAUUAAUCAAUGGUAAUAUUAUAGGCAUGAAUGCAUGUCAAGCUCAUGAAAAUUUGACCUAUUUCUGGAAUACGAAUUUUAAUCUCUGCAUGAAAUUUGAUAGCAUACCUAUAUCAUAUUGUUGAUCGCUUGAUGGACAAAGUUUCAAAUUUGUUAUCUUUUUCGCCUAUUAACUGAUGACAAAAUAUUGUAUUUUUCCUGCGUGAUUGUUUUAGGAUAAAAAGACUGAUUAUGAAUGAAAUUAAGUGAAAAAAUAUUGGGUGAUUAAUCUAAACAGCUUAUGAGUAUGAUUAUAAUUCAGGGGAGAGAGGGCAUUUUGCAGUCGUGAAUGCCGUGACCAGGGAAUGAUGUUGGAGGAAGGUGGAGAUAUGCUAAGUGCAUUUUGUGGCACUUUUAAAAUUAUUUAUUUUUCACAUGGGAUAUAUUUUCAUUCCAGCAUUUUAAUAGAUUUGUAUUUAGAAUUGUAUACUUAUAUGUGUAUAGUUUCUUUUUUAAAUAACACUGAUAUUCAAGCACUAUGAAUAUAUAUAUAUGUGUAUACUAGCAAUGUAUAGUUUGUAUCCCCAAAAAAAUUCCAAUGCUUUUGUUUCGUCCUUCUAUAUUUCCUAUGUUUGUGUCACUUUCAAUCUCACUCCAUCUUAUACAGGAUAUAGUAACUAUCACAAACUAAACUACACACACAAGAUUCGGGGUUUGAUCAACCAUCAUGUCUGACGAAGUCAACAACGUUUUCAAGAAAUAUCUCAACCAACUUCAGCUUCAUCCUCUCAGAACCAAGGUUUCUAAUCUCCCUUUUCACCCGCUUUUCAUUUUUUUCACUUUAAUUUCUAAGAGAAUGAUUGGGUUGAAUUGAGAGAAAGAAAGAAAAUUUUUUUAUGUAUUUAUUUUUCACUUUGGUUGUUAAGAGACUAAUGGGGCUGUUAAAAAAACAAAACUUUUGCAGUUUUAGGCGAUUAUUGUGGCAGUUUUGGCUGGUUUUAGUGAUGCAGUGGCACAGAAGUUAUCUGGGCCAAGAAACUUCAGUUAGAAGGGUACUUCUUUUCAUGGUAUGUCCAUUUGACUUAACUGUGCUUCUUCUAAAUUAUUUAUUAUAUGUGGGAAAUCACUGUUUCAAUUUCAUUUUCAAUUUGGACAUUAUCUAUAUGUCUGGAUCGAAUUUUCUAACAACCAGAAUUUUCCAUGAAGGUAACUAGAGUAUGGUCUUUACCAUUAACCAUUUCAUAACUCUCAAACAAUGAUCAUAUGAAAAAAAAUACUAUGCUACCUGUUUCACUUUUUCUGAAAAGAUGAAGCAGAAAUGAAGUUUGUAGUGAAAUUUUUUUAGUACUGAGCAGUUUUGAAAUCAAAUUGAUUUGCAGCUCUAUGGUUUUGCCUACUCUGGGCCCUUUGGACAUUUUCUCCACAAAUUGAUGGAUAAAAUAUUUAAGGGGGAGAAAGGUAAUGACACUGUUGCUAAGAAGGUAUUGUAAGCUUGUGAUGUUGUUGUUUGUUGGUUUGGCCUCUGGCUCUUUCACUUAUAGGGACAAUAUUUUGUAUUGUGUUAUGUUUUGUGGUACAAGUUUCUAACUAAUGCUCUCAUGAAUGAAAUAUACUAUUAUUAGGUGCUCUCAACCAUGGGUAUUUUAGGGAUCAUUUGAUGUAGCUAUAUGUUUAAGGACACCCUCCCAAGACCAACUAAACCUUGACGUCCUAUAACUAUACCACCUAGCUAACUGCAUUUUGAUGAUGUCCAUCAGUCACCACGUCAGACACAUGUAGGCUGAAGUAGUAACUUGUGGUUUUGUGGAAUUGUGUCCCCAGGAUUAGACCUCUCCAGAGGAGCAUUCCGAAACAAUUAUUUGGUCUGGAAAAGGUACUUUGUUGUAAUUUUAUUUUCAUUCUUUUGAAAUUUCCUGUUUAUUGAAGUAGAAAUAAAUCAUACUUUGACUGUCUGAUUUAGGUGGUCUCCAAUGUUAUCUUUUUCAUGUCCAUUCUUUGUUAAUUUUAGUUAAUCGCAGGUAUAUUAGGCAUUAAAAGCUUAAUAGAUUGUAGAAGCUGCUCAAAGAACAGUUCCUGUUUUCCUGUACCAAUUGACAAAUCACAGAUGUUUUCAAAGCACUGGCUCUUGGAGCAUUUUCUGUUUUCAUAACUCAUGAGUAUAUGAAAAUCUGAACACCGUAAUAUCAAAUUAAAAUGCUGAAUACUAAAUCCAUUAAGUGAUAAAAUUGAUACGAGUAGGUUGUCUUAUGUUAUCAACUCGCUGAUAAUUUAGUUUGUUCAAUUAAUAUUAAUGUAUGAGAGAUGUAGUAAAUCAUACUAUCUUCUACAGAUAAGGAUAUGAAGCUGAUCUUAGAUAUUUCCUGGGAAUUUGAAUAGCUUAUAUGCCAAGGAAAUGUUACCGUUUCUGAUAGCAACCUGGACUAUGAGGAACAUGGAGAACAUAACAACAAAGUGGACCACAACAGGUCCAGUAGGACCAUCAGAAAGCCUACAUGCUUCAAGGAUUUUAUUUGAACCCACUAUCCCAUUCCGCAAUAAAGGAAUGUUUUCAUUCUGUUAUGAUAAUUCUAUUAUUAGUGAUUAGCACUACAGGGCCAAAGUUAAUUUUAUCUUUGUGUAGGAGUUAGCAUAUAAAUUUAAUAGAGUGGGAAUGAAAUAGACACAAAAAAUAUUCAGUUUUACCUUCCUAUUUUUCCUCAUCUUCUAUCCUUUACUAAGCUUUGGGGUCUAUAAGUUUUUCCCUACUAACUUGAACCUUAGAUAUAUUAUCCGAAAUACUACUUUGGAAAAUUUACUACUGUAGUUCCAACUAAUUUUAAUAACACUUAAUUUAAUUAUUAUUGGUUUUUCUCGAAAAUUAAAAAACCCAACUACAUGUUAUAUAGAGAUAAAUAAGAACUAUAAAAACUUGCUAAUACAUGCUAUCUAAUAAUUUUUCCUAACUUUGACAAUUUGAACUCGAGCAUAUAAUUAAAUGUUUCAGAAGAGGCUACAUAUUAGCAAUAUGAUCUUUCACUAUAUGGUCAUGAUAUGCAAUACCAUAUUUCGGGUAUGAAUACGUUUUCCCUUGGUCUCAAACCUAAAACAAUGAACAAAAACUAAAUAUGAGCUAUUACUUGAUUUAGUAAGUAGAGUAACUUUUGUACAUAAAAUAAAAUUUACCUGCUUCUUAUACUAUUUUAAUCUACGUUAAAUUUUCUUUUAAUUAUCUUUUAAAAAACUUUUUUUUUUUUAAUCUAGGUUAGGAUAAUUGCCUUCCAAGCAAUAGACCCGGGAGGGCGAGCCCUGGUGCAGCGGUAAAGUUGUGCCUUGGUGACUUGUUGGUCAUGGGUUCGAAUCUGGAAACGGCCUCUUUGCAUAUGCAAGGGUAAGGCUGCGUACAACAUCCCUCCCCCAUACCUUCGCAUAGCGAAGAGCCUCUGGGCAAUGGGGUACGAAGUUUUUUUUUUAUCUUUUAAAAAACUAUUAAUUAUACUAACAAAUACUAUAUUUAAGACUAAUGUUAUCUUUUUCUGGAAAUGAGCAGGAGCGAAAUGAUUAACAUGUAUUAAGGAGAGAUCUUCUCCUUUCAACCAACCCCACCUCCAUGUUAUGCUUGCAACUUUGUGGAAGGCCUCAGAAGCAUGCUUUUGAGUAGCCACUAAUAUAUUGUACUAUUUUUCUUUUAACUCUUUUAAAAUGUUAAGAAAACCUUUGUCGUUGGAGAUCAAAAACACGUGCGCUGGUGGUGGGUGUUUAGAACUCCAAUUCUCGAGUUUCUUCUAAAGACGUCUGUCCGCGCUAUUUUUUCCUGUUGUAAGCAAAAAAUUACAUGAAGAUCGUAAAGUGUAGAUGAAUUACAUACAAUAUUCAUACCUUUAGUUUUGGUGUAACGGAUGCUUGUGAGACGAAGAAGUUCCUUAAAGUUUCGUUUUGAGAAAGAAGUACUAUGAUCGAACGCGUAGAUGUUAUCACCUUCGAUCCCAUUUACUGUCAACGCCUCCUUGAUGGCAGGGAAGACGUUACGAACUUGGAAACCGGCGGGUACAAAGCAGUUUUCUGUAUCCCACCAGACUGACACGGGUGCCUUUCAUCACGAAUACAGCUUAUUGGUCUGAUGCCCCAAAGAAAGGUGUCUGGGAGCUGUGAGGCAAGAAAAUCUACUUAAGCAAAUUGAGGCACAUUAUUUGAAGUUUAUAAGGUAUAGAGUUACUAGUGAUCUUGGCCCUGUAUUAGUUUAUAAGAAACACCAAGUUUUAAAGUUACCAGAAAUUUUUUGUUCUUAGCCCUGUAUUAAUAUUGAUAUAUAAUGUUGCAAAUAUUUUAUAAGAUAGCAUAUAUUGAUGUUUGUCUAGAUUCAAGUGAUACAAUAUCAUAAUAUGUGCCAGGUUAUAGUUCUUAGACAUUGUGUCAUUCUCAAGUUAACCAGGUCACAAUCUAUUAGUUCAUGUAAGUUUUCCACAUUAGGUAUACUGAGUGCCUGUAAAAUGAGUCAAUGCUGAGAAUACAUACCUAAACCAAUGGGAUCAGAACCCUUCAUAAUUUUCAGCCUUUUGCAAGUGCCAAUGAACAUUCUGCAACAAAAGUAGAAUUUGUAGUUGAGUGUAUAAAGUAUGCAAACCAGUAGGGCAAAGUAAAAAUCUCAUCCCAUUAGUCAUUCAGUUCAUUUUUUUGGUACAAACACAGAAUAAUCUCCAUGAACACUUGAUGUCACCAUAGAAAAGCAAAUUAACACGAGCCAACAGGUAAUAUAGUUGAAUUAGACUUAAAUAUCCUAUUCAGCAGCAAGAACCAUGGUCAUGAUCAAAUGUAUGUAUUGAUGAAAAAGCAUAGUCAUGAUCAAAUGUUGGUGUCUUCAAUAAACAUGUUCUUCAAUAUGAUAUAGCUCAUACAUCAACUGUUAAUUCUUAAUACUCUGAUAAGGAAAUGUAUCUUUCAUUUUUUUUAAAAGGAGAUGCCAUCGGUAACUGCUGGCUGUUACCAAACCAUAUUAAAUAAUUUCAUAUUAGGGACUAUACUGAUUAUUUCAACUGUUGUUUUCAUAUGGUGUUUAUUUGUGCAUGUUAAUCUUCCUCAUGAAAUUUUGUUAUUCAUCAUUGUAUUAGUGUAACAAUGAAAACACUAUUAUUGUGUUGUCGACCAAUGCCACAAUUAAAGAGGACCACCCUGUACUAUGAUAUAUAGUUACUUAUGUUGGCUUUCUUUCACAACAAAUAUGUUGUUUGAUUAUUUUAUUUUCUAUGUAGUUGUUUGGUUAUUCAUAUUUUUUCCUGGUAUUGAUUUCUUCAGUCGGAGACGAGUCUUUCUUACAUACAUUUUUUAAGCAUUCGAAAAAGCUGAAAUAUUGUUUAAUUCCCUCUAUGUUUGAUCAACAAUUGUAGGUUAUAUGCAUCUAAAUGUCCUAAUCUAGAAUUACACAUACCUCUAAAAUGACUAAACAAAAUUACAAUAUAUAUCUUCAUUUCUAUCAGAUCAUGCCAUUUUUGUAUCAUUUCGCCAACCUGGAAUGCUGUUUAAUUUCCUCCAUGUUUGAUCAGCAAUGCCAGAACCUAAUAUAUUGUUUCGACAAUUUUAUUGCUAAUCUAGAAUUGCAUAUGCCUCUAAAAUUACUAAACAUAAUUACACUUUAUGUACCUGCUUUAUAGAUUAAAUUUAAUUGCUUUGUUUCUUCCUAAGUCCACAUGUUUGAUUAUUAUCUAUCUAAAUAACACAACUAUGUUGCUUUUUAUGUCCAAUCUCAUUCUGGGUGGAACUUCCAUUUAUCAGAAAACCAGCAAUCAUGCAGUUCAGAGCCACAUUCCACAAUGAUAGGGUAAUAUUGCAUUGAAACUCAUUUCUUUGCUUUUUUUUUUUUUGCAGAUUAUUUAUUAUAAUUUUACACACAAUAUUUUCUUGCAGGACAUAAUAAAAGUCCCAUUUUUUUACCACAUUAGGUGGGCACCAAAAUAUCUCGAAUAUGUCCGCUUCAAAUAUAAUGGAGCUAUAUACCAAAUCCAAGUCAGACUCCAUAAGGGAAAAGUUUUUUUUGCUGAAGGACUGAAACAGUUUAGAAAAGAAUUAGCCAUUUAUGAAUCUACCAUCAUUCAUUUCUUUGCCAUUGACCACAUCUUAGUAUUCGACCUUCAUUUCAGUCCACCACUAGAACAGCAGACCUCCGAAAGAUCAUGGAUGAUAUCCAUGCAGCAUAUUUGGACACUUGAAAUAACGCAAUCAAUGAUUGACGCACUGCACCCUUUGGUAAUGAUAACAAAAUUUUUAUUAUGACUUAUAUAAAUACAAACUUAAAUAUAAUUAUUAUUUAUCCUCUUUUGUAGAAUCUUUCAAGCUGUGUAACUAGACAUCUAAAUGGCUGCGAUCAACACAUGACAAUCCUUAGAAGAUUAGGGCCUCCGUUACAGUGGAAUGUUAUUGUUCUUGAUAUUGGUUGGAAUUGGUGAAAAAUAUGUUGUGCAACCUUGGUAUAAAUUCCUUGAAGAAAGUAAUUUUUCUCAUGGUGAUGAAAUCUCAUUCUACUACAGACAUCAUGAACAAAUUUGGGAAAUUAUUAUUAGAAGUCAAAAGGAUUGGGACAACAGUGAUACUGAUAGUGACUAAAUUAAGUUUAGGUUUUUUGUUUUGUUUACUAACAUUGCCUUGGUCAAUGAGUAAUCUAGCUUUUUUUAAUGCAAAUAAUCUAAUUAUUAUUAAUGUUACAUAUAUUUUUAUUUUUGUACUAUUUUUCAUUUUAAUAUUGUAUUAUAGAAUAAAUAAAUAUUCAUACAAAAUAAAUUACAAGUGACCCAUGCAUACGCACGGGUUACCAACUAGUUAUUAAAAAAGUAUGUCCGGUCAAGUGUCAAUAUUUGUGCACCACGCGUCACCAUUAGUGAAAUUUUAAAAAACUUUUUCUUUUACUUUUGUCUUUCUUCCUUUUUAGUUUUAUUGUUUCUUUUUGUUUUAUUUAUAUUUUUUCUUUCUUUUCUAUUUUUACUUUUUCUUAUUCUUUUUUAAUGUUUUCUUUUUCUUUUUAACUUUUUUAUUUCUUGAUUUCUUUUAUGUUUUUGCUUUCAUGUUUUUUGUUUUAACUUUUUUUUCUUUUUAUAGUUUUAUAAUUUUACAUUAUCCUCUAAUCUCAAACUUUUAUGUAUGAUAAAUUUAUUGAUUUUUAUAAUAACUAGUAAGUUAUCCGUGUGAUUGUACCAUUCACACUGGUUUCUAUCCACAUUUCGAAAAGAUUUAUAGAUAUACUAAUAAGUUAAUAUAUAUUAUAAUAAAACAAAUAACAUAAGAAGGGAGUUGAAUUAUGUUUUUACAAAUUUUAAUCUUUACUUUAAAAUAAAAAACACGUUUAUUGUCUGAUAUAUAUUUUACUAAAACAAAUAAAAGAUCUUUUGAGAAAAGCUCUAUCAGACAAUGGAAAAACAAUUUUCUUAAUAGAUAUAAGAACUAAAAACAAAUUUGAAUCCUUUUGUCAGUCAACACAAAAAAGGUAGUAAUGAAUAACACAUGCUUAGAGGUUAUACUGGUUUGUCUCUAUCCCGUGACUACGUCUAGUUCUAGGCAACCCACCAAGUUUUCACUAACUUAUCAAAAGUUACAAAGUAUUCUUCACUGUCACUUCUGGCUCUUACAAAGGCAAACUCUACCCCAAGCGUUACUUAACCAAGUAUUCUUUGUCCUACCAAGUCACAACUAGGUCUUAACAAAUCAACAGAAUUUGUUAGAAGUUUGCACAUUGACAAAUAUCAGAUGGUCUUAUAGAUAGAUAUAUCUCUCAUUAGUUUUUUCUCUCAAGGUUUACAAGGUGUUUUGAGAGCUUAGUAUAUAUAUAAAAAUUUACAGAAAGUAUUUUACAAGAAAGAAUGACUAAAUAAUUUGCAAGUAGGUUUGUAUCGUGUUUCUUCAAAGUUUCUUCUAUUUUUAGCCUUCAUCUUCAAGUAUUCGUUGUCUCACAAUGGGUGGAUUCUUCACUCUAUUCUUUGUUUGAAGUCUUGAGGCCAUUGGAGCAUUUAAUGCUUGCAUUAAAUGCAAGUUCCUUCUUCAUGCAAAGUCUAGGUUGAUAAAUUGGUGUGUUCUACACUUCCGUAGCAAAGUCACUUCUUCAAUCAUAACAAGUUUGCACCAGUAGAGUGUGUCUUUUGAUGAAGAUCAACACUUCCAGAUUGUGAACUUCAUUUAUUCUUCAUUGGACUUUUAAAGAUCCUAGGAGAAUGUUUUUUGCAAGAAAGAAUCUCAGACAUACAAUAUUAAAUGAAGGUCUUAAAUGCACUACUUAAUGUUAUGCCAUAUCAUCUUAUGAGUCAUCUGAAAGCUUAGAUGCAGGAAUACAAACCAUGAUUUGAUAGCACAUUAGACACAACUUUUAUCGUUUGUAUUUAUUUUCAUUUAAUCAAAAUAAUUAGGAGUCUUGAUUUGUAUUUAAGACAUAAAUGUCUUUUAACUUAAAAAUUAUGUUCAUUAAUGUAACACACACCUAUUAGUUUAUUAUCGAGUUUAGUUUGAAAUUUAGCCACAAUUAAGUUUUUGUUCCUCUUCAAGAAUAUCUUUUAUGGGAAAUUUUUUUUAUUCUAUAAUUCUUGUAAUUAUAAUCAUUAAUGUUCAAUUAUGCCAUCAAAUUUUCUUUUGUGAAGGGUUUAAAUUAUUAUUUUCUAUUUAAAGAUUUAUACUAAAAUUAAAAUAUAAAAUAAAUUUUAACAUCAAACAUGUGGAUGAAUUGGCUUGGAUGUAUAAAUGACAGUGGGUUGGGGUGUAGCGGGGUGAGGCAGGAUAGGCAUGAGCUAGAGUUCUCCAUACGGGUUGGUAUUUAUAUAGGUGUACUAAAGUAUAGGGUAAAUGCCCACUUCCGUCAUUGAAUUUUUUAGGUGUUGACAGUUAGCUCCCAGAAAGAUGGAAAUUAAAAUUUUGUUCCUUUGAAUUUGCAAAAAGUGCAACAAAUUAGUUCUAUGGUUAGUUUUAUUCGUUAUCUCAAAUGAUUGUGCCUAUGUGGCACUUUCAGUGAUGAUGUGAUAGUUGAUGAUUGUCACAUGUCAUAUGCGUGACUGCCAUGUGCAUUUCAAAAGGUUGACUUUUUCGAUUUGGUCUCUAAACUUAACUACUUGCUGUCAUUUUAGUUUCUAAACUUAACCACUUACUGACAUUUUGGUCUCUAAACUUAACUAUCUACUAUCAUUUUGGUCCUGAAAGCACUUUUGAAUUUUUAAUUAAGUUUCACAUUACAUAUUUUCAUGUAGGUGAGUUUCUUAACAUUAACAUACGAAAGUUAAUGAUGAGAUGAAUUUUUCUCACUUUUUACACUAUAGGGACUUGUCGCAACCUACCCUUCAGAGGGAGGGCGACGCGAGACUCACGGGUGCGUCUUCCAAGGGAGGAAAACGUGUGGAGUAGCCACUAACGUUUAUUUUGAGGAAAACAUUAGAAAAAUCAAAAGUGGGUCUACGAACUUUAAGUAUGAAAGGUUCAGGAGUUGUUUUUACACACGGGGAAGGUAUUAGCACCCCACACGUCCGUCACAAGGGAUGACAACUUUUAAUUAAAUAUGCAUUACCAUGACUUCCAAUUGUUUUAUUUUCCCUUUUUUUAUGUUUUUUUAUCUUUUGGGGUCAACAAAAGCGGUGCUUUUGCUCCUACGUAUCCUCGAUUUGUGAGGAGGAACUUAGACCUACGUAGUUCUUUGAAAAGCAAUAAAGUUACACGAUGUGUUGAUUUUAUACUUUUGAACGGUCCAUUGUAACUGAUAAAAGCAAAGGGGACCGUUUAAGGCGUUGAACCUUAAAAUGGUUUCAAGUGACCUUUUUGCGGACACAGCUUGAUUUGUGAAUUGAUUUUAGCCUUAGUUUCACUUGAUUAUUAUCAACUCAUUUAAAGGAACUUUCAAAGUAAAAUGUCUGAUUAGGGCUUUUUUAUUAUUUUAUUAUUUAUUUUCAUAUAUUUUGAUUAUUUUAUUAUUGUUUUUGCUUUUUUUUUAUUUAACUGAGGUUAUGACAUGAAUGAUCGGUUGGAUUUUGUUUUAAUAGAGAUUAAAUGAGAUUACAACACAAAUGAUCGGUUGAAAUUCAUUUUAUCAAUUACUAAACGAGAUAACGACUUAAAUGAUCGGUCGAAACUCGUUAAAAAUGGAAGAAAAGAAUACCGAAAGUAAGCAAAGUAAAAAUGAAAGCAUACAAAACAAGAAUGGACCACUGAGGGUGCAUAGAAUGAAUUGAAAGCUUCGAAUUCGAAAACUUAUCAGAUGAAGAUUGAAGAAGAACAAACGAAGAACGGCGAAGAACUUCCACGAAAUCGCUUAUGGAAACUUCUCAUAGGUGUUAUGGAAGCAACUCGGCUUGGAUUUUUCCUUUCUUUCUCUUCUCCUCACUAAAUUCAAGUGAAAACUUAGUGCAAAAAUUGUUGGACCUCUUAAACUCAGCCCCUUUCCCCUAUUUAUAGGAGAAAAUGGGAGGUGGUUGCCACACAGCUUGCCCAGGCGAGCUGGGUUGCUUACACUAGAAGCAACCUUUUCUCCAGAAUCUUCUGGAUGAGCCCAAAUGGGUCCAGUUUCUAUUUAUAUCCCCAUUUUGCUAAAUACACCCUUAUUUUUGUGUUUUUGGCUGAUUUCUUUCCAAAACAUCGUGAAACUUUAUGGAUUACGCAACGAUGCUUGUUUAAGUAUCCCAAAGUGACCAACCAAGGUCCGCAUACUGACAACAAGUGUCCUCGGACAAAAUUAGGAUAUGACAGUUGCCCCUCUUUACUUAUCUUUUAUUGGAGAUAAAAGAGAAGUAAACAUAAGACACAAAUUUUGUUGGAGCUGAACCUCUCAAUCAAAAAGAGCAGAAAAGAGCAUCAGGGGCAUCAACAAAAACCUUAGUGCCUUGAAAGUGAUAAAAUUGGAUAGGCAUGACGUCUCUGCAUGCUAUCGAACUUGAUUGUCUCUAGUAAGCAGAAAAGAGUCUUUGCGCGUUAUCGGACUUGAUCAUCUCUGGAUGACAUAGGUAAAUCUACAAAAAUCUUCAAAAUGAUUAGAAGUGGAGGACCAUCCUCAUCCCGGAUAUCAUCGGACUUGCCUGUCUCUGGAUGAUAAAGGGGACUUUGAUAGUCUUUGGAUAGGAAGGGUGCGAAUGACCACAUGAUGUCUCCGCGUGUCAUCGGACUUGCUGUCUGUAGAUGACGAAGGUGAGACUAAAGUUGUCUUGAUCAACGGGCUCGCUUGCCUCUGGUUGACAAAGAUGGCAGAUGUCCAUGAUUGGUCUCAGCGCGUCAUCGGCCUUGCCGUCUCUGGAUGACAAAGGUGCGGAUAACCAUGAGGUGUCUUUGCAUGCUAUCGGACUCGAUUGUCUCUAGAUAGCAAAGAGUGUGUGACCAUUACAGUCUUUACGUGCCAUCGGACUUGAUUGUCUCGGGAAGGCAAUAAAAAGGGGCUACGAUGGUCCCGAUCGAUAGAUGUUGAGUCUUUGACGAAAAUGCGCAAGUGACCAUGUUGGUCUUUGCGUGUCAACGAGCUCUCUUGCCUCCGGUUGACAAAGGCAGCGGAUGACCACGAUUGGUCUUUGCGUGUCAUCGGACUUGCCGUCUCUGGAUGAUGAAGGUGAGACUAAAGUAGUCUCGAUCAAUGGGCUCGCUGGGCUCUGGUUGACGAAUGUGACGGAUGACCAUGAAUGGUCUCGCCUGUCAUCGGACUUGGUUGUCUCUGGAUGACAAAGAGGAAACUAAAGUAGUCUCCUUUUUCUUUCACUAAAAUGCAAACAUGUUUUAGCGAAGAAACAAACUUCCAACCGACCAAAGCAACAUAUAUUUUUCAAGAAAAACAAUGUGUCUAUUGGGGGAGGGAAGCAUGCUAAUAUAAUUUUUCUCAUAAUCACAAAUGAGAUUUAGGAUGUUAGCAUUUCACUUAUAAACGAUCAUUUAGAGGAAACACUGGGUCCAACACAAAAUAGAAGAAAAUCACUCAAAGUGUAUAAACCUCACACAGACAAGUGUUUGAUCCUAAUUCCAAACCAUAGAUAUGUCAUGACUUGAUUUUGCAAAUCAUUUCCUAUCAAAUCAAAGAUUACAUGCGUGAUCAUGGAUCAAUAGGGAUUUUUCGGGAACGGUGUUUUUGGUGGGAAACUUGGCUCUAGGCAUUUUGACCUGUUCCUUUUCUCUGUUUUUGUUUAGUGCAGGGCGAAAAAAGUCGCCGGCGCACAAAAGUUUGGUUGGUAAUCAAGGAGGGGACAACUUCAUGUGUCGCAAGUCGCGAUUUCCUUUCUUUCCUUUCUUGCUCGUGACAUUUUCGUAUUUUGUUCAGAUAUUGUCUAGUCUAAAGACCUUUCUGUUCACUUCCUUGUCUUCUUCCAAUCUUGACAGGGAAUUUCCUUUUCUUUUUCUUUUCUUUUGCUUUCUUCCGAUCUUUGGUUGGGAAUUUCUUUUUUUGCUUUCUUCCGAUCUUUGGUCAGGAAUCUUCUUUUUUCUUUCGCUUUCUUCCGAUCCUCGAUCGGGAAUUUUUCUCUUGAAGCAUAUUUGUCGCUUAACAGUGAAUGGAUCUUCUUUCUUGGGGAGAUCCUUCUGUUCCUUCUUCCGCGGGCCAGGGCAAAAUUUCCCUUCCUGGGUAAAGGCUGGUGGAAGGGUGAGAUUUUGGCUCGAAGGCCUUGCAGAAAGGCUGGACAUGAUGUAUGUCAAUGCAUUGGUUUGGCCAGCGGUUCAGGGAUAAGGGAAUGUCCCACAUCAUUUCCAUGACACUCAUGCAACAAUGAUGAUUUAGAAAUUCAUGAAAAACUGGUCAUGCAUGCACCCAUGUGGACACUCAAGCACCAAGUUUUGUGGUUAUGUGACACUAGGACUCAAGAUUCAUUUUUCCUAUUUAAGUCAACCCAGUGUUUCCAAAACAUGCUCCUUUAUCAAUUCAUGCAUUCAUCCGAAUCUGUUUUGGGGGUUUGAAAAAAACACAUAGCAUUCACCCUUCGGGUGUACACAUAUUUUUUUCUCAAAAAUAUGCUCGUGUUCUGAAUGGAAAGUUCAUUUUCUUUCAAAAGCGUGUUGGCUUUUUAUUUAACCAAAUUAUUUUUCUUUUUAGCCAUUUUCUUAACAAAAGAGUAAAAACAGCUUGUAUCCUGGGCACAAUUGAUAUCUGAGAUUACAUUUUUGAAAAAGUCAUGCGAACGAGAGUACGCAAGGCCUGCACACAUUUCUUUUUUGCAUUUUAGACAAAUCAUCGUAAAGUAAGUACGACCAUAUGCUAGAAGCGGUAAUUGUGACAGAUAAAUGAAACAAUGACGACAUGUUCGACUUAACCACAAAGGACAGUAACGUCAAAUCACAAUGUCAAAGUAACCGAAAGUCGUAAUGAUAGAUCACAAUGAAAAUAACAAAAUAACUGAAAACCAUAAUGUCAGAUCACCAUGGAAAUAACAAAAUAACUAAAAGCAAUAAUGUCAGAUCACAAUGGAAAUAACAAAAUAACUGAAAGCAGUAAUGUCAGAUCACCAUGGAAAUAACAAAAUAACUGAAAGCAGUAAUGUCAGAUCACCAUGGAAAUAACAAAAUAACUGAAAGCAGUAAUGUUAGAUCACAAUGGAAAUAACAAAAUAACUGAAAGUAGUAAUGUUCAAUGAGGAGAAAUCACAGGUCUGACGAUCUCAGUCAUGUGGCUCCGCUCCCGCCCAGGAAGUCGAGCAAGUAAGCCAUAUCCUCAUCUUCCUGGGCUCCAUCCGCAUCUUCAGGGGUCCUUGCAGGUCCUACCUUUGUCUAAGUAUCGGGCCAGUCUCCAGGCCACGCGACCACAACCCCAAACUGCUCUGGAGUAGGACAUAUGUAAGGGUUGGAACCUUGGCCUUGCUGGCUGAGGGUGUAUCUGUGAAAAUACUCAUGCAACCGCACCAGUCCCCGGUGGUUGGCCGCCUGCUGGCUGGCCACAUGUCAUAUAUAGUGCUCCAACCUCUGUAGGUGAGCCGAGGUGGACUCUGGAGGUGGUGGUGGUGCGUCUGCUGCUGAUCCUCUCCAAGCUGUUGUGGUGCCUCGCCCUACGCCUGCCUAGGGGUACAGUACUUCUCGAUGAGGGCUCUGGUGAUAGGUAGUUGGAUGACCUUGCUGGGAGCGACAAGCACUCCGUAAAACUAGCAGAGGUUCGUGAUCAGAGCUGGGAACCCCAGGGCCCUAUUGGACUUCUUCGGGUCCAAAGGGUGCCUCGCAGGUGUUGUUCCUGCAAACAGAUAGAUGGCGUUAGCAAUCAACUGAGCCACGUGAAUGCUCAUCCGUGUCAGGAUGGCAUACACCAGCUGACACUUCGGCAGGGGGAGGUCAGAGUUGUGGUCGCUGGGCAGGAUGUUGCUGAGCAACAACGUCAUCCAUAUCUGAGUCAGGGUGGUCAUGCUAGUAUGUAUGAUCCACACCCAUUUUCUUGCAGCAGUUCGGGCGAAAUCCUACCCCGGUAUACACAAUAGCUGAGCAAUAGCCUCCUCAUCAAAGCUGGAAGCCUGGUUCCUCCUCUGACCGUAUUCACACUGUUGGCCUUCCUCCAAGAUCAACGGGUGGUCCAAGAAUUGGUUGAGGGCAUUUGCAUCGAAGGGGAUCCACUGACCCCUCACCCAUGAGCUCAUAUCCUGAACCCCCUCCUCGAUGGGCCAGGCGUUGGCAUAGAAUUCAAUGACUAUCUCCGAGUCGAAUUUAGCCAUGGGGGUGACAAGUGGUGCCAAGCGCCUGCGAGUUACUUCUUCCUGGAAAUUAGGGUACUCGUCCUCCCUAUGCUGGACCUGCCUCUCUCUGUGAAAUGACCAUCCCUUGAUGACCUCGAAGCAUUGCUGAUGCUUGGCACUCCGAAAUCGAUGCCGGUCAAAACCCGAGGCAGCACUGGAGCUUUCUCCAAUGGCAUCCUUUCUGGACCUCUUCGUGGAAAGCUUCUUCGAAGCCAUCUCAUGUGAAAACAAACAUUUGGAAAGUUAGUUUACAGGGAAUUACCAUUUUACAAGCAAAGUCUGGUAACAAUGGCCUAUGACUCUUUCCGGAAGUGAAUCUAGAGCAACUCAUAUACGUAUAUUUAAGGCAUUUUCGCUACCUAUUGGCAAGGCAUUUUGCUAAUUACAUCAACAAGGCCUUUUGCUACCCAACGUGCAACAUUUACAUUUUAGGAGGCAUUUUUGCUACCUAUCUAACUUAACAAGGUACUUUGUUACCUAAAUUAAUUAGAUUAACAAGGCAUCUUAAUUAAAUUGACAAGGUAUUUUGCUACCUAACAUGCAAUACAUAUACAUUUUGUGAGGCAUUUUCUUUGCAAAAUAUAUAUACAUUUUAUGAGGCAUUUUGUUACCUAUCUUAACUAAAACCCACAAAGUAUCUAAAUUACUUAAAUUAAUAGGGUAUCUUUGCUACCUAAGUUAAUUAAAUCCACAAGGUAUUUGGCUACCUAUCAUGCAAUAUAUACAUUUAUGAGGCAUUUUUGCUACCUAACACGCAAUAUAUACAUACAUUCAAUUAUUUUCAAAGAAAGUAUUUUUGCUACCCACAAUUAACAAAGGCAUUUUUUCUACCUAAGUUAUUUGAGCUACCUAUCCUACACCUACAAGCACAUGAUGGACAAUCAUUUCCAACCUCUAGGUGCACGACCAAUAUCAUGGUGCAACCCAAAGUUGAUUGUUUUGGCCUAAAAGGUAAGCUUCACCUAAUAAGCACUCACUCUUGUAUUUCCUUGUAUCCAAAAAAUAAUCCUUGGUUCCUAGGCCUAAGGUAUCACUCUAGUCCUCAUGAAAACUGCCUACACACUUCAAAAUGGCAAACAUUCGCAUACCAAAUUGUUCCAUAGGUUAUUCCUCACAAAAUCAUGCGCAAAUGCUAUUGAGACAUUUCAACGAGAACUUGGUGGGUGCUUGUUUAGGCAUGAAUAGCAAGGGAACAGGGGCAAUGUAGCAUGCCCAAAAAUUUUAGAAUACAACUUAGGCCUAAGGCCAUUGCCUACAACCUUCCAACUCAACCAAAACAAGCAUCAAUUCAAAGAUAAAGUGCCUCAUGGUUUUGAGCAUAAAUGGGCAAAUGAAGCAUCAAAAUAUACCAAAGGAAAGCUAGAGAGCCAAAGCAUGAGGUGCUUACUUGUUGGAGUGAGUAGGAGUACCAAAUGGAACCAAAAACAUGGACAAUGGUGGUUUAGGGGCCAAAAAAGCAGCAAAUCCCGUAGGUGCAGUGUUUUUUGAGUGAGGGGGGAGUUUUGGGGUGAAUGAAACUUCACCCCAGUCCCCUUUUUAAAAAUAUUUUUCGUGCAGGGGGUGCUCGCCCAGGCGAGCUCAGCUCGCCUAAGCGAGCUAAACCUGUGCAUUUUUUUUUGCAAGAAUUCUUUGCAAAAUUGUGUUUAACCUCUGGGUUGGUACUUGUUUUUAUUCUAAUUUUACGAGUAAGAAUAAACUAGGCAUAUUCAACUAUGACUUUAGAAAAAUAGAUGAAUAAACAACAAGCAGAAACUUUAAAGGAUAGUAGGCUACCUCCCAGUAGCACUUCUUUAACGUCUUGAGUCAGACAUGGGAUAAUGAUCUGCAGACCACGGGCCUGGUGUCUGCUCGUACUCGUCCCUAAGUUCCUGGAAGUAGGAAAUGGCACCACGCAGUAAAACAUGACUAUGCUACCACUUACCUUGGUUUCUCUUUUUCUUACAUUCAGCACGGUAUUGACCAUUGCUCGAAACAAAUCCUUUCCUAUCCUUCGAUUCACAGGAUAAAAAUAUGCAUGUGCAUGCGUAUCCAUGAGCAGUUCAAUCACAAUAACUUUAAACAAAAGUCUAUCAUGUUCAAUUUUACUUAAGCGCUUGUAGCAACCCUAUGGGUCGAGCGAAAAGGCUCGGACCAUCAAAAGAAUACGCAUCUUAAAGCAAUAAUAGACACAACGUGAGGGUUGAAAAAUGAAUCAUCAAUCUGAAGUUCAUUAGAUGUUGUGACCAAAGUUUAAGAAGGACAGGAAACUCUGGGGGAACCAUAGAAUACAAACAUGCAGUGACUUUCCUAAUUGCCCCAAGUGUUAAGCGUAGUAUCGCUUGACUACAUCGACGUUCAUAGGUGAAGGAAACUCCUCGUCAUCCAUGUUGGCGAGCACCAGGGCUCCUCUGGAGGAGGCCUUCUUUACGAUGAAUGGCCCUUCAUAGUUUGGAGCCCACUUUCCCCUAUUGUCCUUUAGGGCUUGGGAUACCUUCUUCAGCACAAGGUCUCCCUCGUUGAAUUUGCGUGGGCGUACCUUCUUUUUGAAAGCAUUCUUUACCCGUCUCUGGUAUAGACGUCCGUGGCUCAUAGCUGCCAGCCGCUUGGCUUCUAUAAGAUUGAGUUCAUCAAAGCGUGCUUUGGCCCAAUUCUAUUCUUUCAACCCGGACUCCGCCAGGAUCCUCAAAGAAGGGACUUCCACCUCAAAUGGUAGCACAACUUCCAUUCCAUACACCAAUGAAAAUGGCGUUGCCCCGGUUGACAUGCAUAUCGAGGUUUGAUAACCAUGCAACAUGAAAGGGACAAUUUCAUGCCAAUCCUUAUAUGACACGGUCAUCUUUUGAAUAAUCUUCUUGAUAUUCUUGUUGGCCGCCUCUAUUUCCCCAUUCAUCUUGGGCCUGUAAGGCAUGGAAUUGUGGUGUUGGAUCUUGAAGUCCUCGCACAUUUCCUUCAUCAUUUUGUUAUUCAGAUUGGUGGCAUUUUCUGUGAUAAUCUUCCUUGGUAACCCAUAUCGGUAGAUUAUCUCCCUUUUGAUGAACCUGACUACCACGCUCCUCGUGACAGUGGAGUAUGAGGUGGCUUUGACCCACUUGGUAAAGUAGUCGAUCGCAACUAAGAUGAAGUGAUGUCCGUUUGAAGCCUUGGGCUCAAUGGCCCUGAUCACAUCUAUUCCCCACAUGGAGAAGGGCCACAACGCUGCCAAAACGUUCAAAGGCAUGGGCGGAGCGUUGACGUUGUCCGCAAACAUCUGACACUUAUGACACUUUCUCACGUGGAGGCAAUAGUCGCUCUCCAUGGUGAUCCAAUAAUAGCCCGCCCUCAGAAUCUUUCUAGCCAUGGUGUGCCCGUUAGCGUGUGUUCCAAAGGAACCCUCGUGGAAUUCCAUUAGCAUUCGCUUAGCCUCCUUAGCAUCCACGCAUCGGAGUAAAACCAUGUCAUGGUUUCUUUUGUACAAUAUGUUUCCAUUCAAGAAGAAACCGGCUGCCAAUCUCCUUAACGUUCUCUUGUCGUUGUUGGAAGCCUCCUGUGGGUAUUCCUUGCUUUCGACGUAUCGCUUGAUGUUGAAAUACCAAGGUUUACCAUCAUGUUCUUCUUCUAUCAGACAACAAUGUGCGGGCUUGUCGCGACAUCUGAACUCAAUGUACGACAAGUCUCUGUGCGGAGUCAGCUGAAAAAUGGAUGCUUAAGUGGCAAGCGCAUCGACCAUUUGAUUUUCCUCUCGGGGAACAUGGUGGAAAGAGACUUCAUCGAAGAACCCAGCCAACUUCUUGAUGUAAUUUUGGUAGGGUAUCAACUUAUGAUCCCUAGUUUUUCAUUCUCCUCUAAGUUGGUGAAUCACUAAGGCUGAGUCUUCGUACACCUUGAGCAGCUUGACGUUGAAUAAGGCCAUAAUGUCCUGAUCCGGGAACUCAGGAUGCAUGGGCUGGUAAUCAUUGAGAGGUUGUUGAGCCAAAUAGUCCGCCAAGGCACUUCCCUUUAUCGGCUUUUGGGUGACGUAGACUAUGUCGAACUUGGAUAGCAAAACCUGCCACCGAGCGAUCCGCCCCGUGAGAGCGGGCUUCUCGAAGAUGUACUUGAAUGAGUCCAUCUUGGAUACCAACCAGGUGGUAUGGCUCAACAUGUACUGCCUUAGACGAUGGGACGCCCGUACCAAGGUGCAACAUGUUCUUUCCAAUAGAGAAUAGUUCAUCUCACAGGUCGUGAACUUUUUACUUAAGUAAUAGACAAGCCGUUCUCUUAAGUAAUAGGCAGCUCGUUCUAGUUUUCCCAGCAUGCACCCCAUCGACUCAUCCAACACCGUCAUGUACAGGAUAAGAGGUCUCCUAGGUACCGGUGGCAUAAGUACCAGAGGGUUCAUAAGGCACUGUUUGAUCCUUCCAAAUUCCUCUUGACAGUCAUCAUUCCAACAAAUGGACUCGUUCUUGCGCAAGAGCUUGAAGAGCGGCUCAUAGGUAGCCGUGAGCUGCAAUAUGAACCUUGCAAUGUAGUUCAAAUUCCCCAAGAAACCUCGAACUUGCUUUUCGGUGCACGGCUUCGGCAUUUCAAGGAUGGCGUUUACCUUUUUGGGGUCCACCUCUAUCCCCUUUUGACUUACAACGAAGCCCAGCAAUUUUCCUGAUUUGACUUCGAAGGUGCACUUGGCGGGGUUCAACCUUAACGGGUACUUCUGUAGUCUCUCAAACAACUUUCGCAAGUUGAUGAGAUGUUCUUCUUCAGUUUUGAACUUGGCGAUCAUGUCAUCCACGUAGACUUCAAUUUCUCUGUGCAUCAUGUCAUGGAACAAAGUUACCAUAGCCCAUUGAUAGGUUGCCCCAACGUUUUUUAGUCCAAAGGACAUCACCUUAUAAUAGAAUGUUCCCCACAAGGUGACGAACGUAGUCUUCUCCAUGUCCUCUGGUGCCAUCUUUAUUUGAUUGUAGCUCGAGAAAUCGUCCAUGAAGGAAAACAAAGUGAAACUAGCUGUGUUGUCCACAAGGAUGUCGAUGUGCGGCAAAGAAAAGUUAUCCUUGGGACUGGCUCGGUUUAGGUCCCGAUAGUCCACACAUAUUUGUACCUCCAGUCUUUCUUAGGGACUGGCACAAUGUAGGCCACCCACUUAGGGUAUCGAGCCACUGCCAAGAAGCCAACGUUGAACUGCUUUUUCACUUCCUCUUUGAUUUUCAAAGACAUCUCGGGAUUCAUUCUUCUUAGCUUUUGUUUCACCGGGGAACAACUGGAGUUCAAAGGCAACCUAUGUUACACAAUGUCGCGGCUCAAACCAGGCAUAUCUUCGUAGGACCAAGCAAAGACGUCUUGGUAGUCCCAUAGUAGAGCCACUAAUUCCUCACAGAUAGGUGUGGUCAUACCCGUACCCACCUUUAUUUCUUUCUUUCCAUCGCCAACACCUAGGUUUAAGAUCUCUGUUUCUUCUUGGUGUGACUUCAUCUCUUGGUCUUCCUGAGCGAUUAUCCUUUCUAGCUUUGAGAAAAACCCUAUAUCUUCUUCUUCCUCAUCCUCUGCUCGACUUGCUUCUCGCUCAAAAUUGAUGGCUGGGUCCUCAGUAUUAGUACCUUCACAGGACUCGUUGUCGGAUCUGUAUCAUUUAAACGCAAUAGAAAUAAACAUGCAAAUGAAUGAGAAUGGGUGACGGCACAAGAACAGAUGAAGAAAGAUCUUUAUAUUAUAAUCUUUGAGAUCAAAAGACAUAAUGCCUUAACAAGGAGAAAAAACCCUAGAGCCUAGGCCCAGCCGUAGGGUUAAAACUAAAAAGUUACAUUAUAUUCGUCAUGUAAACUUCAAGUCGUUCCACCACUUGCCAGUUCCCUAGCUGGAAAUCGGGAAGGCAUGGUUGCACCAAGCCCAACCGCCUUUGAGGGGCUUCGUCGAAUAUCGCGGUGACUUGCUCUUCGUGUCUUAAGCCCAUGCUCACGAAGCUUCUACUGAUGUGGCAAGGUGGGACCUCUCUUGCUUGUGGUCUUGGCUGCGAGCCCUGACCCUUGUUCCUCCUUUCCAAGAUGUUUUUCCUCACAUCAGCCUGUGUGGGUUUAUAGCCUAACCUGAAUCUCUCGUGGUUUCCCUUGAUGUCUACUACGCCGGCCAUGCCAUCAUUAUUCUUGCCCAAACCCAUUCCGGGCUCAUAGUCAUGCACUAACAUUACCCAGACCACCAUCAUUGUCGUGCCAAACAUGCGGAGCUGCAUUGGGAGGGAUUUUAUGGAAGCAUUGCUUACCACCUCAAAGGACUGGAAAAUCGUUUCCAAUGACUCUUCCGUGGCUUCCACAUAUGGCAUAGAGGAGGGGCAGCUCACCAGAACAUCUUCUUCCCCCGAAACAAUGAUCAAAUGCCCUUCCACCACGAAUUUCAGUUUUUGGUGGAAUAUUGAGGGGACAACUCCCACCGAGUGAAUCCAUGGUCGGCCCAACAAGCAACUAUAGGCUGGGUUAAUAUCCGUCACUUGAAAGGUAACCUGGUAGGUGUGGGGCCCUAUCUAAAUUGAGAGGUCGAUCUCCCCUCUUACUUCCCAGCGACCGCCAUCAAAAGCCCAGACCACCAUAGAGCUUGGCCUCAGGUGAGAGGCAUCGAAUGACAGUUUUUCCAAUGUGCUUUUGGGCAUUACGUUUAGACUCAAGCCAUUGUCGAUGUGCACCUUGGCCAUGAUGUGUUCCAUGCAUUUGACCGAUACAUGCAGAGCUCUAUUAUGCCCUCGUCCUUCGGCAGGAAUCUCCUCCUUGGCGAAGGUGAGGUAGUUGUUGGCUGUGAUGUUGUUGACAAUCCCCUCAAAGCCUUCUACAGAGAUGUCUUGGGCCACAUGGGCCUUGUUCAAAACCUUAACCAACAAUGAUCAGUGAGACUCAAAGCUCAUGAGCAAUUCUAGUAGGGAGACCCUAGCCGGGGUCUUGUUGAGUUGUUCGAUAAUCUUGAACUCGCUCUGUUGGAUAAUGCGGAGGAACUCGUUGGACUCCUCCAAUGAUACCUCCCUUCCACUGAAACCCUCCUUUCUCUUGGUGAACCUCCCUAUCGAAACAUCCUCGUCCGACACGGGGCUUGCUUUGUUGGUUUGUUCUUUGAUCACCUUCGCUUUCCCUUUAGCAUUCACGGGCCGUGCCGGUAGGUCAGGUGGUGCGAAAAUGUGACCGCUGUGGGUCACGCCGCUUAGGCAGGUGAUAUUGGUCACUUUUGCUGACAGUGAGUCAAUGUCGGUGGUCUCUUCCUUCCUUUUGCUUGGCUUUGGAGGGGCAUACCUCCACGGGACCGCAUUGCUGUUCUUAUAGGGGAAAGGGACAUGUUUAUUGCCCGACAUUGUUGAAGGGCCUCGGUGCCUUCGGGGAGCAGCAUCCCUGGUGAAAUGUAUCACCAAAGGCUUAGGCUUCUUAGGACUCUCCUUAUAUGCUAACUGUAUGCAGGAAUGUUAUUCCCUUUCGUCCUCGUUGCUGAUCUCAAGCCGUCUGCCGUAAUAGCUCCUUGUCGCAACCUACCCAUCGGCGGGAGGGCGGCGCGAGGGCUCACAGGUGCGUCUUCCAAGGGAGGAAAAUGCGCGGAGUCACCACCAACGUUUAUUCGAGGAAAACAUCGGAAAAACCGGAAAGGUGUGGUCUACGAACUUUAAGUGUGAAAGGUUCGGGAGUUGUAUUUAUGCACGGGGAAGGUAUUAGCACCCCACGCGUUCGUCACAAAGGACGGCAACCUUUAAUCAAGUGUGCAAAUAUGACUUCAAAAUUUAUUUUUUCCUUUUUUUAUGUUUUUUUGCUUUUUAUGGGUCUUUUUUGUAUUUUUUAUUUUUUUGUGGUUGACAAGGGUGUUUCCCUCGCUCCUACGUAUCGUCAGUUGCGAUGAGAAAAUCAGACCUACGUAGUUCUUUAAGAACUGAACGUUGGUUAAUUUGUUUUUAUCUUUUGCAAGAUAUAUUUUGACCAAACAAAAGUCGUUUAAGGCAUUGGACCAUUUAAACGAACUUUUGAUUCUUUUGAAAGGAGAGAAAAAAUGUUAAGAUGUUGGACCAUUAACGAUCUCUUGGUUUUUUGAAAGUAGCAACAAAGUUUACACGUUGAUUUUAUGCUUUCGAAAGUUCAUGUUAACCAAUAAAAGCAAAGAGGACCGUUUAAGGCGUUGGACCUUAAAAUGGUUUUUAGUGAUUUUUUGUGGACAAAACUUGAUUUGCAAGUUGAUUUUAGCCUUUGUUUCACUUUGGUUAUUAGUCAAUUGAUCCAAGGAAACUUCCAAAGAAAAAACGUCCGCUUGAUUUUUUUUUGAUUAUUUUAUUCAAAGAUAUUUUGAUUAUUUUAUUAUUAUUUUGCCCUUUUUGGAUUAAAACGUGGUUACGGCGUGAAUGAUCGGUUGGAUUUUAUUUUAACAGAGAUUAAACGAUAUUACAACUCAAAUGAUUGGUGGAAAUUCAUUUUAUUAUUUAUUAGAUGAGAAAACGGCUUAAAUAAAUGGUUAAAGCACGUUAAAAAGGGAGUACGAAAAACAAACGAAAAUAAAAAUAAAAGCACGCGAAACAAGUGGGGACCACUAAGGGUGCAUAAAAUGAAUUGAAAGAUUCGAUUUCGGGAACUUACUGGUUGAAGACCGAAGAACGGUGAAGAACGGUGAAAAACCUUCACGAAAUCGCUUACGAAAACGUCUCGGAAGCGUUACGGAAGCGCCUCGGCUUGAAUUUUCUUCACGGAAACAAUAUUCCUCACUAAUUUCAAGAGAAUCCUAAAUACCAAAAGGGCUGAACGAAAUUACUCAGCCCUCUUUCCCCUAUUUAUAGGGAAAAAGAGGGAGGUGGUUGCCGCCUAGCUCGCCCAGGCGAGCUGGGUUGCUUCCACCAGAAGGCACCGCCUUCUGUUGGAACCCCCUAGAAGGCCCAAGUGGGCUUGGUUGCUAUUUGCACACCCCUUUUUAAUAAAUACACCCCUAUUUUGCUUUUUUUGCUGAUUCCUUUUUCGUAAUGUUACGGAACUUUACGGAUUACGUAACGACACUUAUUUUCUUUCUGGAAUGUUGCGAAACCUUACGGAUUAUGCAACAAUGCCUUUUUUGACCUUUGGAAUGUUGCAGAACUUUACGGAUUGUGCAACAAUGCUUCCUUUCAACUUUCGGCAUGCCGCAGAACUUCACGGAUUGCCUAAUGAUGGGAUUUAAGUACCUCAAAGCGGUCAAGCGAAGGUUGCAUGCCACCAAACAAUGGUCCCCGGACGAAAUUAGGGUAUGACAGCUUCCCCUCUUUAAUUAUCUUUUAUUGGAGAUAAAAGCGAAGUAAAGAUAAGAUAAUUUCGUUCGAGAGGAACGUCAUUUGGCCGGUCAAUAUCCUCGCAAGCGGAACCUAUCAUUCAAAAAGAAAAGAAAAGGCAUUAGAAGCGUCAACAAACUUCAGUGUCUUGAAAGCGACAAAGUUGGACAACUACGACACUUCCCUUCGCCAUUGCACUCGAUCGUCCCUGCCCAGCAGAGAAGAACCUCGCGCAUCGCCGGGCUUGAAUGUUUCCGAACGACGAGAGUAAAACCUGCAAAAAAUUUGAAAAUAAUCAGAACCGAACGACCAACAUCAUCCUGAUGUCGUCGAAUUUGUUCCCCUCGGUUGAUGAAAGGUGUGGAUGACUAUAAGGUAUCUUCGCCUGCCACCUGACUUGUUGUCCCUAGAUGGCAAAAGGUGCAGAAGACGAUGUUAGUCUCUACGCGUCAACGGGCUCGUUUGCCCCUGGUUGACGAAAGGUGCGGGUAACCAUACGGUAACACCGCAUGUCACCUGACUUUACGGGUCAGGACGACAAAAGGUGCAGAAGAAGAUGCUAGUCUCUGCACGUCAACGGGCUCGUUUGCCCCUGGUUGACGAAAGGUGCUGGUAACCAUACGGUAACCCCGCAUGUCACCUGACUUCACAGGUCAAGACGAUAAUAGGUGCAAAAGACGAUGUUAGCCUCUGCAUAUCAACGGGCUCGUUUGCCCCUGGUUGGCGAAAGGUGCGGGUAACCAUACGGUAACCCCGCAUGUCACCUGACUUCACAGGUCAGGACAACAAGGUGCAGAAGACGAUGUUAGUCUCUGCUUGCUAUCGUGCUUUGAGUCUUACGGAUAGCGAAAGAAUGUUUAUAGGAUAACAACUUGGGUAUCUCCGCCUGCCCCCUAACUUCAUGGGUUAGUAUUGACAGAAAUUGUAUGUGUACAGAUAACACUCGGGGUAUCUCUGUACGUCACCUGACUUCACGGGUCAGGAUGACAGAAAGCGCGGAAGACGACGUAAAUCUCUGCGUGUCAAUGGGCUCAUUGGCCGCGAUUGAUAAAGAGUGCAGAAGAAGACGUUAGUCUCUGCUUGCUAUCAUGCUUUGAGUCUUACGGAUAGCAAAAGAGCGUUUAUACGGAUAACAACUUGGGUAUCUCCGAAUGCCAUCUAACUUCACGGGCUAGUAUUAACAGAAAUUGUCUUUGUACGGAUAACCACUCGGGGUAUCUGCGUACGUCACCUGACUUCACGGGUCAGGAUGACAAAAAGCGCGGAAGAUGACGUAAAUCUCCGCGUGUCAACGGGCUCGUUGGCCGCGAUUGACAAAGGGUGCAGAAGACGACAUUAGUCUCUGCAUGCUAUCGUGCUUUGAGUCUUACGGAUAGCGAAAGAGUUUUUAUACGGAUAACCACUUGGGUUUCUCCGCCUACCCCCUAACUUCACGGGUUAGUAUUUACUGAAAUUGUCUGUGUACGGAUAAUACCCGGGGUAUCUCCGUACGUCACCUGACUUCAUGGGUCAGGAUGACAGAAAGCGUGGAAGACAACGGAAAUCUCUACUUGUCAACGGGCUCGUUGGCCAUGAUUGACAAAGGGUGCAGAAGAUGACGUUAGUCUCUGCUUGCUAUCGUGCUUUGAGUCUUACGGAUAGCGAAAGAGUUUUUAUACGGAUAACCACUUGGGUUUCUCCGCCUACCCCCUAACUUCACGGGUUAGUGUUAACAGAAAUUGUCUUUGUACAGAUAACCCCUCGGGGUAUCUCCAUACGUCACCUGACUUCACGGGUCAGGAUGACAGAAAACGUGGAAGAUGACGUAAAUCUCCGCGUGUCAACAGGCUCGUUGGCCGCGAUUAACAAAGGGUGCAGAAGACGACGUUAGUCUCUACUUUCUAUCGUGCUUUGAGUCUUAUGGAUAGCGAAAGAGUGUUUAUACGGAUAACCUCUUGGGUAUCUCCGCCUGCCACCUAACUUCACGGGUUAGUAUUAACAGAAAUUGUCUUUGUACGGAUAACCACUCGGGGUAUCUCCGUACGUCACCUGACUUCACGGGUCAAGAUGAUAGAAAGCGCAGAAGACAACGUAAAUCUCCGCAUGUCAACGGGCUCGUUGGCCGCGAUUGACAAAGGGUGCAAAAGACGACAUUAGUCUCUGCAUGCUAUCGUAUUAUGAGUCUUAUGGAUAGCGAAAGAGUGUUUAUACAGAUAACCACUUGGGUAUCUCUGCCUGCCACCUAACUUCAUGGGUUAGUAUUAACAGAAAUUGUCUUUGUACGAAUAACCACUCGGGGUAUCUCCGUACGCCACCUGACUUCAUGGGUCAAGAUAACAAAAAGUGUGGGGCAGUCAACAAAAGCGAGGCUCUUGCUCCUAAGUAUCCUCAAUUUGUGAUGAGGAACUCAGACCUACGUAGUUCUUUCUUUGGCGGUGUGAGACUAAAAUAGUCUCUACCGGAAGAUGCUGACAUGUCCGGAAAGGGGACAGAUGACCACACUGGUCUCUACUUGUCAAUCAGACUUGGGGUCUUCGAAUGAUGAGGUGCGGAUAACUGUAAGGUGUCUCCGCAUGCUACCAGACUCUUGGGUCAUGAUAGCUAAAGGUAGGGUGGUCGACAAAAGCGGGGCUUUUGCUCUUACGUAUCCUCAAUUUGUGAUGAGGAAGUCAGACCUACAUAGUUCUUGCUUGCGAGACAAAAAUGGCCUCGCCGUUCUUUAACUAAAAUGUGAACAUGCUUUAGUAAAGAAACAAAACUUCCAACUGAUCAGAGCAACAUAUAAUUUUGAUGAAAAACAAUAUGCCUAUUGGGGAAGGAGAGUAUGCUGAUGAAAUUUUCUCACAACCAUAAAUGAGAUUUUGGAUGUUAGCGAUUCGUCUCUAACGAGCAUUUAGAGGGAACACCGGGUCCAACAAAAUAGAAGAAAAUCACUCAAAGUGUAUCAAUCUCACACAGGUAAGUGUUUCAUCCUAAUUCCGAACCAUAGAUAUGUCAUGACUUAAUUUUGCAAAUCAUUUCCUUUCAAAUCAAAGAUUAUAUGCGUGAUCAUGGAUCAAUUGGACUUUUUCUUGGGGCAUAGUGUUUUUGGAGGGGAUUUUGGCUCUGAGUGUUUUGGCCUUUUCCUUUUCUAUUUUUGUUUAGUGCGAGGUGAAAAAGUCACUGACGCACAGGAUUUUGGUUGGCAAUCAAAGGGAGAGGACCACUUCAGGUCGUGGUUUCCUUUCUUUCCUUAUUUGGUGGUGACAAUUCUGUAUUGUUCAGAUAUUGUCUGGCCCAAAGACCUUUCUGCAUAUUUCUUUUGUUUUCUUCCGAUCUUUGAUCGGGAAUUUUCUUUCUUUUUUUGCUUUCUCCCAAUCUUUGAUUGGGAGUUUUCUUCUUUUGCUUUCUUCCGACCCUUGAUCGGGAACUUUCUUUUUUUUGUCUUCUUCUGAGAGCAAGGAUGGGCAUUCUCACCCAGGGUCAAGGUUUAUGGUGAGUUAGGAUUUUGGCUUAAAGCUUGUAGAACAGCUGGAUGUGAUAUAUGCCAGGGUGUUGGUUUGGCCAGCGAUUCGGGGAUAAAGGAGAUGUCCCACAUUAUUUCCAUGAUACACAUGCAACAAUGAUGAUUAGGAAAUUUUAUGUAAAACUGGUCAUGCAUGCACCUAUGUGGACACUCAAGCAUCAAUUUUUUAUGGUCAUGUGACACUAGGGCUGAGGAUUCAUUUUCCCUACUUAAGUCAACCCGAUGUUUCCAAAAUAUGCUCAUUGAUCAAUUCAUGCAUUCAUUCGAGUCCAUUUUGGGUGUUUCGGGAAAUUUUCGCAGCAUUCACCCUUCAGGUCCAUACACAUUUUUUCAAAACUGGUGUUAUGAUCAGUGAAUCUUUUUCAAAAGAAAAGUUGGAAGUUAUUUCUUUUCAAAAGCGUGCUGGUUUUUCAGCUAGACAAUUUAUUUUUCUUUUUCUUCAUCUAUUAAGUUAUUAUUAUUUGUUUAUUUCCUUUUUGCUAAAAAGGUCGUGCGAAUGAGGGCACACACUGCCUACUCACGUCAAACCACAAGGUAAACGAAAAAACAUACAAUGGUAAGUCGCAAUAAAAACAGUGACGAAAUAACUGAGAGCCAUAACGCCAAAUUAUAGCAGAAACAGAAACAAUAACUGAAAGCAGUAAUGUUAAUGACAACAAAAACAAUAACCGAAAGCAGUAAUGUUAAUAACAAAAAGUGCGGCGACCUUGGUCAUGUGGCUCCGCUCCCUCCCAAGAAACCGAGCAGGUCAGUCAUAUCUUCAUCCAUAUGGGAUUCAUCCGCCUCACUGGGGGAUCCUGCAGGCUCCUCUCCUGCCUGGGCAUCGGGCCAGCCUCCAGGCCAUGUGACCUCAGUCCCAAACUGCUCUGGGGUAGGGCUUACAAAAGGGGCGACACCCUGCCCCUGCUGACUGAGGCUGAACCGAUAGAGACACUCAUGUAUCUGCACCUACCCACGGUGGUUAGCUGUUUACUGGCGAACCAAAUGUUGUAGAUAGCGCUCCACGCCCAGUGGCCCAGUGCGUGUAGCCCUCUGAAGGCGAGGACGUGGAGUCCUCUGAAGGUGAGGAUGUGUAGUCCUCUGAAGGCGAGGACGUGUAGUCCUCUGAAGGCGAGGGCAUGCAGCCCUCUGAUGGCGAGGACGUGUAGUCUUUUGAAGGCGAGGGCAUGUAGCCCUCUGAAGGCGAGGGCAUGUAGCCCUUUGAAAGUGAGGGCGUGCAGCCCUCUGAAGGUGAGGACGUGGAGUCCUCUGAAGGUGAGGACGUGUAGUCCUCUGAAGGCGAGGACGUGUAGUCCUCUAAAGGCGAGGGCAUGCAGCCCUCUGAUGGCGAGGACGUGUAGUCUUUUGAAGGCGAGGGCAUGUAGCCCUCUGAAGGCGAGGGCAUGUAGCCCUCUGAAAGUGAGGGCGUGCAGCCCUUUGAAGGCGAGGACGUGUAGCCCUCUAAAGGCGAGGGCGUGUAGCCCUUUGAAAGUGUGGGUACUAGUACCUGUCAUACCCUAAUUCCGUCCGGGGACCAUUGUUUGAUGGCAUGCAACCUUUGUUUGACUGCUUCGAGGUACUAGGCACCCUUUGUUGCACAAUAUGUGAAGUUCCGUGACAUGCCGGAGAUCAAAAGGAAGCAUUGUUACAUAAUCCGUGAGAUUCCGUAACAUGCCGAAAAUCAAAAGGAAGCAUUGUUACGCAAUCCAUGAGGUUCUGUAACAUUCUGAAAGCCAAAAAAGGAGUAAUUACGUGACCCGUAAGGUUCCGUAACCUUACGGAAAGAAAACAAGUAUCGUUACGAAAUUCGUAAAGUUUCGUAACGUUACGGAAAAAGAAUCACCAAAAAAAGAAGGGGGUGUACUUAGUAAAAAACGGGGUGCAAAUAGCAACCAGGCCCACUUGGGCCUUCCAGAAUGUUCCUCCAGAAGGCAGUUGCUUCUGGAGGAAACAACUUGGCUCACCUGGGCGAGCCGGGUGGCAAGCUCCUCCCCUAUUUUCCUAUAAAUAGAGGGAGGAGUGAAGGAGAAAGGGGUUCAACCCUUCUGGUAUUUCGAGAUCACUUAAAAUUAGUGAAAAAAAUUGUUUCCGUGAAGAAAAUCCAAGCCGAGGUGCUUCCGUAACGUUUCCAUGGGUGAUUUCGCGAAGAUUUUCAACCGUUCUUCGUCGUUCUUCGGUCUUUAAUCGGUAAGUCCCCGAAAUCGAACUUUUCAAUUCAUUCUAUGUACCCUUGGUGGUCCCCAUUUGUUUCGCGUACUUUUAUUUUCAUUUCAUUUACUUUCCGUACCCCCUUUUGACGUGCUUUAGUCAUUUACUUAAGUCAUUUUCUCGCCUAAUCAAAAUAUAAAAUAAAUUUUCACCGAUCAUUUGAUUUAUAAUAUCCGUUAAUUUCUGUUAAAAUGAAAUCCGACUGUUUGGUCAUGCCGUAACCACGUUGGAAACCAAAAGGAGGUAAAAUAAUAAUAUAAUAAUCAAAAAAUAUCUUUUUGUAAAAUAAACCAAAAAAAUCAAUCAGACAUUUCUCUUUGGGAUUUCUCUUUCUUAAUUGAAUUGACUAAUACCAAAAGUGAAACUAAGGCUAAAAUCAACUCGCAAAGUCAAGCUCGUCCGCAAAAAAUCAAUAAAAAGGAUUUUAAGGUUCGAUACCUCAGUUUUUCUCACCAAGUAAAAAUGGAUCAUUUUAAGGUCCAACGCCUUAAAAAGACCACCUUCCAAGUAAAAAGAAUCGCUUGAUUUGCCCUUUAGAAAGAACUACGUAGGUCUGAUUUCUUCUUCGAUGGAGGGUACGUAGGAGCAAGAGCCCCGCUUUUGUCGACCUCAAAAAUUAAAAAGAAAUAAAAGUUUAGGUACACAAUUUCACACAAUUCUAAUUUAAGGCUGUUGUCCUUUGGGACAAACGUGAGAGGUGCUAAUACCUUCCUCAAACGUAAAUACAACUACCAAAUCUGGAAUAUUCUUCAUGACCGGUUUCCUUCGGUUUUUCCGAUGUUUUCCACAAAUAAAGUUGGUGGUGACUCCGCGCAUUUUCCUUCUUUGGAAGACGCACCCGAGAGCCUCGCCUCGCUCGCCCGCAAAAGGGUAGGUUGCGACAGUUGGCGACUCCACUGUCGACUAUUUUUGUGAGUUGGGCCUAUUUUAGGAAAGUGUGGAAUUGUGAAACUUUUGUGUGUGCAUUUUUUCUUGAACUGUGUAAAAAUAAUAAAUGUUGUCUUUUCCACAUUUUUACACUGCAUUCUAAGCACCCACGGGUUUGAGUAAAAAAGGGGCCUUAUACCUGGGUUCAUGGAAAUCUAAAGAGUGGAGGUGGAUCUAUGGUCAUGCUAGGUCUCCGACUUGCUUGAUAAUAGUGAAACCUUGUCUAGAGCUUUCUCUGUUUAUAAUGUGUUGUCGCUGGUAUUCCAUACCGCCACAAUAUUACUAUCUUGAGUGAUGAUACCUCUAGAAAACAGCCAUGUGAAAUAUGGAUUGUUGGGAGUAGUUAUUAGAGACCCGUAGAUAUUAUCCUAUAGGUCCCUAAAAUAGGGGCACAAAGUGAACACGCUGUGUGCCUUUUAAACAUUGUCAUGCAUAUAACCUAAAUGUCAUGUAUGCCUUUGCUGUAUGAUUAUUUGUGGAUAUUGCCAUGCUGUGUACAUCCCCGUGUUAUGCUUUUUUGUGUCUGCUUCAUGUCGUCAUGCACGCGUUGUAUGUUGGUUUCGUCUUUUGUCAUGGGAAGCCGGAAGGUCCAUAUCACCUUCUUUACUACACACAUUGGGAACUGCGUCCCCGAAUGUGCAAGUAAGAAGAGAUGAUUUUUCGGGUUCUCGUGUCCGAAAAUGCAUUCAUAUCAUGCAUCUCUUCAAGGCAUCAUAAUGAACAUAUUAUUCCUGCAUUUGUCCGUUAUCAUAUUCCAGCGUCACAUUUUGCAUGAGUCAUUGCAUCAUCAUACAUAUGCAUUCUACAUACAAUUUGUUCUACAAACUACAUACCUUUUGUUUUCAUGCAUGAUCCUUGCAUUUUCCUCUGCAAAACAAAAAACAAAAAAAGGGAAGCAUGAAAAUUCACGCUGCAUGCUUAGUUGCAUAUGUUCGGUACCAUGAGCCAACCAUGUUGGGAUCAUAAACCCAUUUCACUUAAAAACAAAAUGAUUGAACAUGGUACCUAAUGCAUGGUUAACUAAGAAAAGAUGUUUCUUUGGGCAUCUCAAUCUCAUAAUUACAUUUUCCAUGCAUAGCAUGCGUAUUCCCGAGUCUUUCAUCCCUAUGAAAUGUUGUUGAAGUAUUGGUGAUCAAAAUUGCCAUUCCCUGGGUUAUGGGGUUGAACCAAGCUCGUGCUUUUACGAAAAGGUUCAUCGAGUCAAGUUGAAGUAUGGAAGUAACCAUCUUGCAAAAAAAUUGGGGCAAAAGAUGGAUCGUGUUACAUCGUUGCUUCGUCUACUACCAAACACAUUUAGGACUGUCGAUGUCCCUGUUACUUCCAGUUUCACCUUGACGAAGAUGUCAUGGACCAUGUUGAAAAUCUAAAUUGAUUCAACCCCAUAUCCUGCAUAAAAAUUCGCAAUACUUCAACUGUGCAUCAUUCGCAUACAUCCAUGCUUUUCAUUGGUUGUAUUGCUCAUUGCAUUCUUUCCUUGAAAAAUAAAACAAACUUAAUCGUUGUUAUCAAAAAGAAAAGAACACGCUUUUUGGUGCCCUUACCGAACUCGUGCUAGAGCUAGAGUAAUAGGUGAAGUAGAGGAGGUGCAAGAGCAGAUGAAGGCCGACAUGGAGGCCAUGAAAGAGCAAAUGACCACAAUGAUGGAGGCCAUGAUGAGCAUGAAGAAGAUAAUGGAAGCCGAUGCAGUUACAAUUGCCGCUACCAGCGCUGUUGCAAAGGUGAACCCGAUGCCCCCAUCUGAUCUCAACCAAUGAAUCAUCCAACCUCAGAUAUGGUAGGCAAAGAUUUGGGAAGUACGGACGACCCCAUGAUGUGCAAAUUCAAAAUGAGCAUGCCUUCCCAUUUUAUGGCUUGCCUCCCAACUAUACACCACCCGAUGUGGCGUACACUCCCAAUGAGGAUGUCAUUAACUCCACUCCCAUGCUCAUUGAGAGCCGAUAACCUCAUCAUAUACAUGUCUCUCAACCCAUGGGGGAGACACAUGAAAUACCCCACCACAAUCUAGCCGACUUCGAGCCUUGCCUCGGAUAUGCCACUGAAGGGCAAGCAGUUGGUGGUAUACCCCUGCAAAACACUUUGGAGGGCCCUUCAGUAUCACCCACAACUACACCUCUUGCAUUCCAGAAGUAAAAACCCUCAUGCUAUGGAAGAAAUGGGAAAGUUGGAUCAUCUAGAGGAAAGACUCAGGGCCUUUGAAGGAGGUAAAGAUUAUGCCUUUGCUAACCUAGAAGAGUUGUUCCUAGUACCCAAUAUCAUCACCCCUCCCAAUUUCAAGGUUCUGGACUUUGACAAGUACAAGGGGACUACUUGCCCCCAAGAACCAUCUAAAGAUGUAUUGUCGGAAGAUGGGGGCAUACGCAAAAGAUGAGGAAUUGCUGAUACAUUCCUUCCAAGAAAGUCUUACUGGAGCUGUUACCUGGUGCACUAACUUGGAACCUUCCCGAGUCCAUUCUUGGAAGGACCUAAUGGUUGCCUUCGUUAGGCAGUGUCAGUAUAAUGGCUUCGGAUAGGAUGCAACUACAGAACACGUGCAAAAAAGGGGGCACAGAUCUUUCAAAGAAUAUGCCCAAAGGUGGAGAGACCUGGCAGCUCAAGUGGCACCUCAGUGACGAAGAAAGAAAUAAUAACAAUGAUAGUAGACAUAUUACUAGUGUUAUAUUAUGGAAAAUGGUGAGUUACACGCCUUCAAGAUUUGCAGAUUUGGUCUUCACUGGUGAAAUGAUCGAAGUGGGUCUAAAAAGAGGCAAAUCUGAUCAUCAUGCUUUGAUAAAUGCAAAAAAACUAGGGCAAAUGAAGAGGGUGAGAAUGAGGGAGAAACCCAUGCUGUGACUACCAUUCCUAUACAGCCAAGUUUCCCACCAACCCAAAAAUAUCAUUACUCAGCCAAUAACAAACAUUCUCCUUACCCACCACCCAGUUAUCCACAAAGGCCAUCCCUAAAUCAAUCACAAAGCCUGUCUACCACACUUCCAAUGACGAACACCACCUUUAGCACAAACCAAAAAACUAACCAAGAAAUGAAUUUUGCAACAAAAAAGCCUGUGGAAUUCACCCCAAUUCAGGUGUCCUAUGCUGACUUGCUCCCAUAUCUACUUUAUAAUUCAAUGGUAGCCAUAACCCCAACCAAGGUUCAUCAACCUCCAUUUCUCCGAAAAUACAACUCGAACGCAACGUGUGCUUGUCAUGGAGAAGCCUCGAGGCAUUCCAUUGAGCAUUGUAGGGCCCUGAAGCGUAAGGUGCAAGGUCUAAUUGAUGUGGGCUGGCUAAAAUUUGAGGAGAAUCGCGUGUAAAUCCUGACAUUGACAAGAGAUGCCACACAUGGGGCAAUUUUGAAAGUUGUUGUUAGAUGUAUCUAAUGACUCAUCAGGAUUUUCAAGUUUAUACCAUUAUUGUAAACCAUAGUUACAAUGCUAAAUAAAAUGGAUAAUUUUGAUAUCUUUGUCCCUCAUCCUCUCACAAACGCAUCUUUGCUUAUUCAACUUUCACCGGAAUGUGGGUGCAAGCCAUUAGUCUGUUUGCUCAAGCGAUCUGCGCUCCUGAGUUUGGACUUUCAAGAACGUUCAAUCAGAAAUUACUCGUGCUACACAUUUGGUGAAGGUGCCGUAAAACGACAAGUAAAGCAAAAAUAAGUUUCAAAAUAAAAAAAAAGCAUUUGAUUGACUAUGUUUUCAAGUAAAAAUAUAGGCAUUCAUGUGAGCUCAUUUUAUCAUUCCUGAAAGUUUGUCUUUUUGAGAGAGAAGUGAGUUAUCAAGAAUAGGAGUCAUUUGACUUAAUUCGUCAAUUGAAAAAUCCUUCAACUAUUUCUCGUCCUCGAAAAAUUCUUUUGCGAGAAUCAAUCGCUUAUUUCAUUCUUCCUUGCUACCAGGUUGUGAAAAGAAAGAUGGAUACCGCAGAGCCCUACACUAGGGCAAUGAGGGGCAUCGUGCAUGAACCUCAAGUGAACCAAGGGGGAGAUUAGAAGUUCUCACCCAAUAGGUUCCCUGCUACAAGGUCAUGAUGAAAGACAACGAUUGGUACCUCAAAGCCUUACACUGGGGCAAUGAGGGGCACCGUGCAUGAGCCUCAAGUAAAACUAGGGGCAGAUUAGAAGUUCUUACCCAAUAGGUUCCCAGCUACAAGGUCAUGACGAAAGAUAACAAUUGGUACCUCAAAGCCUUACAUUGGGGCAAUGAGGGGCAUUGUGCAUGAGCUUCAAGUGAACAUAGGGGCAGAUCAAAAGUUCUCACCCGACAAUGUUUUUAAACAAAAAAAAAAGAUGGGGACAAACCCUGGAAUUUCAAUGGAUUGAUUAAAUGUCAAACAGCUCCAUUGUCGUCACUCCAAAAUGGUCAAGUGACUAAAUCAAACAGAACACACACUCUGAGGGAGUUCCCGGAGAGAUUUGCAAAAGAUAGGAUAAGGUUGCAUGAAUUAUCACCUCUUUCAAAAGGACAGUCAAUCUGUGUUUUCAAAAAAAAAAUUAAAUCAAAAUCAAAAUUACAAAAUAGGGAAAGAAUGUCAAGAACAUCGUACAACUUUCCAUUACAUUGCAUUGUUUCAAAUGAAGUCCGCAUUUACCAAAUUUCACGACAAAGGUUGCAUCUAUCUGCAUCCCUAAAAAUCAUGUUAACUGCAUAGAUUUCCUACACCUAAUGUCCCAUCUUUUGGAAUUUGGGAUGACCGGCCCUCUCAAUGAGUCAAUCUCUUCCUUUCUCAAAAGGGUGGACCCUUGGGUACUAGUACCCUCACCCUUAGAGGGCUACACGUCCUCGCCUUCAGAGGGAUACACGUCCUCGCCUUCAGAGGGCUACAUGCCCUCACCUUUAGAGGACUACACGUCCUCACCUUAGAGGACUACACGUCCUCACCUUUAGAGGAUUGCACGUCCUCGUCUUCAAAGGGCUGCUUGUCCUCGCCUUCAGAGGACUACGCGUCCUCACCAUCAGAGGGCUACACGUCCUCACCUUCAGAGGACUACACGUCCUCACCUUCAAAGGGCUACACGCCCUCGCCUUCAGAGUACUGGACGUCAUCACCUUCAAAGGGCUACACGCCCUCACCUUUAGAGGACUACACGUCCUUCCUUUCAGAGGGCUACAUGCCCUCGCCUUUAGAGGACUACAUGUCCUCGCCUUCAAAGGGUUGCACGCUCUCGCCUUCAGAGGGCUACACACCCUCGCCUUCAGAGGACUGGACGUCCUCUCCUUCAGAGGGCUACACGCCCUCACCUUCAGAGGACUAUACUUCCUCACCUUAAAAGGACUGCACGUCCUCAUAUUCAAAGGGCUGCUUACCCUCGACUACAGAGGACUACGCGUCCUCACCUUCAGAGGGCUACACGUCCUCACCUUCAGAGGACUACACGUCCUCACCUUCAAGGGCUGCACGCCCUCGCUUUUAGAGGACUAGACGUCCUCACCUUCAGAGGGCUACACGCCCUCACCUUCAGAGGACUAUACGUCCUCACCUUAAAAGGACUGCACGUCCUCGUAUUCAAAGGGCUGCUUACCCUCGACUUCAGAGGACUACGCGUCCUCACCUUCAGAGGGCUACACGUCCUCACCUUCAGAGGACUACACAUCCUCACCUUCAAGGGCUGCACGCCCUCGCCUUUAGAGGACUAGACGUCCUCACCAUCAGAGGGCUACACGCCCUCACCUUCAGAGGACUACACGUCCUCCCUUUCAGAGGGCUACACGCCCUUGCCUUUAGAGGACUACAUGUCCUCACCUUCAAAGGGCUGCACGCCCUCGCCUUCAAAGGGCUUCACGCCCUCGCGAUCAGAGGGCUGCACGGCCUCACCUUCAGAGGACUGCACGUCCUCACCUUCAGAUGGCUGCACGCCCUCGCCUUCAGAGGGUUGCACGUCCUCGCCUUCAAAGGGCGACACGUCCUAAACUUCAGAGGGUUGCAUACUCUCGCCUUCAGAGGGCUGCACACCCUUGCCUUCAAAGGGCGACGCGCCCUAAACUUCAGAGGGCUGCACGCCCUCGCCUUUAGAGGGCUACGCGUCCUCACUUUCAGUGGGCUCCAUAUCCACACCUUAAGAGGAUUUAAGGUCCUCUACCCUUAAAUGCUUAACCGAGACUUGAGCUCCCGGUUAAGGGGCCAGUAAUUUCCUUUUAUCAGUUCCUGGGCCGCCCCUUGAUAUUGGAAGGCGACCAACUGUGCGAGCACAACCAGAGAGGGAGGCAAGAUUUCACCCGUGUCGCUGCAAAGUGACGAGUGCGGAUCAUGCGCCCCAACAUGACCACUCUUACACAAAUAUAGUUGAUGUUGCUACUUAGCAACAUUCUGCCCAGCGACCGCAAUGUCGAUCUCCCCCUGCGAAAGUAUCGGUUGGUCUGUGCCAUAUGCACAUCGCUCAACUGAUUUCUGAUGUCAUCUAUUAUAUUUGCAGGGGUUGCGCCCACAAGACACCCAGUGGACCCGGAGGAGCCCAACAGGGCCCUGGGGUUUUCAGCUCGGGUUACGAGCCUCUGUCAGUCCUACAGGGUGCCCAUCCCCCCCAGCAAGAUCAUACCAUCGUGACAUAGGUAAGUAUGCACUUCUCUCAACAGGGUCUUGGAGUUGCCAGCUCUGAUUACGGGCCUCUGUCAGUUCUACGGAGUGCUUGUCGCCCCUAGCAAGGUCAUCAGGCCCCCUACUAAUCGAGCUUUCAUCAAGAAGUACUAUGCCCCCAGGCAGGCGCAGGGCGAAACACCACAGCAGCCUGGGGAUGGCCGGCAGUGGGCAAUAGACGCACCGCCACCACCUCUAGAGUUCACCUAAGCUCAUCCACAAAAAGGUUAGAGUGUUGCCUAUGACACAUGGCCGACCAAUAGAUGACCAAGUCCAAAGCCAAAGGUAAGCAAAGUACUAGGUCUGUGACCAACAAGUCAUAAGGCGUCCAGCUCAAGACGUUAAAGAAGCGCUACUAGGAGGCAACCUAUUACCCUUUAAAUUUCUGCUUGUUAUUUGAUCACCCUUUGUUUCUCAAGUCAUAGUAGGACACACCAAGUUGCCUAUGAUCCUAGGAACUUAAAUAAAACAAGCACAAGCUUAGAAGGUAGUCAUACCUCACAAAAUAUAUGUAUGUGUUUAGGUAGUGAAAAUACCUUAGAUAUGCAUGUAUAUAGCAAAAAUACCUCACACAAUAUAUGUAUGUAUGUUUAGGUAGCAAGAUACCUUGGAUAUGCAUGUAUAUAGCAAAAAUACCUCACAAAAAUAUACACAUGUUUAGGUAGCAAAAUACCUCAUGAAAAAAAAAACAAAAAAAAAAAAACAAAAACAAACAAUAACAAAAAAUAUAUCUUUCAGCUGAAAAGCCAACAUGCUUUUGAGAAGAGAUAACUUCCAGCUUUUCUUUAGAAAAAAAUUCACUAAUCAUAACCAGUUUUUGAAAGAAAAUGUGUGUAAUACACCUGAAGGGUGAAUGCUGUGAAAAUUUUCCCGAACACCCAAAAUGGACUCGGAUGAACGCAUGAAUUGAUAAAAGAACAUAUUUUGGAAACAUUGGGUUGACUUAAAUAGGGAAAAUGAAUCCUGAGCCCUAGUGUCACAUGACCAUUAAAACUUGAUGCUUGAGUGUCCGCAUGGGUGCAUGCAUGACCAGUUCUGCAUAAAAUUUCCUAAUCAUCAUUGUUGCAUGUGUAUCAUGGAAAUAAUGUGGGACAUCCCCUUUAUCCCCGAACCACUGGCCAAACCCUGACAUAUAUCAUGUCCAGCCGUUCUACAAGCCUUGAGCCAAAAUUCCAACUUACCAUAAACCUUGACCCAGGGUGAGAAUGUCAAUCCUUGCCCUCGGAAGAAAACAAAAAAUAAAAUUCCCAAUCGAAGAGUGGGAGAAAGCAAAAAAAGGAAGAAAAUUCCCAAUCGAAGAGUGGGAGAAAGCAAAAAAGAAAGAAAAUUCCCAAUCAAAAAGUGGGAGAAAGCAAAAAAAGAAAUAAAAUUCCCGAUCAAGGAUCAGAAGAAAACAGAAGAAAUAUGCUUAAAGGCUUUUGGACCAGACAAUAUCUGAACAAUGCUUCCUUUUGACUUCCGGCAUGUUGCGAAACUUCACGGAUUGCCUAAUAUUGGGUGUUAAGUACCUCGAAGUGGUCAAGCGAAGGUUGCAUGCCACCAAACAAUGUUCCCCGGACAAAAUUAGGGUAUGACACUCCCCCACCACUGAACAUGUCUCCAUGUCAUGUGGUAUGCCCGGAUGCAUUAAGCAGGAAUCCUUUUUACGUCCACCAAGAGGGACCAUGCCCGCAUCUUGCAAGGCUUCAUAGAUAAACCUCCUAGAGGUCAUUACAUCCUUUAAAUGUUUAGGACUUUAUGACCUACAUACCUCAACAGCAUUCACAGCCGGCCCUCCGUGGUUGGCAAGCGGGUUUGUUUUUACAUUGGGCCCAUCCUCUUGGAAUUUUAUCCAUUUUGCCUCAAUUAAACUCUGUACCUUGUGUUUCAAGGCCAUGCACUGUUCGACCGAGUUCCCCAGGGUCCCCCCAGGAUAUGCGCAGGUUGUGUUGGGGUUGUACCAUUUUGGGAAAGAAGACUGGUAGAUCUUUCUCGAUGUCACCACUGCCAAUUGGUUGGCAAUUAGUGAUGGUAAGAGGUCCCCGUAUGACAUUGGGAUCGGGGUGAAUUCUAGAGCCUUCUUUGCUGGAGGGUUUCUUCCCAUGUUGGAGCCCAUGCCAGGGUUGGCAUUGCCGGCUGGGCGAGGUUGGGCUAGAGCCAAAGUCUGAGGGGGCCCCCUUUGUGCCGACACAGACGUCCUUGGCUGGACGGGCGCUUAGCUGGAAGAGCUUUUGGUGCGGGCCGAAAAACUCGGGUGAUGUUGUGCGUAUUGGUGAGUACCAUGGGAGGCUUGCUGAGGUUUUGGCCAAGAAAGUGUCGAGGUGACGGCGUGGGCAUCCCCCUCCUUUCUCUUUGCCCCAGCUGUUCCAUUCCUCCUAUUGCUAGUGCCGGUGGGAGAGACAUAAUCAAACUUCCCUCUCUUCAAGCUACUUCAAUUCUCUCUCCCGUAAACACUAAAUCCGUGAAGCUAGCGGGCAUAUAACCCACUAACUUCUCAUAGUAGAAUACUGGUAGUGUAUCUACUAUCAUCGUGACCAUCUCCCUCUCAACCAUGGGAAGGGCCACUUGCGCUGCCAAAUCUCUCCACUGUUGGGCAUAUUCUAUAAAAGACUCAUGCUCCUGUUUGCUCAUAUUCUGCAGCUGGGUUCUGUCGGGAGCCAUGUCAAUAUUAUAUUGAUACUACCUAAUGAAGGUAGUAAUCAAGUAUUUCCAUGUGCGGGUGCGAGAAGCUUAAAAGUUAGCAUACCAUAUGACUUCCACUUUGGCCAAACUAUCUUGGAAGAAAUGCAUCAAUAACUUCUCGUCUCUAACAUAUGCACCCAUCUUUCGGCAGUACAUUUUUAAGUGAUUCUUGGGACAAGUCCCUUUGUACCUAUCAAAAUCAGGUACCUUGAAUUUUGGGGGAAUGAUGACGUAUGGCACUAAGCACAGGUCGGUCAUGUCUGCGAAAGGAUAAUCACCGAAUCCCUCGACAGCUCUCAAUCUCUCUUCGAUGAGAUUGAGUUUUUCUUUUCCUUUCACUGCCGGAGGCGCCCUCUCCCCCCCCCCCCCCCACAGAUAAGAGUAUUGGCUGCAUUGGGCGGGGUUGAGAGACUCUCGCGAUGUUGGGCUGAGGUAGUGCAUUAGGCACUGGUCCCUCGAUGGGGAAAGGGGGGUAGGAGUCGAUGUCCCCAUGAGCGCACUCCCAAGUGUCCUCAUGGGCACCAUCAGGAUGUUGAGCAGGCUGCCCCUCAAGGAUGAGAGGAGUGACAUGACCCAUGUUAUCAUGCAUGGCUGGUGGUGUGAAGUUGGGGGGUAAAUUGUAGGGGUAAGCACCUUGGUUGUAUCCCAGAUGCAGGCUGCUGGCAUGCCCCAGUGUGUCUCUCCCUCGUUCCAAUAUGUCCAGGACGGGAUGAUGCGCUGCGGAUGGAAGGACUGGGUCUGCUUCGACGGCUGUGCUGGCAGCGAUAGUCGUGGCUGCAUUACUCUCCAUUAACCUCUUCAUCCCUAGCAUGGCUUCUGUCGCAACGUGCCCUUUUGCGGGCGAGCGAAGGCGAGGGUCACGGGUGCGCUUUCCAAAGGAGGAAAGAUGCGCAGAGUCGCCACAAACAUUUAUUUGUGGAAAACGUCGGGAAAACCGAAGGAAACCGGUCAAAAUGAAAAUUCUAAGUUCGGGAGUUGUAUUUACGCUUGAGGAAGGUAUUAGCACCUCUCACGUUUGUCUCAAAGGACAACAACCUAUUUUUUAGAAUUGUGGAAAUUGUGUUACCUUAACUUUUAUUUCUUUUUAUUUUUUGAGGUCGACAAAAGCGGGGCUCUUGCUCCUACGUACUGAUCGAGGCCGUACCCGAAUGCAUAUAUAAUAAUUGCGAUUCUGAUAACCGGAGCAAAAGUUAUGGCCGUUUGAAGUUUUGACAAACACAAAAUUUGUUAGUUUUUUGGAACUUUCAAAUCUGACCAAACUAAAGGCUCUAGCUAUUUUUCCCACAAAAUAUGGAUUAAAAGAAGUUACCACAAAAAAAUUCAGCCAAAAAUAACAACCCUAGCUACUAAAACAAAAAAUCCCAAAUAAUUCAGCAUGGGUGGUCGCUAAAAUCCGUCUCUAGCUGAUUUCUACUACUACUCUGUUUUUCCGCAAGCUGAUUUCUACUACUACUUUGUUUUUUCCGCAAGCUGAUUUCUACUACUACUCUGUUUUCAAGCACAAUCUUCACAGCAAAACACCCAAGACUGAAACAGGGGAAACGCUUAAUGGUAAAACUGAAAAAGAACACACAUUAAACAAAAUACCAGGACACUAAUCAACACUAACACACAUACUAACACAAUACUAACAAUUAAACAUAAAACACGAAAGGAUUAAACACAUAGCACUAGCUAGCUAUUAUGAACCUUUGGACACUGCUCCCCGGCAACGGCGCCAAAUUUGAUCGAGGCCGUACCCGAAUCAAAUAAACAUGAAAAUGCAGUAACUAGGAAGUGAUCCUAGGUCGUUUCCCAACGAGCAGUGACAAGCCAAAUGUUCAUAAUAUACUUGCAGUAACAGUAACGAUGGGGGGGGGGGGGGGUUUGGUUGUUUGGUAAUUAAAGAGCAGACAAAUAAAAUGGAAUACGAAACUACUAAUAUUAAAAACGGGUUGUUUCCUCUGAUUCAGAAGCCACUCUCUUAUCCUGGGUUAUGGAGAAUUCGUCCCUAACAGUCAACCACUUAAUCCAACCCUAUUUCAAUUUACUAAGCGAAAAUCAACUUAGGGUUUUCAAUACGUGAUUAGGCACCACAUACACCAGCUAGCCCUUCGUCCAUUAAGCAUGAACGCAAGUUAGGCUCAGAGGCAAUUAAUCGAACACGAAGCGUGCACUGAUUAAUAUUCACGAAAUUGGGAUAACUGGUGAAGGGAAAACUGCCAGGAAACCACAUUACAAACGAAACCUCAAAGAGAGUUGGGCUUCGUCCUCAAAAGGAAACAACACCAGAAAAUCUAGCCUUCCAUGGAUUCAAACAGAAAACGCAAAUGAAACAUGAAGCAGAAACGUAAAUGAACAAGAACGUAAAUGAACAGAAACGUAAAUGAAAGUAGAAGAAGAAGCAAGAAUGAACUCGUAAUUAGAAGCAGAAAACGGAAAUUUGCAUUAAGAACGAAAACUGUAACAAGGGCACAGAAAAACGUGAAAAACUAAAACCAAAUCUCUGAAUAAUGAAAAUAGCAUAGCCGAAUAGAAUCCCCUGCACGAAUCCCAAGGCAGCUAUUUAAAAAGAGUCACUCAAAGUCACUGGGCCCUAUUACAAUACUCUGGCCCAAAACGAAAUAAACACUGAACAACAUAAAAUAAAAUUGCGAAAUUUCCUAAUUAGAAAUUAACUAAGGUAAGCGCUGCUUUAUUUGCCCUCUUCAAGUCCACAACCAAAAUCCGGAUUAAGCCCAAUGUUUCAUUAAUUCCUGAAAUUAGAUUAAAAACAUCAAAUUAGCUAAAUGAGCCCAAAUAAUAAAACUGCCUAAUUAAUUGACAAUUAAGACCAAUCAAUAAUUAAAAUGGUGCAAAAAGGGUUUAGAAAAUAGAAGAAAAUGAUGGCACAUCACGUACCCUCAAUCAAAGAGGAAAUCAGACCUACGUAGUUCUUUCUUAUGCAUGAAUCAAGUGAUUCUUUUUACUUGAAAGGUGAUCAUUUUAAGGCGUUGGACUUUAAAAAUAAUCCAUUUUACUUGGUAAGAAACUGAAAUGAUAAACUUUCAAAACCCUAUUUUUUGUGGACGAGCUUGACUAAGCGAGUUGAUUUUAGCCUUAGUUUCACUUUAGUUAUUAGUCAAUUCAAUUAAGAAUGAGAAAUCCCAAAGAGAAAACGUUCGAUUGAUUUUUCGCUUUAUUUUACUAAAAGGUAUUUUUUUUAUUAUUAUAUUAUUAUCUUACCUCUUUUUUUAUUUCCAACGUGGUUACGGCACGACCGAACGGUCGGAAUUCUUUUUAACAGGAAUUAACGGAUGAUACAAUUUAAAUGAUCGGUGGAAAUUUAUUUUAUUUUUAGAUUAGGCGAGAAACAACUUAAAUAAAUGACUGAAGCACGUCAAAAUGGGGUAUAGAAAGCGAAUGAAAACGAGAAUAAAAAUACAUGAAACAAAAUGUGGACCACCACGGGUACAUAGAAUGAAUUGAAAAGCUCGGUUUGAGGUACUUACCCGUUGAAGACUGAAGAAAACGAAGAACGAACGAUGAAUGUUGAAGAACGGUCGAGAAUCUUCGCGUAAUUACUCACGGAAACGUUACGGAAGCGCCUCGGCUUGGAUUUUCUUCACGAAAACAAUUUUCCUCAGCAAUUUCGAGAGAAUGAGAAGUGCAAAGAAGGCUGAACCCCUUCUCCCUUCACUCCUACCCCUAUUUAUAGCAAAAUAGGGGAGGAGCUUGCCACCCAGCUUGCCCAGGCGAGCAAGGUUGCUUCCUCUAGAAGCAACAGCCUUCUGGAGGAAGAAUCUGGAAGGCCCAAGUGGGCCUGAUUGCUAUUUGUACCCCCAUUUUUACUAAAUGCAACCCCCUUUACCUUUUUUGGUAAUUCUUUUUCCGUAACGUUACGAAAUUUUACGAAUUUCGUAACGAUACUUAUUUUCCUUCCGCAAAGUUACGAAUCCUUACGGAUUAUAUAUUUACUCUUUUUUAGCUUUUGAAGAAGUUACGAAAACUCACGGAUUGCGUAAAACACCUCCUUUCGAUUUCCGUCACAUUACGGAAUUUUUACGGAUCGCGUAAGCCUGCUUCCUUUUGAUUUUCGGCACGUCUCGGGACUUCACAUAUUGUACAACAAAGGGUGCCAAGUAUCUCGAAGCGGCCAACCAAAGGUUGUAUAUCAUCAAAUAAUAACACCCGGAUGAAAUUAGGGUAUGAUAGUUGCCCCUCUUUACUUACCUCUCAACGGAGAUAAGAGGAAAGCAAAGAUAAGACACUGAUUUCGUUCGUCCUGCCCUUUCCGUGAUGACGACUCUUGUCUCUACUCCUUCUUUUUUCUUCUGCACAACACAAAACAAAAUACAAACAACAACAAGAACAAUGAAUAUAAUAUACAUAUACACAUAUACACAUGUUUGGCGAAGGAACCGAUCCGGAAAAUAACAGAAAAACAUAUUUCCCAGUCACCAGAGGCUCCGCGCUUGAUAACGGAGGACACAUGAACAGCGCUAGGCAAUGAAUUCAUGGAUCUUCGAAUAAAAAAGGAGAAUGGAGAAUUGGCGAACAGCGCUAGGCAAUGACAUUCGCGGGGCUCCAGACUCGAAGGUGGAGGGUGCAUGAACAGCGCUAGGCAAUAACAUUCAUGAGGCUCCGAAAAAGUGGAGAAUGGAGGAUUGCACUAGAGGGUCCACACCUAGGCAAUCAUGAAGCAUAGCUCCAAACUCUUUGGGUGGAGGAUGCAUGAACAGCGCUAGGCAAUGACAUUCAUGGGGCUCCGAAAAAGGUGGAGAAUGGAGGAUUGCACUAUAGGGUCCACACUUAGGCAACCAUGAAGCAUAGCUCCAAACUCUUUGGGUGGAGGAUGCAUGAACAGCGCUAGGCAAUGACAUUCAUGGGGCUCCGAAAAAGGUGGAGAAUGGAGGAUUGCACUAGAGGGUCCACACUUAGGCAAUCAUGAAGCAUAGCUCCAAACUCUUUGGGUGUAGGAUGCAUGAACAGCGCUAGGCAAUGACAUUCAUGGGGCUCCGAAAAAAAUGGAGAAUGGAGGAUUGGCGAACAGCGCUAGGCAAUGACAUUCGCGGGGCUCCAGACUCGAAGGUGGAGGACACAUGAACAGCACUAGGCAAUGACAUUCAUGGGGCUCCGAAAAAGUGGAGAAUGGAGGAUUGCACUAAAGGGUCCACACUUAGGCAAUCAUGAAGCAUAGCUCCAAACUCUUUGGGUGGAGGAUGCAUGAACAGCGCUAGGCAAUGACAUUCAUGGGGCUCCGAAAAAAGUGGAGAAUGGAGAAUUGGCAAAUACCGCUAGGCAAUGACAUUCACGGGGCUCCAGACUCAAAGGUGGAGGGCACAUGAACAGCGCUAGGCAAUGACAUUCAUGGGUCUCCGAAUAAAAGUGGUUGGCAGGACCGAACGGUCCACUGGGUUUUUCCACCUGAAAGGCAAACAUGCUUUUUGUAAAGAAAAACAAAUCAUUCGCCAGAGCACCAUAUCUUAGAGAAACAAUAUACUUGUGCCAAGGGUAAUCUUCCUUGUAACCGAGAAUGAAGGGCAGGAUGUCAACUUUUAGCUUCUAAAUGAACAUGCAGGGGAAACAUCGAGCUAAGCUGAAAAUAAAUCACUCAUAGUGUAUAAAACUCACACAGGCAAGUGUUUUAUCCUAUUCCCAAACCAUAACUGCACCAUGACUCUAUUUUGCACACGACUUCCUAUCGAAUCAAAGAUCAAAUGUACGAUCACGGACCAAUAGGAUUUUCUCGAGGGUAGUGUUUUUGGAGAGGAAGCUGGGUGUUUCGGUCUUUUCCUCUUUGUUCAGGUGGGGUGGGAUAUCGCCAGUCGAGAAUGGCAAUCUGAAAGGAAGAGACACCAAAAAUGGGUUUCCCUUUGCCGGCAGUCACUUACCUUGCCGAGAAUUUAUCUGGUCUGAAGAUUUUCCAUUCCCUUUCUUUCAUUGACCCAAAAUUAUUUUGUUUGCCUCCGCUCUUUUCCAUUUUCACUUCCCUUCGACCUUCGAUCGGGAAUCCUUCCUUUUCUUUUUUAUUGUUCUUUUCUUUAUUUUCAUCUUUUCUUUUUCUUUGUUUCCAUUUAUUCCUUUUCUUUCUUUUCACCUCUCCUUCCCCAUCCCUUUGUUUGGGAAAUCGGGUUUUAGCAUUCUAUUCGCUCUCCCUUGAGGAGAUUGCGCUGUCCUUUGCUUCGGGGAAGGAAUGAGGAUUCUUUUUUAUAGGCCAAGGUUCCAAAAGGUCUAAGGUUGUGUUUCAAUGGGGUCUUUUAUCGUGGGAACCCAAUCUUGAUAUCUGGGGCGAAACAAAUUUGGGUGUCAAGGUGUCGAUUUCGGGCCGAACUUCCAUAUUAUUCCAUAAGGCACGCGUGACAAUGAUGAUUUGAAAACAACGUGCAAAAUUAGUCAUGGCUAUAGCCAGGUGGGCACUCAAGCAUCCCGUUUAUAGCAUUGUGAUACUACGGUUGGGAAUUUACACAGACAGACCCAAUGUUUCCAAAUUAUGUUCUUUCAUCAGUUCAAUGAAUUCAUCCAUUCUUAUCUCGGUUUAUUCUGGAAAAUAAACUCUUAGCGUCAAUCCCUUGUUUCCAGAAGAUACGUUUGCUCUUUACGAAUGAUUUAUACUUCUUAACUAUAGCAUGUCGACCUUUGCGGUCUUUCUUUCUUUUUCCUUUUUGUUUCUUUUUUAUAUAUUCACAAAAUUAUACACCUGUUGUCCUUUAUGAAGAAAUUUUCUUUUGUAUAUCUACACUCUUAUACAUGAAAAACUUUUUCUGUAUACGCAUUGGAACUCUCUCUCUUUACCUCACACGAUCAAAGACUAUUUACAUUCAAAAGAUCUUUUUCGUUUUUCUCCAACGCACACCUAUGGUUCAUACAAAAGUUUCUUUAUAUACACUCAUUGUUCACACACACAAGAAUUUCUCUACACGUAUUUUUUUUAUAAAAACCCUUCUAUGUACAUUUUCCUUUUUCUCUAUAUACGCAGAUAUUUUAUUCACUACACUUCUCUCAUUUUUUUUAUCAUGAUUUUGGUUCAUUUUAUUUUUAGGACGACGUUCCUAAAUGAAAAAAUUCUACGCGAUUCUGGAUUUUCUACAAACGCUAUUAACAACAACGAAACAAGUACUGACGUAACAGCUCAAACGAUAUGUAUGUACAAAACAAAAGUCAAUCAACACGAAACAAACGUUAGUCCCUUAGUCAAACAAAAAUAAGAUGAUAUGUAACAGAUAAAAAAUGGAAACAAAAAAGAAAUACGGAUCAAGGGAUCUCCCAAUCAUGUGGCUCCGCCCCCUCCUAAGAAAUCAAGUAAAUCGGUUAUCUCCUCGUCCUCGCGGGCCUCAUCUGCCUCGUCGGGAGCCUCUGCUGGCGCCCCUCCUGCCUGGGCCUCAGGCCAAUCUCCGGGCCAUGCGACCUCUACCCUGAACUGAUCCGGUGUAGGGCACGAAAAAGAAGUAAAACCCUGGCUCUGCAGGCUGAGGCUCAACUAGUAAAGACAAUCAUGGGUCUGUACAUGCGCCUGGUGGUUGGCCGCCUGCUGGCGAACCAAAUGCCGUAAAUACUGCUCUGUAUCAAAUGAUCCAGCUGGGCCAGCCUGAUGAGGUGGCGGCGCGUCUGCGGCCUACGGAGCAUCCCCCUAGGCCUGUCUCUGCGUGCAAUACUUCUCAAUAAAAGCUCGGGUGAUGGGCGGCCGAAUCACCUUGCUAGGUGCGACGGGGACUCCGAACAACUGGCAGAGUCCUGUGAUCAAAGCGGGAAAUCCCAGGGCCCUGUUGGACUUAUCCGGGUCCAGAGGGUGCCUGGUAGGCGCCAUACCUGCAAAUAGAUAGAUGGCAUCAGCGAUUAACUGAGCCACGUGAAUGCUCAUCCAUGUCAGGAUGGCGUACACCAGCUGACACUUCGGCAGGGGGAGGUCGGAAUUAUGAUCGCUGGGCUGGAUGUUGCUGAGUAGCAAAGUCAUCUAGAUCUGAGUCAGGGUGGUCAUGUUGGUGCGCAUGAUCCGCACCUGUCUCCCAGCAGCAGUCCGGGCAAAAUCCUGCCCCGGUAUACAUAGCAACUGGGCGAUGGCCUCCUCAUCAAACCCAUCGGACCGGUUCCUCCUCUGGCUAUACUCGCAUUCCUGGCCCUCCUCCAGCACUAAAGGGUAUCCCAGGAACUGGCUGAGAGCAUCCGCAUCGAACGGGAUCCACUUACCCCUCACCCAGGAUCGCAUAUCUCGCACGCCCUCCUCUGUAGGCCAAGCAUUGGCAUAAAAUUCGAGGACUAUGUCUGGGUCGAACUUGGCCAUGGGGGUAACCAGUGAUGCCCACUGCCGGCGAACUAUCUCCUCCUGGAAGUCGAUAUACUCGUCGUCUCUGAGCUGGACGCGUCGCUCCCGGAGAAAUGACCAUUCUUUGAUGGCCUCGAAGCACUGCUGGUGCUCAGCGCUCCUAAAACGGUGGCUGUCAUAUUCGGGGGCGGAACUGGUUCCUUUAGCCACUUUAUCCUUCCUGGAUCUCUUUGAGACAAGCUUCCUCGGGGCCAUUUCCUGCGAGAACAACAUUUAGUUUUACAAGAUAAAGCUUAUCUUAACGCAAAAAAUGUCAUGUCACACACAUAUAUGCAUUUGAAAAGAACAUACAUUCUCACGCUCAAGGCAUUGCAUCAAAAUUCACACCUAAUUCAUAUCCUAAACAUUUGCCAUUACAAAAUACUUACAUAUAUUUGAAAUAUAUAUCAUACAAAUUUUUAUUGUUCCACUUACACUUAUUUAUAUGCAUAUUGGAAAGCUAAUUACAUCCUGCACACACUUGCAUUCAAAAAGGAAUUCCAUGCUAUCAUGCAUUCAUUUAGGAAGAUAAUCAUUCACACUCGGCAAGGAAUUCCAUGCCCCUUAUAUUUUCACAUAUAUCUACGUACCAUUGAAAAGCAUUUCCCACGUUACUUAGGUGCAAAGUAUCAAACAUGGGGCAGCCCAAAUUCCAAUAAAAACUCUCACAAGCAAGUCUUAAUUUUCAUGCUUUUCUAAUUCUAAAACCAAAUUUUGGAUUACUAGGCAUGAGUAUGUCUUCUUGCAUUGAAGCUAAAAAGUUUGGGUUCCUAAACUUGAAAUCGCAUUUGGGCACCUAUUUUGACUCUCCUAUGUUGUCUCUACAUACAUAAAACAGUCUCACCAUCCCAAUUUUGCAAAAUCAUAUCCAUAUAUCAUUGGGGCAUUUCACCGAGCACUUGGUGGGCGCACGUUUGGACAUAAAUUGCAAGAGAAUGGGGACAAUGUGGCAUGCCCUAUUGCUUCAGAAUACAACAUAGGCCUAAGGCCUUCUCAUUCAAAUCCUCAACUCAAGAAAUCAAGCAUAAAAAUAGACCAAAACUGCCCCACAAAUAUAAGCACAUUCUCACAAUUUAGAGCACCAAAAGAUGAAGAAAAUACUCCAAUGGGAAGCAAAAAAUUCAAGGAUUGAAUACUUACUUGUUGGAGUGAAUUAAAGCGUGAAAAGGGAAGCAAAAAACUCAACAAUGGAAGCUCGGGGGCUGUUGUUCUCGUAGUUCCCGUGAGCUUGGGGGUUUUUGAAAUGAGGGGGAAGAGUUUUGGGUGAAGAAAACGUUCCCCCUCCACCCCUUUAUAAUUUUGUAUAGGGGUUGCUCGCCCAGGCGAGCUAACCUGUACUUUUUUUUUUUAGAAACAUUAACCAUGCCUCCCCCCCCCCCCCCCCCUCUUAUGGGUUAGCGUUUUGCCUACUUGAAUCUACUUAAGUUAGAAUUAGGCGUCGAUUACAAAUAAUAGUAAUAAAAUACUGUGAAUUCAAAGGAUACUGGGCUGCCAUGCAGCGACGUUCUCUGCUUAUCUAGCGCCGGGAAGGGACAACGGUCGGCCGUGACCCUGUCCUCCAUUCGCCUCCAUCCCUAAGUACCUGCAAGUAGGAGGCAAACAAUACAUGGCCAAUCGUGACCGGCCAUCGUCUUACCUUGGUUGACUUCUGCCGUAAACUCGUCUUGACUUCUGACCAUGGCCCAAGAGGAUUCUGCCCCUGUUACCACAGGAUAUGCAUGUGUAUGGGCAUGUAUGAAUGUUCCUAAUGCGAUGAUUUUCUUAGUGAAGGCUGGUUAAAUUCAAUUUUAAAUAAGCGUUUGGGGCACCCCAUGAACCGAGCGAAGAGGGCUCAGGUUAUAACAAACUAAAACACAAGGUUUGAAACCAAAGGGAGGACUGAAACCUCGCCCAUCUUUUCUUUUCAAAGAAACGAGACAAAUAUAGUGAAGGGGAAUCCCUAGAGGAAACCAAGAAGAAUGAGAAAAACUCAGAAAUAAAAACAUGCAACGGUUCUCUCGAUUGCCCCAGACUUCAAGCGUAAUAUCGUCUAACUACAUCGGAGUUCACGGGCGAGGGCAGCUCUUCGCCAUCCAUGUGGGUGAGUAUCAAAGCACCCCCAGAAAAAGCUCUUUUCACCACGAAAGGUCCUUCAUAAUUCGGGGCCCACUUGCCUCGACUAUCCUUAACAGUGUGGGACAUCUUCCUCAGCACGAGGUCCCCCUCGUUGAACUUGCGCAGGCAUACCUUCUUGAUGAGUGCGUUCUUUAUCCUUCGUUGAUACAGACGCCCAUGGCUCAUGGCUGCCAAAUGCUUACCUUCAAUAAGGUUAAGUUGGUUGUAGCGUGCUUGAGCCCACUCCGACUCUUCUAGGUCUGAUUCCGCUAUUAUCCUCUGAGAAGGAACCUCCGCCUCAAAUGGGAGUACUGCUUCCAUCCCAUAAACCAAAGAAUACAGCGUUGCCCCAGUAGAAGUUCGUGCCGAGGUUCUAUAUCCGUGCAGGGCGAAAGGCAACAUCUCAUGCCAAUCUUUGUAUGACACUGUCAUCUUCUGAACAAUCUUCUUAAUAUUUUUAUUCGCAGCCUCUACAGCCCCAUUCAUCUUUGGCCGAUAAGGGGUGGAGUUAUGAUGCUGGAUCUUGAAAUCCUCGCACAUUUCCUGCAUCAUCUUGUUGUUCAGAUUGGUGCCAUUGUCAGUGAAAUUCUGAUACUGAGGUCAGAUGUCGUACCGGAUGUCACGACAUCACGCUUCAGAACAUGCAGAUUGUAUUUGACUGUAUGAACAGAUUAAACCAGUAAAUAACACAAGAGAAUUGUUAACCCAGUUCGGUGCAACGUCACCUACAUCUGGGGGCUACCAAGCCAGGGAGGAAAUCCACUAAAAUAGUGUUAGUUCGAAGAUCUAACAGCCACUGUUUACAACCUUCUCACCUAACCACUACCCGUGCAACCUCUACCUAAGAGCCACUCUUAGAUAUGAGAACCCCUCUCACUCCCUCUCAAUCACUCUCCCGUGUUUACAAUUAAAUCAAAUACACACCAGAGAUUGCUCUCUGAACAAUAGAGAUCAACUCUACACACUCAGGUCCAACACUUGAUGUUAGGGUGACAUCAAGGUGGCUCACAAAACACUCAAGUCCCAAAACUCACAAAACAACUCUUCAAUCCCGGACUUGGUACAGAACUCGUGCAGCCUUCAUGUUUAUAUAGUAGUUUGCGUAUCUGGGCUGCAACAACUUGCGCUGGAUGAGAUCUAUCAUUUUCCUGAAAAUCUGCACUUAAAGAUCUAAGAGAUAAAGCUUGAUCUUUUAGUUUUUAUAUUUAAUCUUUAAUCCCUGAACGAACUAUUCAAGUUUGUAAUUCGAACUUUAAUUAUCUUUUAAUUCGUUCCUAAAGAUAGAUCGCCAAAUCUGUUGCUAACUGCACAUUAAUCUGUUAAAGAUAUAACAGAUUUAUGUGUCCAGUAUUUUCGGGCAAGAUGUCCUGGACAUCGUAUCCGACAUCGUGGAUCCUGCAGCUUCAAUUCUUCAUUUGACAUUUUAUCUUGCCUUGUGCAUUGUGCAGCCCGAUCUGAUUCCUUGACAUAAUGUUAGACAUCAUGUGCAGCAACUCCAACUUUCCUUCAAUGUCUAAGUGCUUAUGUUUUAACAAAAUUUUAGCCAAUCUUUUAAAGCUCAGUAAAGCUAAGCACUAACAAUCUCCCCCUUUGGCAAAUUUUGUCUAAAACAUACUUAGACACUUCCUGAGCAGGUACGAGCAGUUAUGCAAGUGGGAUCAGCAACUUUCAUUAUCAGAGUAAUCAAGCACAGCGGUAUCUGUAGUGGCGACAACAAAAUUCUCCAGGAUGUCAAGACAUCUCACGUGACAUCAGCUUUCUGCUCCCCCUGUCUCCAUGCUCUUACUGCUGUGAAGCAGUUCACUGCAGCAUCUUCUAUCAGCUACUAGUCUUUUCCAGGAUGUCAAGACAUCUCACGUGACAUCAGCUUUCUGCUCCCCCUGUCUCCAUGCUCUAGCUGCAGCAUCUUCUAUCAGCUACUCGUAGUUACAGUAGCUUACAUCAGUCAUCAUUAGCAGCAGCAGUCUCCCCCUCAAAAUCAUGAAUCAUGCAUACAUCGUAUCAUACAACUCCCCCUCAAAAUCAUGAAUCAUGCAUACAUCGUAUCCUACUACUCAAAAUCAUAAAUCAUGCAUAAUACUAUUACUCCCCCUUUUUAGACAGAAUUUGACAAAAGUAGAAUGCAUGCAAAUAUUACAGACCAAUAGCAAUUAAUUGUUCAAAGGGACAUGCCCCUAUAGCUAGUAAGAGUAAAAAGCAAAAAUAAAGGUCUGAUGGUCAUGGGGUGGCCUCAGAAUCAUCAUCAUCUGAUUCUGUAUCCUCUGCUGCAUCUUCUUCUUCCUCAGCUGCUUCUUCUUCUUCCUCAGCUGCUUCCUCUUCUGCCUCAGCUGCUUCACCAUCAUCAAUGCCACUGUCUGAGAGUCUUUUGAUCAGGCGUUCCAGCUCCAUUUUCUUCUCUGUGGUGGCUUUGAUGGUUGCUUCCAGCACCUUGCAUGUGUCCUUGAGUUCAGCAAUCAAAGCAUCCUUGGACACAGCACCUGAAGCAGCAGCUUUCCCUGAUGUCGAGACAAUGUCUGGGACAUGUGUCCCCUCAAACAGUUUGUAAUGCAGGGACAGAGCCGAUUCUCUCUUCAUCACAGAGUCAAUGUUGUUUAAAAUAUUGGGAUGUUGACUCAACAUAAUGCCACACAAUACAGUAGGGAAGGCAAUGGGUAAUUUGACAGCAAAAGAUUCUGAAUGCUUAACAGUUUGAUCAAAAAUAUAGUUUCCAAAAUUAAAUUUGGACUUGGUUCCAACAGCAUACAGAAAUUUACCCAAACCUGUGGCAACAGUGGAAGUAUGAUUGGUGGGUACCCAGUUUGCAGCGCCAAUCCUAUGCAAGAUUGCAUACUUCACACUUAGCUUCCCUGCAGAAAGCUUCCCUUUCUUUGGCCAAUGCUGGACUCGUUUGGCAGUGAUUUCCUUGGCAAUUUGAUGCUCAGAAACAGCAAUAUCCACCAUUCCUUCAGUUGGUCUGCCCAGGUAUUUGUUGAUUACAGCAGGGGAGAAUCUAACACAUUUUCCUCUGACAAAUACUUUCUGAUAAUCAUCACUCUUUCUGUUUGUUAUGUCAGAGGGAAUGUUGACAAUGAAUUCCCUGACUAGACUUUCAUAGCAAUCUCCCAACUUGGUGACAGUUUUCAGCAGUCCAGCAGCCUUGAUGAGGUCCAUGAUCUCCUUGCAAUCCAAGGCAUCUCUUCCCAGUUCUCUUUCAACAGCAAGUCUGCGUUGAUAUACAAAUUUCCACCUUUCAACAUUGCCAAUGGAGUGGAAUGAAAUGUUGUCCAAUGGUGCAUCAGGGACAUUUCCAGGCACCUUUUUCCCUGAUUUCUUGGCCCUCUUGAUGUCGAGAACAUCUAGUUCGACAUCAUCAUCAGAAUCAGAUGAGGAAAUUUCUUUCCUCUUCUUGGAAGGGAUUGCAACUUUGCUCCAUCUGGAUGUGGUAGGAGUGAUUGGUGUGCUUUUCUUCUGUGCCAUAGUUUUGAUUCGUCCAGACCUAGUAAUGGGGGUUUUUCCCUUUCUGCUUUGUAAUCUUUCUGCGAUGCCGGGUGCCAACUUGUUGGCAAUGGGUUCCUCAUCAGAUUCUACUUCUUCUAGGUCAAUGAGGUCACCUGGAGCAGGUUCUGGUGCCCUUGGUGCAGGGGUCUCCUCUGUGGCUUGAUCCUCUUCCUCUGUUGAUUCCUCUUUACUGGAUGAAGAGAGGACUUCAGCAUUUGGGGUGGAAGAUGUUGGAACAUCUUUGUCAGCAUCAGGGACAGAAACAUUUGGGGUGGAAGAUGUUGGAACAUCUUUAUCAGCAUCAGGGACAGAAGCAUUUUUCAGAAUAUUACUCACAAUACUGCGGAUCUUCUUAUCCAUCUCCGUGUCUACUUCCCUAGGACUUGUUGCAAGGCUAGGGUUUUCAGAAAUCUUCACUCCCUGUUGUCUUUUGGGGACCAGUUUCUCAGACACAGGGGCUUGACCAGGAAUCAUUUGUAUGGGUUGGAUGUUGAAUUCAGGUUGUUCCUGGUUUGAUGGUGCUUUGGUGGAUGAUGGAGAUGAUGUUACAGCGGGUGAACCAGGAGCUGAAGUAUCUUUUGGUGAGGUAGCCAUGGAGAAGCAGAGCUUUUGAAAUGGUUUUGUGAAAAUCUGAGAGGUGUUGGGGAAUGCUGAUGAAAACGAGAAUGCCACGAAAAUGUAAAUUUGAAUGCAGAAUGUAGAGGGACGUGUGAAGCAACGGUCAAAUCUGUUUUGGCCCAGUAGUGAAUGUGCUAUUAACGUUCGAGCACAUUCAGAUAGAAGUAAUUGCUAUAAGUCUUCUAGCAGACAAAUGCCCAGCUUGCCCCUCAGUUUUUCAAACUGAUUUGCAUCCAAUGCCUUUGUGAAAAUAUCUGCUAUUUGUUCCUCAGUGUCAACGUGCUUCAGUGUGAUCACUUUAUCAUCAACAAGAUCUCUAAUAUAGUGAUGUCUAAUGUCAAUGUGCUUGGUUCUGCUGUGUUGAACAGGGUUUUUAGAAAUAUUAAUAGCACUCAAGUUGUCACAGUACAAUGUCAUGACAUCUUGUUCGACAUUGUACUCCUUGAGCAUCUGCUUCAUCCAAACUAGUUGUGAACAGCUGCUUCCUGCUGCAAUAUACUCUGCUUCUGCAGUAGAUAGGGACACACAGUUCUGCUUCUUGCUGAACCAUGAAAUAAGAUUGGUUCCCAAAUAGAAGCAUCCACCAGAAGUGCUUUUUCUGUCAUCUGCACUUCCAGCCCAAUCAGCAUCACAAUACCCAACCAGCAUUGAAUCUGAACAAUGACAGUACAUAAUCCCAUAGUCACUAGUGCCAUUUACAUACUUCAGAAUUCUCUUUACUUGAUUCAAGUGACUUAUCUUAGGAUUGGCUUGAUAUCUUGCACAAACACCUACUGCAUAGGUGAUGUCAGGUCUGCUAGCUGUUAAAUAUAGUAAGCUCCCAAUCAUGCUUCUGUACAGGCUUUGAUCAACACUGGUGCCAGCUUCAUCUUUUGACAGCUUCAAGUGAGUAGGUGCAGGUGUUCUUUUAUGGCUGGCAUUUCCCAUCCCAAACUUCUUGACAAUGUUCUUUGCAUACUUGCUUUGUGAGAGGAAUAUGGAGUCUUCCAUCUGCUUCACUUGGAGUCCCAGAAAAUAAGUCAGCUCUCCAACAAGACUCAUCUCAAAUUCAGAUUGCAUCUGUUGGACAAAAUGUCGAAGCAUCUCAUUCGACAUCCCUCCAAACACAAUGUCAUCAACAUAUAUCUGUGCUAUCAUCAAGUUUUCAGCAUCUUGUUUGACAAAGAGAGUCUUGUCAAUUCCUCCCUUCCUAUACCCUUGCUGAGUAAGGAACUCUGUUAGCCUUUCAUACCAAGCUCUUGGAGCUUGCUUCAAUCCAUAGAGAGCCUUCUUGAGCCUGUAUACAUGAUCUGGAUGAGUUGGAUCUACAAAUCCCUUUGGCUGCUCCACAUAGGCUUCUUCAUUCAGGUACCCAUUCAGAAACGCGCUCUUCACAUCCAUCUGGUACAGCUUGAAUUUGAGGAUGCAAGCUACGCCAAGUAACAAUCUGAUGGACUCAAGUCUAGCAACAGGGGCGAAAGUUUCAUCAAAGUCUACACCUUCGAUUUGAGUGUAGCCUUGAGCAACAAGUCUGGCCUUGUUUUUGGUUAUAACACCUUCUUCAUUGGUUUUGUUCUUGAAGAUCCACUUGGUGCCAAUCACAUUAGUUCCCUCGGGUCUAGGAACUAGCUCCCAAACUUCAUUCCUUUUGAAUUGCUCCAAUUCUUCUUGCAUAGCAUUGAUCCAGAACUCAUCAGUCAGUGCCUCUUUCACAUUCUUGGGCUCAAUUUUGGAGACAAAGCAUGAAUUGGCGACAAUCUCAAUCUCCCUUGAUCUUGUAGUGACCCCUCUGUUUGGAUCUCCUAUAAUCAGCUCCUUGGGGUGCAUCUUCUGGAUUCUAAUGGAGGGUCUCUUGUCAGGUUGAUUGAUGUUUGGUUCAUCUGUAGCAGAAUCAGAGUUUUCUGCAUUUUCUGCACUUUUAGCUGUAUCUGCUACAUUGUCUCCCGAUGUUCUGACAUCUUCUUCGACAUCCUUCUUUCUUGCUGGAGUUAGAUCAUCAACAACCACAUUGAUGGAUUCCAUCACAGUUCUGGUUCUGGAAUUGAAUACUCUAUAUGCUCUGCUGUUUGUAGAGUAUCCCAAGAAUAUCCCUGCAUCACUCUUGGGAUCCAUCUUUCUCCUUUGCUCUCUAUCUGCCAAAAUGUAACAUGGACUUCCAAAGAUGUGGAAGUGCUUGACAGUUGGCUUCCUCCCUUUCCAGAUUUCAUACAGUGUGGUUGGAGUCCCUCUUCUAAGUGUGACUCUGUUGUGGAUGUAGCAUGCUGUGUUCAUGGCUUCAGCCCAGAGAUUAUAGGGAAGUUCUUUGGCAUGAAGCAUGACCCUAGCAGCUUCUUGCAAAGUCCUGUUUUUCCUUUCAACUAUGCCAUUUUGUUGUGGUGUAAUGGCUGCAGAGAACUCAUGAGUGAUGCCUUCAGAUGUGCAGAAUUCAGUAAACUGGCUGUUUUCAAACUCUCUGCCAUGGUCACUCCUGAUUCUCUUGAUGACACAGUCUUUUUCUCUUUGAAGUCUUAGACUCAACUCCUUGAAUACUUCAAAGGUGUCUGAUUUCUCUCUGAUAAAGUUGACCCAGGUAAAUCUGGAGAAAUCAUCCACAACCACAUAGGCAUACCUCUUUCCUCCAAGGCUUUCAACUUGCAUAGGCCCCAUCAAGUCCAUGUGAAGUAGUUCCAGCACCCUGGAAGUGGUCUGAUGUUGAAGCUUCUGGUGGGAGAUCUUGACUUGCUUUCCAAUCUGACAUUCACCACAGAUUCUGCCUUCUUCUAUUUUCAGAUUGGGAAUGCCUCUAACAGCACCUUUGUCAAUGAUUUUCUUCAUGCCUCUUAAGUGCAGAUGUCCAAAUCUUUGAUGCCAUAUUCUGACUUCAUCUUCUUUGGAGAAUAGACAUGUGGAGGAGUAACUGGUUUCUUGAGGUGUCCAUAGGUAACAGUUGUCCUUUGAUCUGCUGCCCUUCAUUAGGACUUCACUCUUCUCAUUUGUCACCAAGCAUUCUGACUUUGUGAAGUUUACAUUGAAUCCUUCAUCACACAACUGACUGAUGCUGAUCAAGUUCGCAGUCAGUCCCUUCACCAGCAGUACUUUGUUCAGACUAGGAAGUCCAUCAUGGACUAGCUUUCCCAUUCCAGUGAUCUUUCCUUUAGAGCCAUCUCCAAAUGUCACAUAGCUAGUGGAGCAAGGUUCAAUGUUCACCAGGAAUUCUUUAACUCCUGUCAUGUGUCUGGAACAGCCGCUAUCUAGGUACCAAUCUUCCUUAGCUGAUGCUCUAAGUGAAGUAUGAACAACAAGACUAACAGUCUUGUGUUUUGGAACCCACAUCAUCUUCCUUCCACUGCUGCUACCUUGAGUUCCAUGAAGUGGAUGGCCAUGUAAAUGAUAGCAAAAGGGCUUUAAGUGACCAUACUUGCCACAGUAGUGACACCUCCACUUCUUUCUUUUGCUCUUUUUCUGCUGCGUUCCAUGAUGUCGAGACCGAUGUUGUGACAUCGUGGCUCCAGUGCUGUAUUUGGCAGGAACAAAUUCUGUCAUGGUUGUUCUGCCAGCAGAUUUAUGAUUAAAUCCAAGUCCUCUCUGGUUUCCAACAUUCUUCCCAAGCUGUAGCACCUCAUCAAGCAAAUCUGAGCCUUUAUUCAGCAUCUUUAUUGAUUUUGUCAUGUUUUCCAGUUUAGAGUUCAGAAAACCAAUUUCUCCUUUAAGUUCAGAGAUUUCCUCUUCAUGUGCCUCCUUCUCAGCCUCCAGAUUUGUAAUGACCUUCUUUAGUUGUGCUUCUUGCUGAAGAAUCUUCUCACUUUUGAUGCAUAGUUCUCUAUAGGAUAUAGCAAGCUCAUCAAAAGUGAUUUCACUAUCUGUAUCACUUGAAUCUUCAGCAGAUUCAAAUCUCCCAGUGAGUGCAUUCACAUCUCUGUCAGAAUCACUUUCUUGUUCACUCUCUGUAUCAUCAGACCGACAUACAGAAAGUCCUUUCCUCUGCUUCUUGAGAUGAGUGGGACAUUCAGCUUUGAUGUGUCCAUAGCCUUCACACCCAUGGCAUUGAAUUCCUUUGCUGUGACUGGACUUUUCAUCUGACCUUUUCUGGUAUUCAUUACCUUUCCUGAUGUCGAAAGGGAUGUUCCGGACAUGUGGUUUCUGCCUCCUGUCCAUUCUGCUCAGCACUUUGUUGAACUGUUUUCCUAGGAGCACAACUGCAUUAGUCAGACCUUCAUCAGUAUCCAGGUCAUACUCAUCUUCUUCUCCUUCAUCAUUGGACACGAACGCCAGGUUCUUGCUCUUCUUUUCAGUCCUAUCCGAGAGUCCUAGCUCAAAGGUUUGAAGGGAACCAAUGAGUUCAUCUACUCUCAUGUUGCAAAUGUCUUGGGCCUCCUCUAUUGCAGUGACAUUCAUGUCAAAUCUCUUAGGCAAAGAUCUGAGGAUCUUUCUCACCAGCUUUUCAUCUGCCAUCCUUUCUCCCAAGGCAGUGCAAGCAUUGGCAAUUUCAAGAAUGUUCAUGUGGAAGUCAUGAAUACACUCUUCCUCCUUCAUCUUCAGAUUUUCGAAUUUUGUAGCCAAUAGUUGCAAUCUGGACAUCUUCACUUUGGAGGUUCCUUCAUGAGUGGUUUUCAGGAUCUCCCAUGCAUCCUUGGCCACUGUGCAUGUGUUGAUCAGUCUGAAGAUAUUCUUGUCAACUCCAUUGAAUAGAGCAUUCAAGGCUUUGGAGUUUCCAAGUGCCAAUUCGUCUUCUUCUUUUGUCCAGUCUUCUUCUGGCUUUAAUUCAUUCGUGGGCUUUCCUUCUGUGUCCAGCAUCUUGGGAUGUUCCCAGCCUUUGAUGACAGCUUUCCAGGUUCUGCUAUCCAGUGAUUUGAGGAAGGCCACCAUCCUUGCUUUCCAGUAUUCAUAGUUGGUUCCAUCCAGAAUUGGUGGUCUGUUCACUGGUCCUCCUUCUUUCUCCAUGUUCAUCAGAAUUUAUCUCCCUAGAUCUCACUCAGUGAUUUCGAGUACCGGAUGUCACGACAUCACGCUUCAGAACAUGCAGAUUGUAUUUGACUGUAUGAACAGAUUAAACCAGUAAAUAACACAAGAGAAUUGUUAACCCAGUUCGGUGCAACGUCACCUACAUCUGGGGGCUACCAAGCCAGGGAGGAAAUCCACUAAAAUAGUGUUAGUUCGAAGAUCUAACAGCCACUGUUUACAACCUUCUCACCUAACCACUACCCGUGCAACCUCUACCUAAGAGCCACUCUUAGAUAUGAGAACCCCUCUCACUCCCUCUCAAUCACUCUCCCGUGUUUACAAUUAAAUCAAAUACACACCAGAGAUUGCUCUCUGAACAAUAGAGAUCAACUCUACACACUCAGGUCCAACACUUGAUGUUAGGGUGACAUCAAGGUGGCUCACAAAACACUCAAGUCCCAAAACUCACAAAACAACUCUUCAAUCCCGGACUUGGUACAGAACUCGUGCAGCCUUCAUGUUUAUAUAGUAGUUUGCGUAUCUGGGCUGCAACAACUUGCGCUGGAUGAGAUCUAUCAUUUUCCUGAAAAUCUGCACUUAAAGAUCUAAGAGAUAAAGCUUGAUCUUUUAGUUUUUAUAUUUAAUCUUUAAUCCCUGAACGAACUAUUCAAGUUUGUAAUUCGAACUUUAAUUAUCUUUUAAUUCGUUCCUAAAGAUAGAUCGCCAAAUCUGUUGCUAACUGCACAUUAAUCUGUUUAAGAUAUAACAGAUUUAUGUGUCCAGUAUUUUCGGGCAAGAUGUCCUGGACAUCGUAUCCGACAUCGUGGAUCCUGCAGCUUCAAUUCUUCAUUUGACAUUUUGUCUUGCCUUGUGCAUUGUGCAGCCCGAUCUGAUUCCUUGACAUAGCGUUGGACAUCAUGUGCAGCAACUCCAGCUUUCCUUCAAUGUCUAAGUGCUUAUGUUUUAACAAAAUUUUAGCCAAUCUUUUAAAGCUUAGUAAAGCUAAGCACUAACAGUCAGUAAUGAUCUUCCUAGGGAGUCCAUAUCGACAAAUCAGCUCCCUCUUGAUGAAUCUGACUAUCACACUCCUCGUGACAUUAGUAUAAGAAGCUGCUUCUACCCAUUUGGUGAAGUAAUCUAUCGCCACAAGAAUGAAGCGGUGACCAUUCGACGCUUUGGGUUCGAUGGCCCCAAUGACAUCUAUUCCCCACAUGGAAAAAGACCAAGGAGCGGACAUAACAUUCAGAGGAUGUGGCGGAACAUUGACAUUGUCCGCGUAUGCCUGACAUUUAUGACAUUUCCUUACAUGAGCGCAACAAUCGCUUUCCAUAGUAAGCCAGUAAUAACCGGCCCUAAGGAUUUUUCUGGCCAUAGCAUGCCCAUUGGCAUGUGUCCCAAAGGAACCCUCAUGGAUCUCCUCAAUCAUGAAGUUCGCCUCUUUGGCAUCUACGCAUCGUAGGAGGGUCAUGUCGUGGUUCCGUUUGUACAGGAUGGUACCACUUACAAAGAAACCAGUAGCCAAUCUCCUCAACGUCCUUUUGUCAUUGUCAGAAAUCCCUGGUGGGUAUUCUUUGUUCUCGACAUAUUGUUUGAUGUCGAAAUACCACGGUUUCCCAUCCCGCUCUUCCUCUAUUGCAUAACAAUAUGUCGGCCUGCCCUGAGAUUUGAAUUCGAUGUACGGCAGAUCCCCGUGUGGGGCGAGUUGAAACAUGGAUGCCAGGGUGGCUAAUGCAUCAGCCAUUUGAUUCUUUUCCCGAGGUAUGUGGUGGAAAGAAAUGUUGUCAAAGUACUUGGCUAACCUCAAGAUGUGAGUUUGAUAGGGUAUCAACUUCGGAUCCCUAGUUUCCCAUUCUCCUUUCAACUGGCGUAUCACCAAAGUUGAGUCUCCAUACACCUUGAGUAGUUUUACAUCAAAAUCAAUGGCCGCCUGAACCCCGAGGGCGCAUGCUUCGUACUCGGCCAUAUUGUUGGUACAAUAAAAACCUAGCCUAGCCGUGAAAGGAAUACACUGAUCAUCCGGGGAUACAAGGACUGCCCCUACUCCAUGGCCCAAAGCGUUAGACGCCCCAUCGAAGCAAACAACCCAUUUGUCUAUGUCCUCGUGUGUCCGCUUCUCUUCAAACAGGGCCAUGAUAUCUUCAUCUGGGAACUCAGGGUGCAUCGGCCGAUAAUCCUGGAGGGGUUGCUGGGCCAAAUAAUCCGCUAAGGCACUUCCCUUUACCGCCUUUUGGGUGACGUAAAUGAUAUCGAAUUCAGAUAAUAGUACCUGCCACCUAGCGAUUCGUCCCGUGAGGGCCGGUUUCUCAAAGAUGUAUUUCACGGGAUCCAUUUUGGAAAUAAGCCACGUGGUAUGGCUGAGCAUGUACUGCCUAAGCCGAUGUGAUGCCCAUACCAGAGCACAACACGUCCUUUCCAACAUUGAGUAAUUCAUCUCACAUGUGGUAAACUUCUUGCUUAGAUAGUAGAUGGCUUGCUCCUUUUUCCCAGAAUCAUCGUGCUGACCCAACACGCACCCCAUAGACUCGUCCAACACGGUCAUGUACAGGAAAAGAGGUCUUCCUGUUACAGGUGGCAUGAGCACCGGGGGGUUCGCGAGACUCUGUUUGAUCUUUUCGAAGGCCUCUUGGCAGUCACUGUUCCACAGGACCGCCUGGUUCUUACGUAAUAGCUUGAAAAUGGGCUCACAGGUAGGGGUGAGUUGCGAGAUAAAUCUCGCGAUAUAAUUCAACCUGCCCAAGAACCCCCGAACCUGCUUCUCCGUGUGUGGUUCCGACAUUUCAAGGAUGGCCUUUACUUUCUCGGGAUCUAUCUCUAUCCCUUUCUGACUUACGAUAAAUCCUAGCAACUUCCCCGACUUUACCCCAAAGGUGCAUUUGGUUGGGUUUAGUUUUAAUUGGUAUUUCUGCAACCUUCCAAACAGCUUACGCAGAUUGACAAGGUGUUCGUCCUCAGUUCGAGACUUGGCAAUCAUGUCAUCUACGUAGACCUCUAUUUACUUAUGCAUCAUAUCAUGGAACAACGCCACCAUGGCACGCUGAUAGGUUGCCCCGGCAUUUUUUAGCCCGAAGGCCAUCACUUUAUAGCAGAACGUCCCCCAUAGGGUAACGAAAGUGGUCUUCUCUACAUCUUCGGGUGCCAUCUUUAUUUGAUUAUACCCCGAGAAACCAUCCAUAAAUGAGAAAAGGGCGAACUUGGCUGUAUUAUCUACCAAUAUAUCAAUGUGUGGCAGAGGAAAAUUGUCUUUUGGACUGGCUCGGUUCAAGUCCCGGUAGUCUACACACAUUCGAACCUUGCCGUCCUUUUUCGGGACUGGGACAAUAUUGGGCACCCAUUCUGGGUACCGAGCUACAACUAAGAACCCAUUCUUCCGCCGCUUCUACGUAUGGGGCGGAGGAGGGGCAGCUCACUAACAUAUCCUCUUCACCCGACACUAUCACUAAAAGUCCACCCACUGCGAACUUCAAUUUUUGGUGAAGUGUUGAAGGGACCACUCCCAAGGCAUGAAUCCAAGGUCUUCCCAAGAGGCAGCUAUAGGUGGGAUUUAUAUCCAUUACUUGAAGCACCACAUUGUAAGUGUGGGGGCCUAUCUGAAUGGGAAUGUCGAUUUCCCCCAUCACUUCCCGCCGAGUACCAUCAAAGGCUCACACCACCAUCGAGCUCGGUUUUAAACAUGAUGCACUAAAAGGAAGCUUUUCCAAAGUGGUCUUCAGCAUUACAUUUAAACUCGAUCCAUUGUCGAUAAGCACCUUUGCGACAACAUGGUCCAUACACUUUAUCGACACAUGAAGAGCCUUGUUGUGUCCUCUCCCUUCUACGGGAAUCUCUUCUUUCGCAAACGCGAUAUAAUUGUUGGUGGUUAUAUGGUUAACGAUGCCUUCAAAACCCUCCACUGAGAUAUCGUGGGCUACAUGGGCAUCAUUGAGGACUUUUAUCAACAACGUAUGAUGAGGCUCGGAGUUUAUGAGCAGUUCAAGUAAUGAGAUCCUUGCUGGAGUUUUAUUCAGUUGCUCGACUACCUUAAACUCACUUUGUUGGAUGAGGCGAAGGAACUCAUGGGCCUCUUCCAAAGUCACCGUCUUUCCUUGAAGACCAUCUUUCUUUUCAGCCCCUCUUACCACUGGAGGAUCUACUUCUUUCGAGGGAGUGGCUACGUCUGUGGGCUCUUGGACCAUGGGCGCUUUCCCCUUGGAGGGCAACUCCGGCGGGUGAGGGGAAGCGAAUACCUGACCACUGCGGGUUACGCCACUGAGGCCGGUGAUGUUGGUCACCUUAGCUGACAGGGAGUCAACUUCGGUUGCAACUCUUUCGCUGAAUGCGGGAGGGGUAUACUUCCACGGAACGGCCUUAUUACUUUGAUAUGCAAAUGGCGUUGGCUUGGGCGCUGUCUGGGGGUAUAUGGGUGUGGAGCUGGUCCCUUUCCUAGUAAAACAUAUCACUAGGGCCUUGGGGGUUAGAGGAACCUUCUUCUCUUCCGACUGCAUGCAAAUUUGUGGUUCUUCCCUCCCUCCUAUGGACACUUCAAGCUGCCCGCAAUCUGUGAACCGCUGAAGCAAUUCUUCUACCGCGGGACAGGUUUCCAUGUCGUGCGACUCCCCGAGGUGAAACAAACAUUCGUCCCCUUCGCCUCCGCCACGGGAGACCAUACAUGCCGCUUGCAGCGAUUGGUAGAUAAAACGUCUGGAAGUAGCCACCUCUCCUAAUCUCUUUGCCCGCGAUGGCCCAUCUUCUUGGAUGGCGUUUACGCUAGCCUUUCCAUGACUAGCUAGCGGGUUAGUUUUAACAUUUGGGCCUUCCUCUUGAAAUGAUAGCCAGUCGGCACUGAUUAGGUGCUGCACUUUAUACUUGAACGGGCGGCAGGAGUCAAGGUUGUGUCCGGGACCUCCACUAUGGUACUCACAUUUGGCACCCGGGUCAUACCACUUGGGGUAGGGUGGCUGGAAGACCCUCCCGGGUAUGGCUACCACCAAAUGAUUCUCCAAUAAUGAAGGCCAUAAUUCAGAGUAUGCCAUGGGAAUAGGAGAGAAGUUAUCUUCCGGGAGUGGGCUCUGUGCAUUUUUAUAGCUCAUGCCGGGGGCUGUAUUGUUGACUGGCCGGGGCGUGGCUGGAGCUAUGCGUUGGGCCGGCGUUCUCUCUGUCGCGGGUGGUCCUUUUACUUGAGUCGGGGGGAAAUUCCCGGCUCGGAUUGAAAAAUUUGGGGGAUUGGGCUGGUAUGAGCUUUGGAUAUUUUGGGGUGCUUUCAUCCACGUCGAGGCGGUGGUGACCGCGUGGGCGUCUCCUUCCUUUUUCCUCGCGCCCACUACUGGGGCUCUUCUGUUGUUGAUGGGGGCCACAUUGGAAGCAUAUUCGAACUUGCCUUUUUGUAGUCCGGAUUCAAUCCUUUCUCCGGCGAAGACGAGAUCCGCAAAGUUAGCUGGCAUGUAUCCUAUCAGCUUUUCAUAGUAGAACGUGGGAAACGUAUCUACCAUAAUUGUGAUCAUCUCCCUUUCCUUCAUGGGCGGUACGACUUGGGCUGCGAGAUCUCUCCAUCUUUGGGCAUAUUCCUUAAUGGACUCAUGCUCUCGCUUAGUCAUACUCUGAAGCUGGUUCCGAUCGGGAGCCAUAUCCGUAUUGUACUGGUACUGCCUAAUGAAGGCAGUUGCCAAGUCCUUCCAUGAUCGGAUCUGGGAAGCUUCCAGAUUGGCAUACCAUGAUACAGCUGCUCCGGCCAAGCUGUCUUGAAAGAAAUGGACCAACAACUUUUCGUCCGCAGAAUACGCCCCCAUUUUUCGGCAAUACAUCCGAAGAUGCCCUUUCGGACAUGUCGUCCCUUUGUACUUAUCAAAGUCCGGUACUUUGAACUUGGGAGGAAUGACAAUAUUGGGUACGAGACAUAAGUCCGCUAGAUCCGAGAAUGGGUAAUUGCCGAGGCCCUCGACUGCUUUCAACCUCUCUUCAAGCGCCUCAAUCUUUCCCUUAUCUUCCACGAAGGGAACAGAUUCUUUUAUGGGUGUGGGUGAAGCCGGGAUAUGGCGGACUAUGUUUGGUUGGGGUAGUUCAUGGGGAGACGGAUCUUUGAGGUGGAGCAGGGGACCGAGAUGGGUAUCUCCUUCCUCAUUGUCUUGCCCGGGAUAGUCGUCAUAAGGUGGGAGCUGCCCCUCGAAAGUAGGGGCUUGGCUUAAAUCUUCCGGGGUGGCAUGGUGAAGUCCGGAGGCAAGCCAUAAGGAUAAGCUUGCGGGCUAUACCUUCGACCAAACACUGUCGUGUUUCUGUCUCGGCCCGGAUUUAAGGCGGGCUGCAGCACCGGCUUCGCUUCCCUAACUUUACUGGAGGCGGUUGUCGUGGCUUUAUCCUCUAUAGUUUUCUGGAGUUUUAACAUGACCUCCGAUAUGGAAGCCAUUUGAUCUUUUAAAGCCGAUAGAUCGGCCUUCAUCUAUUCCUGCACGCCCUCUUCAUUAUCCAUUUUUCUGGAUCGAGUGUUAUAGGGGUGCCUUGGUGUUUUCUUAGUUAUGAUGAAAUUCCUAAAGAAAUAAACAACGGUGAGUAUGCCACCAAAACAUGAAUAUGCAAAUGAAUGAUCGGAGCACUUGGAUCCACCCCAAGGUUUUUUAGAUAACGUGAUAAGUUCAGAACUUCUCAUUUUAUAAAAAGAACAAAGCUUUCAUCUAGCCAAGAUUAUACAAAGGUGUUACAAGAGAACCUAACGGUUUCUAAUUAUGUGGGCCAUCAAAUCUCUCAUGUGUUGACAGUAAUUGAUUAACCCAUGAAUCUCCUCGGGGGCCGUACACACUUCGGCCAUGGCUUUUGCUUUGGCUAAUAGACGCGGGAGGUUUUGACUUCCAUUCAAGGUCAAGGCGAACCUAUCAAUCCACAUAGUCGCUUCUUGAUGCAAUGCAUCAAUCACCCUCCCUCUUGCUUCUUUUUCGGCGUACACUUGUGCAAAAUCCUCCACUAGCUUUUGUUCAUGGGCCACAGACUGGUUCAACUCUGCCUUGUAUUGCCCUAUGAUAGCUAGCAUGCUUUGCUCCGUGGCUUCCAAGUGUUGAGCCAAACUCCUCUUGGAUCUUGCGCACGCAGCUAACUCUUCUUUUAAGAUCAUGCCAUGCACCCAUGACUGGUCUCUUUCCUCUCUUCGGAGCUUGAGUUCAUUGUUGCUACCCCACAAUGCUCCUCGGAAUUUCUCUCGGCCAUAUUCCUCCUUGCGGGCCCUUUUAGUUUCUUGUUCAAGGGCUCUUGCAGUGGCCGCGUUUUCCUCUUGUAACUCGGUGGACUCUUUCCGGAUGUGUGUAGCGACUGAUUUGAACUUCUCCUUGGCGAGUCUCGCCUUCCCUAGCUCUAAUUUUAGAGCUUGGACUUCUUCAUCUUCCUCCGGAGUUUCGAAGUUCUCCUCAUUGAUAACUUUCAAUUUGGAGAGCCAAUCUAACCCUCACGUGUGAACUCUUAGCCAUCCAUGAUAACCACCGAUGACGCCAUUUCGGAUGCCUCUAAGCUCCUUGUCUUUCUUCAACGAACUUCUCCACGCCUUGUGGACUCUUUGUAUCACCUUGAGACUUUGCGCGCCUAGAUCCCUCACAAGGAAAGGCGAGAGACUUUCUUCGGUUGGCGCUCCCCUCAUGGGGUACCCUAGCUAUCUUAUGGCGAGUGCGGGAUUAUAAUUAAUACAACCCCUAGUCCCUAUCAAUGGAACAUUAGGGUAGUCCCCACACGAGAAGAGAACUCCUUCCUUGCCUUCCUUCCAACGAGGAAACCAAUUGAUUGCGUUGCCUCCUAUUCCAGCCAAAUGUUGGUCCCAAUCGACUCUUCCUUUUUCGGCGCAUGAGCGAUAGCUUUGAAGCGGACACGGAUGUCUUGUGUCUUGUUGGAAUAGGUGUGAAACCAACCACACACAGAGAGCGGGUAAACAACAGACGAUCCGUGCAAUGUUUUUCUCACAUCUCCGGUCAAAGGUAUCAAACAAAUCUGCCAAGAUAGCCACCACUGGACUCUCCUUACUAUGGUGAUAUGCGAGGAAAGCGUCAAUGGCGGCUAAAUCCACCAAACCGUCCAUGUUCAGAAAGAGGACAACCCCAAAAAUCAACAAAGCUAGUAUAUCCGCAAACGGGCCCCACUUCUCUUGGCUCGCCCUAUCCCUUGCCUUGCCUUCCAAGUAUUUCCGUGGCAGGCCCACUACGCCGUUGCGAGUUUGCUUCAUGCGAUCCAACUCUCUUGCCGAAUCCCCGACCACAGUUGCAAUCUUGCUCAAGGAGGGAAGAAACCCGGAGAAAAGAUACGGUUUUCUCCCCCCCAAAAGGGCAUCCUAGUAUCUCCUCAAACUCUUCAAUAGUCGGUACCAUUUGGAAGUCCCCAAACGUGAAGCACCUCAACGGCUGGUCAUAGUAUUGGGCGAGGGAUACGACAGCUUCCAUAAAUACCUCUGCCGCGGUCAAAUCUAGAAUCUUUCCGUACACUUUGCGAAAGGCUUGCCUUUGGAGAGGUCCCAUCAAUCGUCUCAAUUCCUUGAGCUGGUGACAUCUAGACUUUUAACCUUGACUUGAUAAAACCUUUUGCCGUUUUGAUUUGUCCCCAUCAUUUACCUAAAAAAGGGGUGGAUCAAGACUCCGACAUGAAUGAUGCAAUGCGUAUGCAUGAAACAGAAAGAAAACAACACAAAGGGGUAAUUCACACAUACGAGACCGCAGAGAUCCAAUUUUAAUGCUACGUUUUGGGCAUGAUGGUGCCUCAACGUAGUAUUAAAAAGGUCACGUAUUACCCUAAAGAAACCAAACAUCACUAGCAAUAACUAUAAACUGGUGCUAUUUACCAAAAAAUGCAUGAGAACGAAUGGCACGGAGCGUGUUUGCUCUUUGCCCCUAUUUGGGAACCUAUAGGACAAUAUCUAGGGGUCUCUAAUAACUACUCCCCAACAAUUCAUAACUCACACGACUAUUUUCUAGAGGUAUCAUCACUCAAGAUAAUAAUAUUGUGGCGGUAUGGAAUACCAGCGACAACACAUUAUAAAGAGAGAAAGCUCUAGACGAGGUUUCACUAUUAUCAAGCAAGUCGGAGACCUAGCAUGAUAAUAGAUUCACCUCCACUCCUUAAAUUCCCAUGAACUCGGGUAUAGGGCCCAUUUUUUUACUCAAACCCGUGGGUGCUUAGAAUGAAGUGUAAAGAAUGCGAAAUAGACAACAGUUAUUUACAUUUUACACAGUUCAACAAAUGCACACACGAAGUUUCACAAAUCCACAAUUCCUUAAAAUAGGCCUAACUCACAAAAAGAUCCCCAGUGGAGUCGCCAACUGUCGCAACGUGCCCUUUUGCGGGCAAGCGAAGGCGAGGCUCACGGGUGCACUUUCCAAAGGAGGAAAGAUGCGCGGAGUCGCCACCAACGUUUAUUUGUGGAAAACAUCGGGAAAACCGAAGGAAACCGGUCAAAAUGAAAAUUCUAAGUUCGAGAGUUGUAUUUACGCUUGAGGAAGGUAUUAGCACCUCUCACGUUUGUCUUAAAGGACAACAGCCUAUUUUUUAGAAUUGUGGAAAUUGUGUUACCUUAACUUUUAUUUCUUUUUAUUUUUUGAGGUCAACAAAAGCGGGGCUCUUGCUCCUACGUACCCUCCAUCAAAGAGGAAAUCAGACCUACGUAGUUCUUUCUUAUGCGUGAAUCAAGUGAUUCUUUUUACUUGAAAGGUGAUCAUUUUAAGGCGUUGGACUUUAAAAAUGAUCCAUUUUACUUGGUAAGAAAUUGAAAUGAUAAACUUUCAAAACCCUAUUUUUUGUGGACGAGCUUGACUAGGCGAGUUGAUUUUAGCCUUAGUUUCACUUUAGUUAUUAGUCAAUUCAAUUAAGAAUGAGAAAUCCCAAAGAGAAAACGUUCGAUUGAUUUUUCGCUUUAUUUUACUAAAAGGUAUUUUUUUUAUUAUUAUAUUAUUAUCUGACCUCUUUUUUGAUUUCCAACGUGGUUACGGCACGACCGAACGGUCGAAAUUCUUUUUAACAGGAAUUAACGGAUGAUACAAUUCAAAUGAUCGGUGGAAAUUUAUUUUAUUUUUAGAUUAGGCGACAAAAAAACUUAAAUAAAUGACUGAAGCACGUCAAAAGGGGGUAUAGAAAGCGAAUGAAAACGAGAAUAAAAAUACAUGAAACAAAAUGUGGACCACCACGGGUACAUAGAAUGAAUUGAAAAGCUCGGUUUGAGGUACUUACCCGUUGAAGACUGAAGAAAACGAAGAACGAACGAUGAAUGUUGAAGAACGGUCGAGAAUCUUCGCGUAAUUACUCACGGAAACGUUACGGAAGCGCCUCGGCUUGGAUUUUCUUCACGGAAACAAUUUUCCUCAGCAAUUUCGAGAGAAUGAGAAGUGCCAAGAAGGCUGAACCCCUUCUCCCUUCACUCCUCCCCCUAUUUAUAGCAAAAUAGGGGAGGAGCUUGCCACCCAGCUCGCCCAAGCGAGCAAGGUUGCUUCCUCCAGAAGCAACAGCCUUCUGGAGGAAGAAUCUGGAAGGCCCAAGUGGGCCUGAUUGCUAUUUGUACCCCCCCUUUUUACUAAAUGCACCCCCUUUACCUUAUGGCAAGGACGAGAUUAUAGUUAAUACAACCACUUGUUCCCAUCAAGGGAACAUUUGGAAAUCCCUCGCAUGAGAAUAGAAUCCCGGUUCUUCCUUCCUUCCAGCGAGGGAACCAGUUAAUGGAGGCUCCUUCUAUGCUAGCUAAGAGUUGGUCCCAAUUCGCCUCUCUUUUUUUGGCGCACGAGCGGUGACCUUGCUGUGGACAAACAUGCCUCCCUUCUUGGCGGAAAAGGUGUGAAACCAACCACACAGAGAGGGCUGAUGUGCAACAGACAAUUCUUGCGCCGCUCUUUUCAGAUCUUUGGUCGAAUGUGUCGUAUAUGUUGGCCAAGAUAGCGACGAUCGGGCUUUCCUUGCUGUGGUGAAAGGCGAGGAAAGUGUCAAUUGCUGGCAUUGCUGCUAGGUCCACUAACCUAUCCACGUUUGGAAAGAGGACAACCCCGAAGAUCAAAAGUGCCAGGAUAUCAAUGAAAGAAGCCCAUUUGCCUUGACUUGCCAAGGCUUUUGCCUUCUCUUCCAAACACUUCCUUGGUACUCUGACUACUCCAUUUUUGUUUUGCUUUACUUGGUCCAAUUCUUGUGCCGAGAUUCUAACCACUUUGGCAACUCUAGCCAUGGAGGGAUAGAACCCUGAGGAAAGAUAUGGUUUCCUUCCUCCCAGUUGGCAUCCCAGGAUCUCUUCAAACUUUUCCACAGUGGGUACUAGCUGGAAAUCCUCAAAGGUGAAGCACCUCAGGCGGUAGUCAUAAUACUGGGUGAAGAAGGCAAUUGCAUCCAUGGAGACCUCUGCCGCAGUUAGGUCCUAGAUCUUACCAUAGGCUUUGCGGAAGGCUUGCCAUUGAAGUUGACCCAUCAACUAUCCCAACUCUCAUAGACUGAUGACUUCUAGGCUCUUGAUUUGACUUGAUAGAACCUUUUUUGGAACAAAGGUGUUUGAUUUGAUCCUAUGUUUUGCUAGAAUGAAAAAGUCCUGCAUGAAUUAAUACUCCGACAUCUACCAUGGGAGAAAAUGGAUGAAUGCAUGAAGGGGUGCUUAUGCGAUGCUUGACACAAAUGCAUAUUGCGGACACGAGAGCCCGGAAGAUUACCUCUUCUUAACUACAACAUUUGGGCAGCACAAUGCCCUAUGUAUGUACUUAAGAAAGUGUUACGGACCUUCCGGCUUCCUGUGACAAAAUGACGUGACCAAAAUACAACGCAUGUGCGAUGACGUGGUGCAGAUUAAAACUUGCAUGGUUUUUUAGCGCAUCAGGGGGACACACAAGCAUGGUAAUAUCAUUAAACAAUCAUAUAGCAGAGACGCACAUGACAUUUAAGGGAUAUGCAUGAUAUUAUUUAAAGAAAACAAAAAAAACCGCAGCGUGUUCGCUUCGUGCCCUUAUUUUAGGAACCUAAACGGGAGGAACUAAAGGCUUUUAGUAACAAUUCCCAAGGUGGUCAUAUCUCUCUUGAUGGUUUCUAGAGGUAUCAUUCCCUUUGACAACAAUAUUGUGGCGGUAGGGACUACCAGCGACCACAUAUCAUCAAAGAGAAACUCUAGAUCAGGUUUCACUAUUAUCAAGCAAGUUGGAGACUUAGCAUGACCACGGAUUCACCUCCACUUCCUAUGUUCCCAUGGACCCGGGUAUAGGGCCCUUUUUCAACUCACCGUGUGUGCAAAAAAGGUGUUGGUGUUUGUGUGCAUCAAAUGAAUAAAUAUUUAUCUCAUGCAUACAUUAAAACAUGCUUAAAAGCAUCAAAGAGUUAUAUACAAGAACAUAAAGGAAAUAAAGGGAAACCAAUGAAAUCAUGACAUUAGCACAAAAGAUUAAUAGGCCUAACUCUCAAAAAAUAGUCCCAAGUGGAGUCGCCAACUGUCGCAACCUACCCUUCGGAGGGAGGGCGAUGCGAGACUCACGGGUGCAUCUUCCAAGGGAGGAAAACACACAAAGUUGCCACCAAUGUUUAUUUUCAGGAAAACAUUAGAAAAACCAAAAAUGGGUCUACGAACUUUAAGUAUGAAAGGUUCGGGAGUUGUUUUUACGCACGGGGAAGGUAUUAGCACCCCACACGUCUGUCACAAGGGACGAUAGCUUUUAAUUAAAUGUGAUAUACCAUGACUUCCAAUUGUUUUAUUUUCCCCCUUUUUAUGUUUUUUAUCUUUUGGGGUCGACAAAAGCAGGACUUUUGCUCCUACGUAUCCUCGAUUUGUGAGGAGGAACUCAGACCUACGUAGUUCUUUGAAAAGCGAUAAAGUUACACGGUGUGUUGAUUUUAUACUUUUGAAUGGUCCAUUGUAACCAAUAAAAGCAAAGGGGGUCGUUUAAAGCGUUGGACCUUAAAACGGUUUCAAGUGACCUUUUUGCGAACAAAGCUUGAUUUGUGAGUUGAUUUUAGCCUUAGUUUCACUUGAUUAUUAUCAACUCAUUUAAAGGAACUUUCAAAGUAAAAUGUCCGAUUGGGGCUUUUUUAUUAUUUUAUUAUUUAUUUUUAGAUAUUUUGAUUAUUUUAUUAUUAUUUUUGCUUUUUUUUAUUUAUUUAAUCGAGGUUAUGGCAUGAACGAUCGGUUGGAUUUUAUUUUAACAGAGAUUAAACAAGAUUACAACACAAAUGAUCAGUUGAAAUUCAUUUAUGAAUUAUUAAACGAGAUAACGACUUAAAUGAUCGGCGAAACUUGUUAAAGAUGGAAGAAAAGAACACCAAAAGUAAGCGAAGUAAGAAUGAAAGCAUACAAGACAAGAAUGGACCACUGAGGGUGCAUAGAAUGAAUUGAAAGCUUCGAAUUCGAGAACUUACCGGUUGAAGAUCAAAGAACGAUGAAGAACGACGAAGAACUUCCACAGAAUCGCUUAUGGAAACGUCUCGGAAGCGUUAUGGAAGUACCUCGGCUUGGAUUUUUUCCCUUCUUUUCUCUUCUCCUCACUAAUUUCAAGUGAAAACUCAGUGCAAAAAUUGUUGGACCCCUUAAACUCAGCCCCUUUCCCCUAUUUAUAGGAGAAAAGGAGAGGUGUUUUCCACCCAGCUCACCCAGGCAAGCUGGGUUGCUUCCACCAGAAGCAACCUUUUCUCCAGAAUCUUUUGGAUGGGCCAAAAUGGGUCCAAUUGCUAUUUACACCCCCAUUUUGUUAAAUACACCCUCAUUUUCGUGUUUUUGGCUAAUUUCUUUCCAAAACGUCGCAGAACUUUAUGGAUUACGCGACGAUGCUUGUUUAAGUGUCCCAAAGUGAUCAACCAAGGUCCGCAUACCGAAAACAAGUGUCCCCGGACGAAAUUAGGAUUUGACAGGUCUAAAUUUUGUUUUUUCAUCUUUCAGGACAAAUUUGUCAGCACGACACACUUUGAAGGACAAAAAUGACUAUUUAUCCUAUAAACUAUUAGCAUAGUAACAACAAAUGGAAUUUGCUUAUAGUGAUAAUAAUUAUUUAUGGAGAUAAAAAUUGAAUGAAAAAUAAUUGCCAGGUAUAAAAAUCAGAAAUAUUUUAUUUUAUAUUUGAAAUCAAUGUUAAUUUAUUUAUUACAUUUUAUUAAUUAAAAUUUAACAAAUAAUAUUAUAACAAUGACAAAAACAAUAUAAUUGAAUAGAAAAUAAAUAAACAUAUGAAAAUUAAAUAGGUUUUUCAUAAGAAUCAAAUCAAAAAUGUGUAUUAUGUAAAUAUAUAGAUACAAAUAAUUAAUUAAUUUUUAAAAGUCAGUGUAUUUAUUUAGUUAAGGAGAAAAUUAAAAAGCAAAGACAUACAAAAUGAAUCAUUUUAUUCGACCAAAAUUUAAGAUGAAAUUAGAUAUUUUUUAUUUUUCACCUUUUAUUGUAUUUUUUUUAUUUUUUAUACUCCAACAUGACUAAUAUAAUGGUGAUAAACUGUGUUUUAUACUUAAUUUUGUAGGUCGUAUAUAUUAUACUCUAACAUGAUAGUUGACAGUUACCUUGUCCAUUGAGAAUAUAAUGAAUGAGUUAUAUUUUAUGUUCAAUUUUGUAGGUUGUAUAUUUUUAACUUAGGCUUAAUUGCAAAUUUGGUUCCCCUAUUUAUCUCAGUUUACGAAUUUAGUCCCCCUGUAAUUUAAUUCACUAAUUGAGUCCCCUAUUUUUUUGCAUUCCGGUAAUUUUAGUCCCUAACCCUGAAUUUAGACGUUGAUUGUUAAUUGUUUAUGUUGACCGCCACAUGUCAUGUUUUUAUUGGACGUUGAUCACCUAAUUAACGUCCAAUAAAAGCACAACAUGUGGCGGUCAACAUAAGCAAUUAACAGUCAACGCCCAAUUUCAGGAUUGAGGGCUAGAAUAACGGGAUUGUAAAAAAAUGGGGGACUCAAAUGGUGAAUUAAAUUACAAGGGGACCAAAUUCGUGAGUUAAGAUAAAUAGGGAGACUAAAUUUGUGAUUAAGCCUUUAAUUUAUAAUGGUUCAUCCCUUCUAAUACUCAAUUGUGAACAUUGAUGUGAAAACUACAAAAGGGUAUGACAUAAAAUGAUUCUAACACUUUUAUUUUUCAUGUCCUUUUAUACUCAAUCGUUAUAACGAGUCAAGUUUUUUUAAUUGUCUUUUCGUCAUUAACGUUAUUUCAUAAAAUAGAUUAAUUAAUUGAUCUAACAUUCUACACAUAUUAUUAGCAUAUAAGAUAAUAACUUAAUUUGGGUGAAUAUAUGGUUUGAAACCUUAUAGAAUCUUGUUAGUAUGUCCUAAAUUUAAUACUUAUUAUUGUGAUGUAAUAACUCAUAAAUUAGUUUCAUAUUUAUAGUAUAAUUCAAAUGACAAAAUUGUAUAAAAACUAGAAGUGAGAGAAUAUGGUAAUGUCUAUGCUAAUAAUUUCAAGCAACAUGAGGCUUAAUUGAAAAAUUCAAAGUGCUUUUAGGGACCUGAAGUGUUAAGUUCAUGGACCAAAAUGUCAGUAAGUGGUGAAGUUUAGGGACUAAAAUGACAUCAAGUUUGUAAGUUUAGAGACUAAAUUAAAAGAUCAUUACACAUGGAAGCCAUGUAGAUUACACGUGGAUGAUCCAUCAGUUGCUAUGUCAUUACCAGAAGUGCCACGUAGAUACAACCAUUUGAGUUAACGGAGAAAACUAACGAUAAGAGUAAUUUGUCACAUGUUUUACAAAUUUUAGAACAAAAUUUUAAUUUUUCGUCUUUCAGGGACUUAACUAUUAGCAACUAACAAAUUAAAGGAAGAAAAUAGGUAUUUACCCAUAAAAAUAAAACAAUUUAUCUUAUCUUAUAUAUAUAAAGGCAUUUAAUAAUUCUACAGUAUAUACCUACCCUAUUACUUAUCUCUGCCCUGUUAUAAGUGAAUAUCUAUUUAAUGAAAGCAAUGUAAAUUACUUGUAAAGUGUUUUUUUUUUCAUAUUUCAAUUAAUUUAUUUCCACAACAAAUAAAAUAAUAUUCAUCAAUUAACUUAGUUUUUAUCAAUUAAUUUAAUAAAACUCAUUAAUUAAAUAAUUUUAUAUUUUAUAACUAAAAAACAUUAAUUGUAGAAAAAACUUUCAAUAUUUCUUUAGCUUUAUUUUGUUCAAUUUUUUAAUGUAGCAUUAUCUUAUAUAAAAAUAUUAAUGACAAUGAAAACAUUCUUUUAUAAAAUUUCCUUUAUUAAAAGAGUUAAACAAUCAUUAUAAUCUUAUUUAAAUAUUUAGGUGAGAUAUUAGUAAAUAGCAAUAUUGUUAAAAGUAAUUAAUAUUUUCAAUAAUAUGUUUUAAGUAAUACUAAAUGUGCAACUUUUUCAGAAUUCCUACAUGUUGGAAUUGUAACGACCCGUCUCGUCGCUACAAUAUCAUCACUCUAAACCGUGUAAAUUUCAAUUUUUAAAUGAAAAUUCCGUUAAUUUGCUUAUGAAAAAUGAAAGUAAAUUUUUCGUAAUAUACAUUCAUCAAACAACGCACAAUUAUUUAAAUGAAUAUAUAUAUAUAUAUAUAUAUAGUAACUUAGUACACAUCAUUCACAUAAUGGAAAGUUAAUUAGUUCAUACAUAUAAUUAAAUAUGUGAUUUACAUCCUCAAUUAAAAAAGAAAAGAUUAUAUAACCAACUACGGAUGAGUUGAUUAACAAAACACAACUCUCUCCUAAAACAAUCCCAAUGUCAUCAUGUCGGCUUGGCGGCUCCACAAAAGAAUCCCACUUCACGUACUCUACUGAUGUCCUUCUACUCCCACAAAAAAAGGUUCGUGAUCAUCACAAGUACCAACAAUAUGGUACAAAAAUUGCAAGGAGGAGUUUAUUAUAAAAGAAAUUAACACAAAAAUCAAAUAACCAUGAUUAGUAAGAAAACAUUAACAAAUACCAUAAUCAUACACAAACAUCCAUUAGUCCAACAUACACUCGACAAGUAGUCAUCAUCUGUCUAUAAUUCCAAUCAAUCAUGCUCAAUAUGAUGCAUGCUCAGUAUGAUUCAUGCACCUAACCUCAAUUCUCAAAUGCAAUAUGAUACCAUUCAUCAAGGAAAUAGCCUAAGCGUGUCCACACGAAACUCUCACUUAGGAAAACUAGGCAGCAAGUAUCGAGGUCACCUUGUCGUGCACAGAUAACUCCCCCUCCCCUAUGGUGAUCAGCUUAAGUCUCAAGGGAGUUCCAAACCAAGUGAAAUGCCCCCAAGUACAAGUAUUCCCUCUCAUGAGAAACUACAAGUACUUACUGACAAAGUUUAUACUAUUUUCAUGCAAUAUGAAGUAUGAAACAUGAGCACUAUCAAUGCACUGACAGUGGAUAGUUAAAUAUUCUAAGUCAUCCCCCUCCAAAGAUACUUAAAACUCUUUUACCACUCUAUUUCCCCCACCAGGGAUAUCAUCAUGGUCACUGCAUCCCCCAUGUACAUACACAUUGUCGCAACCUACCCUUCGGCGGGAGGGCGACGCGAGACUCGCGGGACGCGUGUUCCACGAAAGGAAUACGCGCGGAGUCGCCACCAACGUUUAUUUGAGGAAAACGUCGAAAAAACCGGAAAAGACGCGAUCUACGAACUUUUAAGUGAAAGGUUCAGGAGUUGUAUUUACGCACGGGGAAGGUAUUAGCACCCCACACGUCCGCCCCAAGGGACGGCAGCCUUUAAUCGAAUGUGCAAACAUGACUUUGAUUUUUUAUGUUCCCUUUUUAUGUCUCUAUAUCCUUUAUACCCUUUUUAUAUUUUCUCUUUUUGUGGUCGACAAGGGUGUUUCCCUUUGCUCCUACGUAUUCCUCAAUUUGGGAUGAGAAAAUCAGACCUACGUAGUUCUUUUUUUAUCAAGUGAUUCUUUUUUACUUUAAGAGGUGAUCAUUUUAAGGCGUUGGACCUUAAAAAUGAUCCAUUUUACUUAGUGAGAAAAUGAAAUGACAAACUUCAAAAGCCUAUUUUUGUGGACGAGCUUGACUAGGCGAGUUGAUUUUAGCCUUAGUUUCACUUUAGUUAUUAAUCAAUUCGAUUAAGAAUGAGAAAUCCCAAAGAGAAAACGUCCGAUUGAUUUUCCGCUUUAUUUUACUAAAAGAUGUCUUUUUGAUUAUUAUAUUAUUUUUUACCUCUUUUUGAUUUCCAACGUGGUUACGGCACGACCGAACGGUCGGAAUUUAUUUUAACCGAAGUUAAUGGAUAAUACAAUUCAAACGUUCGGUGGAAAUUUAUUUUAUUUUUAAGUUAAGCGAGAAAUGACUUAAGUAAAAUGGCUUAAGCACGUCAACAGGGGGUAUAAAAAGUAAACAAAACGAGAAUAAAAAUGCACGAAACACAAUGUGGACCACUACGGGUACAUAGAAUGAAUCGAAAAGCUUGGUUCGAGGUACUUACCCGUUGAAGAUCGAAGAACGAUGAAGAACGAAUGAAGAACGUCGAAGAACGGUUGAAACCUUUGCGAAAUUCUUCACGGAAAACGUUACGGAAACGUUUCGGAAGCGCCUCGGCUUAGAUUUUCUUCACGGAAACGAUUUUUCCAAGCAAAUUCGAAAGAGAGAGAAGUGCCAAAGGGGCUGAACCCUUUUCUUCUUCCCUUCCUCCCCUAUUUAUAGCAAAAUAGGGGAGGUGGUUGCCGCCCAGCUCGCCCAGGCGAGCUCAGCUCGCCCAGGCGAGCCAGGUUGCUUCCUCCAGAAGCAACAGCCUUCUAGAGGAAUAUUCUGGAGGGCCCAAGUGGGCCUGGGUGCUAUUUGCACCCCCAUUUUUACUAAGUACACCCCCCUCUACUUUUUUUGGUGAUUCUUUUUUUCGUAAAUUUACGGAAACUUACGAAUUUUGUAACGAUACUCGUUUUCUUUCCGUAAUGUUACGGAACCUUGCGGAUUACAUAAUCAUCCCCUUUUUGACUUACGGAAUGUUACGGAACCUCACUUAAUUAUGCAACGAUGCUUCCAUUUGAUUUCCGGUGUGUCACGGAAACUUACGAAUUGUGCAUCAAUAUUUUUUUGGUUUUUCGGCAUGUCCUGGAAUUUCACAAAUUGCCUAAUGAUGGGUACCAAGCACCUCACAAGGACCAAAGAAAGGUCGCAUGUCAUCAAGCAAAGGUCCCCGGACGAAAUUAGGGUAUGACAGUUGCCCCUCUUUACUUGUCUUUUAUUGGAGAUAAAAGGAAAGUAAAGAUAAGACACUAAUUUCGUUCCUCUCGAUUGACGAGAGUCGCGGGUGACCAUAAAAUCUCCACAUGCAAAUGACUUGUUGUUCCCGGAUUUUCACAAAUUGCCUAACGAUGGGUGCCAAGCACCUCACAAGGACCAAAGAAAGGUCGCAUGUCAUCAAGCAAAGGUACCCGGACGAAAAUUAGUGUAUGACACUAAUUUCGCUCCUCUCGGUUGACGAGAGUCGCGGGUGACCAUGAAAUUUCCGCAUGUAAAUGACUUGUUGUUCCCGGAGGAACAAAAGGUGCAGAAGACUAUGUCAGCCUCUGCAUGCUAUCAAGCGUUCUGUCUUACAGAUAGCAAAAGAAUGUUUAUACGGAUAACCACUCGGGUAUUUCCGCGUAUCAUCGGGCCCGCCGCCUCUGGAUGAUACAAGGGUGCAGAAUGACCAAAUUUGGUCUCUGCUUGUCAUCGGGCCCGCCGCCUCUGGAAGAUACAAGGGUGCAGAAUGACCAAACUUGGUCUCUGCUUGUCAUCGGGCCCGCCGCCUCUGGAUGACAAAAGGGUGCGGAUAACCGUAAGGUAUCUCCGCGUAUCAUCGGGCCCGCCGCCUCUGGAUGAUACAAGGGUGCAGAAUGACCAAAUUUGGUCUCUGCUUGUCAUCGGGCCCGCCGCCUCUGGAUGACAAAAGGGUGUGGAUAACCGUAAGGUAUCUCCGCGUAUCAUCGGGCCUGCCGCCUCUGGAUGAUACAAGGGUGCAGAAUGACCAAAUUUGGUCUCUGCUUGUCAUCGGGCCCGCUUCCUCUGGAUGACAAAAGGGUGCGGAUAACCGUAAGGUAUCUCCGCGUAUCAUCGGGCCCGCCGCCUCUGGAUGAUACAAGGGUGCAGAAUGACCAAACUUGGUCUCUGUUUGUCAUCGGGCCCGCCGCCUCUGGAUGACAAAAGGGUGCGGAUAACCGUAAGGUAUCUCCGCGUAUCAUCGGGCCCGCCGCCUCUGGAUGAUACAAGGGUGCAGAAUGACCAAAUUUGGUCUCUGCUUGUCAUCGGGCCCGCCGCCUCUGGAUGAUACAAGGGUGCAGAAUGACCAAAUUUGGUCUCUGCUUGUCAUCGGGCCCGCCGCCUCUGGAUGACAAAAGGGUGCGGAUAACCGUAAGGUAUCUCCGCGUAUCAUCGGGCCCGCCGCCUCUGGAUGAUACAAGGGUGCAGAAUGACCAAACUUGGUCUCUGCUUGUCAUCGGGCCCGCCGCCUCUGGAUGACAAAAGGGUGCGGAUAACCGUAAGGUAUCUCCGCGUAUCAUCGGGCCCGCCGCCUCUGGAUGAUACAAGGGUGCAGAAUGACCAAACUUGGUCUUUGCUUGUCAUCGGGCCCGCCGCCUCUGGAUGACAAAAGGGUGCGGAUAACCGUAAGGUAUCUCCGCGUAUCAUCGGGCCCGCCGCCUCUGGAUGAUACAAGGGUGCAGAAUGACCAAACUUGGUCUUUGCUUGUCAUCGGGCCCGCCGCCUCUGGAUGACAAAAGGGUGCGGAUAACCGUAAGGUAUCUCCGCGUAUCAUCGGGCCCGCCGCCUCUGGAUGAUACAAGGGUGCAUGUCACAUGACCUCAGGGUCAGUAUGACAAAGAUUAUGGGGCGGCCGACAAAAGCAAGGCUCUUGCUCCUACGUAUCCUCCAAUGAGGAAUUCAGACCUACGUAGUUCUUGAUAACUUGUGAGACUUGAAAAAGUCUCGGUGUUUUCUCCACUAAAAUGCAAACAUGCUUUAGCAAGGAGACAAAUAUUCCAACUGAUUUAGAGCAGCAUAUGCUUUUUUGAGUGAAAAACAAUGCGUCUACCGGGGAAGGAGAGUCUGCUGAUGAAAUCUCCCAUAACCAUAAAUGAGAUUUUGGAUGUUAGCAUUUCGUUUCUAAAUGAUCAUUUAGAGGAAACACUGGGUUCGACAAAAAUAGAAGAAAUCCACUCAAAGUGUAUCAAUCUCGCACAGGUAAGUGUUUCAUCCUAAUUCCGAACCAUAGAUAUGUCAUGACUUGACUUUGCAAAUUAUUUCCUAUCAAAUCAAAAAUUACACGCGUGAUCAUGGAUCAAUAGGGCUUCCCUUGGGAAUGGGUUCUUUUGGUGGUUUCUUCUUUCGGCUUUUGUGUGUUUUUGGCUUUUGAUUUUUUGUUGGCUUUUCCUUUUCUGUUUUUGUUUAGUGUGGGGCGAAAAAGUCGCUAGCGCACUGAUUUUGGUUGGCAAUUAAAGGGAGAAGACCAUUUUAGGUCACGGUUUCCUUUCCUUCUUUUUGUUCAUUUGGUGACAAUUCUGUAUUGUUCAGAUAUUGUCCGGUCUAAAGACCUCUCUGCACAUUUCUUCUGGUUUCUUUGACCAGGAGCUUUCUUCUCUUCCUUUUUUACUUUCUCCCAUUCUUUGGUUGGGAAUUUUCUUUCUUUUCUUUUUGCUUUCUCCCACUCUUUGAUUGGGAAUUUCCUUUCUUUUCUUUUUGCUUUCUCCCACUUUUUGAUUGGGAAUUUCCUUUCUUUUCUUUUUGCUUUCUCUUUGAUUGGAAAUUUUCCUUCUUUCCUUUUUUGCUUCCGAGGGUAAGGAUUAUAGUGAGUCAUGAUUUUGGAUCAAGGUUUGUAGAAUGGCUAGACAUGAUACAUGUCGGGGUUUGGUUUGGCUCAAGGAUAAAAGGGGUGCCCCACAUUAUUUCCAUGACACAAAUGCAAAAAUGAUGAUUUGGAAAUUUUAUGCAAAACUGGUCAUGCAUGCACCUAUGCGGACACUCAAGUGUCAAAUUUUUAUGGUCAUGUGAUGCUAGGGCUCAGGAUUCAUUUCCUCUAUUUUAAAUCAACCCAAUGUUUCCAAAAUAUGUUCUUUUAUCAAUUUGUGCAUUCAUCCGGGUCCAUUUCGGGCGUCCGGGGAAAUUUCACAGCAUUCACCCUUCAGGUGUAGACACGUUUUUUUCUCUUCAAAAAUCGGUUAUGAUCAAUCAUGUCGGUUUUUAGCUAGACAACUUAUUUUCUCUUUUUCCACCUUUUUCCUUACUUGCCUUCUUCUUUUUUCUUAUUUGCUCUCUUUUUCUUUACUUGCCCUCUUCUUUUUUCUUAUUUGCUCUCUUUUUCUUUACUUGCCCUCUUCUUUCCCUUUUGUUCUCUUUUCCAUUUCAUUUUCUUUUCUUUUCUAUUUUUAUUUUUAUCAUGAUUUUUUUUGUUUAUUUUACAUAUAUACUUUUGGACGAUGUUCCUAAACGAAGAACUCUACACGGUUCCAGAAUUUCAAACAUCAUCGAUAGUAAUGAUAUAUAAAUACUAACGCAACAAUCUAAACAAAAAUGUAUGCGCUGUACAAAUGACAAUCGAAACAACAAAAACAAACAUUAGUCUCUCAAGUCAAAACAAUAACAUAGAAUAAAAAUGACAAAAGAAAUAUGAAAGAAAACAUGAAUCUGGGGAUCUCCCAGUCACGUAUCUCCACUCCCUCCCAAGAAGUCAAGCAAAUCGGCCAUCUCCUCAUCCUCGUGGGCUUCUUCUCCAUCGCCGGGAGCUUCUGGGGGUGCCUCUCCUGCUUGGGCCUCGGGCCAAUCUCCGGGCCAUGCAACCUCUGCCCUGAACUGGUCUGGAGUAGGGCAUGAAAAAGAAGCGAAGCCCUGGCUCUGCAUGCUAAGGCUCAUCUGGUACAGACAAUCAUGGGUCCGUACAUGUGCUCGGUGGUUGGCCGCCUGCUGGCGAACCAAAUGCCGUAAAUACUGCUCCAUGUCAAAUGUCCCAGCCUGGCCAGCCUGAUGAGGUGGUGGGGGCACGCCUGCGGCCUGUGGAGCAUCACCCUGAGCCUGUCUCUGGGUACAGUACUUCUCAAUAAAAGCCCGGGUGAUGGGCGGCCGAAUCACCUUGGUAGGUGCAACGGGGACUCCGAACGACUGGCAGAGUCUUGUGCUCAGUGCGGGGAAUCCCAGGGCCCUGUUGGACUUAUCUGGGUCCAAAGGGUGCCUAGUGGGCGCCAUACCUGCAAAAAUAUAGAUGGCAUCAGCGAUCAACUGAGCCACAUGGAUGCUCAUCCGUGUCAGGAUGGCGUACACCAGCUGGCAUUUCAGCAUGGGGAGGUCGGAAUUAUGAUCGGUGGGCAGGAUGUUGCUGAAGAGCAACGUCAUCCAUAUCUGGGUCAGGGUGGUCAUGUUGGUGCGCAUGAUUCGCACUCGCCUCCCUGCAGCAGUCCGGGCAAAAUCCUGUCCCGGUAUACAUAGCAGCUGGGCGAUGGCCUCCUCAUCGAACCCGUCAGACCGGUUCCUCCUCUGGCCAUACUCACAUUCCUGGCCCUCUUCCAACACCAACGGAUAUCCUAGGAGUUGGCCGAUAGCGUCGGCAUCAAACGGGAUCCACUGACCCCUUACCCAGGAUCUCAUGUCACGCACGCCCUCCUCUGUUGGCCAAGCAUUGGCAUAAAACUCAAGGACUAUUUCUGGAUCAAACUUGGCCAUGGGAGUAACCAGUGAUGCCCACCGCCGGCGCCCUAUUUCCUCCUGGAAAUCAGCAUACUCGUCGUCCCUGAGCUGGACGCGUCGCUCCCGGAGAAACGACCAUCCCUUGAUGGCCUCGAAGCGCUGCUGGUGUACAGCACUCCUAAAGCGGUGACUAUCAUACUCCGGAGCGGAACUAGUUCCUUCGGCUGCCUUGUCCUUCCUGGACCUCUUUGAGGCAAGCUUCCUCGGGGCCAUUUCCUGCGAAGGCAAACAUUUGGAAAGUUAGUUUUACCAGUGGGACACUACUCUUAAAACAAAAAUGACAUACAACCUCCUCCCAUAAAUACAAACAUCAAUGUAAAUUUAGAGCAAGCUUAUGCGCAUAUUUCCCUACGAACGUUCACUUGCACAAGACAUCCUAUUAACUAAGAAAAAUGCACCCAUAUACAAUCAAGGUAGCUUCAUUACCUAGAUUAUUUACAUGUACUUCCAAGGUGUAUUUGUUAUUUACAUCACACACGCCUCCUUGGCUAAAUUUACAUACAUGCAUACUCAAAGCAUUUCGGGGUACCAAAAAUUGCACAUGCGCUCAUCUUGGUAUUUCUAAUACCUAUACAUAUACAAACUUCAUGAUGAAUCUUGACUACCUACGCAAUAAGGUGCUACAUUUCAUGCUUUUUUUUUUUUUUUCAAGUUUUUGCUACCUAAAGCCACAUGCAAAUUCAAGCAUAUUUUCCUUUGCUGACUAAAAUUGUAUUCAAAUUAGAAGGUAUAUAUUUUUUUGUAAUAUGUUUUCUUCACAUAACAUGCAACACAUUUAUAUAUAUUUUUUGUGAGACAUUUUGACUACCAAAAAUUAUAUAUACAUACAUCCAAGUAUUUUGCUAUCAUACCCAAAGUGUAAAUUGCCAAAGGUAUCUUGCUACCUAUUCUAAACCUACACAUUCAUGACGAGCACAAUUCCUAAACAUCUAGGCGUAGGGAAAAUAUUGUAGUGUGGCCCAGAGCCGAUUGCUGGCCAAAAAGGGUAACUUUACCCAAUAUGCACCUCCUCUUGUGUUCUUUUUGCAUAAAAUUUUAGUUCCUAGGCCUAGGAUAUAUGCGGGGCAAUCACUCUAGCCUUUUUCAGGAAUGAAUACAUAUUCCAAAAAAGAAAAUGUGUACAAACCAAAAUGCCCCAUGGGUUGUUUCCUUACAAAAGUCACGCGCUAAUGCCAUUGAGGCAUUUCACCGAACACUUGGUGGGCGCGCGUUUAGGCGUCAAUAGCAAGAGAACGGGGACAAUGUGGCAUGUCCCAUUGUUCAAAAAUGCAUUAUAGGCCUAGGGCCAUCCCAUACACACCCCUAAUUCAACCUAAUCAAGCAAGAAAACAAACCAAAAUUGCCCUAUAUAUUUGAGCAUACUCCCAUAAUUUAGAGCACCAAAAGGAGAUCAAAAUACACCAAUGAAAAGCUAGAAAGCUUAGGGAUGGAACACUUACUUGUUGGUGAUGAACAAAAGCGCAAAACGGAAUCAAAAAUGCGAAAAAGGAUGGCCCUAGGGCUGCAAACUCGUCAAUCCCGUGGGUAUGGCUUUUGAAAGGGGGGAAAAGAAGUUUUUGAAUGUUAAAACGCCCCCCCUUUCAUCAUUCUUAUAAUUUGGUGCAGGGGUGGCUCGCCCAGGCGAGCUAACCUGCACAUUUUUUAUUUUUAUUUUUUUUUUAUUUUUUUUGAGGGGAACAUUAACCAUGUCCCCUCCCUUCUCAUGGAUCAGCAUCUUGCCUAACUUGCACUUAGGUUAGAAUUAGGCGUUGAUUACUUAUUUUUUACUUUUUAAAACAAACAAAUAGUAAAAGAAAGCUGCAAAAUACAAAGGAUACGGGGCUGCCUUGCAGCGACAUCCUCUGCUUGUUUCGCACAGAGAAGGGACAACGAUCGGUCGGUCGUGACCCCAUCCCCACUUGCAUCCGUCCUUAAGUACCUGCAAGUAAUAAACAACCAGGUAUGGCCAAUCUUGACCGCAUCAUUACCCUACCUUGAUUGGUUUCUGCCGUUCAUGUUUCGUCUCUACUCCAGAAGGUAGCCCAAGGUGAUCCUGCCCCUGUUUUACCACAACAAUAUACAUGCGUAUGUGUAUGCGUAUGCAUGAAUGUUUUCAAAUGCAGAAAAUUUAGGGAAAGUUGGUUCAGGUUCAAUUCUAAUUAAGCGCUUGGGGGAUCCCAUGAACUGAGCGGAAGGGCUCAGGUGAUCACAGAUUAACGCAAGGUGUGAAACUAACGUGAGGACUAAAAGCCUCGAAUCCACGUUCAUUUCUUUGAAAGAUUGUAACGAGAGAUACAACAGACAGGAAAUCCCUGGGGGAAAUCCAGAAAACGCAUAAAGAUAAAGAACAUGCAGCGACAUCCUUAAUUGCCCUAGCUUCUAAGCAUAAUAUUGUUUGACGACAUCAGAGUUCACGGGUGAAGGUAGCUCUUCGCCAUCCAUGUUGGUAAGCACCAGGGCUCCUCCGGAAAAAGCCCUCUUCACAACAAAAGGCCCUUCGUAGUUCGGGGCCCAUUUCCCUCGAUGGUCCUUGACAGCAUGGGACAUUUUCUUUAGCACAAGGUCUCCCUCAUGGAACUUGCGUAAGCGUACUUUCUUGUCGAAUGCACUCUUCAUUCUUUGCUGGUAUAAGCGCCCAUGACUCAUGGCCGUUAAGCGCUUACCCUCAAUGAGGUUGAGCUGAUCGUAGCGUGUUUGAGCCCACUCUGAUUCCUUUAAUCCGGAUUCUGCCAAGAUCCUUAAUGACGGGACUUCUACCUCAAACGGUAACACAGCCUCCAUCCCAUAUACCAAUGAGAACGGCGUUGCCCCAGUUGACGUUCGCACUGAAGUUCGGUAACCGUGUAACGCGAAUGGGAGCAUCUCGUGCCAAUCCUUGUAUGACACGGUCAUCUUUUGGAUAAUCUUUUUGAUAUUCUUAUUGGCCGCUUCCACGACUCCAUUCAUCUUUGGCCGGUAGGGCGUGGAAUUGUGAUGCUGGAUUUUAAACUCCUUGCACAUUUCUGCCAUCAUCUUAUUAUUCAGGUUGGUGCCGUUGUCCGUGAUAAUCUUCCUUGGCAAACCAUAUCGGCAGAUGAUCUCUUUCUUAAUGAACCUGACCACCACAUUCCUCGUGACAUUGGUAUAUGAAGCCGCCUCGACCCACUUGGUGAAAUAAUCUAUCGCUACGAGGAUGAAGCGAUGACCAUUCGAGGCCUUGGGCUCAAUGGCCCCGAUGACAUCUAUUCCCCACAUGGAGAAAGGCCAAGGGGCGGACAUGACAUUCAGAGGAUGUGGUGGGGCAUUGACAUUAUCUGCGAAUGCUUGACAUUUGUGGCACUUCCUCACAUGGACACAACAAUCACUUUCCAUGGUAAGCCAGUAAUAACCUGCUCUUAGGAUCUUCCUGGCCAUAGCAUGUCCAUUGGCGUGCGUUCCAAACGAGUCCUCAUGGACUUCUUCGAUCAUGUGAUUUGCCUCCUUGGCAUCCACACACCGCAGGAGUGUCAUGUCGUGAUUUCUUUUAUACAGUAUGCUUCCGCUCAUGAAGAAACCGGCUGCCAACCUCCUCAAUGUCCUUUUAUCGUUGUCGGCAAUCUCUGGCGGGUAUUCUUUGCUUACGACAUAUCGCUUGAUGUCGUAAUACCAAGGCUUUCCGUCCCGUUCCUCUUCCACUUGGCAACAGUGUGCGGGUUUGCCACGACACUGAAAUUCAAUGUAGGGUAGGUCCCCGUGCGGUGUUAGCUGGAACAUAGAGGCCAACGUAGCAAGUGCAUCCGCCAUUUGAUUUUCCUCGCGGGGAACAUGAUGGAAGGAGAUCUCAUCGAAAGUCUUAGCCAAUUCCUUGAUAUAGGCUUUGUAGGGUAUCAGCUUGGGAUCUCUAGUUUCCCAUUCCCCUCUCAGCUGAUGGAUUACCAACGCUGAGUCGCCGUACACCUUGAGUAGUUUGACAUUGGAGUCAAUUGCUGCCUGGACGGCUAGGGCACAUGCUUCAUAUUCGGCCAUGUUGUUGGUGCAGUCGAAUCCUAGCCUGGCUGUGAAAGGUACACAUUGAUUGUCCGGAGAGAUCAACACUGCCCCAACGCCAUGACCUAGAAUGUUUGACGCUCCGUCAAACCAUACAGUCCAUUUGUCCCGAUCUUCGUCCAACUUUUCCUCGAACAAGGCCAUGAUGUCCUCAUCCGGGAAUUCCGGAUGCAUGGGCUGGUAGUCGUUAAGAGGCUGUUGAGCCAAAUAAUCUGCCAAAGCGCUUCCUUUUAUCGCCUUUUGGGUGACGUAGACUAUAUCAAACUCAGAUAGCAAGACUUGCCACCGGGCGAUUCGUCCUGUGAGAGCUGGCUUUUCAAAGAUGUACUUAACCGGGUCCAUUUUGGAUAUCAACCAGGUAGUAUGGCUCAGCAUGUACUGCCUUAGGCGAUGGGAUGCCCAUUCUAAAGCACAACACGUUCUUUCGAGCAAGGAGUAAUUCAUCUCACAGGUCGUGAACUUCUUACUUAGGUAGUAAACAGCGCGCUCUUUCUUCCCGGAUUCGUCAUGUUGCCCCAGCAUACACCCCAUUGACUCGUCCAAGAUUGUCAUGUACAAAAUGAGAGGCCUUCCAGGUACUGGUGGCAUAAGCACGGGAGGAUUCAUUAGGCACUUUUUGAUCCUUCCAAAAGCCUCUUGGCAAUCCUCAUUCCACCGAUCAGUUUGGUUUUUGCGCAAGAGUUUAAACAACGGCUCACAAAUGGCGGUGAGCUGCGAUAUGAAUCUGGCAAUAUAAUUCAAGCGCCCCAGGAAACCUCGGACUUGCCUCUCUGUACGGGGUUCUGGCAUCUCAAGGAUAGCCUUCACUUUUUCGGGGUCUACCUCUAUCCCUUUCUGGCUUACAAUGAAACCAAGCAAUUUCCCUGAUUUGACCCCAAAGGUACACUUAGCGGGGUUCAACCUUAAUUGAUAUUUCUUAAGCCUUUCGAACAAUUUCCGCAGGUUGACAAGGUGUUCUUCCUCGGAUUUAGAUUUAGCAAUUAUGUCGUCCACGUAGACCUCGAUCUCUUGAUGCAUCAUAUCAUGGAACAAAGCUACCAUGGCCCGUUGAUAAGUUGCCCCGGCAUUCUUGAGUCCAAAGGACAUCACCUUGUAACAGAACGUUCCCCACAGGGUGACGAAAGUAGUCUUUUCCAUAUCCUCGGGCACCAUCUUUAUCUGAUUGUAACCAAAGAAACCGUCCAUGAAGGAAAAUAAAGCGAAAUUGGCCGUGUUAUCUACGAGGAUAUCGAUGUGUGGUAAAGGAAAAUUGUCCUUGGGACUGGCCCGAUUCAGGUCCCGAUAAUCUACACACAUUCGUACUUUCCCAUCUUUUUUAGGAACUGGUACGAUGUUGGCAACCCAUUCUGGAUACCGAGCGACGGCCAAAAAUCCAGCGUCAAAUUGCUUCUUCACUUCUUCUUUUAUCUUCAAGGAUGUUUCGAGCUUCAUCCUCCUCAGUUUCUGUUUUACCGGGGAACACUCGGGAUUUAGAGGUAAUCGGUGAUGUACAAUGUCAGAACUCAAACCGGGCAUAUCUUGGUAUGACCAAGCAAAGAUGUCUUGGUAGUCUUUUAGCAGGAUUAUUAAUUCUUCACAGAUAGGUGCGGUAAUACCUGUACCUAUCUUUACUUCCCUUUUUCCACUGCCAAUUCCUAAGUCUACUAGCUCUGUUUCUUCUUGAUGAGGCCCCAUUUCUUGGUCCUCAUGGGCGACCAUUCUUUCUAGUUCUGGGGGAAGUCCCACAUCCUCAUUUCCUUCAUCUUCCGUUUGAUUCAUUUCUUGCUCGAAGUCGAUAGACGGGUCCCAGGUAUUAGUACCUUCGGGGGACUCGUCAUCGGAUCUUCCGUUUCAGAAAAAGAAGUAAACAUGCAAAUGAAUGAGAAUGGGUAGAGACCAGGAACAGAUGAAGAAAGAUCCUUGUAUUAUAAAUUCAAAAACAAAAGACACAAAGCCUUAACAAAAGGAAAAACUCUAAAGCCUAGGCCCAACUAUAGAGCUUUUAAAACCGUAAAGGUUUACAUUAUGCUUGUUGCGUAAAUGUCGGGGCGUUCCUCCACUCGCCAAUUUCCCAGCUGGAAAUCAGGAGGGCAUGGUCGUACCAAAUCCAAAGUACUCGGAAUAUCAUCUUCGCAUAUCGCGAACGCUUGACCUUUGUCUCCCGAAACCGCGCUUAUAAAGCUUCUACUUAUGUGGCAGGGCGGGCUUCCUUCACCUUCUUGUCUCCAACGCGAACUUUGACCAUUGUUCUUCCUUCCCGCGAUGCUUCUUUUCAUGUCCGCCUGAGUGGGCUCAUAGCCUAAACCAUACUUCCCACGAUGUGGUCCAUACACUUGACUGAUAUGUGUAAAGCCUUAUUAUGCCCUCUCCCCUCGGCGGGGAUUUCUUCUUCGGCGAAGGCAAGAUAGUUGUUGGCAGUGAUAUUGUUGACCAGCCCUCCGAAACCUUCUACCGAGAUAUCUUGGGCCACGUGAGCCUCGUUCAGCACUUUUACUAGCAGAGCCCGAUGAGGCUCGGAGCUCAUAAGUAACUCCAACAGCGAGACCCUAGCCGGGGUUUUGUUGAGCUGUUCGAUAACCUUGAAUUCGCUCUGCUGAAUUAUCCGAAGGAACUCGCUGGCUUCCUCUAGCGACACCUCCUUUCUACCAUCCUUUUUCUCCGGGGGCCCCUUUGCUGGAAUAUCUUUAUUCGAAGCGUGGGGUGCUUCGCCAUCUUGUUCCUCCACCACUUUUCCUUUUCCCUUGACGUCGGCGGGUUGGACUGGUAGGUCCGGAGGUGCGAACACACGACCACUACAGGUCACACCACUCAGUCCCGUGAUAUUUGUUACUUUAGCUGAUAGCGAACUGACGUCAGUGACUUCUUCUUCCUUCUUCCCCGGAGGUGUAUAUCUCCACGGGACCGCGUGACUAUUUUGGUACGGGAAAGGAACAGGUUUGGCCAUUAAGGGGUGUCCGGGCUUUUGCGAAGCUGCGCUUUUAGUGAAGUAUAUCACCAAGAGUUUGGGCUUCGCAACACCGCUCCCCUCCGUAGAUUGCAUGCAUAUAUGCUGCUCUUCUUUUCCUUCAAUGCCGACUUCCAGUCGACCUUGAUCUAUCAUCCGCUGUAACAAUUCCUCUACUUCCAAACACGUCUCCAUGUCAUGCAUCUCGCCGGAAUGUAGCAGACAGGAAUCCUCCUUACACCCACUAUGGGGAAUCACACCUCCCUUUUGUAGGGCCUCAAAGAUAAACCUCCUAGGGGUUGCCACAUCCCUUAAAGGUUUAGACCUGUGCGGCCUAUCGGAUUCAACUGCAUUAACUGCUCCCCCUCCAUGAUUGGCGAGCGGGUUGGUUCUCACAUUGGGCCGAUCCUCUUGGAAAGUCAGCCAUCCAGCAUCCAUUAAAUGUUGGACCUUGUAUUUAAGGGCCAAGCAUUUUUCGACGGAAUGCCCCGGGACACCCCCAUGGUACUUGCAAGUUGCGUUAGGGUCAUACCACUUCGGGAAAGGGGGUUCGAGGACCCUUCCGGGAGUUACCACGGCCAAAUGAUUGGCGAUGAGGGAUGGCAGAAGAUCUUCGUACGUCAUUGGGAGUGGGGUGAAUUCUGGAAAUGGCCUCGGAGGGAAGUUCCUUGUCGUGUUGGAAUUACCGGCCGGUCGAGUCGUGUUCGGAGUUGGAACUUGGGGAGCUUCCCUCUGGGUGGGUGCCUUAGGUUGCACGGGUGUUGAACUAGAGGUAUUCCCAGUAUGAGCCGAGAAGCUUGGGUGAUGUUGCGCGUACUGAUGGGUACCAUGAGGUGUUUGCUGGGUUUUGACCCACGCAGGUGUUGAAGAGACGGCAUGGGCAUCUCCCUCCUUCCUUUUUGCCCCUGUUGCCCCGAUUCUUUUGGCAUUCGCGUUUGUGGAGGAAACGUAAUCAAACUUUCCUCUUUUCAAUCCAACCUCGAUUCUUUCCCCGGCAAACACCAGAUCCGCAAAGCUGGACGGCAUGUAACCUACUAGCUUCUCAUAGUAGAACACUGGCAGAGUGUCCACCAUCAUGGUGAUCAUCUCUCUCUCAACCAUGGGAGGAGCUACUUGUGCCGCCAAAUCCCUCCAUCGCUGCGCAUAUUCUUUAAAGGUUUCACCCUCUUUUUUGAACAUAUUCUACAGUUGAGUACGGUCAGGAGCCAUAUCAGAAUUGUACUGAUACUGCCUUAGGAAGGCGGUAAUCAGAUCCUUCCAAGUACGGAUACGGGAAGCUUCCAAAUUAGUGUACCACACUACCGCAGCUCCGGCCAAGCUAUCCUGAAAGAAGUGUAUCAACAGCUUUUCAUCUUUAGAGUGGGCGCCCAUCUUACGGCAGUACAUUUUGAGAUGGUUUUUGGGACAAGUCGUCCCUUUAUACUUGUCGAAGUCCGGCACUUUGAACUUCGAGGGAAUAACAACAUCGGGUACUAAGCAAAGAUCCGUCAUGUCUGCGAACGGAUAGUCCCCAAAUCCUUCUACGGCCCUCAAUCUUUCCUCAAGGAGAUCGAGCUUCCUCCUUUCUUCAGUUGCUGGGGGCGGCCCUUCCGUGGACAGAACUAUUGGUGGUACUGCGAUGUUGGGUUGAGGCAACGUGCCUGGUGCCGGCCCUUCGCGGAUCGGGGGAUACAACUCGACAUCCCUCCGAGCAUAAUCUUGAGGGUCUUUGUGGACUUCGUCGGGCUGCUGAGGAGGCUCUCUUUCAUGGACGGGAGAAGCAAUGUGGCCCGCAUCUUCUUGCAAGACGGGUGGUGAAUAGUUGGGCGGCAAUCCAUAAGGGUAAGCCGCUCGGUUGUACCCCAGGUGAGGGCUGCCAUCGUGCCCCAGUGUGUCCCUUCCCCGUCCUACUAUGUUUGAGGGAGGAUGGUGCGUAGUUGCCAAGAGAGUCGGGUCUGCUUCGGCAGCCGAACUGGCAGCGGCGGCGGUGGCCGCGUUCUUCUCUAUGAGCUGCUUCAUACUUAACAUGGCCUCCAUCAUGGAGGCCAUUUGUUCUUUCAGAGCCGACAUGUCGGCUUUCAUCUGUUCCUGCGUCUCCUCUUGAUCACCCAUCGUUCUAGAUUUGGAUCUGGUGCGAUAGGGAUCCCUUGCGGCGCGUUUAGUUAUGGUGUUUUUCCCUAAAAAACCAAACGUGAGGAGUGGGUAAAGAAAGAAUAUGCAUGCUAGAGAUGAAAUGUAGGAGUGAUUUGAUUUGCACAAGCUUUUUGGAGUAGAAACAUGGGACCAACUCAUUUUAUUUCAAAAAGGAAGUCGUAUCUAGUCAAGGUCUUAGAGACCAUACAAGUUUCCUAACGAUUUCUAAUUAUGUGGGCCAUUAAGUCUAUCAUAUGCUGACAAUAGCCGAGAAGCCCAUGAAUCUCUUCGGGGGCGGAGUAGGUGUCUGCCAUCGCCUUGGCCUUGGCUAACAAUCGGGGAAGUUCUUGACUCCCGUUCAAGGUAAGAGCAAACCGAUCCAUCCACAUGGUUGCCUCUUGGUGUAAAGAGUCGAUCACCCUUCCUCUAGCCUCUUUUUCCGCGUAUACUUGGGCAUAUUCGUCCGCAAUCCUAUGCUCGUGGGCCGCGGCUAGACCUAACUCUUCUUGGUACUUGGCGAUGAUAGCUAGCAUGUUGGUCUCCGUCUCGCAUAAACGCUGAGACAAGCUUCUUUUGGACCUUGAACAGGCAACUAACUCCUCUUUCAAAACCAUGCUAUGUGCUCGCGACUGGUCCCUUUCUUCCUUUCGCAACUUGAGUUCACUAUUGCUACCCCAUAGAGCUCCGCGAAAUUUGUUCCGGCCAUACUCUUCCUUGCGAGCCCUCUUGGUCUCUUGUUCAAGGGCUCUUGCGGUAAUUGCAUUCUCUUCCCGUAACCCGGCACACUCCUUCCAAACGUGUGUAGCGGCCAACUUGAACUUCUCCUUGGCAAGUUUUGCCUUUCCUAACUCGCUUUUGAGAGCUUGGACUUCUUCGUCCUCUUCCGGUGCUUCAAAACUCUCUUUGCUGAUGACUUUUAACUUGGCGAGCCAAUCUAAACCUCGUAUAUGAACUUUCAGCCAUUCGUGGUACCCAUCAAUGAUGCCAUUACGAAUGCCUCUAAGCUCUUGAUCUUUCUUUAACGGGGUUUCCCACGCCUUAUGGAUUCUUUGUAUAGUCUUGGAAUUUUGUGCGCCGAAAUCCCUCACAAGGAAAGGAGACAUGCUUUCUUCCGUCGGUGCUCCCCUCAUGGGGUACCCUAGUUGUCUUAUAGCGAGCGCGGGAUUGUAGUUAAUACAACCCCUCGUUCCUACCAGCGGAAUGUUUGGGUAUCUUCCACAUGAGAAAAGGACUCCUUCUUUUCCUUCCUUCCAUCGGGGGAACCAACUGAUUGUUCUACCUCCUAUCCCGGCCAAGAGCUGGUCCCAAUCUAUUCUCCUCUUUUCAGUACACGAGCGAUGGCUCAGGAGCGGACAUGGAUGUCUUGUGUCUUGUUGGAACAAGUGUGAAACCAACCAAACACAGAGGGCGGGUAAGCAACAGAUGAUCCGUGCGCUACUCUUUUCGCACCUUCGGUCAAAUGUGUCAAAUAGAUCUGCCAAGACAGCUACCACCGGACUUUCCUUGCUAUGGUGGUAGGCAAGGAAAGCGUCGAUUGCUGCUAGGUCUACCAAACCAUCCACGUUUGGAAAGAGGACGACCCCAAAAAUUAGCAAAGCUAACACAUCCAUAAACGGGACCCAGUCUCCUUGAUUGGCCAUACCCCUCGCCUUGUCUUCUAGGUACUUCUGUGGUAGGCCCGCUAUGCCGUUCCGAGUCUGUUUUAUGCGGUCCAAACCUCUUGCUGAAUCCUUGACCACAGUUGCAAUUCUGCUCAAAGAGGGGAGAUACCCGGAGGAAAGAUAUGGUUUUCUUCCCCCGAGAGGACAUCCUAGAAUUUCCUCAAAUUCUUCAAUGGUUGGUACUAAUUGGAAGUCUGCGAAUGUGAAGCACCUCAAAGGCUGGUCGUAGUAUUGGGUAAGUGAUGCAAUGGCUUCUAUGGACACCUCUGCUAUGGUCAACUCUAAGAUCUUUCCGUAAGUCUUGCGGAAGGCUUGCAUUUGGAGGGGUUCCAUCAACCGCCCUAAUUCCUUGAUGCUGGUGGUAUCUAGGCUUUUGACCUUGACUUGGUAGAACCUCUUGCCGGUUUGAUUUGUUCCCAUGCUUACUAAAGUGAGACAAAAGCUGGUGCAAAUCAAAACUCCGAUAUCUCAUGGGUGGGAUGGAUGAAUGCAUGAUGGAAUGCAUAUGACACAGAUGCAAUCUAGGAAUGCGGGGGUCCGGGGAAUUUGUCCCCUUCUUAGAUACGACGUCUAGGGGUAGCGAAAUGCCCCAACGCACGUUUUUAAGAAGGCGACACGGACCCUCCGUUGGUUUGUUUACAGUAGGGAUCAAGACAGAACCCAUAUGCAAUGCCUAUGCAAAAGACACAAUGCGGGAAUGUGCACAGUAUGACAAUAUUUACCGAACAUAAGCAAAAGGGUAUAUGAUACUCAUGCAUGGCAGUGUGAAAAAUGGCACGCAGCGUGUUUGCUUCGUGCCCCUAUUUAAGGGACCUAUAAGGGAGAGAACUAACUAGGCUUUUAGCAAUAAUCCCCAAGGUAGUUAUAUCUCUCUUGAUGGUUUCUAGAGGUAUCAUCCCCUUUGAAGAACAUAUUGUAGCAGUAGGGACUACUAGCAACAAUAGGUUUCCAAAGAGAAAAGCUCUAGAUGAGGGUUCACUGUAAUCAAGCAAGUCGGAGACCUAGCAUGAUCACAGAUUCACCUCCACUCCUUAUGCUCCCAUGAACCCGGGUACAGGGCCCUUUUUCACUCACAGUGUGUGCAAAUAGUGUUGGUGUUUGUGUGCAUCAAAUGAAUAAAUAUUUACUUCAUGCAUACAUUUAAAACGCACUAAAAGCAACAAAGAGUUUAUAUACACAAGAACAUAAUGAAAGGAAACCAACAAAGGGGUAAGUCACGGUAAAACAUUGCACAAAAUUAAAUGGCCUAACUCUCUAAAAACAGUCCCCAGUGGAGUCGCCAACUGUCGCAACCUACCCUUCGGCGGGAGGGCGACGCGAGACUCGCGGGACGCGUGUUCCACGAAAGGAAUACGCGCGGAGUCGCCACCAACGUUUAUUUGAGGAAAACGUCGGAAAAACCGGAAAAGACGCGAUCUACGAACUUUUAAGUGAAAGGUUCGGGAGUUGUAUUUACGCACGGGGAAGGUAUUAGCACCCCACACGUCCGCCCCAAGGGACGGCAGCCUUUAAUCGAAUGUGCAAACAUGACUUUGAUUUUUUAUGUUCCCUUUUUAUGUCUCUAUAUCCUUUAUACCCUUUUUAUAUUUUCUCUUUUUGUGGUCGACAAGGGUGUUUCCCUUUGCUCCUACGUAUUCCUCAAUUUGGGAUGAGAAAAUCAGACCUACGUAGUUCUUUUUUUAUCAAGUGAUUCUUUUUUACUUUAAGAGGUGAUCAUUUUAAGGCGUUGGACCUUAAAAAUGAUCCAUUUUACUUAGUGAGAAAAUGAAAUGACAAACUUCAAAAGCCUAUUUUUAUGGACGAGCUUGACUAGGCGAAUUGAUUUUAGCCUUUAGUUUCACUUUAGUUAUUAAUCAAUUCGAUUAAGAAUGAGAAAUCCCAAAGAGAAAACGUCCGAUUGAUUUUCCACUUUAUUUUACUAAAAGAUGUCUUUUUGAUUAUUAUAUUAUUUUUUACCUCUUUUUGAUUUCCAACGUGGUUACGGCACGACCGAACGGUCGGAAUUUAUUUUAACCGAAGUUAAUGGAUAAUACAAUUCAAACGUUCGGUGGAAAUUUAUUUUAUUUUUAAGUUAAGCGAGAAAUGACUUAAGUAAAAUGGCUUAAGCACGUCAACAGGGGGUAUAAAAAGUAAACAAAACGAGAAUAAAAAUGCACGAAACACAAUGUGGACCACUACGGGUACAUAGAAUGAAUCGAAAAGCUUGGUUCGAGGUACUUACCCGUUGAAGAUCGAAGAACGAUGAAGAACGAAUGAAGAACGUCGAAGAACGGUUGAAACCUUUGCGAAAUUCUUCACGGAAAACGUUACGGAAACGUUUCGGAAGCGCCUCGGCUUAGAUUUUCUUCACGGAAACGAUUUUUCCAAGCAAAUUCGAAAGAGAGAGAAGUGCCAAAGGGGCUGAACCCUUUUCUUCUUCACUUCCUCCCCUAUUUAUAGCAAAAUAGGGGAGGUGGUUGCCGCCCAGCUCGCCCAGGCGAGCCAGGUUGCUUCCUCCAGAAGCAACAGCCUUCUGGAGGAAUAUUCUGGAGGGCCCAAGUGGGCCUGGGUGCUAUUUGCACCCCCAUUUUUACUAAGUACACCCCCUCUGCUUUUUUUGGUGAUUCUUUUUUUCGUAAAUUUACGGAAACUUACGAAUUUUGUAACGAUACUCGUUUUCUUUCCGUAAUGUUACGGAACCUUGCGGAUUACAUAAUCAUCCCCUUUUUGACUUACGGAAUGUUACGGAACCUCACUUAAUUAUGCAACGAUGCUUCCAUUUGAUUUCCGGUGUGUCACGGAAACUUACGAAUUGUGCAUCAAUAUUUUUUUGGUUUUUCGGCAUGUCCUGGAAUUUCACAAAUUGCCUAAUGAUGGGUACCAAGCACCUCACAAGGACCAAAGAAAGGUCGCAUGUCAUCAAGCAAAGGUCCCCGGACGAAAUUAGGGUAUGACACACAUCACACAUCAUCACAAUGACAUUUUCAACAUCAACAAUAUCUCAUCUCAAUGUCAUUAUUAACAUCAACAUUGUCUCAUCUCAUUUUCAUUCUCAAAAUCAAUAUUAUAUCAUAUCAAUGUCAUUCUCAUCAUCAAUAUCAUCUCAUCUCAAUGACAUUAUCAUCAACAACAACAUCAUCUCAUAUCAACAUAAUCACCAAUAACAACAUCAUCUCAUAUCAACAUAAUCAUCAAUAACAACAUCAUCUCAUAUCAAUAUUAUCAUAAACACCAGCAUCGUCUCGUAUCAAUUAUUAUCAAUAUCAUCUUCAAUAACAACAUCAUUCUCCAUCAACAUUAUCAUAAAUAUCAACAUCACCUCAUAUCAAUUAAUGCCAUCAAUAACAAUAUCAUCAGUAAAUUACAUUUCACAUAUACCUACAUAUAUGGUUCAUGCCUGAGAUUCACACUCCCCAGGUCUUCAAACAACAUAAGUUAAAUAAAAACAAUAAUGUCAUUUAUCAAUAACAGACGUAUCACAUCCCAUUAGUCAAAAACAUUAUUUUCUUGAAAACCAGCAUGCAAUAGGGACAGACAUACAUCCCCAUAGUUAGGUUCCCAAACCCCAGCUAUGGUAUCAAAAGUCAUAAAUUUAUAAUAAACUCCCCUCACCUAUUGUGAGCUCCCCAUCAGUUCCUCUUUGUGUCGCUCAGAGACCUCUCUUGUUCACAUUCUUCAGUCCAAAAUUAAGUAUAAAAUAUAGUUUAUCACCAUUAUAUUAGUCAUGUUGGAGUAUACAAAAUAAAUAAAAUACAAUAAAAGGAGAAAAAUAAAAAUAUCUAAUUUCAUCUUGAAUUUUGGUUGAAUAAAAUGAUUCAUUUUGUAUGUCUUUGCUUUUUAAUUUUCUCCUUAACUAAAUAAAUACACUGACUUUUAAAAUUUAAUUAAUUAAUUGUAUCUAUAUAUUUACAUAAUACACAUUUUUAAUUUGAUUCUUAUGAAAAACCUAUUUAAUUUUCAUAUGUUUAUUUAUUUUCUAUUCAAUUAUAAUUUUUUUGUCAUUGUUAUAAUAUUAUUUUUUAUAUUUUAAUUAAUAAAAUGUAAUAAAUAAAUUAACAGUGAUUUCAAAUAUAAAAUGUAAUAAAACAUUCUUCAGUCCUAACACAACGUUCUAUAUACCAAAUCGAAAGAAAUUUAGUAUAGAUUUCAGAAACAACGUUAAUAACAACAUUCAGAGUCAAUUAUCCCUGUCAAAACAUAAAGGACGAAAGCGUGUUUCGGAUUCUACUUAAAGGAGACGUCAUUUUGAAAUUUCAAUCACGCCAAUGUGAUUAGGGUUCAGCGAAGGUCACAAAAAAUAACAUCAAUUUUAUAAAAAGAUAACUUUUACAACGUCCCAUUUUCAAGGAUUUUUUAAAGGAAGUCUAAAAACACCCUAUUACAAUACCGAAAACACAAGAGACAUUAAGAGAAGCUCAAACUAACCAGGAGAAGUUACCUCAGAGAAGCUACAAAAGAAAGGAUUGAGGGAUUGUUCUCCACCAAAUCCUUGAGGUGGAUUUUGAGGAUUCCACUCUGAUUAAAAUGUUCCUUUCAGUGUUGUGGUUCAGUGGAAAGCAACGGCAGCUCGUGGUGGCCAUCAGUGGAGGAGGAGGAGGUAUUAGGGUUUGGGUGGGCGUUUGGAGAGAAAAAGAGUGAAAAAUUGUGUUUUUCACGCUGAAGAACGUAUUUAUAAUUUGCAGAUCUCGCUUAGCGAGACGAGCUCGCUAAGUGAGAGUCCACUUUUGGCGCUAAGUGUGACUUUUUACGCUUAGCGCAAUUCCUCUUGCGCUAAGCACGACAAUUCGUGCUCAGCGCAAUUCCCUCUCGGGUUGGAAUUGUGCUUAGCGUGCUUCUUGCUCUAAGAGAGAGGUCAAAAUCGUUAUUUUGAAAAUCCCAACGGUUAAACUAUGGGGACCUGUGUUAUGAACCUAAAGUCCAAAUUUGAGGACAAUCCAACGGUUAACCAAUCCAGGAUCGUGGUUUUUCCCAAAUAGGUUUAUGUAAAACUUGAAAUCUCAUAAUUUCAACUUAGGUCAAUAAAACACCACAUAACUCAACAUCCACAUCCAGAAAAUCACACAUGACUAAUUCACACCAUACCUCAACUCAUUCAAGUCAAGCAUAUAAUCAAAUAACAUGAUAAAUACAAUUAAACAUCGAUUUAUAAUUAACAAAAUUUCAGGGCAUUACAGGAACAGCUAGGAAUCUAAAAAGGAAGGUUGAAUAGAUUCUUUUUAGAAAAUUUUACCUAAUCAUUAUUUAGAUUCAAUUAAAAUCAAACCCUUUAUUAAAUCAAGGUUUUCUCAAAUGUCUUGUAAAAAAAUAUUAACAGCAAUGAACCAAUUAAUACAAAACCAUAGAAAAUAGAGUUUUAUGACCCACACUUAUCAAUUCCAAUAUCAAGAUUGAUUCACAAAACCAAGAGUUAGAGAAAGGGAGAAUCACAAAAAAAUUAUACUUGUUUAGUCCUCAAGAGGACCUACAUCUAGUUGUUCUUAGAUCCCUUAGAACAUUCCACUAUUACAGAACCUAAGUACAAAUACACAAGCAAUUCCCUAACAAUCUACUUUUCCCUUGAAGCAUACAAGAGAAAAACCAAGAGUUGAAACCCUAUCAAAUCAAAACCAUGGUACCCUAACCAAGAUUAAAAUCCACAAAGAAAUAAAAAUUGGAUUGAAUACACCUUUAAUGUGCAGAUCACAACUUCAAGCUCUUCGAUAGAUGAUCAAUCCAUGAUGAAUGAUGAAUGACAAAUGAUUCUUGAUCAACUUGACUCUUUUGAAGAAAUGCAUUAAAGACGCCGUAGAUGACUCUCAGUAUGUGUUUUCAAAAGAUAAGAUCAUGACAAAAGUCACUAAUGAGAAAGAACAAAUGAGUGAAUUUAUAGUUUUAACUAAUAAAACAACUUUAAUCAAUUACCAAAACCUAUAAUUGAUUAAGUUGAUCAAAAUAACCUUGUUCUACAUUACCAAAAUUUUGGUAAUCAAUUACACUAUGUGGUAAUCGAUUAUCACGGUUGAUAAAGAGCUCCUCUUGGCUCUGUGACCUAAAGUAAUCAAUUACAAUGAUUGGUAAUUGUUUAAUUUGAUACACAAAGAGCAAGCUAAUAAUUUUAGAAACACUAUAAUCGAUUACAAUAUGUGAUAUAUGAUUAUUUCAUUUCAUAAAGCCUAAACUUCUCUUGAAACAAGCUUGAUAAUCGGUUAUCGUAUUUAGUAAUUGAUUAAUUCGAUGAAUUUAGGCAAAAUCUCAAUAGAAGUUAGUUCUUAUGCUAAUCUUUUCAUCUUUUAAUUGAUUACACUAAUUGGUAGUUGAUUACACUAUGAAAAAUCUGCAUUGCUUUCAAAACUUUAUGUAUCAAGACAUCAUGAAUGAUUAUCCUUAAAGAUGUAGAAGUUAUAAAAAAAACUAUUCUAAGCACAUACAUGCCUAUCUAGAGCAAUCAAUACAAUGCCAAACCUAUAAAAUGUGUUUUGCCAUGUAAAAAGAUCAAAAUCAAAACCUAAACUUAGAGAUGUAAGAUACUUCAAUCUGCACUACAAAUAAAUUAAUUUAUAUUAUGUCGAAGAAAAAUCUUUUACAUAUCUUGACAAUAUAUUGAUUUUAAAAAAUAAUUAUCUAGAAUCCACCUUUUGGAUUUUAUAAUAUGUUAAAAUGAUGUUUGUGUGUAUGUUUGUAGAAGUCACUACAAGAAAAAUGACUUAUGCCUACGGACGCCUUUUCCCACAGACAUGAAUUAGUGUAGGUAAAUCUCAAAAAUAUUUCUACCUACACUUGACUAAUGUAUGUAAAACACAACCGUUUGUACCAACCAUUAUUUGGUGUAGGCAAAUUCAUUAAAACUAAAAAAAGACUUCUACCUACAACUACAUUGUGUAGGUAAAACUCCAAAAAAACUUAUGCCUAUGAUUGAUUAGUGUAGGUAAAACUUAAGGAUUACUACCUACAAAAGAACAGUGUUGAUAAAACAUCAUAAAACUUAUGCCUAUAAUUGAUUGGUGUAGGUAUAACCUCAAAAAGUCUUAUACCUACCAUUGGUUGGUUUAGGUAUAACCUUAAAUGAUAGUUUAAAAAUUAUAAUAAUAUAAAAGUUAUACAUUUCGAACUUUAAACAUAAGUUACUUGGAAUAAAAUUAACUUAAAAGUUAAUUAAAAACUAAAAAGUUAAUUUAUUAAAUUAUAAAAUCAUAAUUUAUUAAAUAAGAAUAACUAAUAAAUUAUUAAGAGUAAAAAAACAUAAAAAGUUAUAAGUUAACAUUUAAAAAAAUACUAUUUCAAGUAAUAUUUUUAAAACACUCAUUACAAAAAAAAAGUUUUCCUUAUAAAAAAGUAAGCAAAUUUUUUAAUUAAUAAUUUUUUUAAAAAAAUUGAAAUAUUUUAUUCAACCUAAUCUUAUUAAAAUUGAAAUGUUUUGUUAAAAAGAAGAAAGUAAAGGGGCAGGGUUUGGGAGGAGAGGCGCGCACAUCAUUGGCACUAGUUUUCAAUAUCGUAAGUGUAGAUUACAUCUUAGUUAGGGUUCAAUUCUCAAUCUUCAUUUCCCAUUCCCUGGCCUUUGCAGUUCCUAGUUCCUACUACUGUGACCGUGAGUCUCUCUUCCCAAUUUCCCGUUCCCGAGUAUCUUCUUCUACCAUUCGCUUUUUUUGCUUUCAAUUUUAUUUUGCUCUAACCUAAAUGCGCUUUUUUCUUCUUCUUCCUGUUUUCCCAGUUAAUUCUCGGGUUUCUUCUGAGUGAGCAGAAGGAUUUCAGCAUUGGAGACCAAAUCGUUGUGAGUUUUAAUUUUAAUUCUUCAGUUGAAAAUCCUGUUGUUAGGAAUCAGAAUCACAUCGAGUAGUGUUUGGUUGGAGUGAAUUGAGGGAAAACUUGAUUGGGUUAAGCACCUUUAUUUUUAUGUUGGCCGGCAAUUCGUGUUUAUAUUUAUGGCAUUGUGCUUUUCGGAAAGGACUAGUGUGGAAUAGAAUACCACGUGUGAAGCCAUGGUUUCGUUUCACUUUUUUCGGAAGGGAGUUUUUGUGAUUCGCGUGUAUGUAUGGUAAACUAGUUUUCCCUUUUCUUUUUAUUUCUAGUUUAGGGUUUUGGUAUCCACUUUGCAACGCAUUAUUAAACUAUUUCGGGUUAAUUGAAGAGGAGAAAAGCUUCCCAUUGCAGUAGUAUUAUGCUCUGUUGAUUAAAGCACUCUGUAUCUAUGUGAGAUUCUCAGAAGCGGUGAGGAACUUGCCAAAUAUCAAAGAUGCAUACAAAAAUGGUGGUGAAAUGAAUUUUCAUUUCUGUUUAGUCUGAUUAGUCUGUCUCUUUGUCUUGGCUAGUCCAUGUGAUUGAUUAAUAAGAAUAAUUUGGUGUGCCAAGCUGUAAGCCACAUUCUACUUUCCCCACCCAGCCUAAAUUAGGUGCUAAAACAGUCUUUCUGUGCAUAUUAUAAUCUGAUUAUUAUAUACACCCACACCCUCCAUUUUGUUGCUUCAUAUCUUUUAUUUACACUCUAUUAAUUCUAGUCAACUAACAUAUAUUUGGAUUCCUUUUUUUUAUAAUUUAUUUGUUUGGUACGAAUUUAGGAGGGAUAUAAAAUUCAUUGAUUCCAAAUUUCCAAUCACCUUCUGAAUAAAAAAACUUGUUUAGGUAGUAUUUUUUACCUAAACGUAUGUGGCAGGCAAGUUAAUGCAGUGCAGGGGUAUACAUUUUCACCAAAUCUUCUUGGAGGUUUUGGUAAAUCUCUAAAAAUUCAAGCACCAUUUUGAAUUUAAUGCAGUGCAGUGAUAUGAAAAUGGUAAUAUAUAGGUAGUAUUUGAGUUAAGCUCAUGAAAGCCAAAUUAGAAGCCCUGCAACUGCAACUAGAAGUCCCAAUGAUAGACAUGGAUUUAUAUACAUUUGAUGGUGUGGCUUAUUCUGUUCAUAUAUACUGAAUAGUAGAGCAGAAUUUUGAUUUUCUCAAUGUGUUAGUCUAAAAAGAAUAAAAUGUUUGUUGGGUUCAUUGGCGACAUUGUUUUACCUGAUAUUCCAUUGAUUGUUUCAGAACUGUCUUAUUAGAAUUUUUGCCAACUAUAAUUAAUGAUAAUAUGAUACUUAACAAAUAACAACACCUGCAGGCAGGAUAAUCCCAGAGAGUGUGAUCUAUAGUUAUGGAACUGUUCUUCUGGAUCUUCUAAGUGGCAAGCAUAUUCCUCCAAGCCAUGUAUGUUGCGUUCUAACAAAAUCCAGUCUUUGCAUUCAUAUAAGAAUGUGCUUUAUGCUUUAUUUUGUUUCAUAAGACAUUAUAAGCAUUCUAUGUUACCCUACAUUUUUUGGAUUUCAUUGGUGUUUGAUGUGAAUCAUAUGAUUCAAUCCAAUUCAUGUGAGUAUUGCCUGGUUAUGACUUUCUGGUUAUGAGAAUUUGCAUUGAACAUAUGCUGGUAAAAAGUUGUUGUCACUCUAGACCCUUUUAAUCAUAUAAUUUAUUACCCUGCACAACAACAUUAGUCAAAUAACAACAUAUGUUAAAAUUAAAUUAAGAUAUAAAAGUAUAAAAUUAUUCAUGUAUACAAAUUUUUUAGAUACUAACAAGAUUUAGGUCCACUCUCGACAUUGUUGGAUAAAAACAGUGACCCUGGUGAGGAAUAGGGUUGUUGUUGAGUUCAAUUGCACGGAGGAAAGUGAAGGGGGUGCAAUUAUAGUCUGGAAGAAUGUUUGGGGAUGAUAAGUGUAUGAGAUUUAUAAUUUUUUUUCAUUAAUGAAAUAACUCAUUUACAACAAUAAGUAAACCACAUAUGAACUUCUUAUCUGCGAAGUUAUCUAUAAUUACUCUAUAUAAAUAGAGGUUUUUCGUUGACAAAAAAAAACAGAGAAGAGAAAUACAUUGAGCAAAGUUAUCUUGCUUGGAUAUUUUUAUGAUAGAACAGAAUGUGAUUUUCAUUCUACCAUUUGGUAAGUCACUGCAAUGAAUGGGUUAUAAUUUUAUAUUAUUCCUGUUAAAAAAUGAGUAUUCCUAUUUUCAUUUAAAAUUUAAAAUAAUAAAAAACUACUAUAACAACAAUUUAAUUUCUAUAUAAAUUAAAAAAAUUAUUGCACAAAGUAAAAUAAAUACCUUUUUUAUUCACAUUUCAAGUUCAAUAUAAAUUCAUCAUCAUGAUCUAGUUUUUUUUUAUAUAAAAAAAAACAUAAUAGCAACUCCUGUCUGGUCCCCAUUGAAAUUGUAGGUAGUAACGUUACGACACUGCUCAAGUGUAAUGAAGCUUGGGGGGAUGUGAUUUGAAUAACACUAAAACGAGUGGUUUAUAAUACCAUGUCACAAUCUGGCCCAUUAUAAGAAUAAGGAUAACAAGGAUAGGCUCUACCCCACAUAAUCAAAGAAUUUAUAAUACCAUGUCACAACAUAGCUCUACAAUCGUGUAAGGGCCCAUUAUGGUUUUUAUAUCAAACACCCACCAUUGGCUUUCCGAUCACACUAUAUACGUUACAGACUUCAAGAUUAAUGGAAAAGCCUCAAUUUGACAAUCAUAUUAUUCCCUCUUAAGAUGACACACCUGUACUGUACCUAUUGAUUUGCACUUUCAUGCUUAAGUAUUUUACUUUUCAGUCAAAAUAAAUUUUAUAUGUUAAUAUAAAACUUUGACCCCUAUAAUUGACACAUUUGUGUUUUACUCUUUUCAUUAAAAAAACUUUACAUUUUGGUUCCUACAUGAAAAAUGUUUGCCCUGAUAAUGAAUUUCAAUAUUUCUUGAUAUUAGUUUCUGAUUUUUGAGUUUUGAUCGAGAUAUUAAGUUCACCAAAAAUAUGGAAACUUCAACAAUUAAAUAAAUAUAUUGAAUGAAAUAUGCAAAUUUCAGUCUGCACCCCAACAAUAUAAUUGUGAAAUAAUUGUGAGUAGUAGUUGAUGUAGUUUUGCAUAAUUGAGUGAUAGUGAAAAAUGUCAUUCUACUUCAUAGUUGCUAACACGACUGUGAUUGACUUAUACCUGGAUAUUUUAGUUAUACUAAGCACUAAUUUAUUAUGUCUAUUUCAACAAUAUAAUUGUGAAAUAAUUGUGAGUAGUAGUUGAUGUAGUUUUGCAUAAUUGAGUGAUAGUGAAAAAUGUCAUUCUACUUUAUAGUUGCUAACACAACUGUGAUUGACUUAUACCUAGAUAUUUUAGUUAUACUAAGCACUAAUUUAUUAUGUCUAUUUCAUUCUACUUUUUCAGUUUAUUUUAUCAAAUGGAUAAGAGUUGGAUUGACUACAAUUCUCUUAAUAAAGAGAAGUAUAUUAGAGGAGUUUUAAAUUUUCUAGAAUUUGCAUUUGCGAAAUCGUCAAAGGAUGGAAAAAUUUUAUGCCCUUGUACCAAAUGUGUCAAUUGCAAGUGGCACUCUCGGAUGAAUGUUUAUGAGCACACCAUUAGUAAUGGGUUUCUAAAAGGAUAUGCUACUUGGAUCUUUCAUGGUGAACAAGUUGGCCCAUCUAGUUCUUUAGAUACAUCCCAAGUGGAAGGGGAGUUUGAUCAUGACAUGGAUACAUUGGUUCAUGAUGCAUUCACAAUGCAUGCAACUAAUGAGAGUAAUGACACAAAUAUAAAUAUGGAGGAUGGAGAUUCUAGAGAAUUCAUGAAUGGACCUAGUGUUCAACAAUCUGAAGACAAUAAUAAUUCAGAUAAGUUCUAUCAGAUGUUAAGGGAGGCAGAGCAAAGUCUUUAUAAAGGUUGUAAGAAGUUUACAAAAUUGUCAUUCCUUGUACAUUUGUAUCACUUAAAGUGUCUAAAUGGGUGGACUGAUAAAAGUUUUUCGAUGUUGUUAGAGUUGUUAAGUGAUGCAUUACCAGAGGAAAAUUAUUUAUAACACAAUUGUUUAUUAACUAAAUCAACAAUCACAAACAGAACAACACAUACAUGAAGAUAGUCAUGUUCAAUCUCAUACUUCUCUUGAAAGUGCAAGUAAAAGUUCAACUAAAGGUAUUUAUACACAUAUGCUUUUUUGGGUUAGAAUUAUAUGUACAAUUCUGUUUGAGUUGAAUAUCUUUUAGAAUAUGAUAAGAUUAAAUUUACUAGUGAGUUUCUUUUUUCCAUAUAGUUCAAAUCUGUGUGUGUGUGUUUGAUAAAUGUCAUAUCCAUGAAUAAUUUACGUAAAAAGAGAACCAGAGGUUAUGCAUAUAUGCUAGAUGUGUGGGACUUGCCAAAUGGAGAAUUCAUACUUGUUGAAGUAGAUCAUUGGGGCAAUCCUAUGGGUUGGGAAGGGAAAACUCUACUGAAUGCAAUUGGGAGCUUGGUAAGGAGACACCAAUGUGCUCCUAUCAAUUUUCUUAGCUGGAAAGACACGCCUAAGGACUAUAUUACUGACAUGGUUGAAUUAAUUCAGGUCUGGUAUAAAACUUUAUAAGUGUUGUUUCAUCUUGCUUCUUGUAAAAUUUUAUGUCUUCUAAUGUCUAACAAAAUGAUCUUUUUUGUUUGUUAAUGAUACUCAUAAUAGAGUAAGUUUCGAUUUGUUCCUGAAUUAACUGAACAAACAAAGAAAAUAUUGAUUGAUGACAUGAGUCUGAAAUGGAGGCAAUUUAAAUAUGAACUGAAAUAAAAAGGAUAUGAUGAGAGCAAAACUAAGGAGGAAAUGAUUGCUCACAUCCCAGAUCCUAGGGUUGAUCCUUCUCAAUAUCGUGAUUUAGUACAUUAUUGGUGUUCUGAGAAAGGACAGGUAUACAUGAAAAUGUCACCAACCUUUUGCUAACAUAACAAUUAUAUAUUAUAUGUUUAUUUUUAUUAUUGACUUUUUAUAUUUGUUGGUCAUAGAAAAUAAGCAACAUCAACAAAAGGAGCCGCUCAAAAUAUGAGGACUUGCAUUGCAUGGGAACCAAUAAUCUUCCAAGACGGAUUCAUGAGAAGGUUUGCCUUUUUUAUAUUUUUUAUUAUUAAAUUGCUUAAUACAAAUAGGAUGAUUGAUUUUUUUAACUAAUGUUAGACUACAAAGGCUAAGGGAGUGCAACCUUCUAGGGCAGAAAUUUAUAUUGACACUCGAACUCGAAAAGAUGGAAGCAUUGUUACUAAAAAGGCUGCUAUUCUAAUUGUAAGAAUUUUAAUUUUUAUUUCAAUACUUUUUCUUUGUUUUGCUCAAUUUUAUAAUAGAAGGUUAUGGGGUGAGGGGGAGUAACUAAUGUGGAGAUGAGUUUUGUUUAAUGAUAUUGAAGUAUUCAGGAUAUUGAUGUAUGAUAAUAAUUUAUAAGGUGUAUUUAUGUAGGAUGAACUAAAAAAGAAAAUGGUUGAAGCAGAGAGUUCGCAAAAUUUACAAAGCACCCAAGAUUCUACUAAUUGGACAAAUGAUAUAUAUUCAAAAGUCAAAGGAUCUGAAAAAAGAGGACGUGUACGUUGUCUUGGCAAGCUUCCACAUCAAGCAAGUUCAUCUCAAAGCUCUUAUACAAACAAUAGGAUUCAAAAGUUGGAGAAUUUGCUUGGAAACCUUGUAGCUAUGCUUAAAGUACGAUUUGAAGAAGAUCCACAAAUUAAUCAAGUCUUAGAAGCUAUAGAUCAAGAGGUAUGAAUUUAUAAUUCUACUUAUUCAACGAUUUAACUAUGAUAUGAUACUUUACAAAGAAAAAAUAUUCUUUUAAUUUAGGUACCUACAAAUGGUUCUACUAGUAAAGAUCAUCAAACUACAAACAAUAUUAACUAGAGGUGAGUUGAAAUUUAGAUGCUAAUGAAGAUGCGAGCCGGCGACAAAAUGUUAUUCUAGGAACAUGAUUUAGAUGGUAAUGAAGAUGUGAGUCGGGGAUAAAAUGUUCAAGUGUUUGGUUUUUACUUUGUCUAUUUGUCUAGCAACUCGAAUUAACUCUUUUAUACAUUUAGAAAUUUAGAAACUUGUUACAUUUUAGUGAUGAUUCCCUCCAUGUAAAGAGGGUCAUGGUGCACCAAAAAUAUACACUUAGGAAGGACUAUGCACAUGGUACUAAAAAACAAGGCAAAGUGAAUUGGAAAAUUUUCUAUAGCACUACUAAUGCUAGAUCAUUUCACAAUGGCAAUGGAUCAAGGGCUGCAAUAUGUUAAAAAGCACACAAUCUAGUUACAAUAAUCACAAAUUAGGCUAACAAAAAUUUAAUUGUAUGUAGCAGGUUGUUGUAACUUUUCAAAGGCCAUGUUGCAGCAGAUCUCUAACUUUGUGCAGCAUAAUAAUAAGCUCAUGUAUAUUUAAUUAAAAAUUAUAAUCAACAAAGAGUGUAAUUAGGAACUAGUUUUAUUAUUAUUAUAUGACAUUUACCUACAAAAGACCGUAUGUAACACCCUGAUAUAUAUAUCUAUAUAUUAUUAGUAAUUAUGUUUGAUGUUUAAUUAUUUGUUGCGUUAUUUUCAUCCGUAAUUAUUUUUAAGGAAGUUAAUUUAGUUAAUAGAGGGGUGUGGAUAGAUAAGGAUCUAGCUUCUCAAAGAAGCCACAAGGAAGCUUCUGGAGGAAGCCUCUUAAUGAAGCUUCUAGAGAAAGCUACAUGCAGCUGCCUCGGUAAAAACGCUAUCUAGUCUUCAUUAACCGUUGGAUCUACUCGAAAUUUGGUCUGCAACUUCAAAAGACACGUGUCCAUGAUCUGACCAUUGGGAUCUCUGAGAAGAUAUCUGGAGUGUGCUAGAAGCCUCUUAAUGAAGCUUCUAGAGGAAGCCUCUUAAUGAAGCUUCUAGAGGAAACCUCUUAAUGAAGCUUCUAGAGAAAACUACAUGAAGCUGCCUCGGUAAAAAUGCUGCCCCGCCUUCGUUAACCGUUGGAUUUUUGCGAAAUUUGGUUUGAAACUUUACAAGACACUUGUCCAUGAUCUGACUGUUGGGGUCUUUGAGAAGAUGUCUGGAGUGUGCUAGAAGCUUCCGUUCCCGAGAGCAUCUCUUAUUUAAGCAUUUCAGCCUUUGCUUUCGUGUAGCUUAGGAAAAACGUCAUUUCUUCUUCUUUCUUUCUUCCAAAGACAUUUCUAAAGUUCCAAGAACUUUCUCCAUCACCCACAGCCACCAUUAGCCACCACAAACCAUCAUUGUUCUCUAUUGAAAACCCACACUGAGAGAAACCCUUCAACCGAAGCGAAAUCUUCCAACUUGGCUUGCGGUUCCGGUAGAGAACGAAAACCCUAAUCUGACCUUUCAUUUUCUUUCGAGGUAACCAUGGUUCUAUGCUUAUUUCUUGUUAGUUUCAUCUUGUCUUUGAAUCUUUUUUGACUUUGGAACCGCCAUUGCAUGUCUUAUGCUUCCUUUGAAAAACCUUAGAGAAAGAGACUUUGUAAACGUUAUCCUUUCAUGAAAUGCAUGUUAUUUUCGUAACCUACACAGAACCCCGGUCACAUUGGCGUGGUCGGAAUUUCCAAAUGACGUUCCUUUGUAAAACCCGAAAUGCUCUCAGCUCUUUCAUGUAGUGAUGUGGGUGUUUGACCCAGAGCACUGUUACUAGCUUUGUUUUCUGAAAUCCAUACUAAGUCUCCUUCGUUUUGGCAUGGUAGAGGCUUGUGUGGAAUCGACGAGCAAGGACAAAAAGGAAUCUUCAAGUGACGCGACGAGGAAUCCGCGGGGUAGCUCACGAUAGGUAAGGGGAGUUUAUUAUAAAAUUUACCGUUUUAACACCAUAGUUAGGGCAGGUAACCUAGCUAUGAGGAUAUCUGCCUGUCCCUGUUGCAUGCUGAUUUUUCUUCAAAGAAAAUUAUGUUUUAACUAAUGGGAUGCAAUAUAUAUAUAUGUAUUGUGAUGAAUGAUAUUGUUUUGGUUGUUUGAAAUAUGUUGUUUGAAGACCGUGCGUGUGGAAAUGAUAUAGUUGUGUUUGUUUGAAUUGUUGUUGUUGUUGAUAACGUCAUUGAGAUGAGAUGAUAUUUAUGUUGUGAAUGACAUGGAAAUACAAUUUGUUGAUUGAUGUUGGAAAUGCAUUGGCAUGUGCAUGUUGUGUAUGUUCGUGGGGGGCACUGAGCACUGACCUUUCAGGGUCUUUGGCACUAGCUUUUGGCCAUGUUCAUACGUUGGAUGUUGUGUAUGUUCGUGGGGGGCACUAUGCACUGACCUUCCAGGGUCUUUGGCACUAGCUUCUGGCCACGAUCAUACGUCGUAUGAAGUGUAUGUCAUGGGGGGUAGAGUGCACUGACUUUGUCGGAUGGCCCAGACGUGGGUAACUAGCAUGGUUAAAGAAUCUAAGCAUUCCUGAGGGGAUGCUUAGGUGCUUUAAUUGGUCCAUGGUCUUUGACACUUACUUUUGGCCGUGAUCAUAGCUCAUACGACACAGGAAAUAGAGUAACUGUGGCCAAGUGUACUUUGUACUAGGGGGCUGUCACCUGGUAGGGAACACCUUUGGGCUCCCAGGCUGAUCACCUAUGGGAGGGGGCUGUUAUGUGCACAACCGGGUGGUCUCAACAAACUCAGCACAGUUCCCUAAGUGAGAGUGUCGUGUGGACACGCUUAGGCUAUUUCCUGAGGUUUGGUUGUUGUUGGUACGUACCACAUUGCAUCUGAGUGUUGAGUCAGGUGCAUGCAUCAUUUGGUGCAGUCUUGAUUGGGUCCAUGGAUGGAUGAUGGGUAAUUGUUGGAUGUGAAUGAUGAAUAUUUGUUGGAUAUGAGUGUUGAAUAAUGAUUGUUGUGCAUGCUUAUCAUGUUUGCCUAUGUUCCUUGCUAAUUGUGGUUAUUUGGAAUUGGUAUUUGUUCUUUUAUAAUAAACUCACCCUUGCAAUUUUGUAUCGUGUGGUUGAUACCUGUGAUGAUCACGAACCUUGUUCGUGGGAGCAGAAUGACAGUGGCAGGGUGUAGGGAGUAAGAUUCUGGUGAGGAGCCGCCGAGCCGACGUAAUGACGUUGGCGUUAUUUUGGGAGAGAGUUGUGUUUUGUAAUCAACUCCCCCGUAGUUGGUUUUUAAGUUUUAUUUUGUUGAGUUAAAGAUGUAAAACUAGAAUUUUAAUUAUAUAUAUGAACAUAUUUAAUUUUCGUUAUGUGUAUGACAUGUACCGAAUUAUUGUUUCUAUGUAAUUAUGCAUAUUCACUUAAGUAAUGGCAUGUUGUUGGAUGAAUUUAUGUUGUGACAAAAUCACUUCUAUUUUCAUAAGCAAAAAUUAAGGGAGUUCUUUUUAUAAAAAUUGAAAUUAUCUAAUAUUAGAGUGUGGAUACCGUAGCGACGAGGCGGGUCGUUAUACCGUAGGUACAAGUAAAUUGACUUUUACCUACAGUUAGAGAUUAUAGGUAUAAAUUAAUAUCUUUUACCUACACAUUUGAAAUAGUAGGUGUUACCUAUAGUGAUAGUUAAAUUUGACUGUAGGUAAAAAUAUAUUCAUAGGUAAAAAACGUCUGUAGGACAAAGUCCUUUAUACAUCUACCUACGGAUUUUGGACUUCUAAUGAUAGAUUUUGACUGUAGGUAUAAGUCAUUUUCCUUGUAGUGGUAGGCAAAUGAAAAAAAUUAUUGAAGGAGAUAGACACGUUAACCUGACUAUAUUUUUUUUUCUUUGAUUAAAGACCAUGGGUAUUCUCCAAUCUAUUACAUAUUGACAUGUUAGGAAUGCUAUAUAAGAAUAGAAGUUCAAUUAUGUCAUCAUAAAACACAUGUUUGAUGUUAAAAAUUAUUUUAUAUUUCAAUUUUAUCAUGAAUAUUUAAAUAGAAAACAAUAAUUUAAAUCCUUCACGAAAGAAAAUUUGAUGACAUAAUUGAACAUUUAUGAUUAUACUUACAAAAAUUAUAAAAUAAAUGGAAAUUCCCCAUAAAACAUAUUCUUGAAGAGGAACAAGACCUUAAUUAUGGUUAAAUUUCAAACUAAAGAUUGAUAUCAAACCAAUAGGUGUGCGCUAUUUUCAAACCGCUUGAAGUUAUUGAAUCAAACCAAAACUAUUUGGUGAAAUUUAAUGCAUGUUAAAUCUAUUUUCAAGUUCCAAAGAGUUUUGAGUUUUGUAACUCAGCUGGCAUGGAAAACCAUUUUUUUGGAGUUUCUUAAAACUAUAAACUUAAAAUAAGUGUAGUUUCAAACUGUAGCUCCAAUUUGAUAAAACUAAAACUCAUAAUUUUAUUUUUGAGAGAAAAAAUAUGUUUUUGGUUUUUAAAAUUGAAGGACCAUUGUUUGGUAAAUUUUCUUCCCAAAAUAACCUUUUAGAAAAGUUAAAUUCAAAGGAAACCCUCAAGUGAGAAAUAUGUUCUUGACCUUGAUGCAUACUUAAGAGUUUACCUACAACUUAUAAAAGGUAUCAUAGGUCUAAACUUCUAAUGUUGAGUAGAUUUAAGUUUUUUUCUAAAAGAUAACUAUAUUGCCUACCUAGUAGCUUAGAUAGAUUUCCACCAAAUCUACUCUAUGUUAGCAAGCUUUAAACUUAAAGAUAGGUAUAUAUGAAUAUACCUAAUUAAGUACUAUGGGAAUAGACCUUACCCAUUCCCUUACGUAAAAAAGAAUCAUAAGUUUUAAAUGAACCUCGUUAAGAGGAAUGCCUUUUAUUCUAGAAGUAAUAUAAGACUAAGCAAGUGAGUGAUGGAUUAACCCGAGGAUAGACAGGGUAGAGUAUGUUUAUGGCACACCUUACGCCAACUCAAAUUUCGGAGACAAAAUUCCUAAAAGGUUGGGAGAGUUGUAGUACCCUAAAAAUUACAACUUUGAGGUUGUGUGCUUGUUUGAUUUAAUUAUGAUUCAAUUGGGAUUCUUUUUUAAAUAAGAAAAUAUGUUUUGAAUAAUUAAGUAUAAUUAGUGAUUAAUUGAUGUUAAGCAAAAAAAAUCAUUUCCUAAGACAAAACAAGGCUCCUAAUUAUUUUGAUUAGAUGCAAAUAAAUACAAAUGUUAAAAGUUGCAUCUUAUAUGAUAUCAAAGCAUCCUUUGCAAGUCUGAGUUUGUAGCAUUAGAUGAUGAUAAGCUAAAACCAUGAUCUAAUAUAACAUUUAAGACUUCGUUUAAUACUUUAUGUUUGAGAUUUGUUUUGUAGAGACAUUCUUCUAUGAUUUGUGGAAAUCUAUGAAGAAUAAAUGAAGUUCAAGAUUUAAAAGUCACCAUCUUCAUCAAAAGAUGUGCUCUGGUUUGCAGACCUGCUCUGACCAAUGGAAGUGGUUUUUUGAUGAAGUGUUCUACACGAAAACAAUCAGAGUGGUUCACUGCAUAAGAAAGGGCAUGCAUUUAAUGCAAUUAUUAAAAGCUCCAAAGGCCACAAUCAUCAGACAAAAACUUAAGUGAAGAAAUUAAUCCAUUGUGAGAUAAUGAAUACUUGAAGAUAAAAGCUUAUGAAAACUAGAAGCUUUGAGGAAAUAGAACACAAAUCUUAUGUGCAUUCAUUCGAGUUCUUUAUCUAAAAAGCUAUUUGUAAAUUUUUGUAAAGUUUAGAAAAACUCUCAAAAUAAUUUGAACAUCUUGAUAGAUUAGACUAAGUGUUGAGAUUGUAUAUCCAUCUAUAAGACGUUAAUAGAGUUAGUCUUUGUGCAAACAAAAACAAUUUUUUUUUCUAAUUUAUGUAGAGCCAGUAGUGGCUUGGUAGGACAAAGAAUAUUGGGUUGCAUCAAACUUGGGGUAAAGCUUGAUUUGUAAGAGCCAAAAGUGUUUGUGAUAUAAUACUUGUAACUUUUUGAGAAGUUAAUGGAACUUGAUGGUUUGUCAAGAAUUGGAUGUAGUCUUAGUGGUAGAGACGAACCAAUAUAAUUUCAUGUAUAUGGUCUUCAUUUAUUUCUCCUCUGCUUAAACUACCUAUAGUUUGAAUUCGAUUUUGUUAUUUGAAAAACUCUUUGUUUUUACAAAAUCUGAUUUCAUUGUCCAAACCCUUUUUUCUAAAAAUAUGUUACAUGUGUUACAAAGUUUUUAGUUAGAUGAUAAAUUUGUUUGCUUGUGAAAAGGCUUUAAAAAAAUUUUAAAAUCAUAACUCAACCAUCCUUAUUGUGAUAUUUGCCUUUAUAAUUUGGUAUAAGAUGUUAGCCUCCAAGGGUUGAUCACCUGACAGUGUCUAGAGGAAAAGAUCCUGAUGGCAGAUAACAACAACAAUAUUCAGUUCAUUGCCAAGGGAGCAUCCCUCAUGAGGCCACUAGGCUUCAUAGGAGAGGACUACCCAUACUAGAAGGACAAAAUGGAGCUAAUUGUUAGACUAUUAGCAAGCGUACCAAUAUUGUCACAAGUUAUAGAUUUAUAAAAAGAGAUUGUAUCCAUAGGGACUUGAGUUACUCAAUUCCUUCGGAUAUAGGUUAUCAGUUUAAUAGUUAAAUACAAAUUCAACCCAAAUAUCAUGGGUUUUUCUAGCUAACGAAAAAUAACUAAAGUAACGAAAAUAACAUAAUUUAGUGUGUCAGAAAUAUGUAAAGUAACGGAUUAGAUUUCAUUUUUCAUACCCUUAGUAUCCUAAUAAGAUUAACAUAUAUAAAUCAUUUUCUAACAUUACUGGUGCCCACAUUAAAUUACCCUUAAUCGAUCCCUCGCAUUUGAAAAUCCUAAGAAUAUCUGCCAAAUAUCGAUCCCUCGCAUAUGAAGUAAGUAUCCCGACAUUACAAUCAUAAUCUCGUGCUAUUUGAAAUCAAAAUGUUUUGCUCUAUUCCUAGCAACAUAACAUAAAGAGUAAAUUCAUUCAGUUCAAAUUCUAAGAGUACUUUCAGUCAAACUUAAAUCCAAUUUCAUGAAACUAGUGCUGAAAUAGAACCAAGCAUUAAGAAUAGAAUGAAACCACCAAGAAUGAAUAGAAAAGAUUAAUACAUAUAUAAUAUCAAAAGAGAUACAUAAGGGUACAAAGAUUACAUCCAAUCCUUUGGAAAAACUAACUGAUCAUUGCGUAAAGCACAAGAUCAACAUGAGAAAGACGAAGGAUGUGAUCCACGGUCACAACUCUGUAGUGCCCGAGCUCCACUUUCCACUUCCUUCUUCCUUCUGGUGUUUCUCACAUUUUUUCUCUGCUUUCUAAUGUCCCUUUCUCCAUUAUUUGGAUGACUAUUUAUAGAAAAGAGCCAAGAGGUGAAGACAAAUUCGCCUAGGCGAGCUAUAGCUUGCCAAGAUGAAUUUUUUACUUAAUGUUGAAUGCACUCACUCGCCCAAGCGAGCUGUAGCUCGCCCAGGCGAGUUGAUUACUUAUGCUUGAAGAAACUUGAUUAGCCCAAGCAAGCUGGUUGCUAGCCUAGGCGAAUAGAUGUAUGAAAUCUUGGGAAAAUGACUAUUUUACCCUUCUUUUUAACUUGGUUUCUGGAUCUAAUAAAUAACCAUCAAAACCUACAUAAUCAUGGAUGAAUCUUCCAUAUUUAAACAAAAACAUUAGUAAAUGUACAAUAUAUAAAACAAAUAGAAAAAAAGGAAGUUUAUAAGAAAACUAUUACAAUCAAAACAUAAGUGCUAACAUUUUAAUCCUAAGAAUAACUAAAUUAUGACACUUAUUACUAAUUAAGAAAGCAAAAUAUACUUUGACAUGUGCCCUAUCCAAAAAUAUGUACAACAAUAUCUAUAAGCUAAAUAAAGGCAGAGAGAUUUGGGAAUCAUUGAGUAUAUAUUAUGAAGGCACAUAAGAUGUUAGACUAAAAAAAGCUCUAACUUUCACUCAUCACUAUGAGAGCUUCUUUGUGAAGGAACGAUAGUCUAUGGACGAUAAGUUUGGAAGACUAUAAAUCCUUCAAAACAAUCUAGAGGCUUUUGGUCAAACAUAUUCCAAAGCCCAAAUAAACCUAAAGAUGUUGGACAAUUUUUCCAAGGUGUGAGAACCUAAGACUUCAACUAUCCAAGAGGCUAGAGACUUAAAGAAUCUUGCCUAGGAUGAGCUGUUAGGCAUUCUUAUAGAUCAUAAAGUGCACCUUCAUAACACAUAUCAUUUGCAAAAAAAAUGUUUUUUUUGGCUCUCAAGUUUGGAGAAACCAUCUCCAGAAAAGAAAAACUCCUCCAAAGCUCUUAAAGUGUUGAUGGUUGAGUUUGAUGGAUUAGACAACUAUGAAGGGUCCAAAAAUGGCGAGGUGGCUCUCAUCUCUAGGAAGUUCAAAAAAAUGAUGAAGAAGAAAGGAAAGUUCCAGCAUGUGGAAGCAAUGCCUUCCAAGAUCAUUUUGAUGAUGCCAAAGAAUCAAGAGUCAAGCAAGUUCCAAAGAAUUAAGAGUCAAGCAAGUUUCAAGAAUCAAGAUUCAAGAUUCAAGUAAAGAAUCAAGACUCAAGAUUCAAGAUUCAAGAAUAAUCAAGAUUCAAGAUUCAAGUAAAGAAUCAAGCCUCAAGAUUCAAGAAUCAAGAGAAGACUCAAUCAAGAUAAGUAUUAAAAGAGUUUUUUUUUUCAAAACAUUGAAUAGCACAAGAAUUUUUCAAAAAGAAAAAUCUUUUACCAAAAAGUUUUACGCUCUAGUAAUCGAUUACUGAUGUGCCAUCAUUUUCUUCUAUUUUCUAAACCCUUUUUACACCAUUUUAAUUAUUGAUUGGUCUUAAUUGUCAAUUAAUUAGGCAGUUUUAUUAUUUGGGCUCAUUUAGCUAAUUUGAUGUUUUUAAUCUAAUUUUAGGAAUUAAUGAAACAUUGGGCUUAAUCUGGAUUUUGGUUGUGGACUUGAAGAGGGCAAAUAAAGCAGCGCUUACCUUAGUUAAUUUCUAAUUAGGAAAUUUCUCAAUUUUAUUUUAUGUUGUUCAGUGUUUAUUUCGUUUUGGGCCAGAGUAUUGUAAUAGGGCCCAGUGACUUUGAGUGACUCCUUUUAAAUAGCUGCCUUGGGAUUCAUGCAGGGCAUUCUGUUAUGCUAUUUUCAUUAUUCAGAGCUUUGGUUUUAGGUUUUCACGUUUUUCUGUUCCCUUGUUACGGUUUUCGUUCUUAAUGCAAAUUUUCGUUUUCUGCUUCUACUUACGAGUUCAUUCUUGCUUCUUCUUCUACUUUCAUUUACGCUUCUGUCUCAUUUACAUUUCUGUUCAUUUACGUUUCUGCUUCAUGUUUCAUUUGCGUUUUCUGUUUGAAUCCAUGGAUGGCUAGAUUUUCUGGUGUUGUUUCCUUUUGAGGACGAAGCCCAACUCUCUUUGAGGUUUCGCUUGUAAUGUGGUUUCCUGGCAGUUUCCCUUCACCAGUUAUCCCAAAUUCGUGAAUAUUAAUCAGUGCACGCUUCGUGUUCGAUUAAUUGCCUCUGAGCCUAACUUGCGUUCAUGCUUAAUGGACGAAGGGCUAACUGGUGUAUGUGGUGCCUAAUCACGUAUUGACAACCCUAAGUUGAUUUUCGCUUAGUAAAUUGAAAUAGGGUUGGAUUAAGUGGUUGACUGUUAGGGACGAAUUCUCCAUAACCCAGGAUAAGAGAAUGGCUUCUGAAUCAAAGGAAACAACCCGUUUUUAAUAUUAGUAGUUUCGUAUUCCAGUUUACUUGUUCUACUCUUUAAUCACAAAACAAACAACCCCCCCCCCCAAUCGUUACUGUUACUGCAAGUAUAUUAUGAACAAUUGGUGUGUCACUGCUCGUUGGGAAAAGACCUAGGAUCACUUCCUAGUUACUGCAUUUUCAUGUUUAUUUGAUUCGGGUACGGCCUCGAUCAAAUUACCAUAAGGCAGUAAUCGAUUACCAGUAGCCAACAUUUUUUUGAAAAUUGAUUUACAAAGUUGUAAUCGAUUACCAUAAUCAUGUAAUCGAUUACCAAUGUUUUUAAAUGUUAGAUUUCAAAUUUCAAGAGUCACAACUUGUGAUAAAACUUUUUCAAAUCAUUUCAAACUUGUGUAAUCGAUUACCAGAGUUUGUAAAUGUUUUGAUUUUCAAAUUUAAACAUGAAGAGUCACAUCUGUUGAUGUGUAAUCGAUUACACCUUGAUGGUAAUCGAUUACCAGUGACUGAUUUCGAAAAAUAAAUUACCAAAAGUUACAAUUCUUAAAGUGACUUGUUUCUGAAGAUUUUUUUUUUUCAAAAGUCACAACCUUUAAGUGACUAGUUUUCAAAAAGAGUCACAACCUUUAAAGUGACUAGUUUUUCAAAAGAGUCACAACUUUUAAAGUGACUAGUUUUAAAGAAAUUGCCAAGAGUCACAAACUUUAACUUGAGUCAUCAAAUGAUUAUAAAUAUGUGACCAUGGCACGAAUUUCGAAGACUGAUUUCCUUUCAUGCAUAAUAGAUUUUCUUCAUCUUUCUAAAAGCUUUUGUUCAAUACUUUCUCUUUCAAGAAAAGUUUAUUGACCAAAAACUUGUGCUAUUCUUCUUCUUCAUUCCCUUCUUUCUCUUGUCAAAAGAUUCAAAGGACUAACCGCCUGAGAAUUCUUUUGUUUCUUCCCUUCUCCUUCUUGACAAAAGAUUUCAAAGAACUAACCGCCUGAGAUAUCUUCUAUUUCUUAAAGAAGAUUUUAAAGGACUAACCGCCUGAGAUAUCUUUUUCCCUUUCCCUUUAAACAAAAGAUUUCAAAGGACUAACUGCCUGAGAUAUCUUUUGUUUCCCCUUACAAAGAUUCAAGGGACUAACCGCCUGAGAAUUCUUUGUCUUAACACAUUGGAGCGUACAUCCUUUGUGGUACAAGUAGAGCGUACAUCUACUUGGGUUGUGAUACUGAGAACAAGAAAGGGUACAUCUCUUGUGGAUCAGCUCAAGUGAAGCGUACAUCCACUUGGUUGUUCAAAGAGAAUAAGGGAGCGUACAUCCCUUGUGGAUCUUUGCUUGUAAAGGAUUUUACAAGGUUAUUGGAAAUCUCAAGAAGUGGUGGUUGCUUGGGGACUGGAUGUAGGCACGGGUUGUGGCCGAACCAGUAUAAAUCUUGUGUUUGUGUUCUUCUUCCCUACACUCUUUAAUUUCCGCUGUGUACUUUUAUUUCCACUUUACUUUUGUCUAAGUUAUUGCUUUCGUUCUUUACUUUCUAAUAACUUAGUAGUAAAGCCUAAUUGAAUCUAGUAACAUUAAGAAGGAUAAGUUUUUAAUUAGUUAAGGCUCAUUAAUAAUUAAUUCAACCCCCCUUCUUAAUUAUUCCGAGGCCACUUGAUCCAACAAGUGGUAUCAGAGCAGGUUUCUUGAGAAAAGUUUCACAACUUCAAGAUUCAUGGCCUCCUCAAAUUCUCUAUUUCCCGAAGGAAACUCCAUCCAUAGGCCACCUAUCUUUUAUGGUGAGGGUUACCACUAUUGGUAAACCCGAAUACAAAUUUUUAUUGAAGCUAUAGAUUUAAACAUUUGGGAAGCAAUAGAAAUAGGACCUUAUGUACCCACCAUAGUAGAUGCAACCACAAGCACAACAACAGAAAAACCUAGAGAUAAAUGGACUGAAGAGGAUAGAAGAAGAAUCCAAUAUAAUCUUAAAGCCAAAAACAUCAUCACUUCUAUCCUAUGAAUAGAUGAAUAUUUUAGAGUGUCUAACUGUUCAAAUGCAAAGGAGAUGUGGGAUACUCUCCAACUUACACAUGAAGGUACCACUGAUGCGAAAAGAUCUAGAGUCAAUACCCUUACACAUGAAUAUGAAUUAUUUAGGAUGUACACUAAUGAGAACACCCAAAGCAUGCAGAAAAGAUUCACACACAUAGUCAAUCACCUUGCCUCCUUAGGAAAAACCUUUCCUAAUGAAGAUUUAAUUAAUAAAGUUUUGAAAUGCUUAAGUAGGGAAUGGCAGCCCAAGGUAACUGCCAUUUCUAAAAGUAAAGAUCUUUCUUCUAUGUCUCUUGCCACUCUUUUUGGCAAACUGCAGUAACAUGAAGAAGAAGAAGAAGGAAAAGAAGCAUAGCACUCAAAGCCUCCUCCUCAAUGCAAGAAGAAGAAGAAGAAGAAGAAUCUAAUGAUGAAGAGGACUUCUCACUCUUUGUGAAGAAGUUUCAUAAAUUCGUCAAAAAUAGAAGAAUGGAGAGACGCCAUAACUUCGGCAAUGGGAAGAAAUCUCAAGAAGGUUCCCCAACACUUAAAUUCUAUAAGUGUAAUCGACCCGGUCACAUAAAGGCACACUGCCCCACAAAUGAAUCAUGGCCAGAAAAGAAUGAGAAGAAAAGCCAUGAAGAAAGAAGAUCCAAGAAGGCAUAUAUUGCUUGGGAUGACAAUGACUCAUCCGAUGGUUUGGAGAAGGAGAUCAACCUUCUAUCCAAGGACUAUGAGAGCGAUGAGAAAAUUUCUCAAGAAGAUUAAGCAAAAAGCAAAAGUCUGACUUCCAUCUUUGAAGAUCUAGGCACUUAAAUCAUGAAAAAGGUAACAUCAAAACCAUUCUCUUUUAAAUUAAGUUGGUUGAAACUUUCCUUUCAAUUAACUUGUUUAUAUGAUAACUAACAAAAUUUUAUUUGUUUGUCUUGUUUUUCCUUUCUCGAAUUAUGAAGCUUAUCAUUUAAAAUAAAUCUAAAUGGUUGAUGAUGCCAUGAUCUAUAUCUUUCAAUUUUUGUAUGAUUACUUGUAUGAUAUGUUUAAAAGUAUAUGAUUGAUUGCUCAUGUUUUUUCAAAACUAUUAUAUUCUAUUUUCAAAUAAAAUUAUUUUGAUAUAUUAAAACUUUCUAUGUUAAACAAAAUUUCAUCUUGGUAAGUGUUGAUAUUUUUUUUACACUUAGUUUUUAGAAAAAGUGUUUGGUAAUCGAUUACCUUCACAUGUAAUCGAUUACAGACAGUUAGGCUAAGUGUAAUCGAUUACAACAUUCAUGUAAUCGAUUACUUAAUCGAUUACAACAUUCUUGUAAUCGAUUACAGAGUGUCUGUGUCUAUAAAUUCGAUAUUUUAGAAACUGCGAGAACGCGAUUUCUACAGCAACGCGACCCUAAAAUCCCUAAACUUCAGAACUCGAUUUCUCUCUCAAUUCUCAACCAAAUUACGUCCCACAAAGCCCAAAAUUCAUCAUUUUUCAUUCUCUUUCAUCUCCACUGAUUAAAACUUCCAAAAAAAACUCAUCCAAAUGGCAGAACCAUCAAAGAAGCGAAAGGGGGUUAUGACUUCAUCCGCAGUCACAGGAACUCGAAGCCACGAAACAUCCAAAGCGUAGACAUCUCAAAUUCAUCCCUCUAUAUCAUCUCCUACAUUUUUUUCCUUAGAAGAACAACGUAUUCGAUACAAUUACCUUUUCUCUUCUCAUUCUAUUAUCGACCCUAAGUUUGUAGACUUGUCUUUUUUGAUGAUGAAGUGUUUGAGUGCUUUCAAGCAUUUCAAAAUUUUGGUUUAGUUCAGUUUAUCUCCAUGAAACUUCCUUUUUACCCUGAAUUGGUUAAAGCCUUUUAUUCUAACUUGGAAAUUCAAGAAGAUUCCUUGAUAUCCAAAGUGUAUGGGAUUAAGAUGGUCAUAGACCAGUCCCUUUUCUUUGAACUCACUCAAUUAUCCAGUGAAGGUGUACCAUUUGAGGGUACACUUGAUGAUGAGUGGAAGUUCAAUUUUUUCAUUUCUGAUGCCCACCGGAUGGUUUGUACCAACCAAGCGGAUAUGAUCAGAAGGCUUCUUGCUGGAUCUUUGGCAUUCGAAUUUCGCAUCAGGCACUACUUGAUUAUGCGCAUCCUACUCCCUAGAUCUUCCAACCUUGCAUAGGUUUCUGAGGAAGAUUUGAUAAUCAUGUGGGUUUUCUUAACCGGUUGUCAAAUCGACUGGGCCCAUCUUGUGAGAUAUCGCAUGCAUAAGGCAUUGCGAUCAAAUGCUCCACUCCCAUAUCCCCAUCUGAUUACCUUGUUUCUACAACAUUUUGAUGUUCCUCUUGACUCUGAGCCCUUUGUCAAAGUCAAGAGAUCCUUCUCUAUCGAUGCAAAUGUAGUCUCCUCUUUCGGAUACUGCAAAGAGAGAGAUGGGUCUUGGGUGAAGAAAGACGCUCCAGUAUAAGCCGCAGAAGACCGUUCUCCAUCACCACCUCCUCAGAGAGACGAUUCUUCAUCUCUUAUGCACAUCAUUCUUGAUAGGUUGGAUGGACUCCACACCUUCAUCGGUGAGCACUUUGAAUCAUUGGAUAGCCGUAUUGAUGCCAUGGAUGCACGAUUUGCAGGGAUGGACACAUGUAUCACCAAACUUGAGGAGGAUGUUAGUUAUGUUCGUCAGUGCUUAGACCUUCCACCACCAUCCUCAUAGAUUUAGAUUAUUAUAUUUUGCUUCUAAAACCUUGUAUUUGGCUAUAUGUUUAUGACAUUUGAACACUUAGUAUUUCUUAUAUUUGCUUAGUAUGAUUGAACAUGGUGAUUAUAUUUACUUUCUUAUUAGUUGUUUAUGGUUAUGUGUGCUAAACUUAAUUAUUUUUUAUGAUAUAUAUGUAUAGUGGUAUGUAAUUACAUUUGGUAUUGUGUUGUAUGUAUGUUUUUAGAAUUAUUCAUGUAUGUUUUAUUUUACGCACUUUGGCCUUUUUGAUGUUGCCAAAGGGGGAGAGAAAAUGGAUAUUUUUGAAAUCAAGAAAUUAUAUUUUCAAAGCUUUAAAAUUAAGCAUAAAUUCAAAAAGAAAGGGGGAGAAAGAGAUGAGUGAACGGUAGAACAAAACUUGUAUGUAUCCUCUUGAUUUCAGGAUUGUCAUCAUCAAAAAGGGGGAGAUUGUGGAAGCAAUGCCUUCCAAGAUCAUUUUGAUGAUGCCCACGAAUCAAGACUCAAGCAAGUUCCAAAGAAUCAAGAGUCAAGCAAGUUUUAAGAUUCAAGUAAAGAAUCAAGACUCAAGAUUCAAGAUUCAAGUAAAGAAUCAAGACUCAAGAUUCAAGGAUCAACAGAAGACUCAAUCAAGAUAAGUAUUAAAAGAGUUUUUUUUUCUAAACAUUGAAUAACACAAGAAUUUUUCAAAAAGAAAAAUCUUUUACCAAAGAGUUUUACUCUCUGGUAAUCGAUUACUAGUAGCCAACAUUUUUUUAAAACUGAUUUACAAAGCUAUAAUCGAUUACCAAUGUUUUAAAACGUUAGAUUUCAAAUUUCAAGAGUCACAACUUAUGAUAAAACUUUUUCAAAUCAUUUCAAACUUGUGUAAUUGAUUACCAGAGUUUCUAAACGUUUUGAUUUUCAAGAGUCACAACUUUUAAAGUGACUAGUUUUAAAGAAAUUUCUAAGAGUCACAAACUUUAACUUGAGUCAUCAAAUGAUUAUAAAUAUGUGACCAUGGCACAAAUUUCGAAGACUGAUUUCCUUUCAUGCAUAACAAAUUUUCUUCAUCUUUCUAAAAGUUUUUGUUCAAUACUUUAUCUUUCAAGAAAAGUUCAUUGACCAAAAACUUGUGUUAUUCUUCUUCUUCAUUCCCUUCUUUCUUUUGUCAAAAGAUUCAAAGGACUAACCGCCUGAGAAUUCUUUUGUUUCUUCCCUUCUCCCUCUUGACAAAAGAUUUCAAAGGACUAACCACUUGAGAUAUCUUUUAUUUCUUAAAAAAUAUUUCAAAGGACUAACCGCCUGAGAAUUCUUUGUCUUAACACAUUAGAGCGUGCAUCCUUUGUGGUACAAGUAGAGCGUACAUCUACUUGGGUUAUGAUACUGAGAACAAGAGAGGGUACAUCUCUUGUGGAUCAGUUCAAGUGGGGCAUACAUCCACUUGGUUGUUCAAAGAGAACAAGGGAGUGUACACCCCUUGUGGAUCUAUUCUUGUAAAGGAUUUUACAAGGUUUUUGGAAAUCUCAAGAAGCGGUGGUUGCUUGGGGACUGGAUGUAGGCACGGGUUGUGGUCGAACCAGUAUAAAUCUGGUGUUUGUGUUCUUCUUCCCUACACUCUUUAAUUUCCGCUGUGUACUUUUAUUUCCGCUUUACUUUUUGUCUAUGUUAUUGCUUUUGUUCUUUACUUUCUAAUAACUUAGUAGUAAAGCCUAAUUGAAUCUAGUAACAUUAAGAAGGAUAAGUUUUUAAUUAGUCAAGGCUCAUUAAUAAUUUAUUCAACCCCCCCUUCUUAAUUAUUCCGAGGCCACUUGAUCCAACACAACAAGCCUCUAGAAGAAAGGACACAAGAUUCAAAAAGAAAUAUGAAUUCAAAAAUCUUGGACACAUGAAGGUUGAGUGUCCCCGGCUAAAGAAAAUAAGAUACUCUAGUGACAAGAAAAAGAAGAGUCUAAUGGUCACUAGGAUGGCUCAGACAAUGAGAGAAGUAACAAUUCUGAUGAUGAGCAAGCCAACAUUUGUCUGAUGGCUAUUACAUAUAAAAGAUUGAGGUCAAAAGUUGCUUUGAAUCUAAUACUUCUUCCAACACUUCAUCAGAUGAUGAAGAGGAUAUGCCCUAUGAUGUUCUUUUUCUGAAUUGUCAUAUGAUUUCACGUAAGUGUAAAAAGUAUAAAGAAAACUUUAAAUCAUUUUUUUUCAAAACACUAAAGUGUAGAAAUCAAAUGAAAAACUAAGAAAGAAAAUCCAGAUUCUAGAAGAAAAUCUAAGUCAGGUCAAUAAGAUAGGCGAAUCCUCCCUAGUUGAAAAAAUAAGAAAGGAAGUAGCAUGUAUUACAAAAAAUUUUGGGAUGUUUCUGGAAAGAUCAAACACGUUGACCAUGGUUUUAAAUGUUAGAAACUAGACAAUCCAUACAUCUAUUAAGGUUUUGAUGAAAACAAAGAUAUGAAUUUGUGUUAAUAGUUUGGUUAUAUGCAAGUUAAUAGGAUUAAUGACUGGAAGCAACACGAGAAAAGACUUGUCCAUAAAUAGAUACCUUGUCUACUGGAUGUAAAACGUACUGAUCCAAUUGAUCCAAACACAUUUAAAUGUGCAUACUUACUAGAAUAGAUAAGUUUAUGCCACCUUAAAUGAUAACAAUAAAAGGAACGUAUCUGCAAGUCUAUUUUAUCAUUCCUUUUAUAUGUCUAAUGGCUAUGUUGAGCUAUGAAGGACAAAUUUAGGAAGUAUUGAUCCAGAAUCAAUCAAAGACGCGCAUCAACUGCCAAUAGCUGGAAAUAGAAUCAAAGAUCAACAACAAUCAUAUUUUCAAUGCCAAAGAUCCUCUCCAUAUUUAAAAAUCUCUCAAUAUAAAGAUGGCAUCAAGGACUCAAAGAAAACUGAUGAAAGAGUAGAGAAAAGAGAUAAAGUUGUGCAGUAAAAAAAAACACUAGAACAUCAUUCUAUACGAAAACACUAAGCUUAGAGAGUAUAUUAUUUGUAUUUUCAAAGCUUUAUUGUUGAGAUUAAGAUCUUUAUUGUAAAUGCGCAUUGUGAGUGUUAAAGAAUAUUUGAUUCUAUAUCAAAUUGUUGUUUCUAAAAGCCAAAAGUGACUUAGUGACAAGUUGAGCCAAACACUAAGGGUUGUGCCAGUAAUGGCCUUGAGAAUACUUGUAAGCCAAAAGUGGCAGAAAAGAUUACUUGUUGUGAUGAAGUUUGAUUAGUGGAACCAUUUACUAGUUAGUAAAGGAGAACUGUACAUAGCUCAAGUUGAGUGAACAAGUAUAAAACUAAGUAUUUUUACUGCUCUUCUUUAGGUUGUCAAAGUAUUUUCAAAGCAUAUUAUUGACACAUCCUUGAACACAAGUCUUUCACUAAAAGCACAAUUUACACAUAUCACUAGAUGACAAUCCAUCUUGGCCUAAGAAAAUUGUUCUUGACACUGGAUGAGAAUUCUCAUAAACUGUUUUGUUUAUCAAACAACUUCCAUUUGAAAAGUUUAUAAUAAUUUAUUUAACUCACUAUUCAACCCCUAUUCUAGUGUGAUUUGUUAUAUUUCAUUUGGCAUCAGAGCUCAGCCUCUUGGGUUGAGUUUUUUUAGCAAAUACAAAGGAAGAUCCUAAGAAACCAAAGAAAUGGAAGAAGGGUACUCCACAAGCAAGCCUUCAUUAUUCAAAGGCAACAAGUAACACUACUGGAAGGAACGUAUGAUAGCUCACUUUGAGUCCAUUUGUAUAGACCUUUGGGAUGUUGUAGCAAAUGGAAACUACAUUCCACUGGACAAGCAACUAAACAAAAUUUAUAGAACCUUAUGGACAAAUGCCUAAAAACAAAGGUUUCUGCUGAAUUCCAAAGCUUGAAAUGCUCUAUUGUGUGCCUUCCCAGAGGAUGAAUAUACAAAGGUCAACAACUAUAAAAGUGAGAAGCAGAUGUGGGACACGUUAUCCUUAACAUAUGAUGCAUCGUCAAAGGUAAAACGCAACAAGCUCAGCUUGUUGACAUGUAAGUAUGAACUUUUCACUGUGGAAGAAGGUGAAGAUAUACAAAGGUGAAGAUAUACAAGCCAUGUUUGGGCACUUCUAGACUAUAUUAAAUGAAUUGUGUUGUCUUAACAAAAAUAUUGAUAACUAUGACAAUAUUGACAAUAUUUUGAGAUGUUUAUCCAAAAAAUGGAGACCACAAGUGACAGCUUUGAGAACAAUGAAGAACUUGGACUCCAUGUCCAUUGAAGAACUAAGUGGAAACUUAAAGGUUCAUGAAUAGGAACUUUAACAAGAUGAAGGAGUAAAAAAAGGGAGAUGCUGGGCUCUUACAACACAAUAUCAAAACAUCUUUAGCACUCAAGGAAUCCUCAUCUAGACCUAUUUCCAAAAGCUUAUCAAAAGCUGUCAACACAUGCAUAUUUUUUUAUGAUGAGUCCAAUGAUGAAGGAUCAAACAAAGACAAUUAGUUGGCCUUCAUCUCAAGAAAAAUAAGGAACUUGUGGAAGAAAAGAAGUGGAUCAAAUUGGAAAGGAUCCCAUAAACCUCUUAGAGAAAGGAAGGACAAGGAGAAACAUUUUAUCAUAUGCUAUGAGUUCAAGAAACAAGACACUUCAAAUCAUAAUGUUUAGACCUUGACAAAUCAGCUCACAAGAAAAAGGUACUUCAAACUAAAAGAAAAUAAAGUUCUGAUGAGCACAUGGGAAGACUUGGAUGAGUCAUCAUCCGAUGAAGAAACAUAAGAGAAAGAAGAAGCCAACACGUGUUUGAUGGUAGAAACAACAUCAAAAGAAUCAGAUGAAGAGGUAAAACCUAAAUAACCUUGAAACUCUUCAAAUAGCAUAUCAUGAACAUCUCCCAACUCAUCCAUUCUAUCCAAAACCAAUCAAAAUUUGAGAAAAGACUUCAAAAGUCUUUCAAAAGAUUAUAAACAACUUCAAGGGAAACAUGAAGAAAAGGUAGAUAAUUCUUUAGAAAUUUACACUUAAAUGUGUGAUGCCUUUAAAGAUCUUAAGUUAAAGACUACAAAGCUUUACCUUGAGAAUGAGAAAAUUUGUAAAGAAAGAUCUAACCUAUUAGAAAACCUUCAGAAGUUGAAAAAUCAACUACAAGGCUUGCAAAUUGAGUCUACCACACUCAAUGAACUUCAUGAUAACCUAAAUGAAAAAGAUUUAAUCUCUUUGAAGAAUAAAAGCCCAUAAAAAUUAUGAAAACUUGGAGGCAAGUAAACAUAACUUAUGGAUUGAGUGUGAAGGCUAUAAGAAAAGUCUGAAGUUCUCAAAUAAUAAACUUGAGCAGUAUAAUACUCUCCAAAAGAAACCUCAAGAUAUUGUUACACUUCAUCAAGAGAUUGAAUUUCUGAGACUAUCUAAAUUUGUUGGAAGCACUGAAAAAAUUAACAAAAUAUUAAGAUACAGUAAAUGCCCAACUAACAAAUUUGAACAUGGAUAUGAAGGAAAAAGAUAUGUUCAUGAUGAUCAAACCAUAGUAUGUUACAGUUGAAGCUAGAGAUAUUUAGUGAGGAAAAGUUCUCUCACUUAGCUUAAACUUUAUUGCUUUCAAAAUGCCAUAUAUAUAUAGUACAAGAGAAGAGAGAGACAGCUCACACAAAUAAUCUAACCCUGUUGUCUCUCUAUAAGUAGAGCAAGAUACCAAAGGAUAAAACAAUAUUCAACACUGCCCCUCAAGCUGGAGCAAAUAAAUCAUAUGCACCAAGCUUGGAACAAAUGGUCUAAAUUCUAGCUACUCUCAAGGACUUAGUCAAAAUAUCUGCUGGUUGGUCAUUAGAAUUAAUAAACUCAGUGAUGAUCUCCUUGGACAAUAACUUCUCUCGAAUGAAAUGACAAUCAACCUCAAUGUGCUUAGUCCUCUCAUGAAAGAUUGGAUUUAAGGCAAUGUGGAUAGCAGCCUGAUUAUCACAAAAUAACCUCAUUUGCACAACUUCACAAAAUUUCAAUUCUUGGAGAAGUUGUUUAAUCCACAUUAGCUCACAUGUAACCAUAGCCAUGGAUCGAUAUUCAGCUUCUGUACUGGACCGAGCAACAACAACUUGCUUCUUGCUCUUCCAAGAAAUAAUAUUCCCUCCAAUGAAGACAUAAUAACCUAAGGCAGAUCUCCUAUCCAUAGGACAACUAGCCCAAUCUGCAUCACAAUAUCCCAAUAGUUGUGUAUUACCCUUGUCUUCAUACAACAAUCCUUGUCCAGUAGCUCUUUUAAUAUAUCUAAGAAUAUGCAUGAUAGCAUUCCAAUGAUCAACAAACCCUGCUGGGGUUAGGUUGCGCUUCUUGAGGCGCACCAAACCCUGCUGUUGCCGGAGAAAAACGGUGGCAGACAGUGACGCUGGGGUGAACCUGGCUCUGAUGCCAAGUUAAAGCUAGAGAUAUUUAGUGAGGAAAAGUUCUCUCACUUAGCUUAAACUUUAUUGCUUUCAAUAUAUAUAUAUAUAUAUAUAUAUAUAUAUAUAUAUAUAUAUAUAUAUAUAUAUAUAUAUAUAUAGUACAAGAGAAGAGAGAGACAGCUCACAAAAUAACCUAACCCUGUUGUCUCUCUAUAAGCAGAGCAAGAUACCAGAGAAUAAAACAAUAUUCAAUAGUUACUUUUGUGGACAGAUUUGACAUAUGACAUCCAAGUGUAGACAUCUACCAAAAAUUGGAUUGUUCAAUGCUUUCAAAACUAACAAGAAAGGACCCAAGAAAUUUAGAUACCUAAAGAGAAAAUAAUUCUUGUUGUAGAUAUCUUCAACCACAAGAGAGACACACUAGUCAUGGCACCUGGACAGUGGAUGCUCACGACACAUGAUAAGAGAAAGAUGUAUGUUCCAAUGCCUAACCCCCAUGCAUGGUGGAAUAGUCACUUUGAGCGGGAAUCAAAGAGGCAAGAUAGUAGGGGUUGGAAAGAUAAGUAUUAACCCAUAUCCUCUAAUAGAUAAUGUUCUUUUUGUUAAGGGACUUAAACACAAUUUUCUUAGCAUAAGCCAAUUACGUGCCAGUGGACUUGACGUUUCCUUUAACAGAGAAGGGUGUGUCAUCUAGCAUAAAAAUGGGACUCAACUUUUCACUACUAAAAGGAAAGAUAAUCUUCACAAAAUUAUUCUUAGUGAACUGUCAAAUCAAAAUGUAACAUGUCUAUUAUUUAUCAAAGGAAAUCACUGGGUAUGACACAAGAAACUUCAACAUGCUAGCUUGAGGUUAAUCUGAAAGCUACAAAAACAUGACCUUGUAAGAGGAUUACCAAGGCUAUCAUACAAAGAUGAUUUACUUUGUGAAUCAUGUCAAAAAGGGAAACAAAUCAAAACCUCUUUUUCUAGCAAAAACUCCAUAUAAGACCUAUUCUAAAAAGGACUCCUUAUGAAUUGUGGAAAGGAUGAAAGCCUAACAUUUCAUAUUUCCAUCAUUUUUAUGUCACUGUUUCAUUCUUAACACUACAGAAAGCUUGGGAAAGUUUGACUCUAAAUGUGAUAAUGGAAUAUUACUUGGAUACUUUAAAACAUCCAAGGCAUAAUAGAGUCUACAACUCUAGAACUUCAUUUGUGGAAGAAGUUAUCCAUGUAAGAUUUACUGAUACAAAGCUUGAUACAGAAAUAUCAGAGCUACAUGAGCCUUUUUCAUAUUUAAGACUAGAUGAAGGGAUUGGACCAAUGAUAAAACAGUCUACAAAAGUAGGCACUUCCAAUCAAGAAGCAAAAUAGUCAUAAAAGGAAAGAAAACCAACUAGAAGAAUCCUAAGAAAUAACCAUCCAGAAAUUCAAAUAAUUGGAUGAUCCAUCAACCAAAAUCCAAACAAGAGGAUCUCUCAAGCAUCAAUGUUACACAACUCUCAACUCAAAAGUAGAACCAAAGCAUAUUGAUGAUGCAAUGGAAAAUGAGAACUAGGUCAAAGCUAUGCAUGAGGAACUUGACAAAUUCCAAAAAAAAAUUAUGUCUAGAAGGUUGUAGAACUACCCCAAGGAAACAAAGUAGUGGGUGCUAAAUGGGUGUUCAGAAACGAGUUAUGUGAGGUAGGUAAGGUUGUGAUAGAGGACUACAAGAAGAUUGGGUCAGAGCUGCUGAAGAAGACCCUAGGGUUCUCAUAAGCCUUUGGGUAGAUUUUUGGCCCAUAAGCUAAGUAUGAGCCUACUUAUCUUUGUACAUAUUAUAUUAGGGUUUCAUUAUUUUUGGACCUUUUAUUUAGGGCUCCAUAGUGUAGGGAGGGUACCCUAGUAAUGUAGGACUUUUCAACCCUUGUAUUUUAGGGCACCUAGACUAAUUUUUGUAUUAGGGGUAGUUUUCUAAUUUCGCAUGCAUUAAGUGCACUAUUUGAUGUGUGUGUGUUGGGAGAGAAAUUUAAUUGAAUUGAGAGAAGCCCAAUACAAUUAAAUUUUAGAGGGGGAGGUGAGCAUUUGCUUGCUACACCCCAUUUUCACAUCAUAUAAUCACACUUUGUGCAUGUCCUCCAUGCUUUACAUGCCUCAUGACACCUAAGCACACUUAGUAGAGAAUCUUGGACUUGAUCUUGGAUUAGUGGGUUGAACCAUAGCUAAAAUUUCACUAAUUAAUCAUAAUUAGUGAAAUUUUGGCUCCACAAAUUCAAAUACAAAUUCAAGUGAAAUUUGAAUAGAAAUUCAAAUUUCCCUCCAAUAUUGUGUGACACUUAGGCUAUAAAUAGAAGCCUUGUGUGUGCAUUUUUUCAACUUUGAUCAUUUGAGAAAUUACAGUUCAAAGUUCAGACCUUAUUUGAGGCAUAAAUUUUGUGCUCCUUCUCUCCCUCUCCCUCCACUCAUCUUCUCAUUCCUUCAAGCUCUUAUCCAUGGCUUCCUAUGGUGGUGAGCUUGUUCUUGACUCAUCUUCUCCUUGAAGUGGUGUCUCUAAUCACCUUUCCUCCUUCUCCAUUCCACUGCCAUUGAUAUUCAAGAAGCAAAGGAAUCCAUUGAUGAAGAAGAUUCAAGGCCUACAAACUCCACAUGGAGAUACAUCACAAAGCAAGGCUGGUUGCCAAAGGUUACUUACAACAGGAAGGUAAAGAUUAUAUAGAAACUUAUGCUCCUGCUGCUCGUUUGGAGGCAAUACGCAUUUUACUGUCAUUUACUGUCAUACUAAAAUGAGACUAUACAAAUGGACAUAGAAAGUGCAUUCCUCAUAUGGAUUAGCAAAAAGCAAGGUUUGUAGCAUUAUCCACUACAGAAGCAGGAUAUACAUCGGUAGCAAGUUGUUUGAUAAACGUCAAAUUUAUUGAAAUUUGAUAUGCAUUUUGUGAUGUUUAUUUGGCAUUUUAGUUAACUUUAGGCCAUGUUUUGAAUCAAAUUAUCUUUAAAUUCACUUUUUACUUUGUCUUAGGGAGAAUUUUAUGUUUUAGUUAUUUUUCAUGAAUAUUUGAUAAUUUUUCAGCAAAAACAAGUCAUUUUGCCAAGAGCUCUAGAGGCCCAAAAUCAGUAGAAAAUUUUGGAAGGAGAAAUUGAAAAAAUUGAAAAUAAAUGCUAGGAAAAUCAAGAGCAAGAUUUUUUUCAAGGAUAAAUCAGCUAAAGAAAAAGAUAAUUACUUGAAUUAAUUAGAGAUAUUAUUUGUUUGUAAUUUCUUGUGAUUAUCUCCUUAAUUAAAGCUAGCUACAUUUUUAUAAAUUGGAGGCUAGGCAUUCAUUGUAAUAUGGUAGAAGUCCCAAGCAGUUCUUAGAAUUAUAUUUUGCACUUCCACCUACUAGACACUUCCAUUAUUCCAUUAGACACUCUAGGUUUCAUUGUAUUAUUUUUUUGAGUGCAAUUCCUUCCACCUAUGAGAGGAAAGGAUGAACCUGGUUUCACUUUAAUUCUAUCAAUUCAAUACUUCAUCUUGAGUUCUUUAUUUUUUUCCAUACUUAAUGCUUUUAUUUGAUUGGCCAUCUUGUAGUUGAAUUCAAGAAUUGACUUGCGCUUCGGCAAGCCUUGCUGAAACAACGACCAGAAACCCUAAUCUUCAUGACAAGCCACCAUGGCAAGCUCCGGUUACAACGUUCUCUAGCAUUAAAUGUCAUCACCAUAGACACCACCACUGUCUUCACAGAAGCUGAAUACACUAUUCAUAUAGAGCACUUCUUUGACAUUGGAGUGCUGGAAGGGUUAGGGCUCAACAUAAAACAUACCUUACUAUAUUGUGGUAUCCGUGGCUACUCCAAUGAUCCACAACUGAUAUACCCAAAACUCAUUAGAAUGUUCUAGAGCAAUGCUCAGUUCAAGGACUAGAAGACUAUCGUAUCCAAGGUUCUUCGAAAUGAGGUUGUACUUUUCAUAGAUUCCAUCACAAAAGUAAUAAGGUGCAUUAGAAAAGGGAAACAUAUACUAGGAAGACUAGGAGAAGACAUAUAAGAGCCAUGUUCCAAAGACUCUAUAUCGGAACAACCUCAAGGAGACUAAUGGGAAGAAAAAAGUACAAUACAACCUAAUGUGUGACAUGGCUAAAGUCUAGUCCAACAUCACCCAGAAAAGCUUGACGCACAAUGUUGGGUCAAAGAACUCAAUUUCUUAUCUUCACAAGUUUGUGCUCUUCCAUCCGAUGACAAGAUUCUUUUUUGCCUCCCACAUACUGUCUACAGCAACAUUCAAUGAAACAUGAAGACUCUUGGAGGAGUGGAUGAAAUCUACUAUGUUGCCCUUAUCAACAAGCUCCAAUGGGAAUACGAGGUCUUCCACGUAUUCAAAGGAAUGGAUGAGGACUCCAAGCAGCCCAUCAUCAAGAAAAACACUUUCAUUGCCAGACAACAACACUCCAGUGUUGCCAAUCUCAAAGCAAUGAAAGUAGACAUUAAAAGGAACAUACCAAUUCCUCUAAUGGACAAAGAUGACAUCUAGAAGAGAAGACAAAAGAAAUUGGCCAAAAUUAUUGUCAAAAAGGUUAAGAGAAUCAUCUAAGAACAAAAGAGAAAAGUCCAAACAAGAAGACAUUCUCACUAGCAAGAAGAAGAAGAGAUUCUUGCAAAAGAACAAUAGACGAAGAAGAAACAUGAAGUGUCCCAACCCUCUCUUCCAGUGCAACAACAGGCUCUUCCAAAGAUCAUUCAUGUAAGGAGAAGUCUAAGGAAGUUCUCUCAGCAAGCGUUCAAGGCUUAAUUUCUAAGGAACUUGAGUGAAACUAAGGAGGAAACUCCUUUUAUGAUCCUUAGGAAGCACAAAGUUGAAUAACCACAGAUUCUUGUUGUCCAGAAGAAGCACAAGAUCGAGAAAGGGAAACCAAAAAUUUCCUCUACCAUUCCAAGGAAAAGGAAGACAAGAGCAAGUCGCAAGUCCAUUCCCCCAAAAGAAGUACCCAGACAACCAUCCUCCAAUGGCUCUAGUUCGUCUGAUAGUAAGGUAACACCAACUCUUACUCCUCAUACAUGCAUAUCUAAGGUAUUUUCGCUACCUAAAUUACAUACAUGCAUAUCUAAGGUAUUUUCGCUACCUAAACACACAUACAUAUAUUUUGUGAGGUAUGACUACUUUUCGAGCUUGUGCUUGUUUUAUUUAAAUUCCUAGGAUCAUGAGCAACUAGGUGUGUCCUACUAUGACUUGAGAAACAAAAGGUGAUCAAAUAACUAGCAUAAAUUUAACGGGUACUAGGUUGCCUCCUAGUAGCGCUUUUUUAACGUCUUGAGCUGGACGCGUGAUGACUUGUCGGUCACAGACCUAGUACUUUUGCUUACCUUUGGCUUUGGACUUGGUCGCUUGCUGGUCGACCAUGGGUCGUAGGCAAUGCUCCAGAUUUUGUAGAUGAGCUGAGGGGCUUUGGAGGUGGUGACAAUGUGUCUAUUGCCCGCUGCCGGCCAUCCCCAGGCUGCUGUGGUGUCUCGCCCUGUGCCUGCCUGGGGGCGCAGUACUUCUUGAUGAAAGCUCGGUUAGUAGGGGGCCUGAUGACCUUGCUGGGGGCGACGGGCACUCCGUAGAACUGACAGAGGCCUGUAAUUAGAGCUGGAAACCCCACGACCCUGUUGGACUUCUCCAGGUCCACUAGGUGUCUUGCGAACGUGAUCCCUAUGUCAUGAUGGCAUAGACCAACUGACACUUCGGCAGGGGGAGAUCGGAGAUGUGGUGUCUCGCCCUGUGCCUGCCUGGGGUGCAAUACUUCUUGAUGAAAGCUCGAUUAGUAGGAGGCCUGAUGACCUUGUUAGGGGCGACGAGCAUCCUGUAGGACUGACAGUGGCCCGUAACCAAAGCUGGAAACCCCAGGGCCCUGUUGAACUCCUCCAGGUCCACUAGAUGUCUUGUGGGCGCGAUCCCUACAAAUAGUGGAUGGCAUCAGAAAUCAGUUGAGCCACGUGUAUACUUACCUAUGUCAUGAUGGCACAAACCAACUAACACUUCGACAGGGGGAGAUUGGAGUUAUGGUAGUGCGCAUGAUCCACACUUGUCUCCCUGUGGCGGUCUGGGUGAAAUCUUGCCCCGGUAUGCAUAGUAGCUACAUGAUAGCCUCCCUCUCUGGUUGUGCUCGCACAGUUGGUCACCCUCCAAUAUCGGGGGGUGGCCCAGGAAAUGAUAAAAGCAAACUACUAGCCCCUCACCCAGGAGUGCAAGCCUCGAUUAAGCAUUAAGGGCGGAGGGCCUUGAGUUCUCUUUAGGCACAGAUGUGGAGCCCUCUGAAAGCGAGGGCGUGCAGCCCUCUGAAGGCGGGGGUGUGCAACCCUCUGAAGGUGAGGACGUGUAAUCCUCUAAAGGCGAGGGCAUGAGGCCCUUUGAAGGUGAGGACGUGUAGUCCUCUAAAGGCGAAGGCGUGCAGCCCUCUAAAGGUGAGGACGUGAUGCAAUCCUACCCCGCAAGGGCAUUGGAUAGAAGACUCCAAGUAGAUUGGGCCAGAGAUCCAAGGGAAGGCCCUAGGGUUCUCAUGAGUCUUAGGGUAGAUUUUGAGCCCAUGGGCUAAGUUUCAGCCCGCUUAUCAUUGUAAAUAUUUGAAUAGGUUUUUCCUUCGUUUGGGCCUUGUAUUUUGGCCAUUCUAGUAGUAUAGGGUUUUAGCCUUGUAUUUCAAGGCAUUUUGAGUAGUCUUUGUAGUAGGGAUUUUUUUUUUGUAUUUUCAUGAAUUUUUGUCAUGGGGGUGAGCUUAGCUAUUAUAGGGGGUGUGUAGCUAAGCUCUAGCUUCUCAUCUCAAGGAGCUAAGCUUAGCUAUUAGAGAGGUAUGUGAAGCUAAACUCUAGCUUCUUUAGGAAUCUUCUUAAGGAAGCUUCUCAAGGAGGUGAGCUUAGUUAUGAGAGGGGUGUGUGUAGCUAAGCUCUAGCUUCUCAAGGAAGUUUUCUCAAAGAAGCUUCUCAAGGAAGUUUUCUCAAGAAAGCUUCUCAAGGAAGCUACCUAGUCUAUAAAUAGAAGUAUGUGUAACACUUGUUGUAACUUUGAUGAAUGAGAGUCUUGUGAGACACAACUCAAAGUUCAACUUCUCUGCCUUUUUCUUCCUUCAAUUUCGUGCUCCCCCCUCUCUCUUUCACUCCCUCUUUCUUUUCCUCCAUUGAAGCAUCCUCUCCAAGCUUCUUAUCCAAGGCUCAUCUUGGUGGUGAAGCUCCUUCUUCCAUGGCUUAUUCCCUAGUGGAUGACGCCUCCUCUCACCUCUUCUCCUUUGUCUUCCACUGCAUCUCCAUGGUGGAAAAUCACCAUUAAAGGACCUCAUUGAAGCUCAAACCACCAAAAGUGAGUGUUUUGUUGGGAACCUUGAAUGUGGUCAUCCAAACACUCUUAGGAUUCGCCUAGUUUACAUUUCUUGCUUACUUUCAUAGCUUAUUUCCUUUAUCUUCCAUUGUCAAACCGCCUAGAUAGCUUUCCUUUUACCAAUUAGUUUUUUUCCCUUAUCUUUCAGACCUCUUUUAGUGUUUAUUUUGGCUAGUUUCAACCAUAGUUACUUUUACCUUUUGUUUUCAAACCUCCAAUAAGAAAGAACCACAACUUAGGAACCAACAUGAGUCAUCAUUCAUCUAGUGUUAAUGGCGGGGGUACUAGUCAUAAAGACCCUUUAUCUAGAAUCUUAGAUGAGUUGAGUUCCCUCAAGUUAUGGAAAGAAAAACAAGAGAGAAAAGAAAAAGGAAAAAAAAGAGUGGAAGAAAUAAGUUAAGAUGAAAGAAAGAAAAUAAGAGAGGAAGAAAGAAGAAAAAUAAUGAAAGAAAUGAAAAGAGAAAAAUAUGUCUCCUAUAGUAGUCAUAACUCUUGCAAGAGCCUAAGUAAAGAACUUCGUGACUAUUAUGAAGGAAGGCAUAGGUCACAUCUUAGACCUCACUCCCAUAGAAGAGAAAAGGAAAGAAAGCCUCAAGAGGCUAACAUUAACCUCCCAUACUUCCAUGGGAAGGACAAUGUAGAGGCUAACUUAGUUUGGGAAAUAAGGGUAGAGCAACAACUUAAAAAGAAGUCUACAUCAAAAUCUUAUGGCUCUCACUCUUAUCCAAAGAAAGACCAUGGUCGAGGCAUCUUAGGGGUGACACCUUCAAAGCCCAAAGAUGAUAAGGGGAAGACAAUAGAAAAGCAAGUCCCUAAGGUUAGUAUGCAAGAGAAAACUAGCUCUAUAAAGUGCUUUAAAUGUCUUGGAAAAGGAUACAUUACUUCUCAAUGCCCCACCACAAAAACCAUGAUUAUGAGGGGCCAAGAUAUUUAUAGUAGCCAAGAUAAGGCUACUACUUCACCUUCCUUUAGUGAAAGUGAAAAAGCAAAAGGGGAAGAAUCUAGUGAAGAAAUCUACCCCCAAGAAGAAGGACAACCAUUAGUGGUUAAAGAGAAGUGUAAGGAGGUAAGUGUCUCCUCCAAGAGGUUAGCUAAGAAGGAAACUCAUUUUACAAUAAAGACAAACAUUAAAGAAACUUUCCCUCUUAGACAACCUCCACAUUUUCUCUUUUGUAAAAAGACACUUGCUAGCAUUGCCACACCUCUUGGGCUUGAGUUUAUUCCUCAAGUAAAGAAGUUGUUGGAUGAGGGUUUGGUUCACAAGAGCUUAAAUCCUUGUGCUUUGUUGGUGCCCAAAAUAGGUAUUAUUAGGCACCAAGUCCCUAAAAUAGGUGGUAUGAUGAAUGUUUUGAGUGGUGCAACCCUCUUUUAUAAAAUCACUCAUGCACCUAACAUCUUCAUGGUGUGUGUACAUAGGGACCCAUUAGGUAGGUUUGUUCUUAUUUUUAGUUUCAAUACAAACUUAGGUACUCAUAUGGGACACCUUAGGUUUGUCAUACUUUUUGGUAGGAAUAAUCAAUAUGAAAAUACAGAAAAAGGUAUGUUUUAUUGCGUUACUUUUCUUAAUAUUUCAAAUAGUGAUCAAGGGGUUCCCAUGAACCCUAAAAGAAUAAAGGUCAUUCUUGAGUGGCCAACUCCCCCAAGUAUAAGAAAAAUUUGGGGCUUCCAUGACAUAACAAACAUUUACAAAAGAUUUGUCCCAUAUUUUUCUAUACUUGUAGCACCACUCAUUGAGUUAGUGAGAAACCAUGUUCCUUCAUGGGAAGAUGCCCAAGAAAUGGGUUUUUAGACCUUACCUUACUUCAACAUACCAAACACCACUAAUACAUAUGUUUUUGUUCUUUUUACAGGUGUUGAGGAAAGGAGCCCAGAGUAUGAAGAACCUCAAGAUUUGAGGUCAAAUCCUUUCCAAGGUGGAGGGAAUGAUGCAAUCCUACCCCGCAAGGGCAUUGGAUAGAAGACUCCAAGUAGAUUGGGCCAGAGAUACAAGGGAAGGCCCUAGGGUUCUCAUGAGCCUUAGGCUAGAUUUAGAGCCCAUGGGCUAAGUAUGAGCCCGCUUAUCUUUGUAAAUAUUAGAAUAGGUUUUUCCUUCGUUUGGGCCUUGUAUUUUGGCCAUUCUAGUAGUAUAGGGUUUUAGCCUUGUAUUUCGAGGCAUUUUGAGUAGUCUUUGUAGUAGGGAUUUUUUUUGUAUUUUCAUGUAUUUUGUCAUGGGGGUGAGCUUAGCUAUUAUAGGGGGUGUGUAGCUAAGUUCUAGCUUCUCAUCUCAAGGAGGUGAACUUAGCUAUUAGAGAGGUAUGUGUAGUUAAACUCUAGCUUCUUUAGGAAUCUUCUUAAGGAAGCUUCUCAAGGAGGUGAGCUCAGUUAUGAGAGGGGUGUGUGUAGCUAAGCUUUAGCUUCUCAAGGAAGUUUUCUCAAAGAAGCUUCUCAAGGAAGUUUUCUCAAGAAAGCUUCUCAAGGAAGCUACUUAGUCUAUAAAUAGAUGUAUAUGUAACACUUGUUGUAACUUUGAUGAAUGAGAGUCUUGUGAGACACAACUCAAAGUUCAACUUCUCUGCCUUUUUCAUCCUUCAAUUUCGUGCUCCCCCCUCUCUCUUUCUCUCCCUCUUUCUUUUCCUCCAUUGAAGCAUCCUCUCCAAGCUUCUUAUUCAAGGCUCAUCUUGGUGGUGAAGCUCCUUCUUCCAUGGCUUAUUCCCUAGUGGAUGGCGCCUCCUCUCACCUCUUCUUCUUUGUCUUCCACUGCAUCUCCAUGGUGGAAAAUCACCAUUAAAGAACCUCAUUGAAGCUCAAAGAUCCAGCCUCCAUAGAUGCCCCACAAGCAAGCUUCCAUCAGGACGUGUAAUCCUCUGAAGGUGAGGGCAUGUAGCCCUCUGAAGGCAAGGAUGUGUAGUCCUCUAAAGGCGAGGGCGUGUAGCCCUUUAAAGGUGAGGGCGUGUAGCCCUCCGAAGGUGAGGGCGUGUAGCCCUCUGAAGGCAAGGGCAUGUAGCCCUCUAAAGGUGAGGGCGUGCAACCCUCUGAAGGCGAGGGCGUGCAGCCCUCUGAAGGCGAGGGCGUGCAGCCCUCUGAAGGCGUGGGCGUGCAGCCCUCUGAAGGCGAGGACGUGUAGUCCUCUGAAGGUGAGGGCAUGUUGCCCUCUGAAGGCGAGGACGUGUACCCCUCUGAUGGCGAGGACGUGUAGUCCUCAAGGCGAGGACCAGUAGUCCUCUGAAGGUGAGGGCAUGUAGCCCUCUGAAGGCGAGGACGUGUAGUCCUCUAAAGGCGAGGAUGUGUAGUCCUAUGAAGGUGAGGGUGUGUAGCCCUCUGAAGGGAAGGGCGUGGAGCCCUCUGAAGGCUAGGACGUGUAGUCCUCUGAAGGUGAGGAUGUGGAGUCCUCUGAAGGCGAGGGCGUGCAGCCCUCUGAUGGCGAGGACCCGUAGUCCUCUAAAGGUGAGGGCGUGUAGCUCUCUGAAGGCGAGGACGUGUAGUCCUCUAAAGCGGAGGACGUGGAGUCCUCUGAAGGCGAGGGUGUGCAGCCCUCUGAAGGUGAUGACCUAUACUCCUCUGAAGGCGAGGACGUGUAGUCCUCUGAAGGUGAGGGCAUGUAGCCUUAUGAUGGUGAGGACAUGUAGUCCUCUGAAGGUGAGGGCAUGUAGCCCUACGGAGGUGAGGACGUGUAGUCCUCUAAAGGCGAGGGCGUGCAGCCCUCUGAAGGUGAGGGCGCGUAGCCCUCUGAAGGUGAGGAAAUGCAUUCCUCUGAUGGUGAAGGCGUGCAACCCUUUGAAGGCGAGGACGUGUAGUCCUCUAAAGGUGAGACCGUGUAGCCCCUUAAAGGUGAGGACGUGUAGUCCUCUGAAGGUGAGGACGUGGAGUCCUCUGAAGGUGAGGACAUGCAGUCCUCUGAAGGCGAGGACGUGUAGUCCUCUGAAGGCAAGGAUUUGUAAUCCUCUGAAGGAGAGGGCAUGUAGCCCUCUGAAGAUGAGGACGUGUAGUCCUCUGAAGGUGAGGGCGUGUAGCCCUCCGAAGGCGAGGACGUGCAGCCCUCUGAAGGCGAGGGCGUGUAGCCCUUUGAAGGUGAGGAUAUGUAGUCCUCUGAAGGUGAGGACGUGUAGUCCUCAAGACGAAGAUGUGUGGUCCUCAAGGCGAGGACGUGUAGUCCUCUGAAGGUGAGGGCGUGUAGCCCUCUGAAGGUGAGGACGUGUAGUCCUCAAGGCGAGGACGUGUAGUCCACUGAAGGUGAGGGCGUGUAGCCCUCUGAAGGUGAAGGCAUGUAGCCCUCUAAAGGUGAGGACGUGUUGUCCUCUGAAGGUGAGGAUGUGUAGUCCUCUGAAGGUGAGGACGUAUAGUCCUCGAGGCGAGGACGUGUAGUCCUCUGAAGGUGAGGGCAUGUAGCCCUCUGAAGGUGAGGACGUGUAUUCCUUAAGGCAAGGACGUGCAACCCUCUGAAGGUGAGGGCAUGCAACCCUCUUAAGGCGAUAGGUACUAGUACCCAAGGGUCCACCCUUAUGAGAAAGCAAGGGAUCAACUCAUCGAGAGGGCCGGUCAUCCCAAAUUCAAAAUGAUUGGACAGUAGAUGUAGGAAAUCUAUGUAGUUAACAUGAUUUUUUAGGGAUCCAGAUGCAUGCAACCUUUGUCUUGAAAUGCGGUAAAUGCAGACUUCGUAUGGAACAAUGCAAUGUAGUGGAAAGUUGUACAAUGUUCAUGACAUUCUUUCCCUAUUUUGUGAUUUUGAGUUGAUUUGAUUUUUUUUAAAACACAGAUUGACUGUCCUUUUGAAAAAGGUGAUAAUUCAUGCAUCCUUAUCCUAUCUUUUGCAAAUCUCUUUGGGAACUCCCUCAGAGUGUAAGUUCUUUUUUAUUUAAACACUUGACCAUUUUGGAGUGACGGCAAUGGAGCCGUUUGACGUUUAAUCAAUCCAUUGAAAUCCUAGGGUUUGUGCCCCCUUUUUUUAUUUAAAAACAUCGACGGGUGAGAACUUUUGAUCUGCCCCUAGGUUCGCUUGAGGCUCAUGCAUGGUGCCCCUCAUUGCCCCAGUGUAAGGCUUUGAGGUACCAAUUGUUAUCUUUCGUCAUGACCUUGUAGCUGGGAACCUAUUGGGUGAGAACUUCUAAUCUGCCCCUAGGUUCGCUUGAGGUUUAUGCAAGGUGCCUUUCAUUGCCCCAGUGUUGGGCUCUAAGGUAUCCAUCGUUGUUUUGUUUUCACAACCUUGUAGCAAGGAAGAAUGAAAGAGGCGGUUUGAUUCUCGCCAAAAGAAUUUUUCAAGGAUGAGAAAUAGUUGAAGGAUUUUUUCAGUUGACGGGUUAAGUCAAAUGACUCCUAUUCUUGAUAACUCACUUCUCUCUAAAAAGACAAACCUUCAGGAAUGAUAAAAUGAGGUCACAUGAACAUCUAUAUUUUACUUGAAAACACAGUCAAUGAAAUGGUUUUUUCCUUUUCUUUUUGAACUUUUCUGCUUUACUCGUUGUUUACGAUAUCCUCACCAAAUGUGUAGCACGAGUAAUUUCUGAUUGAACGGUCUUGGAAGUCCAAACUCAGGAGCGCAUGUCGGUUGAGCAAACAAACCAAUGGCUUGCACCCACAUUUGAAUGGAAGCAAAGAUUUAAUUACGAGAGGAUGAGGGACAAAGAUGUCAAAUUUAUCCAUUUUAUUUAGCAUUGUAACUAUGGUUUACAAUAAUAGCAUAAACUUGAAAAUCCUGAGGAGUCAUUAGAGACAUCUAACAACAGCUUUUAAAAUUGCCCCAUGUGUGGUGUUGCUUGUCAAUGUUAGGAUUCACAAGCGAUUCUCCUCAAACAGGGCUCAAUGGAAUGUCCUGGAACUCCUCCAUGAUAUGCACAUGUUGGGUAGAGCAACAACUUAAAAGAAAGCCUACUUCAAAAUCAUAUGGCUCUCACUCUUAUCCAAAGAAAGACCAAGGUCAAGGCAUCUUAGGGGCUGCACCUUCUAAGCCCAAAGAUGACAAGGAAAGCCAAUAGAAAAGCGACCCCCUAAGGCUAGUAUGCAAGAGAAGACUAGCUCUAUAAAGUGCUUUAAAUGUCUUGGAAGAGGACAUAUUGCUUCUCAAUGCCCCACCAAGAAAGCCAUGAUUAUGAGGGGCCAAGACAUUUAUACUAGCCAAGAUGAGGCUACUACUUCACCUUCCUCUAGUGAAAUUGAAGAAACAAAAAGAGAAGAAUCUAGUGAAAAAAUCUACCCCCAAGAAGAAGGGGUCCUUUUAAUGGUUAGAAGGCUUCUAGGAGCCCAAUCUUGUGACUUGACCCAAUCUCAAAGAGAGAAUAUUUUUCACACAAGGUGUAAAAAUUUUUUUAACACAUGCUUUCUUAUUGUAGGUAGUGGUUCAUGUUUCAAUUGUUGCUGCACAAGAUUAGUCUCUAAGUUGAGCCUUGCUAUCACUCCCUAUCCAAAGCCUUACAAACUUCAAUGGCUCAAUGAGCAAGGGGAGAUGAUAGUCAAUCUGUGAAAGUGCCCUUCUCCAUUGGAACAUAUGUGAUGUAGUUCCUAUGGAGGCAGGACACCUUCUCAUAGGUAGGCCAUGGCAAUAUGACAGGAAAAUAAUCUAUAAUGGCCUAACUAAUGAGAUAACCCUUACCCACCCUGGAAUAAAGUUUGUGUUGCAUCCUCAAACACCUUCACAAGUGGCCAAAGAUCAACUAACUAUGAAAGAUAAGAGGGAUGAGGAAGAAAAACUAGAAAAACAAAAGAAAAAAAGGAUAGUAAGGCCUUGUCUUCAAAGGCCAAGGGGAAGGAAAAAAAGGAAAAGGAUUCCUCCAAGAAGAUUGUUAAGAAAGAAAAUCACUUUGCAAUAAAAGGUGAUAUCAAAAGAGCAGUCCUUCUUAAAUAAUCCUUCUACCUUAUCAAGGGAAACCUCCCUUAGCACUGCCACAAUUCCUACAUUUGAGACCUUUCCCCCAAAGGUCCAAGAACUCUUACAUGAAUUUGGUGAUAUAUUUCCCAAAGAGAUACCCCUUGGGCUACCUCCUCUUAGGGGAAUAGAACACCAAAUAGACUUAGUCCUAGGAGCAAGCCUUACAAAUAGGCUAGCCUAUAGGACUAACCCUCAGGAGACUAAGGAGAUAGAGUUAGGUUAAGGAAUUGCUGGAGAAGGGUUGGGUCCAAGAGAGCCUAAGCCCUUGUGCUAUGCCAGUGUUGUUGGUUCCCAAAAAGGAUGGUAAGUGGAGAAUGUGUACAAAUUGUAGGGCCAUCAACAACAUUACUAUAAAGUAUAGGCACCCCAUUCCUAGAUGUGAUGAUUUGCUUGAUGAGUUGCAUGGUGCCAACAUAUUUUCAAAAAUUGAUCUUAAAAGCGGUUAUCACCAAAUUAGGAUGAAAGAGGGUGAUGAGUGGAAAACCGCUUUCAAGACCAAGUUUGGUUUGUAUGAAUGGCUAGUGAUGCCUUUUGGGCUCACUAAUGCACCAAGCACCUUUAUGAGGCUUAUGCAUCAUGUCUUAAGGGAUUUCAUAGGUAGAUUUGUAGUUGUUUAUUUUGAUGAUAUUUUAGUGUACAAUAGGAGUCUAGAUGAUCACUUAGAACAUCUAAGGCAAGCUCUUUCAGUCCUUAGGAAAAAAAACUCUAUGCCAAUAUAGAGAAGUGUACUUUUUGUGUAGAUAAUAUAGUUUUCUUAGGAUUUGUAGUUGGUAGAAAUGGGGUCCAAGUGGACCCUGAGAAAAUCAAGGCCAUCCAAGAAUGGCCCUCCCCCAAAAGUGUAGGAGAUAUUAGGAGCUUCUAUGGGUUAGCAAGCUUCUACAAAAGGUUUGUUCCUAAUUUCUCUACACUUGCCAAUGUGACAUUCACUUGGGGUGAAAGACAAGAGCAAGACUUUGCUUUGCUCAAAGAAAAGCUUACCAAGGCACCUGUUCUAGCUAUUCCUGACUUUUCUAAAACUUUUGAGCUAGAAUGUAAUGCCUAUGGAGUGAGUGUGGGAGCUGUAUUGUUGCAAGGUGGGCACCCUAUUGCUUAUUUGAGUGAAAAACAUCAUGGUGCCACCCUCAACUACCCCACCUAUGAUAAAGAGCUUUAUGUCUUAAUAAGAGCCCUCCAAACAUAGGAACAUUAUCUUGUUUCCAAGGAAUUAGUCAUUCAUAGUGAUCAUGAAUCACUUAAAUACAUUAAAGGGCAACGUUAGUUAAACGAAAGGCAUGAAAAAUGGGUAUAGUACCUAGGAGCUCAAAUUUUAGGAUUUGAUAACAUCACUACAUCAGGGAAUUGUAUGCUUCAAAUGAACAUUUCUCUCCCAUUUAUGAGAGUUGUGGGCAAAAGGCCCAAGAUGAGCCAUGAGAGUGGGCUCAUGGGCCACUUUGGGAUAGACAAGACCCUUGUCUUACUCAAAGAAAAGUUCUAUUGGCCCCAUAUAUAGAAAGAUGUCCAUAAGCGUUGCACUAAGUGUAUGGCUUGUUUACAAGCUAAGUCUUGGGUGAUGCCUCAUGGGCUAUACACACCCUUACCCAUCCCAUUUGCACCUUGGGUAGACAUUAGUAUGGACUUUUUCCUUAGGCUUCCUAGAACCCAAAGAGGUGUAGACUCUAUCUCUGUGGUGGUGGAUAGGUUUAGCAAGAUGGCACACUUUAUACCAUGCCACAAGGUGGAUGAUGCUUCUCACAUCUCAAAAAUCCUUUUUAGGGAAGUUGUGAGACUCCAUGGUUUGCCUAGGACCAUUGUGUCAGAUAGAGAUGCUAAGUUCCUUAGCCACUUUUGGAAAACCUUCUGGGCUAAGCUAGGAACUAAGCUUCUUUUCUCUACCACUUGCCAUCCACAAAAUGAUGGGCAAACAAAGGUAGUGAAUAGGUCUCUAUCCACCCUUUUAAGGGCUCUUUUGAAAGGCAACCAUAAGUCUUGGGAUGAGUAUCUUCCUCAUGUAGAAUUUUCCUACAAUAGGGGGGUCAUAGAACCACCACGCAAUCCCCUUUUGAGGUUGUCUAUGGGUUCAAUCCUCUAACACCCUUAGACAUAAUUCCCCUACCACUUGACACUUCUUUUAUACAUAAAGAAGGGGAAUCUAGGUCAGAGUUUGUAAAGAAGUUGCAUGCCAAGGUUAGGAACCAAAUAGAGAACCAAACAAAGGUGUAUGCAUCUAAAGGCAAUAAAGGAAGAAAUGAGCUAGUUCUUAAUGACGGAGACUGGGUUUUUCUCCAUCUUAGGAAGGAUAAAUUUCCUACUAAGAGGAAAUCCAAGCUUAGCCCUAGAGGUGACGAACCUUUUUAGGUCUUGGAGAGGAUGAAUAACAAUGCCUAAAGGUCGAACCUCCCCAAAGAGUAUGGAGUUAGCACCACAUUUCUGAUUAGAUGAGGUAUGGUAAGAGGUAUCUUCUUCCAUAAGUAGUAAAUGACCAACAAACCGUGUUCAUUUACCUCCUAAUAAGUUCCAACUCUGUGAAGCACAAAGUGCAUGCAAAUCCAGCGGACAAUUCAUCCAAAGGAUGUUAGAGACUUGGGUUUGAAGUCAUCAUCCUUGCCAUCCAAUUUUUUUCUUCAUAAUGUUGGUAUUUCUGAGGCCUAUGAUGUCUAACCAAUGAUCAUAGAGCCUAGUGCUAUCAGCAGACACCCCUAAAAGAUCACCCAUAAGUUGUUCUGAGAUCAGAAUCUUAGUAUCCUUUAUGGUGAAGUUGUUAUUAUCCACUACAACAAAAACAAAGAAGGCUCUAACCAGCCUUGGAUAGACAGGUUCAUGUACAUCAAAGAACCUUGUCUACUUCUCCUUCUUUACAAAACAUAGAAUGUCCCAACCAUAUUCCUUGAUCUCCAAUAAAUCAAUAUAACUCCCAUUUGCAACAUUCUUUUUUACCCAACUGCUGUCAAACUUCUCAUGCAACUUCCUAUCUCUAAACAAGGCGGUAACUUCAUAUUCUGACCUCCUUCUCUUCUUCUUAGACUUCUUUGCUUUCCCAGAGCUUCUCCAUUUUGGUGACCCUAUCACAACACCCUUGGGACGAGGGGGUGUGACUGUCACAGUUGCCUCUGAAUUAGUCUCAGAAGACACUUCUAUUGCCUUGUCUUUCCCCUUAUCUUUAUUGCCUUGGAUAGACAGGUUCAUGUACAUCAAAGAACCUUGUCUACUUCUCCUUCUUUACAAAACAUAGAAUGUCCCAAUCAUAUUCCUUGAUCUCCAAUAAAUCAAUAUAACUCCCAUUUGCAACCUUCUUUUUUACCCAACUGCUGUCAAACUUCUCAUGCAACUUCCUAUCUCUAAACAAGGCGGUAACUUCAUAUUCUGACCUUCUUCUCUUCUUCCUAGACUUCUUUGCUUUCCCAGAGCUUCUCCAUUUUGGUGACCCUAUCACAACACCCUUGGGACGAGGGGGUGUGACUAUCACAGUUGCCUCUGAAUUAGUCUUAGAAGACACUUCUAUUGCCUUCAAUUGCCUUGUCUUGCUCCUAGGACUAAGUCUAUUUGGUGUUCUAUUCCCCUAAGAGGAGGUAGCCCAAGGGGUAUCUCUUUGGGAAAUAUAUCACCAAAUUCAUGUAAGAGUUCUUGGACCUUUGGGGGAAAGGUCUCAAAUGUAGGAAUUGUGGCAGUGCUAAGGGAGGUUUCCCUUGAUAAGGUAGAAGGAUUAUUUAAGAAGGACUGCUCUUUUGAUAUCACCUUUUAUUGCAAAGUGAUUUUCUUUCUUAACAAUCUUCUUGGAGGAAUCCUUUUCCUUUUUUUCCUUCCCCUUGGCCUUUGAAGACAAGGCCUUACUAUCCUUUUUUUCUUUUGUUUUUCUAGUUUUUCUUCCUCAUCCCUCUUAUCUUUCAUAGUUAGUUGAUCUUUGGCCACUUGUGAAGGUGUUUGAGGAUGCAACACAAACUUUAUUCCAGGGUGGGUAAGGGUUAUCUCAUUAGUUAGGCCAUUAUAGAUUAUUUUCCUGUCAUAUUGCCAUGGCCUACCUAUGAGAAGGUGUCCUGCCUCCAUAGGAACUACAUCACAUAUGUUCCAAUGGAGAAGGGCACUUUCACAGAUUGACUAUCAUCUCCCCUUGCUCAUUGAGCCAUUGAAGUUUGUAAGGCUUUGGAUAGGGAGUGAUAGCAAGGCUCAACUUAGAGACUAAUCUUGUGCAGCAACAAUUGAAACAUGAACCACUACCUACAAUAAGAAAGCAUGUGUUAAAAAAAUUUUUACACCUUGUGUGAAAAAUAUUCUCUCUUUGAGAUUGGGUCAAGUCACAAGAUUGGGCUCCUAGAAGCCUUCUAACCAUUAAAAGGACCCCUUCUUCUUGGGGGUAGAUUUUUUCACUAGAUUCUUCUCUUUUUGUUUCUUCAAUUUCAUUAGAGGAAGGUGAAGUAGUAGCCUCAUCUUGGCUAGUAUAAAUGUCUUGGCCCCUCAUAAUCAUGGCUUUCUUGGUGGGGCAUUGAGAAGCAAUAUGUCCUCUUCCAAGACAUUUAAAGCACUUUAUAGAGCUAGUCUUCUCUUGCAUACUAGCCUUAGGGGGUCGCUUUUCUAUUGGCUUUCCUUGUCAUCUUUGGGCUUAGAAGGUGCAGCCCCUAAGAUGCCUUGACCUUGGUCUUUCUUUGGAUAAGAGUGAGAGCCAUAUGAUUUUGAAGUAGGCUUUCUUUUAAGUUGUUGCUCUACCCAACAUGUGCAUAUCAUGGAGGAGUUCCAGGACAUUCCAUUGAGCCCUGUUUGAGGAGAAUCGCUUGUGAAUCCUAACAUUGACAAGCAACACCACACAUGGGGCAAUUUUAAAAGCUGUUGUUAGAUGUCUCUAAUGACUCCUCAGGAUUUUCAAGUUUAUGCUAUUAUUGUAAACCAUAGUUACAAUGCUAAAUAAAAUGGAUAAAUUUGACAUCUUUGUCCCUCAUCCUCUCGUAAUUAAAUCUUUGCUUCCAUUCAAAUGUGGGUGCAAGCCAUUGGUUUGUUUGCUCAACCGACAUGCGCUCCUGAGUUUGGACUUCCAAGACCGUUCAAUCAGAAAUUACUCGUGCUACACAUUUGGUGAGGAUAUCGUAAACAACGAGUAAAGCAGAAAAGUUCAAAAAGAAAAGGAAAAAACCAUUUCAUUGACUGUGUUUUCAAGUAAAAUAUAGAUGUUCAUGUGACCUCAUUUUAUCAUUCCUGAAGGUUUGUCUUUUUAGAGAGAAGUGAGUUAUCAAGAAUAGGAGUCAUUUGACUUAACCCGUCAACUGAAAAAAUCCUUCAACUAUUUCUCAUCCUUGAAAAAUUCUUUUGGCGAGAAUCAAACCGCCUCUUUCAUUCUUCCUUGCUACAAGGUUGUGAAAACAAAACAACGAUGGAUACCUUAGAGCCCAACACUGGGGCAAUGAAAGGCACCUUGCAUAAACCUCAAGCGAACCUAGGGGCAGAUUAGAAGUUCUCACCCAAUAGGUUCCCAGCUACAAGGUCAUGACGAAAGAUAACAAUUGGUACCUCAAAGCCUUACACUGGGGCAAUGAGGGGCACCAUGCAUGAGCCUCAAGCGAACCUAGGGGCAGAUCAAAAGUUCUCACCCGUCGAUGUUUUUAAAUAAAAAAAGGGGGCACAAACCCUAGGAUUUCAAUGGAUUGAUUAAACGUCAAACGGCUCCAUUGCCGUCACUCCAAAAUGGUCAAGUGUUUAAAUAAAAAAGAACUUACACUCUGAGGGAGUUCCCAAAGAGAUUUGCAAAAGAUAGGAUAAGGAUGCAUGAAUUAUCACCUUUUUCAAAAGGACAGUCAAUCUGUGUUUUAAAAAAAAUCAAAUCAACUCAAAAUCACAAAAUAGGGAAAGAAUGUCAUGAACAUUGUACAACUUUCCACUACAUUGCAUUGUUCCAUACGAAGUCUGCAUUUACCGCAUUUCAAGACAAAGGUUGCAUGCAUCUGGAUCCCUAAAAAAUCAUGUUAACUACAUAGAUUUCCUACAUCUACUGUCCAAUCAUUUUGAAUUUGGGAUGACCGGCCCUCUCGAUGAGUUGAUCCCUUGCUUUCUCAUAAGGGUGGACCCUUGGGUACUAGUACCUAUCGCCUUAAGAGGGUUGCAUGCCCUCACCUUCAGAGGGUUGCACGUCCUUGCCUUAAGGAAUACACGUCCUCACCUUCAGAGAGCUACAUGCCCUCACCUUCAGAGGACUACACGUCCUCGCCUCGAGGACUAUACGUCCUCACCUUCAGAGGACUACACAUCCUCACCUUCAGAGGACAACACGUCCUCACCUUUAGAGGGCUACAUGCCUUCACCUUCAGAGGGCUACACGCCCUCACCUUCAGUGGACUACACGUCCUCGCCUUGAGGACUACACGUCCUCACCUUCAGAGGGCUACACGCCCUCACCUUCAGAGGACUACACGUCCUCGCCUUGAGGACCACACAUCUUCGUCUUGAGGACUACACGUCCUCACCUUCAGAGGACUACAUAUCCUCACCUUCAAAGGGCUACACGCCCUCGCCUUCAGAGGGCUGCACGUCCUCGCCUUCGGAGGGCUACACGCCCUCACCUUCAGAGGACUACACGUCCUCNNNNNNNNNNNNNNNNNNNNNNNNNNNNNNNNNNNNNNNNNNNNNNNNNNNNNNNNNNNNNNNNNNNNNNNNNNNNNNNNNNNNNNNNNNNNNNNNNNNNNNNNNNNNNNNNNNNNNNNNNNNNNNNNNNNNNNNNNNNNNNNNNNNNNNNNNNNNNNNNNNNNNNNNNNNNNNNNNNNNNNNNNNNNNNNNNNNNNNNNNNNNNNNNNNNNNNNNNNNNNNNNNNNNNNNNNNNNNNNNNNNNNNNNNNNNNNNNNNNNNNNNNNNNNNNNNNNNNNNNNNNNNNNNNNNNNNNNNNNNNNNNNNNNNNNNNNNNNNNNNNNNNNNNNNNNNNNNNNNNNNNNNNNNNNNNNNNNNNNNNNNNNNNNNNNNNNNNNNNNNNNNNNNNNNNNNNNNNNNNNNNNNNNNNNNNNNNNNNNNNNNNNNNNNNNNNNNNNNNNNNNNNNNNNNNNNNNNNNNNNNNNNNNNNNNNNNNNNNNNNNNNNNNNNNNNNNNNNNNNNNNNNNNNNNNNNNNNNNNNNNNNNNNNNNNNNNNNNNNNNNNNNNNNNNNNNNNNNNNNNNNNNNNNNNNNNNNNNNNNNNNNNNNNNNNNNNNNNNNNNNNNNNNNNNNNNNNNNNNNNNNNNNNNNNNNNNNNNNNNNNNNNNNNNNNNNNNNNNNNNNNNNNNNNNNNNNNNNNNNNNNNNNNNNNNNNNNNNNNNNNNNNNNNNNNNNNNNNNNNNNNNNNNNNNNNNNNNNNNNNNNNNNNNNNNNNNNNNNNNNNNNNNNNNNNNNNNNNNNNNNNNNNNNNNNNNNNNNNNNNNNNNNNNNNNNNNNNNNNNNNNNNNNNNNNNNNNNNNNNNNNNNNNNNNNNNNNNNNNNNNNNNNNNNNNNNNNNNNNNNNNNNNNNNNNNNNNNNNNNNNNNNNNNNNNNNNNNNNNNNNNNNNNNNNNNNNNNNNNNNNNNNNNNNNNNNNNNNNNNNNNNNNNNNNNNNNNNNNNNNNNNNNNNNNNNNNNNNNNNNNNNNNNNNNNNNNNNNNNNNNNNNNNNNNNNNNNNNNNNNNNNNNNNNNNNNNNNNNNNNNNNNNNNNNNNNNNNNNNNNNNNNNNNNNNNNNNNNNNNNNNNNNNNNNNNNNNNNNNNNNNNNNNNNNNNNNNNNNNNNNNNNNNNNNNNNNNNNNNNNNNNNNNNNNNNNNNNNNNNNNNNNNNNNNNNNNNNNNNNNNNNNNNNNNNNNNNNNNNNNNNNNNNNNNNNNNNNNNNNNNNNNNNNNNNNNNNNNNNNNNNNNNNNNNNNNNNNNNNNNNNNNNNNNNNNNNNNNNNNNNNNNNNNNNNNNNNNNNNNNNNNNNNNNNNNNNNNNNNNNNNNNNNNNNNNNNNNNNNNNNNNNNNNNNNNNNNNNNNNNNNNNNNNNNNNNNNNNNNNNNNNNNNNNNNNNNNNNNNNNNNNNNNNNNNNNNNNNNNNNNNNNNNNNNNNNNNNNNNNNNNNNNNNNNNNNNNNNNNNNNNNNNNNNNNNNNNNNNNNNNNNNNNNNNNNNNNNNNNNNNNNNNNNNNNNNNNNNNNNNNNNNNNNNNNNNNNNNNNNNNNNNNNNNNNNNNNNNNNNNNNNNNNNNNNNNNNNNNNNNNNNNNNNNNNNNNNNNNNNNNNNNNNNNNNNNNNNNNNNNNNNNNNNNNNNNNNNNNNNNNNNNNNNNNNNNNNNNNNNNNNNNNNNNNNNNNNNNNNNNNNNNNNNNNNNNNNNNNNNNNNNNNNNNNNNNNNNNNNNNNNNNNNNNNNNNNNNNNNNNNNNNNNNNNNNNNNNNNNNNNNNNNNNNNNNNNNNNNNNNNNNNNNNNNNNNNNNNNNNNNNNNNNNNNNNNNNNNNNNNNNNNNNNNNNNNNNNNNNNNNNNNNNNNNNNNNNNNNNNNNNNNNNNNNNNNNNNNNNNNNNNNNNNNNNNNNNNNNNNNNNNNNNNNNNNNNNNNNNNNNNNNNNNNNNNNNNNNNNNNNNNNNNNNNNNNNNNNNNNNNNNNNNNNNNNNNNNNNNNNNNNNNNNNNNNNNNNNNNNNNNNNNNNNNNNNNNNNNNNNNNNNNNNNNNNNNNNNNNNNNNNNNNNNNNNNNNNNNNNNNNNNNNNNNNNNNNNNNNNNNNNNNNNNNNNNNNNNNNNNNNNNNNNNNNNNNNNNNNNNNNNNNNNNNNNNNNNNNNNNNNNNNNNNNNNNNNNNNNNNNNNNNNNNNNNNNNNNNNNNNNNNNNNNNNNNNNNNNNNNNNNNNNNNNNNNNNNNNNNNNNNNNNNNNNNNNNNNNNNNNNNNNNNNNNNNNNNNNNNNNNNNNNNNNNNNNNNNNNNNNNNNNNNNNNNNNNNNNNNNNNNNNNNNNNNNNNNNNNNNNNNNNNNNNNNNNNNNNNNNNNNNNNNNNNNNNNNNNNNNNNNNNNNNNNNNNNNNNNNNNNNNNNNNNNNNNNNNNNNNNNNNNNNNNNNNNNNNNNNNNNNNNNNNNNNNNNNNNNNNNNNNNNNNNNNNNNNNNNNNNNNNNNNNNNNNNNNNNNNNNNNNNNNNNNNNNNNNNNNNNNNNNNNNNNNNNNNNNNNNNNNNNNNNNNNNNNNNNNNNNNNNNNNNNNNNNNNNNNNNNNNNNNNNNNNNNNNNNNNNNNNNNNNNNNNNNNNNNNNNNNNNNNNNNNNNNNNNNNNNNNNNNNNNNNNNNNNNNNNNNNNNNNNNNNNNNNNNNNNNNNNNNNNNNNNNNNNNNNNNNNNNNNNNNNNNNNNNNNNNNNNNNNNNNNNNNNNNNNNNNNNNNNNNNNNNNNNNNNNNNNNNNNNNNNNNNNNNNNNNNNNNNNAGGAAGAAAAAGGCAGAGAAGUUGAACUUUGAGUUGUGUCUCACAAGACUCUCAUUCAUCAAAGUUACAACAAGUGUUACACAUACUUCUAUUUAUAGACUAGGUAGCUUCCUUGAGAAGCUUUCUUGAGAAAACUUCCUUGAGAAGCUUCUUUGAGAAAACUUCCUUGAGAAGCUAGAGCUUAGCUACACACACCCCUCUCAUAACUAAGCUCACCUCCUUGAGAAGCUUCCUUAAGAAGAUUCCUAAAGAAGCUAGAGUUUAGCUUCACAUACCUCUCUAAUAACUAAGCUUAGCUCCUUGAGAUGAGAAGCUAGAGCUUAGCUACACACCCCCUAUAAUAGCUAAGCUCACCCCCAUGACAAAAUACAUGAAAAUACAAAAAAAAUCCCUACUACAAAGACUACUCAAAAUGCCUUGAAAUACAAGGCUAAAACCCUAUACUACUAGAAUGGCCAAAAUACAAGGCCCAAACGAAGGAAAAACCUAUUCAAAUAUUUACAAUGAUAAGCGGGCUCAAACUUAGCCCAUGGGCUCAAAAUCUACCCUAAGCCUCAUGAGAACCCUAGGGCCUUCCCUUGGAUCUCUGGCCCAAUCUACUUGGAGUCUUCUAUCCAAUGCCCUUGCGGGGUAGGAUUGCAUCACGUCCUCACCUUUAGAGGGCUGCACGCCUUCGCCUUUAGAGGACUACACGUCCUCACCUUCAAAGGGCCUCAUGCCCUCGCCUUUAGAGGAUUACACGUCCUCACCUUCAGAGGGUUGCACACCCCCGCCUUCAGAGGGUUGCACGCCCUCGCCUUCAGAGGGCUCCACAUCUGUGCCUUAAGAGAACUCAAGGCCCUCCGCCCUUAAUGCUUAAUCGAGGCUUGCACUCCUGGGUGAGGGGCUAGUAGUUUGCUUUUAUCAUUUCCUGGGCCACCCCCCGAUAUUGGAGGGUGACCAACUGUGCGAGCACAACCAGAGAGGGAGGCUAUCAUGUAGCUACUAUGCAUACCGGGGCAAGAUUUCACCCAGACCGCCACAGGGAGACGAGUGUGGAUCAUGCGCACUACCAUAACUCCAAUCUCCCCCUGUCGAAGUGUCAGUUGGUUUGUGCCAUCAUGACAUAGGUAAGUAUACACGUGGCUCAAUUGAUAUCUGAUGCCAUCCACUAUUUGUAAGGAUCGCGCCCACAAGACAUCCAGUGGACCUGGAGGAGUUCAACAGGGCCCUGGGGUUUCCAGCUCUGGUUACGGGCCACUGUCAGUCCUACAGGAUGCUCGUCGCCCCUAACAAGGUCAUCAGGCCUCCUACUAAUCGAGCUUUCAUCAAGAAGUAUUGCACCCCAGGCAGGCACAGGGCGAGACACCACAUCUCCGAUCUCCCCCUGCCGAAGUGUCAGUUGGUCUAUGCCAUCAUGACAUAGGGAUCACGUUCGCAAGACACCCAGUGGACCUGGAGAAGUCCAACAGGGUCUUGGGGUUUCCAACUCUAAUUACAGGCCUCUGUCAGUUCUACGGAGUGCCCGUCGCCCCCAGCAAGGUCAUCAGGCCCCCUACUAACCGAGCUUUCAUCAAGAAGUACUGCGCCCCCAGGCAGGCGCAGGGCGAGACACCACAGCAGCCUGGGGAUGGCCGGCAGUGGGCAAUAGACACAUUGUCACCACCUCCAAAGCCCCUCAGCUCAUCUACAAAAUCUGGAGCAUUGCCUACGACCCAUGGUCGACCAGCAAGCGACCAAGUCCAAAGCCAAAGGUAAGCAAAAGUACUAGGUCUGUGACCGACAAGUCAUCACGCGUCCAGCUCAAGACAUUAAAGAAGCGCUACUAGGAGGCAACCUAGUACCCGUUAAAUUUAUGCUAGUUAUUUGAUCACCUUUUGUUUCUCAAGUCAUAGUAGGACACACCUAGUUGCUCAUGAUCCUAGGAAUUUAAAUAAAACAAGCACAAGCUCGAAAAGUAGUCAUACCUCACAAAAUAUAUGUAUGUGUGUUUAGGUAGCGAAAAUACCUUAGAUAUGCAUGUAUGUAAUUUAGGUAGCAAAUAUAUAUAUAUAUAUAUAUAUAUAUAUAUAUAUAUAUAUAUAUAUAUAUAUAUAUAUAUAUAUGUAUGUAUGUAUAUGUAUGUUUAGGUAGCAAAAUACCUCAUGAAAAAAAACAGAAAAAGUAAAAUAAAAAUAAAAUUGGUUAGCUAAAAAGCCAACAUGCUUUUGAAAGGAAAUGAACUUGCCAUUCAGAACACAAGGUUUUUGAAGAAAAAUGUGUAUGCACCUGAAGGGUGAAUGCUGUGAAAAUUUUCCCGAACGCCCAAAAUAGAGUCGGAUGAAUGCAUGAAUUGAUGAAAAAACAUGUUUUGGAAACACUGGGUUAACUUAAAUAGGGAAAAUGAAUCUUGAGCCCUAGUGCCACAUGACCAUAAAAACUUGAUGCUUGCAUGACCAGUUUUGCAUAAAAUUUCCAAAUCAUCAUUGUUGCAUGUGUGUCAUGGAAAUAAUGUGAGACAUUCCUUUAUCCCUGAACCGCUAGCCGAACCAACGCCCUGACAUAUAUCAUGUCCAGCCGUUCUACAAGCCUUGAGCCAAAAUCCCAACUCGCCAUAAACCUUGACCCAGGGAGAGAAAGUCCAUCCUUGUCCUCAGAAGAAAGCAAAACAAGAAAAUUCUCAAUCAAAGAUCGGAAGAAAGCAAAAGAAGAAAAUUCGCAAUCAAAGAUUGGAAGAAAGCAAAAAAGAAAGAAAAAUUCCCGAUCAAAGAUCGGAUGAAAACAAAAGAAAUAUACAGAAAGGUCUUUGGACCAGACAAUAUAUGAACAAUACAUAAUUGUCACAAGUAAACAAGAAAAGAAAGGAAACCAUGACUUGCAGUGGCCCUCUCCCUUUGAUCGCCAACCAAAAAUCCUGUGCGCUAGCAAUUUUCUCGCCCCGCAUUAAACAAAAACAGAAAAGAAAAAGACCCAAACACUCAGAACCAAAUUCCUCACCAAAACACCAUUCCCGAAAAAGUCCUACUGAUCCAUGAUCACGCAUGUAAUUUUUUAUUUGAUAGGAAAUGAUUUGCAAAAUCAAGUCAUGACAUAUCUAUGGUUCAGAAUUAGAAUAAAACACUUACCUGUAUGAGAUUGAUACACUUUGAGUGAUUUUCUUUUGUUGGACCCAGUGUUUCCUCUAAAUGGUCAUUUAGAAACGAAGUGCUAACAUCCAAAAUCUCAUUUAUGGUUAUGAGAAAGUUUCAUCAUCAUACUCUCCUUCCCCAAUAGACACAUUGUUUUUCAUCCAGAAUCAUAUGUUGCUCUGAUCAGUUAGGGGUUUUGUUUCUUAACUAAAUCAUGUUCGCAUUUUAGUGAGAGAACACCGAGACUAUUUUAGUCUCACAAAGCAAGAACUACGUUGGCCUGAAUUCCUCAUCACGAUUGAGGAUAUGUAGGAGCAAAAGCCCCGCUUUUGUCGACCGCCCCACCUUUUGUCAUCUAGCGACGACAAGUCCGAUGACAUGCGGGGGUACCGUAUGGUUAUCCGCACCUUUUGUCAUCCCGAGACGGCGAGUCCGAUGACAUGUAGGGGUACCGUAUGGUUAUCCGUGCCUUUUGUCAACCAGGGGCAAACAAGCCCGUUGACGCGCAGGGACUAACGUCGUCCUCUGCACCUUUCGUCAACCAGAGGGGAAGCGAGCCUGUUGACGCGCAGAGACUAAUGUCAUCUUCUGCACCUUUUAUCAUCCCGAGACGGCAAGUCCGAUGACAUGCGGGGGUACUAUAUGGUUAUCUGCACCUUUUGUCAUCCCGAGACGGCGAGUCCAAUGACAUGCGGGGGUACCGUAUGGUUAUCCGCACCUUUCGUCAACCAGGGGCAAACAAGCCCGUUGACGCGCAGGGACUAACAUCAUCCUCUGCACCUUUCGUCAACUAGGGGGGAAGCGAGCCUGUUGAUGAGCAGAGACUAACGUCGUCUUCUCACCUUUUGUCAUCCCGAGAUGGCAAGUCCAAUGACAUGUGAGGGUACCGUAUGGUUAUCCGCACCUUUUGUCAUCCUGAGACGGCGAGUCUGAUGACAUGCGGGGGUACCGUAUGCUUAUCCGCACCUUUCCUCAACCAUGGGGGAAGCGAGCCUGUUGACGCACAGAGACUAACGUCGUCAUCCACACCUUUGGUCAUCCCGAGAUAGCGAAGUCAGGUGACAUACAAAGAUACCCAAGCAGUUAUUCGUACAAACGGUUUCUGUUAACCAUGACCUGGGAAGUCAGGUGGUAGGCGGAGAUACCUUAUGGUCAUCCGCACCUUUCAUCAAUCGAGGCGAACAAAUUCGACGGUAUCAGGAUGAUGUUGGUCGUUCGAUUCUGAUUAUUUUAAAAUUUUUGCAGGUUUACUCUAGUCGUCCGGAGACAUUCAAGCCCAACAACGCACGAGAUUCUUCUCUGCUGGGCGGGGACGAUCAUGUUCGAUAGCACGUGGAAACGUCGUGGUUAUCCCAUUUUAUCUCCUUCAAGACACUGAAGUUUUGUUGAUGCUUCUGAUGCCUUUUAUUUCUUUUUGAAUGACAGGUUCCGCUGGUUGGGAUAUUGACCGGCUGAAUGAUGUUUCACUCGAACGAAAUUAGUGUUUUAUCUUUACUUCGCUUUUAUCUCCAAUAAAAGAUAGGUAAAGAGGGGCAAUUUUCAUAUCCUAAUUUCGUCUGGGGACCAUUGUUUAGUGGCAUGCAACCUUCGCUUGACUGCCUCAAGGUACUUAACACCCAUCGUUAGGUAAUCCGUAAAGUUCCGCAACAUUCCGGAGGUCGAAAAAAAGCAUUGUUGCACAAUCCGUAAAGUUUCGCAACAUUCUGAAAGUCGAAAAGAGCAUUGUUGCAUAAUCCAAAAGUUUCGCAGCAUUCUAGAAAGAAAAUGGGCGUCGUUACGUAAUUCGUAAAGUUCCGUAAUGUUUCGGAAAGGAAUCAGCAAAAAAACAUAAAAAAGGGUGUAUUUAGUAAAAAUAGGGUGCAAAUAGUAACCAUGCCCACUUGGGCAUUCCAGGGGGUUCCAACAGAAGGCGGUGCCUUUUGGUGGAAGCAACCCAGCUCGCCUGGGCGAGCUAGGCGCCAACCACCUCCCUCUUUUCUCCUAUAAAUAGGGGAAAGAGGGCAGAGUAAAUUAUUCAGCCCUUCUGGUAUUUUAGGAUUCUCUCGAAAUUAGUGAGGAAAAUUGUUUCUGUUGAAAAAAUCCAAGUUGAGGUGCUUCCGUAACGCAUCCAAGACGUUUCUGUGAGCGGUUUCAUGAAGAUUCUUCAUCGUUCUUUGUCAUUCUUCGGUCUUCAAUCGGUAAGUUCUCGAAAUCGAAUCUUUCAAUUCAUUCUAUGCACCCUUAGUGGUCCCCACUUGUUUCGCGUACUUUUAUUUUCAUUUCGUUUGUUUUCCAUACCCCCUUUUAACGUGCUUUAACCAUUUAUUUAAGUCGUUAUCUCGCCUAAUAAUUGAUAGAAUGAAUUUCAACCGAUCAUUUGCAUUGUAAUCUUGUUUAAUCACUGUUAAAGCAAAAUCUAACCGAUUGUUCACACUGUAACCAUAGUUAAACCAAAAAAAGGCAAAAUAAUAAUAAAAUAAUCAAAAUAUCUUGAAAAAAAUAAUAAAAAAAUAUUCAAAAUAUCUUUCAAUAAAAUAAUCAAUCGGACGUUUUUCUUUGGAAGUUUCCUUGAAUGAAUUGACUAAUAACCAAAGUAAAACUAAGGCUAAAAUCAACUCACAAAUCAAGCUUUGUCCGCAAAAAUCACUAAAAAUCGUUUUAAGGUCCAACACCUUAAACGGUCCUCUUUUCUUUUAUCGGCUAACAUGGACCGUUCAAAAGCAUAAAAUCAACAUGUAACUUUACCACUUUUUGCAAAAACUACAUAGGUCUGAUUUCCUCAUCGCAAUUAAGGAUACGUAGAAGCAAAAGCCUCGCUUUUGUUGACCACCCCAAGAGAUCGUUAAUGUUUCAACGCCUUAAUGUUUCUCUACUUUCAAAAACCAAGAGAUCGUUAAUGGUCCAACGCCUUAACGUUUCUCUCCUUUUAAAAUCAAAAGAUCAUUUAAUGGUCCAACGCCUUAAAUGACCUUUUGUUCGGUUAAAAUAUAUCUUGCGAAAAAAGAUAAAAACAACUUAACCAACGUUUAGUUCUCAAAGAACCAUGUAGGUCUGAUUUCCUCAUCACAAUUGAGGAUACGUAGGAGCGAGGGAAACACCUUUGUCGACCAUAAAAAGAUAAAAAAUACAAAAAAACACAAAAAGCAUAAAAACUCAAAAAGACAUAAAAAAGGGAAAAUAAAACAUUUUGAAGUCAUAUUUGCACACUUGAUUAAAGACUGCCGUCCUUUGUGACGGACGCAUGGGGUGCUAAUACCUUCCCCGUGCGUAAAAACAACUCUUGAACCUUUCACGAUUAAAGUUCGUAGACCACACCUUUCCGGUUUUUCCGAAAUUUUCCUCGAAUAAGCGUUGGUGGCAACUCCGCGCAUUUUCCACCCAUGGAAGAUGCACCCGUGAGCCCCGCGUCGCCUUCCCACCGAAGGGUAGGUUGCGACAACUAGUAAAGAUGAUAAGCUAUGGAUCGAAGAGUGUUUGGAUGACCUCAUUUAAGGUUCCAAACAAAACACUCACUAUCCUAAGGAAAAAUUUCCUAAAACACACAAAUGGAAGUAGGGUGAUCUAUUGGAGGCUCCCAACUAACUUCCAAUGAAAGGCCUUUUUGUUACAAAAUUUGAAAGCAAAGCAAAUUGUCAAUUGUUGCAACCUACCCUUCAGCAGGAGGGCAAGGCGAAAAGCCAAAGGUGUGUCAUCCAAAAAGAUGAAGGUUUGUGAAUUUUGAAAAUAAGGGUUUGGGAGUUGUUUAUGCACGGGGAAGGUAUUAGCACCCCACGCACCCGUCACAAGGGACGGCAACCUUUAAUUAAGUGUGUAAAACAAGACUUCAAAAUUAUGUAUUUUUCCUUUUUAUAUUCUUUAUGUAUUUUCCCUUUUUAUAUUUUUUAUUUUUUUUGGGUCGACAAGGGUGUUUCCUUGCUCCUACGUAUUCUCAGGUGCGAUGAGGAAUUUAGACCUAGAUAGUUCUUUAAGUCUGAAAGUUCGUGUGUUACAUUGAUUUUAUGUUUUUUGAAAGAUUGAUUCUAAUUGCGAACAAAAGUCGCUUAAGGCGUUGGACCUUGAAACGAUAUUUUAAACUUUGAAAAGCGGAAAGAAUCAUUUAAGGCGUUGGACCUUGAAACAAUCUUUUGAUUUUUGAAAAUAGGAGAUAAUCGUUAAGGCGUUGGACCUUGAAACGAUCUCAAGUGAUAUUUGAUAAAAAGAAAUUAGUUAUGAGUUGGUUUUAUCUUGGUUUUUGCUUAUUAACCUUCAACCUUUUUUAAAGAUAACUUGUAGCGCUAAUGAUCGGUUAAAACUCGCUUCACAAGAGAAAAACAAUUAUCGAUGAUAGGAGAAGGAGAUGAAGAUGCACAAAACAAUAAUGAGGACCCCUAAGGGUCCAUGAAUCAUGUUCAAAUCCUUAAAGACAAACACUAACCGGAUGAAGAACGAAGAACGAUGUAUAAGUCGAUUACGGUCGCAAUUUGGAAACGCCUUAGCCUCAUUUUUCUCUUCUUUCUUCUUCUUCUCUCUGAUUUCUCUCAAUUUCACUAAAUCCUUUCAAUAUAUGAAGGUUGAACCCCUUCCUUCAGCCCCCUCACACCUAUUUAUAGAAAAUGAGGGGACUUGGUUGAUCUGCAGCUCGCCUAGCCAAGCUGAUGCUUCAACCUGAAGUAACCUUGCUCGCCCAGGCGAGCUGGUUAAUUCACCCUUAAGUCAUUUGGGGGCCCAGGCGAGCCAGAGGCUACCCUGGGCGAGCCAGGGGACAGAAAAGGCUUCCAAAUGACCCUUUUGCCCUCCCUUUUGGGUAUUUUCGUAUUCUUUUCCGAAACAUUGAAAAACCUUUUGGAUUGCCCGGCAACUGGUGUCAAGCAGCUCAAUUCGGCUAGCAAUAAUCAAAAUGUUAACAAAUGAUAGUCCCCGAACAAAAUUAGGGUAUGACAAUUGCCCCUCUUUACUUAUCUUUUAUUAUAACUAAAGGGAAGUAAAGAUAAGAACACUAAUUUCGUUCGAGCGAUCUUGCUAUUCAACAUAAGAACACUAAUUUUUUGAUUAUUUUAUUAAAAGAUAUUUUUUUAUUAUUAUAUUAUUAUUUUGCCUCUUUUUGGUUUUAAACGUGGUUACGGCAUGACAGAACGGUCAGAUUUCAUUUCAAUAGAAAUUAAAAGAUGUUACAAUUCAAAUGAAUGGUGGAAAUUUAUUUUUAUUUUUGAUUAGGCGAGAAAACGACUUAAAUAAAUGACUAAAGCACAUCAAAAAGGGGGUACGGAAAGUAAAUGAAAUAAAAAUAAAAGCAUGCGAAACAAAUGGGGACCACUAAGGGUACAUAGAAUGAAUUGAAAAGUUCGAUUUUGGGAACUUACCGAUUGAAGACCGAAGAAUGAUGAAGAAUGAACGAAGAACGAUGAAGAACGGUGGAAAACCUUCGUGAAAUCGCCCAUGGAAACGUCUCGGAAGCGUUAUGGAAGUGCCUCGGCUUGGAUUUUCUUCACGGAAACAAUUUUUCUCACUAAUUUUAAGUGAUUCUCAGAUACCAGGAGGGUUAAACCUUUUUGUUCUGCUCUCCUUCCCCUAUUUAUAGGGGAAAAAAGGGAGGUGGUUGCCACCCAGCUCGCCCAGGCGAGCUAGGUUGCUUCCACCAGAAGGCGAAGGUCCAAGUGGGCCUGAUUGCUAUUUGUACCCCCUUGUUUACUAAAUACACACCCUGCCCCUUUUUUUGCUGAUUCAUUUUCCGUAACGUUACGGAACUUUACGAAUUACGUAAUGAUACUUUUUUUCUUUCCGUAAUGUCACAAAACCUUACGGAUUACGCAAUCAUCCCUUCUUUGGCUUUCGGAAUGUUACGGAACUUUAUGGAUUGCGCAUUAACACUUCCGGAUUAACGACAUGUCGCGGAACUUCACGGAUUUCCUAUCGAUGGGUGUCAAGUACCUCAAAGUGGUCAAGCGAGGGUCGCAUCCCAACAAACAGAUGGUCCCCAGAUGAAAUUAGGGUAUGACACUAUGAAAUAAGCCAAUAGGUACUAGUACCAAAGGACUUAACCUUACGAGAAAGCAACAGGUUGAAUCUUUGAGAGGGCCUCUCAUCCUAAACUUGAAAGAUUAUAUUUGGGAAAGUGGUAUAUAAAGAGAAAUUUAUGCACUCAUAGCCUAAUAUGAACAUUAUUUUUGGAUGCAGAUGCAUGCAACCUUCAUCUUGGAAUGCGAAAGGUUUUGAAUCAUGAAAAUUGUGUAAUGCUCAUGACAUUCUUUCCUAUUUUUGUGAUUUUGAUUUUGAUUUGAUUUUUUUCUUCUCUUUUUUUCUUUUGUGGAAAACAUAGAUCGACUGUCUCUUUCUGAAAGACGUGAUAUUUCAUGCAACCUCAAAAAAAAUCUCAUCGGGGACUCCUUCAGAGUUUAUGUUUUAUUUGAUCACUUGAAAAUCAGGGUGACAGCAAUGAAGCCGUUUGACAUUUAAUCAAUCAAUCAAAAUAUUGAUCCUAGGGUUUUCCCCUUUCCUUUUAAAAAACUUCGAUUAUUCUGCACAGCAAGAAAACGUAAUGCUUCAGGAUCGAUCGUGUGCCCCAUUAAAGGAUGGCAAUGAAUUGUCACACUUUGGUAUGUGACCAAGUUAAAAGCAAUGAAUUUACAUAUUUUUUUCAACAAUCACAAGUGUGUGCAGGUUUGAUGCAAUCCUCCCUAGGAAGGGGCCGGUCACUAGAGCCCUGAGCAAGAGGCUCCAAGAGGAUUGGGCUAGAGCUGCUGAAGAAGGCCCUAGGAUUCUCAUGAACCUUAGGGUAGAUUUAUGAGCCCAUGGGCCAAGGUUGGGUCCAAUUAUCUUUGUACAUAUUAGACUAGGAUGUCAUUAUAUUUGAUCCUUGUAUUUAGAGCUCCAUAAUGUAGGUAGGGUACCCUAGAAAUAUAGGAUUUUUCAGCCCUUGUACUUUAGGGAACCUAUACUAGUUUUUGUAUUAGGGGUAGUUUUGUAAUUUCACAUGCACUAAGUGAAUAUUUGAUGUGUGUGUUGGGAAAUAAAAUUUAAUUGAAUUGAUAGAAGCCUAAUCCAAUUAAAUUUUAGAGGGGGAGGUGAGCAUUUGCUUACUACACCCCAUUGCCACAUAAUAUAAUCACACUUUGUGCAUGUCCUUCAUGCUUUACAUGCCUCAUGACACCUAAGCACACUUAGUGGAGAAUCUUGGAAUUGAUCUUGGAUUAGUGGGCUAAACCAUAACUAAAAUUCACUAAUCAUAAUUAGUGAAAUUUUGGCUCCAAAGUUUGGCUCCACAAAUUCAAUUUCAAAUUCAAGUGAAAUUUGAAUUGAAAUUCAAAUUUUUCUCCAAUUUUGUGUGACACUUAGGCUAUAAAUAGAGGUCAUGUGUGUGCAUUUUUUUCAACUUUGAUCAUUUGAAAAUUAAACUUCAGAUUUCAGAGCUCUUUUAGAGCACAAAAUUUCGUGCUCUUCUCUUCCUCUCCCUUCAUUCAUCUCCUUCUUCCUCCAAGCUCUUAUCCAUGGCCUCCUAUGGUGGUGAGCUUCUUCUAGACUCAUCUUCUCCAUGAAGUGGCGUCUCCUCUCUCUCUUACUUCUCCCUUCCUCUGCCAUUCAUCUUCCAAGAAGCAAAGGAAUCCAUUGAUGAAGAAGAUCCUAGGCCUUCAAGCUCCAAUGGAGCUUACAUCAGGGUUUCAUUCCAGAAUCCCAACUUAAAAGAAAAAUCAAUCAUUCCUUGAUCCACAUGGGCUUGUAACAUGGUUAGGGGUAAAAGGGCUAUGAAAGAAAGGAUUAGAGAGGCUCAAAAAGUGUUUAAGGGUUACAUUGAGUAAGAACCUCGAGAGCGUUGCUUGUACUUUUAUUCAUUUCAACUCUUGGGUUGGGCUUUACUCCUUUUGUCUUAUACAUUAAUCCUUAUUGCACUUUUGUUCCUUUCUUGAAAAAUUUGAAGAUCUUUUGUCUCUCUCUUUCUUCACUCGCUUUUGGCGGAUUUUUUUUUUCUUUUCACUGUUGCCUAACUUCAUGCAUGUGUUCUUUGCAUUGCUUUUCCCGCCGGUUUAGUGGUGGUUCCCACUCAGGGUUUCUAUUUUGCUUUUGCUAUUUUUUUUUGUUGUUUUUAGAAAACAAAUAUGCUUUGGCUCGGCAGGGGUAGCAAAGGAUAAACUAGUGUUUAGGAUGUUGAAACAUGGUCAUGUGUCAUUUCAAAUCUUGACUUAGAUCCUUUUGUAGUUUGGAUUUUGGGACAAAACCUUGAUAACACGCCCCUGAUUGUUUUUUAUUUUAUAUCAACCCUAAUUUUUGCUUAGGCUGCCCUUUUGAGUUUUCAACCUACCGGGUGAGAACUUCUAAUCUGCCCCUAGGUUCGCUUGAGGCUCAUGCACGGUAACUCUCAUUGCCCUAGUGUAGUACCUAUUAUUGUCUUUUGUCAUGACCUUGUAGUAAGGAAAAAUGAAAGAAACUGUGCAGGUUCUCGAAAAUGAAUUUUCAAGGAUGAGAAAUAUUUAAAGGAUUUUCAAUUGACAGAUUAAGUUGAACGACUCUUGUUCUUGACAACUCACUUUUCUCUCAAAAAGAUAACUUUUAUGAAUGAUAAGGUGAGGUAACAUGAAUGUCUGUACUUUUGAUUUGAACACAGGCAACCAAACAUUUUUUUUUCUUUUUUACUUUACUUGUCAUUUAUGGCACCCCUACCAAACAUAUAGAAUGAGCAGUAUCUGAUUGAAUAGACUUGGAUAUCAACUCAGGAGCGCAAGUCACUUGAGCAAAGAAACCAACGGCUUACAAUCACAUUCUAGUGAAAGUUAAAUAAGCAAAGAUGUAAUUGUGAGAGAAUGAGAUAAGGACAUCAAAUUUAUCCAUAUUAUUAGCAUUGUGACUGUUGUUCACAGUAAUGGCAUAAACUUGAAAAUCCUAAUGAGUCAUUGGAGACAUCUAACAACAACCUUCAAAUUGCCCCAUUCAUAGUGUCUCUUGCCAACGUCAGAAUUCAUAAGUGAUUAUCCUCCACAAAUUUUAGCCAACCCACAUCAAUUAGACUUUGUACCUUAUGUUUCAAGGUCAUACAUACAAUGCUCAAUGGAAUGCCCCAGGACUCCUCCAUGAUAAGCACAUGUUGUGUUCGAGUUGUAUCCUCGAAAAAAUGGAGGUUGAGGAACCUUAACUGGGGUUAUGGCUACCAUUGCAUUAUUGAGUAGAUAUGGGAGUAAGUUAGCAUACGACACCAAAAUUAGGGUGAAUUCUAUAGGCUUUUUUGCUGGAAAAUUCCUUCCCUGGUUGGUGUUUUGGUUUGUGUUAAGGGUGGUGUUUGGUAUUGGAUGUGCAGCAGGCAGGCUUUGUGGCUGAUUUAGGGGUGGCCUUUAUGGAUGAUUGAGUGUUCUUGGUUGAUAGGGUGGUGGGUAAUGAGGAGGGUUGAUAUUGGGUGAGUAUUGACAUUGUUGAGCUGGUGGGAAAUUUGGCCAUGUAGGAACGACAUUCACAGCAUGGGUUCCUCCCUCCUUAUUCUCUCCAUUUGCCCCAGGCUUCUUAUUCAUCAUAGCAGGAUGAUCAAAUUUGCCUCUUUUCAGACUCACUUUGAUCCUUUCGCCAGCAAAAACCAAAUCGGCAAAUCUUGAAGGCGUGUAACCCACCAUCUUCUUAUAGUAGAACACCAGUAAUGUGUCUACUAUCAUUUUUAUCAUCUCCCUCUCCAUCAUUGGGGGUGCUACUUGAGCUACCAGAUCCCUCCACCUUUGGGCGUAUUCUUUGAAAGAUUCAUGCUCCUUCAUGCUCAUGUUCUAUAGUUGUAUUCUAUCUGGAGCCAUAUCAGAAUUAUACUGAUACUGCCUAAUGAAGGCAACCAUUAGGUCCUUCCAAGAAUGGACUCAGGAAGGUUCCAGAUUAGUAUACCAAGUGACAGCUGCCCUAGUAAGACUUUCCUGGAAGAAAUGCAUCAAUAAUUUUUCAUUUUUCGAGUAUGCCCUCAUUUUCUUGUUGUACAUCUUCAGGUGAUUUUUGGGGCAAGUAGUCCCCUUAUACUUAUAGAACACUAGGCACAAUUUUGCCAUGUCAGCAAAGGCAUAAUCUCCACCUCCUUCAAUAGCCCUCAGCCUUUCCUCUAUAUGAUUAAAUUUCUCCCUUUCCACCAUAGCAGGAGGCUCCUCCCACCGCAAAAUGCAAGGGUUGUGGUUGUGGGUGGAACUUAGGGCCCUCCAAAGUGUUUGGCAAGGGUACACCACCAAUUACUUCCCUCUCAAUGGCAUAUCUGAGGUGAGGUUCGAAGUCAGCUAGAUUGUGGUCUAGGGGUGCUUCAUAUGUCUACCCUAUGGGUUGAGAGACAUGUGCAUGAUCAGAUUGGGAUUGUUGGCUUUCAAUGGGUAUGGGUGCGGAGUUAUCAGCAUUCUCAUCGAGAGUGUGUGCAACAUUGGGUGGUGUAUAGUUGGGAGGCAAGCCAUAUGGUGGGAAGGAAUGUUUGUUUUGCGCAAAAUGGGGGCCGCCCGUACUUCCCAAUGCUUCUCCUCCUUGACCUACCAUAUUCGAGACUAGAGGAUUUACUUGAUUGAGGCCAGAUGGGUGAGUCGGGUCCCCCUCAGUGGCGGUACUUGCGGCAAUGACUGUAGCUGCAUUGACCUCCAUCACUUUUUUCAUACUCAUCAUGGCUUCCAUCAUUGUGGUCAUUUGCUCUUUCAUGGCCUCCAUGUCGGCCUUCAUUUGCUCUUGCAACUCCUCUACUUCACUCAUUACUCUAGCUCUAGCACGUGUUCGAUAAGGGCACCGUAAAGUGCAUUCUUUCCUUUUUAUAACAAUGAUUAUAGUUCUAAUUUCAAGGAAAGAAUGCAAUGAGCAAUGCAACCAAUGUGAAAAGCAUGAAUGUAUGUGAAUGAUGCAUUGUUGAAGUAUUGCGAAUUUUACACAGGACAUUCAGUAGAACAUAGGGUCGAAUCAAUUCAGAUUCUCAUUAAAAUAACAUUGUUCAUUUCAUCUUGUUAGAGUCAAAGCGCAACUGGAAAUAACACAUAGACAUCAACAGUCCCUAAUUUUUGUAAAUUAUUUAGCUCAACCAUGUCUUGGCAGUAGACGAAGAAACUAUGUAAGCUCGAUCCAUCUUCUGCCCCAACUUUUGCAAGCUAGUUACUUCCAUACUCGACCUUCACUUGAUGAAAACCUUUUCUUAAAAGCAUGUGCUUGGUUCGACCCCAUAAUCCAAGGAAUAGAAAUUUUGAUUGUCAAUACUUCGACAACAUAUCAUAGAGAUGAAUGGUUAGGGCAUACUUAUGCUAUGCAUGGAAAAUGUAAUUAUGAGAUUGACAUGAGAUGCUUGAAGAACCAUCAUUUCCUAGUUAACCAUGCAUUAGGUACCAUCAUGUUCACAUGAUUUUCAAUCAUUUUUUUUAGAGAAAUGAGUGUAUAAUCCCAACAUGGUUGGUUGAUAGCCAUCAUUAUGGUACCCAACACAUGUAACUAAGAAUGUGGUGUAAACUUUCAUGACUUCUUGUUGUUCUUUUUUUGUUUUGCAGAGGAAAAUGCAAGGAUCAUGCAUAACAUGCGAACAAUGAAAAUAAAAUGUAUGCAGUUUGUAGAACAAAAAGCAUGUGAAAUGAAGAUGCAUGAUAAUGCAAUGACUCAUACAAAAUGCAAUGCAUGAAUAUGAUAAAUGCAAGAAUGCUACGCCCGUUACGAUGCCAUGAAGAGAUGUAUGAUGCAAUCAAGGAACAUGCCAGUGUGAGUUUCCUAUGUGCCCCCUAAUUCAGGAACCUAAUGGAAAGGAUCCAAAAGUCCACUUCUAGUGAUAAUUCCCAAGGGUGGUUUCACGUAACUUUAUUGGCUUCUAUAGAUAUCAUCCUCUUAGGUAACAUAUUAUGGCGAUAGGGACUAUCAGUGACAAUGCAUCACCAAAAGAGGAAAACUCUAGAUGAGGCUUCAUUGUUAUCAAGCGAGUCGGAGACCCAGCAUGACCACAGAUCGACCUCCACUCCUUAUGGCUCACAUAGACCCGGGUAUAGGGCCUAAUAUCUCAAUGUGUGUGCGAGGUGUAGGUGUCAUGUAUGCGUAGAAAAAUUAUUUAUAACUAUGAAUGUAAUUGAUAGACAAACACACACCAAACACAACAACAUAGUAAAGGUUAUGUACAAAUAUGGAAAAAUCAAAAGAUAAAAGGGAAAAGGGAAAAUAAAUAAAGAAGAAGUCGUGAUAAAAACAUCGCACACUGACUGGACGGCCUAACUCUCUAACAGUUCCCAGCGGAGUCACCAACUAUUGCAACCUACCCUUCAGCGAGAGGGCAAGGCAAAAAGCCAAAGGUGCAUCUUCUUGUGAAGAAAACUCGUGGAGUCGCCACCAACGUUUAUUCGAGGAAAACGUUAGAAAAACCAAAAAGACGAAGGUUUGUAAAUUUUGAAAAUAAGGGUUCAGGAGUUGUUUACGCACGAGGAAGGUAUUAGUACCCCACUCACCCGUCACAAGGGACGACAGCCUUUAAUUGAGUGUGCAAAACAUUACUUCAAAAUUGUGUAUUUUCACUUUUUAUAUUUUUUAUGUAUUUUCCCUUUUUAUAUUUUUUUAUUUUUUUGGGGUCAACAAGGGUGUUGCCCUUUCUCCUACUUAUCCUCAGGUGCAAUUAGGAAUUCAGACCUACGUAGUUCUUUAAGUCUAAAAGUUUGUGUGUUACAUAGAUUUUAUGUUUUUUGAAAUAUUUAUUUUAAUUGCGAACAAAAGUUGCUUAAGGCGUUGGUCCUUGAAAUGAUGUUUUAAACUUUGAAAAGUGGAAAGAGUCAUUUAAGGUGUUGGACCUUGAAACGAUCUUUUGAUUUUUGAAAAGAGGAGAGAAUCGUUAAGGCGUUGGACCUUGAAACGAUCUCAAGUGAUAUUUGAUAAAAAGAAAUUAGUUAUGAGUUGGUUUUAUCUUGGUUUGUGCUUAUUAACCUUCAACCUUUUUUAAAGAUAACUUGCAGCACUAAUGAUCAGUUAAAACUUGCUUCACAAGAGAAAAACAAUUACCGAUGAUAGGAGAAGGAGAUGAAGAUGCACAAAACAAUAAAGAGGACCCCUAAGGGUCCAUGAAUCAUGUUCAAAUCCUUAAAGACAAUCACUAACUGGAUGAAGAAUGAAGAACGAUGUAGAAGUCGAUUACGGUUGCAAUUCGAAAGCGCCUCGGCCUCGUUUUUCUCUUAUUUCUUCUUCUUCUCUCUGAUUUCUCUCAAUUUCACUAAAUCCUUUCAAUAGAUGAAGGUUGAACCCCUUCCUUCAGCCCCCUCACGCCUAUUUAUAGGAAAUGAGGGGACUUGGUUGAUCUGCAGCUCGCCCAGGUGAGUUGUUGCUUCAACCUGAAGUAACCUUGCUCGCCCUAGGCGAGUCAGAGGCUACCCUGGAUGAGCCAAUGGUCAAAAAAAGCUUCCAAAUGACCCUUUUGCCCUCCUGUUUAGGUAUUUUCCAUAUUCUUUUUCGAAACGUCGAAAAACCUUUCGGAUUGCAUAACAACUGUUGUUAAGUAGCUCAAUUCGGCUAGCAAUAAUCAAAAUGUUAGCAAAUGAUAGUCCUCGGACGAAAUUAGGGUAUGACACCAAUUACAAAAUUACAAAAACAAAGUCUUCAAUUUUGGUGGCUAUUCUCUCUUUGGUAUUUCACUCAAUUUGGAGUGCUUCUUAGUCCAAUAACUCUUAAGGUGGUUGGUCCCUUGCUUCUUGACUCAAAUUCUCCAAUUGAUGGCACCAAUCCUCCUUUCCAAUUCCCAAUAUGGCAACUCACAAAUAAGGAAACAAAGAGACAAGCAAUAACCAAAGACCAAAAAUGAAAUGAAAGCUAAAAAAAUAGACUUUUAACAAGACAAAUUUUCAAGGAUUAUUCAACAAUUAAAGCAAUGAAAAGCACAUAAAAGCAAGCUAGGACUCAAAGAGAAACCUAGAAUGGCUCUAGAGUAGAGUAAAAAAACUAUAUAAAAGAAAUACUCAAGAAACCUCUAGUUUUGGAACUUGUUUUCACACUACUUUUCAAUUAAAAUUUCAGAACUAAGAUUAGUAUAAAAUAGGCACCAAUUAUAGAACAAAUUUUGAGCCAAAACAACAAGCACACUUCUUUUUCACUUGUUUCUUUAUUUUUCUUGGACACUAAUUUUCCUGCCAAAUUGUAUGAUUUUUAUUAGUUUUUCAUUUCAUCCAAAUCACUUGGUUCUUUUUUCUAAUUUUUCUUCAGAUGACUAGAAAAUUCAGUAAAAAUUUAAGCUCAAAAUUCGCAGUUUUCAUUAACUUUUAUAAGUUUUUAUGUUCAAGCUGCCAAAACCAACAAUUUCAGCCUUCGAAUUUUUUUAAGCAUGGUAUAUUGAUUGCCUUAGCUUACUUUCAACUUUCCUAUGUAUGUUAAACUUAUUAGGCUUGUUUAUCAUAGUUUUAGGAUUUCAGCGUUCACUUAGGAUAAAAAUUUCAGCCGGCAAUUCAAUCACCAAAACUCAAUUUCACAAUCGUAAGGAAACCUAAAAGUUCAAGAAAAGGUUCACAAUCAAAGACUCUCUAAGAAUUUUGCAUGAACAUGUUAAGGACUAAUUAACAUGCAAGAUUUGACUCAAGUCCAACAAUAGGCUAAAAAACUUUCAUACACUCAUGAACAAAUGAGUUAGACAAAGAAACAAGAAAAAUAAAAUUCAGCACAACAUAAGGAAUCUUAUGUGACAAGUUUCAUGACUAGACAUGACUUCUAUGACAAAACUAUAAUAGGUGAACAUGUCACUCUAGAUUUUUAAGGUUUUCUUCUACUUUAAUGUUUUUGUAAGAAUUUUACGGUUUAAGUUUCAACCACAAAAAAUAGCAAGACAAAACUCAAAGGAACCUAAACUCAACACAAUUCAUGGUUCAAGAACAAGAACAAGAAAUUUGAACCAUAGGAAAUCAAAUCUAGCUUCUAUAGCAAGUUUAAUCGAUGGAAAUUCUAAAGAAUCAUGUUAACAACAUUCAACACAAGACAUGUGAGGAAAUACAUGUAGAAAAAUGAAGAAUCAACAAUGGAGGUUUAAGGAGCACCUACUUGAAGCUCUUGUGCUCUAAUUACCACUUGAUGGAAGCUUGCUUAAGAAGCUUCUAUGGAGGCUGGAUCUUUGAGCUUCAACGAGGUCCUACAAUGGAGAUUUUCAACCAUGGAGAUGCAGCGGAAGAUAAAGGAAAAGAGGUGAUAGGAGGCACCAUCCACUAGGAAAUAAGCUUUGGAAGGAGGAGUUUCACCACCAAGAGAGUGCCUUGGAUAAGAGGCUUAGAGAUUAAGCUUCAAUGGAGGAAAAGAAUGAGAGAGAGAGGGGUGACAUGAAAUUGAAGGAGAAAAAGAGGAAGAGAAGUUUAACUUUGAAGUGUGUCUCACAAGUUUCACAUUCAUCAAAGUUGUGACAAGUGUUACACAUGUUUCUAUUUAUAGCCUAGGUCACUAACUAAAUGAAAUUUACUUUGUGAAUUUCAUUUUCAUUUCAUGUGAAUCUAAGAGGAAUAUUCCAAGGAUAUGUCAAAGGCAGCUUAGAAUAUUCCAAGAAUAUGCCAAAGGCAUCUUAGAAUAUUCCAAGAAUAUGCCAAAGGAAUAUUCUAAGGAUAUGCCAAAGGAAUAUUCUAAGAAUAUGCCAAAGGGGGGAAAACUACAUACACCCCUCCAAUAGCUAAGCUCACACUUAUGCCAAAAUACACGAAAAUACAAAAAAAGUCCCUAGUACAAUGACUACUCAAAAUGUCCUGAAAUACAAAGCUAAAACCCUAUACUACUAAGGUACCCUUAACUUGUAGGGUUGAGAGCCCUUAAUUUGUAGGGUAUCCUACAAACCUAAAAGAAGAAAAACCUAUUCUAAUAUUUAUAGAGAAAAGUGGACCUAACCUUGGCCCAUGGUCUCAGAAAUAUACCCUGAGGUUCAUGAGAACCCUAGGGUCUUCUUUAGCAACUCUAGCUCAAUCCUCUUGGAGCCUCUUGCUCAUGGCUCUGGUGACUGGUCCCUUCCUAGGGGGGAUUUCAUCAAGAAGGGCAAUGUGUCUACCAAGAGGUCCUCACCUUUUCUCACUAACUAAUUAAAAGUGGGAGGAGGUUAAAGGUUAGGGAUAAGAGAAGCCACAAAAAAGAAGGAAAAGGAUAAGGUCAUUUCCUCUCCUACUACUGAAGGUUUUGUUUCAGAGAUGGAGGUUUCUAAAUAGAAUGAAAAUUUUGGUGUUGAAUAGAAGGUCCAUUCUGACAAAGUUUAGAUUUCUAAAAAGAGAAGCCUUCUAAAGACUAUUCUGAAGGACCUCAAAAUGAGGAAGAAACCCCUCUAAUUGAAGCAAAGGUAUAAGAAAAUGAAGAUUCUAAAGAACCUUUUGACUAUGGCUCUUUCCAUGAAGCCUCAAAACACCUUUCUAAGGAAGAGAAGAAGGAUAAGGAAGACAAUUUUAAGCCUUAGAAUGAGCAUAUAGCAACCGAUGAAGGUUAUUAGUCUGCUUAGAAUGAGAAAGUUGGAGAUCAUAAUCAAGACAUUCAUCCUUCUGAGGGUGCGAAGGCUGUUAAAGCUCAGAACAAUGCGAGUUUUGAGCCAGUUCAAGAGGAUCUCAAUGUAUAGACCAUUCUUGAUGUUUUGGCCAAGCUGAGGACUACUGAUUUUAGCUUGGAGAAGGAAGAAAUGGAGAAAAUGUUGGAUCAAGUGGCCUCGGAAUAAUUAAGAAAGGGGGGGUUGAAUUAAUUAUGAACGUGUCUUGACUAAUUAAAAAUUUAUCCUUCUUAAUGUUACUAGAUUAAAUUAGGCUUUUACUACUAAGUUAAGAAAGUAAAGAACAGAAAUGGAAACUUAACCAAAAGUAAAAGCGAUAAUUAGAAGUACAUAGCGGAAAUUAAAGAGUGUAGGGAAGAAGAAGACAAACACAAGAUUUAUAUUGGUUCGGCCAUAAACCGUGCCUACAUCCAGUCCCCAAGCAACCUGCGGCUCUUGAAAUUUCUUUUCAACCUUGUAAAAUCCUUUACAAGCCAAAGAUCCUUUCAACCUUGUAAAAUCCUUUACAAGCCAAAGAUCCACAAGGGAUGUACCCUCCCUUGUUCUCUUUGAAUAACCAAGUGGAUGUAUCCUCCACUUGAAUUGAUCCACAAGAGAUGCAUCCUCUCUUGUUCUCAGUAUAACAAUCCCCAAGUAGAUGUACCCUCUACUUGUACCACAAAGGAUGUACCCUCCAAUGUGUUGGGACAAAGAAUUCUCAGGCGGUUAGUCCUUUGAGUCUUUGUAAGGGGAAACAAAAGAUAUCUCAGGCGGUUAGUCCUUUGAAAUCUUUUGCUUAAGGGGAAGGGAAGAAUCAAAAGAAUUCUCAGUCGGUUAGUCCUUUGAAUCUUUUGUAAGGGAGAAGAGAGACACAAAAGAAUUCAGGUGGUUAGUCCUUCUAUUCUUUUGGCAAAGGGAGAAGAGAAUGAAAAAGAUGAAUAGCACAAGUUUUUUAUCAAAGAACUUUUCUUGAAAGAGAAAGUAUUGAACAAAAACUUUUAGAAAGAUGAAGAGAAAUGAAUCAGAAAAUUCUGUAGAAAGAGUUGAAAGAUAUUUGAAAGAUUGAUUGAAAGAUUUUGAAGGAUGUUGUUCUUGAAAUUCAUGCCAUGGUCACAUAUUUAUAAUCUCUUGAUGACUCAAGUUAAAGUUUGUGACUCUUGGCAAUUUCUUUAAAACUAGUCACCUUUUAAACAUUGUGACUCCUUUGAAAACUAGUCACUUAAAAAGUUGUAAAUUUUGUAAAAAUCUUCAGAAAUAAGUCACUUGAAGAAUUGUGACUUUUGGAAAUUUAUUUUUCGAAAUCAGUCACUGGUAAUCGAUUACCAUCAAGGUGUAAUCGAUUACACGUCAACAGAUGUGACUCUUCAUGUUUAAAUUUGAAAAUCAAAACGUUUAGAAACACUGGUAAUCGAUUACAAGUAUUGUGUAAUCGAUUACCCAAGUUUAAAAUGAUUUGAAAAUGUUUAAACACAAGUUGUGACUCUUGAAAUUUGAAAUCUAGCAUUUUAAAACACUGGUAAUUGAUUACAUGCUCAUGGUAAUCGAUUACAGCUUUGUAAAUCAGUUUUGAAAACAAUGCUGGCUACUGGUAAUUGAUUACUACCUUCUGGUAAUCGCUUACCAGAGAGUAAAACUCUUUGGUAAUGAUUUUGUGAAAACUUGUUGUGCUACUCAAUGUUUUGAAAAACUUUUUUAGUACUUAUCUUGAUUAAGUCUUCUCUUGAUUCUUGAAACUUGAUUCUUGAAUCUUGAAUCAUGAUUCUUGAAACUUGAUUCUUGAAUCUUUGGAUUUUGCUUAACUCUUGAUUCUUUGGCAUCAUCAAAAUAACCUUGGAAGGCAUUGCUUCCACAGAAAGAAGAAGAAGAGGAGGAGGAAGAGCCUUUUGAGAAGGUAGAAAAGGUUGAAGUUGUUGUAGAAACUGCUCAUAAUGUACUAGAGGUUACGGGUGGUGGGAGAACCCUUGUUGGGUAUGUAAAGGAUUCCUUGUUCAACACCAAAAAUAUGCAGAAUCUCUUUAACUCUCCCAUCUUUGACACUUCAGUCAAAAUUGCAUGUGGCAUUGAUCCCUUACAUGGUGAACCCUCAACCUUGUCCAUUUCAUUCCCUCAUGAGUUAGCUACUACAAAACCUUCUAUGGUUCAGGAGGAGGUUCAUUUUAUUCAUAUUUCCUCUCCUCAACCUGUUGUUGAACCUUCUACAAGGUCAGUAGAAAGUAGGCUAAACUCCAUGGAGAAGCAAGUCAGAAAAUUUUGUUUUGACUAGAAGCUAUUGUUCUCCAACAUUGAUCAACUUUAGAGAACUGAUGCAAUCCUACCUCCCAAGGGCAUUGGAUAGAAGACUCCAAGAAGAUUGGGCCAAAGAUGCAGGAGAAGGCCCUAGGGUUAUCAUGAGCCUUAGGGUAGAUUUUGGACCCAUGGGCUAAGUAUGAGCCACUUAUCUUUGUAAAUACUAGAAUAGGUUUUCCUUCUUUUGGGCCUCGUAUUUUGGCCAUUUUAGAUUUGUAGGGUACCCUACAAAUUAAGGUUACAAGUUACGGGUACCCUAGUAGUAUAGGGUUUUAGCCUUGUUCUUUAGGGCAUUUUGAGUAGUCUUGAUAGUAAGGACUUUAUUGUAUUUUAAUGUAUUUUGGGCAUGGGGUGAGCUUAGCUAUUGGAGGGGUGUGAGUAGCCCCCCGCUAGCUUCUCAAUGAAGCUUUGUUCCUUUGUUUCCCAAGGAAGCUUCCCAUUGUAUUUUCAUGUAUUUUGGCAUGGGGGUGAGCUUAGCUAUUAGGAGGGGUGUGAGUAGUCCCCCUCUAGCUUCUCAAGGAAGCUUUCUUCCUCUAGCUUCCCAAGGAAGCUACCUUCCUUGCUUCUCAAGGAAGCUUCCCAUGUGCUAGGCUAUAAAUAGAAGCAUGCGUAACACUUGUCAUAACUUUGAUGAAUGAGAAACUUGUGAGCCUCACUUCAAAAUUCAACUUCUCUGCCUCUUCUCCUUCAAUUUCCAUGCCCCCCCUCCUAUCUCUCUCUCUCUCAUUCUCUUCCUCCAUUGAAGCUUCCUCUCUAAGCUUCUUAUCCAAGGCACUCUCUUGGUGGUGAAGCUUCUCCUUCCAUGGCUUAUUCUCUAGUGGAUGGCGCCUCCUCUGACCUCUUCUCCUUUAUCUUUCGCUGUAACUCCAUGGCUGAAAAUCACCAUUGAAGGACCUUAUUGAAGCUCAAAGAUCCAACCUCCAUAGAAGCUUCUCAAGCAAGCUUCAAUCAAGAACCAUGAAUGAAUUAUUUUAGAGACUCCUCCACCUUGAGGAGUGGAUUUGUGACAAGGCUAGACCUGCCUUGAUUCCUGAAGUUGCCCCUAUGCAGCAUAAGCCUCCACAAACACCAUGUGCCUUCAUUUUCUUCAUCUUCAAAAAACUCCUAUCCUAACAAGCAUGAAUGAUAGCCACCAUUUUUUCCUCCCUUCUAUUUUUUGCUUGAUGACAAAGGGGAAGAAGUUUAAAAGGGAUUGGUGUAGGGAGUAGAUAAGUUUUUGUAGGAUCAUCAUGGGCUUUAUUUUAUAUAUUUUGCUGAUUGUUUUCUCACUUUUUGAAUGAUCCUAUAUUGAUUAAUGAAAACUGAUCUUAGUUAAAUGAUUAUACCUUUUUGUGUUCUCUAUUUUUGUCUUAGAUUAUGUUGUGUGUUGUUAAAACUGUUAAUUAUGUUCAUAAUGCAUGAAAUGAAGGGGAGUUUUCCACUAAUUAAUAAGAAAAAGAACUGAUGAAUCAUACUCCUAGGGGGAGUUAAAAAUAAAAGGUUAAUAAAUAUACUAUCAUCCUUUACAUUUUCUCCUAAGGGUUUGUCAUCAUCAAAAAAGGGAGAUUGUUGAAUCCACAUCCCUGGUUUUAAUUAUGACAAAUCGUUAGCAAUGUAACUUGUAAGGAUGAUGAAUUUUAUGUGAUGACUAACAUUUUGCUCAAGUGUCUCAGUGUGAAAACACAAUUCAAUCCCUCCUUCUUGUGAUAAAACAUAAACAAAAUGUAUAUUAAAUUUCUUAUAUUUUUAUAUGAAUUUUCUAUUUAAUUUUGUGAUUUAUUCUUGAAAAUAUUUAUUACUAAAAUAUAUUUAAUUUAAUUAUUUGAUUUCAAAAUAUAAUAGUAAAAAUAUAAAAGAAAAUUUAAUUUAAAUUUUGUUUAUUGAAAACACAAUAUAAAGUGUUACUAUAAAGUUUUUUCAUGUAACCGAAACAUAAAAAGCAAGCAUAAUAAAAUUUAGUAUGGUGAAUUAAUUAAAUGAUAGUUUUUUUUAUUCAUUUUUUUACUCAUUAUUGUUCUAAAAAUAUAUAUAAGUCGUUAAACAUGAAUACAUUGUAAUUCUUAUUAUUUCUUCCACUUUAUCUAGUUGAUCACUCUACAAGUUAAAUGAUAUGCAAAAGGAUAAAAUAGAAUUUUAGUUUCUUAUCUAUAUUUUUGGUUUAUUUGGGCCCUUAAGUUUAAACGGUUUUAGUUUGGUCCAUUUAAGUGUUUCUCUUAGGGAUGACAAAAUGGACCCGAAAGCUACGAGUAUCCUUAAAAGUACCCACAAGCAGGGAGAAUAAUUACCUACUUAUUAGGACUAGGGAUGGGAGUAGGUAUUUACCGAUAUUUUUUUGUAGGAAUAGGUUUAGGUUUGGGUACGAGUACUAUAGUAUCCACUCCAUCCCACCUCGUACAUAUAUAUCAUAUAUAUUAAAUAUUAAUAUAUUAAAAUAUGUUACUUAAGUAAAUAGUUUAUAUUAUAUAUUUUUUCUAUAAAAAAAUAUAUUUUUGUUCCUAAUUUUAUGACUAACAAUAACGGUCUAACAUAGAAAAGUGAAUUUUAAUUCAACAUACCUUAUAUAUUAAAUUUGUUUUAUAUUUUAUUUAAGAACAUUGAACUAUUAUUUAUUUUUAUGUAUAAGUUUAUGAAUUUGUUGACAAGUUCUUUUAAGAUUGACUUCAAAUUGUGAAUGAUAUUGUGUUGUUUGGUGCUUCAAUUAGUAGUGUAGAUUUGCAUUUAUUUAAUGACUUAUUUUUGUAAUGUUGGAUGAUUAUAUUUGUAAUAUUUAUUAAUGACUUAAUUUUUGGCAAAUCAAUGUUAUCUUUGCUUGUUUUAUUAGUACCUUCAGUCUUAUAUAUAAGAAAUAGCACACAAUGUUUUCUUGAUGUUAAUUAUAAGAAACAUAAGACUACUUUAUUGACAAAUUUUAUUUUUAUCCCUAAUUAAUUACGAGGUCUAUCAAUGAUAUGCACUAACAUCUCCAUGAAUAUGAGUGCAUUUAUUGAGAUAUCAACAAAACAAUGUAUACUCAUUGGUUAAAAAAAUUAUCUUUGAACAAUAAUCACCUCUUAAACCAUUUAAUGUCAUAGUCUUAAAAUAAAAUAAAAUUUUAUGAUAAAUUAAGUAAUCUAACCACUUAUAUUAGUCUUGAUGAAUUAGGUAAUUGUUUCUUUAUAUAUAUAGGAUCUAGGUUAGUAUUAUGUAUGGAUGCAUUUAAUGUUAUGUUUGGAUUACUUAGGAGUAAAUUUUCCAUUUACUUGUAAUUUUUCUAUUUAAUAUAUAUUUUAUUGAUUUAUUAAAUUUAUAUAUAAGUAAAUAUGGGUUGUGGGUGUGGGUGUGAGUAUAUAGAUACCCAAUUGUAUUAUGGGACCUUAUCCAGACCCUCUGGCAAUUGUCAUCCCUAGUUUCUCUUAAACCAAAUUGGUUCUUCGGUUAAUUUAUCACAUUAACUUGGUCAACUUGAUAACACAUGAUAAAUCUUGAGAGAUGCUAUAUCAGCCAACAAAAUAUGUUUUUAAAAUCAGAAGCUAAUGAAAGGAUCAAUUGGAUCUAACAAAGACAAAAUGUGGGAUGAAAGUGAAACUAUUUAAACUUGAGAAAUCAAAUUGAAACAAAAAAAAUAAAAAUAAAAGACCAAAACUCUAUAGCCUAUAUAAAAUUAUAUUUUAUAUUUUAUUCUUUUUUAUAUUUUUUUAUUUUUCUCUUUACUUCAAAUAAAUUAUUGGCGUUUUCAAACAAAAAAAAACAUUUGUGAAGAGGAGAUUUGGAAAAAAUAAGUGAAAAUCGAGAUAGUAAGUGCACUUAGAGGUUGUUGGACCAUGGAAAGCUAAAAUAAAUUUAUGUUGUUGUAAUGUCAUAUUUAUUAUUAUUAUUCUUUUGAAGUUUUAAAUUAUUUUUUGAAAUAAUAAAAAUUAUUAUUCUCUAUGCAUAAUUUGUCUUGUGCAUCUCACAGGUAGAUGCAGUAGUAUCUAUCUUUAUACUUGGAUACAAUGGUCUCUAUUUUCCCUCGCAAAGUUAUUAAGAUUAGAAGGCCUUUUAAUUGAAGUAAUUUUUUUAUUUCUUCACCGUCAAGUGUAAAACGGUUAUAAAGGAAAAGUUUUUCUUGGAAUUAAUGAUAAUCAUAGAUUUUGAUUAAAAUCAAAUUUAACUAAAAUAAGUUUAACUUUGUAUGAUAUUUACUAAAUAAAUCUUUAAAAACACAUGAAAUUAUUUAACAAUGAACCAUUUAUGAUCUUACUUUCAAGAACAAUUAUACAGGACUAUUUUCUUAAGAAAAAAAUCGAGAAGGUAGAAAUGAAGAAAAACAAACAAAAAAACAACACCAAAUGCGCGCGUAAGAAACCAACUUAAAUUGCAUUACUAUUAACACAAUAUAUAGAUAGAAGUUCUUAUCCACUCCAAUAACAUGCCCCUUAAGAGAAAAAUACAAUAAAAUAAAAUAUAGAUGGAUUACAUUGCAUUUGGUCAUUGUGCCUCCUUGAGUCAUGUAGAGAUAAAGGAAAAGAGGAGAACACUGCUAAAAAAACUUGUUUUGUUAUGAAGCAUAUUCUAAGAUAAUUAUACGAAAAUCAUCUUAAAAUAUAUAAUGUGAUGACAUUUUUGUAAUUAAAAUUAUUAUAUUUUUAUUUUUAUGAUGCAUGUAAGACGGUUAUGAAAAAAAAAAAAGAAUGUCACACGGUAACAUUUUUAUAAUUAUUGAAAACUUAAACCACGAAAAAAAACCGCCUUUGUAUUGGUUUCUUUACUACUAACUCUACCUUGUUCUCAUUCAUUUGAUUUUCGAUCGUGGUUUCAAUCUCAUGCAUGAGGCUCCCGCGCCGCACCCCACUCCUUCCCUCCAAACCCAUGUAUGAUGCCGCACCAUGUAUGACACCGCACCCCACUCCUCCCCUCCUAACCCUCCCCGCCACGCUCCCUCGCGCGUGAGGCUCCCGCACCGCAGCAACAACUCUCCGCAAUACUGGACUCGAGAAGGAGCCAUUCAUUCAUUCCAAGGGAUGACCCUAGACGCUUCCGCUCUUUCUUUGGCGGCAGCGUCGUUUUCUCUCCGCUUUACCCAUUCAUUCAUUCACAUUCUUUGUAAGUCCUCUUUACUCCUUCUAUCAUCAUUGGUAAGUACCCUUUGCUUUUGAUUGCGAUCCUUUGUGCUCGUGAGAGUUAUUUUUUUUUCUCAUUUGGAUAUUUUGUCGAGCACCUGGUGCAUGUAAAAUCAAAAGGUGUGAUACGAUGCGAUGCACAGUAGUAGUUUAAUAAUGUAGUGUCUCUUAGAGAACUAGUGGAGUGUGUUGAGAAGCUGGUUAAUCUUCUUUUUCUUCUCUAGUUUGACUUGCGCGUGAAAAUAACGCAUCUUUUCAGCUCAAAUUCACAACUCCCCAGUUUUCUAUCUCAAGUUCCUCUGAAACUAUACUAACCGUGUUUGCUAAUGUGAACAUCAAAGAUUGCUUUUUCAAAUUGAUUACGUUAAUUGGCCACAAUUUUUGCAAAUAUGGAUAGGAUUGUUUGUUGGGGUACUCUUGCAUGCAAGCUAAUAUUAUUUUCUGAGAUUUAAAUGGGAAAUUACAAAGUAACAAACUGUUUGAUCGAAGAGUGUAAACUUAUUAGUCAGGAAGUCUAUUUUUCAAUUCAAUAUAAAAAAUCACCAAAACAACAGACUAGGCUUCAUGAAGUUAUUUUCUGGGUAUAAGAUAGUAAUAUGAUAUUUGAUAUGCAUUAGAUGCAUGAUCAAUAUCUGAAGACCACUUUUCACAAACUGAUUUUCAUAGAGCAUUAUUAUUUUCAAAUUUAUUAUUCCCUUUAGCCACUUUUUUAUUUUUUUUGCCUAUUCAAUAUGUGCUUACCUUUCUGUUUUUUUUUUAAAAAAAAUGAUAUAAGCUUCUAUUUUUGCUGAGGAAAGCAAGUUUUCCCAAUUUGCAUUUAUAUAUGGAAGUUUUAAAUUUCUACGAAAACUCUUGGUUAAAGCUUGUCAUUGGAAUGGGUAGCUUUUGCAAUAAGCAUCAUAAAAUAAUUUUUUGAAUUAUUUUGCAAAGGGUUUUUGGUAUUUUUAAAACCCAACCUUAUGCUGGGUUUUAAAUUUGUUAUUUGCAUCUAUUGAAAAUAACAAUUAGUUCUUGACAUGCACUAUGAAGAUUGUUUCAUCAAGCUAACUAUCAAUUCUUCGAACGUUUUUAUGUUCCUGCAAUGCUCAUGUUUUCCAGCAGCUGAAGUUUGAAACAGUAGCAUUUGGGAGAUUUUAUGAAUUUCACCGAAUUCUGUUAUUCUCAAGUUUUUUGUAUAAUUGCAGGCAGGGAAAGCUGACAAAUAUUAACAUCCUUUUGAUUAUAUUGUUAGAAUUCUAUUAGGGAACAGAAUGGCAUAAUGACUACAAUAAUGCAUUGUCCCUCCUGUUGCUAUUUUUCAUUUUCUAAAGCCCUCCCCUCACCCUCCACAGCCCCACCUCCCUCUUUCAUUUGGCAGAACUAAUUAGGAUGCUUUUUUGGCAGAACUAAUUUACAGCAUAUUUGGAUUUAUCUUAUAAGCUUUUGAAAAUAUCAUAUGAAAAUAUUUUAUAACUUGUACAAAAAUAAUUUAAUCAUAUUUUUAUUUUGAUUCUAUAAAUAACUUAUACAUAAAUACCUAUACGAUAAAUACUUGUUUAAUAAAUGCUUAGUUAAGAUAUUUACCCCAAAAUGCACCUUGGAGUACUAGGUGCAGUUGUUAACUCUAUGUACUAGGGGAAUUUUGGAUCGCUGGGAACCUCGCCUGAGUUAUCUCUGAGUAUUAGUUUUUUUUAGUACUGUACCUUUUUUCUUCUCUCGCUCUCCAUCUACCUAACAAAAAGAAAUGAAUCAUUAUUUAUAUUUUUUUCUCUUAAUAUUUAUUUUUCUCUUCUGGAAGUAUAUCCUUAAUGAUCAAACAUAAAAAUAACAAUUUAGUAUUCAAUAACAACUGUACAUGAUUUUGACUUCUUUAUAUUUUCCAAUUGAUUGAUAUGUAUCAGGUAGUGGUAGGAAGUUUUCUGGCAGGAAACCAGCAUGAGCAGAAGCCAAGAAAACAGAAGUUGAAUAGGUAAGUGUUAGAACAGUCAAAUCCUUUCAAUAAUGCUUUUGAAUACAGCACAGAUACAAUUCAUACUAUUAAUUUUCUUAUAUGGAAAAAUUAUUGGGUACUUAUGGGAUCCUUGGUAUCUAUGGUUUCCAUAAAUUUCAAUUUUAUACGUAUUUAAAUAUUUUAAUUUUAAUUUAUAAUAAAAAGUUAAUAAUAUUCAAUUAUGUGUUAUGUGUAGAUUAAUGAAAAUCAUGAUAGCUUGAGACUAUCUAAUAAUUUUUCCCUUUAUUGCCUUAUGUCCUAGUCUUAGAUUCUUGAUGUCUCUGCCUUGGCAUUUGCCUGAGUAAAGGCUUAAAAAUGAUUUAUCAAUGAACCAUUAUUUAUUUAUUAAGUCUUACUUAUAAAGUGAUAUUUAUUUACAAAUAUUUUAUUAAUGAAAGAUCACACCUCGUAUCUAAGACCUUUCACGGGUGCUUUAUCAUCAAUGUAGUUCAUUACCACUGCCUGCAAACCUGAAUUCAAACUUGGAGAAAUCCAGAUAUUAAUUAUGCAUAAUUGGUUUCUGAUUGAUGUUGAAAUAUUUAGGCAAGGAAAGCCCUUCGAGCGUUGAAAGGAUUGGUGAAACUCAAGCACUCUUACGUGUACAGGCCCAAAUCCAUGCUGGUCGGGCCCAAAUUUUGCACUCCCCCUCUUCCAUUGCCCACCUCCAUGUAAGCAUUCUCAAUUGUCUCUUACAUUUAGUUUUUCCUCUCUUUUUCUUUCUUCUUUUUUUUAUUAAAAUUAAAAUACAGUUAAGUGAUCCAAGAAGAAUGUCAACUUUUGUCUUGUUCUAGUUUAGUUGCCUUUAAGAGUGUGUUUGGGUUGUCAACCCAACAUACGUUUUCAAAAGCAAGGAAAGGCAUACUUUUGGAUCCAACUUACGUUCAGGGCCUUGGCACCGAUUUUCCAAACAUAUACUAAAUGAGUUACAUAAUCAAUUAUAUGACAUGGCUGAGCAUAUUUUAAAUUUGAUCAAUGGUGCCUAAUUCAUUCACAGGGUCCAGCAACACCGGACAAAUUUGAAAUCCCCAUCAGAUCCGAGAGCAUGAAAAAUGAUCAGUACUCGUCACCACUACUCAAGGUAUUUUACCUUCAUUUUGUACAUGAUUAAAUUUAGUGAGUGAAUUUAAGUAUGGAAACAUUCCUAUGAUUGUAGAGAAACAGCUCUAAAUCCCGUGUACAGAUUAAUGGCAGCAAUCGAGAGAGAUGUAGUAUGGAUGAAGAGAGAAGUGUGAGGAUCAUGGACUCUGGUGUGAGGAAACCAGCAGGUAGUGGUAUGAAGAUCAUUGACUCUGGUUGCUCCCAUGGAGAUUCCUUCCAUUAUAAAGCAACCAUAGAAUUCGGAAUACUCAGGUAUGAUCCUAAUUAAGUUUUAGUAGUAGCUGAAAAUUGAAAAAUAGUUUAUAAUUAAAAAUGUUAGGAACAUAUUUUUUUUACAUAUUCUUUUUAUUGGUUGAAAUUAAUUAUUAAAUGUUAUAAAAUGUUUAUAAAAAAGUUGGAUGAAUAAGAUAACAACUCAUUUUUAUAAUACCUAUAAGUGCUUAUAUUAUAUAUAAGAUAUAAGUUUCAAAUACUGGGACUUUUAAUGUUUAUUUAUUUAACAUAAAAAAUACUUAUACUGCAAUAUAAUAUAAAUUUAUUAUUGAGAGUAAUUUGAACCUAAUUGGUUACAGGCCUAUAUGUCGAUCAAUUAAACAGGCCCGAGCCAGUUCUUAUAACCCUUGGUAAAAGACUUAAAGAACAUUGAUGUGAUUUUUGAGGUACUUGUUCGGAACAACCUCAACUUAUCCUCAGGAUCGCUCUAGAAACUUAGUGCAUAUAAUAAUUUUAGUCUGACCGUGUUAACUUUACUACGUAUGUUUAAUUUAAAGAAUUCAGUAUAUUAUAAUUCUUCGUAUAACAUCAAUAAAUUCACGUGAAAAAAGAAGUUCUCAUUCCCAUUUUAGCUAACAUCAUGAAUUCUCUAAACACAUGUAAAAUCUUAAUGAAACAUAUUUAAAAUUCUUUUCUUCAUUGAUUAUAUAUAUGACUGGUGUGGAAUAUUUUAUUCUAGCUUCAAUUUUUUUUUUUGUUUAAAUUCAAGUAUUAAUUCUUACAAUCAAUUUCUCUGUCAAUUUUUUUUAUUGUUACUUACAUAUGUUUCUUUUAGCAAUUAGAGAGUUAUUAAGACCUGCCAAGAAAACGUGUUUGCCAAAAUUAUGAUUUGCUAGCUGGCUUGAGCCUUCAAGAAUUUCUAUUCACCAAAAAAUACACCAAGUACUAAGUAGUUGUAGUACUACCUAAUGCACUAACUUAAUAUACCAAAGACCGAAAGAUAGUCAAAUAUUUUUCAUGCAUGCAUUCUACUACAUAUUCAUUCUGUAGUUUGUAGAAAAAUAAGCUCCUUAAACCAAUGGAAGGGGUGGAUGAUUUUAUUGUUCUCUUUCACUUAGUAUAAGCAUGAUUCACACAUUUUAUUCGAAAAUUUAUAGCACUUUUUAGUUCUUUUUCUCUCUUUUCAUUGAUUUAUUGGGAAAGUGUAUUUUUCUUUCAUCAAAUACAUUUAUGGAGAGAAAUAAGGAAAGUGCAUUUUAUUGGGUAUUUUUGGAAAACAAAUCAAAAGGAAGUGCAGUAGCAACAAUGGGGAAUGGAAAUAGCAUUAGUUUUUUUUUAAGGCAAACAAGAGAACGUAUAUAUAUAUAUGGAAUUAUAUCACAAUACAUGGAUUUUUAAAAUGUAAAUAGUUUGUGUAUGUUCUCUAAGGAUUGUUAGGUUCACAGCACCAGCACGUUCAAUAUUCUUUUAUUACUAGUAUGAUAUAUUAUACUAGUAAAUAAUUCAGUUCUCAAUCCCUUUUCUCCGUUAUAUUAGUUUUUUUUUUUUUUUGCUUGUUUCACCUAAUUGUGUGUUUCAAUUGUGGUUUGUGAACGAAUUCAGUUCGAGAACGCACAUUGACGAUGAGUAUGCUUAUGCUGUGGAAAAGGAUCCUAAAAUUUUGCUGACUUGGGAUCCUAGUGCUCCUCUUCAACAGUUUGUUAAGGUUUGCUUGCUUUGGUGAACUGUUGUUUCGAUUCUUUUUAUUUAAAUAAACCAUGUUUUGUAUAUAUUUGUUUGAUGCUUUGCAGACAUCUCAUUGUUUAUUGUUAUUCAAUUCUUUUGUGUAGGAGUUGAGUUUUGUGUUUCCCAAUGUGCAAAGGAUGAAUCGCGGUGGUCAGGUUGGUGCCUUUACUUAAUGUUUUUCUGUCGAUUGUCUCGUCUUCUGCAUGUUUGUGGUGCGAAGAUUUAAUUAUUGGGUGGUUUCUUUGUUUAUAUUUUUUCAAUAACAAAGUGUGUUUGUAAUUAGAAAUAAGAGAACUAGGGUAGGAGGAUAAUAAAUGAGUAAAUGGCCAAAAGCUAAGUGGACUCAACAAUUGAAACAUUAAUAAUAAUAUAUUUUGUGUUGCAUUUUUUUACGGGGUGAAUUUUUUUUCCAAGUUUUACUAAACUGUUUAUUCAUUAAGGUACGUGAGUUGUGUCAAUCUUUUUGUAUCAGUUUUUUUAUUUCUAUAAAUAAAACUAUUAUUUUGUCCUUUAUUUUUCAAUAAGUUCCACAUAAGUUUAUUUAAUUAAUAAGAUUGUAUUAGACAAUGUCCUGUUAACAAACAAUAACAAAUUAACAACACUCUUAACAGUAGCAGAAUGUAUUUUUUAAGUCUUGGUCACUUGUUAUUGUCGGGUACUAUUUCAAUACUAGAAAAAUCUGUUUUAUUUCAAUACUAAUUUCAGUUGGCAGUGACUAUGUUAAAUGGUCAGGAUCUGUUUAAAACAUGAUUUGCAGGAUUCUUGGUAUCCAAUUUAGUGAGGCCAUUUUUUAUUAAAGAAAUAUUGGAACAAACUAUCACUCCCACUGAACAAUGGUUUUUAGAAAAAACAAUACCCGUGUUGGUCCACUGAACAGGGAAGAAAAUAAACCUUGACAUUAAGUCCAAUUUUAUUUUGCACCUGGUGGAAGGUGCAUCGUGUGUUUAGGUCCUUGCAACUCAAAUUUUUAAGUUGAUAUGUAUAAUAAUUAUUAGAAUACAUUUUGUUUCUCCCAAAUAAUUUUAUCUGUCCUUGGUCCAAUGGAAAAUACUUCUGCUAUAUUUACGUACCUUAGAAAUCAUGUGUGUUCUAUUACUAAUUUGGAAUUUAUCAGAACAAAUUCUCAUCUUUUAACAGAAUUCAGCCUGGCUCAUACAGAGAGGAGUGAAGAUUGAAAAUAAUUAAUCAACAUAAAGUAUAGAGAAGCUCGAUCCUUGUGUUGUUGAGAAAUUUAAAUUUUGAACUCUUUAUGAUAUGAAUGAUUUAAGAGAAGUCUUGAGGAUUUUAAAUUUUGAACUCUUUAUGAUGUGAAUGAUUUGUGUUGGUCCUUAAUGCUUUCAGCCAUGAAUAUAUAUAAGUGAAAGGAUAUGCUUGAAACCAUUAAUUGGGUACUUAAAUUAUUUUUGAAUGAGGGACAUCAGAUAGGAGUCAUGACACCAAAUAAGAGACAUGGCAUAUAGGGUGCUGUCUAACAGAACUUUGUUAAGAAUCAACGUAAUAAGUUAUUGUAGAUAACACGAGUCCCACCUUCUGGAUCUAUGAAAAAGAAAGUGUAAUAUGAUCUUGUUGACACUAGAUUAUUUAGGGUGGUGGGGGCCAGAAACUUCAUUUAAUAUAUGCAAAUUUCAUGCGGUCACUACUAAAAAAAGAACACAGACAUAUAUCUCCUAAACUGCAUAUAGACAUUUUUUUAAAAAAAAAAAACAAGUUACAAGUACAAUUUUUUGACAAGAAUCGAAAAAAGUGAGUGAGAAAAGAAUCUUCAUCUUUAUGCAUGUUGCAUAGAGAAUCUUUAAUCACAUUGUAACAUAUCUUGAAUAUCAUAUUGGAAUACAGAAACAAUGAACAAUAACAAUGUAUAUAUAUAUAUAUAUAUAUAUAUAUAUAUAUAUAUAUAUAUAUAUAAACCUGAUGGCAAUCUCUCGUUGAUGGGAAACAAGUGUUGCUAGCUGAUUGAAAAUGUUGCUAAGCUAAUGAAUAGUGGACUCAACAUUCUGAAUAGUGGACUCAACAUGUUGUUGUUGUUGUUGCAACAAUCGUUGACUCUCCCCAUCCACUUGCUUCCUAUAGAUUUAAAUACUUUAAGGUUUUGUAAUGUAAGAAUGAAAUAGGCAAAAUGAGACACCGACCUAGCUGCGAAAAUGACCAAGGUAAGUGAACGGCAGCCGAAGAUGCUCGAUGAGGGGGCGAUGCGGUGUAGAAGAUAGCUAGCUAUGACGGAGACACUAACCUAGCUGCAAGUAGUGACUGAGCAAGGGGAAAGCACCUGUGACUGAGCAAGAUAGCUAGCCAGCUGGUUUCAUGUGAGUAAAUUAAUCACGAUCAAGGAUUCAGAUGGUGCCUUCAAAAAAUCGUGGCGGUAAAAGGGGAAAGCAGCCUUCAAAAACGGUGUUUUCUACCAUCGUCGUUGUUGAAGAACAUGGUAAUUACAAAAAUGCCACAGAUAAUGUUUUUGUACACCGAUGUAGAAGGUGGGUCGUAAAUUAAUGUUUUUGUAGUAGUGUGUGUAGGGAUUUAGGUGAUCCGCAUAGGGAUUUAGUUGAUCCGCAGUAUAGAUAGGUUAGGAUUUAGAUGAUCCACAUAGGAUUUAGAUGAUCCGUAAUGGAAACGGGUGAUAUAAGCUGCAUACGGAUCAAGUUGAUCUGUAUGCCUUUCAUGGAUCAAGUUGAUCCGCAAGAAGCAUACGGAUCAACUUGAUCCGUAAGAAGCUUACGGAUCAACUUGAUCCGUAAGAAGCUUACGAAUUAACUUGAUCUGUAUGCUUCUUGCGGAUCAAGUUGAUCCGUAAAAGACAUACGGAUCAACUUGAUCCGUAAGAAGCAUAUGCAUCAAGUUGAUAUGUAUGCUUCUUACGGAUCAAGUUGAUCCGUAUUACCCUAUUUUAAUUUAAAAUAAUGUCAAAUAGGUUUAAAUUUAUGAAAAAUGUUUUUUUAUUAUGGUUUAGGGUUAGUUUUGAGGAUUUUAGGCUAAAAUAGAGUACGAAUGAAUAAUGAAAAAAGUUUCAAAUUAUGUUGUAAUUCUUUGAUGAAGUUGAUAUUGCUUUGAAAUUUGUAUUGUAAUGUUUGAAUUGUUCGAACAUGUUGAUAUUGGUUUGAAAUUUGGUUAGUUUGAAUUACUUUUGACUUCAGUGGAAACCUUAAGCCAAAUGACUUUAAUUAAGCGCAUACCUCAAGCCAAACCAUGGGUUAGUUUUUUUAUUUGUUGCCAUCCAAAUCUGCCACUUCUUUGGCGAACCCUUUGUCAUCCUUAGGUUAUUUGUGGAUCGGGUUCAUAAGUAGUUAUGGAGAAUUUCAUUGGCAUACAUAAACUAAAGGUGAACCACAUAUUUUAGAUAAGUAUUUAGCCUAUUAAUUACAUUGUGAUGAAUUUGCUAAACAUAUACAAUUUGUAUAUGUUUAGGAUGGCAACUUCCUAACAAAAUGGUAUAUGGUGUCCAUCCAAGCGUUGAUGAGUAUGACAAGUUAAUAUAGUCUGUCUGCUUGGAGGGUUUGGAUUGGGAAAUGGCAGAAAAGCUACAGGAGGAAAUGAAAGGGAGUGGUUUGCGUCUCAAGGGCAUGACGAGGGGUUUGAUUAGAGCUGUCAAGGAGACAGAGAAGGAGGUUGUGGAGGCUGAGAGCAUUACUGCAGUGGCAUAAACAUUUCAGUGUGUUGCAGCAUCAUCAUGUUGUUCAUGGCAUCCCAGACACUGCAUAAGUCUCCAAGGCUAUUAUGUAACACUCUUUUUAAAGCCCAAUGAGCAGAUUCAACCCUACAUUUGAAAUACACAAAUAACAAUAAACAUAUACAACAAUAAAAUUCCAUCAAUUCAUCAACCUGAAUAGAAAUAAUUGAACAUUUUCAUACCUGUUUGUUAUUAUGUUUCCUAAGUGCAUCAUCUUAUUUGUCCAGGCAGUAACAAAUUUUUCCUUGUGUGAGAUUAUCCAUGUUUCGUUAACAUAGUCAACAAACAUUGGCCAAAGUGAACAAGUCAUUUCAAACUUCUUCAGGCAUUCAUUGAACUGUUGUUCCGAAGGACAAGCAACCAGACUUCCCCAGGCAUCCAUGACAUACUCCCAAGCAGUUUUUUGACCAAUUAGUAAUUUACAUUUGGCCUUGACAUUCUUGUUUAUGUGAAAGUUGCAUAACAAAUUUGUACAUUCAGGGAAUACAGUUUUCACUGCAUUCAUCAAUGUCAGGUCUCUGUCAGUCACAAUAACUCUAGGGAGGACAUCACGUCUUAAAAAUAUACCUCGGAACCAUUCUAAAGACCAUACCACAUUAUUAAGACGUUCACCCUCCAGAUAUGUAAAACUAGCAGAGAAUGUCAUCCAUGUUGGUGUCACACCAACAAAAUCAAGUAGUGAGAGUCUAUACAUGUUUGUUUUGUAGGUACUGUCUAUCAAAAAUACCAAAUUACAUGCAUUGACUAACUUCAUUGUAUCAGGGUGACACCAAAAGAUAUCAUGUACCACAUCUUCAUCCUUUAAUCUAUGCCAAUGAAUAUAUUGAUCCCGUUCAAGAAGCUUCAUUAAAUGUUGCAUUUCAGUAUCACUUCCUUUAAUGGAAGAACGGUAUGUACUUCUUGCAUUGUAUAUUUGUUUGAUGGUUGGACAACUAUUGACAUUGUGCUCCUUCAACGUUAGCAGGAUGUUUCUUGGUUUCACUAUUGACUUGGUCAUAUCAGCAAUAAUUGUCUUUUCUUCCUUAGUCAAUCGCUCAGCGUAUGGAUGUCUAACUAAUGACUUGGUUAAUUUAUGAUUAUGAAUCUCACAUCAACUUCACCAUCCAACCUUGCUCUUCAACCACUGUUUUCCCACGAAGCUUGAAGGGACAUCCACAUUUCCUAAUCUCAAUAUCUCUUCUAACAAAAUCUUUCUUCCUACAUCUAUACUCACCACUCCUUUCACAGUCAAUUAACACAAAUGAAGUCCUUCCUCUACUACCAGUGUGUGUCAGGCCUUAUAAUGAUCGCCACAAAUCUAUUUUCAUGAGCAACGGAUCGAGCCUACUACAAAACAUCAUCUCGGGUACCAAACACCUACAACGCAACCCAAACAAUUUUAGUUUUCUACAACACAUUCAUUAUAUUAAAUCACUCACAAUAAUAAGCAUUACUACCUAAGAAGUAUUGAACACAUCUGAACAAUCAACAUGUGGUUCAUUCACACCAAAUUCUUGUUCAUUUUGAUCAUCCAUAUCAACUUCUUCAGACAUUAUACUAUCAUACAUCCAUUGAUCUCCGUCAAUCUUAACAAUAAAUCAUAAAUUUCAACAACACAAACAUACAACACCUAACCGCACUAUACAUAUAGUAUCAUACAAAACUCUACAUAAUUUUUUUACUUCAUAGCAUUUUAUAGACACUACAACUCAUGAUUAGUAAAAUGUAAAAACUCUAUAUCAUUCUACAUAUGAUUUUAAUCAAUUACACAUUUAAACAAUUAAAUUACUUUUUAAAAUGACCAUACAAACAUAGUAAUAAUUUAAAAAAUUUAAAACUUAAAUAAAUGUUAGAAAUUCAAAAUCUGUAUACCUUACGGAUCAACCUGAUCCGUAAGGCUUAUACGGAUCAACUUGAUUCGUAUAAGUCUUAUGGAUGAACUUGAUCCGUAAGACUAAUAUGAAUCAGGUUGAUCCGUAUAAGCCUUACGGAUCAACUUGAUCCGUAUGAUUUACGGAACACCCCACUCACACACACCCAGCAGAAAUGCUUACCUCAUAUGCCGCUGACGACGAACCAAUUAUCACAACAAUAAACACCGGCCCCUCCACCUUCACCCAAGCUCACCUAUCUCAAGAAAAAAACCACACGGAAGAGAGAAACGGAAGAAAAAAAAAGCUUCACAACAUAAAACAAUGCUCACCUAGCUUUUUAAAGAAGAUAGAAGAGAGACAUUUUAGACAUUUUUCAAAAAUAUUGGGUGCACCUAGCAUGUUUGUUUUAUCCUCAUAAUCUUGUUCAUGUAAAAGAUCAUUGGGCUGGUUGUACCCCUCUAUCACAAAAAGAAAAGCAGCUAAGCGUGCAGUUACCUUUUAAAUUUGUCGGUGUACACUUCUUUUCCCAAAAUUAUCCUUUUACCUUUUACACAUAUUGCAAUUACAAUUGAAAUAAAGUGAAGAGUUGCAGAAUUAUUAAGGACAAAAACGUCUAAAAAUGCAUAUACCAAAUGGGGGUAUUCCCAUUAUAUAUUGUUAACGUUAUAAAUAAUUGUUUUUCAUAUAUAAACUAUAUUUUAAAUUUAUAAUGAAACAUUAUAAUUAUGAUAUAAGAUUACUUUUUAUUACUAGCAAUUUAAAAAAUAUUCAAAUUCAAUUUUCUAUAAAGAUAAAAAGAUGAUAGACUAGAAUAAAUAGACAAUUAAGAAAAUUAAAUAUGCUGGUAAAGAAAAAUAAUAAUAGGUUGAAAAGAUUUGUGAGACAUAAUUUUUGGUUAAUUGUAAAGACGAUUAAAUAUAGUUAAUAAAGAGAAAAUAAAAUAUUGAAAAUGUAUAAUUGAAAAAUUAAUCUCCAAGUUAUGUAUUUUAAUUUGUAAUAUAGGAAUAAAUUAUUUUCAAAUCUAUCAAUUUCAUUAUUAAAUUCAUUUUUAGUGAAAAAAUUAUUAAAUAUAACAAUUUAAUUAUUGUAAAGUUGAAAAAUUCAAAUACUAAAUUGUUAAGAAGUUAAUAAGUUCAUUGACUAAUUAAAUAUAAAAGGCUAUUUAACGAGAAAUUCAAACUUUUAAAUUUUAAAAUAUGUGGAUGUAAUUUUUUAUGAAUAAAGACUAAAUUAUUUCUACAAAAAGAAUGAAUACUAAAAUAUUAUAAAGUUAAUAAAUUCAUUCAUUAAGUUGAUAUAGAAGUAUAAAUUUAUUUUGAAAUUGAAAAGUUCAAAAAAUUAAAUUAUAUGCAUGUAACCUUUUAAUAUAAAAAUUAACAUAGAUUAUCACUUUUGAAAACUAUAUAUUUAACUUUUUCUACUUCUCACAUUUAGUUAAUAAACAUAAAUAAAUUCAUUGAUUAAGUUAACUGAAGUACCAAUUGUAAUGAUCCACCUACAGUAUUAUUCUAAAAUACUAAAGCAUACAUAAUUCUAACAACUCUAUCAUGCAAAACUAGAAUACAUACAUCUAUAGGCCCUAGGCUGGUCCCUUCUAACAAAAUAUACAUCACUAGCAAAAGGAGUUUGACUCCUAGACCAUCCUUGAGCUCUAUGUCUUCAUGAGGCGGUGUGAUUUCCCUCAACUUCAGGCUCAUCUGCUCUUGUGUCAAACACGAUCACCAUAAUCAUACAACAUCACAUAGACACAAAUGCAAGGGUAAGCUUGCAUAAAAAGAAAAAUAUAAUAUAAAGGAAUGCAUGAGACUAUAGUUUAAUAGAAACAUUUGAAUAAGAUAAUCAUUCCCUAGUCAUAUCAAACUUAUUAUACCAUAAACUCAAACCACACUUGAAUCUCAAAUGCAUAUGUAAUUGUGUAAUAAAAUGUCAACACGACUCCAUGGAAAUUUCUACAACUUUUGGGCGGUCGCCAUAAGCCCCAUCUACCAUGGUCUAGUUCUUUGACAAUUUAGGGAGUCCCUUGGGCUAACCUUGAAGAGGCAUGUGGUUUUAUCAAAAUUAGAUAAAUAUGGGUAACAAGUUGUCUUUGUAAAGUUUGCAUGACUUUAUAUCAAUAGGAUUUUGUUGACUCAUCUAAUCUAUAGGUCCAUUCCCAUUGGUCACCAUGAAUACCCCUAACACUUGGUUGAGAGGCCACCAAACACUCUCAAUUUACGUGUUUACCCUUAUGCAUAUGACAUGUAUGCAUAGAUAAACAUGUUCUUCAAGUCCAUCCUCAUCUUUAACACACAUUUAGGAAUCCAUCCAGCAAUUCCAUGAGUUCAACGACAUCAUCUACUUUUCCUUUCAAUCUUACCAUCAAUAAUAAUCAGUAAUUAAAGCAAGAAAGAAGAGCAUAGUUCAUUAUACAUUAGGAAAACUAUUUAAUUUUUCAAGAGAACAUCUAUCCUGCUUGCUCAACAAGAUGGUCUCACUUAGUGGGCCUUCACGAAUUGGGUCUACUUGCUUAGCCAAAAUCACUCACUCAGCCCAAAAACUAAAGAAAAUACAAUAAUUAACCCUCAAAUUUCUUAAGGUAGUGGGUGUGUUUCGCUUAGCCAGAGUUACUUGCUUAGCAGGACUAUAAAAUUCUGUAGUUCGUAAUUUUGCCUCAAAAUAAAGUUUCUCCAAUCCUCAAAUCCACCAAACCAAGUUCAAUAUACCAAUUAACAUACAAUUCAACACAUUUUCAUUCCAAAAUCACCAAAUAGACAACAAAACUUGCACUAUUCGUGCAUUAUCUUUUAUCUCUAAAUUUAUUUGCUUUUUCAGACCUCCACUUUUUUUUACUCUUUCUCACAUUCACUUUGAUUAGAAUAUUCUUCUCUUAUGAAGGGGUAUAGGUCCUUCCACUUCACUCUCCUAAAAAAUUUUCCUAUAUAUUUGAUGUAAUUGCUACUAUUUGCAUAAUAUGGAUUAAUGCCUUAAGUUAGCUGGUCGACUUUUUGACAUGGUCUACCACCACCAAUGCAUCACCCUCUUCUGAACUCUAGUACUAAAGUGAGAAAUAAAUUUGUUGUGCUUGUCGUGAUGAUAUGGCAAUUAAAUUCAUCGUUGGAACUGUUGCUAUAAUUUCAUGUAUAAGCAAAUGUUGUUAUCUUUGUUAUUACUAUUUCCUCUCCCUGGGUGAAAAAGAAAAACUCAUCAUUUUGCUCAUUUGUUUUGGUCAAAUAUAAUAGGUACUAUUCCAAAGUUUGAGUGCGUGAUAUCCUUAAAAAAAAAAAAAAAAAAAAACUGAGUGCGUGACAUAUUACAUCUGUGACAUUAAAAUAACAUGUAUUUAAUUUUUUGCUGAUUAAAUAACAUCUAUUUUCAAAUUUUUUAAACAAGAACUGCCUAUUCUUUUCAUGACAUUGCAGCUUCCUAUAUCAUUUCAAAACGAGCAUAUGAAACUUCUCAAUUUGUCUGCUUUUUAAUCAGCUCUUUGUCUUUUCCAGUAAAAAAAUAAAAAGCUUUUUGAAUCUUUUAAUGUUUUCCUUUUUGAAUUUAAAAUUUAAGAUUAGUGGUUAACAUGUUCUCAUCUCAACUUCCCUUCAAAAAAAAAAAGUGUUCGCACCUGAACUGAUUCAGGCUGUCUUUAGUUCCAGAACGUAAUACCGACACCAGUUUGAUCCUUUGCAAUACAUUAACUUUUAUUCUUACCUAUAUUUUUGUACAUUUUGCCCCUUAUGUCACCUUUUUCCCCCUUAUGCCACCUUUUGUUUAUUAUAGGGAAAGAACUGAAAUAAAUGAAAAGGAUAAAUAUAGAAUAGAAAUAUUAAUUUUUAUUUAUUUAUUUGAGUGGAGAAAUAUGAAGAUUGGAAUUUUUUUCUCGAGAGUCGAGACUCUAAAAGAAAUAUGAAAGAGGAAAGUUUUCUUUGCAGGUUCUACAAUUAAUUUAUUUUAGGAUAAAUACUCAUUUUUAUUUUUAAAUUUGUUAAGUAUUAACAGUUAAGUUUCUAAAAGAUAAAAAAUUAAAAUGUUAUUCUCAAAUGUGUAAAAAGUGUGAUAAAUUUAUUCUAUUGUUAAGUCUUCUUCAUACCUACAUGGCACCUCUAUUGAUGAUGUGAUAGUUGUUAGUUAUCACAUGUCAUUUAUCUAGCUAACCAUAUGUAAAAGAAAAAUAUCUUUUUAAUUUGGUUUCUGAACAUAACAACUUAGUGUCAUUUUAGUCUUUCAAUUUAAUCACUUAUUGACAUUUUAGUCCUCAAACUUAACAUAUAUUGUCAUUUUGGUUUCUAAAAGUACUUUUGAUUUUUUAAUUAAGUCUCAUGUUGCAUGAAAUUAUUAAAAUAGACAUUUUAUUAUUUUUGUAAUUUUUUCAUUUAAAUUAUACUAUAAAUAUGAAACUAAUUUAUGAGUGAUUACAUCACACUAAUAAAUGUUGAAUCUAAGGCAUUACUAACAAGAUUUUAUAAGGUUUCAAACCAAAUCUUCUACCCAACUUAAGUUAUUAUCUUCAGUGCUACUAAUAUGUGUAGAAUGUUAGACAAAUUAAAUAAUUAAUUAAUCGAUUGUAUGGAGACACUUAAAAAAAACUUGACAACAACAAAAGAAAGAAAAAUAAAAGUGUUAGAACAAUUUUCUUAUAUACCCUUUCAAUGGGACAAGUGUAGUACAUUUUGUCUCUACUUUUCUUCUUUAGUUUUUGCAAUUUUCACAUUGUUGUUCAACUAUUGAGUAUUAGAGGACAUGACCUAUUAUAAGUUGAAAAUAUAAUUCACCCAUGAUAUUCUCAAUGGAGAAGGUAGAUGUCCCCUAUCAUGUUGGAGUAUACGAUAUAUAUGACCUACAAAAUUGAGUAUAAAAUAUAGUUCACCCAUUAUAUUAGUCAUGUGGAAGUAUACAAAAUUAAAAAAUACAAUAAAAGGCGAAGACAAAAAAUAUCUAAUUUCUCUUAAAUUUUGAUCAAAUAAAAUAAUUCAUUUUGUAUCUCUUUACUUUUCAUUUCCUCCUUAAUUAACUAAAUAUAUUGACUAUUAAAAAUAAAUUAUUUGUUAGUAUCUAUAUAUUUACACACAAUACAUACUUUUAAUUUGAUUAUUACGAAAAACUAAUUUAAUUUCAUAUGUUUAUUUAUUUCCAAUUGAGUUGUGUCAUUGUUAUAAUAUUAUUUAUCAGAAUUUCAACUUAAUACAAUAUAAUAAAUAAAUUAAUAGUGAUUUAUAAAAUAUAGACUAAAAUAUGAUUUUUGUCCUAAAAAAUAUAGAAAUAUUUGGAAUUCAUCCAUGUUAAAUUUUCAGUACGUUUUUUGUUUUUACAAAACUGAAAUGUCAUUUUUUGACUUAGAUGUAUGUUCAGACUUUUUACAUCGAUUAGGCAUAUAAUCGAUGUAAAUAUAUGUAUUGACAUUUUUUUUACAUCUAUUAUGGUAUAAUCGAUGUAAAAUGUGAUGUUUUUUAUAUUGGUUAUGCAUAUAAUCGAUGUAAAAAAGAAAUGCAAGUAACUUUAGAUGUCCAAACACCUUGAUCCGACCUAAAAAAUGACACAUUUCAAUUUUGUGAGGAUAAAAAACGUACUCAAAAUUUUACAGGGACGAAUUAUGAAUAUUUUCAUAUUUACGAAGGCGAAUAACAUAUUUUAGCAUAAAAUAUAAUAUUUAUGAUUUCUAUACUUGACAAUUGUAUUUCAUUUAUUAUCACUAUGCUAAUAAUUUAUAUGUAGUAUGAGACUUGAUUACAAAUUUAAAAGUAUUUUCAAGGACCAAAAUGAUAGUACAUGAUUAAAUUAAGGGACCAAAACAUUAGUAAGUUGUUAAGUUUAUAGAAAAAAUUGACAUGUGUCAGCCACAUAGAUAACAUCUGACAACCAUGUGAAUGACGUGUGAUAAUUGUCAGUUGUUACAUCACUACCCUAAAGUGUUACGUAGGCACAACCGUUUGAGUUUGAGAAGAAAAUUAAUGGUAGAACUAAUUUGUCACACAUUUUGUACAUUGUACCACCAUUCUACCCCAAGACACAUACGCAUAAUAUUUUUAUAAUACGUUUGUUGCAUAAUUUAACUAAAAGGGAUGUAUCGAAUUUUGCUUAAACUUUUCGCAAUAAAAGAGCAUAGCAUGGUUCACAAACAAUAUGCACAUGGUUUAUUUUCGAAGUCCCUUGGAGAUUCUUAUCCUAGGGGGAUUAGGUUCCUCUAACAUUUUUCACAACAUGUACGCAUACCAUGAUAUAUAUAUUAAUUUCUCAUAUACUUGUGUGCAUCAUGCAUUCGGUCACAAUAUCAAUAAUAUUCACUCAUUCACACAACAAUCUCAUGGUAUCUCUUCAUCCACAAAUCAUAAGUAUAGACAUCAUGCAUCGUACUAAGAUUCUUACAAUAUCAAUAUUACACACUUUUCCUCCUAUAUUACUAUGACUUUCAUAUAGUAUAAUACUCAUGUCUAGAGUUGUAGUAAUCCUAUUAAGUUGGUUCUCUUCUUUUUAGAAAGCUAAGAUAAUUAUCUACAACUUCUAUGUUGACCUCAAAAGCUAGUUCAACCAGUUGCAAAGACUAAAAUUAGGAAACAUAUAAAUAGAUCUCAUAAUCUUGAUAACUUGACCUUUACUUACUAAAAUGACAAUAUCUAGAGUUCUAGACAUUAUUUUUGAGUGAAAACAAAGCCCUUAAUUAGAUAACAUUCAGGGAUGCAAUUCUUAUGAAGAACACAAGUCUAUUUCCAUUUCUUUCCUACUCAUUUUUGUGUUCCAGCUAACAUUUUCUAUCAAGAAAAUCGUGUGCGUCCAACAUCAAUUAUCAAAUUUAAUUUCAAGAAUAUCAAAAUGAAAAAACAUAAAAAAUAUCCAACAAUCAAAUUCAUCCAAAUCAAGAAAAUAAACUUGUUAAAAUCAUAAACCUAAGAUCAUAUAGUCUACCUGUGACUCAUUGUCACUCAUUCAACAGAAGAGAAAGAGAAAACUCACUUCCCCUAUCUUCAAAAAGUCAAUUCCUCAUCUAUGAAAGGAAGACAAUCUCAUGACCACCCCCAAGAACGCAUUGAUCAAAUGGCAUCGUCCACCACGAUCUUCACAACAACUCUUAUUAUGACAAAAACUUGGGUAUGAUUUAAAACACAAACCCAAGCCACCUAGAUGCCCUGAGUUUGAAAACUCAAAGGAAAAGAUAAAAAUAUUAACUAUGAGGGGCUAUGCGACUACCAGUAAGCCCACUUAAUUCUUUGGUGCUCUUAACACUUGGUGGUCUCCUCUCUCUCUAUAUAUAUAGGGGAAGAAAUGAGUUCAUAAGGUUAUUUGCCCAAUGUGAGACUUAAACAAGCUUUUCUUGAUCAUGUGACAUACUUAGGAAUCAAUUUUCACUAAGAUAGAGGUCAAAUUUGUUUUUUAAGAUGUAGGGAUGAAUUUUAUAGCAAGCUUUCCAACGUCUCAAACAACCGUAUACAACUCAAGAUAUGACAUAAUUUUUCUAUGAUUUUCAUCAUAAAACUCCACUAGACUGGACACUUUUCAUGUGUAUCUAGCACUCCUCUAGCAUCAAGUACAAUAUAAUAUAAUUAUAAUGAGAAUGACACUAUCAACAAGAAAUAUAAUACAAUAGCAAAUGAUAAUAAUAAUAAUAUCAUUAUGACUAAAUACAAUGCACAAGAAGCACACAUGAGUAAAGGUAUGCACAAGCAUAAGACAACCAAUAAUAUAACAUAAUGAAAAUAACAACAAUAAUAAUAAUUAAAUUACAAACAAUAUGACAAGAUCUUAAUAAGGAUUAUCCUUAAGGUAUGUACCUAGUGCUCAAAACUUGAAAUGAAACUUGGAAUGUUACACACAUUUAAAGAUAAAAUUUUAAUUUUUAAUUUUUUAAAAAUUUAAUUUUCAGUGCGACACUGCCUAACAAAUUCAAGAAUAAAAAUAAAUAUUUAUCCUUUUUUUUUAGAUUGAACUUUGAUCUUCCUAUUUUUUUUAAAUCCACAAUUUUGUUCUCUAUUUAAAAAAUAGAAAAUUCAGUCCCCAAUUUUAAAAAUUCAAAAAAUUUGUUCCAACCAUUUAAAUCAGUGUAUAGGUUUGUAAUUUACUAAUGUUGACAGUUCUUUAAAUGACACAUCAGUAUAGAGUUUACAUUUUUUUAAUUUAUUUAUUGAUGACUAAAAAUUCAAUUUAAUAAAUGAUUAUUUAAAAGAUAUAAAAUUUUAUUACUUUUUUAAAAUUUUAUUUUCAAAACAUCAUGACCUUCAAAAUUAAACUUACAAAAUCAUGACCAUCGAAAAACUAGCAAUUAAUGUCACGUAAGAUAAACUGUGGCAGCUGCAUGUGAACAUUGAAAACCUAAAGGUCGGAGCAUUGAAUUCGAAGGUGCGACUAAAUUUCUUAAUUUUAGAAAAUUUGAGGAUUAAAUGUUUUUAUUUUUUAAUAAGGAAAUUAAAAUUGUGGAUUCAGAAAAACAUGGAGAGCAAUUGUAUUUUACCAAAAUUUUUCCUAUAAUGACAUGAAUUAAGAGACAAAUGAAGAUAUCUCUUUUUCAUUGUUUCUAUUUAGCUUCUGAAAAAAAUAUACUUUUAUAACAAAAAAUAAUUAAAAACUACUAAUUAAAUUUAUAUUUAAAGAAUAAUGGAAUAAAAAUCAUUUUUAAAUUAGUAUAAGUUUGUUUUCAUAUAAUUUUUUUAUUUCCACUCUCUUUUUUCUUUUUUCUUUUUACAAAAUUUCCACUAUCUUUUUUAUUCAUCAAAAUAAAUGGAGAAUAUUGUUUUACUUCUCUUUCUUGAAAAGUUAAUUAUGAGUCUAAUUCAAUCCUAUAAAAUUGAUUUGUAAAGUAAGAGUUAUCAUUUACUUAUAUAUACUAAUUAGAUCUCAUCACUAGUCGAUAUGAGAUAAGAGACAAAGUCAGUCAUAAAUCAUAGGGAAGGCCAAUUUUAUUAAAAUAAAUAUAUAUUAGCCUUAAAUUACAAAUAUUUAUCAUCAUGAUUUUUUCUAAAAUAAAUAAAAAUUAAUUUUCUUGUAGAUUUAAAAUUACAAAUGGCUAUAAAAUAUAUUUAUUUCAAUCAUGAGAAAUAUAAAAAAAAUAUAACUUUCAUGAAUUUAUAAUAUCUAUAUGUAUGUGUGAACCAUAUUUUUUUGUCAAAAAUGCCUAUGUUAAUUAUAUUCUAAGAAUAUACUAACUAAAAUAAAUUAUGCAAUUUUUAUUAGAUUAUUCUUUACAGUAAUAUCAAUUAAAAAUCAUUGAGGAAGAAAUUCUUUUCAAAUAUUAGAAAUAGUGGAAAAAAUACAAGGAGAAUAUAAUAGAAAAUAUAUGGAGAAUUAAUAGUGAUAGGAAAAGAAAAGAUAUUAUUUGUAUAUCUCAAAGCAAAUAUCUUUCAUUCUCUUUGAUUGCAAAUGCAACUAUAACCAUUAAAAUAGUACUAAUAGAUUAUAAAAGAAAAACUAUUAAAAAACAAUAUUCAAAUGUUUUGUCUGAAAAGAGAAAAAUGCAAUUAUUACUAUAAUGAAGACUAUAAAAAGAGAAAUAAAAUAUGUUUUAAAAAAUAUCAUUAUCUUCACAAUAAAUACUAUAAAAGGAGAAUAAAAAAUUAUCUUAAUAUUAAAAUAUUAUAUAUUUAAUAAAAAUUAAAAUAAUUUUUUUAGAAAAUUUUAAUAAUUGUCCUAAUCCUUAUAUUAAAGAAAAAAAAAAAGUUAGGGCCAAGUCCUCCAAGGUACCAUGUACCUCCGUCUCUGUGUGAGAUCUCCAACAUUCUUUUUUUAUUUUUAUCAAUCUAAACAAUUUUUUUUUCUAAUCUAUUUCUCUUUUUUUUUCCUGUGUUUCAUUUCUAAUGCCAACAAAGUAUUGCGUGAAAACACACAGGUUCCGGAUUUAUUCAAAUUAAUCUAUUCUAAAACCAAUAUUAUUCUUAAUUGAUUUUGGAAUCAUUUUUUCACAGCCGAAAGAAACAACCAUUGGCUCCUUAUUCAAUUUUCCGUAAUUGGUCGUUAUAAUUCUUCAAACAUUGGUCUCUUUCUGUUUCUUUUCUGAUUUUUGUAGGGUGUUAUUAAAUAUUAAGGCCACCGGUGAAAGAACUAAAAGUAAAAAAUAUUUAGUAUGAAAAUUAUAAGAAAACAACAAAAAAUAUUAAGAACAACUUAAUUUUUUGUCUUUUAAUAAAACUAUUUUUACUUUAAAUUUUUUAAUAGUGAAACAUAUAAGUGUCUCAAGGCUAUUGAUUAGUAUUUUUUUUAAUACACUAAAUAAUUGUUAAGCCACUUUCCCACGUCAUUUAUCAUUUAUGGACAUAUAUCAAGAAAGUUCCCUUUCACUAAAUCCUAUACAUGAACAGUUUUGGCUAACACUGAUACUCCAACUAUAGUACUAGAAAAACACUGAGAAUAGAAGCUUCAAUUUCUGUCUUCUUGUUCAGUACUUGUCCAUGCUCUUAUAAACCAAGAAAGCAAUUUCCACAGCACAAGGAACUUCACUACACCGUAUCAUACGAGACAGCUUCUCAACCCUCCAUAUAUUCACAUGCACCAAUAACAUAUCCUCAAGAACAUGCACUAAUUAAAUGGCACGUUUCAUCUACUACGACACCAAACCCCGAUCCAAAAAACUCCUCCUUCUCCUCAACAUAUCCUUCAUUUAUCUCACCUUUCUCUUCCUCAAAACCUAUCUCCACCCUUCUUCUAGUCCUAAUAUUGUUCAUGCCUCCACAAAAAUCUUCAACCAUGCUAGAAUGCUAAGUGACAUCAGUGUUGAUGGCUGCACUGAUCUUCACAAGUACUCAGAUUAUGACUCCAAGUGCUUAUAUGUCAAAUCCAAUGUUCACUGCAGGUCAAAAGGGUACAUAAACUAUCUCCAAAUCUUCUACUGCAGCUUUGGCCACUCCCCAAUUUUGGGUCAUUCACUGCUUGUAAUGUGGCUUGUGGUAUUGUUUUAUCUUUUGGCUGAUACAGCUUCAAACUACUUUUGCAAUAACCUAGAAGGUCUCUCUGACAUCUUAAGACUAUCCCCAACCAUAGCUGGGGUAACCUUGCUUUCUCUUGGAAAUGGUGCCCCUGAUUUUUUUGCAAGUGUUGUUUCUUUCACAAGAUCCAAUGAUGGGGCAGUUGGCCUCAAUAGCAUUCUGGGGGGAGCAUUUUUUGUCUCCAGUGCUGUUUUGGGGGUCAUAAGUUUCCUUGUUAGAGCAAAUGAAAUUGCAAUUGACAAGGCAAGUUUCAUUAGAGAUGUCAUCUUUUUCCUCUUCUCUCUUUUCAUCCUGCUUGUCAUCAUUUCCAUUGGUAAAAUUACCUUGCUGGGUUCAAUUUGUUAUGUUUCUAUAUACUUCCUUUAUGUCUGUGCUGUCUCUGCCACAUAUUUCAUCUAUGGAGGGGACAGGACAGAAUGUGAGCUUGUCUCAUCUUCUGAGGACUUGACAGAAUCUGGUAUACCCUUGCUAGGCUGUGUUGAUGAUGAGAAAUCAAAUGUAUCAAAUAAAGAGGUUAUUAAAGAUAAUAAUGGGGACAAACAAAAGUGUUUUGGUUAUGAUUCAUUUGACUUUACUUACUUGAGCAAGUUUCUACAAGUACUAGAGUUACCUCUUAGCUUGCCAAGAAGGCUUACUAUACCAGUUGUUAGUGAGGAGGGUUGGUCAAAGCCAUAUGCUGUUAUAUCAGUUACUUUGGCCCCAGUGUUGUUUGCAACUCUUUGUAACACCCAAAUGGAAAAUGUGAGUUCAAAGAGUAGUCUUGUUUCAUACUUGACAGCUGCUUUAAUUGGGAUUGUUUUGGGGAACAUGGCAUGUGUGACCACCAAGAGCACUAGUCCACCCAGAAAGUGCUUGUUUCCUUGGCUAGCUGGGGGCUUCUCUAUGAGUGUAACAUGGACCUACAUCAUUGCUGAGGAAUUGGUUUCCCUCUUGGUUGCAAUUGGGAGUGUCAUAGGGGUUAGUCCUUCAAUCCUUGGACUAACUGUCCUGGCUUGGGGUAAUUCUCUAGGGGAUUUGAUAGCCAAUGGUGCAAUGGCCAAGAAUGGUGGAGCUGAUGGGGCCCAAAUAGCUGUCUCUGGCUGUUAUGCAGGUCCUAUGUUUAACAUUUUGAUGGGCUUGGGCUUGCCUCUUGUUCUCUCAGCAUGGUCUGAAUACCCAGACUCUUAUGUCAUUCCCAAGGAUCCUUCUCUUUAUGCAACACUUUUGUUCUUGAUGGGAGGGGUGCUUUGGGCCCUUGUGAUAUUGAUAAAGAAGAAAAUGAAGCUUGAUAAGUCCUUGGGAGUUGGGCUCUUGACCAUUUACCUCUGCUUUUUGUUUAUAAGGAUGGCCAUAGCAAUUGGUGUUAUUAAAUUCUAGAGAUGCACUGUCAAAGGGAGAAGGCCCCUUUCCGAUGUAUGUCAUGGAACUUACUUUAUCAUGCAUUUUAGUUUUCAAAACGGUUAAUAAGACUCACAUGAAAAGUUAGUUAUGCUUUGGUAUCUUGUUACUAUAGAAUAAUGUUCAUCUUUACAGGGAUUCUAAAGAUAAUGGAUAAAGAAUUAAUAAAUAGAAAUUUAAUUAAAAAUUAAAUCAAUUAUCAAUUAUAGAAGAAGGUUUUGUCAUGUAGGUAAAUACCAUGUGGCAUGGUAUGUCACAUUCAUUCUUUUUAUGCUUAAAUUCAUCAUUUUUUUUUGUUUUUCAAUUCAUAAAACACACAUUUUUAUAUUAAUUACAAUAAUUAAGUUGAUAAUAUCAAAUAUAUAUUCUACUUACCAAUAAUUCUAUAGGUGUUGUAUUGUCCAAUUUUCUAGUUUGAAUUGCAGUUUCAUUACAUUAGAAAAUAUAAGUAUGUAUUGUAAUUAUCAUUAUAUUAUAACAUAAUUAUAAUAAGUAGUUCGGUGAACUAUCAUGCGUUAAUAUAUAUAUAUAUAUAUAUAUAUAUAUAUAUAUAUAUAUAUAUAUAUAUAUAUAUAUAUAUAUAUAUAUAAUCGUAAGAGAUUUUUGAAUUCAUAGAAGAAAGAUUUGGUUAUUAUUAUUAUAAGAAUAAUUGAAAUUAUUUACAAAUUAUAAAAUAAUACAAAUUAAAAGAUAAAAUAAUAAAUAAUGAGAUAAAUUUAGGGUUCAUUUGGGGUGUUUGCAAGUUUUUAGUUUUUGAUUUUUAAAUGAAAUUAAAAAAAAAACAUGUUUCGCAAAAUUAGAAUUGAAAUAGUUUUUAACUCAUUUUUAAAACAGUUUUAUAUUUAUUUUUAAAAUCAAGAAUUUUUUUUUUGUAAAUUUGGUUUCUAGUUUUAAAAAAUACAAAACUUUCUACAUUUUGACAAUGAUCAUUUUCGCUACCACCAUUAUCACCAUCACAACCAUUGACACCACUACCACCAUUUUGGUUGCCACCAUCACGGUCAUUAUUGCUAUUACAACCACCACCAAGGUCAUCUAUACUAUUACUGUCGUCGUUGCCAUCAUUACCAUCAUAAUUGUUGUUGCCGUCACCACUACCGUCAAAAGUGGUACCAUUGUUGCCAAGGUUGUAACACCCCGAAAAUUACAACCUAGCAAAUAGAUACAUAAAUGAUUUUAUUAGGAUUUAAUUAAUUUAUUUAAGUGUUUCAAUAAGAAAAGGAUGCGGACUAGAUAAUUAAAUAUAGUUAGUAAUUAAAUUGUUUGAUUGAAUCAUCUGUAGGAUUUUUAUUUAAAAUAUUAAUUUCAAUGUGAUAAUUAAUUGACUUGUUUCCAUGAUGAUUUAAUUUACUUGAGUUCCAAAUUUGUUUGAUAAUUUAGUACUCAUAAAAUUUUACUAGUAAAUAAUUUCUACAGAUAAAAUUUUAAUUAAUCAACUAGUAUAGAUUUUUAUUUUAAUAGUUAACAAAGUUUAAUUACAUCAUAUUAUAAUUACACAGUGUAAACUAAACUCGAUGUACCCAAAACUCUAAUACCCAUUGAUUAACACCUCGUCUACAUGUACAGUUAAAACUCUAUAAAUUAAUAAUGUCAGGACCGGAGAAAUUUAUUAAUUUAGAGAGUUAUUAAUUUAUCGAUAAAUUAAUAAUUAUUAAUUUAAAGAGUUUUUAAGUAAUUAUACUGUACAUACCAAACAAAAAGGAAAAUUAGUCUAUGCCUCUUAGAAUUACGUUGCAGCGAACCUUGGGACUCAACGUAAAUUAGUAACUACUGUGUUCAUAUGCAUUGGAAAUCAAUAAUGACUUUUGAAGUACGGUAAAUGUAAACAAGAGGAACAAAUGUGUUCAAUGUAUUCUUAAGCAAGUUUGACAUAUAUAAAUUACAUGAAUGUGUUAGAGUAUUCAAACCAUAUCUCACAAGAUGGCUUCUCAUCUAAAAGGUGUUGCAAAAUCAACUAUGUUAGAUCAAAUACGUAAGGAGUUGUGUGAGUACAAGAGAGAUAAUCCUGCAAGCACACAAAAAGACUUGCAGAGAUGGCUUGAGGGAAAAUUUGAGUUGAAUGUUAAUCAAGGAACAAUACCAAACACACUUAAGCGGUCAAAUGACUAUCUCUCUGCUGAAAUAGAAAAGGGAAGAGCAGAGAUCAAAAGACACAAACCAGUAAAAUAACCUGACAUGGAGAAGGUUGUUUAUGAGUGGUUUCUCCAGCAUCAAGAACGUGUGAAUAUCACAGGAGAAUUAAUUUUGCAGAAGGCAAGAGAUACAAUGAAACUCGUGUACCCUCAUGAUGAUUCAGAUUUUAACUUCUCUAUAGGAUGGCUUGGGAAAUUCAAGCACCGACAUAGCAUAAAGUCAUUUCGUCGUUUUGGCGAGAGUGGGUCUGUUGAUGUACAAGACAUGGAGCAGAAAUUGGUAUUGAUUCGGGAGAAAAUUGAUCAGUUCCCUAUGAAAGAUGUUUUCAAUAUGGAUGAAACUGGGUUGUUUUAUAGGCUACAAGCUGAUCAUUCACUGGCAAUAAAACAACUUGAAGGAAGAAAACAAGAUAAAGAAAGGCUGACAAUAGUUAUUUGUUGCAAUGAAGAUGGCUCUGAAAAAAUCCCUCUAUGGAUUAUUGGGAAAUAUGCAAAGCCUCGUUGCUUCAAGAAUGUCAACAUGAAUAGCUUGGAUUGUCAGUAUCGAGCUAACAAAAAAGCAUGGAUGACUAGUGUGCUUUUUGAUGAAUAUGUUCGUUCAUUUGACCAAAUGAUGCAUGGUAGAAGAGUUCUACUUGUGGUGGAUAAUUGUCCAGCACAUCCAAGAAAUAUUGAAGGGCUAAGAAACGUUGAGUUGUUCUUCUUGUCACCCAACAUGACAUCAAAGAUUCAACCUUGCGAUGCUGGGAUAAUAAGAGCUUUCAAGAUGCAUUACUGUAGAAGGUUUUACCGCAAAAUAUUGGAAGGUUAUGAGGUGGGACAAUCUGAUCCAGGGAAGAUAAAUGUCCUUGAUGCUAUAAAUUUGGCAAUCCCAGCUUGGACGAUAGAUGUUCGAAAAGAAACAAUAGCGAAUUGCUUUCGACACUGUAAAAUUCGUUCAGCUAGUGACGUUGCAAGAAAUUUGGAUGAAUCCACUUUUGAUGAAGAAACUCAAGACCUCGAGACUAUGAUCAAUCAAUGUGGCUAUCGUAAUAAGAUGGAUACCGAAAAUCUAAUGAACUACCCAGGUGAAAAUGAAGCAUGUUCGGAGGUUCAGAGUUUAGAAGAUAUUGUGGGUACUAUCAUUGAGAACAAUGCAGAGGAUGACGACGAAGAUGAUACGGUGUCUUUGGAUCCUGUUACACGAAAGGAAGCACUUAUGGCAUCGAACACUCUUCACAACUUUAUGAUACAAUACAAAAAUACAACACCUGAGCUAUUGGAUGCAAUAAGAAAAGUUAGAGAUGAGCUCCAAAUAAACUUGAACUUUAAAGGAAAACAGACAACUAUUGAAUCAUAUUUUAAUAGAGUGUAAUAUAUUUUUUUUCAGUUUCUAUGAAUUAUUAAUUUAUGAUUUUCUUGGGACCGAAAAUUAUAAAGGUAUUUGACGAAAAAUUAUUAUCUUAUUAUUUUAUCGAGUUUUUCAAUUUUUUACAUUGGCCCAAGUCGGGACCGGACAAAUUUAUUAUUUUAGAGAGUUUAUUAAUUUACCGAGUAUUAAUUUAAAGAGUUUCUACUGUAUUGUUAUUUUGCAACACCUCACUACUUGCCUAAACCCACCUCACAACCAUCCAACAUAUCAUCACCUUCACCUACCACCACUACACAUACUUCCACGGCCUAAAAUCCUCACCACCUUCACUUUUUUUUUUCUUUUUUUUUUUAUCUUUACUCAAACAACACAACACUUAGAGAACUAAUUUCCAUUUUCUCCUUCCUUGUGAGCCUAGCUGAGAAUUGGAAUAUGAAGAAAAGAAGUGAUCUUUUGGCCACCAUUGUUAAGCUUGGUGCAUGCUGUUGGGCAAGUGGCCUCAAUAACUUAAGAGGGGGGGGGUGAAUUAAGUUUCACAAUUUUUCGACUAACAAACUUUAACCCCCCCUUUAAAUGAUGGGCUUAGAAUGCAGAAGAAGAAGAAGAAGAAGAAGAAGAAGAAGAAGAAGAAGAAGAAGAAGAAGAAGAAGAAGAAGAAGCAAUCAAUUUAACAAUGUUCUUUUAAAUACAAGAUAAAAUUGAUUGCAAUAAAAUAAAUGAGAUAAGGGAAGAGAGAAAUGCAAACUCGAUUUAUAUUGGUUCGGCCACUUCUCGUGCCUACGUCCAGUCCUCAAGCAACCCACUUGAGAUUUUCACUAACUUUGUAAAAAUCCUUUUUACAACUUCUGAACACCCGAGGAAUCCCUUUCUCUUGUGUUCAGGAAACUCACAAUUCAAGAGACAACUAGUCUCUUGAUUACAAAUGACUUUCUGAGAUAAACAAAAAGAUUUCCUCCUUUAGAGUGGAUGAUACAAAUUGAAGUUCCUGGAUGAACUUUCAAUAGAUUUGCAAGUGUUUGCCCAAGAGUUGUUGAGAGAGAAUUUGACAAUGAAGUUCUCUUAGAAUAUCUCUCUCUUGCUUUUCGAAGUCAGACACACAUAUAUAUAGGCCCUUCGUGCCUUUUCAAAAUGGUUUGAAGAGAUGUGUCUUUUCAAAAAGUUUUUUUUUAAAUUCUUCACCGGUAAUCGAUUACAGGAUUCUGGUAAUCGAUUACAUAGUUAUAUUUUGAAGGGUCAUGACUUUUCAAAUUGAAUUUCAAGAGUUUCGUUACUGGUAAUCAAUUACACAUCAAUGGUAAUCGAUUACAACUUUUAAAUUCAAAUUUCAAAACCCUUCUAAAAGUUAUUUUUUUCAAAAUUGUCUUCUGGUAAUCGAUUACCAUAGCCUUGGAUGUCUUGGAAACACUUUGUUUUGAGGCAAAACUUGAUCUUGAAUUAAUCUUGAAGCAAUGCUUGUUUAUUGAAGCAACCUUGUAUAAAUCUUGAAGCAAUGCUUAACCUUUGAAUGUUUGUUGAAGUAAUCUUGAACGCAACCUUGUUUGAUUAUUCUUUGGCAUCAUCAAAAUCAUGUAUUCAUACAUUCACAUUCUCCCCUUUUUUGAUGAUGACAAUCAUUAUCAAGUGAAUUAUUUUCGACAUCAUCAAAACCUGCCUGAUUCACAUUCUCUCCCUUUUUGAUGAUGACAAUCAUUUUCAAGCAAAUUCUUUUUGACAUCAUCCAAACCUGCAAGAUUCACAUUCUCCCCCUUUUUGAUGAUGACAACCAUCUGUAUGUUAAGAGCAACAACAAAAAAUCUAUCUGUAUAGUUUACUCCCCCUUGAUUUUGCAAUGAUUGCUUAUAUGAAAUAGUUGAAGAUUGCAUACCUUUUAUAAAAAAAACUGUCUGAUAAACCUGUCGCAACCCACCCUUCGACAGGAGGGCGACACGAGGCUCACAGGUGCGUCUUCCAUGGGAGGAAAAUGCAUGGAGUCCCCACCAACGUUUAUUCGAGGAAAACGUCAGAAAAACCGGAAAGGUGUGGUCUACGAACUUUAAGUGUGAAAGGUUCGAGAGUUGUUUUUACGCACGAGGAAGGUAUUAGCACCCCACGCGUCCGUCACAAAGGACGACAACCUUCAAUCAAGUGUGCAAAUAUGACCUUCAAAAUUAUGUAUUUUUCCCUUUUUUAUGUUUUUAUGUCUUUUUAUGCCUCUCUGUAUUUUUUAUCUUUUUUGUGGUCGACAAGGGUGUUUCCCUCGCUCCUACGUAUCCUCAAUUGCGAUGAGGAAAUCAGACCUACGUAGUUCUUUGAGAACUAAAUAUUGGUUAAGUUGUUUUCAUCUUUUUUUGCAAGAUAUAUUUUAACCGAACAAAAGGUCAUGUAAGGCAUUGAACCAUUAAACGAUCUUUUGAUUUUGAAAGGAGAGAAACGUUAAGGCGUUGGACCAUUAACGAUCUCUUGGUUUUUGAAAGUAGAGAAACGUUAAGGCGUUGGACCAUUAACGAUCUCCUGGGGUGGUCGACAAAAGCGGGGCUUUUGCUCCUACGUAUCCUCAAUUGCGAUAAGUAAAUCAGACCAACGUAGUUCUUGCAAAAGCGGUAAAGUUAUGUGUUAAUUUUAUGGUUUUGAACGGUCCAUGUUAACCGAUAUAAUCAAAGAGGACCAUUUAAGGUAUUGGACCUUAAAACGGUUUUGAGUGACUUUUGCGGACGAAGCUUGAUUUGGGAGUUGAUUUUAGCCUUAGUUUCACUUUGGUUAUUAGUCAAUUCAUUCAAGGAAACUUCCAAAGAAAAACGUCCGAUUGAUUUUUUUGAUUAUUUUAUUCAAAGAUAUUUUGAUUAUUUUAUUAUUAUUUUUCAAGAUAUUUUGAUUAUUUUAUUAUUAUUUUUGCCUUUUUUUUUGUUUAACCGUGGAUACAACAUGAACGAUCGGCUAGAUUUUGCUUUAACAGUGAUUAAACGAGAUUACAACACAAAUGAUCGGUUGAAAUUCAUUUUAUCAUUUAUUGGGUGAGAAAACGACUUAAAUAAACGGUAAAAAGCUCGUUAAAGUGAAAGAAAAGAAAACUGAAAGUAAGCAAAAUUAAAGUGAAAGUACACAAAACAAGUAGGGACCACUAUGGGUGCAUAGAAUGAAUUGAAAGAUUCGAUUUUGGGAACUUACCAGUUGAAGACUGAAGAACGACAAAGAACGAACGAAGAACGGUGAAGAACAAUGAAGAACUUCCACAGAAUCACUUACGAAAGCGUUACGGAAGCACUUCGACUCGAUUUUUCUUCACAAAAACGUGUUUUUUGUCCAAAAUAGCCGAAAUGCAUAGCCAAGGGGUUUGAAAUAUAUUUUUGAACCAGCCUCCCUCCCCUAUUUAUAGGGAAAAAGAGAGGUGCUUGCCGCCCAGAGGCUUCUUGAGGAAGAUUUCUAAGCGCACCCCAAUUACUAAGUUCACCCAUUUUUCGUACUUUACGGAAAAGUUACAGAAGCCUUACGGAAGUGUUUUGGAUUUGAUUUUCAUUUUUUUUUCUCUUCCUUUUCACCAAUGUUAAGUGAAAUAUGCUUACUCAAGGUUUUUCGAAAAUUUUAUGGAAGCAUUACAGAAGCCUCGGAAACCAUUUUUCAACAACGUGGAGGAGCUUUCCGCUCAGUUGCUUCCUCCUUAAGCAACCCAAUUUCCAAAAUGUUCCGGAAGGGCCUAGAUUCGAAUUGCUAUUUACACCCCUAUCUUGAUAAGUUCACCCCCAUUUUUGUGUUUUUGGCCGUUUUCUUUCCGAAAUCUCAUGAAACUUUACGGAUUCCACCAUGAUGAUUGUUAAGCCUUUCGAAGCGAUCAACAAUGGUCGUCGGAUGAAAUUAGAGUGUAACAGUUUAUUUACACACACCCCAGUUUGCUAAAUACACUCUCGUUUUCAUGUUUUUGACCGAUUUCUUCUCGAAACAUCUCAGAACUUUACGGAUUCCACAAUGAUGGGUAUUAAACAUUUUGAGAUGGUCAAGCGAAAGUCACAUGCCAACAAACAAUAGUCCCCGGAUGAAAUUAAGGUAUGACAGUUGCCCCUCUUUACUUAUCUUUUAUUGGAGAUAAAGCGAAGUAAAGAUAAGACACUAAUUUCGUUUGAGCGGAACAUCAUUCGGCCGACCAAUAUCCCAACCAGCGGGACCUGUCAUUCAGAAAGAAAAGAAAAGGCAUUAGAAGCGUCAACAAAACUUCAGUGUCUUGAAAGCGAUAAAAUGGGAUAACCAAGACGUUUCCACACGCUAUUGAACUUGAUCGUCCCUGCCCAGCAGAGAGGAAUCUCGUGCAUCGUCGGGCUUGAAUGUCUCCGGACGACAAGAGUAAAAACUUGCAAAAAUUUUGAAAAUAAUCAGAAUCGGACGACCAACAUCAUCCUGAUACCGUCGAACUCGUUCGCCUUGGUUGACGAAAGGUGCGGGCGACCAUAAGGUAUCUCUGCCUGCCACCUGACUCGCUGUCCCUGGAUGACCAAAGGUGCAGAAGACGAUGUUAGUCUGCGUGUCAGCGGGCUCGUUUGCCCUUGGUUGAUGAAAGGUGCAGAUAACCAUACGGUACCCCCGCCUACCACCUGACUUCCCGGGUCAGGGUUAACAGAAAUCGUUUGUACGGAUGAUCGAGGCCGUACCCGAAUCAAAUAAACAUGAAAAUGCAGUAACUAGGAAGUGAUCCUAGGUCGUUUCCCAACGAGCAGUGACAAACCAAAUGUUCAUAAUAUACUUGCAGUAACAGUAACGAUUGGGGGGGGGGGGGUUUGUUUGUUUUGUGAUUAAAGAGCAGAACAAGUAAAUUGGAAUACGAAAUUACUAAUAUUAAAAACGGGUUGUUUCCUUUGAUUCAGAAGCCAUUCUCUUAUCCUGGUUUAUGAAGAAUUCGUCCCUAACAGUCAACCACUUAAUCCAACCCUAUUUCAAUUUACUAAGCGAAAAUCAACUUAGGGUUGUAAAUACGUGAUUAGGCACCACAUACACCAGUUAGCCCUUCGUCCAUUAAGCAUGAACGCAAGUUAGGCUCAGAGGCAAUUAAUCGAACACGAAGCGUGCACUGAUUAAUAUUCACGAAUUUGGGAUAACUGGUGAAGGGAAAACUGCCAGGGAACCACAUUACAAGCGAAACCUCAAAGAGAGUUGGGCUUCAUCCUCAAAAGGAAACAACACCAGAAAAUCUAGCCUUCCAUGGAUUCAAACAGAAAACGCAAAUGAAACAUGAAGCAGAAACGUAAAUGAACAAAAACGUAAAUGAAAAGAAACGUAGAUGAAACAGAAACGUAAAUGAGAGUAGAAGAAGAAGCAAGAACGAAAUUGUAAUUAGAAUCAGAAAACGUAAAAUUGCAUUACGUGAACAGUAGCAUUAAGCAGAAAAACGAAAACCCUAAAACAAAAGCUCUGAAUAAUGAAUAGCAUAACAGAAUGCCUUGCACGAAUCCCAAGGCUGCUAUUUAAAAAGAGUCACUCAAAGUCACUGGGCCCUAUUACAAUACUCUGGCCCAAAACGAAAUAAACAUUGAACAACAUAAAAUAAAAUUGCGAAAUUUCCUAAUUAGAAAUUAACUAAGGUAAGCGCUGCUUUAUUUUCCCUCUUCAAGUCCAUAACCAAAAUCCGGAUUAAGCCCAAUGUUUCAUUAAUUCCUAAAAUUAGAUUAAAAACAUCAAAUUAGCUAAAUGAGCCCAAAUAAUAAAACUGCCCGAUUAACUGACAAUUAAGACCAAUCAGUAAUUAAAAUGGUGCAAAAAGGGUUUAGAAAAUAGAAGAAAAUGAUGGCACAUCAAAACCCCCCAUACUUAGCCUUUUGCACUCCUGGGCAAAAUGAAACAAAGAACAAAAUCCAAGGAUAUCAAAGAGAGACAAACAAACACAUUCAUAUAUUUCUCAAUGAACAUCAAGGAAUGAAAGGAAUGGGUAACAUCUAACAUAAGGAGAUCCAAAAAGUCAAGACAUUCAUGAAAAUCAUCCAAGCAACCCAAUCAUGGCAAAAUAGUUAAUCAGCUCAAGAAUGAAAAGUGAUAAAGCCUCACAAGAUAUACACUCUAUCUCUCAAGUGUCUAGGCUACUAUUUACCCUCAAAGCACCCAUGAAAGCAAACACCACAUAGACUUGGCAAGAUUCUAAAAUUGACAAUCAACCCACAAACACAAGCACAUGAGGAUCAAAAGGUCUUUUAAGGUUGUAAUGGGGCCAAGGACAAGGUAUGGAUAAAUAUGGAAUAAGUGGCUAAAUCCCAAAGGAAUAGAGGAGCAAAGGGGAAUAAGUGCAUAUUAAGAAAAAAAAUAAGAAAAUAAAAAGAAGUAAAGAUAAAAAUUAAACAUGAAGAGUAGAACCAAGAGUUUCAUCAUUCUUGUGCCAUUUAAGAUCUUAUUCACUCAACUUUAUUGCUUUUCUUUUUCUUUUUUCGAUUUUUUUUUCGAAUAUAUUUUUUUUUUACUCUAUAGCCUUUGAGAAACAACAUUUCAUUCAACAUGUCCAAAAUUUAACCAAUAUACAAUGUACAUCAAGUAUGGCCCAAAAUACAUCAUGAAGCAUAGCCAACAAAACAAGUUGUCCAAUGAAACAAAAACCCCCCAUACUUAUUCCCAAAACAAUUCCAAAGCUCCAAAAUUCCUUAAGGAUAUGGUGAUAUCAUGGUUUUUCACUUAAGGCUUGUAGUGAGCUUCAAAACAAGGAAAGGGAAACAAGGCUCAAAAGGGCUAUCAAAGGAAUUAAUUCAAGAUAAGUCUAUUUGGCUAGAAGCUUAUAAGAACAAAAUUGCCUCAAUCAUUUCCAAAUAUGCAUGUGAAUUAGGACGCAUCAACAAGAAUCAAGCCAAGGCUAUUGUGCAAGCAAUCAAUGGGGCAAAACACACCAAAUGAUUAUGAUGAUGGAUGGCUCAAAUUCUCACAAAGGUAAAAUCAUCACUUUUCAAAUUGAGCUUUCAAAACUAUCAUGACAUGUAGAGAAGAAUCAAGGAUUUCAAGUCACAAAAUGUCAAGAACUUUUAUUUUCAAAACAAUUACCCAUUUCUUGAACAUAUCCUAUAAUUCAAAGAAAACCAUGCAAAGUCGUACGUGCACACAAAAUUGACCCAAAAUAUUAAACUAAAAAUCCGACGAAACUAACAACAUUAACAAAUUAACACAACUAACAAAUUAACAAAACCAACAAAACUAGCAAAACCAAAGAACACUCCCCCCCAUACUUAAACAACACAUUGUCCUCAAUGUAGCACAAUUAAAAGAUUAAAAACAAUUAAAUCAUCAAAGAGAAUCGGACAAGUGUAAUAAAAGCAAAGAAGGAGAUAGGAAAAGAAAAACUCCCUAAGUCAUGGUGGAGGAAGAGUAGGGUGGAGUAAGGAAGUCUCUUCCACCACUACGUCCACUAAAGAAGGGUUCGUGAGGAAUGGCUUAAGUCGAUGUCCAUUGACCUUGAAGCUCUUGUUUGUGGAGUCGCUUUUGAUCUCAACUGUACCAUAAGGAAAAACAUUAGUAACAACAAAAGGACCAAUCCACUUAGACCUCAACUUACCACUCAUGAGUCCAAGCCUAGAAUUAUACAAUAACACUUUUUGCCCAACCACGAAGUCUUUUUUAACUAUCAUACUAUCAUGGAACUUCUUGGUCUUUUCUUUGUAGAACUUGGCAUUCUCGUAGGCUUCUAGGCGGAUUUCAUCUAACUCACUCAGUUGCAACUUCCUUUCCUCGCCAGCUUGAUCCAUAGAGAAGUUGCAAGUCUUCACUGCCCAGUAUGCUUUGUGCUCAAUUUCCACUGGAAGAUGACAUGCCUUUCCAAAGACAACCCGAUAAGGAGACAUUCCUAUGGGUGCUUUGUAGGCAGUCCGAUGUGCCCAGAGAGCAUCAUCAAGCCUGGUACUCCAAUCUUUCCUGCUAGGCUGCACAAUCUUCUCUAGAAUUCUCUUGAUUUCCCUGUUAGAAAUUUCUGCCUGUCCAUUAGUCUGGGGGUGGUAUGGUGUGGAUACCCUGUGUACCACCCCGUACUUUUUAAGCAGGGCAUGCAUUGUCCUGUUGCAAAAAUGGGUUCCUUGAUCACUAACAAUUGCUUUAGGUACUCCAAACCUGCAAAACAGAUUAGACCUGACAAAGUCUGCGACAACUUUAGCAUCAUUAGUUCUAGUGGGCUUGGCUUCCACCCAUUUUGAAACAUAGUCAACUGCAAGGAGAAUGUAAACAUAACCAAAAGAGACAGGAAAAGGACCCAUGAAAUCUAUACCCCAGACAUCAAACACCUCACAGAAUAGCAUAGGUUGCUGAGGCAUUUGUUGUCGCCAUGUAAGUGUAUUUCCUGCUCUCUGACACUGCUCACAAGUGUUGCAGAUCUUCCACGCAUCUUUAAAGAUGGUGGGCCAAUAAAAACCACAAUCAAGCACUUUGCGAGCUGUCCUUUGAACACCCAGAUGACCUCCCGGUGCGGAAGAAUGACAGAACUGUAGGACUGAGUCAGUCUCAUGAUCUGGAAUGCACCGUCUAAUGACCUGAUCACUGCACAAUUUCCACAAGUAGGGGUCAUCCCAAAUAAAAUGCUUAGCAUCACUUUUAAUUUUAUCUUUUUGGGCCUUAGAUGCUAAGGGAGGAAAAACAGAGGCAACUAAAUAAUUGACAAUGUUAGCAAACCAGGGAGUAGAAAGAGAGUCAGAAAUACUAUACAAUAUAUACAAAUGAUCAUCCGGGAAAUCAUCCCGAAUAGGUGAAUCUGCAUCAGAGACACAUUCGAUCCGACUCAAAUGAUCAGCAACUAGAUUUUGUGCUCCGCUCCUAUCACGGAUCUCCAAGUCAAACUCUUGGAGCCAGAGCAUCCAUCGGAUCAACCUAGGCUUAGAAUCAGCCUUCUUCAACAAGUACUUUAGAGCUGCAUGGUCAGUAUAAACAAUAAUGCGAGUACCAAGCAAAUAAGAUCGAAAUUUUUCAAGAGCAAAAACUAUGGCUAGAAGCUCUUUCUCAGUAGUAGUAUAAUUUGCUUGGGCAGCAUCUAAAGUCCUAGAAGCAUAAUAUAUCACCCUGGGCAAUUUAUCAGUUUUCUGAGCAAGGACAGCCCCCAAUGCAUAAUUUGAUGCAUCACACAUAAGCUCAAAAGGGGCUGUCCAGUCGGGUGCCUGGAUGAUGGGGGUGGUAGUCAACGCUCUUUUGAGGCAAUCAAAAGCCUCUUUGCAUCUGUCAUUAAAGUCAAACUCCACCUCCUUUUGCAACAAGUUGGACAAUGGAAGGGCUACUUUGCUAAAAUCCCUUAUAAAGCGCCUGUAGAAUCCUGCAUGACCAAGAAAAGAUCGCACCUCUCGCACACAAGAGGGGUAAGGCAAUUGUGAAAUAACAGAAAUUUUUGCAGGAUCUACUUCAAUACCCUUAUUGGAAAUAAUGUGGCCUAAAACUAUACCUUGCUCAACCAUAAAAUGACAUUUUUCAAAAUUUAGAACAAGGUUAGUUUCAAUGCAUCUAUUCAAAACUUUUUCCAAACUAUUCAAACAACCAUCAAAAGAGGAUCCAUAUACAGUGAAAUCAUCCAUGAACACCUCUAUGCAAUUUUCUAAAAAAUCACUGAAAAUACUAAUCAUGCACCGCUGGAAGGUACCAGGGGCAUUGCACAGGCCGAAAGGCAUCCUCCUAUAGGCAAAAGUGCCGAAGGGGCAGGUUAAUGUGGUCUUUUCCUGAUCCUCAGGAGCAAUAGUAAUUUGCAUAUAACCAGAAAAACCAUCAAGGAAACAGUAGUGGGAUUUACCUGCCAGGCGUUCAAGCAUCUGGUCAAUGAAUGGCAGGGGAAAAUGGUCCUUUUUGGUAACCUGGUUCAGCCUCCUAUAAUCAAUGCAGACUCUCCAACUAUUCUGCACCCGAGUAGGAAUUAGCUCCUCCUUCUCGUUUUUUUAUCACUGUGAGGCCGGUCUUCUUCGGGACUACCUGGACGGGACUCACCCAUUGGCUGUCAGAGAUAGGAUAAAUGAUUCCAGCUUACAAAAGCUUGGUUAUCUCUUUCUUCACUACAUCAAGAAUCACCGGGUUGAGUCUUCUCUAUGGCUGUCUUACUGGUUUAGCUCCAUCCUCUAAAUUUAUUCGAUGCAUACAUGUGGAUGGGCUAAUACCAGGAAUGUCUGCCAGGGUCCAGCCUAUAGCCUUCUUAUGCUUCUUGAGAACUGACAACAACUUCUCUUGCUCAUCAGCAAGGGAGGCAGAUAUAAUCACUGGAAAACUCUUGCUAUCAUCCAAGUAAGCGUAUUUUAAAUUUGAUGGCAGAGGCUUCAAUUCUGGUGUGGUCGGCUGGACAGUGGUAGAUGGGGAUGGUUUCUCAGCCUUUACCUCAUAAAGAAAGUCAGAGGUAUGUGUACUUCCUGAAACAUGGUUAGUCCUAUCUGACUCUAUAAAAUCAAUCUCAAGAGGUAAAACACCAUCACCAGGCAUGCAAUCAAUAUCACUCUCAGAUUCACUCUCAGCAUCAAAUUCAGACAUAUGAUCAAGUACAAUUUCAGACUCAAUGCAUGAAGAGUGAGAGGCAUGCAGAUUAGAAUAAAGAUCAGUCAUGUAUUCAUCAACAACAUGGUCAAUUAUUUCAGCACGAAAUACAGAAAGAUCUUCAGAUGGGUAUUUCAUAGCAUCCAGAAUAUUAAAAUGAACAGUUAUGUCACCAAAUUCCAUAGACAGUGUGCCUGCAUAAACAUCUAUCUUAGUUCUAGCAGUUUUCAUAAAGGGUCUGCCUAGAAUGAUGGGAACUGAUCCUUGAAAAAUCCAUCUUCCAUAUUCAAAAUAUAAAAAUCAACAGGGAAAAUCAGUUCACCAACUCUAACUAAGACAUCUUCUAUGAAACCAAAAGGGUAGGCAACACUUCUAUUAGCUAAAUGAAUUACCACAUCAGUUGACUGCAAGGGGCCUAGAGAUAGAGAAUUAAAAAUAGACAGAGGCAUAACACUAACAGAAGCUCCUAAAUCUAGCAUGGCAUUGUCAAACUUACUAUUCCCUAUGAUACAAGGUAUGCUGAAUGUACCUGGAUCUUUGCAUUUUUCAGGAAUUUGAGGAACAGAUUUACCAAUCAAUGCGGAGACAUUUCUGCCCAUGCUAAUCCAUUCACUUCCUUUAAGCUUCCGCUUAUUAGUGCACAGCUCCUUCAAGAAUUUGGCAUAUCUUGGAAUUUGCUUUAUCGCAUCCAACAGAGGUAUGUUUACCUCUACUUUUCGAAACGUUUCCAAGAUCUCUUUCUCUGCCUCUUCCAUUUUUUUGUUGGAAACUGCUCUUGGAGGGAAUGUAAGAGGGGGAAUGUGCUGCUUCUGCAAUUCAGAAUUACCUGUGGAAGAAGAUUCACCUGCACAGAAAUUGUUAGGUAAAUUUUUGUCAUCACCUUUUUCUGGAAUAGAGUGAAGUUUGGCAGGUUCAUUUUCAGAUGAGGACGGUGCUACGGGUUGAGGUCCUUGACAUUGCUUUCCCGACCUCAAUGAAAUGGCACUGACAUUUUUGGGAUUUUGGACAGCUUGAGAAGGCAGCUUGUCAGAAUUCUGGGACUGUUUUUGAUUCAAUUGGGUAGCCAAUUGUCCCAUCUGAUUGGUUAAGCUCUGAAUGGAGGCUCUGGUCUCUUGCUGAAACUGCAUGUUCUGCAUAGUCAUUUGCCUCACAAGUUCUUCGAGGGAAGGUUGUGGAGGGGCCUCAACUGUUGGCUGUUUCUGGGGUUGUUGCUGUUGUUGGAUUGGUGGAGGAAUGUAUGGUCUGCUUGGGCCAGCAGCAUUUUGGAAGGAAGGAGCAGGCUGCUGUUGUUGUUGCUGAGGGCUGGACCAUCUGAGGUUAGGGUGAUUCCUCCAUCCAGGGUUGUAUCUAUUGCUGGAGAGAUCAUAAUUGUUUUGUUGUGGUUGAUUUUGCUGCUGAGGUUGAGGAGGUCUAUUGUAAAUAUUUGCAGCAUAAGCUUCAGGCUGCUCAAUUGCUCCAGGUUGCUGCAUGGAAGGGCAAAGGUCUGUAUGGUGGUCAGCAGAGGAGCACAAACCACAAACCCUUGCAACAGGUACAGAUUUCUGAUUCAAGGCCAGCUGGGUUACCAAGUUAACCAAUGCAUCCAGUUUGCCUUCAAGCUUCUUAGUUUCAGAUGAUGCAGAUGGGUUUGUAGAUACCUCAUGCACUCCUCUAAUGACUAUGGCAUCAUUUUUGGCGCUAAACUGCUGGGAGUUGGAAGCCAUCUUCUCAAUUAAAUUUCUGGCUUCAGCAGGAGUCAUGUCUCCAAGGGCUCCACCACUGGCAGCAUCUAUCAUACUUCUCUCCAUAUUACUGAGUCCUUCAUAAAAAUAUUGGAGAAGAAGCUGUUCUGAAAUCUGAUGGUGGGGGCAAUUGGCACAUAGUUUCUUAAAUCUCUCCCAGUACUCAUACAGGCUCUCUCCAGUGAGUUGUCUAAUACCUGAGAUAUCCUUCCUGAUGGCUGUGGUCCUGGAAGCAGGGAAAAAAUUUUCUAAGAAUACUCUCUUAAGGUCAUCCCAGCUCGUGAUGGACCUUGGAGCAAGGUAAUACAGCCAGUCCUUUGCCACUCCCUCUAAUGCAUGAGGAAAAGCCUUCAGAAAUAUGUGAUCCUCUUGGACAUCUGGGGGUUUCAUGGUUGAGCAGACAAUGUGAAAUUCUUUCAAAUGUUUGUGCGGGUCUUCACCUGCAAGGCCAUGAAACUUUGGAAGCAAAUGAAUCAGUCCAGUUUUAAGAACAUAUGGGACAUCCUCAUCAGGGUAUUGGAUGCACAAGCUUUCGUAGGUGAAAUCAGGUGCAGCCAUUUCCCUUAGAGUCCUCUCACGGGGUGGAGGUUGUGCCAUGUUCUCAGAAUGUGCAAAAUCAGAAUGCUCAGAAUCAGAAUGCUCAAAAUUAUAAUGCUCAAGAUCAGGAUGUUCAAAAUCACCAAUAACAGAAUGCACAGAUUCACCAGUAAUGGAAUGCUCAAAAUGAUCAAAAGGUAUAAAAUGAUGCCUAACUAAUCUAUGAAAUGUCCUAUCUAUCUCAGGAUCAAAGGGUUGUAAGUCAGAUGGAUUACCUCUACUCAUACACUACAUUCAGCAUGCACACAACUAGUUGCCUUAUCAUGUAAAUAAAGGUGUAGGUUUGAACUACAGCUACCCUCAAAUGAUAUCCAAAUGACUUGAAAUUUUGUGAGCAACCUUAUAAAAUGAUGAGAAGAUAGCACAAAAAAUUUUAGACAAAAAUUCAAAGUCUAACUAUGAAAGCUAAAAAUGGUAAGUUAAGAAAAAUAAGUGAAUAAAACUUGAAAAAUAAAAAACUUUUGACAGAAUCGCUUUUUUUGGAUGAUGGAGACCUCAGCCGGCCUACGGCGGGCUACCACAGCGUAGGAAAGUUUUUUCUACCCCAAAUGCAUAUAUAAUAAUUGCGAUUCUGAUAACCGGAGCAAAAGUUAUGGCCGUUUGAAGUUUUGACAAACACAAAAUUUGCUAGUUUUUUGGAACUUUCAAAUCUGACCAAACUAAAGGCUCUAGCUAUUUUUCCCACAAAAUAUGGAUUAAAAGAAGUUACCACAAAAAAAUUCAGCCAAAAAUAACAACCCUAGCUACUAAAACAAAAAAUCACAAAUAAUUCAGCAUGGGUGGUCGCUAAAAUCCGUCUCUAAUUGAUUUCUACUACUACUCUGUUUUUGCCGCAAGCACAAUCUUCACAGCAAAACACCCAAGACUGAAACAGGGGAAACACUUAAUGGAAAAACUGAAACAGAACACACAUUAAACAAAAUACCGGGACACUAAACAACACUAACACACAUACUAACACAAUACUAACAAUUUAAACAUAAAACACGAAAGGAUUAAACACACAACACUAGCUAGCUAUUAUGAACCUUUGGACACUGCUCCCCGGCAACGGCGCCAAAUUUGAUCGAGGCCGUACCCGAAUCAAAUAAACAUGAAAAUGCAGUAACUAGGAAGUGAUCCUAGGUCGUUUCCCAACGAGCAGUGACAAACCAAAUGUUCAUAAUAUACUUGCAGUAACAGUAACGAUUGGGAGGGGGGGGGGUUUGUUUGUUUUGUGAUUAAAGAGAAGAACAAGUAAAUUGGAAUACGAAAUUACUAAUAUUAAAAACGGGUUGUUUCCUUUGAUUCAGAAGCCAUUCUCUUAUCCUGGUUUAUGAAGAAUUCGUCCCUAACAGUCAACCACUUAAUCCAACCCUAUUUCAAUUUACUAAGCGAAAAUCAACUUAGGGUUGUAAAUACGUGAUUAGGCACCACAUACACCAGUUAGCCCUUCGUCCAUUAAGCAUGAACGCAAGUUAGGCUCAGAGGCAAUUAAUCGAACACGAAGCGUGCACUGAUUAAUAUUCACGAAUUUGGGAUAACUGGUGAAGGGAAAACUGCCAGGGAACCACAUUACAAGCGAAACCUCAAAGAGAGUUGGGCUUCGUCCUCAAAAGGAAACAACACCAUAAAAUCUAGCCUUCCAUGGAUUCAAACAGAAAACGCAAAUGAAACAUGAAGCAGAAACGUAAAUGAACAAAAACGUAAAUGAACAGAAACGUAGAUGAAACAGAAACGUAAAUGAGAGUAGAAGAAGAAGCAAGAACGAAAUUGUAAUUAGAAACAGAAAACGUAAAAUUGCAUUACGUGAACAGUAGCAUUAAGCAGAAAAACGAAAACCCUAAAACAAAAGCUCUAAAUAAUGAAUAGCAUAACAGAAUGCCUUGCACGAAUCCCAAGGCUGCUAUUUAAAAAGAGUCACUCAAAGUCACUGGGCCCUAUUACAAUACUCUGGCCCAAAAUGAAAUAAACAUUGAACAACAUAAAAUAAAAUUGCGAAAUUUCCUAAUUAGAAAUUAACUAAGGUAAGCGCUGCUUUAUUUGCCCUCUUCAAGUCCAUAACCAAAAUCCGGAUUAAGCCCAAUGUUUCAUUAAUUCCUAAAAUUAGAUUAAAAACAUCAAAUUAGCUAAAUGAGCCCAAAUAAUAAAACUGCCUGAUUAACUGACAAUUAAGACCAAUCAGUAAUUAAAAUGGUGCAAAAAGGGUUUAGAAAAUAGAAGAAAAUGAUGGCACAUCAACGGAUAACUGCUUGGGUAUCUCCGCACGUCACCUGACUUCACGGGUCAGGAUUAACAGAAGUGCAGAAGACGACGUUAGUCUCUGCAUGCUACGGGACUUUGAGUCUGACGGAUAGCGAAAAGGUGUUUAUAUGGAUAACCACUUGGGUAUCUCCGCAUGUCACCUGACUUCACGGGUCAGGAUGACAAAGGUGCAGAAGACGACGUUAGUCUCUGCGCGUCAACGGGCUCGUUUGCCCCUGGUUGACGAAAGGUGCGGAUAACCAUACGGUACCCUCGCAUGUCACUUGACUUCACGGCUUAGGAUGACAGAAACCAUUUGUACGGAUAAUCGCUUGGGUAUCUCCGCAUGUCACCUGACUUCACGAGUCAGGAUGACAGAAACCGUUUGUAAAGAUAACCGCUUGGGUAUCUCCGUAUGUCACCUGACUUCACAGGUCAGGAUGACAAAGGCACAGAAGACGACGUAAGUCUCCGCGGGUCAAUGGGUUUGCUUGCCCCUGAUUGACAAAGGGUGCAAAAGACGACGUUAGUCUCUGCAUGCUACCAGACUCUGAGUCUAACGGAUAGCGAAAGAGUGUUUAUACGGAUAACCACUUGGGUAUCUCCGCCUGCCACCUAACUUCACGGGUUAGGAUCAAUAGAUAUUGUUUGUGCGGAUAACCACUUGGGUAUCUCCGCAUGUCACCUGACUUUACGGGUCAGGAUGACAGAAACCGUUUGUACGGAUAACCGCUUGGGUAUCUCCGCAUGUCACCUGACUUCACGGGUCAGGAUGACAAAGGUGCAGAAGACGACGUAAGUCUCCACGUGUCAACGGAUUUGCUUGCCCCUAAUUGAAAAAGGGUGCAGAAGACGAUGUUAGUCUCUGCAUGUUACCGGACUCUGAGUCUAACGGAUAGCGAAAGAGUAUUUAUAUGGAUAACCACUUGGGUAUCUCCGCCUGCCACCUAACUUCAUGGGCUAGGAUUAACAAAAAUUGUUUGUGCGGAUAACCACUUGGGUAUCUCCGCAUGUCAUCGGACUUCACGUGUCACGAUAGCAAAAGGUGGGGUGGUCGACAAAAGCGAGGCUUUUGCUCCUACGUAUCCUCAAUUCGUGAUGAGGAACUCAGACCUACGUAGUUCUUUCUUUUGUGAUGUGCAAGACUAAACUAGUCUCUAUCGAAAGAUGCUGACAUCUCCAUAAAGGGUGCAGAUGACCACAUUGGCCUCUACUUGUCAAUCGAACUUGGGGUCUCCGAAUGACGAGGUGCAAAUAACCGUAAGGUGUCUCUGCAUGCUACCGGACUCUUGGGUCAUGAUAGAAAAAGGUGGGGUGGUCGACAAAAGCGGGGAUUUUGCUGCUACGUAUCCUCAAUUUGUGAUGAGGAACUCAUACCUACGUAGUUUUCGAAAGCGGUGUGAGACUAAAAUAGUCUCUACCGAAAGAUGUUGACAUCUCCGGAAAAGGUGUAGAUGACCACAUUGGUCUCUGCUUGUCAAUUGGACUUGGGGUCUUCGAAUGGCGAGGUACAGAUAAUAGUAAGGUGUCUCCGCAUGCUACUGGACUCUUGGGUCAUGAUAGCAAAAGGUGGGGUGAUCGACAAAAGCGAGGCUUUUGCUCCUACGUAUCCUCAAUUUGUGAUGAGGAACUCAGACCUACGUAGUUCUUUCAAAAGUGAGACUAAAAUAGUCUCGGUGUUCUCUCACUAAAAUGCGAACAUGCUUUAGUAAAGAAACAAAACCUCCAACUGAUCAGAGCAACAUAUAAUUUCUGGUGAAAAACAAUGUGUCUAUCGGGGAAGGAGAGCAUGCUGAUAAAAUUUUCUCAUAACCACAAAUGAGAUUUCGGAUGUUAGCGUUUCGUUUCUAAAUGACCAUUUAGAGGAAACACUAGGUCCAACAAAAUAGAAGAAAAUCACUCGAAGUGUAUCAAUCUCACACAGGUAAGUGUUUUAUCCUAAUUUCGAACCAUAGAUAUGUCAUGACUUGAUUUUGCAAAUCAUUUCCUAUCAAAUCAAAGAUUACAUGCGUGAUCAUGGAUCAAGAAGACUUUUUCGGGAAUGGUGUUUUGGUGAGGAAUUUGGCUCUGAGUGUUUGGCCUUUUCCUUUUCUGUUUUUGUUUAGCGCGGGGCGAGAAAGUCGCUAGCGCACAUGAUUUUGGUUGGCAAUCAAAGGGAGGGGACCACUUCAAGUCGUGGUUUUCUUUCUUUUCUUGUUUACUUGUGACAAUUUUAAUAUUGUCUAGUCUGAAGACAUUUCUGUAUAUUUCUUUUGUUUUUUUCCGAUCUUUGAUCGGGAACUUUUUCUUUUGUUUUCUUCCGAUCUUUGAUCAGGAACUUUCUUUGUUCUGGAAGUGUGUUAGUAGCUCAAUAGUGAAUGACUUUUUUUUCUUGGGAGACCCCAUUGUUCCUUCUUCCGAGGACAAGGAUGAAAAUUCUCAUCCUGGGUCAAGGUUUAUGGUGGUUUGAGGUCUUGGGUCAAAAGGCUUGCAGAACGGCCGGACAUGAUGUAUGUCAAGGUGUUGGUUUGGCCAGCGGUUCAUGGAUAAAGGGGAUGUCCCACAUUUAUUUCCAUGACACACAUACAACAAUGAUGAUUUGGAAAUUUUAUGCAAAACUGGUCAUGCAUGCACCUAUGUGGACACAAGCAUCAAGUUUUUAUGGUCAUGUGACACUAGGGCUCAGGAUUCAUUUUUCCUAUUUAAGUCAACCCAGUGUUUCCAAAACAUGUUCUUUCAUCAAUUCAUGCAUUCAUCCGAGUCCAUUUUGGGCGUUCGGGAAAAUUUUCACAGCAUUCACCCUUCAGGUGCAUACACAUUUUUCUUCAAAAACCUUGUGUUCUGAAUGGCAAGUUCAUUUCCUUUCAAAAGCAUGUUGGCUUUUUGGCUAACCAAUUUUAUUUUUAUUUUACUUUUUCUGCUUUUUUUUUUCAUGAGGUAUUUUGUUACCUAAACAUAUGUAUAUUUUUGUGAGGUAUUUUUGCUAUAUACAUGCGUAUCCAAGGUAUCUUGCUACCUAAACACACACACACACACACACACACACACACACACACAGAUAUAUAUAUAUAUAUAUUGUGAGGUAUUUUUGCUAUAUACAUGCAUAUCCAAGGUAUCUUGCUACCUAAACAUACAUACAUACAUACACACACACACACACACACACACACACACACACACACACACACACACACACACACACACACACACACACACAUAUAUAUAUAUAUAUGUGUGUGUGUGUGUGUGAGGUAUUUUUUUGCUACCUAAAUUACAUACAUGCAUAUCUAAGGUAUUUUCGCUACCUAAACACACAUACAUAUAUUUUGUGAGGUAUGAAUACCUUUCGAGCUUGUGCUUGUUUUAUUUAAACUCCUAGGAUCAUGAGCAACUAGGUGUGUCCUACUAUGACUUGAGAAACAAAGGUGAUCAAAUAACAAGCAGAGAUUUAAAAGGUACUAGGUUGCCUCCUAGUAGCGCUUCUUUAACAUCUUUGAGCUGAACGCGUGAUGACUUGUCGGUCACGGACCUAGUACUUUUGCUUACCUUUGGCUUUGGACUUGGUCGCUUGCUAGUCGGUCAUGUGUUAUAGGCAAUGCUCUAACUUUUUGUGGAUGAGUUGAAGUGAACUCUAGAGGUGGUGGCGGUGCGUCUAUUGCCCGCUGCCGGCCAUCCCCAGGCUGUUGUGGUGUCUCGCCCUGCGCCUGCCUGGGGGCGCAAUACUUCUUGAUGAAAGCUUGGUUAGUAGGGGGCCUGAUGACCUUGCUGGGGGCAACAGGCACUCCGUAGAAAUGACAGAGGCCCGUAAUCAGAGUUGGAAACCCCAAGACCUUGUUGGACUUCUCCGGGUCCACUGGGUGUCUUGCGGGCGCAAUCCAUGCAAACAAUAGAUGACAUCAGAAAUCAGUUGAGAGAAGUGCAUACUUACCUAUGUCACGAUGGCAUGACCUUGCUGGGGGGGACGGCCACCCUGUAGGACUAAUAGAGGCCCGUAACCAGAGCUGGAAACCCCAGGGCCCUGUUGGGCUCCUUCGGGUCCACUAAGUGUCUUGUGGGCGUGAUCCCUGCAAAUAGUGGAUGGCAUCAGAAAUCAAUUGAGCCACGUGAAUACUUACCUAUGUCAUGAUAGCACAGACCAACUGACACAUCGGCAGGGGGAGAUCGGAGUUGUGGUGGUGUGCAUGAUCCACAUCAUUUCUUUGCAGCGGUUGGGUGAAAUCUUGCCCCGAUAUGCAUAGUAGCUGCACGAUAGCCUCCCUCUCUGGUUGUGCUCGCACAAUUGGUCGCCCUCCAAUAUCAGGGGGUGGCCCAGGAACUGAUAAAAGCAAACUACUAGCCCCUCACCCGGGAGCGCAUGCCUUGAUUAAGAAUUAAGGGCAGAGGACCUUAAGUCCUCUAAAGGCGCAGAUGUGGAGCCCUCUGAAAGUGAGGCCGUACAGCCCUCUGAAGGCGAGGAGGUGUAGUCCUCUGAAGGCGAGGGCGUGCAGCCCUCUAAAGGCGAGGACAUGUAGUCCUCUGAAGGCGAGGACGUGCAGUCCUCUGAAGGCAAGGACGUGCAGUCCUCUGAAGACGAGGACAUGUAGCAAUCUGAAGGCGAGGAUGCAUAGUCCAUUCAAGGUGAGGAUUUGUAGUCCUUUGAAGGUGACGACAUGUAGUCCUGAGAAGGCGAGGACGUGUAAUCCUUUGAAGGCGAGGACGUGCAGUCCUCUGAAGGCGAGGGCGUGUAGCCCUCUGAAGGCGAGGACAUGUAGUCCUCUGAAGGCGAGGACGUGUAGUCCACUGAAGGCGAGGACGUGUAGUCCUCUGAACGCGAGGGCGUGCAGCCCUUUGAAGGUGAGGACAUGUAGUCCUCGGAAGGUGAGGGCGUGUAGCCCUCUGAAGGCGAGGACGUGUAGUCCUCUGAAGGUGAAGACGUGUAGUCCUCUGAAGGUGAGGGCGUGCAACCCUCUGAAGGCGAGGAUGUGUAGUCCUCUGAAGGCGAGGGCGUGUAGCCCUCUAAAGGCGAGGACGUGUAGUCCUCUGAAGGUGAAGAUGUGUAGUCCUCUGAAGGCGAGGACAUGUAGUCCUCUGAAGGUGAAGAUGUGAAGUCCUCUAAAGGCGAGGGCAUGCAGCCCUCUAAAGGCGAGGACGUGUAGUCCGCUGAAGGCGAGGGCAUGUAGCCCUCUGAAGGCGAGGACGUGUAGUCCUCUAAAGGCGAGGGCGUCUAGCCAUCUGAAGGCAAGGAUGUGUAGUCCUCUGAAUGUAAGGACGUGUAGUCAUCUGAAUGUGAGAGCAUGCAACCCUCUGAAAGCAAGGACGUGUAGUCCUCUAAAGGCGAGGGCAUGCAGCCCUCUGAAGGUGAGGACGUGUAGUCCUCUGAAGGCGAGGGCGUGCAGCCCUCUGAAGGCGAGGACGCGUAGUCCUCCGAUGGCGAGGGUGUGUAGCCCACUAAAGACGAGGACGUGCAGUCCUUUGAAGGCGAGGACAUGCUGUCCUCUAAAGGCAAGGACAUGUAGUCUUGUGAAGGCGAGGACAUGUAGUCCUCUGAAGGCUAGGGCGUGCAGCCCUCUGAAGGAAAAAACGUGUAGUCCUCUGAAGGCUAGGGUGUGCAGCCCUCUGAAGGCAAAAACGUGUAGUCCUCUGAAGGCGAGGGCGUGCAGCCCUCUGAAUGCAAGGACAUGUAUUCCUCUAAAGGCGAGGGCGUGAAGCCCUCUGAAGGUGAGGACUUGCAGCCCUCUCAAGGCCAGGGCGUACAACCCUCUAAAGGCAAGGACGUGUAGUCCUCUGAAAGCGUGGACGUGUAGUCCUCUGAAGGUGAGGGCGUGUAGCCCUCUAAAGGCAAGGACGUGUAGCCCUCUGAAGGCGAGGGCGUGUAGCCCUCUAAAGGCGAGGACGUGUAGCCCUCUGAAGGCGAGGGCGUGUAGCCCUCUGAAGGCGAGAACAUGUAGUCCUCUAAAGGUGAGGACGUGUAGUCCUUUGAAGGCGAGGACGUGCUGUCCUGUGAAGACAAGGACGUGUAGUCUUGUGAAGGCGAGGAUGUGUAGUCCUCUGAAGGCGAGGUUGUGUAGUCCUCUGAAGGCGAGGACGUGCAGCCCUCUGAAGGCGAGGACGUGUAGUUCUCUCAUGGCGAGGGCGUGAAGCCCUAUGAAGGCGAGGACUUGCAGCCCUCUCAAGGCGAGGGCAUGCAAUGCUCUCAUGGCGAGGACGUGUAGUCCUCUGAAGGCGAGGGCUUGUAGCCCUCUAAAGGCGAGGACGUGAAGUCCUCUGAAGGCGAGGACAUGUAGUCCUUUGAAGGCGAGGGCGUGUAGUCCUCUGAUGGUGAGGGCGUGUAGCCCUUUGAAGGAGAGGACGUGUAGUCCUCUAAAGGCAAUAGGUUUUUGUACUGAAGGGUCCACCUCUAUGAGUAAGCAAAAGAUUGACUCAUCGAGAGGGCCUCUCAUCCCAAACUUUAAAGUUUGGACAUUAGAUGUUGGAAAUCUAUGCAGUUAACAUGAUUUUUAGGGAUGCAGAUGCAUGCAACCUUUGUCUUGAAAUGCGGUGAAUGCGGACUUCGUAUGCAACAAUGCAAUGUAAUGGAAAGUAAUACAAUGUUCAUGACAUUCUUUUUCUAUUUUGUGAUUUUGAUUUUGAUUUGAUUUUUUUGGAAAACACAGAUUGACUGUCCUUUUGAAAGAGGUGAUAAUUCAUGCAACCUUAUCAUAUCUUUUGCAAAUCUCUCCGGGAACUCCCUCAGAGUGUAUGUUCUAUUUGAUUUAGUCACUUGACCAUUUUGGAGUGACGACAAUGAAGUCGUUUGACGUUUAAUCAAUCCAUUGAAAUUCCUGGGUUUGUCCCCCCUUUUUUUGUUUAAAAACAUCGACGGGUGUGAACUUUUGAUCUGCUGCUAUGUUCACUUGAGGCUCAUGCAUGAUGCCCCUCAUUGCCCCUGUGUAAGGCUUUGAGGUACCAAUCGUUGUCUUUCGUCAUGACCUUGUAGCAGGGAACCUAUUGGGUGAGAACUUCUAAUCUACCCCUAAGUUCACUUGAGGUUCAUGCAUGGUGCCUUUCAUUGCCCAGUGUAGGGCUUUGAGGUAACCAUCGUUGUUUUGUUUCCACAACCUUGUAGCAAGGAAGAAUGAAAGAAGCGGUUGAUUCUUGCAAAAAGAAUUUUCCAAGGAUGAGAAACAGUUGAAGGAUUUUUCAGUUGACGGAUUAAGUCAAAUGACUCCUAUUCUUGAUAACUCACUUCUCUCUAAAAAAGACAAACUUUCCGAAAUGAUAAAAUGAGGUCACAUGAACGUCUAUAUUUUACUUGCAAACACAGUCAAUCAAAUUCUUUUUUCCUUUUCUUUUUGAACUUUUCUACUUUACUCGUUGUUUACGACAUCCUCACCAAAUGUGUAGCACGAGUAAUUUCUGAUUGAACGGUCUUGGAAGUCCAAACUCAGGAGCGCAUAUCGCUUGAGCAAACAAACCAAUGGCUUGCACCCACAUUCUAGUGGAAGCAAAGAUGUAAUUACGAGAGGAUGAGGGACAAAGAUGUCAAAUUUAUCCAUUUUAUUUAGCAUUGUAACUGUGGUUUACAAUAAUGGCAUAAACUUGAAAAUCCUGAUGAGUCAUUAGAGACAUCUAACAACAGCUUUCAAAAUUGCCCCAUGUGUGGUGUCGUUUGUCAAUGUUAGGAUUCACAAGCAAUUCUCCUCAAAUUUCAGCCAGCCCGCAUCAAUUAGACUUUGCACCUUACGCUUCGAGGUCAUACAGUGCUCAAUGGAAUGUCCCAGAACUCCUCCAUGAUAUGCACAUGUUGCGUUUGAGUUGUACCCUUGGAAAAAUGGAGGUUGAGGAAACCUAGCAGGGGUUAUGGCUACCAUUGCAUUAUCGAGUAGAUAAGGGAGCAAGUUAGCAUAUGACACCGGCAUUUGGGGUGAAUCCUACAGGCUUUUGCUGCAAAAUUCCUUUUUGGUUGGUGGUUUGGUUUGUGCUAAAGGUGGUGUUCGUCAUUGGAAGUGCGGUAGAUAGACUUUGUGGUUGAUUUAGGGAUGGCCUUUGUGGAUAGCUGGGUGGUGGGUAAGGAGAAGGGUUGUUAUUGGCUGAGUAAUGACAUUGUUGGGUUGGUGGGAAACUUGGCCGUAUAGGAAUGACAGUCACAGCAUGGGUUUCUCCCUCAUUCUCACCCUCUUCAUUUGCCCCAGUUUUUUUUUUUGCAUUUAUCAAAGCAUGAUGAUCAGAUUUGCCUCUUUUCAGACCCACUUCGAUCAUUUUUCUAGCGAAGACCAAAUCCGGAAAGCUUGAAGGUGUGUAACCCACCAUUUUUCAUAAUAGAACACCGAUAAUGUGUCUACUAUCAUUGUUAUCAUUUCUUUCUCCGUCAUUGAUGGAAACACUUGGGCUGCCUGAUCCCUCCACCUUUGGGCAUAUUCUUUGAAAGAUCCGUGCCCCCUCUUGCAUAUGCUUUGUAGUUGCAUCCUAUCCGAAGCCAUAUCAGAAUUGUACUUAAACUGCCUAACGAAGGCAACCAUUAGGUCUUUCCAAGAAUGGACUCGGGAAGGUUCCAAGUUAGUAUACCAGGUGAUAGCUGCCCCAAUAAGACUUUCUUGGAAGAAAUGUAUCAACAGUUUCCCAUCUUUUGCAUAUGCCCCCAUCUUCCGAUAAUACAUCUUUAGAUGGUUCUCGGGGCAAGUAGUCCCCUUGUACUUGUCAAAGUCCGACACCUUGAACUUGGGAAUGACCAUGUUUGGGUACUAGGAACAACUCUUCUACGUCAGUAAAGGCAUAAUCUCUGCCUCCUUCAACGACCCUGAGCCUUUCCUCUAGAUGAUCCAACUUCUCCCAUUUCUGCCAUAGCAUGAGGGUUUUUACCCGCUGUGGAAUGCAAGGGGUGGUUGGGGGCGAAAUUGAGGGCCCUCCAAAGUGUUUUACAGGAGUAUACCACCAACUACUUUCCCUUCAAUGGCAUAUCCGAGGCAAGGCUCAAAGUCAAAUAAAUUGUGGUGGGGCAUUUCAUGUGUCUCCCCCAUGGGUCAAGAGACAUGUGCAUGAUCAGAUUGAGGUUGUUGGCUUUGAAUGAGUAUAGGAGCGGAGUUAUUGACAUUCUCAUUGGGAGUGUACGCCACAUUGGGUGCCGUAUAGUUGCGAGGCAAGCCAUAUGGUAGGAAGGCAUGCUUGUUUUUCGCACUAAAUGAGGGCCGCCCGUACCUCUCAAAUCUUUGCCUACCAUAGUUGAGGUUGGAUGAUUCAUUUGGUUGAGGCCAGAUGGGGGCAUCGGGUUCACCUUAGCAACAACGUUGGUAGCGGCAAUUGCAACCGCAUUGGCUUCCAUUAUCUUCUUCAUGCUCAUCAUGGCCUCCAUCAUUGUGGCCAUUUGCUCUUUCGUGGCCUCCAUGUCGGCCUUCAUCUACUCUUGCACCUCCUCUACUACACCCAUUACUCUAGCUCUAGCACGGGUUCGGUAAGGGCGCCGUAAAGCGUGUUUUUUCCUUUUGAUAACAAUGAUUAAGUUUGUUUUUUUUUUCAAGGAAAGAAUGCAAUGAGCAAUGCAACCAAUGAAAAGCAUGGAUGUAUGCGAAUGAUGCACAGUUGAAGUAUUGCAAAUUUUUGCGCAGGACAUGGGGUUGAAUCAAUUUAGAUUUUCAACAUGGUCCAUGACAUCUUUGUCAAGGUUAAACUGGAAGUAACAAGGACAUCAAUAGUCCUAAAUGUGUUUGGCAGUAGACGAAGCAGCGAUGUAACUCGAUCCAUCUUUUGCCCCAAUUUUUGCAUGGUGGUUACUUCCAUACUUCAACUUGACUUGAUGAACCUUUUCAUAAAAGCAUGAGCUUGGUUCACCCCCAUAACCCAAGGAAUGGCAAUUUUGAUCGCCAAUACUUCGACAACAUUUCAUAGAGAUGAAAGACUCGGGAAUACGUAUGUUAUGCAUGGAAAAUGUAAUUAUGAGAUUGAGAUGCCCGAAGAAACAUCAUUUCCUAGUUAGCCACGCAUUAGGUACCAUGCUCAAUCAUUUUGUUUUGUUGUUUUUUUAUUUUAGAAAUGGGUUUAUGAUCCCAACAUGGUUGGCUCAUGGUACCUAACACAUGCAACUAAGAAUGUAGUGUGAAUUUUCACGCUUCCUUUUUUUGUUUUUGUUUUGCAGAGGAAAACGCAAGGAUCAUGCAUGAGCAAACAUGAAAACAAAAGGUAUGCGGUUUGUAGAACAAAAAGUAUGUUGAACGCAUAUGCAUGAUGAUGCAAUGACUCAUGCAAAAUGUGAUGCUGGAAUAUGAUAACGGACAAAUGCAGGAACGAUAUGUUAAUUUUGAUGCCAUGAAGAGAUGCUUAUGCGAUGCAUGAUAUGAAUGCAUUUACGGACACGAGAGCCCGGAAAAUGAUCUCUUUUUACUUGCACAUUCGGGGGCGCAGUGCCCCAUGUGUGCAGUUAAGAAGGUGAUAUGGACCUUCCGGCUUCCCAUGACAAAAGGCGAGACCAACAUACAACGCAUGUGUGACGACAUGAUGUUGAUGUGCAAAAGCGCAACAGGGGGAUGUACACAGCAUGGCAAUAUCCUCAAAUAAUCAUACAACAAAGGCGUACAUGACAUUUAGGUUAUAUGCAUGGCAGUGUUUAAAAGGCACACAAUGUGUUCACUUCAUGUCCCUAUUUUAGGGACCUAAACGGGAGGAACUAAAAGGCUUUUAGUGAUAAUUCCCAAGGUGAUCAUAUUUCUCUUGAUGGUUUCAGAGGUAUCAUCCCCUUCGAAAAAACAUAUUGCAGCAGUAGGGACUACCAGCAACAACAUGCUAUCAAAGAGAAAAACUCUAGAUGAGGGUUCACUGUUAUCAAGCAAGUCAGAGACCCAGCAUGACCACAGAUUCACCUCCACUCCUUAUGUUCCCAUGGACCCGGGUAUAGGGCCCCUUUACAACUCACCGUGUGUACAAAUAGUGUUGGUGUUUGUGUGCAUCAAAUGAAUAAAUAUCUAUCUCAUGCAUACAUUUCAAAAAAACACACUAAAAGCAUCAAAGAGUUAUAUACAAGAACGUAAGAGAAAUAAAAGGAAACCGACAAAAGAGGAAGUCAUAAUAUUGCACAAGAUUAGAAGGCCUAACUCUCUAAAAACAGUCCCCAGUGGAGUCGCCAACUGUCGCAACCUACCCUUCGGCGGGAGGGCGACGCGAGGCUCACGGGUGCGUCUUCCAUGGGAGGAAAAUGCGGGGAGUUGCCACUGAUGAAUGCUCCAUUGGAGCUUGUAGGCCUAGGAUCUUCUUCAUCAAUGGAUUCCUUUGCUUCUUGGAAGAUGAAUGGCAGCGGAAUGGAGAAGGAAGAGAGAGAGGAGACGCCACUUCAAGGAGAAGAUGAGUCUAGAAGAAGCUCACCACCAUAGGAGGCCAUGGAUAAGAGCUUGGAGGAAAAAGGAGAUGAAUGAAGGGAGAGGGAGGGAAGAGCACGGAAUUUUGUGCUCUAAAUGAGCUUUGAAAUCCGAAGUUUAAUAUUCAAAUGAUCAAAUUUUAAAAAAAAUGCACACACAUGACCUCUAUUUAUAGCCUAAGUGUCACACAAAAUUGGAGGGAAAUUUUAAUUUCAAUUCAAAUUUCACUUGAAUUUGAAAUUGAAUUUGUGGAGCCAAACUUUGGAGCCAAAAUUUCACUAAUUAUGAUUAGUGAAUUUUAGUUAUGGUUCAGCCCACUAAUCCAAGAUCAAUUCCAAGAUUCUCCACUAAGUGUGCUUAGGUGUCAUGAGGCAUGUAAAGCAUGAAGGACAUGCACAAAGUGUGACUAUAUGAUGUGGCAAUGAGGUGUAGUAAGCAAAUGCUCACCUCCCCCUCUAAAAUUUAAUUGGAUUGGACUUCUACCAAUUCAAUUAAAUUUAUUUCCCAACACACAUCAAAUAUUCACUUAGUGCAUGUGAAAUUACAAAAUUACCCCUAAUACAAAAACUAGUCUAGGUGCCCUAAAAUACAAGGGCUGAAAAAUCCUAUAUUUCUAGGGUACCCUACCUACAUUAUGGAGCCUUAAAUACAAGGCCCAAAAAUAAUGAAACCUUAAUCUAAUAUUUACAAAGAUAAGAGGGCUCGUACUUAGCCCAUGGACCCGAAAUCUACCCUUAAGGCUCAUAAGAAUCCUAGGGCCUUCUCUUGCAUCUCUGGCGCAAUCUACUUGGAGUUUUCUAUCUAAUGCCCUUGCGGGGUAGGAUUGCAUCAUUCACCAACGUUUAUUCGAGGAAAACGUUGAAAAAAUUGGAAAGGUGUGGUCUACGAACUUUAAGCGUGAAAGAUUCGGGAGUUAUUUUUACGCACAGGGAAGGUAUUAGCACCCCACGCGUCCGUCACAAGGGACGACAACCUUCAAUCAAGUGUGCAAAUAUGACUUUCAAAAUUAUGUAUUUUUCCCUUUUUAUAUUUUUAUAUCUUUUUAUGCCUUUAUGUAUUUUUUAUCUUUUUUGUGGUCGACAAGGGUGUUUCCCUCGCUCCUACGUGUCCUCAAUUGCGAUGAGGAAAUCAGACCUACGUAGUUCUUUGAGAACUAAACGUUGGUUAAGUUGUUUUUAUCUUUUUUCGCAAGGUAUAUUUUAACUGAACAAAAGGUCAUUUAAAGCGCUGGACCAUUAAACGAUAUUUUGAUUUUGAAAGGAAAGAAACGUUAAGGCGUUGGACCAUUAACGAUCUCUUGGUUUUUGAAAGUAGAGAAACGUUAAGGUGUUGGACCAUUAACGAUCUCUUGGGGUGGUCGACAAAAGUGGGGCUUUUGCUCCUACGUAUCCUCAAUUGUGAUGAGGAAAUCAGACCUACGUAGUUCUUGCAAAAGCAGUAAAGUUAUGUGUUAAUUUUAUGCUUUUGAACGGUCCAUGUUAACCGAUAAAAGCAAAGAGCAUCGUUUAAGGCGUUGGACCUUAAAACUGUUUUGAGUGACUUUUGUGAACGAAGCUUGAUUUGUUAGUUGAUUUUAGCCUUAGUUUCACUUUGGUUAUUACUCAAUUCAUUCAAGGAAACUUCCAAAGAAAAACGUCCGAUUGAUUUUUUUUUAUUAUUUUAUUCGAAGAUAUUUUGAUUAUUUUAUUAUUAUGUUUCCCUUUUUUGGUUUAACCGUGGUUACAACGUGAACAAUCAGUUGGAUUUUGUUUUAACAGUAAUUAAACGAGAUUACAACACAAAUGAUCAGUUGAAAUUCAUUUUAUCAUUUAUUAGGUGAGAAAACGGCUUAAAUAAACGGUAAAAAGCUCGUUAAAGUGUAAGAAAAGAAAACUGAAAGUAAGCAAAUUUAAAGUGAAAGUACACAAAACAAGUAGGGACCACUAAGGGUGCAUAAAAUGAAUUGAAAGAUUCAAUUUCGGGAACUUACCGGUUGAAGCUUGAAGAAUGACGAAGAACAAACGAAGAACGGUGAAGAACGAUGAAGAAUUUCCACAGAAUCUUUUACGGAAGCGUUACGGAAGCACUUCGACUCGAUUUUUCUUCACGAAAAAUGUGUUUUUUGCCCAAAAUAGCCAAAAUGCAUAGCCAAGGGGUUUGAAAUAUAUUUUUGAACCAGCCCCCCUCCCCUAUUUAUAGGGAAAAAGAGAGGUGCUUGCCAACCAGAGGCUUCUUGAGGAAGAUUUCUAAGCACACCCCAAUUACUAAGUUCACCCCCUUUCGUACUUUACGGAAAAGUUACGGAAGCCUUAUGGAAGUGUUUUGGAUUUGAUUUUCAUCUUUUUUCUCUUCCCUUUCACGAAUGUUAAGUGAAAUAUGCUUACCCAAGGUUUUCGAAAAUUUUACGGAAGCUCCGGAAACCAUUUUUUCAACAACGUGGAGGAGCUUGCUGCCUAGUUGCUUCCUCCUUAAGCAACCCAAUUUCCAAAAUGUUGCAGAAGGACCUAGAUUCGAAUGGCUAUUUACACCCCUAUUUUGAUAAGUUCACCCCCUAUUUUUGUGUUUUUGGCCGUUUUCUUUCCGAAAUCUCACGAAACUUUACGGAUUCCACCGUGAUGAGUGUUUAGCCUUCCGAAGCGAUAAACAAUGGCCCUCAGAUGAAAUUAGAGUGUAACAGUUUAUUUACACACCCCACUUUGCUAAAUACACUCCCGUUUUCGUGUUUUUGACCGGUUUAUUCUCGAAACAUCUCGGAACUUUACGGAUUCCACAAUGAUGGGUGUUAAACAUUUUGAGGUGGUCAAGCAAAAGUCGCAUGCCAACAAACAAUGGUCCCCGGAUGAAAUUAGGGUAUGACAAAACCCUUACUAUCUUAUAUUUUAUCUAUUUCUCCCCCUUUGUCAACAUCAAAAACAAAUCAUGAGUAGAGAGGAGAAAAAAAUUCAGCAAUUUAUAAUGAAUUAAAAGAGUAGAGCAUGCCAUACCGUUCAAAGUAUCAUUUCUUGGCCCAAAAAGAAAAUGUUAUCGCUUUUGGAAUAUAUGAGAAUCAAAUACAUAUUCAGUAUAAAUAAUCAAAAACAUAUAAUAAUAAAAAAUAAUCAUCAAAAGUAAUCGAUAGUCAACAUAACUCUCAAACACAAUCAUCAAAGACAAUCAAAAACAAUCAUCAAAGACAAGCAAAACUCAAUAAAAAAACAAUCAUCAAAAGUAAUCAUCAAAGAUAAUCAACAUAACUCUCAAACACAAUCAUCAAAGACAAUCAAAACUCAAUAAAAAACAAUCAUCAAAAGUAAUCAUAAAAAACAAUCAACAUAACUCUCGAACACAAUCAUCAAAGACAAUCAAAACUUAAGCAAAAAACAAGCAUCAAAACUCAAUCAAAAGUUAACAAUCAUAGGCAAAAAUAAUAAAAAAUAGACAAACAUUAAAAUUCUCUUGUUGGAAAAAUGGCCUUUAUCACAUAAUUGAUGAAUACUUAAUAAACUAUGCUUAAGAUCAUCAUUAAGUAAAGCAUUUUCUAUGGAGGUAGAGGGAUUCAUACCUAUUUUUCCAACUCCAACGAUUUUACCUUUGUUUGUUGUCUCCAUAGAUCACAUAUUCACUAUCUUUGGGAGAAAUAUGAAUAAACUUUGAUGCAUCUCCCGCCAUGUGUUUGGAGCAAUUGGUAUUAGUGUAUCAACUUUGCUUCAAGGAGUCCAUCAUUCAUAUAAUCAUAUUUUGAUUUUGGUACCCAAAUUUUCUUGGGUCCUUGUAUGUUAGUUUUGAGUAAUGAUUCUUUUGGAACUCAUACCAUUUUUCCAAUGCUACUACCAUUGAUUCUAAUAUAACAUGUUGAUGCACUAUGAUUUUUCUUUCUUACCACAAUAAAAGUAGUAGAACUAGUAACAAGAGUAAAUUUGGCAAUAACAAUUUUUAAAUCUUCAAAUUUCAAUUUCAAAUUUCAAAUUUCAAAUCAAAUUUCAAAUUCAAUUUCAAAUUUCUAAUUUCUAAUUUCUAAUUUCAAUUUUUAAUUUCAAAUUUCAAAUUUUAUAUUUCGAAUUUCAAAUUUCAAAUUUUAAUUACAAAAUUUCCUUUUCUAAACUUGAAAUAGUUUUCUUAGAAUAUGAAACUAAUUUGACAAGUUUAACAGAUUCUUUAUGGAAACCAUUGAAUGCAUCAUGGAGUUCAUCAAAAGAAAUAGAUAAGUCAUAGUUAGAAGACAUUACCUCUUCUUCGCUUUCAUAGUCUUUGGCCAUGAAACCCAGAUUUAUGAUUUCAUAUUCUGAAUCACUUGAAGAAUCCAUGUCAUUAUCUUCCCAAGUGAUGUAUGCUUUCUUUUUCUCUUGUCAGAUUUUUCCAUUCUUCCUUUAAAGACAGGAAAAUUGAAUCUCAAGUGCCCAGGUUGAUUGUAUUCAUAGCAUUUUGGGACUAAGGAGGAAUCUUCUCCUUUCUUCUUUCAAUUGAUAUUUGAUCUCCUUUGAUUUCCUUUGUUUCUCAUAAAUUUAUUGAAUCUCUUCACAAAAAAAAUCUGAAACCAUCAUCUUAUUCUUCUCUAGGUUUUUCUAUAGUUGCAUUUCUGACUACCAUUGUAGGAAUGAAGGGACCAAUUUCAAUGGCUUCCCAUAUAUUUAAAUCUAUUGCUUUUAUAAAGAUCUGCAUACAGGUUUUCCAAUAGUGAUAACCUUCACCAUUGAAAACAAGAGGCCUAUUAAUAGAAUUUCCCUUAGGAAAUGGAAAGUUAGAUGAGGCCAUAAUUAUUCUUGAAGUUUUUAAACUUUAAACAAGAAUCCUACUCUGAUACCACUUGUUGGACAAGUGGCAUCAAUAACUUAAGAAGGGGGGGGGGGUGAUGUGAACCUUACGGGGCGGAUCGUUUGAUAUAGGCUACGGAGAUUUGCAUGACGCCACUUCCGGUGAAGGAAGAUAAGUCAGGGUAGACGCCACAAGGGUUACCUUUAUAAUUCUGAGAUUGGUUCAACAAGGAACCCAUAGAGAAACUCUCACCAAAUUUUGUCAAAUGCCAAAAGUUUCUCUUUAUUGAAAAUAAAAACCAAUACUUAUAGUGUAUCUGAACAAAAAGAUAAAAAUAGACAUGGGCCUUCUAAAUAGUUUGGGCCAAAAUUACAAUAAAUAAAAAUUAUAACUAAAAACAUAUUUAACUUGGGCCUUUAAAUUAGUUUGGGCCUUCACCAACAAUUAAUAGUCUUGAUAGUGUCUCUGCCUCUAGGCCUUCAUCCUUCUCCACUUGGACCUUCAUCCUUCUCCACUUGGGGGCUUUAUCCUUCUCCACUUGGGCCUUCGUCCUUCUCCACUUGGGCCUUUAGCCUGUAUUUGGCCAGUUUCAGGAUUCUCAUCAGGGGGUGAAUUAAGUUUCACAAUUUUCCGACUAACAAACUUUAACCCCCCCUUUUAAAUGAUAAACUUAGAAUGCAGAAGAAGACGAAGAAGCAAUUAAUUUAACAAUGUUAUUUUAAAUGCAUAAGAUAAAAUUGAUUGCAAUAAAAAAAAUGAGAUGAAGGAAGAGAGAAAUGCAAACUCGAUUUAUACUGGUUCAGCCACUUCCUGUGCCUACAUCUAAUCCUCAAGCAACCCACUUGAGAUUUUCACUAACUUUGUAAAAAUCCUUUUUACAACUUCUGAACACCCGAGGAAUCCCUUUCUCUUGUGUUCAGGAUACUCACAAUUCAAGAGACAACCAGUCUCUUGAUUACAACUGACUUUUGAGAUAAACAAAAAGAUUUCUCUCCUUUAGAGUGGAUGAUACAAAUUGAAAUUCCUGGAUGAACUCUCAAUAGAUUUGUAAGUGUUUGCCCAAGAGUUGUUGAGAGAACAUUUGGCAAUGAAGUUCUCUUAGAAUAUCUCUUUCUUGCUUUUCAAAGUUAGACACACAUAUAUAUAGACCCUUCAUGCCUUUUCAAAUUGCCCUUUGUGCCUUUUUAAAAUGGUUUGAAGAGAUUUGUCUUUUCAAAAAGCUUUUUUUUGAAAUUCUUCACUGGUAAUCGAUUACAGGAUUCUGGUAAUCAAUUACACAGUUAUAUUUUGAAGGGUCGUGACUUUUCAAAUUGAAUUUCAAGAGUUCCAUUGCUGGUAAUCGAUUACACAUCAAUGGUAAUCGAUUACAACUUUUAAAUUCAAAUUUCAAAACCCUUCUAAAAGUUGUUUAUUCAAAAUUGUCUUCUGGUAAUCGAUUACACUGCCUGGUAAUCGAUUACCAUAACCUUGGAUGUCUUGGAAACACUUUGUUUUGAGGCAAAGCUUGAUCUUGAAUUAAUCUUGAAGCAAUGCUUGUUUGUUGAAGCAACUUUGUAUUAAUCUUGAAGCAAUGCUUAACCUUUGAAUGUUUGUUGAAGUAAUCUUGAACGCAACCUUGUUUGAUUAUUCUUAGGCAUCAUCAAAAUCAUGUAUUCAUACAUUCACACAGGCAAGCUUGAAAAAUCACCAUCUUCAUCUUCUCUCCUCAUUUUUCUCUUUGAGAACCAGACUUUAGGUUUCUUCCUUGUGAAUUCAACCCCAUGGUUGCCUUUGGGAGGAGAUAGCCAUGGUUGUAUUGAGCCUCCAUUUUAUCUUUCUUUGUUUUACAUUUUCAAUGAAAAGAAAAAGGGUUUGUGAGAAAAAUCUAUUUUUCUUGAAAAAUGGUUGUGAAACUGAAUGCAUGUGUUUUUCUUGUGGUUGUUCUUCUCUGUAUUUUCUUUGAGAAAGACUUUAAGAGAGGCAGUGGCUGGAAGUGUGUUUUCUCUGUAACAACCUUUAUUAUCUCAAGCUUUUCUUAAGGUUUAACUUUGAUUUUUUGUGAUUUUUUCUUGAAUCAAACUAAAUACAAAAUGCAACAACCUCUCUGUUUUAGAACCCUUGUUAGAGGAGCUCAAAUGGUGGCUCAUCAAUGACAUGCAAGGUGAUUGUCAUGUUUUGCAAUUUAGGUCUGACAGUGUGUAGUUUUUAUCAAUUAUACGCUUUUGUGGUGAUGACCUUGAAAAUGUGUUUGCUGAACAUAAAAAUAGAGAGAAGAGGCUUUUUAACCAUGUAUAUUAGAAAAAUUAUAAAGGUUACCUUCAAAUUUUAAUUGGCAAAAGAAAAAAAUAAAACAGAGUAGUUGCUAGAAUGUCUAUUUUUGAGGUCAGGAAAAGGUUUUGAAAGGAAAAUUUACUAGGAAUGGUAGAAAACGAAAUUUGGCAAAAAUUUUUAUUUUGUUAGAUUGAAACUAGAAAAAGUAGCAUUAAAAUUAGGUUUGGUAAGAGGGUGAAAAUUUCAAAUCUUUGAAUUGUGUCAAAACUAGGAACCUCUCUAUCUUGCUGCCUUGUGGAAUAUUUAGGAUUUAUUUUAUAAAUUUUUGCUAAUCAAUUGGAUUACCAUGUUAGAAAGUUAAGGAAAUUAUCUUCAAGGAAAUGUAAAAAGUUUCUUUGAAAAAAAUCUUUAGCUAAAUUUCAUCGAGCCUUGAAUCUAUUAUGUUUUUUAGGGAUUAGGGUUUUGGUGCAUUAUGCAUUUUUUGUGAUAAAUUUGCUUAUUUUUUUUACUAAGUGUUGGCUUGGUGAAUUUAAUUAUUGAUAUAUGCAUCUAUGCUUUGUUUUGAAUGGUUGAAAGACCUAGGAAGUAUGAAUCCCAAACAAAUAUUAUUUUUGUGUGCAUCAUUUUAUUUGGAGACUGGGAGGUGUGACUUCGGAUGAUGUGGAUUGUUGUAUAGAAGUUCAUAGGGACUCAGGCACAAGUGCUAGUGUGACUUGAAAUAUAGUGUGCUUGAGAGGCAUGCAAGUGGACAAGAAUACAUAGUGUAAUGACCUUGUAUGUCAUUACAUGAAACACUAAAACUCUUCAUGCGAAAAGAUUCAUUUUAGUCCUUUAAAAGCUCUUGGGUUUCUUUAUAAAUGAAAAUGUGUAAGAAAUUUUCAUGAUUUCAAGCAUGUCAUAUAAACAUCACAUAUAUAAAAGUCCCUAAGUCAUAAACCAUAAGGUACUUGUGCCCUAAGGCACUUCAUCAUCAAAACAUCAUAAACAAGUCUCCAAAACAAACCUCAAGGGUCUCAUUAAGGGAAUAUACAACGUAGAUCCAUGAAUAUAUCUAAACCAGAAGUUGGUCCCCACUAAGACAAAACUUAAGUAAAAGACCAUGGGUUGGAUCUCAUCCCUAAUUCCACCACCAAGUACACAUAAAUCAUGAGUGAUAUGCUCCUCAUAAGCUACAUCAUAAUUUACUCUCAUGUUAAAUGAUACAAUCAUCACAAUUCAACAUAAAACACAAAGGUAAGCUCAUUUUAUAAGAAGUACCAUAUAAUUGAAACCAUACAAGAUCACCAUUUAAAAAGAGAUAUAGAAAAAUCCUUCACAUUUUCGAUAACAAUGUAAUUAUACAACUCACCAAGUAACACAUCAUUCUCAAGUCAUAGUUAUUAAUGUACAUGUCCAAUUAUCAUGUUACGUCAUGCUGACUCUUUACUCCAAGGAGAUUUCUGAUAAUGAUUGUCGAAUCGUUCAAAAACAAAUAAAACUAGGAAAUUUUGUAGCACAAGAUUAACUUAGGUCGAACUCAGAAAUAUAAUUCAUUAUGAUUCUUACAUUCAUUCACUUAUAACAAAAAGGGGGGAAUUUCAUCGAACAAGCUGUAGGCAAUUGUAAAAGAAUGCGAAAAUACAAAAAUAGAGUUCAAGAAAUAUAAAAGAACAAGAACAUAAUACACUUCUAGAUUAAAAUCAUCAAUCCAAUUCACCAAACCAAUGCAAAUCAAAUUAUCACAGUUACUACAAAUGAUGUUCAGUGUGAAAAUUCACUCAAAUGUAUUAGAGAAAGUUCAAUCGAAUCAAUCUCACUAAAUUGUUUGAGAUUGCAAAAUAGGUUGGAAAAUCAUUCAAACAAUUUGUGAUUAAAUUUCAAAAUUAGGAAAUGAAUCCAUAACCAAAUCCAUUUUCAAUCCUAAACAUAAUCACAAUCAUGAAAAAUGAAAAUAGGAUUGAAGAGUAAGAAGAACAUUCACAAAGAGUAGAAAAACCAAACUAGAACUCAAAUUCAGCCUUGCUUGGAGUGGAUCCUUGGGUUGCUUAAUUUUUUAGCCCUCCAUGAUCAUCACCAAUGGAGAAACCAUGAAAUUUGUUCAAGAAAAUGGUGGAACAGAAGUGAAAAGAUGAAGAAGAAUGCUUGCACAACAAGUUUUGUACAAAAUGAAGUUCAGUCACUAACUAACUAACACUAAUAUAUAGAGUGUUAGUAACUAACUAACUACUUAACUAACUACUUAACUAACUAACUACCUAAUUAAACUAAUUACACAAAGCAAAAUCCCAAACUCGCAACCCAAUUCUUCAAGUGCAAAGGUUCUGACUUCUAAGCUCAAUUUGACCCUCAAAAUGGUAGAAUUGGCCAAAGCUUAUUUGUAAAAAAAAAAUUGAAUAUAUUUUUCUCAUAUUUUAGGGACUACUCACAUGUUAUAUUUUGAGUUUUGCAGUGUCCUCUAUGCCUUGCACAAGGCAAAUAGGUCAGGUAAGCACAAAAUCUGAAAUUUAGCUGCAAUUCUCAAUUAAGCUCAAUCAUUUGCCUUAGACUAAAACUGAGUUAGGGAGAGAAAAUAAGAUUCAAAGAGAUAUCAAUUGAGCUAAGAAGAAUAUAAAAAUAUUAACUAUAAAUGCUCAAUCAAUUUCAUCCUUUGAGCGAUUAACACAAGCAUAUCCCUUCACAUAUGUCACGCUCUAUGAUUUGACCAUUUGGGGAGACUUGAAAUAACCUUGCAGAGGAAGUAUGGUUUUAUCAAAAAACAUAUGAGUGUGGAUAAUGGCUUAUGAUGCAAUCCUACCCCCCAAGGGCAUUAGAUAGAAGACUCCAAGAAUGUUGGACCAAAGAUGCAAGAGAAGGCCCUAGGGUUCUCAUGAGCCUUAGGGUAGAUUUCGGGCCCAUGGGCUAAGUAUGAGCCCACUUAUCUUUGUACAUAUUAGAUUAAAGUUUCAUUAAUUUUGGGUCUUGUAUUUAGGGCUCCAUAAUGUAGGUAGGGUACCCUAGAAAUAUAGGAUUUUUCAGCCCUUGUAUUUUAGGGCACCUAGACUAGUUUUUGUAUUAGGGGUAGUUUUGUAAUUUCACAUGCACUAAGUGAAUAUUUGGUGUGUGUGGUUGAAAAUAAAUUUAAUUGAAUUGGUAGAAGUCCAAUCCAAUUAAAUUUUAGAGGGGGAGGUGAGAAUUUUCUUACUACACCCCAUUGCCGCAUCAUAUAGUCACACUUUGUGCAUGUCCUUCAUGCUUUGCAUGCCUCAUGACACCUAAGCACACUUAGUGGAGAAUCUUGGAAUUGAUCUUGGAUUAGUGGGCUGAACCAUAACUAAAAUUCACUAAUCAUAAUUAGUGAAAUUUUGGCUCCAAUGUUUGGCUCCACAAAUUCAAUUUCAAAUUCAAGUGAAAUUUCAAUUGAAAUUCAAAUUUCCCUCCAAUUUUGUGUGACACUUAGGCUAUAAAUAGAGGUCAUGUGUGUGCAUUUUUUAAAAACUUUGAUCAUUUGAAUAUUAAACUUCAAAUUUCAAAGCUCAUUUAGAGCACAAAAUUUCGUGCUCUUCUCUCCCUCUCCCUUCAUUCAUCUCCUUCUUCCUCCAAGCUCUUAUCCAUGGCCUCCUAUGGUGGUGAGCUUCUUCUAGACUCAUCUUCUCCUUGAAGUGGCAUCUCCUCUCUCUCUUCCUUUCUCCAUUCCACUGCCAUUCAUCUUCCAAGAAGCAAAGGAAUCCAUUGAUGAAGAAGAUCCUAGGCCUACAAGCUCCAAUGGAGCUUACAUCAUGUGGUAUCAGAGCAUCUUCAUCUAGGUGAUGUUCUUUUGUUUCCUCUAUCUUUUUGUUCGGUGAAUUCUCUUUAAUUCCUUGUUCUUCAUCUUAUUCUCCUUGUAUAUCCUCCAUUGUCUUGUGGUUUGGUUCUGUUUAGAGUAGAUUAAAAAAAAUAAACCGAUUAAAUCUUAGAUCUACACUUGUUCUUGCAUUUCUAUGGUUCAAAUUUUGUAGAUCUACUCUUGAAUCAUGUUUUUUGUGUUGAUUUUAGGUUCUAUCAUUUUUCAUUCAUAAUAUUCUUGUGCUGAACCUUUAGAUCUAAAUUUUCUUCCAAAAUAUUGAUUAAAAAAAAUACAAAAAUCUAAGUGUAAAUCACUUAAUCCAUGUUGUCUUAGAGUCAUGUUUAGUAAUAGUAAUUGUCACAUUAUGUUCUAAGUUUGUGUUGAAUUUUUAUUUUGUUGAUUGAAUUCUAGAUACAUUUGUUCAUGUAUUCUUGUCAUUAUUAGCCUAUCUUUUGAAUUUUGAGUCUAAUUCAUGCAUGUUAUUUAGUUCAUAACAUGUUCUAAAUCAAUUCCUAGAAGUAGUCUUGUUCUUGAACUUUUUUUUGUUUUCUAAGUUUCCUACAUGAUGCCUAUGAUGAAGUUGAGUUGUGGUGCUGAGUUGUGGCUGGAUUUGUGAAUCAAAAUAAGUCUUAAGCUCUCUUGAAUUGUGUUAUUCAAGAUAAUUGAGCAUAAGCAAACACAAAUUGUAACUAUCCAAGCCUUAAGCAACAUAAACACUACUCUUGAUUUCUAGGUUGAAAUCGCUGGUGCUGGCAGCUUGAACAUACGAACUUGUAUAAAUCACUGGGAAUUGGUCACUACGUUUUUUGAGAUGAAAGUUUUACUGAAUUUUCUAGAAAUCUGAACCAAAAUUAUAUAAAAAAAGAACCAAACGAUUUGGAUUAAAGGAAAAAAUAAGAAAAAUCGCACAAGUUGGCAGAAAAAUCAGUGUCCAGGAAAAAAAAAGUGAAAGGAAAGUGUGCUUGUUGUUUUGGCUCAAAAUUUGCUCUAUAAUUGGUGCCUAUUUUAUACCAAUCCUAGUUCUGAAAUUUCAAUUGAAAAUUAUUGUGAAAACCAGUGCCAAAACUAGAGGUUUCUUGAGUCUUUUUUUUUUUAGUUUUUCUACUCUACUCUAGAGCCAUUCUAGGUUUCUCUUUGAGUCCUAGCUUGCUUUUUUGAGCUUUUCAUUGCUUUAAUUGUUGAAUAAUCCUUGGAAAUUUGUCUUGUUAAAACUCUAUUGGUUUAGCUUUCAUUUCAUUUUUUUGUCUUUGGUUAUUGCUUGUCUCUUUGUUUCCUUGCUUGUGAGUUGCCAUAUAGGGAAUUGGAAAGGAGGAUUGGUGCCAUAUCUUGAAGAAUUUGAGUCAAGAGGCAAGGGGCAACCACCUUAAGAGCUAUUUGACUAAGAAGCACUCCAAAUUGAGUGAAAUACUAAAGAGAGAAUAGCCACCACAAUUGAGGACUUUUUUUUUUUUGUAAUUUUGUAAUUGGCAAUUUGUUUUGCUUUCAAAUUUUGUAACAAAAAGGUCUUUCAUUGGAAGUAAGUUGGGAGCCUCCAAUAGGUCACCCUACUUCCAUUUGUGUGUAAUAAUUUUAGGCAAUUUUCCCUUAGGAUAGUGAGUGUUUUGUUGGGAACCUUAAAUGAGGUCAUCCAAACACUCUUAGGAUCCGCCUAGUUUGCAUUUCUUGCACUUUAAUUUCUUGCUUACUUUCAUAGCUUAUUUCCUUUACCCUCCAUUGUCAAACCGCCUAGAUAGCUUGCCUUUUACCAAUUAGUUUUUACCUUAUCUUUCACACCUCUUUUAGUGUUUAUUUUGGAUAAUUUCAACCAUAGUUUCUUUUACCUUUUGUUUUCAAACCCCCAACAAGAAAGAACCACAACUUAGAAACCACCAUGAGUCUUGAUUCUUCAUCUAGUAUUAAUGGUGAGGGUUCUACUCCUAAGGACCCCUUGUAUAAGAUAUUAGAUGAGUUGAGAUCCCUUAAGUUGUGGAAAGAAAAACAAGAGAGAAAAGAAAAAGGAAAAAAAAGAGCGAAAGAAAUAAGUCAAGAUGAAAAAGAGAAAAUAAGGGAAGAAUAAAGAAGGAAAAUACUAAAAGAGUUAAGAAAAGAAAAACAUGCCUCCUAUAGUAGUCAUAACUCUUGCAAGAGCCUAAGUGAAGAACUUCGUGACUAUUAUGAAGGAAGGCAUAGGUCACAUCUUAGACCUCACUCCCAUAUGAGAGAAAAUGAAAGAAAGUCUCAAGAGGCUAACAUUAACCUCCCAUACUUCCAUGGGAAGGACAAUGUAGAGGCUUACUUAGAUUGGGAAAUAAGGAUAGAGCAAAAACUUAAAAGAAAGUCUACUUUAAAAUCUUAUGGAUCUCAUUCUUAUCCAAAGAAAGACCAAGGUCUAGGCAUCUUAGGGGCAGCACCUUCUAAGCCCAAAGAUGAUAAGGGAAAGACAAUAGAAAAACAACCCCCUAAGGCUAGUAUGCAAGACAAAACUAGCUCUAUAAAGUGCUUUAAAUGUCUUAGAAGAGGACACAUUACUUCUCAAUGCUCCACCAAAAAAACCAUGAUUAUGAGGGGCCAAGAAAUUUAUAGUAGCCAAGAUAAGGCUACUACUUCACCUUCCUCUAGUGAAAGUGAAAAAGCAAAAGGGGAAGAAUCUAGUGAAGAAAUCUACCCCCAAGAAGAAGGACAACCAUUAGUGGUUAAAAAGAAGUGUAAGGAGGUAAGUGUCUCCUCCAAGAGGUUAGCUAAGAAGGAAACUCAUUUUACAAUAAAGACAAACAUUAAAGAAACUUUCCCUCUUAGACAACCUCCACAUUUUCUCUUUUGUAAAAAGACACUUAUUCCUCAAGUAAAGAAGUUGUUGGAUGAGAGUUUGGUUUGCAAGAGCUUAAAUCCUUGUGCUUUGUUGGUGCCCAAAAUAGGUAUUAUUAGGCACCAAAUCCCUAUGAUAGGUGGUAUGAUGAAUGUGUUGAGUGGUGCAACCCUCUUUUGUAAAAUCACUCAUGCACCCAACAUCUUCAUGAUUUGUGUACAUAAGGACUCAUUAGGUAGGUUUGUUCUUAUUUUUUGUUUCAAUGCAAACCUAGGUGCUCAUGUGGGACACUUUAGGUCAUUCCUGAGUGGCCUACUCCACCAAGUCUAAGGGAAAUUUGGGGCUUCAAUAUCUUAAUAAACUUUUACAAAAGGUUUGUCCCAUAUUUUUCUAUAAUUGUAGCACCACUCAUUAAGUUGGUGAGGAACUAUAUUCUCUUAUGGGAAGAUGGCCGGGAAAGGGGUUUUCAGUCCUUACCGUACUCUAACAUACCCAACAUCACUAAUACAUAUGUUUUUAUUCUUUUUACAUGUGUUGAGGAAAGAAUUAAUGAGUUUCAAGAACCUCUGGAUUUGAGGUCAAAUCAUUUUCAAGGGGGAGGGAAUGAUGCAAUCCUACCCCCCAAGGGCAUUGGAUAGAAGACUCCAAGAAGAUUGGACCAAAGAUGCAUGAGAAAGCCCUAGGGUUCUCAUGAGCCUUAGGGUAGAUUUUGGGCCCAUGGGCUAAGUAUGAGCCCACUUAUCUUUCUACAUAUUAGAUUAAGGUUUCAUUAACUUUGGGUCUUGUAUUUAGGGCUCCAUAAUGUAGGUAGGGUACCCUAGAAAUAUAGGAUUUUUCAGCCCUUGUAUUUUAGGGCACCUAGACUAGUUUUUGUAUUAGGGGUAGUUUUGUAAUUUCACAUGCAUUAAGUGAAUAUUUGAUGUGUGUUGGGAAAUAAAUUUAAUUGAAUUGGUAGAAGUCCAAUCCAAUUAAAUUUUAGAGGGGGAGGUGAGCAUUUGCUUACAACACCCCAUUGCCACAUCAUAUAGUCACACUUUGUGCAUGUCCUUCAUGCUUUACAUGCCUCAUGACACCUAAGCACACUUAGUGGAGAAUCUUGGAAUUGAUCUUGGAUUAGUGGGCUGAACCAUAACUAAAAUUCACUAAUCAUAAUUAGUGAAAUUUUGGCUCCAAAGUUUGGCUCCACAAAUUCAAUUUCAAAUUCAAGUGAAAUUUCAAUUGAAAUUCAAAUUUCCCUCCAAAUUUGUGUGACACUUAGGCUAUAAAUAGAGGUCAUGUGUGUGCAUUUUUUAAAAACUUUGAUCAUUUGAAUAUUAAACUUCAGAUUUCAAAGCUCAUUUAGAGCACAAAAUUUCGUGUUCUUCUCUCCCUCUCCCUUCAUUCAUCUCCUUCUUCCUCCAAGCUCUUAUCCAUGGCCUCCUAUGGUGGUGAGCUUCUUCUAGACUCAUCUUCUCCUUGAAGUGGCGUAUCCUAUCUCUCUUCCUUUAUCUAUUCCGCAGCCAUUCAUCUUCCAAGAAGCAAAGGAAUCCAUUGAUGAAGAAGAUCCUAGGCCUACAAGCUCCAAUGGAGCUUACAUCAGCUUACCUUAGUAAGACUUGCAAAGACCUUAAUCUAUCUAGGGAUUCGCCCACCCAUCCAUUCUAUAGGUCAUUUCAACAUUAGCCACCACCACCAACCUCCAACUCUAGGUUGAGGGCUUUCUUAGCACCCCCAACUUACGUGCAUACCAAAAUGCAAUGUCAUUCAUUAAUGCAUGUAUGUUAUGAUCAUUCAAAUCAAUCAUUGUUUCACAUCAUUAAUAUAUUCAUUUUAUCAUUAAUUCAAUCCAUUUCAUUUAAUUCAAUUCAUCAUCAACUCAUCAUGCAUUUCUCAUUCAACUUUUCAUCAUUUCAUUAUUCACAUCUUGUUCAAUUCAUCAUCAAUUCACUAUUCAUAUCAUUCUCACAAUCGGUAACUCUCACAUAGUUCAUCCAAAAAUCAUGAGUCUUUUUCACACCACAAGUUCUCAUAAUCACACACCAAGCUUAACAUAUGAAUGUGAAUUACAUGAGAAUAACAAUGUGAAUUCCAUUUAAGGUUCACACACACUUCAAUAAGUAUUUAAGAUUGAAUUUCAAUUGAAAUGCACCAAUGGAAACUUGGCAGGCACAUACGCUUAAGCCUAUGUGAAAUUACGCUUAAUCCUAUAUCCACAUAUGCUUAAGCUUAAUUGUGCUUAAACCUAGAUUCAUCUACGGUUAAGCCUGGAAUCCAACAACCACAUUUCUUUACAGACAUUUUUGCUUAAGCAAAAAUUGUAACACCCUGAAAUUUUGAUAACUGAAAAUAGAUGUUUGAUGUAUUUCUUGCAUUAUUUGAUUAAUUUGGAUUAGUUGAGGUGUUAUGUGAAUUAUUUGUGUGCGAUUUCCUGGUGUGUAUGUUAGGUUAUAUGGAGUUUAAUUGAUCUAUGUUAGAAAUGUGAGAUUUCAAGUUUGACCCAAAACCUAUUUUGGUAAAACCAUGAUCCCGGACUUGUUAACCGUUGGAUCGCCUUCAAACCUAAAUUGUAGGUUCCUGACUCUUGUCUCCAGGUUUUGACUGUUGGGAUUUGACAAUUAACAUCUCUGGACAACUCGUUUAGCGAGACAAACACACAAAGGGCAAUUCCAACCCGAGGAGGUAAUUUGCUCCGCACGAGAUAUCACACUUAGAGCCAAAAGUGGAAUUUUGCUUAGCGAGAUGAGCUCACUAAGUGAGAUCUACAAAUUAUAAAUAUGUUCUUCAAUGGUAAAAACACGAUUUUUCACUUCUCACUCUCUCCAAACGCUCAUCCAAAACCUUAACACUUCUCCUCCACCACCUACGACCACCAGUAACCACCCAAAACAUUUUCAGUGAAGCUUUUGCUCCUCAAAAUACAUUAAAUAUCAAAAAGGAUCUAGGAUCAAAGUAGAUCACUACCCAACUAAAAGUACUAAACUAUGCCUAAGGUAUAAACACAGGAAGGUAUUCAAUCCUACUCCUCAGAUGAAGGCUAUAAAUCUCAUAGAAGCUCACAAGACACUUCGUCCUCCUCUAGCUUCAUGUCAGUGUGAUCUCCCGGCCCUCAAUGAGCUACACAAAAAAUAAUUACUUGAAUCUCCAACUAAAGACAUUACCUCUCGCAUCAAACCUCACUAGGGUCGCUUUGAAUUGUUGAGCAUCAUGAGGCACUUCCAUACCCAGAUAAAAAUUGAAGUCUUCAAACCACUCCAGUUCCCGCGCGAGGUGUGAAUCCCCAAGGAAUGUAGAAGGACCGACGGUGAUCGAUAGUGAUGGGCAUUGCAUCUGGUCUAUCUCCUGACACGACCACAUUCUUUCUAUUUGCCUACUACGCCAAGCUUGCAGGGGGCAUGGCUCCCUCGACAUCUUCUGACCUUGAAAGUUGUUGGUUGUAGGCAUGAGUCCUCUGCUCCUCAAACGCCACAAACAACACAUAAGGCAUACAACUUACAUAACCACAACGUAUGGUUCUUCUAGGAAAAUGACUAACAUACUUGAGAUAAAUGACCAUAGUACUUAACACCACUGGCUAUCACUAUUGACAUAAUCAAAUACUACACUUGACAUCAUUGAUAAUCACAUUGGACACAACUGACUGUCACACUCGACACAUAACAAGGCUCAACAAUGGCAUCGAGCCUCCCAAGUAUUGGUGGUGUUACAAAACUACAUGGAUGGGAUUUGGGAGUGAUCACCACAUAUGGGUACAAUGUAUACCGAUCCCCAAGUUCCCAUCUCCAAAAAGUAUAGUCUCAGAGCCCUUUGCAAGUAGCAAAGUGAGGCAUAUGAGUUUCCUAUGCCAAAUAAGUGCACCAAAUGCCGGAUAGUCACCAAUUGCUAAUUCCCCUAGGUUCUUCAAACCUCUUCGCCCACUAUACCCCAGUGUACCCUUUAAAUAAUCUAUUUCUCAAUAUAAACCUCACUAUCUCACAGAUGGAACAUAAUCAUAUACCUCACCAUCUUAUAGAUGGAACAUAACCACAUACCUCACCAUCUCAUAGAUGGACCAUAAUCAUAUACCCCACCAUCUUAUAGAUGAAACAUAACCACAUACCUCACCAUCUCACAGAUGAACCAUAAUCAUAUACUUCACCAUCUUAUAGAUGUAAUCUAACCAUAACUGUAACAUCCCAAAUUUCUAUGUGUGUGUGGUAGACAGUGUUAUUGCUUUGCCAUGUGAUUAGGUAGUGUUUCUAGACUAUCGAAAUGGUAAAAAAUGAGAUGUUACCAUAGGAUACCUAGGCAUGGUUAAACUCUUAAGUUUUAAAACUAAAGUCAAGAAAUAAUAAAAAUACCUCAAAGAAAAUUCUCUCUGUUCAAAUAAUGGUCAACUCAUUAAUGACCUAGAUGUUAAUAAUUGGAUUUUGGUUUAGAAAAAGAAAUUAAAAGCAUGAAAGAAAAUUAGUAAUUAAGUAAGUAAAGUUAGAAACUAAGUGGGGAUAAUUAAGGUUGAUUAAUGGUGAUCUAGAUUCCAUAGAAUUAGAAAAGGGGUACUUAAGUCAUAAGAGUUUAAAGUGGAAGACAUUUUCGUAAAUGAAUAUAUAACUAGUUUAAAAAUAGAAUUUUAGUUUAACUAUUUGGUGACUAAUUAAAGUGUCUAAUUAUAUGAUGCAGAAUAAUUAAAAUAAGUUAGAGUUGUAACACCAUGAAAAAUUACAACUCAAAUUGACAGUCAUUUGUGCAUGUGUGAAUUUAAUUUCAGUAGUUAUAUGUUUUUAAUCAUAGAAUUUUCUGCUAUAUGUGUGUGUGUGUGUGUAAUUGAUUUAAUAAAGAUUGACAGAGAAAUAGACAUUGUCUAAGCUAGAUUUCCAUUUGCGCAAGAAUUGCACUGUGUGGGAUCAAAGGACUCAGUCUCUGACCUCCACGAGUUUGUCCUCUUCCAUCUGAUGGACAAAAUCCCUUUCGACCUUCCACACACAGUCUACAUCAGCAUCCUGAAAAACAUGAAGACUCUUGGAGAAGUGGAUGACAUCUACUAUGUUGCCUUUGUCUGCAAACUCUUUUAGGAAUACCAAGUCUUUCAUGUAUUUGAAGGAAUGGACAAGGACUCCAAGUGCAAGGGCAGUUUCACUUGAGCAUGAGGAUAAGUUGCUUCAUGUUUUGAGAGGCCACAAAAAGGCCAUUGGGCAGACACUUGCUGACCUUCUUGGAAUAAAUCUGUCCAUUUGCAUGAAUUAGAUACUCUUGGAGGAUGAUUCCAGGCUUGUAAGGCAGCCACAAAUAAGGUUGAAUCUUACCCUUCUUGAUGUGGUGAAGAAGGACGUGAUGAAGCUACUGGCUGCAUGGAUCAUUUAUCCCAUUUCAGAUAGCAAUUGGGUUUCACCUGUCCAAGUGGUCCCUAAGAAGUCGGACAUCACUAUUGUGAGGAACCAGGAUAAUGAGUUAAUACCGACUAGAGUGGCCAAUAGUUGGUGAGUUUGCAUUGACUAUAGGAGACUUAACUAGGCAACUCGCAAGGACCACUUCCCUCUCUCAUUCAUUGACCAAGUUUUGGAGAGGUUUGUAGGUAAAUCACUUUAUUGCUUUCUUGAUGGUUUUUCAGGUUACAUGCAGAUUCAUAUUGCACCAGAGGACUAGCACAAGACCAUAUUUACCUGUCCAUUAGGCACAUUUGCCUACACCAGGAUGCCCUUUGGCCUAUGCAACACUCCUGGAACCUUCCAAAUGUGAGUGUCUUUUCUAAUUUAUUAGAGAGUUGCAUAGAAGUGUUUAUGGAUGAUUUCACUAUUUAUGGUUCUUCCUUUGAUGCAUGUUUGGAUAGCCUUUCUAGAGCUCUUAACCGAUGCAUUGAGACUAACCUUUUUCUUAACUUUGAAAAAUGUCAUUUUAUGGUCCAUGAGGGUAUAGUAUUAGGUCAUUUGGUCUCUAGUAGAGGUAUUGAGGUUGAUAAGGCCAAGAUUGAUUUUAUUACUUCCUUUCCUUACCCCACUUCUAUGCAGGAAGUGUGUUAUUUUCUUGGACAUGCAGGUUUCAACAGGAGGUUCAUCCAGGAUUUCAACAAGAUUGCCCUGCCAUUGUACAAGCUUCUUCAAAAGGACAUAGAUUUUGUGCUUGACCAGCCUUGCAAAGAGGCAUUUGAGGAGUUGAGGAGGAGGCUUACCAUCUCUCCCAUCAUGCAACCAACAUAUUAGGAACUUCCCUUUGAGCUCUUGUGUGAUGCCUCCAACUAUGCACUUGGGGUUGUUUUGUCGCAGAAAGUUGAUAGACUAUCACAUGUCAUUGCUUACGCCUCAUGCACUUUGAAUGCAUCCUAAGUUAAUUACACCACCAUUGAAAAUGAGUUUUUAGCUAUUGUUUUUGCAUUAAAUAAAUUCAGAUCUCAUUUGCUUUACUCCUAUAUUAUUGUCUUUACUGACCAUGCAACUCUGAGGUACAUGUUGAAGAAGCCUGAUGCUAAACCUAGAUUGAUCAUAUGGAUACUUCUUGUUCAGGAUUUUGAUAUUGAGAAUUGAGAUAGGAGUGGUGCAGAAAACUUGGUUGCUAAUCAUUUAUUUAAGAUUGAAGGACCUGUGGAUUCCUUUCCUAUUAGGGAUAACUUUCCUAAUGAGCAUUUGAUGCAGUUGCAUUCAUCACAUGUUACACCUUGGUUUGCUAACAUCGUGAAUUUUAUUGUUGCAUCUGUUGUCCCAUCUCAUGCAUCUAGGUCUCAAAUAGAUAAACUUAAGAGUGAUGCCAAAUAUUAUGUGUAGGAUGAUCCUUGCUUGUGAAGGUUUGGUAGUGACCAAGUGAUCCACAGGUGUGUGCCAAAUCAUGAGAUUCAAUCUAUUCUUCAAUUUUAUCAUGACAUACCUACCGACGGUCAUUUUGGUCCUCAACAGACUGCUAGGAGGAUCUUAGACUGUGGGUUCUAUUGGCUCACCAUUUUUAGAGAUGCUCAUCAUUUUUCCACCACCUAUAAGUAGUGUUAGAGUGAGAUGGACCAUUACACAUAGACAUCAGAUGCCCCAUCAGCCCAUUAUUUUCUAUGAGAUUUUUUAUGUUUGGGGUAUUGAUUUCAUGGGUCCAUUUCCUGUUUCUCAUGGUUUUUCAUAUAUCUUGCUUUUUGUCAAUUCUGUUUCUAAGUGGGUUGAAGCUAAGGCCACCAGAACUAAUGAUUCUAAAGUUGUUGUGGAUUUUGUGAGAUCUGACAUUUUUUGUAGGUUUGGUGUGCCUAGAGCCAUUAUCAGUGACUAGGGGAGCCACUUUUAUAACAGGUUAUUGGCAUCCUUGCUCCAUAAGUAUGGGGUUGCACAUAGAGUUGUUACAGCUUAUCAUCCCCAAACUAAUGGGCAAGCAGAGGUUUUUAAUAGAGAAAUCAAGCAAGUGUUGUAGAAGGUAGUGCGUCCAAACAAGAAGGAUUGGAGCAAGCUACUUGAGGAUGCUUUAUGGGCCCACAGGACCGCUUACCAAACACCUUUGGGGAUGUCUCCCUAUAGGGUGUUUUUUGGUAAGGCAUGCCACCUUUCGGUGGAGAUUGAGCAUCAUGCUUAUUGGGCGGUGAAGGGUUGUAACAUGGCAUUUGAUGAGAUGGGUAUGGAAAGGAAGCUUCAAUUGCAAGAACUUGAGGAGAUCUUCUUAGAAGCCUAUGAGAACUCCAAGAUUUAUAAGGAGAAAGCAAAGAGGUUUCAUGACUCUAGGAUUCUUAGGAAGGAGUUUCAUAUUGGUCAAAAAGUGCUCUUGUUUAACUCUCACUUCAAGUUUAUUUUUGGUAAACAUCGAUCUAGAUGGGAUGGACCUUUUGUUUUUACUAAUUUUUUCCCCAUGGUGCAAUUGAGAUUAAAAAUGAAGUUACCGGCAAAGUCUUUAAAGUGAAUGGUCACCAACUCAAGCUUUUUCAUGAGAGCCCCUAAGUAGAGGAGGAAUUUGUGGCGGACCUUUCUUUGGACUUGUCAAUUUUAUCUGUUGAUGUGCCUUGAAUGGCACUUGAGCAGUUUCCUUCCUUUUUCUUUUAUAUGUUGUCUCAUUGUCGCAACCUACCCUUCAGCGGGAGGGCAAGGUGAGACUCAAGGGCGUGUCUUCCAAAAAAGGAGAACGCGCGGGAGUCGCCUCCAACGUUUAUUUGAGGAAAACUUUAAAAAAACCAAAAAGGGGUUUGUGAAUUUUAAGAAUAAGGGUUCGGGAGUUGUUUACGCGUGUUCGAUAGCCGGCAAGUGCACCGGAUCAUGCAAGUAGUAUAAAACGGUAAGUGAAUACCGAGUAUCGAACUCUCGGGGAACUUGUUUUACUUGGUAAAACUAUGGUUCAGUAAAUUAGUGCCUUUGGAUGAAUGUUUGGUGCGUGGUAUGGACAAGUAUGCAACUAAACUAUUCAAAAGUAAAUCACGUGAGUAGUGGUGUGUGAAGACAGAUAAAGAACGUGUUGGUCUUCCUACUAGAUAACUGAUGUUAUUAAGGAUGUUCUCUAUCUAAUAAUGUUCAUGUGUUCAAUGUUGUUUCCUGGACUAAUAAACCCCAAUGUCUCGUGGAUGUUUAGCCUAAUCUGAAUCAAGCAUCAUCCUCAGAUCCCUCUUGUUGGACUAAACUUAACCAGAACCGCAUUAAGACAUAACAUAACAAAAACUAAGUUACCAUACCCCGAUGUCUCAUGAAAAUACGAUAGCUAGCCUCGUCCUAUCAAGUUCUAAGGAUCAAACCAUUUCCCAAUGUUGAGUGAACCUAACUAAGCAUGCAAGUGCGUGAUAAAGGCAAAAGCACACUAGAAUUAAGUACUGAUAACACAAUGAACACAUGAAACAUCAUUAGAUAGAUAUACAAAUAUUUACAUCAAGUACCCCAUAGGAAGAACCAACUGAGGAUUUAGCUCUCCAUAGCAGGGAAGCUUCCUUUACAACAAUGAAAAGAGAAGAUGAAAGAUAGAAGAAAUACAAGUAGUGGGGAUGUCUCCUCCACCUCUAGAAACCUCACAGUCUCUCAAAAUCUCAUCCAAAGUUUCGCAAGACGGCUUCCUCUUCAAGCUCAGUUCUCUCUCAGUUGCUCCACAACCAAAAACUCUCAAAAAACUCAACUCCCUCUUCAGAAAUCGUGAUUUAAGCUUAAAUAGGCACUCCUGUCGGUGGACAUGCGCUUAGCGGAAGAUGAGCUUGCUUAGCACAUGUAAGUGACUUCUGGCUUAGCGCCAGUCACACUCGCUCAGCCUAAAGGUGAAGACAGUGCAAUUAACGAGUUGGCCUUCGCUCAACGCCUCUAUACAGCUCAUCCUUCUUCCAAAAUUGUCCAUGCGCUUAGCCAUCAGAUUGGGCGCUUAGCGAAUGAUGCGCAGUGGCUUAGGGAGUUCAUGAAAUCUGCACUUCACCAAUCUUGCCUGUUUUACCUAAAAUUGAAGUGGAAUGAUCAUUAAAUACACAGAGCUGGGAUACAAGGUACCUAUUACCUGAAUUAUCAAAAAGUAAUUACAAUAUUACAAAAAGAACCAUAAAUGGGAGGAGUCAUAUACAAUUUACAACAGUUUUUUACACAAAAGUUAGUCGUAUUGACCGACUAACAACGCGCGGGGAAGGUAUUAGCACCCCACGCACGCGUCAUAAAGGACGACAGCCUUUAAUCGAGUGUCCAAAAUCAUGACUCAAUAUUUAUUUAUUUUCCCUUUUUUAUGUUUUUACCUUUUGGGGUCGACAAGAGAGUUUCCCUUGCUCCUAUGUAUCCUCAAGUGCGAUGAGGAACUCAGACCUACGUAGUUCUUUAAAAGCAAGAAAAGUUAGGUAUUGAGUUGAUUUAAAAUUUUUGAAAGGUUCAUUUUAACCAACAAAAUAAAAGAGAUCGUUAAGGCGUUGGACCUUGAACGGAUUCAAGCGACUUUUAUGGACAAAAACUCAAUUACAUGCUGAUUUCAUCUUGGUUUCACUUAUUAACUUUCAAUGUCAUUAAAAGAUGAUUUGUGAUGUAAAUGAUCGGUCAAAACUCACUUUACAAGAAGAAAAGAGAUUGAUGAUGGUAGAAGAAUGAGAUGAAGGUGUGCAAAGCAACAAAGAGGACCCCUAAGGGUGCAUAGAUUGAAUCCAAAUCCUUAAAAUAAAUACUAACCAAAUGAUGAAUGAAGAACACCGAACGAAGAACGAUGUAGAAGUCGAUUACGGUCGUGAUUCGAUAGCGCCUCAGCCUCAUUUUUCUCUUCCUUUUUCUCCUUCUAUCUAAUUUUUCACUGAAACCUCUCAAUGUUUGAAAGCUCAACCCUUUCUUUAGCCCCCCUCACGCCUAUUUAUAGGAAAUGGAGGGUUUGGUGGAUCUGCAGCUCGCCCAGGCGAGCUGUUGCUUUAACCUGAAGUAACCUUGCUUGCCCAAGCGAGCCAGAGGCUAGGCUGAGCAAGCCAGGGGUCAGAAAAAAUUUAAAAAGGACCCUUUUGCCCUCCUUUUUGGGUAUUUUCCGCAUUCUUUACCAAAACGUCAAAUAAUCUUUCGUCUUGCGUGACAACCAGUGUUGAACAGCUCAAUUCGGCUAGGUAGAAUCAAAAUGUUAGCGAAUGAUAGUCCCCAGAUGAAAUUUGGGUCUGAAACUCAUUGUUUGCAUUUUAGUACAUGCUCACAUUGAGGACAAUGUGCAUUUCAAGUGUGGGUUUAGAAAAAUCUAUUUUCUGUUUUUGUUUUCUAUUUUCUUUGUUUUCUAUUUAUUGUAUUUGUUUAUAUGUUGUUAUUUCUAUUUAUGUAUUUUGUUUUAGUUUUCGUGUCUAUAUCUGUUUUCUAUUUCUUUUUAGCUGUAUUUCUGUUUUCUCCUUUCAUUUUGUAGCUCAUUACAAGCCAAAAAGUGGAAAACCAUGUUUUCCUAAACUUUAGGGAGAAAAGAGGCCUUGCAAUUAUUUUGGGAGAGGGUUUCAAACAAAUGUGGGGGAUUUGUACUUUGUUUUAUGAAAGUUCCUUUAUUUUUCGUCAUUUCAUUUUCUUGUGAUUUGUUGAAAAGGAUAAAAAAAGAGUAGAAUACAAAAGGAAAAAAAGACAAAAAUAAUAAAAGAGAAGAGAAAAAAAUGGGAGUACAAAAAGCCAAAGUUCAAAAAGAAAAAAAAAUGUACAAACAAAGAAAAGAAGAAGAAGAAGAAGAAGAAGAAGAAGAAAAAUGCAAAAAAAAUGUCUUGUGGCUCAUUUUCAUUUUUUGUAAGUUAUUUUUAUUUUAAUUUUAUUGUUCUUCACUUUGUUUCUUUGUUUCUAACCCUCUUUUUACUUGUUGGCUUACUCACCAUUGCCCCUUUUCCCCCUUAGUUGUAGCCUAAAUAUCCUUCUCAUAUCCACCCUUACGUAAGCCAUACAUUACAAACCAAUAAAAGCCCUUUUGAUCUUUUGAUGCAUGUGUAGUUCAAGUUGAAUGGAUUAGAGUCUUCUCAAAAUUUGGAUGUGCUAGUUAAAUGUGGUGCUUGAUUGUAAACACAAACUCAUACAAAUUUGGUGAGGUUGAGUAUUUUUCUUUGAGAUAUUUCUAUCACCAUGGUACAUUCUAAAUAUUGACUUGACUACUUGUCUACUUUGCAUUUUGUGAUCAUGUGUUCAUGGAUUGCUUGCUACCUUGAUACCAUUUUCUGUUUUCCAUCUCUCAUUUUUGUGCAUUGUUAGGAUCCAUUGAAAAAUGUGUGUGCCUUGCUCAUGCCUUUCUUUUAGUUGGGUUAUUUUUUUUUUAGUUUGAUUUCUUUUUCUUAGUCUUUCUUUUAGUCUUACCCAGGAGUGCAAAAGAUAAAGUGUGGGGGAAUCUGAUUGAGCUUUUAUGGUUUAGUAUUUUUCUAUUCUUCUUAGCUUAUUUGACCUCUCUAUGACUCCUAUUUUUUCACCUUAACUCAGUUUUGGUCUUAGGCAAAUAAUUGGGCUUAAUUGAUAAUUGUUUCUUAUUUUUGGAUUUUUUACUUACUUGAUAAUUGUUCAGGGCCUAUAUGACACUACAGAACUCAAAAUAGAGCAUGUAAAUAAUUCCUGGAAAGGUAAGAAAAUGAACUUCAAUUUUUUCAGAAAUAAGUUUGGGCUAAUUCUGCCAUUUCAAGGGUCAAAUUGGGCUUGGAAGUCAAAACCUUUGCACUUGAAUAAUUGGGCUGCGAAUUUGCACUUUGCUUUGUGUAAUUAGUUUAAUUAGGUAGAUUAGAUGGGCCUAAUCAAGGCUCAUCCUUUUCUUUUGAUUAGUCAUUGUAUAUAUUAGUGGAGUUAGUUAGUUACUUCAUUUUUUACAAAAACAAAUUUAGAAACUUGUUGUGCAAGCUUUAGGAUCAAACUCUUUUCUCUCUCUUUUUCUCUCAAUUGUUUUUCAUUCUUCUUCCUCUAUUCACUCCUGUUCUUCCUUUUUCUUGCACAAAUUUUGUUUCUCUUCCACUGGUGAUGAUCAUGGAAGACUAAAUACUCAAUCAAUCCAAGGAUCCUCUGCAAGCAAAGCUAAAUUUGAGUUCUUGUUUAGUAUUUCAAUUCUGUGCGAAUGUUCAUCUUUUCCUUCAAUCCUAUUUUCAAUUUUCAUGAUUAUGAAUAUGCUUAGGAUUGAAAAUGAAUUAGUUUAUAGAUUAAUUUCCUAAUUUCAAAAUUUAAACACAGAUUGUUUGGAUGAUAUUCCAACCUAAUUUGUGAUCAUAAUGAAUUUAGAGAUUAAUUUGAUUGAACUAUCUCUAAUGACAUUGACUAAACUUUCACAAUUCGAACAUCAUUCGUAGCAACUGUGAUAAUUUGAUUUGCAUUGGUUUGGUGAAUUGGAUUGAUGCUAUUAAAAUGAUUCUUAUUCUAUUAUUUUGUUUCCGAAAACUUUGUUCUGUUUCUACAUUUCUGUUUGUGUUUUCGCAUUCCUUUACAUUGCCUACAAACUACUCAUUGAAAUUUCCCUUGUUGUUUAUAAGUGAAUUGAAGUAGGAACCAAAUUGAAUUGUAUCUCUGAGUCGACCUAAGUUAAUCAUGUACUACAGAACUUCCUAGUUUUUUUUUUUUGGAACAAUUCAAUAGUCGUUAUCAGUUGCCUCCAAAAGGAAUAAAGAAGGGAUUUCAUGCAAUUAUUAAACUAAGAACUAGGUUUUUGUAUUUUUUUUUGUGAUUGUCACGAAAUAAAUGACAUAAAAUUAAUUGCAAUAAAAAUUAAAUGACAAUAAAAUAAUUUAGUAAAGAUAGAAAUACUAGACUUAGAUGGUGACGUCGAUCUUGAUGAAGGAAUUUCUAGGUUUGGACUUGGAAUUCACUCGGUCCACUGUAACUUCAUAAUUCUCUACUAAUCUCUCUUGCUCAUCCCCAAUUCACUAAUGUAUUCUACCACAACUCCCACAUGCUUGCCAAUUCAAAAUUACUUGCCUGAUACCCAAUCCCUUGGACAUACCAACAUAAGCAAUCAACAUUAAAUGGCAAGAAUUACUGAGGCUUAACUAAGAUUAUUCUAUCCCUAGAGACAUUUGAUUGAGCAUUUGUAGUUUAAUAUUUUUCUAUUAUUCUUACCUCAAUUGACAUCUCUUUGAACCUUAUUUUCUCACCUUAACUCAGUUUUAAUCCUAGGCAAAUGAUUGAGCUUAAUUGAGAGUUGUAGCUAAAUUUCAGAUUUUAUGCUUACUUGACCUAUCUGUCUUGUGUAGGGCCUAGAGGGCACUACAGAAUUCAAAAUGGAACGUGUGAGUAGUCCCUGGAAAGCUGAAAAAAAAGAACUUCAAUUUUGUGAUGAAUAAGCUUUGGUCAAUUCUGUUAUCUCGAGGGUCAAAUUGAGCUUGGAAGUCAUAACCUCUGCACUUGAAGAAUUGUGUUACGAGUUUGGGCUUUUGUUUUGUGUAAUUAGUUUAAUUGGGUAGUUAGUUAGUUAAUAACACUCUAUAUAUUAGUGUUAGUUAGUUAGUAACUUGAACUUCACAAGACUUCAUUUUGUACAAAACUUGUUGUGCAAGCUUUCUCUGCUCUUUCUUUUUCUCUCGAUUGUUUUUCAUUCAUCUUCAUCUUUUCACUUCUGUUCCACCAUUUUCUUGCACAAAAUUUCAUGGUUUCUCCAUUGGUGAUGAUCCUGGAAGGAAAAACAAUUAGAAAGGUACACAGCUUUAGGAGUGCCAAAAAAAUGUGAGACACUCUAGUUGUAACAUAUAAGGGCACCUCCCAAAUAAAGAGGAACAAACUCAAUCUCCAUGGAAGAAAAUGAAGACAUACAAUGUAUGUUAAAACAUUUUCAAACCAUUCUUAACAGAUUAAAAUCCUUAGGUAGAACUUAUGAUAAUUAUUACCACAUUAACAAAAUUUUAAGAAGUUCAUCUAGGAAAUGGAGACCAUAAAUAACAACGCUGAAAGCAUUAAAGAAUCUAGAGUCUAUGUCUCUUGAAGAACUUGUUGGUACCCUCAAGGUUCAUGAACAAGAGCUCCAACAAGACGAAGGUAUUAGAAGAGAUAGUCUUUGGCUCUCAGUAGUAAAAAGAGAAAGAAAGAACCAUCAUCCAAAGAACUAGUACACAAGAUGAUGAAUCUAAAGAAGACUCAGAUGAAGAUGAGCUCGCCUUCAUCUCUCGCAAAAUCCACAAGAUGUGGAGAAACAAAAGUAAGUCUAAGUAGAGAACCUCUUCAAGAAGAAUUCCCCGAGACAAGAAGGACAAAGACAAAAUUUCCAUAGUCUACUAUGAGUGUAAAAUUCCUGGACACUUCAAGUCAGAAUGUCCAAAUCUAAAGAAAAGUCAAGAUAAGAAGAAUUUCUUUAAGACUAAAGAAAAGAAGGGGCUUACGAGCACAUAGGAAGACUUGGAAGACACCUCGUAUGAUGAAGACGAUGAAGAAGCAAACAUAUGCCUGAUGGCAGACACAACUUUUGAAGGAUCCAAAUCAUACCAAGACGAUUAGGUAAAUUUUGAUGACGUUGAGUCUCUUAGAAAAGCUUAUCAUGAACUUUUAUCUAAUUCAUCGAUUCUCUCAAAAGCUUAUAGAAACCUAUCAAGAGAUUUCAAAAUUCUAUCCAAAGAUCAUUUAAAACUUGAGAAAACCCUUCAAGAUUAAGUAGAUGGUUCACUGGACGAGUCCGCUCAAGCAUUUAAAGCUUGUGAAACUCUUAAAGAAAAUGAGUCCAUGUUAAGCAUUGAGAUAUAGACAAAUGCCAAUGAAAAAUAUACCCUUCUUAAAAAUUUGCAGUAGAUGGAGCAUGUUUGCCUUUAUUAGUAGCAUCAUUUGAAGUUGUAGACUGCUUGGACCAGGUUCUAAAGCAUUAUGGUCAACUUCAUCAGCUAUGGCUGCAUUAGAUGCCUCAGAAGUUUUAUCCAUGACACCAGUGUUGGUAAGAUCAAUGAUGAUCCCACAUACAAUGGUGUCAUCUAUAGCUUUAGCAGAUGCUUCAGCUUGGAUGGAGGCAGCAUCUUCUUUCACAACAACAACAACUUUUUCCUCUUUAGCCUUCUUAUUUUGAUGAGUUUCAUGGAGUUGAGUCAAAUGAGCUAACAUCUGGUAUUCAGUCAUCUUCUUCAUAGUAUAGGUGCCUUCAUAUUGAAUACUAGGAAUUUUGAGAAGGCGUUAAAUAAACGAGUAGCUGUCAGAAUCCUUUACGAAGCAGACACACUAAUGGAAGCUUGGUUGAGAAGCUUCUAUGGAGGUUGGAUCUUUAAGCUUCAAUGAGGUCCUUCAAUGGUGAUUUUCCACCACAGAGAUGCAGCGGAAGAUAAAGGAGAAGAGGUGAGAGGAGACGCCAUCCACUAGGGAAUAAGCCAUGGAAGGAGAAGCUUCACCACCAAGAAAGUGUCUUGGAUAAGAAGCUUAGAGAGGAAGCUUCAAUGGAGGAACAAAAUGAGAGAGAGAGAGAAAGUGGCAUGAAAAAUUCAAGGAAGAAAGGGAGAGAAGUUGAACUUUGAAGUGUGUCUCACAAGACUCUGAUUCAUCAAAGUUGUGACAAGUGUUACACAUGUUUCUAUUUAUAGCCUAAGUCACUAACUAAAUGAAAUUGUGAAUUUCAUUUUCAUUUCAUGUGAAUCUAAGGGGAAUAUUCAAAGGAUAUGCCAAAGGUAUCUUAGCAUAUUCCCUUUAGAUGCCACAAGAAUGGAAGUUGUGACUCUAGCACAUAGGAAAAGAAUAUGCCACAAGAAUAUGCCAAAGGAAUAUUUCAAGAAUAUGCCAAAGGCAUCUUAGAAUAUUUCUUAAGAAGCUAGAGGCGGGGGGGGGGGGGGGGGGGACUACACACACACCCCUCUAAUAGCUAAGCUCACCCUAUGCCAAAAUACAUGAAAAUACAAAAAAAUGUCCCUACUACAAAGACUACUCAAAAUGCCCUAAAAUACAAGGUUAAAACCCUAUACUACUAGAAUGGCCAAAAUACAAGACCCAAAAGAAGGAAAAACUAUUCUAAUAUUUACAAAUAAGAGUGGACCCAACCAUGGCCCAUGGGCUCAUAAAUCUACCUUGAGGAUAAUGAGAAUCCUAGGGCCUUCUUUAGUAGCUCUAGCCCAAUUAUUUGGAGUCUUUUAUCCAAUACCCUUGGGGGAUAGGUGUUAGUCGAUGAAUACGACUAACUUUUGUGUAUAAAACCUGUGUAAAUUGUAUCAAACUCCUCCAAUUUAUGGUUAUUUUUUAGCAUUGUAAUUACUUUUUGUUAAAGAUAGGUAAUAAAUACUUAGUACUCCCAUUUUGUGUAUUUAAUAAUCAUUUCCUCUCAAUUUCAGGUUAAUUAGGCAAGUUUGUGAAGUGCUGAUUUUCAUCCGUUGAGCGCAACACUCCAUCCGCUGAGCGCGAGGAAGAAUCUGGAAGAAGGAUGAGUUGUGUAUGUUCAUUGAGCGAGGUGUCAUCCCGCUAAGCGCACCGCUUGAGUCCAUCCGCUGAGCGAGAAGACGCGUGCUAAGCCGAAAUUCACUAAUGCGCGCUAAGCGAGCCAGAGUUGCGCUAAGCGCGCAAGCACCAACAAGGCAACCUAUUUAAGCCUGAAAUAAGAAAUGGAGAGGGAGUUUGGGCAAUUCUCGAAUCUUUUUCAUGUUUAGAGAUUUUUAGAGAGAGAAAGGUCCAAGUUCCAAAGAGUUUUGAGAGCUUUUGCUGUGCGAAGACUGGUAGAGAACGGAGCGUGAAGAGGAAGCCAUCCUGAGAGCAUGAGAUGAGUCUGUGAGUGAUUGUGAGGUUCUAGAGGUGGAGGAUACAUCCCCACUACUUGUAUUUCUUCAAUCCUUCAUUUUUCUCUUCUCUUUGUUGUAAAGGAAGCUUCCCAGAUAGGGAGAGCUAAAUCUUCUGUUGGUUCUUACUUGUAGGUACUUGAUGUAAAUACAUGUAUAUCGAUUUAAUGAUGUUUUAUGUGUUCUCUGUGCUAUCAGUACGUCAUUUCAGUGUGCUUUUGCCUUGAUCAUGUAGAUGCAUGCUUUGUUAGGAUCAUUCAACAGUGGAAACUAGUCUGAUUCUUAGAACUUGAUAAAACGUGGCUUGUUUAUUGUAUUAUCAUGAGGAAUCGGGGUACGGUAACCUAGUUGUUGCAUGUUUGUCUUAAUGCGGUUCUGGUCGAGUUUAGUCCAACAAGAGGAAUCUGAGGAUGAUGCUUGAUCAGGAUUAGGCUAGACUAUCAUGAGGAAUCGGGGUUUAGCAUUUCAGUAGACACCAUAGAACACAUGAGCAUUGUUAAGUAGAGAAUAUCUUUAUAACAUCAGGCACCUAAUAGGAGGAUCAACGUGUUGUCUACUUGUCUUUACACAUCAUUACUCAUGUGAUUAUCCUUUUAAUAGUUAGUUUACAUACCUGUUCAUAGUCCACACAUAACUUUUAAUACUAGACACCUAUUCACUGAAUAUAGCUUUACCAAGUAACACAAGUUCCCUGAGAGUUCGAUACUCAGUUCUUACCAUUUUAUACUACUUGCCCGAUCCGGUGCACUUCCCGGGUUCAAACAGUAGGAUUGCAUCAUCCCCUCCCCCUUGAAAAGGAUUUGACCUCAAAUCCAGAGGUUCUUGAUACUCUGAGAUUCUUCAUUCGACACCUGUAAAAAGAAUAAAAACAUAUAUAUUAGUGGUGUUGGGUAUGUAAGAGUAGGUGAUGCAAUCCUCCCUAGGAAAGGACCACUUACCAGAGCCAUGAGAAAGAGGCUCCAAGAGGAUUGGGCUAGAGUUGAUAAAGAAGGCCUUAGGGUUCUCAUGAACUUAGGGUAGAUUUUUGAGCCCAUGGGCCAAGGUUGGAUCCACUCUUCUUUGUAAAUAGUAGAAUAGGUUGUUUUCUUCUUUUGGGCCUUGUAUUUUGGCCAUUCUAGUAGUAUAGGGUUUUAGCCUUGUAUUUCAGGGCAUUUUGAGUAGUCUUUGUAGUAGGAUUUUUUUUGUAUUUUCAUGUUUUUUUGUCAUGUGGGUGAGCUUAGCUAUUAUAGGGGUGUGUAGCUAAGCUCUAGCUUCUCAAGAAAGCUUCUCAAGGAGGUGAGCUUAGUUUUUAGAUGGGUGUGUGUAGCUAAACUCUAGCUUCUCAAGGAAGUUUUCUCAAAGAAGCUUCUCAAGGAAGUUUUCUUAAGAAAGCUUCUCAAGGAAGCUACCUAGUCUAUAAAUAGAAGCAUGUGUAACACUUGUUGUAACUUUGAUGAAUGAAAGUCUUAUGAGAUACACUUCAAAGUUCCACUUCUUUCCCUCUUUUAUUCCUUCAAUUUCGUGCUCCCCCCUUCUCUCUUUCUUUUCCUCCAUUAAAGCAUCCUCUUCAAGCUUCUUAUCCAAGGAAAUUCAUGGUGGUGAAGCUCCUUCUUCCUUGGCUUAUUCCCUAGUGGAUGGUGCCUCCCCUCUCCUCUUCUCCUUUGCCUUCCGCUGCAUCUCCAUGGUGAAAAAUCACCAUUGAAGGACCUCAUUGAAGCUUAAAGAUCCAGCCUCCAUAGAUGCUCCACAAGCAAGCUUCCAUCAAGUGGUAAUCAGAGCAUAAGAGCUUCAAGUAGGUGCUCCUUAAACCUCCAUUAAUUUUUUUUCUUUACCUUCUCUUCCAUUGUUGUUUCUUCAUUUUUCUCCAUGUAUCUCCUCACAUGUCUUGUUCUAAAUGUUGUUAACAUGAUUCUUUAGAGUUUCCACCGAUUAAACUUGCUAUAGAAACUAGAUUUGAUUUUCUAUGGUUCAAAUUUCUUGUUCUUGUUCUUGAACCAUGAAUUGUGUUGAGUUUAAGUUCCUUUGAGUUUUUUCUUGUUAUUUUUUGUGGCUGAAACCUAAACCAUAAAAUUCUUACAAAAAUAUUAAAGUAGAAGAAAACCUCAAAAAUCUAGAGUGACUUGUUCACCUAUGGUAGUUUUGUCAUAGAAGUCAUGUCUAGUCAUGAAAUUUGUCACAUAAGAUUUCUUAUGUUGUGCUGAAUUUUAUUUUCUUGUUUCUUUGUCUAACUCAUUUGUUCAUGAGUGUAUGAAAUUAUUUUAGCCUAUUAUUUGAUUUGAGUCAAAUCUUUCAUGUUAAUUAGUUCUUAACACGUUCAUGCAAAAUUCUUAGAGAGUCUUUGAUUGUGAACCUUUUCUUGAACUUUUAGGUUUCCUUAUGAUUGUGUCUAUUGUGAAUUUGAGUUUUGGUGAUUGAAUUGCUGGCUGAAAUGUUGAUCCUAAGUGAAUAUUGAACUCCUAAAACUGUGGUAAACAAUCCUAGUGAGUUCAACAUACAUAGGAAGGUUGAAAGUAAGCCCAAGGCAAUCAAUAUACCAUGCUUAAAAAACAAAAUCGCUGGUGCUGGCAGCUUGGACAUACAAACUUGUAAAAAUUACUGAGAAUUGGUUACUUCGAAUUUUGAGCUGAUAUUUUUACUGAAAUUUCUAGACAUCUGGAAAAAAGUUAGACAAAAAGAAAAAAUUGAUUUGGAUAAAAGGAAAAAAUACGAAAAAUCACACAAGUUGGCAGGAAAAUCAGUAUCCAGGAAAAAAAAUGAAAGGGAAGUGUGCUUGUUGUUUUGGCUCAAAAUUUAUUCUAUAAUUGGUGCCUAUGUUAUACCAAUCUUAGUUUCAAAAUUUCAAUUGAAAAUUAGUGUGAAGACAAGUGCCAAAGCUAGAGGUUUUUCGAGUCUUUUUUUUCAGUUUUUUUUUUUACUCUACUCUAGAGCCAUUCUAAGUUUCUCUUUGAGUCCUAGCUUGCUUCUAUGUCCUUUUCAUUGCUUUAAUUGUUGAAUAAUCCUUGAAAAAUUGUCUUGUUAAAACUCCAUUGGUUUAGCUUUCAUUUCAUUUUUUUUGGUCUUUGGUUAUUGCUUGUCUCUAUGUUUCCUUGUUUGUGGGUUGCCAUAUAAGGAAUUGGAAGGAGGAUUGAUGCCAUCCCUUGAAGAAUUUGAGUCCAGAAGCAAGGGGCCAACCACCUUAAGAGCUAUUGGACUAAGAAGCACUCCAAAUUGAGUGAAUCACCAAAGAGAGAACAACCACCAAAAUUGAGGACCGUUUUGUAAUUUUGUAAUUUGAAAUUUACUUACCUUCAUUGCUUUCAAGUUUUUGUAACAAAAAGGCCUUUCAUUGGAAGUGUGUUGGGAGCCUCCAAUAGGUUACCAAACUUCCAUUUGUGUGUAAUAAUUUUAGGCAAUUUUUACUUAGGAUAGUGAGUGUUUUGUUGGGAACCUUGAAUGUGGUCAUCCAAACACUCUUAGGAUUCACCUAGUUUACAUUUCUUGCUUACUUUCAUAGCUUAUUUCUUUUACCUUCCAUUGUCAAACUGCCUAGAUAGCUUGCAUUUUACCAAUUAGUUUUUUUUACCUUAUCUUUCACACCUCUUUUAGUGUUUAUUUUGGUUAGUUUCAACCAUAGUUUCAUUUACCUUUUGUUUUCAAACCUCCAACAAGAAAGAACCACAACUUAGAAACCAACAUGAGUCAUCAUUCAACUAGUGUUAAUGAUGAGGGUACUAGUCAUAAGGACCCUCUAUCUAGAAUCUUAAAUGAGUUGAGUUCUCUCAAGUUAUGGAAAGAAAAACAUAAGAGAAAAGAAAAAGGAAAAAAAAAGAGUCGAAGAAAUAAGUCAAGAUGAAAGAGAGAAAAUAAGAGAGGAAGAAAGAAGAAAAAUAAUAAAAGAAAUGAAAAGAGAAAAACAUGCCUCCUAUAGUAGUCAUGACUCUUGCAAGAGUUUAAGUGAAGAACUUAGCGACUAUUAUAGAGGGCGCCAUAGUUCACAUACUAAACAUCACUCCCAAAGAAGGGAAAGGGAUAGAAGGCCUCAAGAGGUUAACAUUAGUCUUCCAUAUUUCCAUGGAAAAGAUAAUGUUGAGGCCUACUUAGAUUGGGAAAUGAAGGUUGAACAACUCUUUGCUUGCCAUCAUAUUAGCGAAGAGAGAAAAGUUCCAUUGGCUACCCUUAGCUUUCAAGGGUAUGCCCUCUAUUGGUGGACUUCCCUUGUUAGGGAACGAAGGAUUCAUGGGGAUCCUCCAGUAGAGUAUUGGAAUGAUCUUAAGAGUGCCCUUAGGAAGAGGCACAUUCCUCCCUACUAUGAAAGGGAGCUUAUGGACAAGCUCCAAAGGCUUAAACAAGGGAGUAUGAGUGUUGAAGAAUAUAGACAACAAAUGGAACUACUCUUUUUAAGAGCUGGACUUAGGGAGGAGGAAAGGACAAGCAUAGCGAGGUUCCUUAGUGGGCUUAAUAUGGAAGUAAGGGACAAGGUUGAACUCCUUCCAUAUAGGGACCUAGAUGAACUAGUCCAACUUUGUAUAAGAGUGGAACAACAACUAAAAAGAAAGCCUUCCUCAAAAUCUUAUGGCUUUCACUCUUAUCCAAGGAAGGACCAAGCCCAAGGAAUUUUUGGGGCUACACCUUCAAAACCCAAGGAAGAAAAGGGUAAGACCAUAGAGAAAUACACCCCUAAGACUAGUUCCCAAGAAAGGACUAGCAACAUUAAAUGCUUCAAAUGUCUUGGGAGAGGUCACAUUGCCUCUCAAUGCCCCACAAAGAAAACCAUGAUUAUGAGGGGUCAAGACAUUUAUAGUAGUCAAGAGGAAACUACUUCUUGCCCUUCCUCUAGUGGAAGUGAAGAUGAAGUAAGGGGUGAAGAGUCUAGUGAGGAAGUCUACCCCCAUGAAGAAGGUGACCUCUUAAUGGUUAGAAGGCUCCUUGGAGGUCAAUCUUGUGAUCUAUCUCAAUCCCAAAGAGAGAACAUAUUUCAUACAUGAUGCAAAAUUUUAGAUAAAACUUGUUCUCUCAUUGUGGAUAGUGGAUCUUGUUGCAAUUGUUGUAGCACAAGAUUAGUUUCCAAGUUGAACCUCACUAUCAUUCCCCACCCAAAACCUUAUAAACUUCAAUGGCUCAAUGAGCAAGGGGAAAUGAUAGUUAACCAACAAGUGAAGGUACCUUUCUCCAUUGGGACAUAUAAGGAUGAAGUUAAUUGUGAUAUAGUUCCCAUGGAGGCAGGGCAUAUUCUUUUAGGAAGGACGUGGCAAUUUGAUAGGAAGAUCAUUUACAAUGGCCUACCUAAUGAGAUUACCCUCACCCAUCUUGGCACUAAAUUUGUGUUGCAUCCUCAAACACCUUUACAGGUGGCCAGAGAUCAACUAACUAUGAAAGAUAAGAAGGAUGAGGAAGAAAAACUAGAAAAACAAAAGAAAAAGAAGGAUAGUAAGACCUUGUCUUCAAAGGCCAAGGGGAAGGAAAAAGAGGAAAAGGAUUCCUCCAAGAAGAUUGUUAAGAAGGAAAAUCAUUUUGCAACAAAAGGUGAUAUUAAAAGAGCACUCCUUCUUAAACAAUCUUUCUACCUUCUCCUAUCAAGGGAAACAUCCCUUACCACUGCCACAAUUCCUACAUUUGAGACCUUACCCCCAAAGGUCUAAGAACUCUUACAUGAAUUUGGUGAUAUAUUUCCCAAAGAGAUACCCCCUGGGCUACCUCCUUUAAGGGGAAUAAAACACCAAAUAGAUUUAGUCCCAGGAGCAAGCCUUCCUAAUAGGCCAGCCUAUAGGACUAAUCCUCAGGAAACUAAGGAGAUAGAGUCUCAGGUAAAAGAAUUGUUGAAGAAGGGCUGGGUCUAAGAGAGCCUAAGCCCAUGUGCUGUGCCAGUGUUGUUGGUGCCCAAAAAGGAUGGUACGUGGAGAAUGUGUACAGAUUGCAGGGCCAUCAACAACAUCACUGUAAAGUAUAGGCACCACAUUCCUAGACUUGAUGAUUUGCUUGAUGAGUUGCAUGGUGCCAAUAUCUUUUCAAAAAUUGAUCUUAAAAGUGGGUAUCACCAAAUCAGGAUGAAAAAGGGUGAUGAGUGGAAAACCGCUUUCAAGACCAAGUUUAGUUUGUAUGAAUGGCUAGUGAUGCCUUUUGGGCUCACUAAUGCACCAAGCACCUUUAUGAGGCUUAUGCAUCAUGUCUUAAGGGAUUUCAUAGGUAGAUUUGUAGUUGUUUAUUUUGAUGAUAUUUUAGUGUACAGUAGGAGCCUAGAUGAUCACUUAGGACAUCUCAGGCAAGUUCUUUCGGUCCUUAGGAAAAACAACCUCUAUUCAAAUAUAGAGAAGUGUAAUUUUUGUGUAGAUAAUAUAGUUUUCUUAGGGUUUUUAGUUGGUAGAAAUGGGGUCCAAGUGGACCCUGAGAAAAUCAAGGCCAUCCAAGAAUGGCCCACCCCUAAAAGUGUGGGAGAUAUUAGGAGCUUCCAUGGGUUGGCAAGCUUCUAUAGAAGGUUCAUUCCUAAUUUCUCUACAAUUGCAUCACCUCUCAAUGAGCUAGUGAAGAAGUGAUGCAAGCUCCAUUGGAGCUUGUAGGCCUAGGAUCUUCUUCAUCAAUGGAUUCCUUUGCUUCUUGGAAGAUAAAUGGCAGUGGAAUGGAGAAGGAAGAGAGAGAGGAGACGCCACUUCAAGGAGAAGAUGAGUCUAGAAGAAGCUCACCACCAUAGGAGGCCAUGGAUAAGAGCUUGGAGGAAGAAGGAGAUGAAUGAAGGGAGAGGGAGAGAAGAGCACGAAAUUUUGUGCUCCAAAAGAGCUCUGAAAUCUGAAGUUAAUAUUCAAAUGAUCAAAGUUUCAAAAAAAGGCACACACAUGACCUCUAUUUAUAGCCUAAGUGUCACACAAAAUUGGAGGGAAAUUCAAAUUUCACUUGAAUUUGAAAUUGAAUUUGUGGAGCCAAACUUUGGAGCCAAAAUUUCACUAAUUAUGAUUAGUGAAUUUUAGUUAUGGUUCAGCCCACUAAUCCAAGAUCAAUUCCAAGAUUCUCCACUAAGUGUGCUUAGGUGUCAUGAGGCAUGAAAAGCAUGAAGGACAUGCACAAAGUGUGACUAUAUGAUGUGGCAAUGGGGUGUAGUAAGCAAAUGCUCACCUCCCCCUCUAAAAUUUAAUUGGAUUGGGCUUCUACCAAUUCAAUUAAAUUUAUUUCCAACCACACACAUCAAAUAUCCACUUAGUGCAUGUAAAAUUACAAAACUACCCCUAAUACAAAAACUAGUCUAGGUGCCCUAAAAUACAAGGGCUGAAAAAUCCUAUAUUUCUACGGUACCCUACCUACAUUAUGGAGCCCUAAAUACAAGGCCCAAAAUUAAUGAAACCUUAAUCUAAUAUGUACCAAGAUAAGUGGGCUCAUACUUAGCCCAUGGGCCCGAAAUCUACCCUAAGGCUCAUGAGAACCCUAGGGCCUUCUCUUGCAUUUUUGGCCCAAUCUUCUUGGAGUCUUCUAUCCAAUGCCCUUGGGGGGUUGGAUUGCAUCAAGAAGAAUGUGGCAUUUACCUGGGGUGAAAAACAAGAGCAAGCCUUUGCUUUGCUCAAAGAAAAGCUUACUAAGGCACCUGUUCUAGCUCUUCCUGACUUUUCUAAAACUUUUGAGCUAGAAUGUGAUGCCUCUGGAGUGGGAGUUGGAGCUGUUUUGUUGCAAGGUGGGCACCCUAUUGCUUAUUUUAGUGAAAAACUUCAUGGUGCCACCCUUAACUACCCCACCUAUGAUAAAGAGCUUUAUGCCUUAAUAAGAGCACUCCGAACUUGGGAACAUUACCUUGUUUCCAAGGAAUUUGUCAUUCAUAGUGAUCAUCAAUCACUUAAGUUCAUUAGAGGGCAAAGCAAGUUAAACAAAAGGCAUGCAAAAUGGGUAGAGUACCUAGAGCAAUUUCCAUAUGUUAUCAAAUACAAAAAGGGAAAAACAAAUGUGGUAGCUGAUGCCCUCUCUAGGAGACACACAUUGUUUUGCUCCCUAGGAGCUCAAAUUUUAGGAUUUGAUAACAUUAGGGACUUGUAUGAUUUAGAUGAACAUUUCUCUCCCAUUUACAAGAGUUGUAGGAAAAAGGCCCAAGAUGGAUACUAUUUGGCUGAGGGGUAUUUGUUCAAAGAGGGAAAGCUUUGCAUACCCCAAGGAACCAUAAGGAAAUUACUUGUGAAGGAGAGCCAUGAGGGUGGGCUCAUGGGCCACUUUGGGAUAGACAAGACCCUAGUCUUACUCAAAGAAAAGUUCUAUUGGCCCCAUAUGAAGAAAGAUGUCCAUAAGCAUUGCACUAGGUGUGUGGCUUGUUUACAAGCCAAGUCUAGGGUGAUGCCUCAUGGGCUAUACACACCCUUACCCAUUCCAUCUGCACCUUGGGUAGACAUUAGUAUGGACUUUGUCCUUGGGCUCCCUAGAACCCAAAGAGUUGUAGACUCUAUCUUUGUAGUGGUGGAUAGGUUUAGCAAGAUGGCACACUUUAUACCAUGCCACAAGGUGGAUGAUGCUUCCCAUAUCUUAAAACUCUUUUUUAGGGAAGUUGUGAGACUCCAUGGUUUGCCUAGGACCAUUGUGUCAGAUAGAGAUGCUAAGUUCCUUAGCCACUUCUGGAAAACAUUAUGGGCUAAGCUAGGAGCUAAGCUUCUUUUCUCUACCACUUGUCAUCCACAAACUGAUGGGCAAACAGAGGUAGUGAAUAGGUCUUUAUCCACUCUUUUAAGGGCUCUUCUAAAAGGCAACCAUAAGUCUUGGGAUGAGUAUCUUCCUCAUGUAGAAUUUGCCUACAAUAGGGGCGUUCAUAGAACCACCAAGCAAUCCCCUUUUGAGGUUGUCUAUGGGUUCAAUCCCUUAACACCCUUAGACCUCAUUCCCCUCCCACUUGACACUUCUUUUAUACAUAAAGAAGGGGAAUCUAGGUCAGAGUUUGUAAAGAAGUUGCAUGAGAGGGUUAAGACCCAAAUAGAGAACCAAACAAAGGUGUAUUCAACUAAGGGCAAUAGAGGAAGAAAGGAGCUAGUUCUUAAUGAGGGGGACUGGGUUUGGCUCCAUCUUAGGAAGGAAAGAUUCCCUACUAAAAGGAAAUCCAAGCUUAGCCCAAGAGGGGAUGGACCUUUUCAGGUCUUGGAAAGGAUCAAUAAUAAUGCCUAUAGGUUGGACCUCCCAAGAGAGUAUGGAGUCAGCACCACUUUUAAUAUUUCUGAUUUAAUUCCUUUUGCAGGUGGAGCUGAUAUAGAGGAGGAGGAACCAACAGAUUUGAGGUCAAAUCCUCUUCAAGGGGGAGGGGAUGAUGCAAUCCUCCCUAGGAAAGGACCAGUUACCAGAGCCAUGAGCAAGAGGCUCCAAGAGGAUUGGGCUAGAGUUGAUAAAGAAGGCCUUAGGGUUCUCAUGAACCUUAGGGUAGAUUUUUGAGCCCAUGGGCCAAGGUUGGGUCCACUCUUCUUUGUAAAUAGUAGAAUAGGUUGUUUUCUUCUUUUGGGCCUUGUAUUUUGGCCAUUCUAGUAGUAUAGGGUUUUAGCCUUGUAUUUCAGGGCAUUUUGAGUAGUCUUUGUAGUAGGAUUUUUUUGUAUUUUCAUGUUUUUUUGUCAUGGGGGUGAGCUUAGCUAUUAUAGGGGUGUGUAAUUAAGCUCUAGCUUCUCAAGAAAGCUUCUCAAGGAUGUGAGCUUAGUGUUUAGAUGGGUGUGUGUAGCUAAACUCUAGCUUCUCAAGGAAGUUUUCUCAAAGAAGCUUUUCAAGGAAGUUUUCUUAAGAAAGCUUCUCAAGGAAGUUUUCUUAAGAAAGCUUCUCAAGGAAGCUACCUAGUCUAUAAAUAGAAGCAUGUGUAACACUUGUUGUAACUUUGAUGAAUGAAAGUCUUAUGAGAUACACUUCAAAGUUCCACUUCUUUCCCUCUUUUAUUCCUUCAAUUUCGUGCUCCCCCCUUCUCUCUUUCUUUUCCUCCAUUAAAGCAUCCUCUUCAAGCUUCUUAUCCAAGGCAAUUCUUGGUGGUGAAGCUCCUUCUUCCUUGGCUUAUUCCCUAGUGGAUGGUGCCUCCCCUCUCCUCUUCUCCUUUGCCUUCCGCUGCAUCUCCAUGGUGAAAAGUCACCAUUGAAGGACCUCAUUGAAGCUCAAAGAUCCAGCCUCCAUAGAAGCUCCACAAGCAAGCUUCCAUCAGUAGGAUAAGGUCUGAAAAUCCCUUUCCUGGGCAUCUUCCCAUAAGGGAAUAUGAUUCCUCACCAAGUCAAUGAGUGGUGCUACAAGUAUAGAAAAAUAUGGGACAAACCUUUUGUAAAAGUUUGUUAAGUCAUGGAAGCCCCAAAUUUCCCUUAUACUUGGUGGAGUGGGCCACUCAGGAAUGACCUUUAUUCUCUUAGGAUCCGUUGGAACCCCUUGAUCACUAUUUACAAAAUUAAGGAAAGUAAUGUAAUAAAACAUACCUUUUUCUAUAUUUUCAUGUUGAUUACUCCUACCAAAAAGUAUGACAAACCUAAGGUGUCCCAUAUGAGCAUCUAGGUUUGUAUUGAAACCAAAAAUAAGAACAACCUACCUAAUGAGUCCUUAUGUAUAUGAAUCAUGAAGAUGUUGGAUGCAUGGGUGAUUUUACAAAAGAGGGUUGCACCACUCAACACAUUCAUCAUACCAUCUAUCAUAGGGAUUUGGUGCCUCAUAAUACCUAUUUUAGGCACCAACAAAGCACAAGGAUUUAUGCUCUUACAAACCAAACUCUCAUCCAAUAACUCCUUUACUUGAGGAAUAACCUCAAGCUCAAGAGGUAUGGUAGUGCUAAGGGAGGUUUACCUUGAUAGAAGAAGGUAGAAGGAUUGUUUAAGAAGGAGUGCUCUGUUGAUAUCACCUUUUGUUGCAAAAUGAUUUUCCUUCUUAACAAUCUUCUUGGAGGAAUGUUUUUCCUCUUUUUUGUUCCCCUUGGCCUUUGAAGACAAGGCCUUACUAUCCUUCUUUUUCUUUUGUUUUUCUAGUUUUUCUUCCUCAUACCUCUUAUCAACUUUGGGCUUAGAAGGUGCAACCCUUAAGAUGCCUCGACCUUUGUCUUUCUUUGGAUAAGAGUGAGAGCCAUAAGAUUUUGAAGUAGGCUUCCUUUUAAGUUGUUGCUCUACCCUUAUGCAAAGUUAGACUAGGUCAUCUAGGUCCCUAUAUGGAAGGAGCUCAACCUUGUCCCUCACUUCCAUAUUAAGUCCACUAAGGAACCUAGCAAUACUUGUUCUUUCCUCCUCCCUAAGCCCAACUCUCAAAAGGAGUAGUACCAUUUGUUGCCUAUACUCUUCAUCACUCAAACUCCCUUGUCUAAGCCUUUGGAGCUUGUCCAUAAGCUCCCUUUCAUAGUAGGAGGGGAUAUGCCUCUUCCUAAGGGCAGUUUUCAAGUCAUUCCAAGACUCUACUAGAGGAUCCCCAUGAAUCCUUCUUUCCCUAACAAGGGAAGUCCACCAAUAGAGGGCAUACCCUUGGAAGCUAAGGGUAGCCAAAGGAACCUUUAUUUCCUCACUUGUAUGAUGGCAAGGAAAGAGUUGCUCAACCUUCAUUUCCUAAUCUAAAUAAGCCUCUACAUUGUCCUUCCCAUGGAAGUAUGGGAGGUUAAUGUUAGCCUCUUGAGGCUUUCUUUCCUUUUCUCUCCUAUGGGAGUGAGGUCUAAGAUGUGACCUAUGCCUUCCUUCAUAAUAGUCACGAAGUUAUUCACUUAGGCUCUUGCAAGAGUUAUGACUACUAUAGGAGGCAUGUUUUUUUUUCUUAACUCUUUUAGUAUUUUCUUUCUAGUUUUUAUUUGUUCCCUCUCAUCUUGAUUUAUUUUUACCCUCUCUUUUCCUUUUUCUUUUCUUUCUAGUUUUUCUUUCCAUAACUUGAGGGAACUCAACUCAUCUAAGAUUCUAGAUAGAGGGUCCCUAUGACUAGUGCCCUCGCCAUUAACACUAGAUGAAUGAUGACACAUGUUGGUUCCUAAGUUGUGGUUCUUUCUUGUUGGGGGUUUGCAAAAGGUAAAAGCUAGGGUUCAAAAGAACUCAAGAUAAGCAUGAUAAGCAAGAAUAAAUUAUUAUGCAAUAACAAGAUAAACUAGGCAUGACUAGUAAAGAAAAUAAGCUAUAAAGGUAAGCAAGAAAUUAAAGUGCAAGAAAUUAAAGUGCAAGAAAUGUAAACUGGGCAAAUCCUAAGAGUGUUUGGAUGACCUUAUUUAAGGUUCCCAACAAAACACUCACUAUCAUAAGGGAAAAUUGCAUAAAAUUAUUAAACACAAAUGGAAGUUUGGUAACCUAUUGGAGGCUCCCAACACACUUCCAAUGAAAGGGCUUUUUUUACAAAUUUUGAAAGCAAUGAAGGUAAGUAAAUUACCAAUUACAAAAUUACAAAAAAGUCCUCAAUUUUGGUGGUUGUUCUCUCUUUGGUGUUUCACUCAAUUUGGAGUUCUUCUUAGUCCAAUAGCUCUCAAGGUGGUUGGCCCCUUGCUUCUUGACUCAAAUUCUCCAACUAUCCUCCUUUCCAAUUCCCUAUAUGGCAACACACAAACAAUGAAACAAAGAGAACAGCAAUAACCAAAGACCAAAAAUGAAAUUAAAUCUAAACCAAUAGAAUUUUAACAAGACAAAUUUUCAAGGAUUAUUAAACAACUAAAGCAAUGAAAAGCACAUAAAAGCAAGUUAGGACUCAAAGAGAAACCUAGAAUGGCUCUAGAGUAAAAAAAAAAGACUCAAGAAACCUCUAGUUUUGGAACUUGCUUUCACACUACUUUUCAAUUGAAAUUUCAGAACUAAGAUUGGUCUAAAAUAGGCACUAAUUAUAGAACAAAUUUUGAGCCAAAACAACAAGCACACUUCCCUUUUACCUUUUUUUCCUGGACACUAAUUUUUCUGCCAACUUGUAUGACUUUUCUUUAUUUUACUUUUAUCCAAUUCACUUGUUUCUAUUUUUUAAUUUUUUUUCCAGAAGUCUAGAAAAUUAAGUAAAAAUUUCAGCUCAAAAUUCGCAGUGACCAAUUCCCAAUAAUUUUUACAAGUUCGUAUGUUCAAGCUUCCAGCACCAGCGAUUUCAGGCUUCAAAUUUGUUAAGCAUGGUAUAUUGAUUGCCUUAGGCUUACUUUCAAGUUUCCUAUGUAUGUUAAACUCACUAGGCUUGUUUCCCAUAGUUUUAGGAGUUCAAUAUACACUUAGGAUCAAAAUUUCAGCCAGCAAUUCAAUCACCAAAACUCAAAUUCACAAUAGACACAAUCAUAAGAAAACCUAAAAGUUCAAGAAAAAGUUCAUAAUCAAAGACUCUCUAAGAAUUUUGCAUGAACAUGUUAAGGACUAAUUAACAUGUAAGACAUGACUAAACAUGACUAGACAUGACUUCUAUGACAAAACUACAAUAGGUGAACAUGUCACUCUAGAUUUUUUAGGUUUACUUAUACUUUAAUGUUUUUGUAAGAAUUUUUUGGUUUAGGUUUCUGUCGCAACCUACCCUACGAUGGUCGUGCGGGCGAAAAGAAAGCAAAAGAAAAUAAAAGAAGGCAUCUUCUAAAAAAAGAAAACGAGUGGGAGUUGCCACCAACGUUUAUUUAAGAAAAACAUUAGAAAAAACCAAAAAGAGGUCUGUGAAUUUUGAAAAUAAGGGUUCAUGAGUUGUUUACGCAUAGGGAAGGUAUUAACACCUCACGUGCCCGCCACAAGGGACGACAACCUUUAAUCGAGUAUGCACAAUGUGACUUCAAAAUUAUGUAUUUUUCCCUUUUUAUAUUUUUUAUUUUUUGGGUUCGACAAGGAGGUUUCCCUUGCUGCUACGUAUCCUCAAGUGCAAUGAGGAAUUCAGACCUACGUAGUUCUUUAUAGUAAAAAAAUUUGUGUGUUGAGUUGGUUUUAUGAUUUUGAGAUAUUCAUUUUUAUGACAAACAAGCAGGUCGUUAAGGCGUUGGACCUUGAAACGAUCUCAAGUGAUUUUUCAUGGAGAGAAAUUUAGUUAUGAGUUGUUGUUUUUUAUUCUAGUUUUGUUUAUUAACUUUCAAUCGCUUUAAAGACAAUGUUACUGUACUAGUGAUCGGUUAGGAUUAAACUUUACAAAUAAAAAAUGUGAUCACCGAUGAUAAAUGGAGAAGAUGAAUAUGCACAUAAUAACAGAGGGAACCCCUAAGGGUACAUAGAUUACAUUAAACUCUUGGAAAAGACUAACCAAUUGUUGCACGAGCGACACAAAACAAGAGAACAAUGUAGGGAAUGAUCAUGAUCGCGAUUCGGUAGCGACUCCAAGAAGAUUGGGCCAGAGAUGUAAGAGAAGGCCCUAGGGUUCUCAUGAGCCUUAUGAUAGAUUUUGGGCCCAUAGGCUAAGUAUGAGCCCACCCACUUAUCUUUGUACAUAUUAGAUUAAGUUGCAUUAUUUUUGGGCCUUGUAUUUAGGGCUCCAUAAUGUAGGUAGAGUACCUUAGAAAUGUAGGAUUUUUCAGCCUUUGUAUUUUAGGGCACCUAGACUAUAGUUUUUGUAUUAGGGGUAGUUUUGUAAUUUCACAUGCAUUAAGUGAAUAUUUGAUGUGUGUGUUGUAACAUCCUGGAAAUUUCUACCCGGAAUUUUCGAAAACGAUGUAUUUUGAAUGACUAUAUAUAUAUAUAUAUAUAUAUAUAUAUAUAUAUAUAUAUAUAUAUAUAUAUAUGUAUUAUUCAGUGUAUAUGUAUAGAUAUGUUCUUGGUAGAAAUAGGAAUAGUGGGGGCAAGAUAUGCGGGUUGGACUAAUUAAGGGAGAGAAAUCCAUAACUGGGAGGUUAUGGGUUAAUUCUUAAUUAAUUAGUUUAAAAAUCAUCGUUUUGCGUGCGACUUAAAAUUUAACGAAACCAACCUCUGAACCACGCUCGGGGUUUUAUUCUGAGCGUUUUGAUAUAUAUAUUGCUUGCUUUCGAAAACUGGCCCCGACGGACGCAGAGAAACGCGAGAAACUGGAACCAGAGAAACGACACGCAAACCGAGGCAGGAUUUUAGCGUUUCAAAGGUCAGAUUUUUCUCACUUUGUGACUGAGUAUGGGUCACAGUCAAAAAGAGAAAGUGGGCCCUUUUUGCUCCAAUCAAAUAAGGACAUGUGGCAGAGCUUGAAUAAAAUAAGGGAAAAAGGGAAAACCCUUUUUAUUUAAGACCAAAAGCUUUUCUCUCUCCUCACUCAGCCCCACAAAAUUUCAGACAGCUCUCCCUCUCUCUCACGCAGCCUUCUUCUUCUUUUCUCCCAUUCACCAUUGAAGCUCCACACAAAGCUUCAACCUUUGGCCAUCAUUUCUGCUCCAAAUCGUGAAAGGAGAGCAUUUUCAGGGUCGUGAAGUGCGUGGCUACGAGUGGGACUUUGAAAAUUCAGGUUUGGGUGGACUUCUUUCUCCUUUGAAUUUCGUGGGUAUGGGGUUUUGGGAGAUAUGAUGGGUGGUUUUGUUAGUUUUCUGCUGUGUGAUGAUUAUUUGUGAAGGCAUUGGCUGAAAACUUGUUGAAAUUGCCAUGUUUGGAUGAGUUAGACAUACCCAUUCUAUUUUAGGGUUUUUGUGAUGAUGUUUGUGAUGUUUAUAUGCUGAAAUUGCUGAUGGAAAACUGUUAGAGAUGAAGGGUAGAACUAACCUAGGGUUAGAAAGUGAGAAUGUGAUGUUAUGAGUGGAAAAAGAGUGAGACUUUGAGAGUUGGAAGGCUAAGUCUGAAUUCUGUGGUAAAUGGAGGUUAAAGUGAGUUAAUACUAGCUUGAAAUGUCAUUUAGGACUUAUGAGAAAGCUUGGGCUGUGCUAGAGAGAAAGAUAAAUGACCAAAGUGAACAAAGAGCCAUUUCUAGGGCAAAUUUGGGUGUUGAAGAGUCAAAUUUUGAUUUGGUGGAAUUUUAGGUGUAAAUCCAGUUUGGGCAAGUUUAGAUUGAUGUUAUGGACUUGUGUGAGGUGAGAGUUUGCUUCAAAUUUACCUCAUUCUAAAUUUCACCUUUCAAACCUAGAAAAGCCAUUGAAUGGAGGGGUGUUGGACACCUAGAUUCUGUGUUGCUGUGCUUUAAAGCUUGAAUUUGGUUUAGACAUGAUUGAUACAUGAUUUGGGACUUGUAGGAAUUGAUUUGGGCAAGAUUGGAUGAGAGGAAGUGUGAUUUUCGAAAUCUGCACUUAUGCAGAAUUUUUGCUGUGAAAUUGUGCAGCAGAAUUUUGCACAAGUGCAGAAAAAUGCUUGUGUGUGGUUGGCUGUGGAAAGUCUAGUGCAGAAUGAGUUCUGGAUGUUUGCUAGUAGAUCCCAACGGUCAUAAUGUAGGCUUAUGCACUAUAGACUUCCAGUAAAAUUUUGGAGUCGAUCCAACGGUUAACGAAUUGGAUCGAAGGAAUUGUUACUGUGGUCUUUAAGUGAGAAAAGCUGUGAUUUUGGUUGAUGUGUUGAGCAGAGUUUUCUGCCUUUGCUCUGUUUUGCUUGGCUGUGAUAGCUUGUGCUGUUUGAAUGUUGUUUUGCUUUGAUGUUGUGGAAGCUUGGGAGGAUUGAUGGGGACCCGGUGUUGAGAGAAACGAGGAUAUGGGCUACAUGGGAGUACGUGAGCUCAGUUGGAGGUGGGCAACAGGGGAUGGUGGGUUUAUGCGCGCAUUGUGGAUGUGGAAAACUUGUUGUGCACCAUCGCCCGACCGCCACCUAGUACCACAUGUGAUGGGUACCCCAUAAUCCUACAAGCUUGAGAUGAGGAAGUGUUGAAGGGUGAAACUUCCUGCUUUUAUUGUUGACCACAGAGUGGUACCUGGAGAUAUGUCGCGGGGGUCAGGAGACCUUGGGGACGUCAGGUGGGGUGCUAUUGCCCAAAACCAAACUUGACCAAUCCCGACCCAACCCGGGCAUAGUCGGUCAGUGAGAACCUGUGAUGUACCUAAGCAGGCGAGCUCCUGGCAGUCAACAGAUAAAAGGAAAACAAGACCACAAAGCAAGGAGGCUUGUGGUAGCUGGCCAGCUGUGAAUUUUGUGUAAUAUGUGGAUUAUGGCCUCUGGUAAUCGAUUACCAAGGGCGGGUAAUCGAUUACAAGGCUUAAAAUUGAAGACAGGAGGCUAAGAUGGUCUCUAGUAAUCGAUUACCAAGGGGUGUAAUCGAUUACCAGGCUUGAAAACGAAGUCAGGAAGCUUAGGGAGCCUCUGGUAAUCGAUUACCAGCCUGUGUAAUCGAUUACACAGAGGAAUGGGUCACUGGUAAUCGAUUACCAGGCAUGUGUAAUCGAUUACACAGUGUAUUAUUGCAUAUUUCAUGUCCUGAGGCUGUGUAAUUCAAGUUUAGCCUCUGGUAAUCGAUUACCAAGGUUGUGUAAUCGAUUACCAGAGAUGAAAAGCCUUAAGAUACUCCUUUUAACGUCAUGUAGUGGUUAUGAGAUGCAUUGUGUGUAGCGCAGUUAGAUUCUUGUGAAAGAGUCUACCCCUUUCUCUUCUUUCUUGUAGAUCGUGAUGGCGGCGCAGCUAAUUCGUGAUCGAAUAGAGAUGGAGUGCGUAGAGGGAGCUUGGGAGACCCUCGAAGGCAACACGAGGUGCCGAUUUCGGGGCACCAUUCGAUUCACGGCUACUUCUUUGGUGCAUCCAGAUGAACCUGCACGGACGCUUCAACGCACGGUGGAGUGGACAGCUCCUUGGAUUAGUUUUGUGUAUUGUUGAGGGUGGGUGUAUCUAGGACUGACUAUUAGGUUUACUCUUUUGUUUUGUAUGGGUAGACCUGAUGUAUAGGAAUUUGAUUAUUGUAUACUUGUGGCUGAAGCCACCACUAUGGACACCUUUGCUCUGGAUGACACUAUGUAUUUUGUAAAACUCCCAUAUUUUGGACAGCUUUAAAUGAUGAAUGCGUUUAUGAUCGAUCUUGUUAUUUGAAAAGAAAGCAUUAGCAAAUUUAUUUGUAAAAGAGUUUAUCGACCGUAUUUUAUUCUUUUAUUUUCAUGUGACGACCUAAAGUAAUGGCUGGUACAUUCUUCCUUUUGAAACAACAAAAUAGUUUAGAGAUUAUGAGCGGUAAGAAAGAAAUGACUCCGAAUAGAGUUGUGAACUGGCCAUUCAGGACUCUGUAGUGAGGAUUUUCCUUCUAAACCUAGUUAUGGUGAAAAGAGAAAGAAAUGAAAAAGAAAAAGAAAAAAAAAUUUUUACCAUGGUUUUUGUUAUUUAAAUUAUUACUAUUAAACCAGUCAUUAAUUUUAGGGACGCCACAAAUGGUGGUAUCAGAGCAAAAGUUGGAUUCUAGUGAACCUGUUAUGGUCUUGCUGUGUGAAUGCUGUGUAUCUCUGAAACUUGGAAGUAGAUUUCGGGGAGUGACGUUAAGUCACACAUUGUGUGUAUUUCUGCCUUAUUGUCUUGAGCAUGGAUGUGUGACUGAUUCAUAAGAUUGUUGUGUGUAUGAGUAUGUAUAAAGAGAAGGAUGUUGUUAUAACUGUCAUAGCCUGUGUGGUACACUCUCUCAUUAGGAUCUUGUGCAUGUCCUUCAUGCUUUACAUGCCUCAUGACACCUCAACACACUUAGUGGAGAAUCUUGGACUUGAUCUUGGAUUAGUGGGUUGAACCAUAACUAAAAUUCAUUAAUCAUAAUUAGUGAAAUUUUGGCUCCACAAAUUCAAGUUCCCUCCAAUUUUGUGUGACACUUAGGCUAUAAAUAGAGGCCAUGUGUGUGCAUUUUUUCAACUUUGAUCAUUUGAGAAUUACACUUCAAAGUUCAAACCUCAUUUGAGGCACAAAAUUUUGUGCCUCUUCUCUCCCUCUCCCUCCACUCAUCUUCUCCUACCUUCAAGCUCUUAUCCAUGACUUUCUAUGGUGGUGAGCUUGUUCUUGACUCAUCUUCUCCUUGAAGUGGCAUUCCCAAUCAUCUUUCUUCAUUCUCCAUUCCGCUGCCAUGAUCUUCAAGAAGCAAAGGACUCCAUUGAUGAAGAAUAUCCAAGGCUUACAAGCUCCACAAGGAGCUACGUCACCCCAGCUUCGCUUUUCUUCCUUCUUCCUCUUCUUUCUCUCUUUCUCUUUCUUUUUCCAACUUCUGAGCCCUUAAACCCCUCCCCCAGCAUGGCUAUUUAUAGGAAAAAGCCAUUUUGGAGCAGGGGAAGCUCGCCCAGGCGAGCUGGAGCUCACCCAAGAGAGCUAGUUACUUAGCCCUGAAGGAAUGAGCUUGCCCAGGCGAGCUAAUUGCUUAGGAAGAAAGUCAUUUCAUGGCCUAGGCGAGCCAAAUUCUAGCUUGGGCGAGCUAGGGUCUAGUAAAAUCCAAAGAAAGACCCUUUUUCUCCCUUCCUUGGUAUCCUUUUGUUUUCUUGAUCAAAAAACUGAGUGAUUCCUUGCUUCACACUAUAACUGGCGCCAAAUAUCGUAAUUCGACUAGCAAGAAUCAAAACAUCAUAUCGAACGAUAUUCCUCGGACAAGAUUAGGGUCUGACAGUUGCCCCUCUUUACUUAUCUUUUAUUAAAAAAGGAAAGUUAAGUAAAGAUAAGGACACUAAUUUCAUUUAAGCGAUCUUGCUAUUCGAAACCAGACGCUAGAGGAAAUAAAGGCAAUGAAAUUGAAAAAGCAAAAGGACAUUGACAUUGAAAUAUUGAAAGCAUCAAGCAAAAGAUGUCGUAGUCUAGUAAAACAUAAGACUGAAGAUAUUGAAGUCUUUGUAAAAGACUAAAGAUGUUGAAGUCUUGUAAAUGUAAAAGACAGAAGACAUUGAAGUCUUUGGAAAUGUAAAAGACUGAAGACAUUGUAGUCUUUGAAAGAGUAAAAGACUGAAGACAUUGUAGCCUUUGAAAGCAUAAAAGAUUGAAGACAUUGUAGUCUUUGAAAGCGUAAAAGAUUGAAGACAUUGUAGUCUUUGAAAGCAUAAAAGACUGAAGACAUUGUAGUCUUUGAAAGCGUAAAAGACUGAAGACAUUGUAGUCUUUGAAAGCAUAAAAGAUUGAAGACAUUGUAGUCUUAGAAAGCAUAAAAGAUUGAAGACAUUGAAGUCUUUGAAAUCAUAAAGCAAAAGACAUUAUAGUCUUGUAAUCAUAAAACAGAAGACAUUGUAGUCUUUGAAAGCGUAAAAGGCAAAAGACAUAGAAGUCUUUGAAAUUAUAAAGCAAAAGACAUUGUAGUCUUGGAAUCAUAAAAUAGAAGACAUUGUAGUCUUUGAAAGCGUAAAAGGAAAAAGACAUUGAAGUCUUUGAAAAUGUAAAAGACUAAAGACAUUUAAGUCUCUGAAAUCAGAAAGCAAAAGACUUUGUAAUCUUGGAAUCAUAAAACAAAAGACAUUGUAGUCUUUGAAAGCGUAAAGCAAAGGACGUUGAGUCCUAUGAAUCAUGCAAUUGGAUUUUGGAAAUUGGUAUAUAAUGAGAAAUCUAUGGACUCAUAGCAUGAUGUGAAACAUGAGUUUUGGAAUGCUUGGACAUGCAAACUUCACCCUAAAAUAAAGUAAAUGCAGGUUUUGUAUGCAACAAUGCAAUGCAAUGAAAAAUUGUGCAAUGUUUAUGACAUUCUUUCCUCUUUUGGUGAUCUUAAUUUUGUUUUUUUCUGUGUGUGAAAAAACACAGAUUGACCGUCUCUUUCUAAAAGGCGUGAUAACUCAUGCAACCUCAUCCUAUCUUUUGCAAAUCUCCUCGAGGAUUCCCUUAGAGUGUAUGUUUUGAUUUAAUCAAUUGAUAGUUUUGGGUGACAGUAGUGGAGCCGUUUAACAUUUAAUCAAUCAACUGAAAUAUUGAUCCUAGGGUUUGUCCCUUUUUUUUGUUUAAAACCUUCUAUUAUUCUGCAUAGCAAUGAAACAUAAGGCUUUGGGAUCGAUCGUGCGCCCUAUUGAAGGAUGGAAAUGGAUUGUCACACAUUGCUAUGUGACCAAGUGAAACAUUCCUGAUUUAAAUAUCAUAGAGUGAUGCCAUGGGUCAGUUGAUGAUGCAAUCCUCCCUAGGAAAGGACCAGUUACCAGAGCCAUGAGCAAGAGGCUCCAAGAGGAUUGGGCUAGAGUUGAUAAAGAAGGCCUUAGGGUUCUCAUGAACCUUAGGGUAGAUUUUUGAGCCCAUGGGCCAAGGUUGGGUCCACUCUUCUUUGUAAAUAGUAGAAUAGGUUGUUUUCUUAUUUUGGGCCUUGUAUUUUGGCCAUUCUAGUAGUAUAGGGUUUUAGCCUUGUAUUUCAGGGCAUUUUGAGUAGUCUUUGUAGUAGGAUUUUUUUUGUAUUUUCAUGUUUUUUUGUCAUGGGGGUGAGCUUAGCUAUUAUAGGGGUGUGUAGCUAAGCUCUAGCUUCUCAAGAAAGCUUCUCAAGGAGGUGAGCUUAGUUUUUAGAUGGGUGUGUGUAGCUAAGCUCUAGCUUCUCAAGGAAGCUUCUCAAGGAGGUGAGCUUAGUUUUUAGAUGGGUGUGUGUAGCUAAACUCUAGCUUCUCAAGGAAGUUUUCUCAAAGAAACUUCUCAAGGAAGUUUUCUUAAGAAAGCUUCUCAAGGAAGUUUUCUUAAGAAAGCUUCUCAAGGAAGCUACCUAGUCUAUAAAUAGAAGCAUGUGUAACACUUGUUGUAACUUUGAUGAAUGAAAGUCUUAUGAGAUACACUUCAAAGUUCCACUUUUUUCCCUCUUUUAUUCCUUCAAUUUCGUGCUCCCCCCUUCUCUCUUUCUUUUCCUCCAUUAAAGCAUCCUCUUCAAGCUUCUUAUCCAAGGCAAUUCUUGGUGGUGAAGCUCCUUCUUCCUUGGCUUAUUCCCUAGUGGAUGGUGCCUCCCCUCUCCUCUUCUCCUUUGCCUUCCGCUGCAUCUCCAUGGUGAAAAAUCAUCAUUGAAGGACCUCAUUGGAGCUCAAAGAUCCAGCCUCCAUAGAAUCUUCACAAGCAAGCUCCCAUCAAGUGGUAAUCAGAGCACAAGAGCUUCAAGUAGGUGCUCCUUAAACCUCCAUUAAUUUUUUUGCUUUACCUUCUCUUCCAUUGUUGUUUCUUCAUUUUUCUCCAUGUAUCUCCUCACAUGUCUUGUUCUAAAUGUUGUUAACGUGAUUCUUUAGAGUUUCCACCGAUUAAACUUGCUAUAGAAGUUAGAUUUGAUUUUCUAUGGUUCAAAUUUCUUGUUCUUGUUCUUGAACCAUGAAUUGUGUUGAGUUUAGGUUCCUUUGAGUUUUGUCUUGUUAUUUUUUGUGGCUGAAACCUAAACCAUAAAAUUCUUACAAAAAUAUUAAAGUAGAAGAAAACCUCAAAAAUCUAGAGUGACUUGUUCACCUAUUGUAGUUUUGUCAUAGAAGUCAUUUCUAGUCAUGAAACUUGUCACAUAAGAUUUCUUAUGUUGUGCUGAAUUUUAUUUUCUUGUUUCUUUGUCUAACUCAUUUGUUCAUGAGUGUAUGAAAUUAUUUUAGCCUAUUAUUUGAUUUGAGUCAAAUCUUUCGUGUUAAUUAGUCCUUAACAUGUUCAUGCAAAAUUCUUAGAGAGUCUUUGAUUGUGAACCUUUUCUUGAACUUUUAGGUUUCUUUAUGAUUGUGUCUAUUGUGAAUUUGAGUUUUGGUGAUUGAAUUGCUGGCUGAAAUGUUGAUCCUAAGUGAAUAUUGAACUCCGAAAACUGUGGUAAACAAUCCUAGUGAGUUCAACAUACAUAGGAAGGUUGAAAGUAAGCCCAAGGCAAUCAAUAUACCAUGCAUAAAGAAACAAAUCGCUGGUGCUGGCAGCUUGGGCAUACAAACUUGUAAAAAUUACUGAGAAUUGGUUACUUCGAAUUUUGAGCUAAAAUGUUUACUGAAUUUUCUAGAAAUCUGGAAAAAAGUUAUAAAAAAAGAAACAAGUGAUUUGGAUAAAAGGAAAAAAUACGAAAAAUCGCACAAGUUGGCAGGAAAAUCAGUAUCCAGAAAAAAAAAGGUGAAAGGGAAGGGUGCUUGUUGUUUUGGCUCAAAAUUUAUUCUAUAAUUGGAAAUUUCAAUUCAAAAUUAGUGUGAAGACAAGUGCCAAAGCUAGAGUUUUGUUGAGUCUUUUUUUUUCAGUUUUUUUUACUCUACUCUAGAGCCAUUCUAAGUUUCUCUUUGAGUCCUAGCUUGCUUCUAUGUCCUUUUCAUUGCUUUAAUUGUUGAAUAAUCCUUGAAAAAUUGUCUUGUUAAAACUCCAUUGGUUUAGCUUUCAUUUCAUUUUUUUUUUGGUCUUUGGUUAUUGCUUGUCUCUUUGUUUCCUUGUUUGUGGGUUGCCAUAUAGGGAAUUGGAAGGAGGAUUGGUGCCAUCCCUUGAAGAAUUUGAGUCCAGAAGCAAGGGGCCAACCACCUUAAGAGCUAUUGGACUAAGAAGCACUCCAAAUUGAGUGAAUCACCAAAGAGAGAACAACCACCAAAAUUGAGGACCGUUCUGUAAUUUUGUAAUUUGAAAUUUACUUACCUUCAUUGCUUUCAAGUUUUUGUAACAAAAAGGCCUUUCAUUGGAAGUGUGUUGGGAGCCUCCAAUAGGUUACCAAACUUCCAUUUGUGUGUAAUAAUUUUAGGCAAUUUUUGCUUAGGAUAGUGAGUGCUUUGUUGGGAACCUUGAAUGUGGUCAUCCAAACACUCUUAGGAUUCACCUAGUUUACAUUUCUUGCUUACUUUCAUAGCUUAUUUCUUUUACCUUCCAUUGUCAAAUCGCCUAGAUAGCUUGCAUUUUACCAAUUAGUUUUUUUUUUUACCUUAUCUUUCACACCUCUUUUAGUGUUUAUUUUGGCUAGUUUCAACCAUAGUUUCUUUUACCUUUUGUUUUCAAACCUCCAACAAGAAAGAACCACAACUUAGAAACCAACAUGAGUCAUCAUUCAACUAGUGUUAAUGAUGAGGGUACUAGUCAUAAGGACCCUCUAUCUAGAAUCUUAGAUGAGUUGAGUUCUCUCAAGUUAUGGAAAGAAAAACAAGAGAGAAAAGAAAAAGGAAAAAAAAGAAUGGAAGAAACAAGUCAAGAUGAAAGAGAGAAAAUAAGAGAGGAAGAAAGAAGAAAAAUAAUAAAAGAAAUGAAAAGAGAAAAACAUGCCUCCUAUAGUAGUCAUGACUCUUGCAAGAGUUUAAGUGAAGAACUUAGGGACUAUUAUAGAGGGCGCCAUAGUUCACAUACUAAACAUCACUCCCAAAGAGAGAACAUAUUUCAUACAUGAUGCAAAAUUUUAGAUAAAACUUGUUCUCUCAUUAUGGAUAGUGGAUCUUGUUGCAAUUGUUGUAGCACAAGAUUAGUUUCCAAGUUGAACCUCACUAUCAUUUCCCACCCAAAACCUUAUAAACUUCAAUGGCUUAAUGAGCAAGGGGAAAUGAUAGUUAAC
rnacentral:lncRNA from 1 species